rnacentral:lncRNA from 1 species
CCAACCGUUACAGACAUAAAAGAGCUACAAGCGAAACGGGAGUAUGUAGGUUACCAACAAGACUCUUUCGUUCUCGAAUUCCUGAAAAGGAUGAAGUUUGACGAAUCCAAGUUAAGGAUCUAUAGUUCUCCAGAAAAAUUAGCUGAACUAUUCUCGAAAGGAAGUGCAAAUGGAGGUAUUGCUGCUGCCUUUGACGAGAUACCUUACAUGAAGCUCUUCAUUGCACAGCAUUGCUCGAAAUAUACCAUGGUUCAACCAAUAUACAAAUUUGAUGGGUUCGGAUUUGUAAGUGCUCUCUCCUCUCACAAACAAACACUCAUUCCCAAUAUUUAUGUGCAUUUCAUGUGUAAGCUUUUCUUUUUCUUUUUUGUUUGUUUGUUUGUUUAUUGUUGUUUUUUUUUUUUUUUUUGGAAUUUCAGGCCUUCCCAAUAGGUUCUCCUCUGGUACCCGAUGUUUCAAGGGCAGUCUUAAUUGUGACUGAGGGAAAUGAAAUGGUAAGGAUUGAGAAAAAGUGGUUUAGCGAAAAAACUAGUUGUUCAGAUGAUAAUGGAAGCUUACUUUCUUCUAACAAUAUCAGCCUUGAUAGCUUUUGGGGCCUUUUCCUCAUUGCUGGAGUCACUUCAUCUUUAGCUCUGAUCAUAGGUAUUGCCAUGUUCCUGCAUAAACAUAGAGUUGUAGUAAUGGGCAAAGAUUCGGCAUCGACAAAGAUUAAGACCUUGAUGACACUUUUUGAUCAAAAAGACCUCAGCUCUCAUACUUUUAGAAUAGCUGACCAGCCAUACAGCGGUAGCAAUGAGCCUAUAGCUGCAGUUGGAGCCUCUCCCUCAGUGACUAACAGCUCGCCAAGGCCAUCAACCUUUUCCAACCAAACCAAUAAUGAUAUUCCCCUCUCCGGAGAACAAGGAACCUCUUCUUAAUUCAGAGCACAGUGGUUGGAGCUCAAUCACAACUGGUGGGCAAUCAUCGCCAGAGAUAGUAGCUACUAAUUUAAAUCAAGAGAGAACAAAUAUACCUGUAACAUCACAUUAGAAUAAUCGAACUUCAUUGCAGUAGCAUUAUCAUUAUAUUUCACAGCAUGAUAGGAUUGUAAUCUUGCUGAUUGUUGACAGGUUGAAUUUAACUCCUGUACUCCACAUUUUCUAACUGUCAAAUUGGUUGUUAUCUGCUUGUUUAAAUAGUUUAUGAUCAAGGAGGAAACAUUACAUAAAUUAAUAUACUUAUUUUGGAAGUUCAUUUGGUUAUACUGUCAAUAGUACUGUUAAACAGAUCACUCUUUUUAUUGUCUAUAAUUUUCCUUUUCAAUGAAGAUGAGAAUAUGUAAAUAGAAUAGUUAUUUUGGGCUUCAACGGAUUUUAAGUACAAGGGUUUUUUUUUUUUAAUUGAAAUAUAUGUUUUGUAAAGUUUAGACUCAAAACGGUUUUUUAAUAAUUUAUUUUAAAAACAAGUUGUUUUGUCAUAAUGAAUUUAAAUAUAAUUUUAUGUUUUUUAUAGAACAUUGUAAAAGACCAAAGUCCAAAUUAUUGAAAACAUAUUAAGUAAUAAGUAGCUAAAAUAAAUAAAGAAAUAAUAUAUAUAUAAAUUAAAACUCACAAAUAAGAUUGAUAAAAGCUAAAGUUUGCCUUGCUCAUGUGCUUAAAAUUUAGUGACAUUCAUCUCUCAAGAUGCAACAAUAUAAGAAAUGAUAAAUAAUGUUUAUAUUUUCUAUAAAAGCCUGGAUGCUUUCAAAAUAUACACUUAUCACUCAUACAUGACUUGGAAUGGAUUAGCCCACUUAGGAAUGACCUGGAAUGGACCACCCACUUGGAGAUGACUUGAAAAAGAAUGAGAAAUUGAUGUUGUUGGAAUAAAUGAAAUGUCGUGGAAGGGGUCUCUUUUUGUAGGUGGAGAUUUGCCCCUAGAAGAGAUGCUUCCACCAAAGGGUCACAAGGGUCACACCUAUCUAAAAAAGAUGUCUCAUAUCUGUUUUAGACAAUCUGUAUCUUAAAUGGAAAAAUUUUUGUACAAAGAAAAAAAAAACACUUUAUGCCAUUGGGCUUUUCUGGUUAUGUCCAAAAGCAUAUGAGCCAAGGUGAGGCCUGAUUACUACCAAAAAGUGCUAUUUUGUAGACCUAAUUAUAAUGGUUUUAAGCACCUUUGAGUAGUAAUCAUAUUCAUUUAACUCAAUUAAUUCAUUAAGGUCCUUAGUAAUUGGUUUUAACCAUUUUGUGGCAAGUUUACAUGUUUUUAUCAGCUUAUGAAUCAAUUCAAGCAUGCCAAAUGAUGGAGGAGCUACUUGGACAAGUUAUGGCAAAGCUUUUGGAAGCUCAAAUUCAUGAAGAACCAAGCUUUGGAGCCUCAUAUUCCUUUGCCUUAGUCGUUCAAAGUAUGCAAGGAGAGAAGCAAGGAGAGAGGAAAAACAGAGUGAAGAAAACAGAGGAAAGCCAGCUGCAGUCUUCUUUUGCACUUUUGGAGCACUUCCCGAAGUCCAUUUUCUACAUUCUAUAUACCAUUUCAAAGCUCAGGAAGUCAAGAAUCCAAUGCUUCAAACGGUGCGCGAUUCGGAGUUGAAACAAAGAAGUUACAGCCACUGCAAGUCAAUCACUCUAAAGUGUUGCGGAAUCAGCCUUUUGUUGCGAGAAUUUCGCAGCCUUUUUGUACAGUGUUGUGGAUUUCCUCCUGAAGUUGCCCGAUAUAUGCCGCAAGCUGGGAGCUGAGAACCUCAAGGUGGAAGCCAACUUCGCAGCCCUGUGAAGAUAGCUUGAUGUUGCGAAGUGAUUUCGCAGCCCUCUUGGGUGUCUGCGAAAUCUCGUAGACACCAUUUUUCACCUGCGAAAUGGUCCUUAGAGCAUCCCGAUAUUUGUGCACCGACUCUUUUAGAUCUUUUCUUCAGAUAUUUUUGUAUAAAUUUCCAUUUUCUCCUUGUAUUCAGCCACUCAUGUAAUUCCUUAGCUAGGAAGUAUCCAAGGAAGGGUAAAUUACCUUCCUAUAUAAACUCUCUUGUAAACACUCUCAGGAGACGCUCGGAAAUCAUAUAAUGUAAUAUAGAAAUAGAUAUAUCAUAUAUAGAAUCAACGAACAGAGCACUUGCUCUGUUUUUCUUAUAUAUUCUUGUUUUCUCGUUAGUUUUCUUGCUAGCCAAACAUUCUCUAAGGAUUUUUCCUCAGAAGAUGAGAGGCUAGGCUUUUUGUCUCUUGGAGUAAGGAAAGCCGGGUAAGUUUCCACAUGCAUAAAUUGGAAGUUUUGUUGUUUUAGUUUUUAAUGAAGAGAAAGUGUGACCCGUUAAUGGUUUUUAUCUUUUUAGUUAACUUAAAACGCCUUUAAAUCACCUAGGCCAACACUUGGUAAGGCAAGUGAUAUCCGUCCAUGGAGAUUCACUAGUUUACCCCUUGCGAGCCUUUGGGAGGUGGUUUGAAGGUAGGAUUUUCUAGAAUAGCCAACACUUGGUAAGCUUUUGGACUCCAAGGAGACAUCCAUUAGUUAUCUCUUGCGAGCUUUUGACGGGUAAUCCAAGGUUAAAGAUCACCUUGAAUGGCAAGUGCUAGGUGAGAGGUAUGAGUCAUUGCAAGUUGCAUCAGUGAGAGGGAUUUAGUGUUUGAACCCAUUAAUGGGAAGCAUUUGUACAACACCGGUUGGAGAAGGAACUAUAUGUUAAUUCUCUAAUGCGAGGAAAAGAAACAAGUGACCGGAACUCCCUUUUUGUAUGAGGAAUCUGAGCCUAGUGAUCUGAAACUCCAAGAAACAUUUUUCUUUGUAAGUAAAAUCAGUUAUUAUUUGUGGUUAGUUUAAAACCAAACAUUUUCCAACUCAAGUUUAUGUUUUCUUUUAAAGCUAACCUUGAAAUGAAAAGGCACCAAUUCAGCUUUGGAUUAAUAUCAUUUGCAAAGUGAAAACCCAUCCCAGUGAACGAUCCUAGAGCCACUGUGCUAUAGUAGCUUUGUCUUUGCUACCCUAGUAUAUGGUGUAAUAGGUUAUAAAUUUUGUUGAUUACUCCCUCAAUCAAAGAGCACCAACUGGACACGAAUCAGCCGAGACACCAAUUGGGCAUGAAUCAAGGCCCAAGUCCACUCCCAUCUAGUUAAACCCAAGCAUAUAUGAGUCUAGGUUCAAGCCUACACUACAAGGAAAAAGAUAUAUGGUGACAUUUAUAACGAGUCACCAUAAACAUAGGAUGUCACUACAACAUAACGUCACCUUUUCCACUGACACCAUAGAGGGUACCAAUUGGUGACGUAUUUGGAAGUAAUACCAAAGUAGAUAAAUGGUGACCCAUUCGGAAGUGACACCAUAUAUUUCUAGUGAUGAUUGGGUGUCACAUUAAAUGCAUCAUCUUUGAGUUGUGAUGUCACAUUAAAUGCAUCACCUUUGAGUUAUGGUGUCACAUCAUUGUAAAUUACUGUGGAAGAUAUGAUUGCUUUUAGUUGUAGAUUUUUGUAAUGCUUAUGAAUUAAUAAGUAAGAUUAACUUGUUUAUCUUUUGUCCAUAAAUAUAACAAUCAUAUUACAUUUAACUCAUUUUUCUAUAAUAUUUUUAGAAUAACUCAUAAUACAUUGAUCAUCUAAUAAUAUUUGUAUAUCAAAUGUUCACAAAAAGAUAGUACAUCCAAUAUAUCAAACCCAUCAAAACUUAAAAAGAAGAGUGAAUACAUACCAAAACAUGAUUUAGAAAUGUUAAAGAUUCCAAGAUUCAUGUAUACCUCCAUUUCAUAAUCAUAAAAUUGGCUAACUAUAAAAUGACAUAAAAGUCGCAUCUAAAAAUCUAAAAUUCUCAGUACCAAUUAAAGUAACGUUUAUGUCCUACAACGUAUGACAUAAUAGUUGAAUUUAAAAAUCCAAAAUCUUGUUGCCUUCUUCUUUCUUUUUGUUCUCCAUUCCACCAUCCCAAGAGUGUAUACCUGUAUUUCAUAAUUUAAUGAGUUUUAUAGAUUUUUAUUGAAGAAAAUAAACAUGGAUUCAUGUUAUCAUAAAUGAACAAAUCUAAGAACUAUUUUUUUUUUCUUUUUUCAAAUAGAAACAUUAUUCAAAGAAUAAGUAAUACUAUACAAUACCUAUGGAAAAAUUCAUGUAGUAGCUAAGGGACCCACCAUGCAUGGUGAUCAAGAUGCAUCAUGUGUUAUGUGGUUCAUUUUUUGGAUUUAUGGAAUUGUGAUUGAAUUAUGUGAUUAAUUAUUCAAAUUAAUUAAUUAAUUUUUAGAACUUCAAUUUGGAAAAAAAAACAUAAAUUCUAACUUUUAUUUUUCAAAAUUAUUUGAAACCAUGGUUUAUUGGAUAUUUUGUUGACUAUGAAUUAUGUUUUAAAAUCAUAAUUUAAGAAAUUUCAUUGGGAUUUAUCAAAGUUAAUUUAUUUUUGUUUUAUUAGUUGAAUUUUAAAAAAUUAUGGUAAAUUUAUUUCUAAUUCAAAUUUUAUUAUUUUAAUAUGUACUUGUUCAUUCUAAAUCAAAGAUGUAUAAAAAUAUAUAAAGUUUAAUUAUAUUGAGAAUUAGAUUAGUUAUAAGGAAAAAAUAUUGACAAUUAUACCUCCUUUAAGAGGGUUUUUCAUGGUAUAUAUGGUGUUAGAUAUAUCUCUGGUUUAUAAUUGCUUUAGUAAGGUUGUUGUGAUUGUGAUGGAGAAGAUUAGAUCGGUCCAACAAAAAACUAGCUAUUCUGCCUGUGCAGUCAAGGGUCUCCAAAAAGCCAGCGGCCCGCUUUAGGCCCAGCCCGGCCCAAGCCCGCCAGGCCCGAGCCUGGCCCGAGCCUGGCCCGAGCCCGUUUCUGGGCAGGCCGGGCCGCGGGCCUAAUUUUAGGCCCGGCAGGCCAGCCCGGCCCGUAGGCCCGUAGGCCUACCCUUUAAAAAAAAACUACAAAAAUAAAAAGUAUUAAAAAAAAUAUUCAUUUCAAAAUUUUAUUCAUUGAAUGUAUAAUUACAUUUGAAAAUGUGGGAAAAGUUUACAUCACUACAAAAUAAAUACAUCCCAACUAGGUUGGCACCUAUUUAUUUGUCAAUCAUCUGUAUUUUUCAACCACAAAAAAUAAAAAUAAAAAUAUAAUAUACAUUUAGUCAUUAUUUUCUGGCAAUGAUGGCCAACUAUCAUGCAUCCAUGAAGAUCUUGAUAAUUUUAAAGAUUUCAUAUCGACAAGCAUCUCUGUUUCUCAAAUGGAAUCAUACAUCCUUUUAUUUGCUAUUUCCCAAUCUUUCACACAUAUCCCUGCUUCAAUAACAUCUGGCGCUAAGUUGCAUCAUUUUUUACUAACUACUCUUCCACCUGCACUAAAAGCAGCUUCUGAUGCAACUGUACUCACAGGAACUGUUAGUACAUCACAAGCAAUUAUAGAAAGCACAAGAUAUUUGUGUUGAUGUGAUUUCCACCAUAUUAAAAUAUCAAAAUCUUCUUGAUCUUCAAAUGAAAUUAUAUCAGUAUUAAGAUAUUUAUCUAAAUCAGAUGUAUUAUUUGGAGAACUAUUUGUUGUCUUUUUUCGACUUUUCAACAUUUCUAGAGCUCUUUUAUAAAAAGAUGAGGAGUUUGCAGAUGUAGGUGGUAAUUUAAUAGUAUUAAUAUCAUUACCAUAUUUUUCUUUAUAAUAGUUAUAUAAAUUAUAUAAUAAUGAAUUUAUUUCAUUUUUAAUUUCUUCAAUUUUUAUUUGGUCAUUAAAAUAAAUAAUUGUUAACCAUUCAUCCAAAGCUUCAAAUUUCAAUCUAGGGUCCACAAUUAAAGCAAUAUAAAAAAUUAAAGGUAUUUCUCCCCAAUAUUUUCUAAAUUUUUCUAUCAUUGCAAAUAUUGUAUCAUUAAAUAUUUCAAAACUUAAAUAUUUUUUAAGUACAAUAAAAAUAUUAGUUAUUUGCAUAAUAACUCGAUUUGAAGUUGGAUAAUAUACACCACAAAAAAUGUUUGUUGAAGUAUCAAAAAUUUCAAAAAGAUCUCUUAAAAGAUCCGCAAUAUGCCAAUCAUAAUCAUUUAAUGCAUAAAUAUCUACUUCACAAUCAUUGUUAAUUAAUUGUAUUUCAUAUAAUUCGACUACUUUUCUAUAUUUUGUAAUAUUUUGUAAAAGUUUAUAUGUGGAAUUCCAUCUAAUGGCCAUAUCCAAAUUUAUAUUUUUUCUUUUCAUAUUUAACAUUUUGCAAUAAUAAAAAAAUAAUUCAUGUUUUGCUUGAGAACUAUUAAUACUAUAUGCAAUGCCUCUAAUUUUUUCCAAUGUACUAUCAACAUUUUUUAAUCCAUCCUUUACAAUUAAAUUUAAAAUAUGUGCACAACAACGCACAUGAAAUAUUUUAGCAUGAUCUUCUUUUACUUGCCAAUAUUGUUUUAGCCUAUGUAUUGUUGCAUCAUUAUUAGCAGCAUUAUCUAAUGUUAUUGUCAAUAUUUUAUCACGAAUGCCUAAAUCUAUAAUUUCAUCAUUUAUUAAAGAUGCUAUAUUUUUACCACUAUGUGGAGCAUUUAUUAAUUUAAAUGAAAUUAUUCUUUUAUUUAAUUUCCAUUCAUUAUCAAUGUAGUGAGCAGUUAUACAUAAAAAAACCAGUGUGAGUUAAAGAUGUCCAAAUAUCAGAUGUUAAACAAAUAUUUCCUUUAAAAUUUGCAAAAAAAAAAUUUUUAAAUUUCUUUUUGUGUAUAAAUUUUUUUCAUAAUAUCUCUUUUAACUAUAUUUCCAAACCAACCUUUAAAUUGAGGAUUAAUACCUCAUUGAAUUGUUCCUGCAAAAUCAUGAGUUUCCAUCAUGUUGAAAGGUUGUUCUGUUCUUAUUAUAUAAUCAAUCAUUUCUUCACGACAGUUGAAUUCAUCAUAAGAAAAUGUUUUUAAAUUUCCACUUUCAUUUUUACCUAAUUGCAUAUAAUUUCUAAUAUCUACAUUAUUUUUAGUUUUACAAUUUUCAUGAUGUAUUUUUAAAUGACUUGUGCCUGCAUUUGAGCCACCAGUAAGAAAUUUAUUACAAAUUUUACAUUUUGCUUUUAUUUCUUUUUUAUUAUUUUCUAAAAUUAUUUCUAUUCUAUCAAAAAAAUUCCAUAUAUUUGAAGUAAAUUUUUUGUUUGAUGAUAUUUCAUCACAUGGACUAGAUGAAGAAGCACUUGCCAUAUUAUAAUUAUUGAUAAAAUAUUAUGUCAAAAAUAAUAAAUUAAUAAAUAUAAAAAAAAAUGUAACAAAAAAAUAAAGUAGUAGGAGUGAAGUAUGUUACUCAAUUAGAGAACCGAUGCAGAAAUUCCUAGCAAAUUUGAACUCUUGGAGCCACCAAUGCUUGUUUUGCACCACCAACAAUAUUGUAUAAUUUGAGGGAAAAAUAAAAGAAUUCAAAAUAUUGUAGAAUGUGAGAGAAAUAGAGAGAAUUUGAUGAAAAAAUGAAAAGGAAGAAAAUGUAUUUAUAGGAAGGUUAAAAAAAAAUUCAAAUUUCAAAAUAAUUGGCCAUGUGACCGUUGGAGGCUUAGCUCCAACAAUCACAUGGGCUGGAGCUAGGCUCCAACGGUCACAUGACUGAUGGAGCCUUUAAUUUUUUUUAAAAAAAUAAUAUACUUUAUUUAUAUAUAUAUAUAACUAACUCAAUUAAUAAACAUAAAAAGAAUGUAGUUUAGUUGGUUAGAAGCUUAAAGUUUAAACAUGAGGGGAGGGGUUCGAAUCCUCCCCUCUCUCUUUCCUUGGCUUUUUUGAAAGCCAUUUUGGCUUAAUUCAAAAAGCCCGCGUGGCCCGGCCCGCCUGCCAGCUCGCGGGCUCAUAGGCCGAGCCGCAGGCCUAGCAUUUUAGCAUGGCCCGGCCCGACCCAAGCUAGGUCGCGGACCUCCUAUUUACGGCUCGGCUCGGCCCAGCCCGCCCGUUGGAGACCCCUGUGUGCAGUUAACUAUCCUUCACAUCUUUUCUCUAUCCUCUACUAACAUUAGUUAUACUCCUUAUUCAAUCCCCAACUUAGUUUGUAUCUCUCUUUACUAUUAUUGUAUACAGGUUUGGGUGUCAUAACUCUUUUAUAGGAGUCUAGGUUGGAAAAUGGUACAUAUAUAUUUUUCUUAAAAUUUUCUCCUCUCCUCGCAUUAACAAACACAGAAAAAAAUAAAAAUAAAAAUAAAACACCCAUAUUCCUUUUCACAUUCUCUCUCUCUCUACUAUUAUCGUACGCAGGAUUGGAUGUCACAGCUCUUUUAUAGGAGUUUAGGCUGGAAAAUGAUACAUAUAUAUUUUUCUUAAAAUUUCCUCCACUCUCCUCGCAUUAACAAACAAAGAAAAAGAAAAAGAGGAAAAAAGAAGGUACUCGUAUUCCUUUUCUCAUUCUAUUUCUCAUAAGUAUAAUUAAUUAAUCUAACAUACCAUAUAAAAUCAAUGCCCCACCAAGACUAAACCAAGCGAAUAUAAUUUCCAGUUUCUUUACUCUAAAUGGUACUCUAAAUGAAACUCAAGAUCAACUCUUGGAUCUCAGACCAUGAUAUUUUAUCUCAAAUUCACAAGUUCCAUGGAUUAUGUGCUUCCUCAUCUGGACUAUCCAAUACAAUACUACGAAUGCAAAGAUAUUGAACCCUAAAUUCCAUGUUUAUACAUAGAAGUCAACUUGUGUUAUGUAGAAAAAUUAACAGUCCGACUUGAUGUGUUUACAGUUUGCUCUAGGCCGGCUUUUGAGUUUUGAGUUUUGACUGGCUCUACUUGAAAUGCGGGAAAUGCAAGGACAUAUUUGAUCUCAUGGUUGUACAUUUGGUACAAAAAUAACCUCAACCUCCUGCCAUCAAGAGCUAGAAAUGUUGAAAUUUCCUACCAACUAAUACAUCAUUGUCAUGCCAGAAGCAGGAGAUAGAGAUCCAACCCUAUAUUAUACUACAGCUAAGCACCUCUACUAGUUAUGAAGACUAAAGAAAUAGUCAACUUUUGACCCCACAAGGUAGCUAUGACAUGAGUUUCCAUAAAGGAUACCUAUGAUUUUCCGUUAUAAGGUACCCUUUGUUUCUUAAUUAUCAAAGAAACAAUAGCUAGUACCCUAUAUCAUAUCACAUCAUAUUUUUUGAAGUCAAUGGUACAAGGAAACAAAAAAUGCAAAACUUAGAUUUUUAGUAUCUACAAUAAAAAAAAUUUAAAAAAAGAAAAAAAUUUGCCAUUAUUUACUCAUAAUUUGCUUGGCAAGUGGGCUAAAUACUUUCUUGCAAAGGCUUGACUAAAAUGACUAGACUAUUGUUUAAUCGCUUCUUAGGUUUGGUUUGAUAGGAUUGACUGCGACUUUAGAAUUUUGUUUUGAAAGGAGCAUCAUCUUCUAUAUGGUUUGUAGCACGAUGCGAGUCCUGUUGAUGUCGCGACCCACUAGGAUUACUGUGUCUCCUUGACACUAGCACUUGAUCAACUAAGAGUGAUGUUUCCUUCCUCUCUCCUACAAAAGAUGUCCGGACAAGUUGUCCAGACAUACCUUCUGAAGCUCUAGUUAAAUUGAAAGUUCUAUAUGUUUUCUCCUUUUGGGAGUGAUUCCGAAGUCUGUCUUACCUCCUUUUGUUGGGUUCCUUGAAGGAUUUUAUAGUAUCUGGGGUUUUUUGUUGUCACAUCCAGGCUAGUGGGGUCCUUUACUUCCACAACCAUCAUGGCUACUCAUAGGGUAGCAAUGCAAUCAUAACUUUUUAGGCAGUGAAUAGAGAUUGCUAGUGAGGCGAUCAGGCGGCACAUCCAUCACUUCAUUUUGCAGGCAGUAGAGUGCAGAAUAUGGCAUAUGGCCUGAAAAGACAUGAAGAUGUCCCAACUAGCACGCCUUUAAUGGAAGGCGAAUGAUGGAUUGUGGAGUAUGGUCAGAGACAUUGCUUGGAGCAUGUCCUGCAGUCUCGUAAGAGCAUGGGCACCUAGCCAUUGACUGUUAGAUCUGGAUAGGAUGGAUCCGGAGUAUAUGUUCCUAGCUAAUGGAGCAUGUUCGGAUAGAGGCGAAGGGCUACCACGUGUUUAUAAAAGGUUUGCCUAUGAGGUUAAGGCAGGUCGCCACAUGUUAGCUCAAGAGUAGGGUCCUACAAUGCCCCCUUUUAACUUGUUUGGUUUGUCCAGUCAUAAAAGGCAGGUUAAAAUGAUUUCUUCAUAUUUUUCGGGGAUUAUGCGACACAUGGCACUUGAGCGGGAUAUUUAUGACAAGACGUCGUUCUUGAAAUUGUUACUAGGCGGCGUGUCGUUUCGAAAGCAAUGCGGUUGGGUGCUUUGUCGUUUGGGGUUCCUAAGGAUUUUAUCCUAUAAAUAUGAAGCCAAUCCCCCCUGACAGUACUUUUCUCUCAUUUCGCCUUUUGCUUCUCCCUGGACCAUUCCAACUAUCCAGAAGUAGUGGUUUUGGUAUUCACUUAGCAACACCUUCUCUAGAGAUUCCUUAAUUAGUUAACUCAAGUGGUUGUAGUUUGGUUCAUCUUCAUCUUGUAAGCAUUCGCCAGGUUUGCUUCUUCUUUCUCUUCUGCAUCUUCUACUCUUUAUUUUUCAUUGAUUGGAAUGCUUGUUUGUGGUUAGGGGUUUGUGGCGACACUUGAGAGAUUCGGUGAGUCAAGGGAUGACAUUACUAGAUUUUCCUGAGAAGGGCAUAGGGCGAUUCUGGGGUAAUAUACCUCGUCGGGGUCAUCUCCUGGUGGGCCUUGUUAAGGUUUAUGUUAGUUGUUUCUGCGUUUUAAGGCCCUACCGAGUCUGCUAGAUGUGUGCCUUCCUUUGGUGUGCUUGUAAGUCGCAAGGGGUCAAUCCCUAGCUAGGGUUAGGAAUUAGUCAGUGGAACUAGAGUUCCUAAUUUGGGACACAGCUGAAUGGGGCGUAUUACCCAAUAAGAUUUCUUGAGGGCGUUGCUCUUGGGGCAAUAAGGUCGGGUGAUUGCUUUCUAACUAUCGGAAUUGUGCCAUGUAGGUUUGACUCGGCCCAACGUUCCAAGAUGCCUGCAAAAAGGGACACUACCUCAUCCAGUGCAGUUGGGCAAGGUGGGAAGAGCGGUUGAACCUAUGAAUCCCAUAAGGCCCUAUUUGGGGAAGCCUACUAAGCUUCUCAACAAGCGGGAGUUUCACGACCAUUUCUAUUUUCCGAACGGUAUCUCCAUUCAGCUAGUAGAGAGAGAUCCAAUGCUUACAGAAAAGGCAGGACACAACGCUAUUUAUUUCACCAAUGAGCAGUUCAACGCGGGGCUCCGUUUUCCCCUUCCAUCCCUUUUCAAGCAAUUCCUUUACUACACCCAAAUCUCUCCAACCUUCAUUCAUCCUAAUAUCGUUCAGGUACUGAUGGGGUGCUGCAUUCUGAAUAUGCUAUUCCACCUAGACCUUUUCUUACUAGAGGUCAUUUUCAUCUAUACCAUCAAAAAGGGCAAGAAGGAUAUCUUCAGCAUGUUCGCCCAUAUCCCGUCCCUUCAGCUAGUGACGGGCUUCCCUGAUUCGAACAAAGGGGGAGCCAAGGGGCACGAGUUGGUCAGGGGGCUAUGGGUAGGCUUGAUGAAACACCCAGAAAUGGACUUUUGCCCUAACCAUUCUGAUUCACGCCCAAUUAGUGUUCCAAUUGAUUCAACUCAAUUGAUGUGCUUUGUUCUCAAUCCUCAGACGGGAGUAAUCAACAAAAUUUAUAAACCUAUUUCACCAUAUACCGGGGUAGCAUUUAGCUAGCAUAGUAUAGUGGCUCUAGGAUCAUCCACAGAGAUGGGUUUUCACUUCGCAAUUGAUAUUAGUUCAAAAACUGAAUUGGUGCUUUUUCUUUUCUUUGUUAGCUUUAAAAGAAGACAUAAGUUUGAAUGAAAACGAAUGGUAUUAAGCUAACCUAACAUAAAGUAACUAAAAUUAACUAGAAAGAAAGGUGUUUCUUGGGAUUUCAGGUUACUAGGAUCAGGUGCCAACUACAAAGAGGGAGAUUCCGGUCACUUGAAUCUUUUCCUCGCAUUCGGAAUUUGACCUAUAGUUAUUUCCCGAACUGGUGUGAUACAAAUGCUUGCCAUUAAUGGUUUCAAUGCUAAAUCGCUCUCACUAAUACACCUUGCAAUGGCUCUUACCUCUCACCUAGUAUUUGCCAUUCAAGGUGAUCCUUACCAUCGGAUCAUCCUUCACAAGCGAACAAGAGAUAACAAUUAGACCUCCAUAGAGCAAGAUUGCAAGCAAUAAGAAUCCAUGGAAUCCGAAAGCUUACCAAGUAUUGGCUAUUCAUGGUAAUCCUAGUUAACUAAAAAUAUAAAAACCAAAAACGGAUCACACUUUCUCUUCAUUAAAAACGGAAACAACAAAAUCUCACACUUAUGUAGCCGGAACCUUAGCUUCCUUCACCUAAGAAACAAAAAGCCUAGCCACUCAUCCUCUGAGAAAACAUCUUAAAGAAUGUUUGGCUAGCAAGAAAAUGAAAAUGAAAGAGAAGGAAAAACAGAGCAAGGCUCUGUAUAUUUUAUAUAUUGAUCGAUUCUACAUACUUAUCUAUCUCUCUCUUUUACAAUGGAUGCAAGGGAAUAUAUAUAGAGAAGUUUUUCCAACCUUCCUAGCUAAGAAAUCUUAUGGUUGGUGGAUUACAAGGAGAAGAAUGGAAAUUUAUACAAAAAUAUCUGAAGAAAAGAUCUAAAAGAGUCGGUGCACAAAUAUCCCAGUUCGCAUGUAGAUUUCGCACGUUGCAUGGUGACUUGCGAAAAUCUCGCAAGGUGAUUUCGCAACUUGGAAUCCAUUUUCGCAUGUUGAGCUCCAAGUUCACAAGUUGUAAAAUCACUUUCGCAAGUUGGGCUUCUUUGUGACUGUGCGGCUAUAUUCCAUUUCCAUUUCGCAAGGUAGGCUUUAAUUUCGCACGUUGGAGUUCCAAAUUCGCAAGAUGCGAAUUUGUCCUUCAACUGGAUGCAGUUGUCUUGAGAAGGCCAUAUCUUCCUCAUUUCAGCUCCAAUUCGUACACCAUUUGAAGUGUUGGAUUUUUGAUUUCCUGAGCUUUGAAAUGGUAUAUAGCAUGUAGAAAAUGGACUUCGGGAAGUGCUCCAAAAGUGUGAAAGAAGACUACAGCUGCUGUCCUCUGUUUUCUUCACUCUGUUUUUCCUCUCUUCGUUGUUCUUUCCUUGCAUACUUUGAACGACUUUGGAAAAGGGCUAUGGAGCUCCAAAGCUUGGUUCUUCAUGAAUUUGAGCUUCUAAAAGCUUUGCCAUGAACUAUAUACAGCUCUUUCUCAUUCUUGGAUUGCUUUGGUGUAUCUAAAAGCUAUCAAAAACACCAAAACUUAACACAAUUUGAUUAGAAACGAUUGCAAGGGUCCUUAACAUGUCAAUUGAGUUAAAAGGUAAUAAUUACUACUCAAGAGUGUUUAAAAGAGUUAAUUACAAGCUACAAAAUAGCACUUUUUGAAUAGUAAUCAUAUUCAUUGAAGAUUCCGGGUAGGGGUGGCUCCGAACGCCCCCUCCCUAUUAAUAUUUAGUAUUGGGUUAGUACCACUAGGUUUCUAACAUUCUCUGUUUUGGUUGCUGCAGGCUCAAAUUAUAGGGGUCGUUUGGUCGAGUGGGUAGAGAAAGCUUCGUUCGUCCGCCUGAACAAGCUGUUCGAAAUCACUGCCAACGAAAGAAAUUAUCAGAUGCUUCUCUCUACCCGGAAUCUUCUAAUAGUUGUUCAAGAACCUCAACCAUACGUCCUCAAUAUCCUCCCUAGAUGGUUACCUAAGGUUUUGGUACCCGGGGAGCAUUUUUUCUUGCAAGACCUUCCCUUUUACGAAGAGGCACGCGAGGCGGAUAUGAAGGCUCGCCAAAAGUGUCUUGAGCAGCCAGAGGAGAGAAUGUAGGAGAGGACACUACGGAGGGUGCCCGAUGAGAAGGGUCGCGUGCAAUCAUUUGUGGCUCAUUCUCUAGCAGAGAAGAAAAAAAAGAAGACCCUUGUAAAAGUGACCAAGGCCCCAACUCCGGCUCCUGCAUCUCCGUCUACCUCUUCUCUCUCUGCCUUGGAUAGUUCCGCCCACAUUUCCGAGAGUGUUUCUAGCUCCACGAGGCUUGAUCCUAGCGAUCUAGGGACUUGCCCUUCCGAGCCCGAGCUGGAGCCUAUAGCUUUUAGAGUUAUACAUGAGUCAAAAGAAGAAGAAGAAGACAAGUCAAACGACUUGAGAGUCGGCUUCAAAGAAAGGCACUACAAACGCCUCUAUGAAGCCAUUGACAUGGUUCCUCCCCCAACUAAGAAGGUUUGCCCGGAGAAGGCUCGAGAGGAACCCGGGAGGGAGGUUCCUUCAAUGCCAGUGGCUCGUCAGAUGUUAUGGGGCCUAGCAGUGUGCCUGCUGCUGAGAAAGAGGCUGGCUGGGCCCUAAGGGGGGCCUCUGGUGGCGCCACUCCUACUGAGGAAGUCUCAGACCAAAAAGACACUCCUGCACCCACUUUUCCUCCUAGCUGGGAUGAAAUGAUAGAGAUGCUGAAACACGUCCCAUGCUUUACCGAUGUUGAACCGUCCUCUACUAAGAUGUCCGACUUCUUCCUUCUCACCAAGCGGAUAUCAGUGAACCUUGGUGGCGAUCCCCCCUCCUUUGUUUCAACCAAGCUUCCCUUUGGCAUGCCUAAGUUCGCAGUCACCUGUAUUCAACAACUUCAGGACUAUACUGUGUUGAAAAUUGCAAAAGUGGUACUUUUUCAUACUUUGCCUCCUUUCCAGAUUGAUGCACACCCCACUUAACUGAUGCUAAUUUUGUUUUUGUUGUAGUUGGUGGUCAGCAUUCCCAACAUAGUGCGGCAACGCACUCUGUUUUUCAAGCGGCUAAAGAUUGUUGAAUCUAUGCGGUCUUUUAUUCCUCAUUGCCUGGGUGGUAGAGAGGAUUUGCACUCAAGGCUAGAGUGAUCAAAGGCUGAUCUCGCCGCUACCCGGAAAGCUGCUGCAGAUGAAGUUGAGGCUCUAAAAAAGACUGAGAGGGAGAGGGAAGCGUUCUGGAUUGAGGUGGAUAAGUUAAGGAAGGAGGGAAAUUCGUGAAGGCCAACCUUAAGGAGGCUGAGCGAGAGAAUUCUCAAUCGAAGAAGGAGAUAGAAGAGCUUUGGAUAGGGCUCGUGGCUUAGAAAAAAGAAAUAAAGAAGUUACAAGUGGGUUUUGCCUCUCAAAAGAAGAAACUAGAGGCUGAGUUCGUUGCUCAAAAGAAGGAGCUGGAAACGGAGUACCAAAAGCAGGUGGACAAGAUGUAUUUCUUCGGCUACCGUUGUUGUAUGAAGAAAAAUGGUAUCAUGCAUGAUAUUCCCUCUCUUCCGUCUGAUGACGAGAAUGAGAUACCCGGUGGCCCCCCUCAAUGAGACGGUGCCCUCUUUAUGUAAUUUCCUUUUAUAACUUGCCGCGAAGUGGUCUGACUGAAUAUUUGUAAAGAUAAUUUUUAAUAUACUUAAGCUAUGAAUAUAAUAUUGCUCUACUUUCCUUUUUUCCUUUACUGAUAAUAUUGCUUUAAGUUAGCUAUAUUCCAUGGGUAAGGGGUUAUGUCUAGUUUCUACAAGUGAUAGGCUCCAUUCUCACUUACCUUUGACACAAAGUAGGGACCUUCCUAAUUUUCUUGGAGUUUUUCAAAUCCUUUUUCAGCCGUAUUUUCAAAGACCUUCCUAAGGACAAGUGUUCCAACUUUGAAGGCGCGGGGCCGCACCUUACCAUUGUAGUAUGCAGUUGCCCUUUGCUGAUAGGUAGCCAUCCGAAUGGAUGCGUUUCCUCUUAUUUCGUCCACCCAGUCCAAGUGCUUUGCAAGUUCCAGAUCUUCGUUUCUCUUAUCCUGCACGGCGGUCCGAGCCAUGGGCAUGCCUAUUUCUAUGGGGAUAACUAUGUCCAUUCAGUAUGCAAUAGCGAAAAGAGUGUUUCCUGUUGGUCAUCUAGGCGUCAUCCGAUAGGCCCAUAAGACGCCAGACAACUCUUUUGCCCAUUUUCCCUUGGCUUGCUCCAACAUUUUCCUUAAUGCGGAUAACAUGGUUUUGUUGGUUGCCUCUACUUGUCUGUUGCUUUGGGGGUAUCGAGGUGUGGAGUAUAAGUUCUUGAUCUUGAGCUCCAAACAGAAAGCUCUGAAGGUAACACUGUCAAGCUGCAGGUCGUUGUCAACUAUGAUUGUUUAGAGGAUUCCAAAUCGACAUAUGAUGUUCUUCCAAAUGAACUUCGUGACAUCUUUGUCCUUGAUGCUAGCAUAAGCUUUUGCCUCUACCCAUUUGCUGAAAUAAUCAGUGGCAAUGAGCAAGAAUUUCUUUUGUGCGGUUGUGGUAGGCAAGGGUCCCAUUACAUCCAUUCCCCAUUAUGCGAAUGGUCAAGGGCUUGUUACCGAAUUGAGUGUUUCGAAAGGCAUAUGCGGGAUAGGCGUAUACCUUUGGCACUUGUCACACCUCUUGACAUAUGGUUCUGCAUCUCGCUUCAUAGUGGGCCAGUAAUAACCUUGCGAGUGUGCACGAUGCGCUAAAAAUCGGCCUCCUGAGUGGUUGCCACAAACACCUUCAUGUAGCUCUACCAACACAUAUAGAGCUUCCGAUUAGUCUAAGCACCUAAGGUAUGGGCCUCUGAAAUACCUCUUAUGAAGGUUAUCUCUAAUCAAGGUGAAGCGAGCAACUUGUACCCGGGUCCUAUGUGCAUGCUUGGGAUCUUCAGGCAGGGUCCCUAUCCGGAGAUAUGUCAUUAUGGCGCUCGUCUACUCCUGACUUUCCUUGAUAGUGCUGCAGACGGGCGGCUUUGCUAUGGAGGGAGUGGUUUGGACGUAUAUGGGUAGCAAUAUAGAUUCUUUUAAGGGAAGUGAGGUAGUUAUUCCUGCCAAGGCGUCGGCCUACACAUUAGUUGCCCAAAAAAUCUUCUCGAUAGCCCACUCGUCCAAUUGUUGCAAGGAGUCUCACACUUUCAUCAGGUAUUGGGACAUGUGUUCUUCCUUAGCUUCGUAUUCUUUUGGUAAAUGCCCCACGAUGAGCUGAGAAUCACUGUAGAUAUCGAGUUUGGAAGCGGAGAGUGCGGACGCUAGGUUUAAUCCGGACAGAAUGGCCUCAUACUCAGCUUCAUUAUUAGAUGCAAGGAAACCUAGUCGGAUAGUCUGCUUCAAUUGUUCACCAGUUAGAGAUUUUAGGAGGAGGCCCACUCCUGAUCCCGACGACCAGGAGGCCCCAUUGAUCUACAAAAUCCACCAUCCUGCCCUGUCAAACUUUGUGCUUUGGGUAGGCUAUUGGGGAAUCUUGGCUAUGAAGUCAGCCAUGACUUGCCCCUGUAUGGACAGCCUAAGCCGAUACACUCACUCAACUCUAUGGCCCAUUGGAGCAUUCAACUUGAUAUGUCUGGUUUAUGCAAGAUACUCCGAAGGGGUUGGUCGGUGAGCACGACUAUUGGAUGAGGUUGGAAAUAUGGUUGGAGUCUCUAAGCAGCAUUUUACAAAGCUAAAGUCAUCUACUCCAUUUUUGAGUACCUGGUCUCUACAUCAGCCAUCGCUCUACUGAUGUAAUAAAUGGGUCUUUGUUCCUUGUGCAAUAGGAAAUGAAAUAGUACAACGCUGACCGCCUAGUUGGAUACUGCUAAGUACAUGUACAACUACUCGCCAAGUUGGGGGUUGCUCAAAAUGGGGGGUUGUGUAAGGUAAUGCUUGAGUUUCUUGAAUGCAUUCUGGCAGUUGUCCGUCCACCUUGUCGCAUUGGCUUCUCUGAGCACUAGGAAGAAAGGUCGCAGCUUGUCCGUGAAUCGGGCUAUGAAGUGUUUGAGUGCAACGAGCUUGCCGGUGAGGCAUUGUAGCUUUUUUUUGCUCCUAGGCGUGAGUGUAUUGAUGACUGCCUUGAUUUGGUCUGGAUUAACCUCUAUUUCCCUCUAGGUGAGCAUGAAUCCUAGGAAUUUUCCAGCGCUUACACCAAAUGCGCAUUUAGACGGGUUGAGCUUCAUGUCGUAUCUUCUGAGUAGGUGGAAGACUUCCUGCAAGUGUUGGGCGUGCUCUUCCUGGAUUUUGCUUUUGACCACUAUAUCGUCAAUGUAUACCUCUACCAUGUGAUCGAUCAGAGGUAUAAAGAUUUUAGUCAUCAACCUUUGGUAAGUGGCUCUAGUGUUUUUGAGCCCAAAUGGCAUGACCUUGUAACAGUAGAGCCCAUGCGGCGUUAUGAAGGUGGUCUUUUCUUCAUCCGCUGAAGCCAUAGGGAUCUAAUGGUAUCCAAAGAAGGCAUCUAAGAAAGAAAGCAUCCCAUGUCCGGCGGUGAAGUCUGCUAUUUGGUCUAUCCGUGGUAGCGGAAAGCUAUCUUUGGGGCAUGUGUCGUUAAGGUUAGUGUAAUCUAUGCACACUCACCAUUUUCAUUCUUUCUUGGAAACUACCACUACAUUCGCCAACCACUCUGGAUAAUCAACUUCUCUAAUGAAUCCAGCUGCCAGUUCUUUUCUAUCUCAUUUGGAAUGAUCUUCUGUCUAUCCGGAUGAAAUCGCUGAACCUUUUGUCGAGUAGGUCUUGAUGAGGUUAGGACGUUGAGUCGAUGGGAGGCAAUCGACAGGUGGAUUCCAGGCAUGUUGGAAUGCGUCCAUGUGAAAACAUCUUUGUUUUGCUGAAGUGUGCCUUGGAGACGUUGUGCCUCGCCUGGCUCCAAGAGGGAACUGACAUACGUAAAGUGAGUUUCUCCCUCCAAAAUCUGAAUGGUUUGUAAGGGAUCUGCUAUUGGGGGAUCCUUAUUCGUCGAUACUGUAAUUGCUAUUGGUCAACCUUGUCUGACUGCUCAAAGGGAGAUUCGCGAUCAUUGUUGGAUCUAGUUUCCCGUGCAGCUUGGUAGCAUUGAUAGGCAACUAGCUGGCUACCGUAGAGGUCGAUUUGUCCAUCUUUGGUGAUGAAACUCACCAUCUGAUGAUAUGUGGAAGGGAUGACUUUCAUGUUGUGCAACCAAGUACGCCCCGGGAUAGCAUUAGAGGGGGAUAAAUCUCCUACCACAAAUAAUUGCACAUUGAGGGUGACUGGACCUGUUUGGAAAUGUAGUACAAUAUCCCUAAGAAAUGUUGUUGAGGCCCCAUUGAAUCCUGACAGUAUCUGACCCGGGUUCUCGAGGUUGGAGAGCAUAAAUCCCAUUUGUUUAACUACCGAUACUUGUAAGAGAUAUGUCAAGCUACCCAGGUUUACCAAAAUCCUUCUUACGUCAAAGUCACCAAUUCCUAGCGUCAGGAUGAGGGUGUCUCGGUGUGGCUGCAACACCCGGGUAGGGUCCAUUGGAGGAAAGAGGAUUACUCCAUCUAUUAGGUGAACGCUUCUGCUGAUUAGUCUAGGCCGGAUAGAGUUAACACGUUAUCAGACCGUGGUGGCUCGUAGUAGUCUUUGCCUCUUUCUCUUGGAUUUGUAUUCUUCAUCCAAGAUCCACCAUGGAUGUAGUUGAUUAUGGCUCUAGGAGUGACAAGAACUAAGGGGGCUCUAGGGGCCUAAUUGCGGGAAGUUUCUCCACCUCUGGCUCCUGAGCAAACGUACUAUUUUAGAUGUCUUGUUUUUAUGAGUUUUUCCACCAGGUGAUGGAGACUUCUACAUUGCUCCAUGGUAUGUCCAUGCUCUUUAUGAUAAGCGCACUUUUUGUUGUGAUAUCUUUUGGUUGGAUCCGUUUUCAGUGCCUCUAGCCACCUGAAAUCGGAUAGCUCGCGGAUCAAGAGGAAUAGCUUUUCAUAUGUAAUAAUGAGGGAUGUAAGCUAGGGUUGGUUAGGCUGGCGUUACUUGCUUUGUCCCCUGUUGUGAUGCCUACGUUGACUUGAAGGCUUGAGGUUCCUUGUCACGUCGUUUCUGGCCAACUGGCUAGUGACUAAGAUUUGUUGGGUGGUCGUACGGACAUCAUCUUCCAGCAUAGAAUAUUUGUUCGCGCACCAAAACAAAUCAUCUAUAGUUAUGGGGGGUUUUUUGGCAAGGGAUUCAAAGAACAUCGUACCCGAACAUAUGUUACGCUUAAAAAUUUGGAGGACAACAUCCAUGUUGUAUGAUUCUACUUGUAAUACAGCUUGUCCAAAACGCUUCAUGAACUCCCUCAGGGACUCAUGCUCCUGUAUUUUUAUGUUUUGCAGGGUGUUGAUAUUCUGCUUAUGUCGAACUGAGCACAGGUAUUGCCCCACAAAGGCUUCUGACAGAUCCUUCAAAUUGUCAACCGAAUUCAUGGGGAGCCAAUGAAACCAUGAGAGAGCUUGGCCUUGGAGGCUGACGGGGAAGACUUUGCAUAAUAACAUGUCAUUUCCUAUAUCCAGAGUCAUGAGUUGUCGGUAGUGCAUGAUAUGAUCAAACAGAUCACUGGAUCCAUCAUACGCAGAAAAUUUCGGCACGAGGAACCCUCUUAGGGGUUCGUAGUUGAUAAAACGAGAAUUGAAAGGUGUGGAGAGCAUGUCAUCCAAUUGCUUGCUAAUGGAGCCUGGGGGGCUUCAUUUGUUGAAUCUCCUCCAACUCGUUGUAAUGGUUGGUGUGAGAGAUAGCCCUGUGUGAUGGAUACGACUGAGGAACUAGGGUAUGUUCCCUAUGUUAUGGCCAUGUGCGGCCUAUCUUUGCCAGGUGCUUGAGGUCCUAACCUUGGGCGCAUCGUGUCAGAUAACCGGGGCCUUUUAUCACGUUGCCUCUUUGACGAGACACGAGUAGAGUCAGAGCUUUCGUCCUGCGGUGCACGAUACGAAGGUAAAGAUCAUUCGUUAGGCCACACCCCACAUGCAUCAAGGGGAGUGUGGCCCUCAAUUUUGUCCUUUGAAACUUGCAUUUAUCCUAUGAGUGUCACAUGCACCCCUGUUUCCAUGUGGCACCACUAAGGCCUCCUUUUGGGCUUAGUCGAUAUUUGAGUCUUGUUUAGGUUCAUAUGUGGUUCAUUGUGGUGCAAGUAUGGUUCAUUUUGGAGUGCCAUCAUGGCCAUUUUCCUAGUUGUUGGCAUUGUGCCAUAGAAAGGAAGUGGGGUCGUCCCGAAAUUUUAGCUCAGCUGGAGCUCAUUGGAGUGUGUUGAAUUCGGAGCACUCAGGCUUGUUUUGAUCAUAUCUCCCUCAUCCGAACUCAGAAUCACACACCAUUUUUUUUCAUGGACUCCUUGUUCUUUAAAGAAUAUUUUAUCAAAAUUUCAAAAUUUUUCUCAACCAGCUCGACCAGUUCCUAAAGUUUCAGUUUGGGCAGAAUUCAUUGAAGCAUGUUUGAAUUCAGAGCACAUGGGUUUGUUUCGAUCAUAUCUCCCUCAUCCGACCUCGGAAUUGUGUACCAUUUUUUUCAUGGACUCCUUAUUAUUCAAGGAACAUUAUUUCAAAAUUUCAAAAUUUUUCUCAACCAGCUCAACCAGUUCCUAAAGUUUCAGUUUGGGCAGAAUUCAUUGAAGCAUGUUUGAAUUCAGAGCACAUGGGCUUGUUUCGAUCAUAUCUCCCUCAUCCGACCUCGGAAUUGUGUACCAUUUUUUUCAUGGACUCCUUAUUAUUCAAGGAACAUUCUUUCAAAAUUUCAAAAUUUUUCUCAACCAGCUCAAUCGGUUGGCACCUAGUUCAGCCGGUUUAUCGAGUCAGCUUGUAUGGAGCACUGAUUUUGGUGAUUUUGGAGCCCAAUUCCUACAUGGCUUGGGUCCAUAAACUCCAUAUCAGUUUUGGGCUGUAUUUUGGGUCCAUUUUGGGCCUUAGUUAGGAUUCCUUGCAGCCCACCAUGAAUCCAUAUGGAUCCUUGGUGGGGAAGCAAAUUGGAAGCUAAAGAUAGUCAGCUUGCAUGGAAAAUGAGGAGGGGAGUUAAUAGGGGAGCUGAUUUCGAGACUGAUUGGACCUCUUUCCAAAGCUUGAAAGAGAGAAAAACGAAGAGGCUUUGAGGGCUGGAGGUUUGAGACUAUAAAAGAGGAAAAAAUCAGGAUAGGAAGGGACUUCUUCUUCUUUUUUUAGUGAGAGAAAAUUUUGUGGAUUUUUGAGGGAUUUGAGAAGAGGCUUUUGGGAGGGUUUUUGUUUGUGAGUGGUCUGAGGGUGUGGGGGAAGCUGAAGAUAUCCCUGCCAUGCCUUGCAUACAACUAGAGAUGAUAGCAGUCUUGGAAGCCAAGCAGAUCUCUACUUGAGGGGAGUAUAAUUUGGUAAGCGUAAAUUGUGGUUUCAUGCAUGUUAUUCCCUUUCCCAUUGCUCUAUUCUCUCUUUAAUGUGAUGGCCAAAAAUUCCAUGGUUGUUUUGAAUGCUUGGGGAAUGGGGUAUGGUUUUCCUUUGCUUACUCUUGGUUUAUAUUUUAGUCUAAUGUUUUGGUUGAUGUGUCUCACUUUUCAUCGAUUUAGAGUGGCAUGACUCUGUCAUUUAUAAGGAACACUUGGCUUUGUUUUAGUUGGUUUUCACUCGUCCAGACUUGGAAUUGAGCACCGUUGCUUUUUUUAGAUUCUUUAUUCAUUUAGAAAUUUUCUAACAAAAAUUGGGAAUUUUUCUCAAUCGGAUGAACCGGUUCAGCACUACAGCUCACUAAUUUUGUCAGCUAUGAGGAACACCAGACCUUGUUUAAGUUGGUUCUCAGUCGUCCAAGCUCGGAAUUGAGCACCGUUACUUUUUUUAGAUUCCUUAUUCAUUUAGAAAAUUUUUGAAAAAAAUUGGGAAUUUUUCUCAAUUGAAUAUACCAGUUGGGAACCGGUUCAACCGGUUCAGCACUACAACUCACUGACUCUGUCAGCUAUGAGGAACACUUGGCCUUGUUUUAGUUGGUUCUCACUCGUCCGGGCUCGGAAUUGAGCACCGUUGCUUUUUUUUUUUAAUUAUUCCUUAUUCAUUUAGAAAUUUCUAACAAAAUUUGGGAAUUUUUAUCAACCGUAUGAACCCUUUGGGAACCAGUUCAGCAUUACAGCUCACUGACUCUAUCAGCUAUGAGGAACACUUGGCCUUGCUUUGGUUGGUUCUCACUCGUCCAGGCUCAGAAUUGAGCACCGUUGCUUUUUUUUAUUAUUCCUUAUUCAUUUAGAAAUUUUAUGACAAAAUUUGGGAACUUUUUUCAAUGGGUUGAACCAAUUGGGAACCGGUUCAACCUGUUCUGCAAGAGAACUAUUGGCAGCCCUUAGUUUUGGCAUUUUUCGAGCUCGUAUCCAUUGGGGCUCAAACCCAUUCGCUAUGGGGCACUUGUAGGCCAUCUUGAAGGUUGGAGUCUGUGUUUGGUUUUAGUUAGUGUGGGCCCAUUUUGAAGUUAUGGGCGGUGUGGUCUAGGUAAGGCUAGUUUGAUUUGUAUGACAUUUAAGGAGUCACUUACCUCAUUUCAACCAGUUUUCCUUCCCUUUGGCACAAACUUUAAUGCUUGAUUUUGAAUACAUAUUGUAUGGUUGACUCACCAUUUGUUGUAGUGCAUGGCUAGGGACCACAGAUACGUGCUUUGAUUUAAGAUUGAUGAAUUCAUAUGCAUGCAUGGUGCUUAAUCUUGAAUGCUUGUUAUGUGUUUAUGUGUGCUUGACUAAUCUCUUCUGUAGCGCAUGGCUAGGGACCUCAGGUACGCAUCAUUGGUUUUGGUUGAUGAAUUCAUAUGCAUGCUGAUUACUACCAAAAAGUGCUAUUUUGUAGACCUAAUUAUAAUGGUUUUAAGCACCUUUGAGUAGUAAUCAUAUUCAUUUAACCCAAUUAAUUCAUUAAGGUCCUUAGUAAUUGGUUUUAACCAUUUUGUGGCAAGUUUACAUGUUUUUAUCAGCUUAUGAAUCAAUUCAAGCAUGCCAAAUGAUGGAGGAGCUACUUGGACAAGUUAUGGAAAAGCUUUUGGAAGCUCAAAUUCAUGAAGAACCAAGCUUUGGAGCUUCAUAGCCCUUUGCCAAAGUCGUUCAAAGUAUGCUAGGAAAGAACAAUGGAGAAGAGGAAAACAGAGGACAGCAGCUGCAGUAUUCUUUCGCACUUUUGGAGCACUUCCCGAACUCCAUUUUUUACAUACUAUAUACCAUUUCAAAGCUAUGGAAGUCAAGAAUCCAACGCUUCAAACCGUGCACGAUUUGGAGUUGAAAUGAGGAAGAUAUGGCCUUCGGAAGCCAACUGCUCCAGGUUAUGCGAAAAUUUCGCAUAACACAAGGUGUUAUGCGAAAUUCGCAUAACAUUCGCAUAACACCUUCAAAAUUCGCAUAACCCAUGCGUGUUGCGAAUUUUGGUCUGUUUUUUCCGACUCCACUUUAGAUAUUUUCCUUUGUAUUUUGUGAUGUAAUUUCCUUUCUUAUCCUUGUAACUAACCAAUCACAAGCUUUUGCUUUUGUAAAGACUAUAUAAGGGGUGGAAAUCACCUCUUGAUAGAAUAUAGAACAUGCGUGUUACGUUUUACACGGAGCUCUCUCAUUUCUCUUUUCUCUUCCCCAUUUCUAUUUUCUUGGAAGCCAAACAGCCUCUGAGGGGUUUUCCUCAGAGGAUGAUUGGCUAAAACUUUUAGUUUCUCAAAGUAUGGAUGUUAUGUGAUGGCUUGGAUGCAAUCCCAUGGAAAUUUCUCGCACCCGGAAGGUAAGGUAGUCGUUUUUCAUUAAUGGUUCAUUAAUGCAAAGUUUGGUUUUUAUUUCCUUUGGACAGCUUCCAACGACCAAUACUUGAUAAGCUUUUGGAUUUCUAUCCAUUAGUUAUCUCCUACGAGCUAUUGGAAGGUGAGGUUUUCAAUUACAAGUUUUGUAUUAAUCCAUUAGAACCAAUUUCAAUGGCCAUUGAAAGGUGAGUUUAUCACUUGGAAUGACUUUGAGUUGCCAAUAUUUGGUAAGCUUUUGGCUUUAGACCAUUAGUUAUCUCUUACGAGCCAUUCAAAGGAAGUCUAAGGUGAAUAACCAUUGAUGAAAUUCACUACCAUCUGUUUUGCCAUUUUAAAGGAUUAAAACUUGAUUUGCUAAAUCCAUACCGGUUCGGGAAGCAAGCAUCACCAUAGUUGCAACCCCAACGCGAGGAGCCUAUCCUGAGAUUUCCAAUUUGCAUAAGAGCCAGAGCAUAGCUAUCCUAUCUUUGAGAAACUUGUUUUUACACCCUUUCAUUUUAGUCUUUAAUGUUAGCUUAGAUUAGUUUAAAUCUUUCUAAAAGAUUUACAUCUUCUUUUAAAGCUAACAUCCAUAAGAAAAUCACCUAUUUUCCUAAUUUGAAUAUCACUACUGUUUGCGAAAACCCUUUCCAGUGAACGAUCCUAGAACCACUAUGCUAUAGUAGCUUGGCUACUUUAGUAAUAGUAUUUAAGGUAUAAAUUUUUUUGAUACGCCUUUAAAGCUAAGCUACCAUGAGUCGCAUCAAAUGGCGCCGCUGCCGGGGAUCGACCAUGAGUUGAAUCAAAUGGCGCUGUUGCCGGGGAAGGUGCCACAAGCACAGUGAAACAACCAUUAAGGGUAACUUGUGAUCUUCAUCACAAGUUUGGUGAGUUUUCUUAUAAUUUUUUUAGUUUAGUUUUUAUUUAGUUAAUUUUUUUUUUAUUCUCUUUUUUUUUUUUUUUUUUUUUAAUUUCAAUUUGUGCAUUCCUUGUUGGAUUCGAGACCAAGAGGGAACCCUGGUACAAGUUGAAAAAAAGAGCCUUAGUUGAAUAUCAUUUUUUUUAGAAAUGGAAAUUCCACAUGAAGAUCAAAGCUCUCAUUAUGAUCAUGAGAAGGACAAAUUUGCAUACCUAUCCAUGAGGGAUCGGAUUGAAUUAGGGAAAAGGCAAGUUCAACAAAGCCAAUGGGGUAGUAAGUAUGCUUUGAAUGGAGAUGAUUCAUAUGAGCAUACGGUAGGGGAGUGCCCUACCAUUCCAACUAUGAGAGACAUGUACGGUUACCAAAGCUCCUACACCUCAAGUUGGAAUAACCAUCCCAACCUUACAACCCAACCUCAACCUCAACCAUCAAUGAGUACAUCUUCAUUGGAGCAAGCCAUUUUCAAGAUAAGCAAAGUCAUGGAGGACUUUGUAGGUGAGCAACAAAAGAUCAACUCUCAUCUUAAUGAAAAGAUUGAUAAUAUGGAGAGUUCAAUAAAUGUAAGAAUGGAGGGGGUUUAUAAUGAUCUAUCACUAAGGAUAGAAAAAGUUCAAGACUCCAUUGAGAAGCUCACCAAUCUCGACAUAGCAAGGGGGAAAAGGAAGCUUCCUCCUCAACCCCACCAUAACCUUCAAGGAACCAAUGCAAAAAGAUCAAGGAAAGUGUUGAAGAUCAACACUUUGGUGGGGGAUUGCUAUGACAACUCUAUGGACCAACCUUCCAUUGAAAAUCAUAAGGUUCAAGAUGACAAAGGGUUACCUGAACCCUUUAAAGCAUCCACUUCUCCAGGGAAGAGAAUAGAAACGAAUUCCCUUGGACCAAAUGGGAAGGAUGCCAAUUUUGUUUGGGAUCCAGGGGGAAUUCAGCAUGAAGUGGGUGUGUGAGUGAGGAUGAGCUAAAUAGUUCAUCUUCUUUUUGGGGUACAUGCUAUCAGCUUCAUUUAAAUUCUAUGCUUUCUUUAAAUUUAUGCAUGUUUUAAUUUGAAUUUUUAGCUUUAAUUUAGUUUUAAUAUGUUUUUAAGAUGAGUUUUGAAGUGUUCAUGCAGGUAGGAAAGCUUGAAGAAUGAAAUUAUGGUGAAAACAAGGGAAAAUGGUGAAAGCAAGGCAAAACAGGGGAGAAAAAAACCAAGUCUCAGCCAUUUUCGCACAACACUUCCUGUUAUGCGAAAUUUUCGCAUAACACACCCCUUAUGCGAAAAUGCUUUUGUGGCAAUUAAAAAAAAAAAAAAAAAAACAUGCUCUCGGUCCCUUCCCAAAAUCCCUUAUGCGAAUUUCACAGGAAUGCGAACCUUAUGCGAAUUCGUUUUUGGGACAAAUUUUCAAAACCAUGCUCUCUGUCUGGGUACUCAUAGGAAUGUGAAAUUUUCGCAUAACACAAGGUGUAAUGCGAACUUUGCAUUUCCUCUUUAAAGACCGUGUUCUCCUCUUCCCAUGCUCACUUUCUUCUUCAUUUCUCUCAACAUCUCUCUUCCGAUCACCCAAUCCAAGCCUUGCAUUUACCAAACCAAAGCCUCAAGCUAAGGAUUCAAGCCACGUUUUCUUCAAAGGAAACCCAUUUCCGCCGAGUAGAGGAGCUCCAAAUUUCAAAUUCUCUUCAUGAAAAAGCUCCAAUUUCCAAGCCUAACCACCAUGAAAAAUCCUUUUCCUACCUUAGCCAGCAUUUCCCACCCUCAAAAGCCAAAAAUUUUCACCAUUUGAACGAGCUUCAAAAUUGAAAAAAGGCGGGUGAAUAGUGCUUGUGCGAAAAUUUCGCAUAACACCCCCCCUUGUGCGAAAUUUUCGCAUAACACCCCCCCUUGUGCGAAAUUUUCGCAUAACCCUUCCCUUGUGAAAAUUUUUCAAUUUCUUCAUCCAUACCCUUCCCAAUCCCAACCCUUUGAGCCUUGUCCUCAACUGCUUAAAGUGGGACCCACUCAUCAUUUUUGUAAAUAUUUAGUAUAAAUUCCUCUCUCAUUCAAUUUUUGAAUUUUGAAAUAGGUGGUUCAACCUUCUCAACUCCAAGUCCACAUCACAUGAGGUACCACUUCCUUCCUCCUUAUUUUUCGAUUCAAACAUUGAGGACAAUGUUCAUCUCGGUUGGGGGGAGAGAUGAGGAAGUAAGUAUUAGUUUAAAUUUUUAUCAUACUUAGUUAAAUUAGCUACUUUUUGUUUAAAUUUUAAAAUUUUUGCUUUAAACUCCAUGGAUAUUAAGGAUUAACUCUCAAAAUUAAAUGAGAGAAAUCGAGUUUCAACUUGAUUACAUGAGUCUUAGAGUUUGUAUUAUGCUCUUCUAAAAGUUGAUGAAUUGUUGAAACUCCCAUAGCAUGCAAACUUAUCUCUUCCACCUUAAGCUAUUCGCACACACAUACAUUAGAUUUCGGUUAUAAGAUGUGAAACUAUCUCACCCUCUAAGCUUGAGAAAUCAUAAUUUGACACCUUUAACCUCUCUUUAAUAGUGUUGGGACACCUCAUAAAGACCAAUGAGUCUUUAAAAAAAUAAAAUAAAAUAAAAAAAGAAAAAAAAAAGAAAAAAAAAUAGAAUAAACUUCUUUGCUUGCCUUGAAACUUGAGCAUGGUCCGAAGGGGUGGCGAAAGCCUUUAAAGCCUGGUGCCCUAAGCCUUUAUUGGUUGGGAGUCACCGAUCCUCUGCUUGUUACAUGGGUGAAUUGGUUAAGUUUAGUAAGUGAAAAGAAUUGUGAAUAAAAGGUGCGUUCCUAGCCUAUCAAGAGAUGGUUAAUUUUGCUAAGCUUAAAGAAAGACUUAGGUUGGGGGGAGAUGAUGGUUAUCCAUACUAUACUCGGAAGCUAAUCACAUUAACACUUAGCUUUUAGUGGAAGAAUUUGAUUUGGAUCUUUUGAAAGUGGAAAUUCUUUUGAUGCUUAAACUUGCAUAAUAUCCAUUCUUUGUACUCUAUGAUCAAGUGAAUGCUUUGACAACUCUUAUUAUAGGUUGAGUUUCACAUCUUUAUUGAUCCAUGGAUGUCCAUCAUGCCACUCAUAUCAUUUUUUGGAGUGAUUUUCAUGAUCCCUUUUAUGUAUAUUAUUAUAGUUUACUUAGUUUUUAUCUCCUCCAUUGCUAAGGGACUAGCAAUGAGUCGGUUGGGGGGUGUGUCCUGCCAAAUACCAAUUAGGAUUGUGUGAUUCAUGUCAUCUAUUUAGCCUAGGGUUUUGUUGGAUCUUUGACCCAUAUGCUCCUAUGUGCCAAUUCACUAGUAGAGACCGAGUUCCGAGUUUAGAGGGGUGCUACCUCGCAUGAGGUACCUUCCCGAUAGGUAACCUGAUCCCCGAACCUAGACUCAUGUUUCGCAGACAAUUUUUUUCCUAAUUGGAGUCAUUUAGGGGUUUUUGGUUCUUACUUAAUUUUUCCCAUUGUAAAAACAAAAAUAAAAAGUAAGUGGCGACUCCAAAUAACACCGUUCCUCAUCGGGGACGAAUUUUUCAAAACUUGAAAACACAACUUUUCUUUUUUUUUUUCUUUUAAAAGUGAGUAGCACCGGUCUGCGUGGAUGGGGUGAGGGUCCACAAAUUAGCGACUCCUCUGGGGAUCGAACCCAGAAUCUCUGGUUUCAUAAGAGGAUCAAGCUUGAACUUGAGUUAGGUAUAUUGGAGCACAUGGUUCAUUGAUCAGUAGACUCUUAGUCUACAUAGAUGACUAAUGAUUACGUACUUGGUUGGUAUUUGACUUUAACAUGCUUGCUCAUUGUUGAUUGGUAUUUAGCUAUGACAUUUGGGAUUAGGCUUAGAUGAUCAAAUUAUGUGUAGAUGUGUGGUAAGCUAUCUCUUUGUGCAUGACUGCUCAUUCCCUUGCAUGACUGUUUGCUGCUUGUGUUUGUGGGGCACAUGUGUAUCCCCUUACUUCCGAAUCACUAGUCUUGGUCGACUAUUCCUCAUGGAUUGCUUAUGUUGCUUGGGAGUCAUUCCCAAUUGUUCGCCUUCGACCAAGCUAGGGGUUUGGAAUAGGGUCUAGCAUAAGGGCUAUAUCGAUGUUUGGGAGCACUAUGGAGAAGGUGGAUAUCCGAGUAAUGAAGACUUGUAUAGUCCUAAGCUGGAUUUCAUGGAUACAUGCAUGGCCAAUGUGUCACUUUGAUUGUUGGUUAGGAUCUCAGGUUAUGUAUCCUUGUGGGUACAGUCAUCUAGUCUUUUAGGACUUGCAUUUUUUCCUUGUUGGCUUCUGAGCCACCUUACCCUUGAGGUAUUACCAUGUCAGAAUCCCGCUCCUGCCUAUGAAGCCAUAUAUCAGAUUCGCUGUUGACAUCACACAUCAGCUCAUUCCUUUAGAGGAUUUCGUGGAUUGUUGAUUGAGACCGACCUGGGUACCCGAGCUUGGAUUCGGAUCAAAGGUAGACUUGUUAGAGGUUCAGAUCCACAUAGUCAGUUAGAGCAGACGUUAGAUCAUAGAGAUAUGGACCCUCAGUACGCUAGUAUCGACCAGUUGGGUGAGAUUACCGAUACCAUGGCAUCACUCUGGGAUGCUAUAUCAGGACUGGGAUAGAGGAUAGAUGGGCAUCAGGUCCCACCAUUUUCGAUUCUGAGGAGCAUCCCUCAUGACUCUACUGCACCCCCACUUCCACCACCGCCAUCUGGGUCUAUUGUACAACAGGAUUAUACAGUUUUACCUCUACCACCACCCCCAGUUCAGUCAGCCUCACAGGCUAGAGCUUUUGUUCUGCAUGGUCAGAUUGAGACCAUGCCACAUUCUAUUGUGGCUCCUACACCAAUUAUUGAUGACACUCAGGCCAAUAUCGAUAGGAUUGAGAAGAGGAUCAGGUCUCUGCAUGUUUUUGAUGGAGUUAUAGGUUGGGACGGGUACGAAGACCUUCCAGUGGCAGCUUUGCCAGUUGAGUUCUACAUGUCGAACAUUGAGAGGUACACGGGGAUAGGGUGUCCCCGUAUUCACUUAUAGUUGUAUAGCGCUGUUAUGCGCGGGCAUAGAUUGGAUGAGGCAUAGAUGAUCAUGUUAUUCCCUCUGUCAUUGAGUGGUGCCGCUCAGUGUUGGUUUGCCUCAUUGGACCCUUCGAGGUGUAGGACAUGGGCUAAUUUGGGACAGGAGUUUAUUAGACAAUAUUCUUUUAAUAUUGUAGUGGAUGUAUCCCGGAGGGAGCUAGAGGCCCUCAGGCAAAGGCCAGAUGAGUCAGUUACUUCAUUUAUCUCUCGCUAGAGGGAGAAUAUAGCAUAGAUUAUAGAUAGACCCUCAGAGCAUGAUCAGAUCAGCAUGAUUAUGCGAAGUUUGCAACCUCGCUUUGCCAGGCAUCUCAUGGGUUUCCCACAGACAGACUUUGGAUCAUUGGUUCAAGCCUCUAUGGCAUUGAGGAGGGCAUAUCUAGAGGAAUAUAGGUAGACUCUUCCCCUUCAGACUCAAAGGAGAAGAAGUUGGGGCUAGAACCCGGAUCAUCAUAUAUUGGUGCCAUUGGCGCGAUUGAGCACAGGUCCCCUCGUGGCCUUCCGUUUCAGAUACCGUUUUCAGACACUCCUUACCAGAUGAUACAAUAGGAUCAGUACAGACCAACUGCUCCUUUCAGGCCUAUAGGGCCUACUUAUCUACGUCCGCCACCACAACCAGUAUAUGCUACACAAGCGACUCAAAGGCCACUUGUACAGUACCAUCAGCAGCAUAGAGCACCGCCUCCACCGAGAUCGGCUAGGCAGUUCACACAGCUCGGGAUAUCUUUGAGCCGAGCAUUCCAGAGAUUGGUUAAGGGAGGAUUGAUUGCCCCGAUACCACCCAAACCACCACUACAACCUACCCCACCCAGAUUCAAGACAGAUCUUCACUAUGCCUACCAUUAGAGAGUGGGUUAUGAUAUAGACAGUUGUGCAGCACUGAGGCAUGCUAUUCAAGACUUGUUUGAUCAGGGUUUGGUUGAUUUAGGAUGUCUUGCAGUGACUACAGACCCACUACCUGCUCAUGACACUAGAGUUGUACCUCCACCCCCGGGGAGUGUACAUUUGAUUGUGGACCCGCAUUUUUCACAUGCGUCCCCACUCGAUCGGUGAGACUCGCUUUUUAUUUGUGAAAAAUUAAUUUUUGGAAAAAGUUAGAGUCGCCACUUAUUUUAUUUUAUUUUUAAAGGGAAAAUAAAACAAGAAAUAAAACCCUAAAAAAAUGACUCCAUAAUUCUUGGAAAAAGCAUGUCUGUGAAAAACCCAAGUCUAAGUCCGGGGAUUAGGUUACUUAUUGGGAAGGUACCUCUAAGAGGUAGCACCCCUCUAAGCCCUAAAGAGGUCUCUACUGACUAAGUUGAGGGAAAUAUAGCAAUUAACCGAUUAAUCAUGGAUACCUAAGUAGGCUAGGUGAUUUCGAAAAAUAGCAUGCUUAUCACAAUCAAAUCGCAAUAAAGGAGAGUUAGGGUGCGUACCUGAACCGCUUCUCAAGCGCUAUCAUAAAACAUAAAAGUCAGUGUAGAAAUCUAUCACACAACAUGUGUCUUAUCCAAGCAAAUCAAGCAUAUAUUUAAACACCUAAGAAUCACAUCAUGCAUGGAUAUAGUCAUCAAUGGCAUACAUGUCCAUAGAGUUAAAAAAAUUGGGUGAGAAGGAGCGUACUUGGAUAGUAAGCUAAAGCGCGUUUAUAGGAAACAAGUUUGCAUAAUAAUAAGUGCGAAAUAAUCUCAUAUGCCACAAAGAGGAAGCACAAUCAAUCAAAUAUCAAGCAAACAAUAUUGAUGAAAAUAUCAUGGAUGUCGGGCCCCCACCAAAGCCCUAAUUAAUUUUGCAUGAGUUGAUUCUAUGAAUUCCAUUGUUUGGAAUCAUGAAAUUUGUUCAUGCUUGAGAAAAUCGAGAAAAAUUAAGAAAAUCAGUUGAAAAUCAAAUAAAAUAGCAAAAACGCGUGCCGGAAGGAAGAUGGCAGCAAGAGUGUGUUAGAAUAUGGAUUUUAUAUUUAGAAAGGACCUAAGAUGAAUUUUUCAAAGCCAUGAAUGUUUAGUUGAACAAUGGUUCAAAAAUUCAAUUUAAAAUAGUAAGUUCCCAAUCAAAUAAGCAAAUAGAGGAGAAGGUGUGUAUAGCAAGGUUGCCAUGAAGUGAAGCCGGGAGAUUCUGGAUAGAGGGGACCAAUUCACUGCAAAAGUGUUCAAUUGUCAAAUGCUUCAACUUAAAAGACAUCUUGAUUUGUAAGCUCAACUAGAUUCUCCUCAACAUGAGUGAGAUACUGAAUAGAAGGUUUAGAAUUUCCAAUUUUCUACAUUGAGAGGUUUCCUGUAUUCUGCUAGCUUUCAAUUGAUUAAGCCUUUCAACUUUUACCUCAAUCUGCCAUAAUAGAGUUUGAUUCAUGCGGUCUGUGGUCAAAUAAACCAUUUUCUGCAUACUUAAGCUUCCUGUGUGAAGACUUCGUUACUUGGAGAGACAUCCUAACUACUUCGAAUACAUGAUUCAAAUUCUGCUGUUUGCUGAGGGAUUCCAAUGGAGAGCAAGAAUGCUUGGAUAUUGUACUUAACUUCUGACACACACGGAGACCAUCUUAAACAAUCUGCACUGAACUUGGUUUUCAUCUUUAAUGAUGGCGUUUGAUCUGUAUUUUUAUUAAAAGCUCUACUAAUUCCAUAACAGUUCCAGAAUUCUGCAUCAAUUGGUCUCUUAGAUGGACAAACAAACAAAGUCGAUAUGUGCUUCCUAUUUAUUCAUCAAGAGCAAACUAAGGAUACCCUUGAUGUGAUAGGCAGCUAGAUCAGUUUCAAUUUCCACAGGUAUAGAGUCCUUUUGCUGUCCUGAACCCCAUUGCUUUGAGAUCAAUAUGCUUGAUAGCAUUUGAUUUGGCUGUAACUCGAUUUUCAAGUUCAUAGUUUUCUUUUGCUGAAGCCAAGAUUCAUCCGCUUCUCAAGUAUCUCUAGAAAUUAAUCAUGCAACCUCGAAGCUCUAGUUUGUCGUGUGUCUUGCUCUUUCCCCUCCCCCUUCUUCUUACUCUGUUUCUGCCAUGAAUCAAUCGUAAGUGAAGUAUGUCCAGUUCUUCACAAUACUAAUGACUGGUGGGGCAGGCUGAUGUUGAGUGAAGCCUUCUGUAGACAAAGGUAUUAUGUAGAACAAAUAGACAUUACUUCAGAAGACUGGGUGAGAUUAAAUCAUGGCAGUAGCCUGAGUGGAACUUCAAUCCCUGAUUUUUCCACAAUUAAUCAGCAAGCUUCAGAAUUCUCCUUGUUCUAUGAACCGGGAUCAUCACAUAAAAGGCUCAAAGUUGGACGGUCAGAUGGACUUGGAGACAUCAAGUGCUGCAAAAGGGAUGCUUGUUCAGGAAAUUCAGCAACCCAAGAAGAAGGAAGUUCUCCCUCCUACUUCAGAUUAUUAAGAACGAUGCUUCUCUCCAUUGCUAUUCCAAACGAGUGCCAUAGUUCAAAGAAUACAACUCCUAAAGCUGUACAUGUCAGCCUUCUCAUCAAUCUUUGACCACCGGACAGUAUUCCAUCUAUAUAUAUAAAUAUGUUGAUUCAAGCUUAGUCUCAUGCACAUUUAUAUCUGCCGAGUUUGCACCUUUGUUGCAAAUUGACAUAUCUUGCAGAAACAAUUGGCUGUUGUCAUCUGUAUUUGAGCAUGGAACAGCAGCGUGUGAUUGACCAAUUGGAACAAUUUCAGAUAGGAACUCUCGAGAGGGAGCUUGCUUCUAUCCAGACCAUUCCCCUUUUGUUUAUUAUGUGAAACAUCAUUAGCCGAAUCUUGACCAGCACUGUCGUGUGUUAUUGGUGAGCUUGUUGGGAUCUUGUUUUGGGCAAGAUAAUGAGAUCCCUCAGUUAAUUCGAGAUCCAUAUCAAUUAAAACGCCAGAAUUACGGAUUUCCCAUGCUUUCUACUAGGCAGCGGUUGUCAGUUCUUUCUCUUGCUCACUUCUACUGGCAGUGGCCUGACUCCCCAACAAAACCCCUGAUGCACCCUGUAGCUUCUCAUUUAAUUCUGGAUUCUUAUCAGCAUCACUUUCUGUCAUUGAUGAGCUUCUAGGAUGUUUAUUUUUGACAGGAUUCUCUGACUGCUCAUAAUGAGUUACAAAUUCCCCAUAAUAGAAUAUUAUGAUCGUCGGCCUUACAGUAUUGUUCUUUUAAAAUUUUCUGCUCACUGGAUAGUCAUAGUUCAAACCAUCUAUAUCAAAAGGCUUUCCCAGGCACUCAUCUUCAAAACCAUAGAUCCGGCAAGUCUACAACCGUCUGAGCAUACUCUUCAAAAAUCCAGUCUCCCAGCAUGGCAUAUGACACUGAUAAGAUUGAAUUUUCAAAUUUCCGACUUAAAAGUCUUGGGCAUUAGCUGGAAGUUAUGAGGUGGCAUACGUAAACGGGUAAUGGACGAAAUAACGCUUGAAUUCCUUUGAACAUUCCAUUUCAAUAGUUGAAGAGAAAUGUGUCUUCGAAUAACUCUUUUGCACUAUAGAUCAAAUCGACCAAUAUUCUGUAAAGCUGAACAUUUAUCAAUAACUGCAUCGGACGCCUCACAACACUCCACUGCAUUAUGGAACAAACUGGUUACCCCGGUUCUCGUCAUUGACCAUAUCCAAUCAUUGAGACUCCCCGAAUCACUAUGCAUAGGAGAGCCAGCAUGCGCUGAGGACAGCUUCACAUACUCAAUAAUAAAAUUCCUUGCAUUCAGAUUCAUACAUCUUUCUAUAGGACUUGUAAAACUAUUAUUGAAAGUGAAAGGCCCAGGUUGCUUUCAGAUGACGUUAAGGGAACCUCUUCUCAUAGAUCCGGUGGAAAUAUAGUAAUCACUGAGACAAUAUCCAUUUCAGUUGGUUGACUUUCCAGUUCCUGUGAUUGAUGCAGCCUUUGUGCUUGAAAGUAAAGUACCACAAUAUCGCUCAAGUUGAACAUUAGAUAAUAGAAUAGGAAGCCAAUACUCAACAAAUCUAGAAGAAUCUGACUUGCAAUCAUAUGCAGUAAACUGUGACAACCUCUCUUUUAAUUUACUAUCAUGGUCAUCGUAGUCAAUUUUCGUAACAUUGCCACUAUUUACAUUAUCGCCAGAGUCAAGACAUGACAGGAGAUUCACAAACUCCAACGUAUUCUCCUUUAUCUAACCACUGAAAAGAAGAAGCCUUAAAUCAGCCACAAGCAUCUUAUAUUCUGCGAAGUGUGAUAAAAAUUGGGGUGUUUACCUUCAUCAAUUAUGACAGCUUCCCACUUUGAUUCAUAUCUCCAUUCACUCUAUCAUUGACAUUGAAAAUUGGGUGUGAAAUCUUUACAAGGGUAGUAGAUGGCACAUUGGCAAAAUGAUCAAAGUCAAGAAGGUAAGCUGCCACUUUUCUGUUCCGCCUUAAAAAUUUCAACUAUGUGAUGGUGUGAUGUAUUUGAUUCUCUACUAGAGAAAAAGAACAAGAUCUGCUUUAUUAACUGUUGGUCUCUGUCUUGCUAGUACUUUUUCAAAAUUAGUCCUUGAGAUGGGCGGAGGGAGGACCUUUGAAGCAAGGCUUUGCACUUCAAUCUCCUGCAAAGUAACCUGAACAGCUCCGCGUUGAAUAGGGUCACAAGGGACCCAGAUGUUAUUGGAAGUUUUUACAAAGUAAGAAGCAUCCUUAAUUUUUAGAAUAGGUUCAAAUAGUACAUUAUUGACACAAACAUAAAUAUCUGAACCAGAGAAUCCAUCAGUUCUAUAAGCCAGGUGUUCAAAAUCACGUUCAGUCAAGUUAUGAGGAGUGUCUCCCAGAUGAACCUUAAACAUGUGCUGCCUUGCUUUCAAAUCUGGAAGAGGAAUGUAGAUUCGCUUGUCAAAUCGCCGUCAGAUGGCCUGAUCCAGGGAAUAGAGAGUGUUUGUGGCUGUAAGAACAAGAACUUUCUGAUCAUUGUGCCCUACACCCUGCAUCUGAACAAGAAGCUCGGUUUUAAUACAUCGAGAGGCUUCGCUCUCAUUGCCUUCACCUCGUUGGCCAACAUAAGGAAUCAAUUUCAUCAAUGAAAAUGAUGGAAGGAGCACUUUCACGAGCCAUUUGAAACAGAUUUGAGACUAGCUUUUCAUUUUCACCCGUCCAUUUUGAAACUAGAUCAGAUGAGGGCAUAUUGAAAAAUGUUGAGUCUGCUUCUGUUGCAAUAGCUUUGGCUAAGUAUGACUUCCUGUUCCAGGUGAACUAUAUAAUAGAAAAGCCCUCUAGGGCCGUCUCUUCCCAGUAAAGAACUGUGGGAACUUAACAGGCAAUAUGAUAGCCUCUUGCAGUGCCUGCUUGGCGUUCUCAAGCCCAGCCACAUCACUCCACUGCACAUUUGGCUUCUCAGUGAUUAUAGCAGAAUUAAGCCCUACCCUAAGCUUGGCUUGCUCCACAUCAUCCCCAUCUCCAUUCUUGGGCUGUCGUAUUCAUCAUUGUAAAGAUUGCUUCCAGCAUCUCAUUUUGUUCAGCCAAACCAUAAAAUUUACCUUGAAGCUCCUCAUAUUUUCUUUUCAAAUCAUCACUUGGAUUUGAGCUUGCCUGCACAUCAUCUUUCCAGGCAUCCAUAACCACAAAACCAGCAUCAAAGUAUGACCCUCCCACUGAACUUUUCUGAUCUCAAUCAGUCAUAGGCAAAGAGUUCCCAGUAAUUGACCUUGCCAACCAAUCAAUGCAGUCUGGAAUAAGAGUGCUCUGGCAACUCUAGGUCUUCUAAGAUCUCUUCUAUUCUCUGAAGCACAGAAUCUUUCAGAAGGAAUGACUCUCUCAAUGUAGUUGCUGUGUUGCGAAUAUAUAUGAAAGCUCAGAUUCUAGGGCUUCCACAGUUUCUUACGAUCAACUCUUCCUCUCCAUACACACUGUGUGGUGACUGCCGCUUUCUUUAAUCUCGUAUAAUGCAAGUGAGCUAAGUAUUUGCGGCAUUGACUUUGGAUAGCAAUUGCUGCUCUUGUCUACCUCCUGGAGCGAAACUCAUUACGAGCAGCCAAGCCACGCAUACCUCUCUGAAUGCAAAGAGCAGAGGAGCACAAUUCUCUAUAAGCUUUCAUACGCAAAUCUUUCUGGAUCCUUAGAACAGAAACUUCUCUCCGCAUACUCUCGUAAACUUUGCGAGUUAUCAUCUGUAUUGCAGAAUGACGCAUUGAGAUGAAACUUCUGUGAGACAAAUAGGAACAAACUUUCUUCUGGAUAAUGCUGGCAAGUCUUCUUAAAACCCCACUCAUUCAGAACUGCCAUCCAAAACUUCAGGUAUGGUACUAUAACAGUUUGCUGGCAAUCUUAAGAAAUUCUAAAUCACAUCUGCGCAAGGCUCAUUAACCCAGUGAUCAUUUGUGAUCCUUUCAUCAAUAAACUAUAUCCUUUAAUGAAGGCUUCGUUUCUAUAAUCUCCUCAACGUUGUCCUUGUCUUCUAUAACCCCUUGAGCUAAAGACGUCUCCUUCCUUCUAGCCAGAGCCUUUUCCACCUCUGUAAUUCUAUGGCCCUAAGCAAUCCCAGCAAUAGAACACUUGAUAAUUUCUAUUGAGUUGCAGGUCGAGGUUUCUGUUUUUAUCAGGAAAUAUGGUAUCUACUUGGCUAAGCUCCUCAUUCAAUUUGUUUGCGAGAAAAUUGGUAAUCUCAGUCUUUAAGGCCUGAAGUGAUCCAUCAGUAUCCAUCACAUAGUCCAUACAACUGAGAGCAAUCUUCAGAAGGUCAGACACACAAAUUUGGACAUGGGGGAUAAAUUUUGAAACACAUCAGGAAUGGUGUCUGACGCUUGUAGAUGGAGUGGAAGAAAUUGCUUCAACUGCUUUAAAACACAAACUGAAUUAGACUAGCAGCUCGGCUCUCACCAUACAAUCUACCAUGGGCCAAAGUACAAACUGCUUCGAAGAGACACUUAUUAAUUGUAUCCGAUGCUAUUGAAAAUGCUCCGAUUCUCUUCUAAAUUUCUAUAGACCGGUCAUACAGCCUAGCAUCCUGACACUAGUGAGGAGCUCCAAGCAGAAAUUGUUAUCUCGCUUUUACAUCAGUCAGAAAACGAGCCAGUCCACCUUCUUCUCCAGUUCCUCUCAGACCAAGUAAAAGAUAAAUCCCACCAUCCCUUAAUAACAAUUCUGUGAGGAGUGGCUUCAGCAUCAAAUUUCUCUGCCAUUGCUGGUCUAUGUUGCCCCUUCCAGUUCAUGACAACUAUCCACCUCCUUCUGCUACAGCAGCUUAUGUAUAAUAUUCUAAUGCUGUAAAAUAAAAAUAAAACUUCACCAGCAUGUAAAUGCACUGAUCCAUAUUGUCGGAUUAUACUAGAUGCCUCUGCAAAAACAUCCAUCACUCCUAAUUUCUAUCUUUCCAGCUCAGUAAAUCGAACAUAUUGUUUAGACUUUCUAGCGAAACCCUAACAAACCUCCUCAAGAAGUGCGAAGGGAAUCAAAGAUAUCAGAGAUGCCCUUCAGUGCAUUGAAUAUGAAAUCAUAGUGAAAUAGCAGAGCCUUUCCCCGAUUAUAGGUCUGAAACGAUGCUGAAUCUCAACUCAGAGUUUUCAUGAUUCGUUUUUCAGAGUGACCGCUGCUUCAUACCACUGCUUCCUACCGUUGCUGGUGAUGAUAUUGAUGAUAGCAAAUUGAGAAGAAGGAUUAGAGGGCAUAGUAGGCGAUGAAAUUACGGAGAGGCAGAAAGGGACUGAUGGGGGAGGAAUCUUGGCCUCCUCUCUCUCUGUUCUGCUUCUUCCCGAUAAUAUAUAUAUAUAUAUUUUAACACCAGCCCUAGAGUACAAGCCUCUCUUUAAAUUCGAGGCAGAGAUCUCUAUAGCUUACUCUGUUCCUUUAUAAUUUAAACGAUGAGCAUUAUCGAACAUCAUCAAAGUACACAUCUGAUGUAUGUAAACACUCAGUUUAUGCUUCUGACCCCUAACAAAAGUUGCUCUCAAAUCAGCCAUACCCAUAUCCGUUUGCCAAGACAAUCUCCUCCCAACGUGGGUCCUGAGGAGAUAACCUCUAAAUUCGUCACAUCUUUCCCAGAUUUCUACUGGGGGAGCUGCGCAUAUCAAUUGACUGAAUUGACCAAGACCUUCGCGGUAAGAAUCUGGGCAACAAGUGAGGAUUGUCCCCUGUUUCAGCAGAUGAACUCGCAUAGAAACCCUACAUCUUCUUUCUAUCUCAUCCUUCCAAAUUCGAACCCCCACUCCAGCAAUUCUUAGAAGAAUCUCAUAAGCAAGCAUCGGAAAGAGAGAAUGGUAACCGAAAACAGAGUACCAAAUGAGAAGAAGAAAGGAAAGAAAAAUAAAAUAAAAUAAAAUAAGAACAGAACUAGGAAGAGCCACGUUUCAUAUUUCGAAUCAACGGGCUUUGAAAAGGUGAGGCAAGCAUAAAAAAGAGAUAUUUGAUCAACAAACACCAGACUCAAGAAUGAAUCCGACUGCUCAAAAGGAGAAGAAAAAUCCAAAUUCAGCAAACAAGCAGGUUAGUCAUCGUGGCAUUCAUACUGAUACAAACGAUGUUUUGGAAUCAGCAAGAGAAUCAAAGAGAACAAAAUGCGAAUGAGAGUAUAGUAAAUAUCAGGAACCGACCUCAACACAACAAUUUGUGGCCCUUUCCGUCCACACCAAUCAACAAUAUAAGAGUAUUCAGAAACGAACACACGAAAAAAAAUGGCUAAGAAUUCCAAGAGUAAUCAGAAGCAUACCUGGAUGAACUCGAUUAGACUUGCUCCUUUCCCGCUCCUUUGUGCUUUCUCCUCAAAAAUCCUCAGAAUUUCUCUCAAUCCUCCAAUGCGUGCUUCCGCCCCCCUGUUCUUUUCCUUUUCUCCACCUAUAUAUAUCACCCCUCAAGACCUAAAUUUCUUUCCAAAAAGGAAAAUUCUCCUAUCUCCUUUCUUCUUCUCUUCUUUCUUUUAAAUCUUCCAAUCAAAAGCCAUCUUCUCAAUUUCAAAUUCCCCUCCAAAACCUUCCAAUGAGAGUCCCACCUUCCUUAAACUCCAAUGGUAAGUUUCCUUGCAAAAGCAUGAAAUUUUUGAAAGUAAAUAAUUGAAUGAGUAACUAAAUAAGUAAACAAACUAGAGGACAAUAAAAAAAAAAUAUAAUGAAUAAUCAAGUUAAGAAAAAUAAUAUAAAGAGGAAGAAAACAAAUAAAAAUAAGAGUGAUUGAUAAUCAUAAAACUAAAACUAAGAAAUAAAAAUAAACAAAUUAACAAAAACUAGGCCCCAUGAGUCAUGCAACCGUGUAAGUCAUACAAAAAGUGAGUCUAGAAGUGCCUAAUGGGCCAAGUGUGCCUAAGUGGGCCUAGAGCGGUGCCUAAAGGCUAAGUGUAUCUAAAAGCUAUCCUAAAAAAAGACAAGAAAAGCCUAAGUCUAAGUUAGGGCUGCCAGGGGUCACAAUAAGGGAUCAAAUAAUCCCUCAACCAAAGUCUCCGAAGUGACUCAGAAAAAGGUAAGUCGUACGAGUAGUAAUGGGCCACCAAGGAACUACCGUGGAGCACUGGAAGUGAAUUUAAAGACAUGUGCUUAAGGAACAAAAUUGAGGGUCUACAUUGAUUGAGUUUUCAGGAGAUGAGAUAUUUAUGAUGCGAUGGGAUGGGAUGGAGAGGCUCCUCAGCCAAUUAGUCUAUACGAGGACUUAGAUUUUAGUGGAUAUAUCCAUGGACAGUAGGUCCUCAGGCUUUUUAUAUUGAUUCCAGAUGAGGUUCCCCGACAGAUAGCAGUUUCACUAGUAUACUUGCAGCAUGUUCCACCCAUGACACCCUUCAUUUUGUUCCCGAAGGAGUAUGGGCCAGUACAUAGAGAUGUUCAGAUUGUUACGAGAAAUGAGAGGGUAGCUCAGUUCCCACCUGUUGAUAGACCUUUUGUUGGCAUUGAUGCUAAAGAUGAGAUUCAGAUGGAAGAUGAUGAGAUUUUGUGCCAGCUGCGCACCACUCAGGCCCACAUUUCCAUUUGGAGUUUAUUGGCCUCAUCCAGCACACAUAGAGACGCAUUGAUCAGAGCUCUUAGUCAUAUUAGAAUUGAUACUACUACCACCCUAGAGGGACUGAUCCACUUUCUGACAAUGAAUAGGGCUACAUGCAUAGUGUUUUCUGACGAUGAUUUACCACCUGAGGGAUCAAACCAUGUUCGUCAUUUGUUCAUCAAUGUUGCUUGUUUAGGUCGUAGGGUGUCGUCUGUCCUGCUGAACAACGGCUCCGCCCUGAAUGUUUGUCCAUUGGUUACUGUCAUUGCUUUAGGAUUGUCACCAUCCGAUUUUGGGCCCUCCACACAAACCGUUAAAGCUUAUGACGGGACUCAAUGGACAGUUAUGGGUACUCUCGCUACACAUGUCAUGAUAGGGCCGGUCAGAUACUCUGUGUUUUUCCAAGUUCUGAGGAUUUAGUCAUCCUAUAACCUGCUUUUGGGUCGCCCUUGGAUUCAUGGGGCGGGUGUUAUACCAUCUUUCCUUCAUAAGAAGGUGAAGUUCAUACACAAGGGGCGCAUUAUCACGAUACAGUCUGACAGAGACGUUGUUACCUCUUCCGAGCUAGUGUUACAGAUCAGUCACAAUGAGAAUGACCUACAUUUGACCGGGUUCACUUUUGAUGAGGUUCAGGUUGUCAGUUUAGAGGAUGACAGCAGAGACAUGGUACCUAUGUCUUUUGAUUAGUACAACAGCACUUUGGUACUCAUUAUGAUGAGAGACAUGUCCUAUAUGCCUGGCAUAGGAUUAGGUCACCGCCAGUAGGGGUCGUGUGAGUUUGCUUUCACAGUUGAUCAUGACAUACCAUAUGGAUUGGGUUACACUCCUAUGGAGGACGAUGCAUGACACAUGGCGCGGUUAUGCCGGGAUAGGGUAAGAGCUCGCUUGUCCGGGGUUCCAUUUGAUUACCCUCUUCGCUGAUUACUAUUCAAAAAGUGCAUUUUUAUAAGCUUAAACUUAAUUGUACUAAGCACUUUUGAGUAGUAAUUAGACCUUUUUAUCCCAAUUGACAUGUUAAGGACCUAGCGAAUGUUACUAACCAAUUUCUGGUAAGUUUUAGUGUUUUUGGUAGCUUUUUUAUCACCGAAACAGGCCAAGAUUGAGGGAGAGUUUUGUGCAAGCUAUGGCAAGGCAAGUUGAAGAUCAAUCACAUGAAGAAUCCGAGCCUUGGAACACUUCAAAACCCCUUGCCAAACUUGGAAAGGGGUUGGAAAAGCUAUCAGUAGUAAGAUGGAGGAAAACAGAGCAUUUCGCAAGACAAAAUCAUCAAUUUCUCAAGGUAUGCCAAAAUUUUGGCAAGGUGUGCCAAAAUUUUGGCAAAGUGUGCCAAACUUUCGCAAGGUGUGCCAAAAUUUCGCAGGGUGUGCGAAAAUUACUUUGUGCCCACCGACCUUCUGGAUUUUUCUCUAGAAUUGUAAUUUUUCCUUUUUACUCAUUUUGUAAUAGAUAAAAAACAUUAGGGUUUGUUUAGGAACUAUAAAUAGGGGUUGGAAAACCUCUCAUAUGAUGUUAGAUAUUAUGUUUUAGAUCUUUUAUAAAGUCUGGUUUUUCUCGGUCUUUCCUUCUCAUUUUCUCUUCACUUCUCUUUAGCCAAACACCCUCUAAUGAUGAUUUCUCAAAGGAUGAGUGGCUAAGUUUCACGUUUCUUGGAGUGAUGGAAGCUAGGUAAAGGACCCGAAUGCAAAGGUGGGAGUUUUCCUUAUUUUAAAUGAAGGUAGUUAUGUAUCAUUAAUGGUUGUAUUUCAAGUUUCAGCUUUAGUCCCUUAGAAUCACCUUGAAUGUCCAAUACUUGGUAAGCUUUUAGGAUUCUAUGGAUGCUUAUUGCUAGAUCCAUGGAUAUCCAUUAGUUAUCAAGUACGAGCCAUUAGAAGGUGGUUCAAGGUGAGGGUCUUUAGUGUUUAGAGCCAUUAAUGGGAAGCAACUAUCAUUUUUCAAGAAUCCUUUGGAUCAAAACUUAUUUGCUAAAUACAAAUCCGGUUCGGGAGAUAACCAUCCUUUAUGUUAUUAUCCCCAAUGCGAGGAGAAGAUCCGAAAACUUCUCUUUAUAGUAAUUUCAGUUGUUUAUGUUUGCUUAACUUAAAAUCACACCUUCCAAUCAAUCUUAUUUUCAUUAAAAACUAACUUUCAAAAAGGAAAUCACCAUUUCUCCUUUCAUUAAAGUCAUGUGUACAAUGAAAACCCAUCCAUGUGGACGAUCCUAGAGCCACUAUACUAUAGUAGCUUUGUCUUUGCUACCCUAGUAUAAGGUGUUGUAGGUUUUAUAAAUGUUUUGAUAAACACCCAAUUGGGCAUGAAUCAAAUGGCGUCGUUGCUGGGGAUGGUGCCUAAGUACAUAAAUGUUACCCUUUAUGAGUACUUGUGAUCUUCAUCACAAGUUGGUGAUUUUUCUUUCACUAACUCGUUUUCUUUAUUUUUAUUUGAUCUUAUCUUUCAUUUAAUUUUUAGCUAACCUUAAAUAUUUUCCUAGAAUUGUAGUCCUUUUUGUUUUCGUUGUUUUUGUUUCAGUAAUCUCGAGUUGUGUAUGCCCUAUUGGAUAAGACAUGUUGAGGGAAGACUUGUGAAAAUUGAAACUCCUCAAGAAACUGAGUUGGAAGUGUGCUUGAACAUCAUGGAUUGUCCACUUGAAGAUCAGCAUAGCCAACAUGGGCAAGAGGAGAAUCUCAAUGCAUAUCGAUCCAUGAAGGACCGCAUGCAUCCACCUCAAAUGAGUGCACCUUCAUGCAUAGUGCCUCCCACUGAGCAGCUAGUGAUCCGACCUCAUAUAGUGCUGCUUCUACCUACUUUCCAUGGGAUGGAAAGUGAGAACCCCUAUUCCCACAUCAAGGAGUUUGAAGAAGUGUGCAAUACAUUCCAAGAAGGAGGAGCUGCAAUUGACUUGAUGAGACUCAAGCUAUUCCCUUUCACCUUAAAGGAUAAGGCCAAGGUUUGGCUUAAUUCUCUAAGGCUAAGGAGUAUCAGAACGUGGAUUGAUUUACAAGCUGAGUUUCUUAAGAAGUUUUUCCCUACUCAUAGGACCAAUGGCUUGAAAAGGCAAAUUUCGAACUUCUCAGCAAAGAAGAAUGAGAAAUUCUAUGAGUGUUGGGAGAGGUACAUGGAAGCUAUCAAUGCUUGUCCUUAUCAUGGCUUUGAUAUAUGGCUCUUAGUGAGUUAUUUCUAUGAUGGUAUGUCUUCCUCUAUGAAGCAACUCUUAGAUACCAUGUGUGGAGGAGACUUCAUGAGUAAGAAUCCGGAGGAAGCUAUGGACUUCUUAAGCUCUGUUUCUAAAGUUUCAAGAGGAUGGGAUGAACCGAAUACUAGAGAUGUGGGGAGGAUGAAGUCUCAGCCCAAUGCUAAGGGUGGAAUGUAUGUGUUGAGUGAAGACAUGGACAUGAAAGCAAAAUUUGCAACUAUGACAAGGAGAUUGGAAGAGCUAGAACUGAAGAAAGUACAAAAAGUACAGGCCAUUUCCGAGACAUGAGUGCAAGCUAUGCCUUGUUCCAUAUGUCAGUCUUAUGAGCACUUAGUAGAGGAGUGUCCAACCAUUCCGGCAGUGAGAGAAAUGUUUGGUGAUCAAGCAAAUGUGGUUGACUAAUUCAAGCCUAACAACUAUGCUCCUAAUGGAAGCACCUACAAUUCUAAUUAGAGGAACCAUCCAAAUUUCUCAUGGAAGCCAAGGCCACCUCAAUACACACCACUAGCUCAAGCACCUUAACAAGCUUCAAGCCUUGAACAAGCCAUUGUGAAUCUUAGCAAGGUUGUGGGAGACUUUGUGGGAAAGCAAAAGUCAAUCAACUCUCAAUUGAAUCAGAAAAUUGAUAAAGUGAAGAGUACAUUGAAUAAGAGGAUGGGUGUAAUGCAAAAUGAUCUAUCUUAGAAGAUAGAUAAUGUUCAAUACUCCAUCUCAAGGCUAACCAACCUCAAUACUGUACAAGAGAAAUGAAAGUUUCCUUCUCAACCUCAUCAAAAUCCCAAGGGUAUUCAUGAAGUAGAAGCUCAAGAAGGAGAAUCUUUAAAGGUGGGGGAAGUGAAGGAAGGUGAAGGAAGUGAAUCAGAAAGAAGUGAAUCAUGAUGAAGGAAGUGAAUUAGAAAGAAGUGAAUCAUGAUGAAGGAAGUGAAUCAUGAUGAAGGAAGUGAAUCAUGAUGAAGGAAGUGAAUCAGAAAGACAUGGGUGAGAAGAAUUCAAAGGAAGGUGACCAUGAUUCAAGUGUGAAUGAAGAACCAAGGAUAGUCAUCAAGGAAUAUAUGAUGAAAAAACACAUGCCUCCACCUUUCACUCAAGCUUUGCAUGGUAAGAAGGGAACCAAGAAUACAUCAAAAAAAUUUGAAGUGUUGAGGCAAGUGAAGGUCAACAUUCCUUUACUUGACAUGAUCAAGCAAGUUCCAACUUAUACCAAAUUCUUGAAGGACUUGUUCACUGUAAAGAGAGGGUUAAAUGUGACCAAGAAAGCCUUCUUGACUGAACAAGUAAGUGCUAUCAUCCAGUGCAAAUCUCCAAUGAAGUAUAAAGAUCUAGGAUGCCCCACCAUUUCAGUAAAUAUUAGAGGGACAUGUGUGGAGAAAGCUCUUCUAGACUUGAGAGCAAGUGUGAAUUUGCUACCCUAUUCAGUUUACAAACAAUUGGGACUUGGGGGGUUGAAGCCCAUGUCCAUUACUCUCUCCCUAGUUGAUAGAUCAAUGAAAAUCCCAAGGGGGAUAAUUGAGGAUGUCUUGGUACAAGUUGACAAAUUCUACUAUCUAGUAGGUUUUGUUGUUCUUGAUACUGAUCCAAUUGUCACAAGGACAAACUAUGUGCCAAUCAUACUUAGAAGACCAUUCAUCGCUACUUCUAAUGCAAUCAUCAAUUGUAGGAAUGGAGUUAUGUAACUCACGUUUGGCAACAUGACCUUAGAGCUAAACAUCUUCCAUUUAUGAAAGAAGCAUCUCCAUCCGGAAUAAAAGGAAGGGCCAGAGGAAGUGUGCAUGAUUGACACUUUGGUGGAGGAGCACUGUGAACAGAGCAUGGAGGAAGAUUUGAUUGAGAAUCUUGGGGAUCUUGAUGAAAGGUUACCUAAACCCUCAGAUUCGCUAACUACCAUGUCUCAUUAGAGGAAGAUGGAAGAGAUUCUACCUUUGUUCAAUGAGGAGGAGUCACGCAGAGUUGGUAAGGAAGAGCCCCCAAAGCUUACUCUUAAGCUUCUUCCUACUGGGUUGAAAUACGCAUACUUGGAGGAAGACAAGCAGUGCCCUAUGGUGAUCUCUUCAGCUCUCACCAUUCAUAAAGAGGAUUGUCUAAUCGGAGUCCUUAGAAGAUGUAAGAAGGCCAUUGGGUGGAAAAUUUCGGACUUGAAAGGGAUCAGCCCUUUGGUGUGCACCUAUCAUAUCUAUAUGGAGGAGGAAGCAAAGCCAGUUCGCCAACCGUAGAGAAGGUUGAACCCUUACGUGCAAGAGGUGGUGCGAGCUAAAGUUUUGAAGCUACUUCAAGCCAGUAUUAUUUACCUCAUAUAAGAUAACUUAUGGGUGAGUCUAAUCCAGGUUGUCCCAAAGAAGUCUAGGAUCACGGUGGUGCAGAAUGAUAAGGGAGAAGAUGUCUCCACACGCCUUACUACUGGUUGGAGAGUGUGUAUCGAUUAUAGGAAAUUGAAUGAGGUGACAAGGAAUGACCAUUUCUCGUUGCCUUUUAUUGACCAAGUGCUUGAAAGGGUUCCUAGGCAUCCUUUCUAUUGUUUUUUGGAUGGCUACUCUGGCUACUUUCAAAUAUAGAUUGAUUUGGAAGAUCAAGAGAAAACCACUUUCACAUGCCCCUUUGGUACAUUUGCAUAUAGGAGAAUGUCUUUCCGUUUAUGCAAUGCACCCGUAACUUUCCAAAGAUGCAUGCUAAGCAUCUUUAGUGAUAUGGUGGAGUGAAUUUUGGAAGUCUUUAUGGACGAUAUCACCGUUUAUGGAAGUGCAUUUGAGGAUUGCUUAGUAAACUUAGAAGCUGUUCUAAACCGGCGCAUUGAAAAAUACUUGGUGCUUAACUGAGAAAAGUACCAUUUCAUGGUACAACAAGGGAUUGUUCUCGGGCAUAUCAUCUCUAAGGAGAGAAUUGAAGUUGAUAAAGCAAAAGUUGAACUCAUUGUCAAGUUGCCAUCCCCCACCAAUGUCAAGGGAGUAAGGCAAUUCCUUGGACAUGUCGGGUUCUAUAGGAAGUUUAUCAAGGACUUUUCAAAGCUUGCAAGGCCUCUUUAUGAACUAUUGGUCAAGGAUGCCAAAUUCAUAUGGGAUGAAAGAUGUCAAAGAAGUUUUGAGCAAUUAAAGUCAUUUUUGACAACAACACCCAUUGUACGAGCUUCUAACUGGCAAUUACCCUUUGAGGUAAUAUGCGAUGCUAGUGAUUUUGUUAUUGGAGCUGUGUUGGGCCAAAGGGAAGAUGGAAAACCCUAUGUGAUCUAUUAUGCCAGUAAGACACUCAAUGAGGAGUAAAGAAACUACACAACCACCGAGAAGGAAUUGUUAGUGGUAGUUUUUGCCUUGGACAAAUUUUGUGCUUACUUGGUGAGGUCUUUCAUAGUGGUAUUCACCGAUCACUCUGCUUUGAAGUACUUGUUGACUAAGCAAGAUGCCAAGGCAAGAUUGAUUAGGUGGAUCCUCUUACUUCAAGAGUUCAAUCAUCAAAUCAAUGAUAAGAAGGAAGUAGAAAAUGUGGUAGCUGACCACCUUUCAAGGCUUGCAAUUGCACAUAAUUCCCAUGGUUCGCCCAUUAAUGAUGACUUCCCAGAUGAAUCUCUCAUGUUGGUGGAAGUAACUCUGUGGUAUGCUCAUAUUGCGAACUACCUAGUUACAAAAGAAGUUCCAAGUGAGUGGAAAGCAUAAGAUAGGAAGCAUUUCUUUGCAAAGAUCCAUGCCUACUAUUGGGAAGAACUGUUUCUAUUCAAGUAUUGUGCGGAUCAAAUAAUAAGGAAGUGUGCUCCUGAACAAGAGCAACAGGGGAUUCUCUCUCACUGCCAUGAGAAUGCUUGUGGAGGCCACUUUGCUUCUCAGAAGACAACUAUGAGGGUCUUUCAAUCGGUUUUCUAUUGGCCCUCACAUUUCAAGGAUGUCCAUGCCAUGUGCAAGGGUUAUGAUCGAUGUCAGGGGCUUGGGAAGUUGACCCGAAGGAAUAUGAUGCCUUUGAACCCCAUUUUGAUAGUUGAUCUUUUUUAUGUUUGGGGCAUUGACUUCAUGGGACCUUUUCCUAUGUCAUUUGGCUACUCUUACAUCUUGGUAGGAGUUGAUUAUGUUACUAAGUGGUUUGAAGCAAUUCCAUGCAAACACAAUGACCAUAGGGUGGUUAUCAAGUUCUUGAAGGAGAACAUUUUCUCAAGAUUUGGAGUGCCUAAAUCCAUAAUCAAUGAUAGGGGUACUCAUUUUUGUAACAAGCCUUUUGAAACUCUUCUAGCCAAGUACGGGAUGAAGCAUAAGGUAGCUACACCUUACCACCCUCAAACUAGCGGGCAAGUUGAGUUGGCAAACUGGGAGAUCAAGAAUAUAUUGAUGAAGGUGGUGAAUGUGAACAGAAAAGAUUGGUCUAUCAAACUCCUUGAUUCACUAUGGGCUUAUAGAACAGCUUACAAGACCAUUCUUGGGAUGUCCCCUUAUCACUUAGUCUAUGGCAAAGCAUGUCAUCUCCCUGUGGAAUUGGAAUACAAGGCUUGGUGGGCAAUCAAGAAACUCAACAUGGAUUUGAGCAAAGUCGGGUUGAAGAGAUUCUUAAACCUCAAUGAGUUGGAGGAACUACGAAAUGAUGCUUACCUCAAUUCGAAAAUUGCAAAAGAGAGGUUGAAGAGAUGACAUGAUCAGUUGGUGACCCAAAAGGACUUUUCAAAUGGACAAAGAGUCUUGCUCUAUGACUCUAAGCUCCAUAUCUUUUCGGGCAAGUUGAAAUCAAAGUGGUUAGGUGCUUUCACAAUCCACUAAGUGUAUUCGAAUGGAGUAGUGGAGUUACUCAACGCCAACAGCAACCGAACUUUCAAAGUGAAUGGCCAUCAUUUCAAGCCCUUUGUGGAGCAUUUUUCUCGAGACAAAGAGGAAUUCAUCAUCCUUGAUCCUCCUCAGGCUUGAAAAAUCAGAUCGUGGAUGGACUUAGUCUUUCUAAAAACUAUUAAGUCCAUCCAUUUUUUGGUUUUGUUUUUUAUUUCAUGUUUUUCUUGCAUUUGUAUUUGUUUUGAUUUCGAUUUCUUGCUUGAAUUCCAUUUUAGUUUGAUUUAAUUUAGGUUUUUGAUGAUCACUUGUAGGGGAGGGCACUUAAGGAUUCGUUGGCAGAGGAAAAGCUAAGGAAAAAUUAAAGCAGAGCAUUUUGCAUUCCUCCCUAUGAAUUUUUCGCAUGGUGCGUGAAAAGUGCUCUUUGCAUUAGGUGAGCUACUGCCAUUUCGCAGAGCAUGCGAAAAUUUCGCACCCUCUACGAAAUCCUCCUUAUGGUUUUUGAAAAAUUCAAGCUCUUAGUCUUUAACUUCGCACCUUAUGCGAAAAAACACAGGGUAUGCGAAUCCUCCUUGUGAUCAUUUUUGAAAACGAUAUUCACACCAUUUGCAAAUUUCCAGAAGGUUUGCGAACUCAAAGUUGACCCUGCGAAUCAAGUUCGCAGACCACUUUUUCGCACACCCACUUUGUGAAAUUCCAAUUUGCGAAAUUUCGUCACUUUGCGAAAUCCCACUUUGCGAAAUUUCACUUUGCGAAAUUCCACUUUGCGAAAGUGCCUUUGCAAAAUUCCCACUUUGCGAACCAUCUCCACCCCUCCAUCUUUCCUUUUCACAAAAAAAAAAUGUAAUUUUUUUUUAUAGCAUACAUCCUAACUUCAUUUCUCACUUCUCUAGUCUAUUUUGCCUCUUUUGUCAAACUUUUGCAUGACUGUGAAAAUUUUGUUUUUUAAACCAUGUGGUUUCUCCUCUACACUUCUAAGUGCAUUUUCCUCAGGAGGUAUCACUUCCUCCCUUUAUUUUCACUUGUGAUUGAAACAUUGAGGACAAUGUUCAUCUUGGUUGGGAGGAGAGUUGAGAAAGUAAGUAUUGUAAAUAUUGCUAGGAUAUUUUGUUAAUGUAGUUACCUUUUGUUUAAUUUUUUUAAAAUUUUUUUUAGUCUACUCUCCAUGGUUGUCAAGAAAAAAUUCUCAAAAGAAAUGAGAGAAGUUGAGUUCUUGCCCUUUUGCUUAAGUCUUAGAGUUUGUAUUAUGUUUAUUGAGGUUGAUGAAUUAUUGAAGUUCCUAUUGAAUUCAACCUUGUCUCUUCCACUUUAAUCUUACCACACAUUGUGCACAUUAGGUUCCAAUUAUAAGAUGAAAAACUAUCUCACCCCUUGAACUUAGGAAAAUUUUGACUUGGUACCUUUGACCUCAUUUUAAUAGUGUUGAGACACCUUAUAGAAGGCCAAUGAGCCUUCAGAAAAAAAAAAAAAAAAAAAAAAAAAAAAAAAAAAAAAAACCAAAAAAAAAAAAAAAAAAAACAAGUGCUACACUUGCCUUGAAACUCGAGCAAGGUCCUAGAGGUAUAUGGCGAAAGUCUUUGAAGCCUGGUGCCCUAAACCUUAAUUGGUUGGGAGUCACAGACCUUAAUGCUCGUUACAAGGGUGAAUGGGUGAAAUUGAGCAAAUAAAAGAAUUGUGAAAUAAAAGAGGUGCGUUCUUAGCCUAUUAGGUGUUGGUCAGGUUGCUAGGUUUGAGAAAGAACUAGGUUGGGGGGAGAGCAUAGUUUAGCAUACUAUAAUUGGAAACUAAUCACCUUAACACUUAGAUUCUUGUGGAAGAUUAAGAGUUGGAUCUUUGGGAGUGGAAAUUCUUUUGAUGCUUAAAUUUGCAUAAUGCCCACUCUUUGUAUUUUGUGAUUAGGUAAGUGAUUUAAUGACUCUUGUUGAAGGUUGGGUUUUAUAUCUUUGAUUUUCAAUGAGAGAUGCGUUUCUUUUUCUCUCCUUCAUUGCUAAGGGACUAGCAAUGUGUCGGUUGGGGGGGAGUGAUUACUAUUCAAAAAGUGCAUUUUUAUAAGCUUAAACUUAAUUGUACUAAGCACUUUUGAGUAGUAGUUAGACCUUUUUAUCCCAAUUGGCAUGUUAAGGACUUAGCGAAUGUUACUAACCAAUUUCUGGUAAGUUUUAGUGUUUUUGGUAGCUUUUUUAUCAACGAAACAGGCCAAGAUUGAGGGAGAGUUUUGUGCAAGCUAUGGCAAGGCAAGUGGAAGAUCAAUCACAUGAAGAAUCCGAGCCUUAGAGCACUUCAAAACCCCUUGCCAAACUUGGAAAGGGGUUGGAAAAGCUAUCAGUAGUAAGAUGGAGGAAAACAGAGCAUUUCGCAAGGCAAAAUCAUCAAUUUUGCAAGGUAUGCCAAAAUUUUGGCAAGGUGUGCCAAAAUUUCGUAAGGUGUGCCAAACUUUCACAAGGUGUGCCAAAAUUUCGCAGGGUGUGCGAAAAUUACUUUGUACGCACCAACCUUCUGGAUUUUUCUCUAGAAUUGUAAUUUUUCCUUUUUACUCCUUUUGUAAUAGAUAAAAGACAUUAGGGUUUGUUUAGGAACUAUAAAUAGGGGUUGGAAAACCUCUCAUAUGAUGUUAGAUAUUAUGUUUUAGAUAUUUUAUAAAGUCUGGUUUUUCUUUGUCUUUCCUUCUCAUUUUCUCUUCACUUUCUCUUUAGCCAAACACCCUCUGAGGAUGAUUUCUCAGAGGAUGAGUGGCUAAGUUUCACGUUUCUUGAAGUGAUGGAAGCUAGGUAAAGGACCCAGAUGCAAAGGUGGGAUUUUUCCUUAUUUUAAAUGAAGGUAGUUGUGUAUCAUUAAUGGUUUGUAUUUCAAGUUUCAGCUUUAAUCCCUUAGAAUCACCUUGAAUGUCCAAUACUUGGCAAGCUUUUAGGAUUCUAUGGAUGCUUAUUGCUAGAUCCAUGGAUAUCCAUUAGUUAUCAAGUACGAGCCAUUAGAAGGUGGUUCAAGGUGAAGGUCUUUAGUGUUUGAAGCCAUUAAUGGGAAGCAACUAUCAUUUUUCAAGAAUCCUUUGGAUCAAAACUUAUUUGCUAAAUACAAAUCCAGUUUGGGAGAUAACCAUUCUUUAUGUUAUUAUCCCCAAUGCGAGGAGAAGAUCCGAAAACUUCUCUUUAUAGUAAUUUCAGUUGUUUAUGUUUGCUUAACUUAAAAUCACCCCUUCCAAUCAAUCUUAUUUUCAUUAAAAACUAACUUUCAAAAAGGAAAUCACUAUUUCUCCUUUCAUUAAUGUCAUGUGUAUAAAGAAAACCCAUCCACGUGGACGAUCCUAGAGCCACUAUACUAUAGUAGCUUUGUCUUUGCUACCCUAGUAUAAGGUGUUGUAGGUUUUAUAAAUGUUUUGAUAAACACCCAUACACUUUUCAGUUGGCUGACUAUUUUACCAGAGGAUCAGAGCAUGCACCCCGCACAGAGGGAGUUGACCAUGUUUCGGGGAUGGUUGAGAUUUAGGGCAUUCAGCAGGCCCUAGGACAGAUGUGUUUGAGUUUUGAGACCACCGAGCCACCUGAGGCCAUGAUAGUUGCACCCCCAUCACCGGAUCGAACCAGUGUGUUUUCCAUGUGCUUUCCUGAAGAGGUCCCCGACUAUGAUCUACCUAUGGAUUUAGGAGAUGGUUCUGAUGGAAUGACUCUUCCUAAUACUUACCUGGACGAGAUGGACAUGAUCGGCACUGGCCGUAUCCUCGACACAACCCCGUGCAAGCUCCAUUCUUCUUUUGACAUGUUUGGAGUUCCUAUGAUUGAUUCUGAUGAUGUGACCCUUUACAAUGCUUGCAUUGAUGAGAUGGACAUGAUUGGCACUGGUUGUAUUCUGGAUGGUUCCCCACCUGAGCCCCAAUCCACUUUUGAUGUGUUUGGGAUUUCUAUGACUGAGUUUGAUGAUGAUGGACUUGUUGCUACUAAUAUUACUCAUGAUACUAUUUCUGUUGAGGGAGCGUCCGACUCUGUGGACCCACCUUUUUCUUUUGACACUAUGUUCGGGUUUGUCACCCGCUUUGAUGACAUUUCUAAUGGUAAUAAUGACAUGAUUAUUUUUUAGUAUUUACCUGUGUCACAACACUUUCUUUUGAUUGCACCACUAGCACCCACAACACAUGUAUGCGAUGUUGAUGAUGUGGGAGACACAAAUGACCCACUAGGUGGUCAGUUAGAGUGUGAUUCUGAUACAGAGGACAAGAAAGUUACACCCAUUUCUAGUAGCACAGAGUUGAUAGAUUUUAGGGUACUAGAUCAGCCCAAGGAAAUUAGGAUUGACUCUUCCUUAUCUCUUAAUGAGAGGAGUAGAUUGAUUGACCUACUUAGAUCGUACUUGGAUGCAUUUAUAUGGUCAUAUGAGGAGAUGCCGGGCCUUGACCCCUCUAUUGUUUAGCAUCACCUGCCCAUUUUGCCACAUGCUAGGCCAAUUAAGCAGAAAUUGAGGAGACUACACCCUCAAUGGAGUUUGCAGGUUAAGGAAGAAAUUCAGACGCAACUCAAUGUUGGCUUCUUGUCAGUGGUUGAGUAUCCUGAGUGGCUGGCUAAUGUCAUCCCUGUUCCCCAAAAGGAUGGCAAGGUUAGAGUUUGUGUUGAUUUCCAAGAUUUGAACAAAGUCAGUCCCAAUGAUGAUUUUCUCCUUCCACAUAUUGAUAUGCUUGUCAACAGCACUGCAAGACAUUCGAUGUUGUCCUUCAUGGAUGGGUUUUCCGGAUAUAAUCAAAUUCAGAUGGCUCCAAAGGAUAUGGAGAAGACUUCUUUCAUCACUGAGUGAGGUACUUACUGCUACUAGGUCAUGCCAUUUGGGUUGAAGAAUGCAAAAGCAACUUGUCAGAGAGCUGCUACUACUUUAUUCCACGAUAUGAUGCACAGAGAUGUUGAGGUAUAUGUGAAUGACAUGAUAGUGAAGUCUUGAGACAGGGCAGAUCACUUAGCAACAUUACAGAGAUUCUUUGAGAGGAUUCGGCAAUUUAGGUUGAGAUUGAAACCCAAGAAGUGCACCUUUGGGGUGACUUCUGGGAAAUUACUAGGCCACAUCAUCAGUGAGCGGGGUAUAGAGGUCGACCCCAAAAAGAUCAAAGCCAUACUUGACAUGCUUGCUCCAAGGACUGAGAGAGAGGUCAGAGGCUUUCUAGACAGAUUAUAGUAUAUCAGUCGUUUCAUUGCUAGACUAACAGACAUAUGCAAGCCUAUCUUCCGUCUUCUAAGAAAGAAUCAGCCUAUAGUUUGGAAUGAUGAUUGUCAUCAAGCUUUCGAAAAGAUUAAGAAGUGUCUCAUUUAUCCUCCAGUUUUAGUGCCCCCCACACCAGGGCACCAUCUGCUUUUGUACUUAUCAGUUUCAGACAUGGCUUUAGGAUGCAUGUUAGCUCAGCUCAAUGAUUCAGGGAAAGAGCAAGCUAUUUAUUAUCUGAGUAAGAGGAUGCUGGAGUAUGAGUGCAAAUAUAUUCUAAUUGAGCACCUCUGUUUGCCAUUGGUUUGGGCCACCAGGAGAUUGAGACAUUAUGUGACAGAGUAUUCUAUACUAUUGGUCUCAUGAUUAGAUCCUUUGAGAUAUCUGUUUGAUAGGCCUGUUCUGACCGGUAGGCUCAUGAGAUGGUUAGUAUUGCUAACAGAGUUUGAUAUUCAAUAUGUUACUCGAAAAUCGGUAAAGGGAAGCAUUAUUGCAGACCAUCUGGCCUCUUUGCCAGUAUUUGAUGAUAGACCGAUUGAUGAUGAUUUCUCUGAUGAGCAGUUUGUAUCAGUGACUAGUAUGGAUGGAUGGAGGCCGUACUUUGAUGGUGCUGCCAAUCAGUUAUGAUUUGGUAUCAGGGUCUUAUUGAUAUCACCUCAAGGGGAUCAUAUUCCCAGAUCAGUCUAAUUAUCAUUCUCUAAUCAUCACCGGCUGACGAAUAAUAUUGUUGAGUAUGAGGCGUGCAUUAUAGGCCUGAAGACAACACUCUAUCUUAGAGUUAGACAGUUGGAGAUCCACGGUGACUCCAACUUAGUCAUUCAUCAGACUCAGGGUAUUUGGAGGACUCGAGAUGAGAAGCUAAAGCCCUACCACGCAUAUUUAGAUUUAUUGGUUGAUAGGUUUUAUGAGCUGAGAUAUAUACAUCAGCCCAGGGUAGAGAAUCAGUUUGCUGACGCUUUAGCCACCUUGGCUUCUAUGAUUGAGAUCCCUACGGGGGUGACUAUGCGACCAUUGCUGAUUGAGACUAGCUCUACACCAACUUACUGUUGUUUGAUUGGAGAUAUUGAUGACCAGGAUGAGUUACCCUAGUAUUAUGAUAUAUAUAUCAGUUUCUGGCAUAUGACGCUUACCUAGAGUCAGCCUCAGCCAAAGAUAGGAAAGCGUUGAGACAGUUGGCCACCAGAUUUGUUAUUUGCGGGAAUGCACUUUAUAGAAGAUCGCCCGGUGGCCUGUUAUUAUUGUGUCUAGAUCGUUCCUCUACAGAUAGAGUGAUGAGAGAGGUCCAUGUUGGAGUCUGUGGCCCACACAUAGGAGGACACAUGCUAGCCCGUAAGAUCAUGAGGACUGGCUACUUUUGGUUGACUAUGGAGACAGAUUGUUGUCGAUUUGUACAGAAGUGUCCAGAGUGUUAGAUGCAUGGAGACUUGAUACACGUGCCACCUUCUGAGUUGCAUGCACUCACAUUUCCUUGGCCAUUUUCAGUAUGGGGUAUUGAUAUUAUUGGGAAGAUCUCGCCCAAGUCCUCUAGUGGUCAUGAGUACAUCUUAGUAGCCAUUGACUAUUUCACCAAGGGGGUGGAAGCUGCUUCUUAUGCUAGGUUGACAGCGGCCAGAGUGGCUAAGUUCAUCAGAUUGCAUAUUAUCUGCCAAUACGGGGUCCCUCAUGAGUUGAUCUCAGACAGAGAGGUGCAUUUCAAAGGCGGGGUGGAUACAUUGGUUCGGGAGUAUGGCAUUCAACAUCAUAGAUCGUCUACAUAUAGGCCAUAGACUAAUGGGGCAGUUGAGGUUGUGAACAAGAAUAUCAAAAGGAUUUUGAGAAAGAUGGUCGAGACUUCUCAAGAUUGGUCAAAGAAGCUUCUUUUUGCAUUAUGGGCUUACCAUACAUCUUUUCGUACUUCUAUUGGGGCUACCCCGUAUUCUUUGGUGUAUGGUAAGGAGGCAGUGCUACCUGUUAAGAUUGAGAUGAGAUCUUUGAGAGUAGUACUAAAGCAGUAGCUAUCCAAGGCCGAGUGGGCCCAACCUCGUUAUGAUCAGCUUAGCCUUUUGGAUGAGAAGAGAUUGAGGGUAGCAAAUCAUGUUCAAGCCUAUCAGAGGAAGAUGACCCGUGCAUUCAGAAAAAUAGUCAAGCCCAGGAAAUUUCAAAAGAGUGACUUAGUCUUGAAAGUCCUCAGGGGAUUGAUCAAUGACCCUAGAGGCAAGUUUAGACCUACCUGGAGUGGGCCAUAUGUUAUUCGAGAUUUGACCUAAGAGGGAGCCGUCUGGUUGACAGACCUGGAUGGAAAUCAGUUCACGGAGCCAGUCAAUGUGGAUCAGCUGAAGAAGUUUUACACAUGAGAUCAUGGUCAGAGGAUGGAUGGCCAUUGUUUGAGUAGUCAUAUUCCCUAUUGCAUACCCUUACAUUGAUAUAUCAUAUUGAUAGCCUGUUGAGCCUCACGCGAUUCAUUGUGGAUUGUUCAUUCACUUAGCCUUGCAUACCUUUUCUCACCUAGGUUGGGGGCCUCCUCUUUUGCGCUUCGCAUUUAUUGCCUGGAUUGGUGAGUAUUGUGAGUCCAUUGUGUCAUUGCUCGUUUGUGCCAUUUUUGGGUCAUUCAUGAUUUCUUUUUUCCUACAUUGUACAUCUUCACUUUAUCUAUUUGAGUUUUGUUUCUAUCCUUUCAUUUCUUUUCAUUUAUGUUUUCCCUUAUGUGAUGAUGAUACGCUCUCGUCCUAGAGCUACCAGUCAAUUUUGUCACACAUUUCGUUUCGCUUGUAGGCUUUGAUCCAAGAUUCUUAGGUUGAGGGGACCAGUUGGGAUUGGAGGUUUGAGGUUCUUUUGGUUGGACUAUGCUAGUGUGGCAUUCGGCCUACUUUGGUUGUUCAACGCAAAAAAUAAUAAUAAUAAUAAUAAUAAAUAAAUAAAUAAAUAAAUUGUGUUUGUUUGGUAUUCGUUGAUAUACUUGGGAUCAUCAAAGGUGGUUUUGGGUUUGAAAGAUUUCUCUUUUCAUUUGAGAGUCGGGUGAGAGCAUUGUAUGAUCCUUCUCACCAUGGAUCUAGGCAACACAUUGGAAGUGAGGUUUGGGUUUCCUUGGAACUAAGUCCACUGGAUCAUUAUCUAUAUCACCAUUCCCACCAUAUAGUGACUUGCUUCGAUUUGGCAUUCUUGGGAUGAGUUGUUCGUCAGCGUCACAUAUUGUUAUAUUUGUAUCCCAGUUGGUUUCUCCAUUUUCUUUUACACCCAUUCAUCAUUCGUCUUAUCCCUUUUUGUCUGCUUCUAUCCUCGUCGAUCGUCGUCUCGCUUCAUGAACGAUGAGUUCUUUGGUGUACAUCACCUAUGGUUUGAUGUUAUUCAUUUGGAUACAGGGUUGAGUCACCUUGCACAUGUGGUUCUACAAUAUUUGACAUUGCGCACACAAGGGUUUGGCAUUAUCUAUUGGGAAAUUUGGGCCUUUGUUUCCCAUCGUUUCAUUCACCUUUUACUCCUAGCCUACAUUACGGUCCAAGUCGUAAGACCACCCUGAGGCCAUGAGAUCUCGUGUCUGCUUCAACGCGAUUCAUUCGAACAGGCUCCGUCUACUGAUUAAGUAUGGGAUGUCGACAGGUCUCCAUUGUUUCGGGGGAUAUCGAGGGUCACAUAUUGCCUUUCCAUUCAGUUUGCUUGCCUCAGGUCCAUGAUUAGAGACAGAUGAUACAGAGAGUUGGAACCGUUGAGGGCACCUUUGCUCGAUGUUUUGACACGUUCAUACUGGGGCAUGCCCCCAUCCUUGCAUGCUGGCUUUGGUUUUUACACCUGUACGCAGCCAUUCCGUUUCACCUAGCAAUGUUAUGGGCAUCAGAGUUUGAGUAAGCCCCACAUUUAGCUCAGUUUCUUUAUACAACAGAGUGAUUUUGGGAGCUGACCCAAGAUCAAAUUCAUGGUAUUCAUUGACCCAGCAGGGAUGUCCACAACGGGGCAUACCCAUUCAUUGUCCUGUUCAUUAGUUCAGAUAAUUAGGUCUUCAGUGAUGUAUUUAAGAAUUUUCAUUGAGAUAUUUGAGUUUCAGAUGUACACACUAGGGCAUACUCCCUAUCAGUUUUUUGAGGAUAUUGUAUGUUAUGGAUUAGAGUAGAGGGUUUUUCCUCAAGGAUGGAUGUUUGUGAUAUUUUCAGCUCUCUGACUUUAAUCAUAUGUUCGGUUAUGGGAUUCUGACAUGAUAUUGAUAUCUUAGAUUAGGGCAUAACUCAUUCCUUUAACAUUUGGUCACAUUUGUGAGUUUGUCCUAUAGGGGCAUACCCCCUUCUUUCCAUCUAUUAGUGGUGAUUGUGAUUGUGAUUUCUCGCUUGUCAUUUGUUGGCAUUUUCUGGUGUUACACCGGGACAUACCCAUUUCUUUUGUCAUAAUGGAGGUGUUUGAUUUAUGGCUUCUUCGAGUCAUUUGUUGGCAGUCCCUGGAUGCCAUACUAGGGCAUACCCUUUUGUCAUCAAGGUUAAUAUCUCAGCGGUGGCAUCCUGAGUCUCGCCAUUUUGUUCUAAGUUUUGUUUUAAGGCAUCCCCCCUCAGUUUAGGCAUCUAAAGCCUUAGUGUUGGCUUCUUUAUCCUCUUUUAGUUCGAUAGUUCUCCAGUACUCGCCUGGAUUCUACCAUUUCUCAGUACUCGCCCGGACCCUUCUCCAGUACUCACCUAGAUUCUACCAUUUCCCAAUACUCGCCCAGACCCUUCUCCGGUACUUGCCUGGAUUCCACCAUUUUCUGGUACUCGCCUAGAUUCCACCCUUUUCUGGUACUCGCCUAGAUUCCACCAUUUUUCCGACAUCUUGCCCGGAUUCUACCAUUUCCCAAUACUCACCCGGACCCUUCUUCGGUACUAGCCCGAAUUCCAUCCUUUCCCGGUACUCGCCCAGACUCUUCUCUAGUACUUGCCCGGAUUCCACUAUUUUUCGGUACUCGCCCGAAUUUUACCCUUUCCUAGUACUUGCCCGAACCCUUCUCUAGUACUCGCCCGGAUUCUACCAUUUCUCGAUACUCGCCCAAACCCUUCUCCGAUACUCGCCUGAAUUCUACCAUUUCCCGGUACUCGCCCGAACCCUUCUUCAGUACUUGCCCGGAUUCUACCAUUUCCCGAUACUCGCUCGGACCCUUCUCUGGUACUCGCCUAGAUUCCACCAUAUUUUGGUACUCGCCCAGACCUUUCUCUAGUACUUGCUCGGAUUCUACCCUUUCCCAGUACUCACCCGAAUUCCACCAUUUUUCGACAUCUCGUCGGAUUCUUCUAUUUCUCGGUACUUGCCCAGACCCUUCUCUGGUACUCGCCUGGAUUCCACCCUUCUCCGGUACUUGCCUGAAUCAGAUCCCUUAUCUCUCGUAUUCUCCGGUAUUCACCCGGAUUGGAUCCCCUAUCUUUUCCGGCAUCGUGAUCAGGUCUCUUUUAGUUUCCUCUAACUUCGUGUCUGAUUUUCUCCUUUUUUUUCUUGGUAUCGUGUCUAGAUAUUUGAUCUUUCUUGACAUCGUGAUCAAGUCUCCUUUUAUCUUCCCUGGCAUCGUGCCCGGAUCCCCUAGUCAUUCGGCGGCUCUCUGGCAUCAUGCCUAAAUCCCCUAUUUUCCAGCAUCAUGUUCAGUUUCCUUUGUUUUCUCCAGCAUCGUGUCUUGAUCUCCUGAUCUUUUCCGGCAUCACAUCCGGUUUCCUUUAGUCUUCCCUAGCAUCGUGUCUAAAUUCCUUCAGCUUUCUCCGGCAUUGUGCCUGGAUCCCAUAGUCCAUUCGGUCAGUAUGACUUAUUUCCCUUAGCCUUCUUCAUUGUUGGGUGGGGACAAAAUUGUUGGUCAUCCGAAUUCUUCACUAAAGUUCAUUUCACUCAUUCAUCGUUUGCACUUCACACUCACGAUUCACUCGUUCAUUCACUCUACUAAAGAGGGGCAUAUUUGUGGACCCUCAAUUUUGUCCUUUGACACUUGCAUUUAUCCUAUGGGUGUCACAUGCACACAUGUUUUCAUGUGGCACCACUAGGGCCUCCUUUUGGGCUUAGUCGGUUUUUGAGCCUUGUUUAGGUUCAUAUGCGAUUCAUUGUGGUGCAAGUAUGGUUCAUUUUAGAGUGCCAUCACGUCCAUUUUCCUAGUUGUUGGCAUCGUGCCAUAGAAAGGAAGUGGGGUCGUCCCAAAAUUUUAGCUGAGUUAGACCUCAUUGGAGUGUGUUGAAUUCAGAGCACUCAGGCUUAUUUUGAUCAUAUCUCCCGCAUCCGAACUCGGAAUCACGCACCGUUUUUUUCAUGGACUCCUUGUUCUUCAAAGAAUAUUUUGUCAAAAUUUCAAAAUUUUUCUCAACCGGCUCGACCAGUUCCUAAAGUUUCAGUUUGGGCAGAAUUCAUUGAAGCAUGUAUGAAUUCAAAGCACGUGGGAUUAUUUCGAUCAUAUCUCCCUCAUCCAACCUCAGAAUUGUGUACCAUUUUUUUCAUGGACUCCUUAUUCUUCAAGGAAAAUUCUAUCAAAAUUUCAAAAAUUUUCUCAACCGGCUUGACCGGUUGGCAUCUGGUUCAUCGAGUCAGCUUGUAUAGAGCACUGAUUUUGGUGAUUUUGGUGAUUUUGGAGCCCAAUUCCUACAUGGAUUUGGCCCAUGAGCUCCAGAUCAGUUUUGGGUUAUAUUUUGGGUCCAUUGUGGGCCUUAUUUUGGAUUCCUUGUAGCCCACCAUGAAUCCAUAUGGAUCAUUGGUGGGGAAGUAAGUUGGAAGCUAAAGAUAGUCAGCUUGCAUGGAAAAUGAGGAGGGGAGUUAAUGGGAGAGUUGAUUCCGAGACUGAUUAGAGCUCUUUCUAGAGCUUGAAUGAGAGAAAAAUGAAGAGGCUUUGAGGGCUAGAGGUCUAGGACUAUAAAAGAGUAAACAAUCAGGAUAGGAAGGGACUUUUUUUUUUUUUUUUUUUUUUAGGGAGAGAAAAUUCUGUAGAUUUUUUUUGGGGGAUUUGAGAAGAGGCUUUUGGGAGGGUUUUUGUUCAUGAGUGGUCUGAGGAUGUGGGGGAAUCUGAAGAUACCCUUGCCAUGCCUUGCAUACAACUAAAGAGGAGAGCAAUCUUGGAAGCCAAGCAGAUCUCUACUUGAGGGGAGUAUAAUCUGGUAAGCGUAAAUUGUGGUUUCAUGCAUGUUAUUCCCUUUCCCAUUGCUUUGUUCUCUCUUUAAUGUGAUGGCCGAAAAUUCCAUGGUUGUUUUGAAUGCUUGGGGAACGGGGUAUGGCUUUCCUUUUCUUAUUCUUGGUUUAUAUUUUAGUCUCGUGUUUUGGUUGAUGUGCCUCACCUUUCAUCGAUUUAGAGUGGCAUGACUCUGUCAUCUAUGAGGAACACUUGGCCUUGUUUUAGUUGGUUCUCACUCAUCCGGGCUUGGAAUUGAGCACUAUUUCUUUUGUUAGAUUUCUUAUUUAUUUAGAAAUUUUUUGACAAAAUUUGGGAAUUUUUCUCAACCGGAUGAACUAGUUGGGAGCCGGUUCAACCGGUUCAGCACUAUAGCUCACUGAUUUUGUUAGCUAUGAGGAACAUUGAACCUUGUUUAAGUUGGUUCUCACUCAUCUGGGCUUGGAAUUGAGCACCGUUGCUUUUGUUAGAUCCCUUAUUCAUUUAGAAUUUUUUUGACAAAAUUUGGGAAUUUUUCUCAAUCGGAUGUACUGGUUGGGAACCAGUUCAACCGGUUCAACACUACAGCUUAUUGACUCUAUUAGCUAUGAGGAACACUUGGCCUUGUUUUAGUUGGUUCUCACUCGUCUAUGCUUGGAAUUGAGCACUAUUGCUUUUUUUUUUUUUUAUUCCUUAUUCAUUUAGAAAAUUUAUGAUAAAAUUUGGGAACUUUUCUCAACCGAAUGAACUAGUUCAACACUACAGCUCACUGACUCUGUCAGCUAUGAGGAACACUUGGCCUUGUUUUAGUGAGUUCUCACUCAUCCGGGCUCGAAAUUGAGCACCGUUGCUUUUGUUUGAUUGCUUAUUCAUUUAGAAAUUUUUCGAAAAAAUUUGGGAAUUUUUAUCAAUGGGUUGGACUAGUUGGGAACCGGUUCAACCUGUUCUGCAAGAAGACUAUGGGCAACCCUCAGUUUUGGCAUUUUUCGAGCCCGUAUCCAUUGGGGAUCAAACCCAUUUGCUAUGGGGAACUUGUGGGCCAUCUUGAAGGUUUGAAUCUGUGUUUGGUUUCAGUUAGUGUGGGCCCAUUUUGAAGUUAUGGGCGGUGUGGUCUAGGUAAGGCUAGUUUGAUUUGUAUGACAUUUGGGGAGUCACUUACCUCACUUCAACCAGCUUUCCUCCUCUUUGGCGAAAACUUUAAUGCUUGAUUCUGAAUACAUGUUUUGUGGUUGACUCACCCUUUAUUGUAGCGCAUGGCUAGGGACCACAGGUACGCGCUUUGAUUUAGGAUUGUUGAAUUCAAAUGCAUGCAUGGUGCUUAAUCUUGAAUGUUAUGUGUUUAUGUGUGCUUGACUAAUCUCUUCUGUAGCACAUGGCUAGGGACCUCAGGUAUGCAUUAUUGGUUUUGGUUGAUGAAUUCAUAUGUAUAUCAAAUACCAAUUAGGAUUGUGUGAUUCAUGUCAUCUAUUUAGCCUAGGGUUUUGUUGGAUCUUUGACCCAUAUGCUCCCAUGUGCCUAUAGACCCUCAAUUUUGUUCCUUUAGCACAUGUCUUUAAAUUAACUUCCGGUGCUCCACAGUAGUUUCUUAGUGGCCCAUUACUACUCGUACAACUUACCUUUUUUUUUAGUCACUUUGGAGAUUUUUGUUGAGAGAUUAUCUGACCCCUUAUUGCGACCCUUGACAGCCCUAGAUUAGAUUUAGGCUUUUCAUUCUUUUUUAGGAUAGCUUUUAAAUACAUUUGGCCCAUUAGGCACCACCCUAGGCCCACUUAGGUCCACCUUGCCCCACUUAGAUUCACUUGAGCCCAUUAAGGUAUACUUGGCCCUUUAAGACAUUUUUAGCAUGACUUGUAUGACUUGCAUGGCCCGCAUAGAAUUGACCAUUUUAUUUCAUUUUAUCUAAUUAUUUUGUUUUACUUUAUUUAUUUAUUUUUUAUUUUACUUUACCCUUGAUAGGUUAUAAGGUUGCUAACUCUUUUGGUUUUAUUCUCUCUAUUUUCGUUUUUAUUGUUUGACAAUAGAAUGGGGGCUACUAUUCGACUCUCACUAAGGCAUGUACGCUCAAAGAAGGUAAGAAAAAUAUUUUUAGAGGGAAAAGGGAAUUAACGUGGCUGCAUACAUAUUGGAAAGAGAAGAUCUUGCAUGAGAAGAGAUGAGCAUUCUGAUUUUCGAAAAAAAAAAGGGAAAUAGAAGAAAGGAAAGUGGAUUUUCUUUAGCAGAUUUGGUUUGAGAGGCUGAUACAAAUAUAAGGAGAAAAGGAAAAGAAGGGGGUAGCACGCAUUGGAGAAAAGGAAAAGGAGGUGGUGGUCUUGAGAGAAAAGAAGAUUGGGGAUUAUCUUUGUGGAAAAGCACACAAGAGUGGGAAAAUGGUGAUUACAGUCAAGAUUGUCCAGGUACGCUUCUGGUUACUCUCGGUGUUCUUAUCUAUGUUCAAUUUCUUUACUUGGUCGUUUCUGAAUAUUCAAUGCAUUGUUGAUUGGUGUGGACAAAAAGGGCCACAAGUUGUUUCGUUGAGAUUGGUUGCUUGCUUGUUUGCCUUGUUUUGUUUUUGAUCCCUUUACAUGUUGUUGAAGCCUGCCGAAAUGUGUGACUUUGUGCCUAUGUGUAAAUCCUAUUCCCCAUUAUCCCCUUCUUCAGUCCAUGGUUUAACAUGUGAAAUGGAGUUGUCAAUGUUGAUUAAUACCUUCUACUCAUCCUUUCUUUACAUUUAUGUUUUCAUCUAUGUUACAUCUUUCCUUUCUCGUUCCAAUGUCCGAGUCUUGGUGCACUUUGGGGCGUGUUUCAAGAGGACGACAAAAGUGCUGGCAUGAGGGAAGAGGAGUGCGACAAUCUGUCACAAUUCUCAAAAUCCAACCUCCUUCGCAUUCAACGCUUUGAUAAGAGCCCGUUCCAAAAGUGCAGCCCUUCAUCGAAGUUUUCUCUUCUAUAACAGAAUUCUUCUUUCUACUGGCUAUUUGACCUCUAAGAAUUACACUUUCACGUUCUUGGUUUGUAUCUCUGCUCAUCUACUGGCGCAUGGGACUGGUUCGUCUAUACAUGGCGUCGUUGUGAAACAUGGGUUUGAGCAUAAGCCAUGUGUUCAAAAGGGCUUGAUUUACAUGUGCGCGGGAUUGGAUGGCUUGGUCGCUUGCCAUUGGGUGUCUUCAUCAAUUUGUGAGCCAGAUUUGGUGUAUUAGAUUGUAAUGGUCAGUGCAUGUGCCAAGAUGGGAGAUUUUUACCUUUGCUCGGAAGUUGUUUGAUAAAAUGCCCCACAAGAACCUUAUUGCAUGGAAUGCAGUGAUUUUGGGAUAUGUGCAAUGUGGGCAACCAUAUAGCGGGAAUCACCAUUGGAAAGAAGAGUAUCGACCACUUAAAAGAGAGAAGCACCAGAAUUUCAGAGAGAUGAUGAAUGAACACGCAUUCAUGGGAGAAUGACGGCUGCCAAUGCGUACAUUACUAUGGGGACCGGUGAAUCAUUAGUUUUCUGGAAGACCUUUGGAGGGGGGAACACAACUAACCGGGACGACCAAGCAAUAUUCAUGGAGACGAGGUCCUGCCUGUGGUGGUAAGAAGUUAAAUUCUGCAUGUUUAGAGCACUGCAAAAAUACUUGACCUCAAGUAUCAGUGAGCUUUGAGUGUUCAGUUCUUUUACCAUCUAGAGCUUUCACUACCAGUUCGGUCAAACAGAACCUCCAAUGGGUUUGCAGAUUCAUGUGGGUCUGAUGAGAAGAGUGUGAUCCAGACUUGGACUUCUCGGACUUUUCAAGGUGAACCCACGGUUGUGGUUACUAGUGGAAACUCUGUUCUCUGACAACAAGGGCAAACUGAGAUCUUCAAAUUUUGAAAAUGGAUAUACACACUUCAGAAUCUAUUUGUCUUCUUUGCUGAGUCUGAAGCAAAGCAUGUUUUUAAAGAUUAUCUUCAUUCCCUUGUUACAAAAAAUCAUGAUCUAUCCUAUUUGUAACCUAUCCAAGUUCUUUACUGAAGAAGAUUUCUGUUGCGGUUCAGGUUGAGGCACUUCAUUAUUUUUUUGUUCUUUUGUUCACGGUCAGAACAAUGCUUACAUUUUCAACUCCUAAACAAAUUUCCCUCUAUUUUUGUUCCACUGUCCAGUGAUAACCAGGAUGCGCAGCUACCUGCUAUGGAAUGCAUUGAACGGCUAUAUACACUGUUCUCGUGUUGUUUUUCUUUCUAGCAGAAAAAGUGUGAAAUGGCAAGGAACAGAGAAGUUUAGAGUCAUUUUCUUGAAGAGCCUUUCAGCUUAGUCCUUCAACAAAAGAGGCUGAUAUUGUCAAACAGAAAUGUUUUCCCACCUCUUUUUACAUCUUUGCUCGGCUCCUCCUGUCAUAGCCUUUUAGUGCCACAGAAUAUUGGACAGAGGUCUGACCAAUCUACAAGGAAAGACAUAUUACAUUUCAUCUCGGACUUUGCUUUAAAGCUCUCUUCAUAUGCAAAGCUGAAGAUUUUAUCUCUGCUUAAAGGAGUUGGUGGUGAAGUUAUGUAUAUUAAAGAUGUGAAGUUAUUUAUGUCAUAACUUUUAAGAAGACAGUCAAUAUCAUUUUGGGCUGAAUGAACCAUAUCAAAAGUUAUCAAGGAUUGAAGUAGAAAUCCUAUGCCUUCUACUGGAGGGCUGUGCUGUUCAUGCUUCAUCAGUUGGUGGAUAUGGUUUUGAAGAUCAUUUAUUGAAGGCUUUGCAAUUGCCGCUGGAUGAUAUGUCUCUAGAAGACCCUGCUCUUGUACAUCCUUGUAUCACUGUUUUGAGGAAGCUCAACUCUCCUCUGUAUAGUGGUUUGAAGAUUGAGAAAAAGGAGCUGUUGUGUCGAGAUCUUGUAUUUCUGUUCCGGAAUGCUAAUUGCUAUAUACAAAAUGGCAUUGGGAAGGCAUUGUUGUUCAUCUAGAUUACAUGUUCCACUCUAGUCCAGUUGCUUGAUUCUAUUUUUGGACAAGAGGGUUUUAUGAUUGGUUCAGUAUGUGAAAAAAAAAAAAAAAAAAGGUGGUGGCCAUCAAUAAAUUCAGAUGCAGUUGAUAUCAGUAAUGAGUCAUUUGUCCAACCUUCAUCUUUUAUGUAUCUGUUCUGACUUAGAGAAUAUUGAAAAGAGAUCAGAGACUAAAACUGUACUCAAGCUACUGCCAUGGCCUAAUUUUGCCUUGGAAUGCCUAUUGAUUUACACAAUACUAUGGCCUUCAAGGGGCUUUACUCAACGUUUACUUUGUACACCCUCUGCUCCUCCCUUAGCGAUUGCUAGAAAAAAGCUUUAAUUGAAUUUAGCAUUGAUUCGGGCUGCUUUCCUCUGACUCCUAGAGUUUAGAAGUUGUAGCAAGAAUGUCGAUGAUGAAUCUGAUGCAUAUAUAAUUGUUUCAAUUGCAAAUGCUACUCUUGCUCUUUCAAUUGGUGACACAGCUGUUAAACUACUCUUGUGCUUUCAAUUGGUGACACAGCUAGUAAGGAUAACAUAUCGGUUUAUCAACGCGUAGAAGAGAAUCUGAAUUUUGGCAUCACAAAUAGAGUAGCUCAUUUGGAUAAAUCUGGCUCCAAGAGUGGCUAUGUGUAGAAAUUUAGGCUUAUGAGACUUGCUUGAACUUCUGUAUGGUAGGAAGAGACAAGAACAGAACUUGCUGGAGAGUGUAAAUCUGGCUCCAAGAGUGGCUAUGUGCAGAAAUUUAGGCUUAUGAGACUUGCUUGAACUUCUGUAUGGUAGGAAGAGACAAGAACAGAACCUGCUGGAGAGUGUCUAGGUUAAUAGACUAGAGCCCUUUGAUUUGAACAUACUUGAAAACUAUACAAUAUUCUUCAAAAUCAAAUGUUGUGACCUGUUAAAGCGAAUGAAUGAAAGAAACAAGUCAACGGGUGGAUUCAAAUUUAAGGCCUUGUGUAUUUUAUAAUGGUGACAGAGUUGCACAGAUUUAAGUUAAAGGAUUGGGAUUAAAGGAACCUCCCCCUCAUAACUUCAACCAGUUUUCAAUGCUCUGCAAUUUGGGGUUUCAGAGGAACUAUUUCAAUGGCAAAUUGCCUUCUUCUCGCAGAUUGUCUGAAUUGUAAUUCACCUUCUUGGAUUAUAACAAAGUCGACACCAUCUCCGCUGAUUUCUCUGAAGGCCUUGCAACUAUUCGGAUCCUCACUCUAAAUGACAAUCCGUUCAAUUCAACUACUAGUUUAUAUUAUUUGAAGAGAUAAUUAGAAAGCUAUCAGUCACCAAAACAAAAACGUCACAAUGGGAUCUCACUGGCUAGAACCUUGUUGACGGUUAGCUCAGUUUCUCUUGCGAUGGCUCCAGCAGGGACAGCACAGACUGUUGCUAAAGAACUUCUUGAUUCAAUUUUGGACAUUGUUGUUCAGACAUUUGAAAAACCAUGUUUUGUUAGAGCCUUUUAGAAUCAAAAGCCACCCAAGUUAAUAUGAACACACCCAAGUCAAUGACUAUAGAUGCAAACUGGAACCAUGAUCCUGAAGCAUCUCGAGUAAGGAAAAAGCUCCUAAUGGUGGACUUAAGUUACUGAAACAAACAACUGGCCCAAGCUCUGCAAAGGGCGAACCUUUCAAGGGCCUGGCUUCAGGAAAGCCACCUAUGCGUAUGCAUCAUGAUGCAUUAGGUUUUAAAGGAAGUUCACAGGUUUCUGCAUCUGCUUGAAGCCAUUCUCCUUCUAGUGCAAGUAUUACAAAAGAUAAUGAGAAGCCAGUCAAGUUGGAAAGCAUGACUAACUCCAAACCAGAUGGUAAUCAAUCAAGGUCACCAGGAUUGGUAGGCAGAAUGGAUGUUGAGGGGGAGGAGGGCAAUAAUUUAAUGUCUGAAGAGGCAAAGGUUGCCUUUGCCGCGGCUGAAGCAGCCCGUGCUGCUGCUCUUGCAGCUGCUGAGGCUUGUGCAUCUGAAGCCAAGAGCAACACACCACUGCAGCUUCCUAAGAUACCCUCAUUUCACAAAUUUGCUAGAAGAUAGCAAUAUGCACAAAUGGAUGAGAUAGUUGAAUCCAAGAAAAAAAGUUGGUGUUCCUAAAAGAACACACCAUUAGAGGGCCUUUACGAGCCAUUCGGGAAUUUCUGUACGUAAUGCGAAGUAGGAGGUUACUAAAAGGAUCUAACUCAAGAAUAAGAAGAGAGAUGAGGAGAAAUGGUGGCUAAAGAGGCAGUCCAAAUCAGUAAUAGACCAAAAAGUGGGAUACUCCUGAUGGCGUUUACCUUAGAGGUGCCGAACUGAGUUCUGCAACAUUUUAUUCUGUCACAGUCAAUAAGGGACAGCCCAUAAUUCAUGAAGUUGUUCUCAAUAGAUCAGUCUUAAAACAUUCCUCUCAUUUAAUUUCUAACUCUUCCAAUAACUGUCAUAAAGACAAAAUUCUCAAGACCAUUAGAAGAUCAGAUUGCUAAUGGAGUUGUACCGAGUUUUUCAGAAUAAGGAACUUAGUUAGAAGUUCAUGACACUUGUCAGGGAUUGAAGUUCUAUUCAAACUACUAUCGCGACUUAAUUUUUUCCCGAUUUUCCGAAAUAAUGCCUAUUGCUCUACAUAAUAUCUCGGUUUACAAAAGGCUUUACUCAACAUCAUCCAUCAUUAGUACUCCAUAAAACCGGUCAACAAUUCUACAAGUCUCCAAGGCUUCCUUGUUCUCAAUACUAAUGGUGGUGUUGCUAGCUCUGGUUUUUGGUCUUUUUUUUUAGCAUCUCUCUACUAAGUAUUCUAAGAAAGGUGGAAAUUUCAUAUAGGCCAUGUCCCCACAGGUUUCCCUGGGAUUAAAAAUUCAUGAACAAGGACUUUCUGGAACAUCUAAAUUUUCCUAGUCAUAUUCCUAAAGAUUCUAAUGAAAUGGAAAAUGGGAUUUUUCCCAGAUCAGUUGGUAUCUAUAUCCGAAACGAGACUGCUCGAUCAAGUCAGAACAUGCUUGAACUUCUUUGUAAAGCGGAUCAACUAAGGGAUCAAAGUGCAGCAUGCUCAAUUCAGUUCUCAAAGAGGAGUCCAUUAUCUAAAAUAUCAGAAUCAGAAAUUUUCAUGGUUCUAUAGGUCACCUUCAGCGAAAUCAGUCCUUUGCUUCUUAAAUCAGUUAAUUCGCUCAACUCACAUACCUCUCCUGAGAUAGAAGAUAAGAGUCAUGCAUGGCUGACAUCCGCUCUUCCUGUUCGGUCUUUACCUCAUUCCCAUGAAGCGUUCAAAGAGAGUCGAGGUAUAAUGAAUUCUUGGGGAAAAGAGCAUUCGAGACUGUAUGCAAAGCAUUUGAUGAAGUAGAUGGAAUAGAACUCGCAUGGGGUCAAAUGGAAAUUAAGGAUUUAUUACAGUCCCUUCAAUAGCUGCAAAGAUUAUAUUCAGAAGUUCAUCUACUGAUGUCAUUGAAACAUGAUAACAUCAUCAAGUUCUAUAACCCUUGGGUUGAUGAUAUGAAUAGGACUAUUAACUUGAUUACACAGUUAUUCACUUCCGGGAGUUUGAGACAAUAUCGGAUGAAGUAUCAGAAUGUCGACUUCAAAGUUCCCAACUAGUUUCGAGUCCCACGGAUGCCCAAGCUGUCUUUGAAACUCUGACAAGGAGUAGCUAUUCAAACCAUCUCCAACAGUACACCCAGUGCUGAUAGUUUAUGGUGGAUAACAGAGGUCAUUACAAAAAAAAUGAGGAGGGAAGGCUGCUGUUACUUUUUGAAGGUACUGACAAUGUCAUAUUUGAGAGGCUUGCUCAAGAUGGAAGGAGGCUGUUUUGGGGAAGGAAAAUCAGGUCCAUGUGACUGCUCACUUCUAGAUACAAUUUCAUAUUGAAGAUUUGUAACUAAUGACUUCUAAGCCCGAAAAGAGAAGUAAAAUCUGCAGCCAAAGAAUGAGUUUGAAACUAAAGAUAGUAUGAUUAGGAAUGAACGCAUUAAAGACUUCCACUCUGGUUUUCUCGCCACUGAGAUUUACCACUCAUCAGGAAAAUCCGACUAAAGUCUGUCCAACAGAAGUUGACUUAAAAAAAACUUGAAUCACCAUAUUUAUCUCCUCUGUUAUGGCCCCGAGAGGUCUUUAUCUGACACCGAAACGACCUUCUGAAUUUGUAUUUAAGUCCUUUUGUUGAGAGAGAAGUGAUUUCUUUUGGAUCGAUCGCAUACUUAAAAAGUUACUGUUUCAGCUAAAAAUGCUAAUUCCUGAACUGCCAAGCGUGAAGCUUGAAACCUACUGGUUUACAAGAAGCUGGAAGCGCUUAUCUAACAAUUUUUGGGAAGAGGAAGCACUUAUAAGAAUCUGAACUCCUCUUGGAGGCGCUUCUCAAGACAAGAAGUUGCCCCAUUUCUAGCUAUAUUCAUUAGAAGAAAUCAUUUUGAUGAAUGUGGAAUUAUUUAUUGUCUUUCAAGACUGGACUGUGAAGAUGUUACUGAAAGGUUACAGGAAUGUGGACACAAAGCAACAUUUUUAUCACGGUUCCAUGGAUCCCGCUCAGCGUGCCUUCAUUCAGAAGCAAUUAAGUAAAAAAGAGAUUAAUAAAAUUUGUGCAACUGUGGCUUUCGGAAUGGGUAUCAACAAACCAGAUGUCCACUUUUGUGUGCUGUAUUAACUAAAAUACAGCACACAAGAUGAACACAAGAUGUUACAAUGAUUAUAUCCAAGUGAGGCACAUGAUCAAUCAAGGAGCAGUAGAGAAAAGUCUAUUGGCAUAUGGACAAAAAUCAUUCAAAUAUGGUGAGUUCAGGAAAAAUAUUGGAAACCAAUACUAAAAAUCUUUUGCACAAGGAAAGUUAUUGUGAAAAUGAUGUUGAUUGUUUGAGUCCUCUACAACUCAUACAUUUUGGAGAAAAUUUUGAUUCAGCCCAUUGCAAAAAGACAUGUGACAAUUGUUUGAAGAUUAAAAGCCUUGUUGAGAAUAAUGUUACCGAGAUCGCAAAAUAGCUGGUCAAGUUUGUGAAGUUAACACAAGAGCAAUUCUCCUCAUCUCAUAUCCUAGAGGUGUAUAGGGGUUCCUUAAGCCAAUAUGUUAAAGAAACACAAACAUGAAACUUUGAGUUUGCAUGUAGCUGGGAAGCAUUUAGCCAAGGGUAAAGUGUUGAUGGCAAAAUUCCCCUUCUACAGUAUCAAUUGCCAGCAACGGAAUCUCGAUCAACGCAUUCCAGUGAUUCUCCCUUCCUCCUGCAAAAAGAUGUCCGAACGGGUGGUCCGGACACACCCUCCGAUGAUUAAGUCAGCGUUAUGGAAGUUAUAAGGAAACAACUUUUGGCCUGUUUUUGGGAGUGAUGCUCCGUGAUCGUCUUCAAGGAUACUUACCCCCUUUUUGGAGUUUCUUUAGAGCUUAUAUACGAGUCAGAGAGUAUGGCCUUACUGAGCUAAUGGGUCCCAUAGUCAUGAUUGCGACUCAAAGGGGGGCGAGGCAAUCAUGACUCUUCUGGUCCGAGGUGAUGGCUGUCAGAAGAGUCUUCAGACGGCAGUUGUCACCUCAAAUUAUGAUGAUUGGUACCGGGAAUGCGUCAGGCAAUCUGAGAAGAUUUGGAAGUGUCUAGUCAAGCGUAUCUUGUAUUGAAGAGGAAUGAUAGUUCAAGAGACUUGGUCAGCAGUGUUGACGGAGUUGCCUUCCUGAUUAUGGGCUGAAAUGGAAUAGGGAAAUCAUGAGGGUCAUACGAGUUGAUGCGUCCGGGGAAUUCGAAUCGUCGGCUCCGGAUGUGCUCCGGGUAAGCGCUGCCAACGGAUCCGGGCGUGACUGACCGGGGAAGUUGAAUCGCGCUGCUUUUCAUCCGGCGACAAACCACCGGUUGUGAAAUAUCCAAAGAAGGUGGAUCGUCAGCCGUGCAGAAUCCGCCCGGGUGGAAUAGCGAUGCUAAGUGUCGCAAGGGGGGUUGUCUGCGUGGCCAAGGGAGAGGGGGCCACGUGGCACAUUUUAGGGAGGAUCCCACAAUGCCCCCUUUUAUACCGCAUGUCUGGCCCGGUCAAAAAAGGUGGGAUAAAAAUGUCAUCUUUACAAAAAUUUUCUUUCAUAUGGAAACCAAUGGCACGUGGCACUUGCUUGUUGUGGGAGCUAAUGGGGCGUGCCGACUUCGAAAACUCUGCCAGAUGGUGUGUCGUUUCGGAACUUGGAGCGAUUAGGUUUCCUAUCGUUUGGGGAAUUUUGGGGGUUUUGUUCCUAUAAAUAGGGGCCCAGGGCCCUCUGUUGACACUUUUCAGUUUGCUCCCAGCCUCCCAAGUGUUUCCAAAAAGCAUUUCAGAAAAAGAGCGAAAACGCGGCAACUGGUCUUCGACUUUUCCCAGAAACUUUCGAAAGGUUUGUUGUUUCGCUCUUUCUUCCUCUUUCAUCUUGUUGUUUGUGAUGUUGUUUGUUUACCAUUGAGGGGGUGGAUUGGGUUGGUAGAAGUGAGCGCUAUAGGGUGUUUUUGUCAGAGUCAAAGCCUCGAAGAGGCUGUUUUACAUGGGUUGGGUCGCGUUGCGGACUAGCAAGGUGCUCCUGGUGUAUUUUAGGGGUUUUCAAAGGUUUCUUUGAAUGUGAGGUUGCUGAGUGGGUGGUUUGCUCUUGGGUGAAAACGCGCUUUGACUGGUGCCUUUUUGUAACGCAGGUUUUGUGUAAUCGAAGAUGUCUUCAAAGAAGGGAAAUGUGGCGACUGGUGCGUCGGGGCAAGGUGGUUCAGGUGGGUAAGCCAAACAUACUGAGCUUUUAACUGAGCAGGAGUUCCAGGAUUGCUUUGGUAUUCUAAAUGGAGUGUCCGUUCAGCUGCUGGAGGGUAAUGAUGUGUCUACUGUAAAGUCGGGAGACAACUCCAUUUGCUUCACCAAAGAACAAUUCAACGCGGGACUUCGUCUUCCGCUCCCUUCACUUUUUAAGCAAUUCCUCCACUAUACCAAGAUUCCUCCAGCUUUGAUCCAUCCCAACGUUGUCCGGGUACCGAUGGGCUGCAGCAUUCUGGACAUGCUGUUUAUCUUGGGCCUGUCUUUGCUGGAGGUCCUAUUCGUCUACUCCAUCAAGAAGGCCAAAAACGAUAGCUUCAGCCUGGCCGCCAGUAUUCCAUCGCUUUAGUUGGUGACCGGCCUUCCUGACUCGACUAAGGAGGUUGCCAAAGGACAUGUGCUGGUCAAGGGCCCAUGGGCAGGCUUGAUGGUGCAUCUGGAUAAGCAGUUUGUCCCCAACCAGUCAUUGAAGGACCCAGGUAUGAAUAGAUUGUUCCUUAUCCUCCUGCGGUUGCGAGUUAGGUUAGCAUCGUCAGGUGGCUGACAUGCUUGGUUCUCUUGGGUGCAGGCACGGAUAAAAGGGGAAAGUUAGUAGAAUGGGUGGAAAAAGCUUCGUUCGACCGGUUGAACAAGCUUUUUGAGAUAGGGACAGGUGAGAGGAGCUGUCAGACACUUCUCUUCAUGCAGAAUCUCCUCUUGGUUAGCCAAGUGUCCCAGCUGUACGUACCCAAACAUAAUCCCGAGGCGGCUACCCAAGAAGGUGGUGGCCGAAGAACACUUUGUUCUCAAGGAUCUUCUGUUCUAUUUGGAGGCGUGCGAGGCAGACGUCCAGGCACGCCAAGAGCGCCUCAACCAACGGGAGGAAAAGAGGUAAGAGGGAACUUUGCGGAGGGCACCUGGUGAUAAACGCCCGACGCCAUUUCCUCCGGCCCGCACCCCAGUAGACAAGAAGAAGAAGGUUCCCAUAAAGGCAAUAGUAAUAAGAUCCCCAGUUCCCUCCUCCUCUUCCGCUUCUUCAAGCGAGUUAGGCCUUCCUGAACGUAUUCCCGGACAAUACGGAUCGGGGCCUUCCAUGCCUGUGUUUGAACGGUUAGCUCUUCCGGCUGAGGAAGAAGCUUCAGUGGAUCAGCCCGACUCCCCACACCCGGACGCGGAUGGAAUGGGAUUGGUGGUGGCAGUGAACGAGCCGGUGGGUGAAGUAGUUGGGGCUUCUUGUCCUAACCCGAAGCCCCUUUCGGCCACUCCAAUGGAGGAAGCAAGGGUUGAGAGGCAAGAUUUGCCCCCUUAUGAGCCGAGUGCCCUUGCACUUGUACCGGUGAAGGGGCCGACCACGGGGAGGUCACGUCUGCCCCGUGAUUUAACGACCGGCAUCAGCGGGAGGCUUCAGGAUCGCCUCUACGAGACCAUUGAAGUCAACUGUUCAUCCGCCCGGGAAGAUCAUCCGAAGGGGUACCAGACGGAGAUAGCUGGGGAGGAUCCAUCUGAUCUAGUGUUCAUCCCGGAUGAGGACUCGCCAGGAGAUGUUCCGUCGAUUGUGAAUGAAGAGGGUCCGGCUCCGGGGGAGGAGCCACACAAUGAUGACCCGACUAAGGGGGAUCCAUCCGAUGAUGUGGCCUGUGUCUCUGUUAGCCCUUUCAGUUAUGCAGAGUUAGGGGAAAUGCUGAAUCAUAUUUUUUCCGGCUCAGAUGUCGAUUUGCUUUCAGUGAAGAUGUUUGAAACGGCGGAAAUGGUAUAGCUUAGUCUCCUUGAUUUUUCUCGUCAUAUUGGUAUAUUUUUCGCGUGGUAGAUGCUUUGAAUUUGUUGUUGUGGGUUUUUCUACAGCUGGUGAGUGGCAUUCGCGGCAUGGUUCAACAACGUGAGCUUUUUUCAAACUUGUUGCGAAUGGCUAAUCAUGUGAAGGCCUUUGUUUCCCAGCGCAUGGGUGGUGAGGAGUUGCACUUGAGAUUGGAGCAGGCCAAAAUAAACUCAACCGCCGCCCGGAGAGCUUUUGAAGAGAAUGCUGAAGCUUUAAAGAGGUCCCAAGAGGACAAUGAGGCUCUCCGGAUCAAGUUAGAAGAGGCUAAGAGCUGGGAGGAAGCUAUAGAAACACGACUGAAUGAGGCUGAGGAUGGGCUGGCCUAGCUGAGGGGGGAAGUGAGACAGCUCCGGACUGAGGCGUCAAUCGAGAGGAAGCAAAAGGAGAGCUUGCAGUUGCACCUAAUAGCAUAAAAAGAAGAGUUGGAGGCUGAGUUUGCCAUGCAAAGGGAGGAACUCGAAACGGAAUACCAGAAGCAGGUGGACGAGAUGUAUUUUUUCGGCUACCGUUGUUGUAUGAAGAAGAACGGCAUCAAACGAGAUGUUCCUUCGAUUCCUCCGGGUGAAGAGGAAAAGUUACACCGCAAGCCUUCCCAAUGAAAGCUCUCAUUUUGUAAUUCUCACUGCUAUUUCUCUCUGUAUAGAUAGUCCGAAGAACAUCUUUUGUUUAUAAUUCACAGUUAUUAAUAAAACACACUUCUUUUCAUGGUUCUUCCAUCUUUGCUUUCAUUGUUAGUAUUGCUUUAGAUUGGCUACAUUCCAAGGACGGAGUAGGGGGGUUCCAUUUAAAGUUUGUAAAUGGUAUGAUCCAUUUUUGUUGACUUUAAACACUACAUAAGGUCCUUCCCAAUUGGCCUGAAGUUUUCCAGCUCUUUUCUCAGCCGUGUUUUCAAAGACUUUUCUAAGCACCAAUGACCCUUCCUUGAAAACCCGAGGUCGCACCUUCCUGUUGUAAUAUGCAACCACCUUCUGUUGAUAUGUGGCCAUCCGGACGAAUGUUGCUUCUCUAGUCUCAUCCGCCCAAUCCAAGUGCCUUGCAAGCUCGUCGUCCUCAUUUCUUUGUCCUUGGAUGGCGGUCCGGGCUGUGGGCAUACCAACUUCGGUGGGGAUUACGGCAUCUGUUCCGUGUGUAAGAGCAAAUGGAGUAUUCUCUGUCGGCCUUCCGGGUGUGGUCUGAUAGGCCCAUAAGACGUCGAGUAGCUUUUCUACCCACUUUCCUUUGGCUUUUUCCAAUCGCUUCUUUAACACACUUAGUAAGGUCUUAUUGGUAGCUUCCGCUUGACCGUUGCCUUGAGGGUACCGCGGUGUGGAAUACAGGUUCUUGAUGUGAAGCUCCGUGCAAAAAGCUUUAAAGGCCAAGCUAUCAAAUUGAGGCUCAUUGACAACUAUGAUUGCCUAAGGGAUUCUAAAUCGGCACACUAUAUUUUUCGAAACGAACCUCUUGAUGUCCUUAUCCUUGAUGCUCGCGUAGGCCUCAGCUUCGACCCACUUGCUGAAGUAAUUAGUGGCAAUGAGUAAGAACUUCUUUUGAGCGGCUGCGAUGGGUAAGAGCCCCACGAUAUCUAUCCCCCAUUGUGCGAAAGGCCAGGGGCUUGUCACUGAGUUUAAUGUCUCAGCGGGCAUAUGUGGAAUUGGUGCAUGCUUUUGGCAUUUAUCGCAUUUCCUGGCAUAAAUCUCUGCGUCCUGCCUCAUGGUAGGCUAGUAAUAUCCUUGCAAAUGUGCCCGAUGCACCAGGGUUCGGCCCCCCGAGUGGUUGCUGUAAACACCUUCAUGAAGUUCAAAUAGAACAUAUUGGAUUUCCGGCUGGGUCAAGCAUUUGAGAUACAGACCCCCAAAGGAUCGCCUAUAGAGAUCAUCCCCGAUUAGGGUAAAGCGGGAUGCUUGCACUCGAACUUUGUGGGCGCGCUUGAGAUCUUCAGGCAGUGCCCUCGUUUGUAAAUAGACUCUGAUGUCAACCAUCCAAUCGUAUCCCUUUGGGUCUACCUUGCAAACGUUUGAUUCAGCGAUGGUAGGAGUGGUUUGAACGUAUAUGGGCAGCAUUGUUGACUCUUUCACGGGAAAUGAUGCAGUUAUUCCUGCCAAUGCGUCGACUUGCACAUUUUCUCUUCUAGGGACUUUUUCAAUGACCCAUUCUCCCAGCCGACUGAGUGAUUCCUACACUUUCAGUAAGUAUUUGUCCAUGCGUUCGUCCUUGGCUUUGUACUAUUUUCGUAUUUGCCCCACGAUGAGCUGGGAGUUGCUAUGGAUUUUGACUCUCGGGCGUUGAGGGUGAUUGCAAGGUCUAAUCUGGAUAGGAUGGCUUCAUAUUCAGCUUCAUUGUUUGAUGCAGGAAAUCCCAAACGGAUGGAUUACUCUAACUUCUCUCCGGUUGGUGUUUUGAGGAGGAGUCAGACGCCUGAUCCGGACGAGCGAGAGGCUUAAUCAACAUGCAGAAACCACCAGUCGUCCUGAGUUGAUUCUUUGUCCGGGGCAUGCGAUUCAGGUAACUCUGCUAUAAAAUCUGCCAUGACCUGUCCAUUUAGGGAGAGUCUGGGUUGAUAAUCUAUCCCAUAUUCACUUAGCUCUAUCGCCCAUUGCAACAUUCUUCCCGUUAUGUCUGGUUUAUGCAGAAUGUUUCUAAGGGGUUGAUUGGUGAGUACUGUUAUGGGGUGAGCUUGGAAAUAGAGACGCAGUUUCUGAGUGGCCGUUCGCAAUGCUAGGGCAAUUAGUUCCAUCUUCGAAUACCUUGUCUCUGCAUCAACAAGCGCUUUGCUAAUGAAAUACAUGGGUCUCUGCUCUUGGGGCGAUAAGGAAAGGAUCAAGACAGCACUAACAACCCAAUCGGUAACCGCCAGAUACAAAUAUAACCUUUCUCUAGGUUGCAGACUGCUUAGAAUGGGAGGUUGAGAAAGAUAUCGCUUGAUUUCUUCAAAAGCGCUCUGGCAACUUGGUUGUUAUCCGGACUUAUUGACACCUCUGAGUGCCAAGAAGAAAGGCUUCAUUUUGUCUGUGAAUCGAGCUAUGAACCGUCCGAGGGCGACGAGUUUGCCAGUGAGGCACUACAACUCCUUCUUGUUUGUUGGUGGAAGCGUGUUUGCGACCGCUUUCACCUGGUCUGGAUUGAUUUCGAUUCCUCUUUGUGUAACCAUGAACCCCAGGAACUUCCCAGUGCUUACACCAAAUGCGCAUUUGGUUGGGUUAAGUUUCAUGCCAUAAUUUUUCAAUAAAUGAAAAACUUCCUGCAAAUGUUGGGUGUGUUCGCUUCGGGUUUUGCUUUUGACCACCACGUCAUCAAUGUACACCUCCACAACAUCUCCAAUCAGCGGCUUGAAAAUCUUGGUCAUUAACCUUUGAUAUGUGGCCCUAUCGUUCUUGAGUCCGAAUGGCAUGACUUUGUAACAAUAGAGUCCAUGAGGGGUUAUGAAGGCGAUUUUUUCUUCGUUCCCUGGUGCCAUGGGAAUUUGGUGGUACCCGGAGAAAGCGUCCAAAAAGGAUAGCAUUUCAUGUCCGGAGGUAGCAUUUCAUGUCCGGAGGUAGCAUCUAUUAUCUGGUCUAUCCUUGGUAGUGGAAAACUGUCUUUGGGGCACGCGUCAUUGAGAUUGGUAUAAUCUACACACACCCGCCAUUUUCCUCCCUUCUUGGGGACCACCACUACAUUUGCUAACCACUCCGGGUACUCCACCUCUCUUAUAAACCCGACUGCCAAUAAUUUUUCCAUUUCUUCUUGAAUGACCUUCUGCCUGUUCGGAUGGAAUCGUCGAAUUCUUUGUCGAACGGGCUUCGAGGUGGCUAAUACAUUGAGCCGGUGAGAGGCGACGCUCGGAGGUAUCCUGGACAUGUUCGAGUGGGUCCAAGCAAAGACAUCAUGAUUUUGUUGGAACACCUUUUGAAGUUCGAAUUUUUCGGCUGGCGGUAGGAAGGUACUGACGUACAUGAAGCCUUCAUCCCCUUCUGAUGUCUGAAUGGCUUCCGACGGGUCUGCUGUCGGGGGAUCUUUGUCUGCCGGGUGCUGUAAUUGCUAUUGGUCAGCAGAGUUUGCUUUUUUGGGGAAGUGUUCGCGGUCAGUGCUGGGUCCGACUUCGUGAGUGAUUUGAUAACAUUGCCGGGUAGCGAGCUGGCUUCCAUAAAGAUUAAUCUGCCCAUCUUGGGUGAUGAAGCUAACCAUCUAGUGGUAUGUGGAUGGAAUGACCUUCAUCUCGUGCAACCAUGUGCGUCCCAAAAUGGCAUUAAAAGGGGAUAAAUUCUCAACCACAGAAAAUAGAACAUUUAAAAUGACAGGUCCGGCUUGAACCAGCAAUGUUACGUCCUCAAGCGAGUUUGUGGAAGAACCAUUGAAUCCGGAUAGGAUUCUUCCGAGAUUCUCCAGGCUGGCGGGUAUGAAACCCAUUUGUUUGAUGACCGACACUUGCAAAAGAUCCGCGGAGCUACCUGGAUCGACUAGGAUUCUUUUCACGUCGAAGUCCUCAACCCCUAAUAUUAGGAUGAGUGCAUCUUGAUGUGGCUGCAGUACUCAAGCGGGAUCCAUGGCGGGAAAGACAAUGGUUCCAUCUAUGGGGUGGAUGCUUUUGUUGGCUAAUCCCGGCCGAAUGGAACUUAUGUAUUCUCGAACAGUCGCUGCCUGCAGCAGUCUUUGUCUUUUUCUUUUAGAACUGUACUCAUCGUCCAAGGGCCUCUCGUGUAUGUAGUUGAUCACGACCCUAAUGGGAGCUGCUGGGGCGCGUGAGCCCUGACCAUGGGAAGAUUCUUCACCUUUAGGGGUUGUGCGGAUGUAUUGCUUCAAGUGUCCCGCCUUUAGAAGAUCCUCCACCAUAUAAUGGAGACUUCGACACGUUUCUGUGGUGUGCCCAUGAUCUUUGUGGUAUGCACAUUUUUUACUGCAAUCCCUUUCUGAGGGGUUUGAUCUUACUGGUCUCUGCCAUCUAAAGCUGGGCAAAUCUCGGAUGAUAGGAAGCAAUUUUUCAUACGAUGUGGUGAGAGGCAUGCGAAUGAGUGGGGGACGUCGCUCAUCUUGCCCCCUAUUGGAUGACCCGGGAUGGUUUGGUGCUUUGAAGCUUCUGGUGGCUUCACUUCUCAUGGCUUGGCCAGUGAUCAGGACUUGCUGCGUAGCGGCUCGGACGUCGUCCUCUAACAUGGAAUAUUUCCCUGCACGUCGAAAUAAAUUGUCAAUGGAUAUGGGAGGUUUUUUGGCGACGGACUCGAAGAAGGGGGUCCCUAGGCAUAUGCUCCGUUUGAAAAUUUGGACUUAUGUAUUCUUGAACGGUCGCUGCCCGCAGCAGUCUUUGUCUUUUUCUUUUAUAACUAUACUCAUCGUCCAAGGGCCCCCCGUGUAUGUAGUUGAUCACGACCCUAAUGGGAGUCGCUGGGGCACGUGAGCCCUGACCAUGGGAAGAUUCUUUACCUUUAGGGGCUGUGCGGAUGUAUUGCUUCAAGUGUCCCACCUUUAGGAGAUCCUCCACCAUAUAAUGGAGACUUCGACACGUUUUAGUGGUGUGCCCAUGAUCUUUGUGGUAUGCACAUUUUUUACUACGAUCCCUUUCUGAGGGGUUUGAUCUUACUGGUCCCGGCCAUCUAAAGCUGGGCAAAUCUCGGAUGAUAGGAAGCAAUUUUUCAUACGAUGUGGUGAGAGGCGUGCGAAUGAGUGGGGGACGUCGCUCAUCUUGCCCCCUAUUGGAUGACCCGGGAUGGUUUGGUGCUUUGAAGCUUCUGGUGGCUUCACUUCUCACGGCUUGGCCAGUGAUCAGGACUUGCUGCAUAGCGGCUCGGACGUCGUCCACUAGCAUGGAAUAUUUCCCUGCACGUCGAAAUAAAUCGUCCAUGGAUAUGGGAGGUUUUUUGGUGAGAGACUCGAAGAAGGGGAUCCCUGGGCAUAUGCUCCGUUUGAAAAUUUGGAGGACUGCGUCCAUGUUGUAUGACUCCACUUGUAAGACAGCUUGUCCGAAACGCUUUACGAACUCUCUCAGGGUUUCAUUUUCUUGCAUUUUGAUGUUCUGCAAAGUGCUGAUAUUUUGCUUAUGCUUGGCUGAGCACAGGUACUGCCCCAUAAAGACUUUGGACAGCUCCCGAAAAUUGUCAAUCGAGUUCGUAGGUAAUCGAUGAAACCAUGAGAGGGCUUGGCCUUGUAGGCUUGCUGGGAAAACUUUGCAUAAUAGCAUAUCAUUCCCUAUGUCGAGGGUCAUGAGCUGCCGAUAAUGCAUUAUGUGAUCAAAAGGAUCGCUAGACCCAUCAUAUGUGGAGAACUUUGGGACGAUGAAUCCUCUAGGAGGUUCAUAUUUAAUAAUGCGAGAACUGAAAGGCGUGGAGAGCAUGUCGUCCAGGCGCCUGCUGAUAGAGCCUAGAGGGGCUGUAUACGAGGGAUCUUUGCCAACUCGUGACACGAGUGGGCGGGCGAUGUGUCUCUGCGGAAUAGGGGAGUCUGAGGGCCUGGAGUGUGCCUCCAACGAUAUGGUGGUAUGAGGCCUGUUUUUGUUGGGUGUUUGUGGUCCCAGACGCGCGCGCAUUGCGUCAGAUAUUUGAGGCCUUUUCUCACGUUGUCGUUUGGAUGAGACUCGAGUAGAGUUUGAACUUUCCUCCCGUCGGACGUGACGAGUGUGCAUCGGGGCUUCAUUAGGCCCUUCAUGCACCUCGAGGGGUGGGCUAACCUCUCGGGGGUAUGGAGCUUAUUGGUUGUGAUGACGAUCCUGCAUCCGCUGAUAGUGCUGGGGUUCGGAAGAGACUUGGAUCCUCAAGACAUCGUUUUCUUCCCUAAGCCUUCUUGUUUCUUGGAGCAAAACUUGCAUUUUCCGUUCGUUGUCUCGCUGUCGUCUUUCCAUGUUGCUUUGCCAUUCAAAGUAACCUUCGUCACCCCUGGCGAAAGAACGACUCCUCGAGGGUGGAGCCAUCUUUGCAGUUGGAAGGUACAUGAUUUAUUGAGAAGAGGAGUUUCCCACAGACAGCGCCAAUGUUGAUGGCAAAAUUCCCCCGCUACAGUAUUAAUUAUCGACAAUGAAAUCUCGAUCAACUCAUUCCAGUGAUUCUCUCUUCCUCUUGCAAAAAGAUGUCCGGACGGGUGGUCCGGACACACCCUUUGAUGAUUAAGUCAGCGUUAUGGAAGUUAUAAGGAAACAACUUUUGGCCUGUUUUUGGGAGUGAUGCUUCGUGAUCGUCUUCAAGGAUACUUACCCCCUUUUUGGAGUUUCUUUAAAGCUUAUAUAUGAGUUAGAGAGUAUGGCCUUACUGAGCUAAUGGGUCCCAUAGUCAUGAUUGCGACUCAUAGGGGGGCAAGGCAAUCAUGACUCUUCUGGUGCGAGGUGAUGGCUGUCAGAAGAGUCUUCAGACAACGGUUGUCACCUCAAAUUAUGAUGAUUGGUACCGGGAAUGCGUCAGGCAAUCUAAGAAGAUUUGGAAGUGUCUAGUCAAGCUUAUCUUGUAUUGAAGAGGAAUGAUAGUUCAAGAGACUUGGUCAGCAGUGUUGACGGAGUUGUCUUCCUGAUUAUGGGCUGAAAUGGAACAGGCAAAUCAUGAGCGUCUUACGAGUUGAUGCGUCCAGGGAAUUCGAAUCGUUGGCUCCGGAUGUGCUCCAGGUAAGUGUUGCCAGAGGAUCCGGGCGUGACUGACCGGGGAAGUUGAAUCGCACUGCUUUCCAUCGUGCGACAUACCGCUGGUUGUGAAAUAUCAGGAGAAGGUGGAUCGUCGGCCGUGCAGAAUCCGCCCGGAUGGAAUAGCGAUGCUACGUGUCGCAAGGGGGGUUGUCCGCAUGGCCAAGGGAGAGGGGGCCACGUGGCACAUUUUAGGGAGGAUCCCACAUAAAGCAUCUCAAAUUUUUGUGCCAUCUUAUUACAGGGAUUUCCUUAUGGAUACUGAUGAUUGGAAUUCAAAUCAAAACAAAAAGAGGAGUUUUGGGGACGUUUUCUGGCUAUCAGUCUAUCGAAAAUCUUGACGUAUUUGCUAUAUUGAAGGAUAAAACAUAAGUGAAAUUCUUGUGGUAAAUAAGCAAACAAACCUGGUUUUACGCAGUUCGUUAAUGAUUCACAUGAAAGCACUUGAAUCAAAACACCAUCUUGCAGAACUGAAAACGAUGUUAAUGAGAGAAUUGAAGGUUUGGUCUUCUGGUUUGUACUUGGAGGGAAACAUAAUUAAGCACAUAAGAAGAUGUCACAGGAGAUUUCUAAGGAUCUACAAUUAUUCACAUUCUCAUUUAAUCAAGGGAGAUUCGAAGUUGAAGAAAUCUUAUAGCUUUAGUCGAGAUGAUCUGCUGACCCAAGAUAUCUUGGCACUUGAUACAAGUGUUGAAGCUUUUGUUGGUCAAAUUAUUGACCUAAAAAAAAAAAAACUACAAAAUGCUCUUGAAAUCAGUUAGGAAUACAUCGAAAUCGCUGUAUCAUUGAAGGAUUAUGUUGCCAUGAACCUAGUUAAGCAUGUCACCCAUAUUUCCUACACAAUUGACAACUCUAAUGGAUAGAUCCUGACUGCAGAUCCUUAAGAGCUCAAUGGGAUGAAACUUUAUCAAUCUUGGAGCCAUAAAUGAAAACCCCUAUACCGUUCACCAAAUCCUUUUAAAAUGUGACAGUCCUCUUUGAUCCAAUAUUCAGUUCUAAGCAUCCCUAUUUUGAAGAAAGAGAUAGAGAAGUGAUGAAACCUUGGCCCUGAGAAGUCAGAUAUGGAGAUUUCAGAAGUGAGGGGAGUUCAUAAAGAUGCCGCAGGCUGAAAAUACCGAAGAGGUAGAAAAAAAUAUCAAUCAUUUUCCAAAAAGGCAAUGCAAUUUUACUUCAGCAAGAGGAAUUCAAGAGCUGAGAAAUCAUACUGUAGACCCUCAAUUUUGUCCCUUUAGCACAUGUCUUUAAGUUCGUUUUCAGUGCUUCAAAAUAGUUCCUUGGUGGCCCAUGGCUACUCAUACCACUUACCUUUUUCUGAGUCACCUCGGAGAUUUUGGUUGAGGGAUUAUUUGAUCCUUUAUUGUGACCCUUGGCAGCCCUAACUUAGACUUAGGUUUUUCUUGCUUUUUUUUUAGGAUAGCUUUUAGAUACACUUGGCCCAUUAGGCACCACCCUAGGCCCACUUAGUCUCAUCAUAGGCCAUUUAGGCACACUUGGCUCAUUUGGACAUUUUUAGCGUGACUUAUAUAACUUGCGUGUUUGCAUGGCUCGUAGGGCCCUGAUUCGUCCCUAGCAGUGGCAGUGGCAAUGGCACCAUUUGAUUCGAGGUUCGAUCCCCGGCAACGGCGCCAUUUGAUUCGUGCCCAAUUGGUGUCUCAGCUGAUUCGUGUCCAGCUGGUGCUCCUUGAUUGAGGGAGUAAUCAACAAAAUUUAUAACCUAUUACACCAUAUACUAGGGUAGCAAAGACAAAGCUACUAUAGCAUAGUGGCUCUAGGAUCGUUCACUGGGAUGGGUUUUCACUUUGCAAAUGAUAUUAAUUCAAAGCUGAAUUGGUGUCUUUUCAUUUCAAGGUUAGCUUUAAAAGAAAACAUAAAGAUGUUUAAAUGAAAAAAGGUUUGGUUUUAAACUAACCACAAAUAGUAACUGAUUUUACUUAUAAAGAAAAAUGUUUCUUGGAGUUCAGAUCACUAGGCUCGUUCCUCAUACAAAAAGGAGAGUUCCGGUCACUUGUUUCUUUUCCUCGCAUUAGAGAAUUAACAUAUAGUUAAUUCUCUAACCGGUGUUAUACAGAUGCUUCCCAUUAACGGGUUCAAACACUAAAUCCCUCUCACUAAUGCACCUUGCAAUGACUCAUACCUCUCACCUAGCACUUGCCAUUCAAGGUGAUCUUUAACCUUGGAUUACCCGUCAAAAGCUCGCAAGAGAUAACUAAUGGAUGUCUCCUUGGAGUCCAAAAGCUUACCAAGUGUUGGCUAUUCUAGAAAAUCCUACCUUCAAGUCACCUCCCAAAGGCUCGCAAGGGGUAAACUAGUGCAUUUCCAUGGUUGGAAAUCACUUGCCUUACCAAGUGUUGGCCCAGGUGACUCUAAGGUGUUUUAAGUUAACUAAAAACAUAGAAAUCACUAACGGGUUACACUUUCUCUUCAUUAAAAACUAAAACAACAAAACUUCCAAAUUAUGCAUGUGGAAACUUACCUGGCUUUCCUCACUCCAAGAGACAAAAAGCUUAGCCUCUCAUCCUCUGUGGAAAAAUCCUCAGAGUUUGGUUGGCUAGAAAAUGAAAAUGAAAGAGAAGACAAGAAUAUAUAUCAAAAACAGAGCAAGUGCUCUGUUCGUUGAUUCUAUAUAUUGGAUUACAUGAUAUGGUGGUCCGAGAGUCCUCUGAGAGUGUUUACAAGAGAGUUUAUAUAGGAAGGUAAUUUACCCUUCCUUGGAUACUUCCUAUCUAAGGAAUUACAUGAGUGGUUGAAUACAAGGAGAAAAUGGAAAUUUAGACACAAAAAUCUGAAGAAAAAUAUCUAAAAGAGUCGGUGCAAAAAUAUCGGGAAGCUCUAGGAACAUUUCGCAGGUGAAAAAUGGUGUCUGCGAGAUUUCGCAGACACUCAAGAGGGCUGCGAAAUAUUUUCGCAACAACAAGUUAAACUCGCAGGGCUGCGAAAUUGGCUUCCACCUUGAGGUUCUCAGCGUUUCAGCUUGCGGCAUGUAUCGGGUAGCUUCAGGAGGAAUUCCAUAGCACUGUACAAAAAGGCUGCGAAAUUCUCGCAACAAAAGGCUGAUUUCGCAACACUUUGUAGUGAUCUGCUUGCAAUGGCUGUAACUCCUUCGUUUUAACUCCAAAUCGCGCACCGUUUGAAGCAUUGGAUUCUUGACUUCCUGAGCUUUGAAAUGGUAUAUAGAAUGUAGAAAAUGGACUUCGGGAAGUGCUCCAAAAGUGCACAAGAAGACUGCAGCUGGCUUUCCUCUGUUUUCUUCACUCUGUUUUUCCUCUCUCCUUGCUUCUCUCCUUGCAUACUUUGAACGACUUUGGCAAAGGGAUAUGGAGCUCCAAAGCUUGGUUCUUCAUGAAUUUGAGCUCUUCAUUGCUUUGCCAUGGAUUCCAAAUAACUCUCCUCAAUCUUGGAUUGUUUUAGUGAUCAAAUUACUAACAAAAACACCAAAAACUUACACAAUUUGAUUAGAAAUGAUUGCAAGGGUCCUUAACAUGUUAAUUGGGUUAAAAGACAAUAAAUACUACUCAAAAGUGUUUAAAAGAGUUAAUUACAAGCUAUCAAAUAGCACUUUUUGAGUAGUAAUGAGGCCCAUUUUUUUGUUAAUUUGUUUAUUUUUAUUUUAUUUUAUUUUAUUUUCCUCUUUAUAUUAUUUUCCUUAACUUAUUUAUUUAUUUAUUAUUUUUACCAUUUUCUAAUUUAUUUAUUUAUUUAUCUAUUAAUGCAAUUAUUUAACUUCUAAAAUUUCAUGUUUUUGCAAGGAAACUUACCAUUGGAGUUUAAGGAAGGUGGGACUCUCCUUGGAAGGUUUUGAAAAGGAAUUUGAAAUUGAGAAGAUUGCUUUUGAAUUUGAGGAUUUAAAAAAAAAAGGAUAGGGAGGAAAGAGAAAGAAGGGGGCUUUUUUUAGGGAUUGAGGGAGGAGAUUCUUUUUUUGGAGCAGCAUGCAUUGCGGGAUUGUUUAGAGGAAAAGCACAGAAGAGCAGAAAAGGGGCGAUUGCAAGCGAGGUUCUUCCAGGUACGUUCCUAGCUAUUCUCAGAAUUCUUACCCAUGUUCAAUCCUCCAUUAUUCUCUGAUCAUUUUGGAAUAUUAAAUCUUUGCUGAUUGGUGUGGACGCUAAGGGCCACAACUGGUUCUAUUGAGAAUGGUUGGUUGUUUUGUUUAUUUUCUCAGAUUUCUUAUUUUUUUGGACUUCCGUUCUUUUCAAUAUCAUUGAUCUCACAUGCAUUUGGGUAUGUUCUUGAACCUGAUGAUAGAAAUCCUACCUUGUUCGUGAUAAAAAUCUCAUUUUGAAUCACUCCCCUAUUCUAAGCCAAUGGAUUGAAACAUGAAACGUGGCUCCCUUUUUAUUGUCUCGUUCUUUUUUUUAUUUUUUUAUGCUCUGUUUUCGAAUGCCAUUCUCUCUUCCCGAUAUUUGCUUGUGAGGAAUCUUUUGAAAACUGCUGGAGCGUGGAAUUCAAAUUUGGAAAGAUGAGGUGGAAAGAAAAUGCAGGGUUUCUGUGUAAGCACAUUCGCUAAAAACAAAGGACGACCCCACACUUGCUGUCUCGGUUCUCACAGUAGGGCCUUGGCCAAUUCAAUCAAAUGAUAUGUAUAACCCUCCAGUAGAGAUUCUGGAAGUUUGUGAGAAAAUCAUAGGUUAUUAUCUCGGGACCUGCACUGGGAUGAGAUUGUCUUGGCAAACGAAUAUGGGCACGACUGAUUUGAGGGCAACGUUUGUUAGGGAUCAACAGGAAGAUUUAAUAGGACUGCCGUAGUUGAAAUGGAUGAUUUUGGCUUUGGUGGCGGUCCUUGUUCUAUUGCCGUUACUGCAGUGUUAGAUUUUUUUUUGGCAGAAGUGAUUUCUGACUUUAUUACUGAGCAGGUGAAAGAUGCGCAGGUCGUGGAGACAAUUCUGGAAACUACUCCUUCAUACAUGCUAAGUCUAUUUUUAGUUUCCAAGGUCCGUGCCUUAGCAGGCUGAUGAAUUCCCUUGAAAAGCGUCUCUUGCGUGAUGACGAGGAAGAUGAGGAAAAGUUAGAUGAGAGCCGCUGGUCAUCCAAUUCGGAUGCAUUGUGUAUAAUGAUUGCAGAUCAUGCAUAUAUGGGUGCUUUUCUUAGCCUGUCACUGUACUGAAAAUUCUGGAAUUCUUGUUGUUUAUGCUACAGCUUACAAAUCAAGAUGGACGAAUUGAAGGAGUAGUGUCUAGAAAAGGCCUUUAUCCAUCUCCAGAGGGAACAAACAGCUUGAUGCUUAUGUACAAUUGAUAAUUAAGUAUACAAACCGUAUGGUAUUGUUUUGUUUCUUGCCAUCAUUCUUGAUUAGUUUAAAGAAGAUGAUCUUCUUUCACUCUUGGGUUUGCAAAUUGGACCUAAGGAAGAGGAAUCCCUAAACUCUUCAGAGGAAGAUACAGGAAUUAAUAUCUGCACAGAUCUACAGUUAUUAAUUGCUCACAGUCGAAUAAUAUUCUGACCCAGCAAUUCUGAUACUGAAUUAAGUGGUAACCUAAAUUACUGUCUCUGAGUAAAUUUAAUUCCUUUUCUCCAUGAUCAAAGACGAAAUGCUGUGAAUAUGGCAGUUGGUGUUGUCAAGAAUCCAUUGAUGCAUUGCAAGGCUGCACUAGAGGACUUGCUAGUCUCUAAACCAAACCAAGUGAACAGGUUGUUAAAAAAAAAGUAUUGGAGCAGUGUGCUGUUAUUAUGUGGGUGCAGCAUAUUGCUGGAUCAUCAAAGUUAUAUGGAGUGAGGAUGAAAAGAAAUGGUGCUGAAGCUUCCAGAGCAUUUCAUCAAGACCCAACAGCCAUUUAUGCCACAACCUCGUCUGAGACAGCCAUCUGGGUUUAAUGAUAUUCAGUCGGUACAGCAGCACAUCACGUUCAAGCAGCUGCAAGAACUUCAGAGGCAGCAGCAACUUCAGCAGCUGAGUGGUACCAAGCAAAACUCCAUAGUGAAGUGAAGGCAUUAGAAGUUGAAAUAGAUUCUGUGGCAUAUACUAUUUAAUAGGCAAGGAAUGCCGAAAGAAAUGAAAAUCAUGUCUCAGAUGGUAAUGAUAACUGAGCACAAGUCACUUGAAGCGUAAUCAUAUUGCUCAGCCCGGAUCUACUGUUCCAAAAAGUGCUGGAUUAAAAGGCUCCUCAAGUAAAUUCAUAAGUGCCCAAAAUAAUGCAAAACUUCGUCCUGAUUAUGCAUCUUUUUCUGUUAAAUCUUCUGUUCUGCACGCUAGGAGAAAUGUGGUGUCAACUCCACAGGCUAACCCACCUUUGGAAAUAAAUUCAUCAGGCAAUUUGCAGCCUCAGUCAGUUACCAAAGUCAGUAGUAGUUUAAAGGUGAUUCCAGAUAUAAAACUUCCAGCUGUUCCAGCCAACAGAGAGCAUCCAUCAAUUGCAGGCUAUAGUGGAUCCAACAAAACUGCAGUUUCUCUCCCUCAAAAUGCUCGACACAUUGGUAGGAAUCUGCAAUAUGCUCAACCCCAGACAACAAAACCUUCAGGUUUGCGGAUGCCAUCACCAUCACUGGGAUUAUUUAGUCAGCCAAAAGCUUCUGCAUCACAGAGAAAUCAAAUAUGCAACCUUCUGAAGUCCAGUGUUCCUAACUAUCAGAAAUUUCAUGCCUCAAAUUCCAUUCGUGCACCAAGGCCCCUUCAUGAAUCAGGGAAAAUUUCCAGGGUGGUCAAUGACAUUCAAACUGGAAAUAUUACAGCCUUAACCUUGAGUGCAAGAUGCUCCAUUUCAUCCGCUGCUAAACCUGUUUUGCCAGAAACUGUGAAAUUGAAUGUUGAAGUAGAUAAUUUCAACAAGUCAGAACUGAAGUUCCCGUGUGUUCCUAAGAGCUCUGAAGUGGUAAAGAACAACAUUCUUGAUUGUGUCGACAAAAAAUAUCAUGAACAUGCAAAACCACAGAACUUUGAGAUCCCACACGAGGAGGAUUCCGAAUUGCAGAUUAAUGACCAUAAAUUGCUUUUACAAAGUGCAUCCUCCAAAAUGGAAAAUUCCCAUACUUCAUCCCAACAGAACCUUGCAGUACAAGUUAAAGGUGUUUGUGGAACAGAUGGUAUUACCGAGCACCAAUUUGUAGAAGAAAAGCAAGACAAUAUGUCAGUUACAAAUCAGCAUGACACUUCUGAAUCAGAGUCCAAAGAUACCAUUAAUUGUAGUAAACCUGGUACUUCAGUAGUGAGUGAUGGUCAGUUAGUCAAUAUGUUCGAUGCUAGAGAACAAUCUGGGGAACAAGUCAAUCUUGCAAAGUGUUGCACCCAUGAGCCUGAUCUAAUUUCUCUUGUAGAGAAUAAAAAAAGAAAGGGCUAAUGAUGACAUUUUAUUCAAGAAGAGUUUUUUUUUAAGAGUCACGGAAUUAUGUUAAUGGGAAUAUCGUGGAUCCAAAGGUCCAAGACUCUAGUACAAGCACAUUGGAAAGUUGUCAACAUCCAUCUCAAUACGCAAAGAAAUCAGGCAAAGAUGCUAUUGGGGAGGAUGAGAUAAUCAACAGAUCACGUGAACAAGAUGCAUUGAUCCGUGCUCAAAUGGGAAUCUAUUAGUUGAAAGCUGCAGAAAGAACCUGAGUACUUGUAGUCGAUAUUUGAUGAUUGCUGAUGAUGUACAUGAACAAUCUGGAGAACAAGAGCCUCAAAAUCCCAUAGUUGAGCUGUCCCAUGCAGAGGAUGCACCAGCAGUUUCUGUAGAGGUCAACCCAUCAUUCGAAAAUUACAAGUGUGUUAUUGAUACACCAUUAAUGCAUGAAGUUAAGCUCAAUGGUGAAGUCACUUCUAUGGAAUUUGGUUCAUCUUUGAGGGUAAGCAAUGAUCAAACUACAUUUGAAGUAACUACCCUCAAUUCUAUCAUCACCAAUUUUCAUCCAGAAAGUAGAGACUCAAGUGGGAGUGAAUUAGAAGAUCCUCGUUCUACAUCCCUAUUUAGCCCUGCAGUGCAUGUUGAAAGUGUUUGUGGGACAGAAAAGAUGGUUGAGUACCAACAUAUGGAGGAAACAGAAUAUAAAUCACCAGUUAAGAAUCAAGCUGUCAUUACAAAGGCACAAUGUGGAGAUACCAUUGAUGGUAGUAACCAAGUUGCUUCAGUGUUGCAGAAUAAUUGGUUGAGCUGCAUGCAUGUCGUCAAUGAACCUUCUGAAGAACAGGCCCAGCUGAUAAAGUGUUGCACCUCUGAAGCUGAUCAGAUUUCUAACAAUGAAAAUCAGAAGCUACAGACAGAAGAUAGCAUUUCAUCUGAGUCAUCUCAGAAAUAUGAUAGGUGUGUCACAGAUGUUGGUCCAAAAAUCUGUGGUUACAAUGGAAGUGAACUUGAAAGUUCUGAUGGUCCUUCUCAACUUAAAUACAUAGUUCAAGGGGAAGAAGAGGGUUCUAGAAUAGAUAGCACAACUAAGAAAUUAAAUGAGGGGGAUGCAGGAGGGCAUUCCAUAGAUAGUGAUCUAUUAGUUGAAAGGUGCAGAAGUAACAUCAGUUCAGCAGUGCAAAAUCUAUACGUUGUGGGUUCUGAUCUUACAAAUGAACAAUCUGGAGAGCAAGUAAAACUUCAAAUUCCCUGCCUUGUAGUCGAACAAAGUUCCCAAGAUAAACAUGGAUUACGUCCGAAUAAUUACUCAUUACUUUCGAAGGGCAUCUCUUCCAAUGAGUCUUGGGAAGAAAAUGUCUCUGAAAGUUCUGAUUAUGUUGUUCCAGAACAAAGUCAUUUGCAGGAAAGUGUAUCAGAGAUUCCCACUACUGUUGUUCAGCUACCACUUGGAAUACCUGAUGGCUUUGAUGUUGGCAAGAUGGCCAAAAAUUUAAAUGCAGGGGAAAUACUGCCAGAUUCUGGAGAUUUCAAGUUCUUACUUGAAGGCCAUGAAUAUCCUACUGAUACACAAUUCAGGCCUGGCAUAGAGCUCAACAGUCAGGCCACUUCUUUGGAAUCUGAUUCACCAGUGAAGACAAGAGCAUUAACAACAAUGAGUAACGAGGAGCUUAUAUGUUCAAGAAAAUGGCCCUGAGAAGUCAGAUAUGGAGAUUCCGGAAAUAAGGAGAAUUCAUAAGGAUGCAGCAAGCUAAAAAUAUUGAAAAGGCAGAAAAAGGCAACAGCAAGGGUAUGUAUUCUAGAGAAGCUGAUGAAUCAAGCCUUGAGAAUGAGAAAAUAGCACAGAAUGCAGGAAAUAUAGCAAUACAGAAAAGUAAGAAUUUUGAGCUUUAUGUUCAAUGUUUGACCAGCGUUGGGGAGAAUCCAUAUGAGCUUAUGAACCAAGUUAUCUUAUAAAUGGAAAUGUUUCUGAUCACUGAAUACUUUGGCAACGAAUUGGGUCUUUCUAUCCCGAACUCCACUCCAUCAGGCAACCUAAGUAACUCAGUCUCAAAAGCAGCCUAGACGCUAAUCCAGCUUAGCCGCCCUGCCUCACAUCGUACUCCUAUUGUUUCUUUUUUUUUAUUUUUUUUUUAUGAUCUUAUAUGUCUUAAAGCCGGAUUUCAAAACCUUUUUCUAUCAAAAAUGAAUUUGGUUUUCUCUAAGGUUCCUAAGAAGCAUUUAGGUACAAAAUCCAGAUUUUAACAUGCAAUUUGCUGCCACUUUAUUGCGGGUAUGCACUUUCACUGUUUUAUUUGAUUUUUAACUAUUUUUGUGUUUUUCUUGAUUUUCAACAAGCAUGAAUAAAACUUCAUAAUUCCAAAUCAUGGAAUCUAUGGAAUCAACUCAUGCGAAAUUAAUUAGGGUUUUGGUGGGGGCCCGACAUUCAUGAUAUUUCCUCAAAUAUUUUUUGUUUGAUAUUUGAUUAAUUGUGCUUUCUCUUUGAGAUACGUGAGAUUAUUAUGCACCUAUCAUUAAGCAAUCUUGUUUCCCAUAGAGGCAUUUUAGCUUGCUAUCCAGGUACGCUCCUUCACACCUAUUUUUGAGAAUUCUAUUGACACAUAUGUUACUGACGACUAUACCCAUACAUGAUGUGAUUUUUGGGUGUUUUGAUAUAUGCUUGAUUUGCUUAGAUAAAACAAAUGUUAUGUCAUAUUUCCAAACUAAUCUCUUAUGUUUCGUGAUAGCGCUUGAAAAGUCGUUCAGGUAUGCACUUCGAUUCCCUCUCAUGAUUUGUUUUCUUAUUAGGCAUGCAAUAUUUGAAAUCACCUAGUCUACUUAGGUAUCCAUGAUCAACCAUUUAAUUUCCACGCUUCCCUUAACUUAGUCAGUAGAGACCUUUUUAGGGCUCAGAGGGGUGCUACCUCCUAGAGGUACCUUCCCAAUAAGUAACCUGAUCCCCGGACUUAGACUCGGGUUUCUCAAAGACAUGCUUUUUCCAAAACUAUGGAGUCACUUUUUAGGGUUUUUCUUUCUUGUUUUAUUUUCCCUUCAAAAUAAAAAUAAAAUAGGUGGCGACUCCAACUUUUUUUUAAAAAUCAAUUUUUCACAAAUAAAAAGCGAGUCUCGCCGAUCGAGUGGGGACGCACGUGAAAAAUGCGGGUCCACACAUACUAUAGCUAAAUUAAAUAUUGUUAAAUCUUAUUGGUCCAUGGCAACAGCAAGGGUAUGCAUUCUAGCGGAACCGCUGAAUCAAGUCUUGGUGAUGAGAAAUAACACAAAAUGCAAGAAAUACAACAAUGCAGAAAAAUAGGAAUUUUGAGCUUUAUAUUCAGUGUUUGACAAAUGUUGGAGAGAAUCCAUUUGAGCUUAUAGGUCAAGUCACUUUAUAAAUGGAAACGGUUCUGGUCGUUAAAUACUUUGACAAUGAAUUGGGUUCUUCUAUCAUGAACUCCUAGGCCCCAUUCCUUCAUGGCUACCUUGCUACACACACCUUCUCCUCUAUUUGCUUAUUUGAUUGGGAAUUUACUAUUUUAAAUUGAAUUUUAGAACCAUUGUCCAACUAAACAUUCCCAGCUUUGAAAAAUCUAUCUUUAGAUCAUUUAUAGGCAUAAAAUCCAUAUUCUAACACACUCUUUGCUGCCAUUUUCCUUCUGGCACAAAUUUUCAUUAUUUUCUUUGACUUUCAACCAUUUUCUUGAUUUUCCUUAUUUCACGUAAACAUGAAUAAAUUUUAUGAUUCCAAACAAUGGAAUUCAUAGAACAAACUCAUGCGAAAUUAAUUAGGGCUUUGGUGCGGGCCUGGCAUUCAUGAUACUCUCUUCAAUAUUGUUUGCUUGAUAUGUUGAUUUUUUAUUCUUCUUGAUGAAAUACUUGAAUUCACUUUAUAUUUAUUGUUGAGAUAUCCUUGCUUCCCAUAGACGUGCGGAUGCUCGCUAAUCAGGUACACUUUUCCCAUCCUACAACUCUGAAAUUCUAUGAAUAUGUAUGUUAUCAUGAGUCAUGACCAUGUUUGAUGUCAUACUUGAUUGUCUUGAUGCUUGUUUGAUCAUCUUUGAUAAAAUACAUAUAAUGUGUCAUAUUUCCAAACUAAUCUCUUAUGUUUUAUGAUAGCGCUUGAGAAGCCAUUCGGGUACGCAUCCUAACCUUCCUUUAUUAUGAUUUGAUCUUGUUUGGCAUGCUAUUUUUUGGAACCACCUAGCCUACUUAGGUAUUCAUAAUUAACCGAUUAAUUGUCACAUUCCCCUUAACUUAGUUAGUAGAAACCUUUAUAGGGCUUAGAGGGGUGCUAUCUUUUAAAGGUAUCUUCCCAAUAGAUAACCUGAUCCCCGGACUUAGACUCGGGUUUUUCAAAGACACGCUUUUCCAAAAAAUUAUGGAGUCAUUUUUUUAGGGUUUUAUUUCUUGUUUUAUUUUCCCUUUAAAAUAAAAAUAAAAUAAGUGGCGACUCCAACUUUUUUUUCAAAAAUCAAUUUUUCACAAAUAAAAAGCGAGUCUCGCCGAUCAAGUGGGAACGCACGUGAAAAAUGUGGGUCCACAAAUUAGUGCCCAAUUCACUAGUAGAGACCGAGUUCUGAGCUUAGAGGGGUGCUACCUCGCAUGAGGUACCUUCUCGAUAGGUAACCUGAUUCCCAGACCCAAACUCAUGUUUCGCAGACCGUUUUUUUUCCUAAUUUGAGUCAUUUAGAGGUUUUUGGUUCUUACUUAAUUUUCCCUAUUAUAAAAACAAAACUAAAAAGUAAGUGACGACUCCAAAUAACACCGUUCCUCACCAGGGGUGGAUUUUUCAAAACUAGAAAACACAACUUUUCUUUUUUUCUUUUAAAAGUGAGUCGCGUCGGCUUGGGUGGAUCAGGUUAGGGUCCAUAGGGAGGUUCCGCUCUUCCAGGAUAUGUGGCCUCCUGGUUAUGCUGAGAGUUUGUUCCUUGGCCUCUCGGUUGCUGGUCACGAGGAGGUCCUGAGGAUGAAACUUGGAUUCUUAACACCUCGCUCUCUUCCUUAAGUUUCUUCGUUUCUUAGAGUAGGGCUUGUACCUGCUACUCGCUUUCUUGCUGUCGUCUUUCCAUGCUUUUACGCCAGUCAAAAUAACCUCCGUCACCCAUAGGUGAUGAACGACUCCUUGAGGGUGUGGACAUCUUCGUAAACGAACUUCCCACAAACGGCGCCAAUGUUGAUGUUGUGACCCCUUGGGAUUAUUGUGUCUCCCUGACGCUGACGCUUGAUCAACUGAGAGUGAUGUUUCCUUCCUCUCUCUUACAAAACAUGUCCGGACAGGUUGUCCGGACACACCCUCCAAAGCUCUAGUUAGAUUAAUAGUUCUAUAUGUUUUCUCCUUUUAGGAGUGAUUACGAAGUCUGUCUUACCUCAUUUCGUUGGGUUCCUCAAAUGAUUUUCUAGUAUUUGGGGUUUUUUGUUGUCACAUCCAAGCUAGUGGGGUCCUUUACUUCCACAACCAUCAUGGCUGCUCAUGGGGUGGCAGCGCGAUCAUUACUCUUUAGGUAGUGGAUAGAGAUUGCUAGUGGGGCGAUCAGGCGACGCAUCUGUCACUUCAUUCUGCAGGCGGUAGAGUGCAGAAUGUGGCAGGUGGCUUGAAAAGACUUGAAAAUGUCCUAGCUAGCACGCCUUUAAUAGAAGACAAAUGAUGAACUAUGGAGUAUGGUCAGAGACAUUGCUUGGAGCAUGUCCUGCAGUCUCGCAAGAGCAUGGGCACCUAGCCAUUGACUGCUGGAUCCGGAUAGGAUGGAUCCGGAGUAUAUGUUCCUUGCUAAUGGAGUAUGUCCGGAUAAAGGCAAAGGGUUGCCACGUGUCUACAGAAGGUUUGCCUGUGAGGUUAAGGCAGGUCACCACGUGUUAGCUCAAGAGGAAGGUCCUACAAGUCCCACGAAACAUACUUUGAUUUGGUCAAGGUAGUUAAAUUCAACAUGAGAAAUCUUGUCUAGUUAUGUAAUUCCCACUCCCAUGGACUAGGCUAAAUAUGAUAUUAUGUGGCUACUUUUGCUUCUAGGAUAAGCAAGUUAUAUGGAUAUUUGGUGCAAUCGUUAUGGACUCGGAACAUCUCCAAUAAGAAGUUUUCAAAGUUACAACUUUACAUGGUUAAUCUAAAUUUAUAAAUCAUGAAGUAGUUGAAAUAUUUAGAGUUUUAGAAUCGUUUUGGGAAAAAAAAAGAAAAAAAAGAAAAUGAUUACCCUUUAAUCUUCGACAAUAAUUAGACUUUCUUUUUUAUGUCAAAUAUAUUGGAAUAAAUAUGAAUUCCAAUUAGAUUUGAAUGAAGAUGAAUGUUAUUAAAUAUUUCGCAUAUUUGUUUUUUUUUUUUUUUUUUGAAUUUGAUUUAUGCCAAAAUAAAGCUUAGCAUUAUUAGGUGUUUAGACAAUUUAUUUUUGUAUUAAUGUGCAAAUACUAUUAAAUGUUGAGUUGAAUAUUUUUAUUAAUGUUUGCAUAUUGUUAAGUGUUAAUUAAUUCUAUUUAUUUUUUAUACGUUAAAAAUAUUUAUAGCAAUAAUUAUUAUGUUUCAUUUUAUUUUACAUAAUUAUGAUAAAAUAUUUAAAAAUUAACUAAGAAAUUGGUCAUUGAAUAAUAAUUAAGAUUUUGAAUAUUAUAAAAUAAAUUAAAAAUCAGUAAUUGAAUAAUAAUUAGGAUUUUUUUAAUUGUGUUUGAUUGCUAAGAAAAUAUUAAAAAAAUUUUAGGUUAAGUUUCAUUAAUAACUAAUUAAUUUAUAUGUGGUGUCCCUCGAAUUAAUGAAUUUGUGAUUGAAAGAUGAGUUCUUCACUUGGUAACACCGAUAUUAAGAAUAAUGAUUAUACAUUUAACUUGGAUGUGAAGUGGUUGAAUCAACCACCAUGGUCCUACUCACCAGUAAUAAAUUGGUUAAGUCUAACUAUGUGGAUUAGAAAAUAAAUCUAGACAUAGUCCUCACAUAAGAAGAGUUAAAAUGGUUAACUUAAGAAUUUGCUCCAAAUACCCCUAAUGAACAAUCCUCACCGGAAUAGAAGGAUGCUUAUCAUAGUUGACAUAAUUAAGGUGGAUCAAAAGGCUAAAUGUAUCACAAUUGAGUGUUUAGAUAACAUGUUGGAACAACAAUAUGUGUCUCAUGCCACAACUUAUGAUGAUAUCUCUUCAUUUUACAAGAGAUCUUUGAUGAUGACAAGGGUAAGUUAACUAGAUAAGUUGCUUUAAGGACUAUCAUGAACACGAUGACAAAAGAAACUCUCUUUAAAUAUCAUAUGGUAUAUAUAAUCAAACUCUUUAAUGAGAUAAAGAUCCUUGGAGCUAGAAUUGAUAGGAAAACAAAAGUUGAUUUGAUCUUAGAGACCUUGUGAGAUUCCUUUAAGAAAUUUGAGCUCAACUAUUCUAUUCAUGAGUGAUGUGAAACUUGCCAAAGCUUAUGAGGGAUCAAAUUUGUGAAAGUUAGUUUUAAAGACAUAAAUUAAAUUUAUAUUUUUUGUAUAAAAUAUUCUACUCUAUAUAAGAAGUUUUUGUUUUAAAUAAUUGAUUAAAAUAGAUGAAAUACUCCUUAUAUUUGUGAAUUUAUCUCAUAUUUUUGUUUGAAAGUUAACAUAUUUUUUAUAUAAAUAUGUGGUCUUGACUAUUUCAAGUAUUUACAAUAUAUUUUAAAAGAAAUAAUUAUUUUUACAAAAAAAAAAAAAAAAAAAAAAAAAAACAAUAAGUAUAUUUUUGUCAAAGUGAGGUCAAAAAAUAAUGAAGAGUUAGAUUUUCAAAAUUGGGUUUCCAAUGACCCUUUUAAUCAAAUAACCCUUUUUAUUUUUAAAAAUAAAAAUAGAAAAUAUAUCCGAAUAAACAAUCAAUUUUUUCAUCUUUGUUCCACCAACUAUAUUAUGUUCUCUCGCCUUUGUUACAUCAUAAAUGUUGCCAUUUGACCUACACUCAAAAUUGGUUCUCACAUGUGUUUAUUUUAAAGAGCAUCCUCACUCUUAUUUGUUAUUUAUGAUUUAAUUCAAAUUUUAAACUUUGUUAAAUAAGUUUGGUCCACUAAGUAGAAUAUAUCGAGAGAUUCAUUAAAAAUGUGACUUGCUCUAUACUUAUUGUAGUGUUAUUAUUUUGAUUUAGAUGCUAUAUAUUUAUAAUUAUUUUUUAUGAUUCCAUUUAUUUUAUUUUUUUAAAUAUAAAUGAUAAAAACAAAUUGGAGUCGGAAAAUGGGAGCGACUUUCUUCCAUCUCAAGGAGCAUAGAAGUUCCACGCAUCCACGGUGUACUCAAGAAGUAUUCCUUUCUAUUCACCAGACCAGGUGGAUCCUCUUUCCCUACGUUGUACAGUCGUAGUGUGGUCUUUCUUGGAUGCUGCUGAUUCCUACUUUUCAAAUUCUAAAUACCAAAAAUGAUAUCUUUAUUCUCCCAAACAUUAGGAAUCCCAAAGCCUCCCAUAAAACUUCAGAAUGAGAAACAACCUUGCCCAACUCCCUUUAUAUCGCUUCGGCUGUCUAUCUUUAUGGAUUUUCUUCACGGAGAUGGCCAUGUCACGGAACACAACAAUACCGGUUAAAGUGGGAGUGGUUCUUGACAUGGAUACAUGGCUGGGGAAGAUGGGCUUGAGCUGCAUCUCCAUGGCCCUCUCAGACUUCUAUGCCUCUCAUGGGCACUACAAGACUAGGCUGGUUCUGGAAAUCAGAGAUUCCAAAAGAGAUGUUGUGGGUGCAGCUGCAGCAGGUACUCUCGUGUCAUAAAACUUAGAAUACAUUUAGAAAACAAUUGCAUUAUAGAGACAUUUGAAGCAAAACUUGUCUUUGAUUAACUUAAUUCACUGUAAUUUCAUCAUUUUCUUUUACAACCUCACCUCAACAUUAGUUUUGUAUCUUCAAUAUUUAACAGCACCUUCACAAUGAAAAAGAGGAGAAGAAAUCAACAACAUUUUUUGCUUAACAUCUCUAAAAACAAUUAGAUAUUUGCAAAUAUAUGUGCAGACACAGGUGGGAGAUGUUGGGUUUUUUAUCAGUUCAGAGAUUCCAAAAAUAAGAUCUAUAAAAUACUAGUUGUACUAUUACUUUUAUUGCCCUUUUAGAUGAGCGAUUGAUUAUUAACAGAACUUUUAGAAACUUUUAUCAUAUUUUGAUUAGAAAAAUUGAUAAGUGGUGUAAAUGUUCGGCAUUUGAUUAAGGGAUCAAGAUUGGAUAAAAGAAAAUUAUAGUGAAGACAUUAAUUAAGACAAGUUGUUGAGAAAAAAGAGUCAUGAAGUUGAACCAUGCAAGAUUAGCAUGCCCAUCAAAGAUAGCAAAAAGUCUCGUUAAAUUGUAGCACGUGUUUUUAACUAAACAACGUUUCUUGACUAGGAAGACGUUUCUUUGUUAUCCACACGAUGGUUCAAAGAUGAAAAAAGUCUUCAUAAAUUUGAUUUCCUCCAUGUUUUAAAAGUCAACUCUAAUAUUGUGGUCAUGUUCCAAGAGAAUAUACCAUUUUAAAGAAGCAUGGGAAGUUACCAAAACCGAUGCCUAUGAUCUAUGGUAUUAAGAAAUAAUGUGAUGCAGAAGUAUAUAAAAAAAUAAGGUCUCCAUGAAAGGCUCUACUGUAUAUGAUCGAACUCUAUGUUAUGUUUAUAAUAAGAAGAUUGAUAAUUUGUUAAUGAAUUCUACUAUUUAUGGGACCAAGUGGAUGCAUUUUCCUUUUCUGCACCUUGUUUGAUUACUGAUAAUGUAGUAGAAAUUGAAUGAAACUUCAGACUCAUUAUAUUCUAAUUAUUGUGAAAUUCAACUCUAGAUUUAUUACGAAAUGAGGAAGUUCAAGCCAUCAUAGGACUAGCAUCCUCCAUGCAGGCCAACUUUGUGAUUGAUUUGGGACACAAAGCUCAUGUGCCCAUUAUUUCAUUUUCUGCAACAAGCCCUUCUCUUUCAUCGCUCCAGAGUCAAUAUUUUGUCCGGGCUAUCCUCAAAUAUGACUCAGUUCAAGUACCAACUAUAAGGGCAAUUGUCCAAGCCUUUGGGUGGAGACAAGUUGUGCUCAUUUACUUGGACAACGAGUACGGAAAUGGAGUUAUACCAUAUCUUACUGAUGCCUUGCAAGAGAUUGACACCCGGCUACAGGAGCGUCAUUCAUCCAUCAGCCAUUGAUGAUCAAAUCCACGAAGAGCUUUACAAGUUGAUGACAAUGCCAACAAGAGUUUUCAUUGUACACAUGUUUACACCUCUAAGCCCACGACUUUUCACUAGAGCGAAUGAGAUUGGAAUGAUGGAAGAAGGUUAUGUUUGGAUACUAAAGGAUGGAUUAACUGAUAUCUUGAGUACUUUGGAUGACUCAGUCAUUGAUUCGAUGCAAGGAGUGUUAAGUGUAAAGCCUCAUGUUCCAAGAUCGAAACAGCUUGAAAGUUUUAAAAUCAGAUGGAAAAGGAAAAUCCAACAAGAAUAUCCAACCAAUGAAAUCUCUGAGUUGAACAUUUUUGAACACGAGAUCCUAGCACUAACAUGACGGAGGUCACUGGAUUUUCCAUAUCAGUCUUCGAUGAAGUGAUGGCAGCAUUAACAUAUCCUGUUCCUUAUGAGUACAUUCCCUUCAAGAUGCCUGAUGGCAAUCUAGCCGGUGAUUACAACAAUUUGAUUUAUCAAGUAUAUCUCCAGGUUAGUUGAACUUUUUAUCUUUCCUAGCACAUAGAGGUAACUCUAGGUUUUGCUUCAAUUAUGAUGAAUUUUAUUUAAAUAAAACCCAAAACUGCAGCAAAUUUUCCUGUAAUGCAUAACAGAAUGGCCCUAUUGUUUAUUGUGAACAGAAGUAUGAUGCUGUGGUGGGAGAUACUUCUAUCCUAGCGAACAGGUCGUUGUAUGUAAACUUUACACUACCUUAUUGUUAGGGUGAAUUCACAAUAUUCCAACAAACACCAGGAUUUUUCUAUCCUUUCUUUGUGCAAAAUUACAUAGAUAAUAGCAACUAGCAGCAAUAAAUAAAUAAACCCAUGCCACGGAAAAAUAAAUCAAAUGCCCUAAUUUUUACGUGGAAAACCUCCUAAUGCGAAGAGAAAAACCACAGGACCUAGUCCAAUUCAAACUUCCACUAUCAACAAUAAUGGGUUACACUUGUCUUCUUUAGAAUAAUCUAUAGAGGCUACCAAAAUACAUCAAGAGCACAUAUAGCCUUAGAUUAUAUAAUCUCUAUUGGCAAAAAAAAUUAAGGAUAAUUGGAGAAAGAAUACCUAAAAACACGUUGUUACUGUUCAUAGGCAGUAACACCAGUUCUCGAGCUCAAAAUCUAAUCUCCACCGUUCAAAUUGUAGCUACUCGAGUUUUGAAUCUUUCCUCCAAAUUUCAACUCGAUUGGACCAUAAAUAAAGUGGGAUUGACUCUUUGAUGAAAUCUGGGUAAUGAGAUGUGUUUUGCCUUUCUCUCUUCUCUUCUCUCUAUUUUUCCUUUCCCAAUUACUUUCUAUUUUUGUUUAUUUAUUUAUUUAUUUUAUUGUAACUUACUUGGGCCCCAAGCAUAUGGGGCCUACUCCCUCACAUACGAGGGAGCCCAACAAAUCUCCCCCUCCCGACUAUGUGAGGGGCUUUACCAAGCCCGCUUGCUUUCUAUAGAAUUGUAGCUUCUCUGUAGGUAUUGGUUUUGUCAUCAUAUUUGAUCCAUUCUCAUCAAUAUAGAUUUUCUCAAGGCAAAACAAUUUGAUCUCUAGUGCAUCAUGAAUCCAAUGAUAUCUCACAUCAAUAUGCUUGGAUCUAGAGUGAAAAGUUGGAUUCUUACUAAGAUGAAUAGCACUCUAACUAUCACAGUAGAGUAGAUACCUUUCUUGCUAUAAACCCAAUUUUUGUAGGAACUUUUUUCAUCCACAGUAACUCCUUGCUAGCUUCAGUGAUAGCAAUAUACUUAGCCUCUUUGGUCGACAAAGCAACACAUUUUUGCAACCUUGAUUGCCAUGACACUGCUCCCCUGAAAAAGUAAUCAAAUAACCAGAAGUAGACUUUCUGGAAUCAACAUCCCCAGCCAUAUAUGCAUCCGUGCAUCCUACAUAUACAAUUUUGUUAGUCCCAAAACAUAAACAUGUCUUAGAAGUACCCCUCAUAUACCUAAGAAUCCAUUUCACUGCGACCAUGUGUUAUUUGGCAGGAUUAGAAAGGAACCUACUGACAACUCCAAUAGCAUGAGCAAUAUCAGGCCUCAUGCAUACCAUGGCAUACAUCAAGCUAUCCAUGACUAAUGCAUAGGGCACCUUUCGCAUUUCUUUUUUUUCUUUCUCAGUUGAAGGACUUUGUUUGGAACUUAGCUUUAGAUGACUUCCAAGUGGAGAACUCACUGGUUUGGCCUUGCCCAUGUUGAAAUUUCUAAAACCUUUUCAAUAUAGCUUUCUGAAGAUAGCCACAAUUUUUCAUUUGUCCUAUCUUAAGUACACCUGUCUUUUCUAGAAUAAUCUCUAGAGGCUACCAAAAUACAUCAAGAGCACAUAUAGCCUUGGAUUAUAUAAUCUCUCUUGGCAAAAAAAAAACAAGGAAAAUUGGAGAAAGAAUACCCAAAAACACGUUGUCACUGUUCACAGGCAGUAACACCAGUUCCCAAGCUCAAAAUCUGGUCUUCACUAUUAAAUUGUAACUACUCAAGUUUCGAACCUCUCCUCCAAAUUUCAACUCGAUCGGACCAUAGAUGAAGUGGGAUCAACUCCUUGAUGAAAUUUGGGCAAUGAGAUGUGUUUUCCUUUCUCUCUUCUCUUCUCUCUAUUUUUCCUUUCGUCCUUGUAUGUAGACUUUACACUACCUUACAUAGAAUCCGGGUUGUUAAUGAUCAUGCCCAUUAUAGAUAGAAGAAGAAAAAAUGCUUAGGUUUUCUUGAAGCCACUUACUUGUGACCUUUGGGUGACAAGCUUUUGUUUCUUUAUAUUCAUUGGCUUUAUGAUUUGGAUUCUUGAACAUUGAGUAAAUAAGGAUUUUAGGGGGCCUCGUUCACAUCAAGUUGGCACUAUCUUCUGGUUUUCGUUCUCAACAUUGGUGUUUCCUCAGAGUAAUUUUUCUUCCACCUCCUUGAAUUUUAUCUAGCAAUUUAUCUACUCAUGUAAUAUUCAAAUAUCAAGCAUAUCAAGCACAUCUCAAACACAAUAGAAACUAAUUUCUAGUAUGGUCUGCUUGCUUGUUUCCCAUGAUUGCAACCUCUAUUAAUAUAUGGACAUUCCAUACAAUAUGCAAGUAAUUUCAGGAUAAUUUUAAUGUUUCAUAAAUUAUUUGUAUUUGACUUUAUAUUGAUUUUUUGGAGUUGAUUUUCUCUCAUUCUUAAAUUAUGUCAACAAAUGGGAGAAUUGUGAGUAACUUGGCUCGGUUCAUGGCGAUAAUAUGGUUUUUUGUGGUGCUGAUUCUUACUAAAAGUUACACAACCAGCUUGACUUCAAUGUUAAUAGUUCAACAGCUCAACCCAACUAUCAUCGAUAUAAAAAAAGCUGAUAAAGAAAUGGAAGCAUGUUGGUUACCAAAAGGGCUCUUUUGUUCGUGGAUUCUUGAUAGAAUGGAUGAAAUUUAAUGAGUCCAAGCUUGUGAUCUAUGCAUCUUCAGAAGAACUGGAUGAAUUAUUUUCAAACAAAAGUUUAAAAGGUGGAAUUGUUGCCGCAUUUGAUGAAAUCCCUUAUAUAAAAAUUUUCCUUGCAAAAUAUUAUUCCAAAUAUAUUGCAGUUGGACCAAUGUACAAGUUUGAUGGGUUUGGAUUUGUAACUACUCUCUCAUAACACACGUACUUGUAUAAAUUGUAUACCUAGGUUUCUUAUUUUUGAUCAUUUUUCAAGUGUUUCCAAAUGGUUCACCCCUUGUAGCUGAUGUUUCAAGGGAAGUCUUAAACAUGACAGAGGGAACUAAAAUGCUACAACUUGAGAAGACAAGGUUUGGGAAAACACCCAAUUGUCCAGAGCUCAUCAACUUAGUUUCUUCAAACAACAUCGACCUUAAUAGCUUAUAGGGCCUAUUCCUCAUUGUUGGAGUCGUUUCAUUCGUAGCUCUCAUUACAUGCAUCACCACAUUCCUUUAUGAAAAUAAAGACGCUUUAAUAAACUUGAAUCCCUCAUCUUCCAUAUGGAGAAAAAUUAAAGCCAUGGCAACACGCUUUGAUGAUAAAGAUCUCAGGUCCCAUACCUUUAUAAAAAAUGAUAAACUUCCAGACAAAGGGCAUCAAGGCCAUGGAUGUAGUUACAACCUCGCCAGCUACACCAACUUCCCUUCAAGUCCACCAAGCCUUUUGAUCCCAACACACAACAAUUUUGCUUUCUUCGGAGAACAAGGAACACCUUUGUCUAGACAUUGUGAUCCAGUCAAUCCAAAUCGACUAUUGUCUCCACACAUAUUAUUUGAAUAUGAACUUGAUAAUAUAAAUCAUGAGCAAACAAUACCGCUUAAAAUUGAAUAACUGAUCAAUUCGUUUUUCCUGUUUACUUUAUGUUGAUAGCUUCUAUAAUGACCGGGUAUUUUAUGUCAUAUUAGAAUUUCUAAUUUGAGAAGUCUUCUAUUGAAUGGUGGUUGAAAAGUAUAAUAAUAAUAAUAAUUGGAGAACACGUGUCAAUUUUGGAUUGGAAGAAUUUGAAAUAUUUUAUCAGUUAAUUAAGCGAGUUGAAUUUUCAUGCCAUGUCAACUUUAUGGUAGAAAAUUUCUUAGAAUUGUAGAAAUUGAAAAUUUCUGAAAACAAAAAGCGAAAACGAAAAAUGAAAAAUGAAAUAAUUAAAAUUAACUAGAACUAAUUAAGAAAAAAAUUAAAUUAAAUUGCUUAAUAAUAAAUUUAAGAAAAUUAAAAUUUUUGGGAUGGUGUUUAAUAAUUUAUUUUGUGUGUUGUUUUAAAAAAAUGAAAAUGAAAUGGAAUGAAAAAUUAAUUAAGAAAAAAAGUAAAAUGAAUUGAAAAAGAAAAACAAAAGAAAUCAAAUAGUAUUAAGGCUUUUUGAAUGGUGUUGGGUUGUGGGCCACUUAGUGGUUGUGGGGUCAAAAUGCAAAAUGAAUAAGAAAUGAAAAAGGAAAAGGAGAAUAAAAAGAGAAGUGGAGUGGUAGAGGCUCUCAGAUGCAGGGGAGAACAACAACGCCAUCUACUUUUGGCUGACCGUUUUGACCACCAAACGAGCUUAUUUUCGUGUGAAAUUUUGAGGGAAAGUUCUACUCGAUGCAAGAAACAUUUCUACCAUGGUUGAUUUCGUUUUCAAAACUUAGAUUGUUAGAUCUAUGGUAGGAAAUCUUAAUCCUAAAACUUUAAUUUAAUGCACUUUUCUUUUAAAAAAAAAUUAUAAAUCUCAUUAUUGGAAGGUAAAUAAGUAAUAUUUAUGAUUGUGAGAAAGUUUGUUGGGUGAUUUAGGAAUUUUCCUCGGGAUUUUUGUGUGAUAAUGGAAGUGUCUAAUUAUAGAAAAUAACUAUAUUUGAUUAUUGGAAUUAUUGGUGUUGUGGAAAAAUUAUGAAAUUUUGGUAUAGAUUAUGUUUAAUUUUGGUUUGAAUUAUUGGAAAUUAUUUGGUUGUUCUUGGUAAUUUUAUUGUGGAGAAAAUAAUUAUAUUUGAUUAUUGGAAUUAUUGGGGUUAUUGGAAAAUUUUGGAAUUUUGGUAUAAUUGUAAUUUCAAUGAGAUUUGGACUAGUUGGAAUUUUGUUUGAUAUUUGUGAAUGAGGAUAAUUAACCUCAUUGCAUUUCAUUUUCAUCAUGGUUGUGUGAAUGAAAAAUAAAAACUGUGAAAAGUGCAUGAAAUUGAAAAUGAAAGAAAAUAAAAUAGUAAUGAAAAAUAAAGGCCCGUGUGAGGAGAAUUAAGAAGGGAAUAAGAUCCCUAGGGUGAAAAACCCAAAAAUCUACCCCGGGAAGACUCCGAAUUAGGAGUGUAUUUGGAUACGGACGCAUAUCCUUCAAUGAAAGCCCGAAAAUGACAGUGCAUUAUAUGACUAUGUGUCACAUAUACACAUGCAUUUUUAUUUAAGUGUUGAAAAUUGUUGAAUUGUUAUCAUUAUAGAAAUUAAAAUAUGUGGGUUGAUCAAUGAUGAUGGAAUGUUUCUUUUGUGUUCACUUGAAACUUAGUAAUCUCAAUUAACCUCUUGGGUGUAAGGCAUCCUACUAAUCAAUGUGGAAUGCUCACCCCUUCUUAUAUUUUUUUUGAUGCAAAUGUAACUCAUAAGGAUCCACAGAUGGGGCAGGAAGGGCUUUAGGAUGCCUCAGGAGAUUUUGGAGCAGCCUAAUGGAUUGUAGUGUAUUUGUUAUGUUGGUUUAUUUUGGAACUUGUAUUAGCAAACUUUGAAGCUAUAUAUUUGUAAUGAGACUUUAUUCUGAUUAAUUUGCUCAAUUAUGAACUCUUAUUUCUAGACUUUAAUGAUAAUUAUUAUAUCUUGUUGCUCUUGAGUAGUGGUUGGUAUAUUGAUAAAUUGGAUUGUUAGUUGGAGAGAGCUCUAGUGUGAUUUAUGUGUAAAAAAAAAUUUCAGAGAGUUUUGGUUAAUUGCCAACAUAAAUUAAGAGAAACCCUUAGGGUCAAACCUUUGACCUAGGGUCAUGGACCAAAUUCUGGGUCGCUCAGAAUUUUGGGUCAUGACAACACCAUUACCCACAACCAUGGAUUUCAAAAUAAAAAAACGUAUUUGUACUAUAGCUAUAGGCAUUUCAGUUAACACAAUGAUGUACAUUCAAUUUAGGACAGUAUAAAUAUAAGAAGAUCAAGGAAGAAUGGUUGAGCAAAGAUGAUGAGUAUUCAUGUUGAGGCAAGGGAAGAUAAGUUGCUUCAUAGAUAAUCAUUUGGUCAAGUAUGUGAUGUAGGAUUCCAAGAAAGAUUUGUUACCUUUUAGGCAUGAAAUUCUUCUUUCUCAGGAUUAGUAUCCUAAGACAUCUAAGAAGAAAGAGCACAUGUAAGCAGUACCUAAUACCUCCAUAGUGGGUAGCCUUAUGCAUGCAAUGCUAUAUACUGGGUUGGAUAUUUGCUUUGUAGUGGGUAUGUAAGUAGAUAUCAGUCUAAUCUAGGUCCAAAACAGUGAACAAUUGUCAAUCAUAUACUUAAGUAUCUUAGGAGAACGGGAGAUUAUAUGCUUAUAUUCCAAAGUGACGAGUUAGUACCCAAAGGAUAUACAAAUUCAAACUUUCAGUUUGAUAAGGAUUCUCAUCGGUCUACAUCCAGUUUUGUUUUUACUUUUGGUAGUGCAAUUGUUAGUUGGAAGAGUGUGAAACAAUCUUGCAUUAUUGACUCCACUAUAGAAGUUGAGUACGUUGCAACUUCUAAAACAACAAAGGAAGUCGUUUAGCUUAGGAAGUUCCUUAUGGAACUAGGGGGUCAUUCCCUUGGUUAUAUAACUCAUGAUACUUUUUUAUGACAAUAGUGGGGCUAUAACACAGUCUAAAGAACUAAGAAACCACUAGAAAACACAUAAAGAGGAAGUACGAGUUGAUUCAUGAGAUAGUUCAAAAGGGUGAUAUAUUGGUUGAGAAGAUACCUUCUAUAAAUUAAUUACUUGGUAGAUCCCUUCACCUUGCAAUUCGACAAGACACAAGUUUGUGCAUAGUAUCUUGCUAGAAAGUUGGAAACUUUGGAGAAAAACAACCUCCAAAAGUGUAAAGAACAACUCUUGGAUUCUAGGAAUCUAUGGGAAUGCUUGAGCGAUUGGAUUAGUGAUUGAGCAUCUUGACCAAUUGAGCAAUACUGGACUUAAGCAUUGGAAACUGCAUCCAAUAGCUCAACUAGUAGAAUGGUGCAUCCAACACCCUUGGAAAAAUUUUGGUGCUCGAGCGUUCAUGACGAUUGAUGUUGUAAGGAACCCCAUAGCUCUCCAUUCCCUAUCCAAGAUUAAGUUAUGUACAUGAAAAUUUUUGGUGCAUGAAAAUCUUCCUAAGGCUUUCUAAAUCCUAUUCACAACGGAAAAAUAACAUUUUUUAAAAACUAAAUAGGAUUUAGAAUGUGCAACAGAAAACGAUAACUUAGAUUUGGAUAUUUCCAAAUUUGUCAAAAAUAAACUUGAAUCCAAAGGUUUCUAAAUAUUAAAAUUUAAUUUAGAUUUUAAAAUUUUAAUUAAAAUAUUUUUUUUUUAAGUGAUUGAUUUAAUUUUUAUAUUUAAAUAGCUAAAUGUAAAAUGUUUCUACAUUUUUGCUAUCAAAAACUUUAUUUUGUUAGGUGUGGCUAUAUGGGAAAAAUUAGUCACCAAAUUUAGAUUUGUCUUAGAUAAAUAUAAUGCAGAAAAUGCUACUUAUAUUUACUUGUUCCAUAAUUUAUUUUUUUCCAUACUGUUAUUCCAUAGUUUAUUUUUUUUCCCAUAUUGUUACGGAACAAAUUAGUGAAUGCCAUUAACUUUUUUGUAUUAAUAAUGUAAGUUAUUAAAUUGCAAAAUAUUAUAAAAACAUACUUGCCCCAAGAAAUAUAAUGAUUAAAUUUUAUUUUUUUCAAUAAUAUAAACUUUGGGCCCAAAAAUUUUAAAUAACCAGUUUACUAGAAAUAUAUAUAUAUAUAUAUAUAUAUCCUACUUAAAAGUGAUUUUGAUUUAAAAAAAAAUAUAUAUUUACUACAAAUGUAUGUGACUGUUAAAUGCCAUCUAUUUGCUAUGAACAACAAUUCAUCACUGAAAAAUUGUUUUCCUAUGAAAUAAAAUGUUAUUGCAAAAAGCCAUUUCCUCCUAUAAAAAUAUCUUCUUGGCUUAAAGCGUUACGGAAAAUGGAGAAAAUUGUUUUAAUGAAUUAUCGAAAAGCUUGCCGGAUCAGUUUGAUCCAAGAUCGGAUUGAAAAGGAUGAUCGAUUUUUUUUACAGGACAUAGGUGACUACCUUAAAUUCCGUCAAAUUCACGAAUUUAUUGCUGCCUAACACAACAGGUCAACUUCCUGUGUCUUAUCUGUAUAUUUAACAUGAUAAAUAUACCUUAUCAUGUUAAAACAAACACACACCUUAAAUUGUUAUUAUCAUUAUUCUUCCGUAUAUUAAUAAUACUCUUAAGAGUCUAACUCUUAUUUGAAGUUGAAUCAUGGUGUUGAUUGCAUCCCUGAAAAUGUUGAAGAGUUCACCAUGGACUAUGAGGUACUGUAUCGUGGAUGUGAAGAUGAUGUGGGUGUUGAUUAUUGCAAGACCUUUGGGAGAAGCAUCUAGCCCAGGUAAAUCUCUGUACUUAUUCUUUUAGAAUUAAUAAAUUUAUUCUAUGAUCAAUUAAAUGCAAGAAUUUUACAUUCAUAGAGUUUCUAGUAUAUUCUAUAUGCGGUUUUCCAUGUACAUCACAUGGGCAUGUAUGAUUGAAUUUUAUUUUGAUAUUUGAUUAUCGCAUAUUCAUUACAAAAAUUUAUAAAUAGGAAAAGAAAAAUAAAAAUUUUGGGUUUAAAUCUUAAGACUUCUUAUUUACCACUCUAUAAGUAGUUUCAAGAUUCAAGAUAUAUAAGAAGUUUCAAAUUACAUUGAUUAAUCCAUUGAUUAAAAGUAAACUUCCAUACAACUUUCAAAUGGUAGAAUUCACUUGAUAUGGACUAAGGAGGUCAUUGUCUACAAACGCAAGUAGCACUGGUCACUGUUCAUAUGCUCUCUCUUUUAAUACUUUUUUCUUUUGAAAGAGAAAUACUUCUAAUUAUUGCUAUUAUUUUAACUUCAAUUUGGUAUUUGAGUGAUACAAGCAGCUAGCUUUUUAGGUACUAGAGGUAACAAUUCCAUCUCAGCAAUUACAAUUGAUUAAUGAAAUUCAUGUAAAAAAAAGCAUUCAAAGAAACUUAUCAAGCAUUCUUUACUAGAAAAUGUUCAACACAAAAAGGCCCUUUUCCCCCUCAUUUUUCUUAAUUUUGCUAUGUUUCUCAUUUUAUAGAUUUUGUCUUAAACCUAUAUUUUUACUUUUCUAUCUAUAUAUACACAAUACUCAAAAUAAAAAAUUAAUAUGGGAAUUUGAGGAAACAAACAAACUUCCUCUUUGGGGUGGUAAAUUGCUCACUUGUUUUGGACACAGGCUUAUCUGUAUCUAUCAUAAAAAAACUUCUGUUUGAAAAAAGAAUCAUUUCCACUAGGUUUGAAAGAAGAUAACGGAAAAGGGCAAAAACCGAAUCUUUUUUCUUCCUUACUUGUACUUAAGAGAGUUCUUCAUAUGUGAGGGAGGAUUUUUGAUAGGGUUGUUUCUAUCAUUUGAAAAUUUAUAAAAUUUUUGAAGCUAUCUUGGUAAUAAACUUUAAUUGGAUUAUGGGGGCGAUCUUUUUGGGCUUAAUAAAUAAAUCUUCGGCCAUAACUUUUGGGCCGGGUCAAAAGAGGAGUGCGCUCUCUUCAAUAGUUUUUUUUUUUUUUUUUUUUAAAUAUAAAUGUAAGAUAUUUUAAAUUGUCUGUGCCAGUGUCAUAGCUUGGGAUUAUACCAUGGGGGCACUAAAAAACCAAAAUUCUGGGAAAAUAAUAAUAAUAAUUGGGCUACGAAUAUAUGAAUAUGAUGUAUUGGUAUCAGCACAUCAGUACCGGCCAUCAUCCUUAAGUAAUUUUUUCCCUUGAUCAUCUACGUUAAGUCAUACAGGCACAGAUCCUUUAUAAGAUGCACAUGGAGUUGACGUCAAUUCAACACGUCAACUGAAUUGGGCCAGAGUCAUGGUGCUACUUUUCUAUGAAAUACAGAGUUGGGUAUAAUCAGUUAUUCACAUCAACUACUUCAGGUGCUCCUUUCGGCUCUUGAUUUCAAUUGGCAAGCUCGAUACCAAAUGCUGUCUCAGGAGAUGUCUGCCCAUUUGGACUCAUUGGAUCACCAUAUUCGGUAACAGGUCUGGAGAAAGCAAAAUUACUCUGUGUUUGGACUGAAAGGCUUGAUGGACUCGGCGGGUAGUUUGUGGCUGGAGAGGCAGUCACCACAAAAAACCAUAUGAUCAUCACGAACCGAGCCAAGUUGCUGACAAUUCUCUCCCCUAUAAAUAUGAUUUAAUUAAUUUAGAAUGCAAAAGAAAAUCAACAAGAAAACAUCAAUUUUAAGAUUGGCAUACGUAUGGAGUGUUUUCCAAAAUUGAAGGAAUUGGUUCAGUUAUGUUUUCCAAUCUUAUUAUAAAAUUCCAAAAUCUAAUUGGCAUUUCUCAACAUGCUACAUAUAUAUAUUGUGCAUUUAAAUUCAAGGAGGUGGAAGAGAAAUUACUCUGAGCAAACACCAAUGUUGAGAAGGAGAACCAGAAGAUUGUGCCAACUUGAUGUGAACGAGGCCCUCUGAAAUCUUCAUUUAUUCGAUGUUCAAGAGUCCAAAUCACAAAGCCAAUGAAGACAAAGAAACAAGCGCUUGUCACCCAAAGGUCCCAAGUUAAUGGCUUCAGAAAGACCCAUGCAUUUUUACUUCUGUUAUUGAUGAUGGGCACGAUCAUUGAUACGCCAGACUCGGUGUAAGGUAGUGUAAAGUCUACAUAGAAGGACCUGUUCGCUAGAAUAGUAAUAUCUCCCACCACAGCGUCAUACUUCUGUUCAUGAUAAAAGUAGAGCUAAAAUUGGUGAGAUAUUUCAUUGCAAAAGGAUGGCAGUUUCCCUCUAUUUGACAGUUGAUGACCAUAGUUGAAUGAAAAUCGUUGUGUAUUAAGGAAUCUAAAAGUCAUGGCUAACCUGAAAAUAUACUUGAGAUAUCAAUUCAUCAUAGCUACCAGCAGCCUUUCCAUCAGGUGUCUCGAAGGGAACGUAUUCGUAAGGAACAGCAUAUGGUAAUGUUUCCAUUACGUUUUCGAAGAUAGCGAUAGAGUAACCAGUGAUCUUUGUUGUAUUAGUGAUAGGAUCUCGCGUCACCUUCACAAAUUCACUAAAACCCUCCUUCACUGGAACUCCUAUCUUCAACUUCUUUCCGUUGGUAGGAAGCACCCAACCUUUAGGAACAGAAGGAGAUUCUCCUGGCCAUGUAAUGGCUCUUAGAUUGGCCUUAGAAGUAGAAUUCGAUCUUCUUACAAUUCCAUUCUCUGGUGUCCAAAAUCCAACCCCUCUUUCCCCUUCACCAAUCACAUUAACUAUAUGGAAAGCUGAUGUGCGUAGUUGCCCAUCUCCAAUUUGAAAAUCUCCGCUAAGGCCUCUAAAUCGAGUACUUAAUAGUGAAUGGAGAAUAUUUGGACCAACCGGGGAAACUCUAAUACUCUCAAAACCGGUUGAAUCUCUGGAAAUGUUAGUCUUUUGGAGGCUGAAGUUUCCCGCGCCAAGUUUUUCAACUGCCAUGGCUAGUGCACAAGCAGCAUCGUAGGCCCAGAGUCCAAAAAUAUUCAGCUCAGAGAUUUCAUUGGUUGGAUAUUCUUCUUGUAUUUUCUUUUUCCAUCUGAUUUUAAAACUUUCAAGCUCUUUGGUUCUUGGAACAUGGGGCUUGACGCCCAACACCCCUUGCAUCGAAUCAAUGGCUGAAGCGUUCAAAGUACUCAAGAAGUCGGUUAUCCCAUCAGUUAGUAUCCAAACAUAGCCUUCUUCCAUCAUUCCAGCCUCAUUUGCUUUGGUAAAAAGCCGGUAGCCAAGAGGCGUAAGCAUAUGCACAAUGAAAACUCUAGUUGGUAUCCUCAUCAACUUGUGAAGUUCUUCAACAAGUUGAUCGUCAGUUACUGAUGGAUGAAUGGGGCUCCAGUAGGUCACAUGGGCGUCCACCUCCAGGAAGGCACUAGUCAGAGACGGUAUGACUCCAUUGCCAUACUCGUUGUCAACGUAAAUAAGCACAACUUCUCUCCAUCCAAAGGUCUGGACUAUUGCCCUAAUUGCCGGUACUUGAGCUGAGUCAUUUAGGGUAGCUCGGAUAAAAUAUUGACUCUGAAGCGAAGAAAGAGAGGGACUUGUUGCAGAAAAUGAAAUGAUGGGCACCCGAGCUUUACUUCCAAGACCGAUCAUGAAGUUGGCCUGCAUCGAUGAUCCCGGCCCUAUUAUGGCUUCCACUUCCUCAUUUUGCAAGAGGUCAACAGCUGAGUUCAGGAGCAUGCAUGUUCAAACGAUAAACAAGCAUUAAAAUGAAUUAAUAAAUUUUUACACUAAAGUGAGCAAUCAAACUUUAACCAACUGCAAUCAACUGUAUAGAUAUUGUCCAUUAUAGACCAAAAAGGGUGUUUGUCCGUUUGGUCUCGUAAUCUCAUGAGAAAAGGCUGUUUGUGAUAUCUCAUAUUGAAUAAAGGAGAAAGUUUUUGACAUUGUAUAUGUAUAAGUUCUUUAAUCAUAUAGACGUAUUUUAAAGUCAUGAGAGUUUUUUGGGCUUAAAAUUGAUAAUAUUUACACGGUUGGAUAUGAAUAAUUACACAAAUAGGGUACAAAAACCUUGUUUAUCAUAUUUUUUGUCCUAAUAUAAUAGUAAAAUAUGAUAUGAUAUUAUAAUUUAAGAUGAAAAUGACCCAUUUAUUGUAUGCUCAACAAGAUAUAUACAACUUUCAAUCAUUUAAUAAAAUAGGAUCAUUUGGGUUAGAAGUCAUCAAUAAUCCAUUUAAUCCCUGUUAUCACCUACUUUAACACAAUUAAGGUUUAUUUAAAUUAUUUUAAAUUUUAAAUUUAUCUUAAUUAUAUGUUAGCUUAUUUUUGAAAAUAAUUUGCCAAAAGUAUAAUACAGUUAUUAUAAUUUAUUAAUAAAAGUCCCAUUAAAAAAAUUAAAAUCUAUAAAUCAGCAUGAAUAUGAAAACAAGCACUCACCGUUAACCUAAUUCCACUAAUUUCAUAUCGUUUUCGACUUAUGUUCACAAAUAAUGUCAAAAUUGACGCCAUUAUAGUUUUUUAACACUGUUUACUACCCCUUAAAUAUCAUGUGGUGAAUAUGAAAACCUCUUGGUCAUUUCCCCAAGAUAUGUUAUCUAGUUGAAACAAUAAAACAAAUAAACAUGGCACAAUUAAUUGAGACUCUUUUGCAAUAAUUCUUGGUCAUAUCUGUUCUCGUUGAGAUAUUUUCUUAAUUAAUAAAUCACGAGUGUAGUACUAUAAUCACAAGUGUAAUACCAUAUAUCUUGUGGGUUCUAAAUUUUCAAUUUUUUUUCUUUUUUUUUUAAUUUUUUUUGGAUCACUCUAAGUUGAUAUAAACAAUGUUUUGAAAAUCAGAUAUCAAACUAUUGAUGGAAGCUUGGUCCAACCUUUAGAUUGGAGAACCCGUUGAGCCGACCUUGAAACGGACAGACCAUUGAGCUGGUGAAAUAUGCUAUCAGUUCUAGGUUGGCCAAACUUUUUUUUUUUCUCUCAACAAAAGCCUAGCCCACAGUGGAGGGGUGGAAGCCCAACUCAAAGUCAAGGAGUGGCUCUGUUGUGGGCCUUGUGGCAAUUAUGAUUGACGAGGAUGAAAGAAAUUGAGUUAUUGAAAAAUCCAAAAUUCUUAGAAUUUGGGGAUUUGAGCCAUGGACCAUCAGCUCGUGGAUGGGCUAUAACCACUCAUUUAAUAAAAUUUAAAAUAUUAAAAUAUUUAUAUUUAUUUUUAUAAUAUUAAAUAUGAAAAAUAAAUAUUAUUAUUUUUAAUUUUACUUUUAAUUUUAUAUAUAUAUUAAAAUUUUAUAAUUACUUUUAAUUGUAAUAAUAUAUUCAUUAUAUAUUUAUAAUAUUAUCAGUAAAUUAAUAACUUUUCUGAUUUAUGUACCGGUUACGAAAAUAUUGAGGAAACAUAAAAAAUAAACUCUAAUAUUUUAGAGUAUUCUUGCGCUUUCCUGAGAGAAUACUGAAAGCAAAUAUCUUUUACUGUGCUAGUUAAACUGCUCUCAAUUAAGUUUAUUAGUUCUAAGAGAGAUAAGACCAGCGAACUUCCUCGAAACCCAAAUGGCUUGACUUCUAAAAUUAUUUAGACUGAUGAGUUUAACACUUAAAGAAGAAGAUCUAAGGGAUAGUACCUGCUGCAGCUGCACCAACAACAUCUCUUUUGGAAUCUCUGACUUUUGUAACCACCCUGGUUUUGUAGUGGCCAUGAGAGGCAUAGAAGUCUGAGAGGGCCAUGGAGAUGCAGCUCAACCCCAUCUUCCCAACCCAUGUAUCCAAGUCCAGAACCACUCCCACUUUAACUGGUAUUGUUGUGUUCUGUGCCAUGCCCUUUUCUAUGAAGAAAAUCGUGGGAAAGAGAAAGAACAAGAGAGAGGCAAGGAGUUGGGUAGGGUGCCUUCUCAUCUUUGAACUCGUUGGAAGCUAUGGUAGUCAUAAUAUUGGAGAGAAACUAAGAGAUUAUUUAUAGGACUUAGAAUUUUGAAUUUUGAAACCAGAAGCCAGCUGGAAUCAGGACUACUCUGCAGUCAACUUGAGAAGGACGCCCAACUGGACUCUCGUCUCUUUAUCGACAGCAUGCAAGGAAACUGCUGUCGAUAUAUUCUAUGUUUUGAGAGAUAUUUAGUUUUUAAUUAACUUCUUACUUUGUAAUAUAAUUUAUAUUUUAUGGUAUUAAAAUAAUCAUUUCAUUUACUCUUUUUAUUUUUUAACCCAUAAAAACUCUUCUAUGUGGAUUUGACAUGACUUGGAAAUUCCUUUCCUGAACUUGAUCAUAUUGUAUUUAAGACCAGAUAUAUUAAUAGAUGGAUUUAAUAUGAAUUGCUUUACAUCUCAUCCAAGUGUAUUGUUACUUAAAAAUAUGAACCUCAAUGUGUAUAAAACCCACAUAGUGGUGAAAAAAAAACAUUUAGGAAACAAAAUGAUGAUUUUAAUAAAUCUUUUAAUAACUAUUUUUUCACACUAUUAUUAUUAAGAGUGUAUUUGAAAGUGAUUUUAAAAAACGUUUUUAACAUUUUUAAGACUUAUUACUUGCAAAUCUCAUUAUAAUGUUGAAUAAACAUACAUUGGAAAGCGAGAUUAAUUAAAUAGAUCAUAUCACACACAUAGACACCAUCAUAUAUAUAUUUGUAGACCCGCAUUUUUCUUAUGCAUCCCCACUCGAUGACGAAACUCGUUUUUUAUUUAUUUGUGAAAUUUUGAUUUUUAGAAAAAGACUUGGAGUCACCAUUAUUUUUGUUUUAUUUUUUAAAUAUAUUUGUAGACCCGCAUUUUUCUUAUGCAUCCCCACUCGAUGACGAAACUCGUUUUUUAUUUAUUUGUGAAAUUUUGAUUUUUAGAAAAAAACUUGGAGUCACCAUUUAUUUUUGUUUUAUUUUUUAAAGUGAAAAUAAAAUAAGAAAAAAAAACUCUGUGUGACUUCUUAUUUGAAAAAAAACAUGUCUGCAAAAAUCAAGUCUGAAUUUGGAGUCAGGUUACCUAUUGAGAAAAUAUAAUGGUGAGCUGUAGCACCCCUCUAAACUUGUAUACCUACUAUCUCUACUAAACGAAUCAAGAGAAUUGUGACAAUUAAUUAAUUAAUAAUGUAUAUUAAGAUUAAAAGAACAAAUUAAUACACAAAAAUUGGGAUAAAAUCUAAUUACAAGAAUUCACAAAAUAAAUGACAAGAGAAUGAUGCAAAAUGAUUUAUUGAACUAAAUAAAAUAAAAUAAAAAAUUCAAAAGAAUUAGUUCUCGAGAAAUUUUAAAGGAUUUUAUUAAAAACAAUUUUGAAUUAAUGAUUUCAAUUUAUUUAUUUACCAAAAAGAGUCAAUUUAUUUUCUCAAUUUUAUUUGUAUUCAAUUUUCAAAAAAGUUAUUUACACUUAUUGUAUGAAAAGAAUUUAUUACAAAAUUUCAAUUUGGGCAUAAAAAUUAUUUUUACUUACUUUUACUAAAAAUGAAUAAAUUUUUACAAUUUUAUUUAAAAGGUAUUUUGAUUUAUUUUCAUUUAAGAAAAGUGACUUAUACAAAUUAAAAAAAAACUUUAUUUGCAAAAUAAUAAUAAUACUAAUAAUAAUAAUAAUUAAAAAGAAAAAAUUAAAUCCCCUAUUUUUAAAAAUUACUUUUAAUCCCAUUUUAAUUAAGAAAAAAUAAUUUAUUUUAAAAAAAAACAUUUUUUUUGACAAUUUUAUUAAAAAUUAAUUUUUGGGACAACUUUAUUUACAAAACGAUUUUUGGACAAUUUUUAUUAAACAAAGAAAAUUUUGGACAAUUAUUAUUAAAAAAUAAAAUUUCAAAUUCUAUUAAAAACAAUUUUUUUCGAUUUUUCUAAAAGAAUUUUUCUAAAUUUUUAUUAAUAAAAAACUUUAUUUUAUUAAGAAUAAUAUUUUCUAAACUAUUAUUUUGUUAAAACAUGUUUACUGAAUUGUUCCUCUUAUUCAAAUAAAAUUUCUUAUUUGUUCGAUAUUCAAUUAUGUACACAACAAGUAAGUAUAUAUAAACAAAUAUUUAUAGAAACCAAUAAAAAUAAAACAAAAUAGUAGUAGGAAAUAAAAUGUAUACCCAAUAAGCUUACAACAAUCUUAAUAUCUUCCUACAAUUUUUCGAGUCUUACUUUCUUUCAUGAAAUUUCAUACUCCACAUGUCAUACUUCACAUGUCAUGAAUCCAUACUCAGCCAAUAAAAUUAUAGAAUGGGUCCAUACAAAAACAAAAAUAGUCCAAAUGUAAAUAUCCAGAAUUACACAAAGUUCAAAACAAAUAUUCAAGUCCAAAUUCAAACUUCAAAUUAAUCUAAUAAAUUUCAUUAAUCAAAAUGAGUCCAAAUUAUCAAUAUAUACUCCAACAAAAAUAUCUCAUAUGUCAUAGCCCUAUUCAAAAUUUUCAAAUUAAUAACCAAAGUAUAAGUUCAAUUAAUCAAACCCAAAAUAUGAUAAAUUAAAAUCAAUUUCAUUAGGCCUAAACUUAAUAUCCCAUAAUUCCAACCUAAUUUAAUAUGCAAAUUUAAAUCCACAAUCAAAAUAAAACCUGAUUUAUACUAAUCCCAAUUUACAAUUAAAAUCAAAUACAAUUUAAUAAAUAAAUAACUAAAUAAAUUAAGCAAACUUAAAACAUCCAAACCACUAAAUCAAACAAUAAUAAAAAUAAAAAUUUUAACUCGCGUUUUAGAGCCGAUUUGAGUGUUGUAGGAAAAAAAGAAAAUGGGAGAAAAGUGGGAGAUGAGGGAGAUGGUCACCGGCUAGUAGUGGCUGGACGAAGAUGAUUGGUCGGUGGUCCUGUCAGUGGCAAUAAGGAGUGAUAGAUUUUUGGAAAACAAAAAUUAAAUAAAUAAAUAAAAAAGAAAAAGAAAAGGAAGAGUAGAAAUGUGCGCAAAAAUAAUGGGAGAAGAUAAGAGGGAGAGAAGGUUGUGGGGCAAUGUGGAGGAAAAAGAGGAAGAGCGGUUGGGAGAAGAAAAUGGAGAAAAAAAAAAGGGUCGGUUGGUGUGUGCUCUCUGAGGUGUGGUGAGUGGGAAAGAAAAAAAAUGGAGCUAAAAAAAAUGGGACCGACCACCAAAAUGGGAAGAAAAACUAAAAGAAAAAGGGAAAUGAGAAGAAAGAGAAGAGACCUGCAAAAACAUAUUUUUCUCAAAAUUUCCUCCACUUUCCUGCAAAAACAUGAAAAGAAAAAAAAUAGAAAGAAAAUUGCCCAUCAUCCUCUUCCUUCAUUUUCCUAUACUUUUUUAGGUUAAAAUUAACUAAGCUAAGUAUUGAUUUAUACUCUAACAAUGAGUCAAUGCCCCUGCAUCUCAUAAUAUGAGACCUGCAACUUCCUUCCAACACUAAAUUAAGCUUCUGUUCAAUUUCUUCUUGAGAAAGGAAUUCAAAUUCAAUUCCAGACGUCAUGCCGUGGCUUUGCCUCCAGUUAUCUCAAAUUCGUAUGUUUGGAAGACCAUAUGCUCCAUCAUCUGGACUUCUUAUUCAAAUAUUCUUGCUGCACCACAAUACUAGAAUUCAAAGGCAUUGACUUCUCAAUUCCAUGUUUAUUAUUUAGAGGUCAAUUUGUGUUGUACAAAAGAAAAAUAAAAAGAAAUCAAUUUUCCUAUUGUUGACUCAGUCUGCCCUAAGCGCCUACUCUUCAUCAAAGCCAAAAUUAAGGAAAUGCAGGGAAACACCUCUGAAUAUUUGCUGCCAACUAACAUACAGAUGUCAUGGCGGAAGCUGGGGACUGGGUUUGACUGUAUGGUAUAGAGGUAAGCACCUCCACCGGGUAUGAAGAUCGAAGACACAGUCAAUCCUUGAAGCAACAAGGAAGCUAGGACAUAUUUUACCAUGAAGGACUGAUGCUCUUGAUGUAUCCUUGUAAGUUAUCCUGUGAUUCUUAAUAAUUGGAAAAACAAUAGCCAAUAUUUUAUCCUAUAAUAUCUUUUAAUGACUAAGAUAAGAUGGCUUUGGAACUUAGCUAGGUUUUCGCAAAAUUAAAAAGAUUUGAUUGGCUAAGAUGGAAGAUUUGAUUGGCUAAGAUGGCUUAAUUUGAGUUUCAUUGAUAAAUAAGCCCGCUUGAAAAAUGAAGUGCUGACUGAGAUAUAUUUCUUAUUUUUUGUUUUUAAAAAAUAUAAAAUUAGUUUUUAAAUAAAAUAUAAUGAUGUAUAUUAUAUCUUUAAAAAUUAUUUUUAAAAUUUGAAUAUCUUGUCUUUUUUUAAAAAAAAAAAUUUAAAUAGUUAUUUUUUGAAGGUAAGUUUCAAAAAAAAUUUUAUAUUUUAAACAAAAGAGUUUUGGAGUAUUUUGAAUUCAUACAAAUAAUUUUUUGAACUUUUUAUGUAAAGAUAAGCAAAUCUUUUAAAAAGGAAAAAUACUUUAAUAAUUUUUUUUAAAAAAGAAAUGUUAUCACACGAAUGAAUUGCUCUUAUAAAAUUGUUGAAUUAUUAUUAUUAUUAUUAUUAUUUUAAAAAAGUCAACUGAUGUUGCUGCAUACUCUCUCGUUAAAAAUGUAAAUUAUUUGGAGAAUCAACUCAAAAGAAGAAUUUUGCCAUUAUUUAGUGGUAAUACGUGUACUUGGCAAGUGGUGGAAUAGUUUAUUGUCAAAUCCUUUAUUAAAGGUUACAAGAUCCAUUAUUUAAUUACAAGUUCGUUUGACAGGAUCCAUUGUGAGUUUCUUGAGGAGUUUGAUGUUGCAAGAAGCAUAAUCUUUAAUAGAGUGACACAACGUGAAACCCAGUGGUUGGGUCAGGAUGAUAGUCUCUCAACCUCAAUCAAAGAAUCACAUCUAUCAUUAUCACCCUAGUUGAACUUCAUUUAUAUAAUUCAAGUUGUCAAUUUAUGCUUGAACUAAUAUUUUUUUAACAAGCUCGAAUUGAAAUUUAGUUAAGUUUAGGUUGGUUAAGUUAUAUAUAUAAAAAAAAAUGAACAGAUUAAGCUUGACUUGAACAGGUUUAGUGAUCAUAUCAAAGUUUGGUUAACUCAAAUUAGAAAAAAAUAAAAAGUGUUAAAACUCGGGUUGAAUUAGAUUAGGUUAAAUUAGAGGAAAAAUAACAUAUUAGCACAUCAAAAUGAGUUUUGUUCGUGAAAGUUUUCAUCUUACCAUAUGCACGAAUAAACCAUAUUUAUUACUUUCAUCAACAUUAAAUCCAUUAACUUAAUACAACAAUUUGGUAUAAGAUAAACAAUAUAGUUUUAAUAGAUAAGAAGUUGAUCUAUCUAAUUCUACAUAAGAAUUUAAUUAAUAUUUAAAUAUCAAUAAUUAAAGAAUAUAGCAUAAAAUUUAAUUAUUUAUUAUAUGCAAUAUAAUUUCUAAUUAAAAUUAUUAAAUACUCGGUUCAAGUCAUAUUGUUUGGCAAUUUGAAUUAGGUACUCAACCCAAAUUAAAUUAGAAAAGGGGCUGUCCAAACCAGCACAAAUUCGGGUUAGCUUCCUUGGGAUUGGGUUGGAAUGUGUUUAAUCCGUACAAGUUGCAGUCCUAAGAGUGGGUCUGGCUCCACCAAACUAUUUUGAUUUGGUCAAGGUAAACAAAUUAAAUAAGAAAAAUGCUGUCACAAAGAGUGAUGCAACCCUAUAAACAAGACUAAAUAUUAUAUAGCUGCGUUGCUUUCUCAAAAGUCCAGUUGGGUCCUUUUUGCUUACCCUGCAGAGGAGUCUUUCUUCAAGGCUGCUGAUUCCUACCUCACAGUCUAAAUCCUAUAAAUAAUCUCUCUCUCGCCACGUUAUGAAUCUUAAAGCGUCCCCAGAAAAGGUUGAAAGAUGAGAAAGAACCUUACCCAACUCGCUUUAUAUCUCUUCUGCUGUCUCUCUCUCUGGAUUUUCUUCAUAGAAACGGCCAUGCCACAGAACACAAAGAUUCCAGUUAAAGUGGGAGUGGUUCUCGACAUGGAUACCUGGCUAGGGAAGAUGGGAUUGAGCUGCAUCUCCAUGGCACUCUCAGACUUCUAUGCCUCUCAUGGGCACUACAAGACUAGGCUGGUUCCGGAAAUUAGAAACUCCAAACGAGAUGUCGUUGGUGCAGCUGCAGCUGGUACUCUCUCCCUCUCUCUCUCUCUCUCUCAAUACUCUCACACAUAAUGAUUAGAUUAUUAAUCUAUUUAGAAAAUUGAAUUGUAUUACCGAGAAAACUGUAAGCACAUAUUGAAUCUAUGGUUAACUUAACUUAACAUGCCGUACUAAUUUUAAAAUAAGAGAUGCUAUUUUAUCAUUUUCUAUUUUUUUUAUGCUUAUUUUGAGUGUAUCUCUCAAACAACAGAUCAAUGUAUGAUAUUUGGGUUCUUUUUCUUUUAGAGAUCCCAUAAUUGAGACCUAUAACUGGACUAAUUACCAAUAAAAAUACGAUUGUCUUUAGCUAAUUUGGAUUUUUUUUUAAUUAUCACCUUAUUGGCAGAUGGUGAUUAAAAGAGACAAAAUAUGUAUCUAUGUUUUUUAUUUACAUUUCUUCUUCUGUCUGUUGACAUUUACAGCCUUUCUAACAUGGUAAAAGAAGUAGUAAAGCUAUUAAUUAAGCAAAGUUGUUGAUGGAAAAGAGUCCUCAUGUUUAACCACACUGUCAUAUCCAUUAAAGAUGGCAAAUUAAGAGUCUCUAUAAAUUGGAAUCAAAGAUUAUGCAAAAGGUCUUCAUAAGUUUUCCUGUUUUUUUUAUAAAAGUCAACUCCGGUAUUGUGGCCAAGAGCCAUGAGAAUAUUCGAGUUGGAGUUAAUAAAUAUGUGUCUAUUUUUAGGGGAGAAUGGGAAGUAGUUACCGAAAUGAGAUGCCAGUUGCUUGGGAUUAUGAUUAUCAGCGGCUGUUUGGUAGAAAAGCUAGUUCGUCAUGAAAAUAUGUACUAUUAUGUCUCAAUUAAUACAAUAUCAACUAAGUUCUUUUAUUCAUGCAACCAAGGAUGAUUUUUAUUUCUAUUUCUACCUUGUUUAAUUGCUAAUAAUAUACUCCAAAGAUAUAAUGAAAUUUUGGAAUCUUUAAAUCUGAUAAAGUAUUUGAUUAUGUUUCGAACCUCCUGUGAAAUUCAGCUCUAGACUUGUUGCAAAAUGAGGACGUUCAAGCCAUCAUAGGACCAGCAUCUUCCAUGCAGGCCAACUUCCUGAUUGGUCUCGGAGACAAAACUCAUGUGCCCAUCAUUUCAUUUUCUGCAACAAGCCCUUCUCUUUCUUCACUUCAGAGUCAAUAUUUUAUCCGAGCCACCCUAAAUGACUCAGCUCAAGUACCAGCAAUAAGGGCAAUUGUCCAAGCCUUUGGAUGGAGAGAAGUUGUGCUUAUUUACGUGGGCAAUGAGUAUGGGAAUGGCGUUAUACCAUAUCUUACCGAUGCCUUGCAAGAGAUUGACACCCGUAUCGCCUACAGGUACGUCAUUCCUCCAUUAGCCACUGAUGAUCAAAUUGUCAAAGAACUUUACAAGCUGAUGACAAUGUCAACCAGAGUUUUCAUUGUACACAUGUCUACACCUCUUGGGCCUCGGCUUUUCACCAAAGCAAAUAAGGUGGGAAUGAUGGAUGAAGGCUAUGUUUGGAUACUGACUGAUGGGAUGGCUGAUAUGUUGAGUACUUUGGAUGAGUCGGUCAUUGAUUCGAUGCAAGGAGUGUUGGGUGUAAAGCCUCAUGUUCCUAGAUCUAAAGAGCUUAAAAGUUUUGAAAUCAGAUGGAAAAGAAAAAUCCAGCAAGAAUAUCCAACCAAUGAAAGCUAUGAGUUGAACAUAUUUGGCCUCUGGGCUUAUGAUGCUGCUUCUGGGUUAGCCAUGGCAGUUGAACAACUUGGGACAACAAACUUCAGCUUCCAAAAUUCUAAUAUUUCCAGAAAUUCAACCGGUCUUGGGACUAUACAAGUCUCCAAAACUGGUCCAUAUCUUCUCCAAUCACUUCUAAGUACUAAAUUCAGAGGCCUCAGUGGAGAUUUUCAAAUUGUUGAUGGGCAACUACGUUCAUCAGCCUUUCAGAUAGUCAAUGUGAUCGGUAAAGGGGAAAGAGGGGUGGCACUUUGGACACCGGAGAAUGGGAUUGUAAGAAAUUCAAAUCCUACUUAUAAGGCUGAUCUAAGAACCAUCAUAUGGCCGGGAGACUCUCCUUCGGUUCCUAAAGGUUGGGUGCUUCCCACAAACGGCAUGAAGUCCUUGAGAAUAGGAGUACCAGUGAAAGAGGGGUUUAGUGAAUUUGUAAAGGUGACACGAGAUCCUAUCACUAACAUUACAAAGGUCACUGGAUACUGCAUAGCUAUCUUCGAUGCUGUGAUGGCAGCAUUGCCAUAUUCUGUUCCUUACGAGUACAUUCCGUUCGAGACCUCUGAUGGCAAGCCUGCUGGCAAUUACAAUGAUUUGAUAUAUCAAGUAUAUCUUCAGGUUAGUUCAUGAACUCCUUGACUUUCCAAGCAGAUAGAACUAACUCUAGCUUAACUCCAGUUAUAAAACCAACUGCAAUCCUUUCAUGUUAUUCUUUGUGUGCAUAGAAGACGAGCAAACCAGAAAUUCCAACCAAAUGUAUUAACAGAUUGGUCCAAAAUUCUAUUGUGAACAGAAGUAUGAUGCUGUUGUGGGAGAUACUACUAUCGUAGCGAACAGGUCCUUAUAUGUAGACUUUACGCUGCCUUACACGGAAUCUGGGGUGUCAAUGAUUGUGCCCGUCAUAGAUAAAAGAAGUAAAAAUGCAUGGGUUUUCUUGAAGCCACUGACUUGGGACCUUUGGGUGACAAGCGCUUGUUUCUUUGUCUUCAUUGGUUUUGUGAUUUGGGUUCUGGAACAUCGUAUAAAUGAAGAUUUUAGAGGACCUCGUUCAAAUCAAGUUGGCACGAUCCUCUGGUUUUCAUUCUCGACCAUGGUGUUUGCCCAGAGUAAUUGCUCUUCCACCUCCUCGAAUAUACGUGGCAAUGAAAAAACUACAUGAUAGUAAUUUAGAACACUGCAUAUUUCCAUGCUGUCAGAACCUUAAUAUGAUAACACUCAAAACACAACUGAAACCAACUAUUAAUAUAUGGACAUUCCAUACAAUAUGCAAGUAAAGUUCAGGAUAUAUUUUUAUGUUUCAAAAUUUAUAUUUGACUUGAUAUUGAUGUUCUGAAGCUGAUCUUCCUUUCCAUUCUUAAAUUAUGUUUAUAGAGGAGAGAGUUGUGAGUAACUUGGCUCGGUUCGUGGUGAUCAUAUGGUUUUUCGUGGUGCUGAUUCUUACUCAAAGUUAUACUGCCAGCUUGACUUCAAUGUUAACAGUUCAACAGCUGAAGCCGACUAUCACAGACAUAAAUGAGCUCAUAAAGAAUGGGGAGCGUGUGGGUUACCAGACGGGCUCUUUUGUUCAUGAAUUCUUGAAGUGGAUGAAAUUUGAUGAAACCAAGCUUGUAAUCUAUGAGUCUCCAGAAGGGCUGGAUGAAUUAUUUUCAAACAGGAGUUCAGAUGGUGGAAUUGCUGCUGCUUUUGAGGAAAUCCCUUACAUGAAGCUUUUCCUUGCAAAAUAUUGCUCCAAAUACACUGCAGUUCAACCAACUUACAAGUUUGAUGGGUUUGGAUUUGUGAGUCUCUCUCACGUACUUGUGCAUAAAUUUCAAACUGUAUUUGGUUUCUUAUUUUGUAAUUUUCAGGUCUUCCCAAAGCGAUCACCUCUCAUACCUGAUGUUUCAAUGCAAGUCUUAAAUGUGACUGAGGGAGCUAAAAUGGUUCAAUUUGAGAAAGCAUGGUUUGGGCAGACACCCAGUUGUCCAGAGCUCACCAGCUCAGUUUCUUCAAACAGCAUCGGCCUUAAUAGCUUUUGGGGCCUAUUCCUCAUUGCUGGAGUCGCUUCAUUUGUAGCUCUCAUCAUAUGCAUCACCACUUUCUUGUAUGAAAAUAGAGAUACUUUAGUACACUUGGAUCCCCCAGCUUCAGUAUGGAGAAAAAUUAAAGCCAUGGCGACACGCUUUGAUCACAAAGACCUCAGCUCGCAUACUUUCAGGAAAAGUGAAAUGGUAGAUAGAAGUGGCAUCAAUGGUAUGGAUGCAGUUACAGCCUCGCCAGCUACCAACUGCCCCCCAAGUCCAUCAAGCCUUUCCAUCCAAACAGAGAGUAAUUUUGCUUUCUUCAGAGACCAAGAAACGCCUUCUUCUGAAUAUGGCGAUCCAUUCAGUCCAAAUAGGCAGACAUCUCCACAGUAGUAUUUGAUAUUAAUUAAUCUUACUAAUACAAAUCAAGUGCAAAUGAUUCCGCCUCAAGUAGCAGCUGCGAAUGACUGAUUCAUUUUCCUUUUGUAAUUUAAGCCAGUGGAACCAUUAUCCACAAAUGUGGAAUAUUUCAUGAAAAAGUAGCACUGUAGCUAUAGCAAAUUUGGUUAAAAUAUUUGAGGAUAUAUCUCAAUGAUGAACUACACCGAGAGGAGGAGAGGGGCUGAAUAGGUGUUUUUAAAUAAAUUCGAAAAGUUCUCCCAACAUAUAUAUAUUGCUUUCUUCCAACGUCUAUUCAACAAAGAAUAAAAUACGCAAGCAAACAACCUCCUAUAAGGCCACUAAACAAAUUUACUGACUUCAUAGUGGAUAGAGCAAUGCAGGAUUACUUCUUAGUCCACCAAGUAAUAGUGACACCAUUGAGUAAAAAACAUAUCUCAUAGUGGAUUUGCACUCAUCUCAAUCACUAACCCAAUCUGUAUUAUAAUAUCCUCUUAAUCUCAAGUCUCCACCUCGAUAGCAAAGGACAAAAUCUCUACAUCCUUGGAGGUGGCGAAAAAUCCUCUUAAUUGCUCGCCAAUGAAUGGGGUAUGGGUUACUUUGGUAACGAUUGACCAAUUGAACUACGAAGCAUAUGUAGGGUCAAGUACACAACAUAACAUAUAUCAUACUUCCAAUUGCACUCACAUAAGGAACUCUUACCAUAUGUUUCCUUUCUUCAUCAUUCUUAGGGCAUUGAUCAAGGCUUAGGCUGUAACCCUUCUCAAUAGGGGUGUUAAUAGGUUUGCAAUUUUGCAUUCAAAACUACUCUAGAAUAUUCUUAAUAUAAGUCUCUCUUGAGACAAACCAAGAAGUCUUCUUGAGUGAUCCCUUAGGAUCUUAACUCCGAGCAAAAAAUUUGCUUCCCCAUGUCCUUCAUAUCAAACGUGGAGGACAACCAUCCUUUGGUAGCAACAAUUAUGUCCAUGUCACUUCUAGUUAAUAGAAUGUUAUUGACAUACAAAGAUAAAAUGAGGAAGUCUUUCCCUAAUCAUUUGACAUAUACACAAUGGUUCUCUAAAUAAUAUUUCAAAACCAUUAGACAUAAUUGUCUCAUGAAAUCUAAAGUACUACUAUCUAAAUGACUAUUUUAGGCCAUAAAUGGAAUGCUUGAGAUGACAUACUUUGCACUCUUGUCCCUCAACCUCAAAAUGAAUAAGUUGAUCCAUAUAGAUCUCCUCAUUUAGUUUUCCAUUGAGAAAUAUAGUCUUCACAUCUAUUUGGAAGAUCUCUAAGUUCAAAUGUUCAACUAUAGCUGGAAUAAGGCAAAUAGAUGCAAAUCUCACCACUAAGGAGAAUGUCUCUUCAUAAUAUAUAUCCUUUCUUUGGGUAUAUCCUUUCACCAUUAAAUGAGCCUUAGAUUUGUUGAUUGAACCAUUUGUCUUGUGUUUAAUUUCAAACCCAUUUAUUUCCAAUGCUCUUAUGCUCGGGUGUAAGAUCAACUAACUCCCAAAGAUAAUUCAUUGCCAUGGAAUUCAUUUCUUUCCUCAUAGUAGCCAUCCAUUAUACUGAUUUAGAUAAAGUCAAAGCUUCUUCCCAAGAAGCAGAUUUAUCAAGAUCUAACUAUGUACACAUGUAGGUUUCCCUUUUAACCUCAAAAUGAUGUUGGGGAAUUUGACCACGUUUGCUUCUUUGUAACUCAAGACCUUGUGAAGAUCGUCUAGUGACACAUUCCCACCAGGAGAUAAGCACUCCCACUAUCUUUGGUGAUUUCAAGAUGGGCUUGUAAUUCCCUAGCCUCACUCAAAUAUUAUGUUGCUUCCUCUUGCAACUCAUAGAGUUCAAGACUCUUCUUUACUUCACCAACAGUAGGAAAAUCAUUUUCUAUAAAAUCAACAUUGUGUGACUUUGUUUCAGUCAACAUUGUGUGACUCUAUUUCAGUCAAUCCUCUAACCCUUUAAGUAGUCAAAGUAUCUUAUAAAGACAUUUUUAUUUGCUCUAGGGUCUAACUUCUUACAUCUAUGAGAAGUGUUAUGAACAUAACCUAUACAACCCCAAGGUCAUAAAUUCUCCAAAUUUGGUUUUGCAUCAUCCCAUAGCACAUAUGGAGUUGGAGGGACUGAUUUAGAAGACACUCGGUUAAGGAUUAAGGUAGUAAUCAAAAGAGCAUCCCCCUAAAAAGAUAUUGGGAGGUUAGCUUGCACCAACUGUGGACCCACAUUUCUCAUGUGCGCCUCCACUCAAUCGGCGAGACUUACUUUUAUUUGGUGAAAAGUUAGUUUUAAAAAAGUUGAAGUUGUGACUUAUUUUAUUUUUAUUUUAAAGGGAAAAUAAAACAAGAAAGAAAACCCUAAAAAGUGACUCCACAAUUUUUGAAAAACCCGAAUCUAGGUCUGGGGAUCAGGUUACUUAUUGGAAAGGUAGCUCUAGGAGGUAGCACCCCUCUAAGCCCUAUAAAGGUCUCUACUGACUAAGUUGAGGGAAUUGAGGCAAUUAAUUGGUUAAUUAUAGAUACCUAAGUAGGUUAGGUGAUUUAAAAAAUAAGCAUGUCUAACAAGAAGGUUUGAUCAUAAGAGAGAGUCAUAGUGCGUACCUAAACGACUUCUUAAGCGCUAUCAUGAAACAUAAAAGUUAGUAUAGAAAUAUAUCACACAACAUGUGUUUUAUCCACGCAAAUCAAGUAUACACCUAAGCACACAAGAAUCACAUCAAGUAUGGAUAUAGUUAUCAGUAGCAUAUGUGUCCAUAGAAUUCUCAAGGGUAGGUGUGGAGGAGCGUACCUGGAUAGCAAGCUAGUACUCCUCUAUGGGAAACAGAGUUAGUCCAAUAACAAAUUCAAAGUAGUCUCAAAACCAAUUCUCAAACCUGAUCCAUGUAUUAGUGGAUACUCAUCCGUAAAACUGACUGCAUAACUAAAACCGACAAACCUCUAUCAAACAAUUGGGAACAAAUUGGGGACCUUCAUCAUAUAUAAAACUCCAAAUGCUUCCUCAAAAUUGGUAAUGGAGAAAUAUGGGCAGAAUCAGGUGGAGAAUCGGAGGGAUUACAUCUCAAAGUAUUCACACAACUUUAAUUUCCAGUCUUCAGGGACUUACAAGAGAUAGUAUACUAAAUAACCAGAAAAUGGCAUAAAAAAUUUGGAUAGUUAGAUAUGGGAAUUCCAUCCAAACUCAUCGUUCGAAUGUAAGCAAUUCUGCUGGGAUCAUCCCUAGCAAAACCAUGUCACAAGGAAUUGUCUCAUUUGCACAGAUCUUCACCACUUCGCCAACUUGUAUCUUUUUUCAUUUUUUUUUUCUGAAAGUGACCAGCAUAAAGCACUAUAGCCUCAUGACAACCCGACUCUUGGUAGCUUGGCAUGUAAGGGUAUCAACAAAAUUUAUACCUAACGUCCUUACACUAAAGUAGCAAAGCUACUAUAGCAUAGUGGCUCUAGGAUCGAACACUGGGAAGGGUUUUUACUUUAACUGAUGAAGUUCGGAGGAUGGAGUGAACUUUUCUUAAUAAAGAUUAGGUUAAGAUGAAAACAUAAAAAGAUGAAGGUGUUGUAAACUAAACUAACAUGAAAAUAGGUUAAAAGAUGGAAAAAGAAGUUUCUCAAAGCUUUGGAUAGCCAUGCUUAACUCACUGUGUAAAAAUGGAGAUUUUGGAACUUUUCACCUCGAGUUGGGGAAGCAACUAAGGUGAUGCUUACUUCCCGAACCGGUAUGAGUUUAACAACUGAGUUUUAGUCCUUGAAAACUUACAAAAGGGUAGCUGAACCUCAUAAAUGCCCUUUUAAUGAUAUAGGUCAUCUCCUCGACUUGCAAUACAAUGGCUCGUAGGAGAUAACUAAUGAACGUCAGUGGAUCUAACAAUAAGAAUCCACUGAGACCAAAAGAUUAUCAAGUAUUGGCCAUUCAAAGCAAGUCAGAGGGAUUAAAAGCUUUACUUUGAAUGAAAACAUUUAUGACGCUCAGCUACUUACAUUCAUGGCUUGGAAAUCUCCAUCUUGACACGGGAGCUUCACAUGGCAUCCAUUACUUCAAGAAACUAAAAGGUUUUAGCCUCUCAUCCUUGGGGAUUUCAUCCUCCAAGGAUGUUUGGCUACUAAGAAAAUAGAAAAUAGAAGAGAGAAAAAGAAAGCAAAAGAUACUCUGUAUUUAGCUAAGUGUAAAAUUUACAUAAGUUCGUCUCCUGGGGAAAGUUCCCCGACGUCAUAAAAUGAAAAUUACAAAACAAUAUAUAACAGGUUGUUUACCCCUGUAUUCUUGCUUAACAACUAAGGAAUCAUCUAAUUGGUGGAUUACAAGGAGAGAAUUGGGAUUUAGACAACAAAUAUCUGAAGAAAAAUAUCAAAAAACGUUGGUCGCAAAUAUCUGGAAGCACUCAGGAGAAUUUCGCAGGCGCACAAAAUGGCUGCGAAAUUUCGCAGCCAAAGGCUGAUUUCGCAGCCCUGCGAAAUUGGCCUUCAGCUUGGAGUGAUCUGCUUCCAUUGGCUCUAACUUCUUCAUUUCAACUCUGAUUUGCGAACCGUUUGAAGCAUUGGAUUGUUGACUUCCCGAUCUUCGAAACGACAUAAAGCAUGCAUAAAUUGGACUUUAGGAAGUACUCCAAAAGUGGCUGAAAUUACUGUCAUCAAGGAUGCUUCAAGGUAGAUUCUCUCUUUACUUCUCCUCCUUGCAUUCCGGAUUGGUUAUGGCAAAGGACUUUAAGGCUUCAAAGCUCUGAUUCUUCAUGUUUCUGAGCUUUCCAUUGCUUUGCCAUGGAUUCCAAAUAACUCUCCUCCAUCUUGGAUUGCCUUGGUGAUCAAAUUACUAACAAAAACACCAAAACUUACACAAAGUGAUUAGAAGUGAUUGCAAAGGUCCUUAAUAUGUUAAUUGGGUUAAAAGGCAAUAAUUACUACUCAAAAGUGUUUAAAAGAGUUAAUUACAAGCUAUCAAAUAGCCCUUUUUGAGUAGUAAUCACUCCCCCCAACCGACAUAUUGCUAGUCCCUUAGCAAUGAAGGAGAGAAAAAUAAAAAUAAACAUUACUAUAAUUUACAACAUCAUGCUGAUCAAAAAACAAUUCUCAAGUGGCAUGAUGAUCUAACUCUCACAUGGAACAUUAAAGAAAUAAAACUCAAACUUCAACAAGAGUUAUCAAAUAACUUGUCUAAUCACAAUUCAUAAAGAGAAGGCAUUAUGCAAAUUUAAGCUUUUGAAAGAGUUUCCACUCCCAAAGGGUCAAACCUUACUCUUCCACAAAAAUCUAAGUGUUACUUAUUAGUUUCCGAAUAUAGUAUGUUGAACUAAUCUCUCCCCCCAACCUAGUUAUUUUUCAAAGCUUAGCAAACUGAUCAACCUCCAAUAGGUUAAGAACGCACCUCUUUUUUCACAAUUUUUUCAUUGUAGGAGUACAAGGCUUAAAGGUAUUAUUUUUUAAAUUGUCCAUGUAACGGGGGUCCAUCGAUGACUCCCAACCAAUUAAGGUUUAGGGCAUCAAGCUUUAAGGAUCUUUCAACCACUAACUCCUCGGAUUUUACCCCGGACUUUUGAGAAUAUAUUUUUAAUACCCAAGCACCUACAGUAUGUUAAACUCCACCUAUUCACCCUUGUAACGAGCAUUGAGGUCGGUGACUCCCAACCAAUUAAGGCUUAGGGCACCAGGUUUUAAAGAUUUGCACCAUAUACCCCUUAGACCUUGCUCGGGUUUCAAGGCAAGCAAACAUUUUUUUUUUUUUUUUUUUUUUUUUUUUUCUUUUUUCCAAAGACUCAUUAGCCUUUUACAAGGUGUCUCAACACUAUUAAAUAAGGUCAAAGGUACCAAGUCUAAAAUUUUCCUAAGUCAAGAGGGAAAUAGUUUUUCAUCUUAUAAUCGGAACCUAUUGUGCACAGUGUGUGAAUAGCUUAAAGUGGAAGACAUAAGCUUGAAUUCAAUAGAAACUUCAACAAUUCAUCAACUUUAAUAAACAUAAUACAAACUCUAAGUCAAGUAAAAAGACAAAAAUUCAAUUUCUCCCUUUUCAUUUAUUGAGAAUUUUUCCUUAAUAACCAUGGAGAGUAGAGAAAAAAAAACUAAAAAAAUUUAAAAAUUAAGCGAAAAGCAACUAAAUUACCAAAAUAACUUAUCAUUAUUAACAAUACUUACUUCCUCAACUCUCCCCCCAACCAAGCUGAACAUUGUCCUCAAUGUGACAAAAGCGAUUGAAAAAUAGGGGGGAAGUGAUACCUCCUGAGUGACAUGGAGUUUGAGUCGUAUAGGAGAAACCACAUGUUUCAAAGAAAACAUAAGAGUUAGUGAGUAGAGGAAAUAGAAAAAUGCUAAGUUUAAACAAAAAUGAUGUCUAUAUAUGAUGUAUCAUCAGUAAUACAUCCAAUCCCAGAAUAUAAGACAUCAAAAUAUGAAAUUAUUUACACUAAUAUAAUAUGUAAAUACAAAAAAUAAAAAGAUGAUCAAGUAGUGGUAGGGUCAUGUGGAGCUGAUGCGUCAGUGGUGGCCUCUUGAAUGGGUUGGAUCAGGACUUUGGCCUCUAUUCUGGUAGUCUCCUUGGGUAGCAUAGUCUCCUCAGCUGAAGCUAUGGGCUCUGAUGGUUUAAGGAGGUCAGAAAUAGAGUGAGAGGCUUUGUGUGUGAUCUCAGUGAAAGGGCUCUCCUCUUUAGAUGCAUGGUUGCGGGGCUCUCUUUGCAUUUUCACAACUUCCCUUGGCUUUGCAAAGUGUUUUCGCAAACCUCUCUUCAUUUUGCAAGUCAUUUUUAUAGCCUGGAGGUCAUUUUGUAUCUUGGAGAUCAUCUUGCAGCCAAAGGGAAAAAAAGAAAAACAUUUUCGCAGCCCAUGGAAAAAAUAGAAACAUUUUCGCAGCCCAUUUUGAAGCUUGAAAAUCAUUUCAUAGCCAUUUGGAAGCUUGGAGAUUAUUUCAUAGCCAUUUGGAAGUUUGAAAAUCAUUUGGUAGCAAAAGGCCAUUUUCGCAGCACAUGGAGGAUUUGGCAGGGGGUAGCUAUGGGGCUGCGAAAACAUUUCGCAGCCAAAUGGGAUUUUCGCAGCCGGGUGCCAUUUUCGCAGCCCAUUUCGCAGCUGCGAAAUGGGGUUGGGCGGCUGCGAAAUGGCACUCGUGUGCCAAAGGGGUGUUUCGCAGCUGCGAAACACCCUGCGAAAUGAGGCUAUGGCUGCGAAAUUUCCGUUGGUGCUUUGCGCGUUCGUCUUCAAACGGCCAUAACUUCUUCGUUUCAAAUCCAAAUCGCAUACCGUUUGAAGCACUGGACUCCUGACUUCCUAAGCUUUAAAACAAGAUAUAGUAUGAAAAAUUUGAGCUCCAGGAAGUGCUUCAAAAAUGUGUCCAAUGGGGUGCGGAUGCGACAUUUCAGCUCAUUGUUUGCACAGUCUUCAAACGACCAUAACUUCUUUGUUUCAACUCCAAAUUGAGCACCGUUUGAAGUUAUGGAAUCCUGACUUCCCAAGCUUUGAAACGAGAUAUGGUAUGAAUGAAAUGGACUUCAGGAAGUACUUCGAAAUGUGUCCAACAGGGGUGCGGCUUCAGGGUGUGUGCGCUGAAGGAAUAGGGUAUCAACAAAAUUUAUACCUAACGUCCUUACACUAAAGUAGCAAAGCUACUAUAGCAUAGUGGCUCUAGGAUCGAACACUGGGAAGGGUUUUUACUUUAACUGAUGAAGUUCGGAGGAUGGAGUGAACUUUUCUUAAUAAAGAUUAGGUUAAGAUGAAAACAUAAAAAGAUGAAGGUGUUGUAAACUAAACUAACAUGAAAAUAGGUUAAAAGAUGGAAAAAGAAGUUUCUCAAAGCUUUGGAUAGCCAUGCUUAACUCACUGUGUAAAAAUGGAGAUUUUGGAACUUUUCACCUCGAGUUGGGGAAGCAACUAAGGUGAUGCUUACUUCCCGAACCGGUAUGAGUUUAACAACUGAGUUUUAGUCCUUGAAAACUUACAAAAGGGUAGCUGAACCUCAUAAAUGCCCUUUUAAUGAUAUAGGUCAUCUCCUCGACUUGCAAUACAAUGGCUCGUAGGAGAUAACUAAUGAACGUCAGUGGAUCUAACAAUAAGAAUCCACUGAGACCAAAAGAUUAUCAAGUAUUGGCCAUUCAAAGCAAGUCAGAGGGAUUAAAAGCUUUACUUUGAAUGAAAACAUUUAUGACGCUCAGCUACUUACAUUCAUGGCUUGGAAAUCUCCAUCUUGACACGGGAGCUUCACAUGGCAUCCAUUACUUCAAGAAACUAAAAGGUUUUAGCCUCUCAUCCUUGGGGAUUUCAUCCUCCAAGGAUGUUUGGCUACUAAGAAAAUAGAAAAUAGAAGAGAGAAAAAGAAAGCAAAAGAUACUCUGUAUUUAGCUAAGUGUAAAAUUUACAUAAGUUCGUCUCCUGGGGAAAGUUCCCCGACGUCAUAAAAUGAAAAUUACAAAACAAUAUAUAACAGGUUGUUUACCCCUGUAUUCUUGCUUAACAACUAAGGAAUCAUCUAAUUGGUGGAUUACAAGGAGAGAAUUGGGAUUUAGACAACAAAUAUCUGAAGAAAAAUAUCAAAAAACGUUGGUCGCAAAUAUCUGGAAGCACUCAGGAGAAUUUCGCAGGCGCACAAAAUGGCUGCGAAAUUUCGCAGCCAAAGGCUGAUUUCGCAGCCCUGCGAAAUUGGCCUUCAGCUUGGAGUGAUCUGCUUCCAUUGGCUCUAACUUCUUCAUUUCAACUCUGAUUUGCGAACCGUUUGAAGCAUUGGAUUGUUGACUUCCCGAUCUUCGAAACGACAUAAAGCAUGCAUAAAUUGGACUUUAGGAAGUACUCCAAAAGUGGCUGAAAUUACUGUCAUCAAGGAUGCUUCAAGGUAGAUUCUCUCUUUACUUCUCCUCCUUGCAUUCCGGAUUGGUUAUGGCAAAGGACUUUAAGGCUUCAAAGCUCUGAUUCUUCAUGUUUCUGAGCUUUCCAUUGCUUUGCCAUGGAUUCCAAAUAACUCUCCUCCAUCUUGGAUUGCCUUGGUGAUCAAAUUACUAACAAAAACACCAAAACUUACACAAAGUGAUUAGAAGUGAUUGCAAAGGUCCUUAAUAUGUUAAUUGGGUUAAAAGGCAAUAAUUACUACUCAAAAGUGUUUAAAAGAGUUAAUUACAAGCUAUCAAAUAGCCCUUUUUGAGUAGUAAUCACCUCACGAUUGUUCUCCACUUCAUUAUUCUAAAUUAGUCUAAGAUGCCUCCCAAUCUACAGAAAAUCACGAUGGUAUUCAACUUCCCAUUCCUUCUCUCAGCGAUCUCAAUUUCCUUCGAAGUCUGGUAUGUGCCUUUCAGCUAUUACAUGAACACCAUUUAAAUAAUUCAACGACCAAAAAGCUCAAUAAUCCAAGAGGAUUACAUCAGCAACAUCACCCUUACAUGAAACCCAGAUCACACAGCGGAGCACACUGACUUAGGAGAAUACCCAGUAGAUAUGCAAAUUGUCGUGUAGUAAGGAAGGGGUGCCAGAGAAAUAGGAAAAUAUGCAAAUAGAAAGAAAGAAACGAAAAAACAGAGAAAAGAUAGGCAUAGUGUAAAUCAUCAAACAAAGCCACAUUCCAUAACUUCGUCAAUGGGCUUAAAAAUAGGCUUCAAUAGCUGAGAGCAAUGGCUUGAUUUUAAAAUCAUCCAAUUCAAGAACGAGCCACUCAUCAAUUGAAGGGAGUAGUCAUAAAAUCAAAACAAAAUAUGCAAAGAAAAAGAACUCUGAUUCAUCAUAACAACCAAGUGACCACAAGCGUCCACAUCAAGUAACAAAAAUAAAUCUUUAGAGACAGCCAAGGAAUGAGGUGAAAUCGAAAUUAAAUGACAAUAUAGUAAAUAUUUGGAAGCAUACCUGCACGAUCUCCCCUCCAAUUGCUUGGCUUUGGGCUACUGCCCCUUUCUUAGACUAGGAAAUCUUCUCUAAGACUGGAAUCUGCCCACCUAUCUCCUGUUCUUCCUCUCUCCCCACCGUUCUCAAUGUGUGCUGCCAAUUCCCUCUUUUCUCUAUGCAUGCUAUCUGUACUCCUUUUCAAAAACCUUCCCCCUUUUCUUCCCUCCAAUCUUUUCUUUUAUUCUAUCUCCAUUUUUCCAAAAGGAAACUUUCCUUUCUCCUACCAAAAAAAAUUUGCCACUUUCAUUUCUCCAAAAUUCUGGUGAUCUUCCUUCCAAGUAGAUGGCAGCAUGUUUUCUCAUGCCUAAUAAGCCAAGAAAUAUGAUUUAGAAAACUCAUAAUAAAAUAAAAUAAAAUCAAAAUCAAAUCAAAUCAAAUCAAAUCAAAAUAAUAAAGAAAGUCAUGCAAGCCACAUAAGUCAUGUAGGUCAUGCAAUAAUGUAAGUCAUAUAAGAAGUGAGUCUAAAAGUUCCUAAGUGGGCCUAAGUGUCCUAGAUGGGCCUAAAGUGGUGCCUAAUGGGCCAAGUGUGCCUAAGUGUCUAAGUGGGCCUAAGGUGGUGUCUAAGUCUAAAUUAGGGUUACCAAAGGUACAAUGAGGGGUCAGAUAAAUCCUUCAACUAAAGUCUCUGAGGUGGCUCAAAAAAAGGUAAGUAGUAUGAGUAGCAAUAGGCCACCAAAGACCUACUAUGGAGCACUGGAAGUGAACUUAAAGACAUGUGCUAAAUGGAUAAAAUUGAAGGUCUACACCAACAUUGACUUAACCAUAUCUAGUAAAGAAUGAUUUCUUCUUUCCGCUAUACUAUUUUGUUGUGAAGUGUUAAGAAUUGUUAACAAUCUACAUAUCCCUUUGUCUUCACAUAGUUUCUGAAACUGAUAUGACACGUAUUACUGACCUUUGUCAGUUUGAAGAAUAUUUAAAUUAUGAUUCUCAACCUCUACCAAAAAACACUUGAAACAAUUCAAUGCUUCAAAGUGAUGAAGCAUUAAUGAAUGUGAGAAAAUAAGAGGAGUCAUGGUGUACCUUUACAUUCAUAGGUCCAUAGAUAUCUUAAUAGACUAACUCUAAAGGGUAAGAGGCCCUAGGUGCCUUUCCAAAAGGCUUCUUAUAGGCUAUUCUUGCUUGACAAGACUCUACCUAGUCUAAUCAUUCUUUUUUUACUUAUGUGUUCUAAUAUAGAAUGUCAAUUCAAAGAAUCAACUGUAUUACCACAAGCUGCAUAAGAAGAUGAAGAAUCUAAAUUCAACAUGAAUAUACCAUUAGAUAAAAAAAUCUUGUUCAUAUAGGGCCUUAUUUAAAUAGAAAUCAACUUUUAUCCUAAUAAAAUGAAAUUUAAAACCUAAUUCAAGUAGUGUUAUUACUGAAAGUAUAUUAUAAUGGACACUAAGUGUAUAUAACACAUCAUGAAGAAGUAAUGUAUGCCUCGUUUGAGUUGGUAUGUUCCAACCCCUAAAACAUCUACCCUUGAUUCGUUACCUAGAGUAACAUAGUGUCUUCCAAUAGGUAUCCUUUUUUAAUCUUUGAAUCCCACUUGAUCCCUUGUAGUGUUAUUAUUUAAAUAGAAUUCAACUUUUAUCCUAAUAAAAUGAAAUUUAAAACCUAAUUCAAGUAGUGUUAUUACUGAAAGUAUAUUAUAAUGGACACUAAGUGUAUAUAACACAUCAUGAAGAAGUAAUGUAUGCCUCGUUUGAGUUGGUAUGUUCCAACCCCUAAAACAUCUACCCUUGAUUCGUUACCUAGAGUAACAUAGUGUCUUCCAAUAAGUAUCCUUUUGUAAUCUUUGAAUCCCAUUUGAUCCCCUGUUAUAUGAUUUAUUCUUUGAAUCCCAAGAAGAGAAUGAAAAAUUAAUUCAUGUGUACAAGCAUAUGAAAAGAGACUAUUAAGAUUUGGGUAUACCUUCUUUGGCUUAGUGCACUCAUGAGCAAAGUAGCCUAACUUUCCAUAGUUGUAGCAUUUCAUUUUGGCCAUAUCCUUGUCUGCAGCUCACUUACUUCUCUAGUUUUUUUUUUUUUUUUUUUCCUUUUGUUGGCCCUAGAUUUCCUACUGUACCACCAUGUGUUCCUUAUCCCUUAUGCUUAAACUUAUUAGCCUAUUGUUGCCCCACAUGAGUGGCAAUUGUGGUGUGUUGCACCCCUAAAUGCUCCAUUUUCAAUUCAAUGUGGUGAGAAAUAUCAGUAAAAGUUUUAAUAUUCUCUUUGUCUGUGAGCACUAGUUUUCCUUAUGAUUCAAGCAAAGAGCAUAUAACAACUAUGACUUGCUACUUGUUAGUCAGGUUAUUAUCGACUACAUUUAAGUCACAAAUUAUAGCUAAAAUUUCCCUCAAAUGUUCAGCCAUGGUGUGUUUAGGGUCCAUAAUAUAUUGCUCAGAUUUCAAAGUGAGCACUCACAACCUAGUUAUAAAUGUUAAAUAAUAACCAAUCUUCAGCUUAUUCUACAUGUCUUAGGGAAUGGGGCAAUUCUCAAACUCCCAUUUUAAGUCAUUAUGCAUGCUACGAAACACAGUGAAACAUGCACAAAGGUCUCUUUUAACCUAAUAAUAAUAAGCUUCCAUAUCAUAGUAGCAGUGGGCUAGAUUCCUUUCUUCAAGUUGAACCAUGAUAUUAAGGUCUCUAAGACCUCUUGUUCAUUUAACAGGUAUUGGAUUUUUCUAUGCCACAUAUCAUAAUUAUUAUCAUCUAAUUUUUUUCCUUUUAUCAAAUUAACAACGUUUUUAGUAACCUUUUCACUAUAUUUAUUAUGUAGGACACAUUAGCAUACAUUUAUCAAUUUCAACUUAGUCUAUGAUAUUCUUGUUAACAUAAUGAGAUCGAAAAUUUUGUAAUGCUCAUAACUCUCAUUAAAUGUGAACUAGAUCAUUAUAACUAAUUUAAAAUUUUAAUUUUUUAAAAAGAUACCAAUAUUCCUUAAAAAACACUAUUAGCCUAAUGGUUUUUCUAAUCUCAUUUUAAUAAUAACAAAUCAUAGUUAGUUUGCUAAUGAGUUAAAAUUAAGAUAAGUUUUAGGUAAUAAUUAUGAAAAAAAAAAUCAAAUAGAAAAUCAAUAUAAUCAUCAAGGGAUCAAUGAAGAGCAAGACUGAGUGUGCAUGAAGGUCAUUCAAGCUUAGAAAUCCUAUGUAAGAUGUUCACUUGGGUGCAGUUAGGGGUUUAAAUUUAUCCAUGCAUUGUUUUCAUAUUGGGUUUUAAGCUUUAAAAGUAAAAUUUUUAUAAACUUGAGUUUUAAUUCAAAACCAUAGGCAAAAACCUCUCAACUAGUUUUUAUAAAAGUGUUUAAAGUUGUUGUCUAAGUGUUAGAAAGAAUUGAAAUUGAAAAAGAUAGGUUUUCGAGAAAAAAAAAAUGGUCAAUCAAUCAAGAGCUAUCUCAACGACUCAAUUGAUUAGGAAACCGAUUGACCAAUUACCCUUUUAUGGUCAAGGCUUAGUCAACAAGCACAACAAAUCUUCUCUCUCUUCUAGAAGGGUUUCUUUGUUGAUCAAGAAAAACAUUUUCCCAACCGAGGUCUAGUCAAGCCCCUAAUGGUCACCUGCCAAACAUUUAAUAUCCAACGACUAGUUAAUCGAUCAAUCGAAGCUCGAUCGGGAAAGGCUUGUUGGAGCACUUUUUGGUGUCCAAGGUUGAAAACUUAUAAAUUGAGAGCUCUCAUUCUUUUAUUGCAUAGAGAACACUUGCAUUAAACUUCUUACCUACUAGUUUCUCACAUUCAAUGCUUUCUUUCUUUCUUUCUUGAUGCAUUAAAUCUCUCACUUGCAAACCCAUCUAGUGCACCCUUGUUGUUCAUCCUAAUUGCCUUUUAUUUCCUCAUUAAUUGUGCUAGGAUUGAGUGAUCUUAAACUCUCAUUUAUUGAAGUAAGGUUGAGUUUUAAGCUUCAAGUUUGAGGAUAAGACUUGAAUGAUUGCUUAUAGUGCCCAUUGGAGCCAAAGAAUCCAAUUGUAAAAACUUGGGAGCUAAGUUGAAGCUUCAAAUUAGUGGAAUCCUCAUUUAGGAAGAACUUGAGGAGAGUGAUGAUUACUACUCAAAAAGUGCUAUUUGAUAGUUUGUAAUUAAUCCUUUUAAACACUUUUGAGUAGUAGUUAUUUCCUUUUAACUCAAUUAACAUGUUAAGGACCCUUGCAAUCAUUUCUAAUCAAAUUGUGUAAGUUUUGGUGUUUUUGUUAGUAAUUUGAUCACCAAAACAAUCUAAGAUUGAGGAGAGUUAUUUGGAAUCCAUGGAAAAGCAAUGAAGAGCUCAAAUUCAUGAAGAACCAAGCUUUGGAGCUCCCUAGCCCUUUGCCAAAGUCGUUCAAAGUAUGCAAGGAGAGAAGCAAGGAGAGAGGAAAAACAGAGUGAAGAAAACAGAGGACAGCAGCUGUAGUCUUCUUUCGCACUUUUGGAGCACUUCCCGAAGUCCAUUUUCUACAUGCUAUAUACCAUUUCAAAGCUCAGGAAGUCAAGAAUCCAACGCUUCAAACCGUGUACGAUUUGGAGCUGAAAUGAGGAAGUUACAGCCUUUGGAAGAUGACUGCUCCAAGCUGAAGGAAGGAUUCAGCAAAGUGUUGCGAAAUCACCCUUUUGUUGCGGAAUGAUUUCGCAGCCUUUUUGCACAGUGCUUUGGAUUUCCCUUGAAGUUUCACGCCGCGAUGGAAGCCAAACACCACAAGAUGAAAGCCAACUUCGCAGCGGUGCGGAAUCAGCCUUUUGCUGCGAAGUAAUUUCGCAGCCCUUUGUGGAUGUCUGCGAAAUCUCGCAUACCUCAUUUUCACCUGCGAAAUGGUCCUUAGUCUGCGAAAUGGUCCUUAGUGCUUCCCGAUAUUUGUGACCGACACUUUAAGAUAUUUUUCUUCAGAUUGUUGUGUCUAAAUUUCCAUUUUCUCCUUGUAUUCAACCACUCAUGUAAUUCCUUAGCUAAGAAGUAUCCAAGGAAGGGUAAAUUACCUUCCUAUAUAAACUCCCUUGCAUCCACUGUAAUCAGGGGAUGUAAUAUGAUGUAAUCCAAAUCGAUCAAUAUAUAGAAUAUACAGAGCCUUGCUCUGUUUUUUCCUUCUCUUUCAUUUUUCAUUUCUUUUUAUUUCUAGCCAACCAAACUUUGAGGAUUUUUCCUCAGAGGAUGAAAGGCUAAGCUUUUUGUCUCUUGGAGUGAGGAAAGCCGAGUAAGUUUCCACAUGCAUAAUUUGGAAGUUUUGUUGUUUUAGUUUUUAAUGAAGAGAAAGUGUAACCCAUUAAUGGUUUUUAUCUUUUUAGUUAACUUAAAACGCCUUUAAAUCACCUGGGCCAACACUUGGUAAGGCAAGUGAUCUCCGUCCAUGGAGAUGCACUAGUUUACCCCUUGCGAGCCUUUAGUAGGUGGUUUGAAGGUAGGAUUUUCUAGAAUUGCCAACACUUGGUAAGCUUUUGGACUCUAAGGAGACAUCCAUUAGUUAUCUCUUGCGAGCUUUUGACGGGUAAUCCAAGGUUAAAGAUCACCUUGAAUGGCAAGUGCUAGGUGAGAGGUAUGAGCCAUUGCAAGGUGCAUCAGUGAGAGGGAUUUAGUGUUUGAACCCAUUAAUGGGAAGCAUUUGUACAACACCGGUUAGAGAAUUAACUAUAUGUUAAUUCUCUAAUGCGAGGAAAAGAAACAAGUGACCGGAACUCUCUUUUUUGUAUGAGGAAUCUGAGCCUAGUGAUCUGAAACUCCAAGAAACAUUUUUCUUUGUAAGUAAAAUCAAUUACUAUUUUUGGUUAGUUUAAAUCUAAACCUUUUUCAUUCAAACAUCUUUAUGUUUUCUUUUAAAGUUAACCUUGAAAUGAAAAGAAUCCAAUUCAGCUUUGAAUUAAUAUCAUUUGCAAAGUGAAAACCCAUCCCAGUGAACGAUCUUAGAGCCGCUAUGCUAUAGUAGCUUUGUCUUUGCUACCCUAGUAUAUGGUGUAAUAGGUUAUAAAUUUUGUUGAUUACUCCCUCAAUCAAGGAGCACCAGUUGGACACGAAUCAGCUGAGACACCAAUUGGGCAUGAAUCAAAUGGCGCCGUUGCCGGGGAUCGAACCUCGAAUCAAAUGGUGUCGUUGCCACUACCGCUGCUAGGGACGAAUCAAGUGACAUAGGCAAAAUUGACCGAGCCACUAUAAAAUCAGUGUUUGCAACCUCUCUAUGUCUUAUCUCUUUAUUUUUAUUAUUUUUUUUUGUUAUUGCUUGAGAAUAAUUGUCCAAAAAGUUUUUAAAACCCAAUUCUCCCCCCUCUUGGGUGUUUUUAUUAAGUUAAUUAGCCUAUAUAUAAGUUCAAUUUAAAUGGUAUUGGACAAAAAAAAAAAACUUACAUAAACAAUUCAUAUGCAAAUAAACAUUGUAUACAUUAAAAAAAAAAAAAAAAGUAAUCCAUAAAUUCAAUAACCUUAUUACCAAAAUUCUUUUAAUGAAUAGUGUAGCAACUUGAGCUGAAGUGCACUUUGUAGUAGCAUGUUUAGGCCUAUAUUUUUGGAUUAAACUUGUGCUUUUGGGCAAUCCAUUUUUUUGUGUUUGCAUGUUUGAGCACGCACUUUUGGAUUGGACAUGCACUCUUGGAUAACCCAUUUUUGUAUUUGCAUGCUUAAGCCUACACUUUUGGAUUGAACAUGUGCUUCUAGGCAGUCUAUUUUUGUGUUUGCCUACUUAGGCCUAUACUUUUAGAUUGAACCUACGCUUUUGGAUAACCUUUUUAUUAUUAUUAUAAACAAAAAUAAAAACUCUUCAAUUAAUGGACACAAAUAUUUAUUUAUUUCAAACAAAUAAAUACAAAUAGAGACAAAAACAAGCUUGAUCUAGCUAUGAUACCAAUAUAAGAUAAAAAAUUAAAACUAUAAUCCAAAAAACAUACUUAUGGAAGAUCUUUGUAGCUUGAAUUGUACUCUCUAAUAUUGAUAAUUGCUUUAGUGAGGUUGUUGUGAUUGUGAUGGAGAAGAUUAGAUCGGUCCAACGAAAAACUAGCUAUUCUGCCUAUGCAGUUAACUAUGCUUCACAUCUUUUCUCUAUCCUCUACUAACACUAGUUAUGUCGCACUUAUUCGAUCCCCAGCUCAGUUUGUAUCCCUUACUACUAUUAUUGUAUGCCCAGUCCAAACAGUACCUUGGAUAUGUAGGUUUGGAUGUCACAGCUCUUUUAUAGGAGUCCAGGAUAUAUACCUCCAGUCAGUCUCCUUGCAUUAACAAACAAAGAAAAAGAAAAUACCCAUAUUCCUUUUCUCAUACUCUCUCUCUCUCUCUCUCUCUUUCUCUUAAGUAUAAUUAAUUAAUCUAACAUACGAUAUACGAUCAAUGCCCUACCAAGACCAAGCCAAGUGAAUAUUAUUUCCAGUUUCUUUUCUCUGAAUGAAACUCAAGUUCAACACUUGGAUCUCAACCACGAUAUUUUAUCGAAAGUUCAUGAGUUUCAUAGAACGUAUGCUUCAUCAUCUGGACUAUCCAAUACAAUAUUACAUGAAUUCAAAGAUAAUGAACCCCCAAUUCCAUGCUUAUAUAUAGACGUCAACUUGUGUUAUGUAGAAAUAUUAAUAUUCCAAGUUGAUAUGUUUACACUGGGCUUUUGAGUUUUGAGUUUUGACUGGCUCUGCCUGAAAUGCAGGAAAUGCAGGGAAAUAUUUGCUUUCAUGGUUGUACAUUUGGUACAAAAAUGUUGAAAUUUCCUACCAGCUAAUACGUGGUUCUCAUGCCAGAAGCUGGAGAUAGAGAUUCAUAGAGAUUCAACCCUAUAUUAUACAACAGCUAAGCACCUCCACUAGUUAUGGAGAUUGAAGAAAAAGUCAAUUUUUGACGCGACAAGGAAGCUAUGACAUGAGUUUCCAUGAAGGAUACCUAUGAUUUUUCGUUGUAAGCUACUCUUUGUCUCUUAAUUAUCAAGGAAACAAUAGCUAAUACUUCAUCAUAUCAUACUGUAUUCUUUUGAAGUCAAUGGUACAAGGGAAAAAAAAUGCAAAACUUAGAGUCUCAGCGUCUACAAUAAAGUUUCAACUCUCUUUUAAGUGCUGACUUUUCACUGCAAUUAAAUAAAAUGAAAGAGAAAAGAAAAUUGAUAAACUAAAAUUAUAAACUAUAGUGUUAUAUAUAUAUUUGUGAAUAAUCAGACACACUUAAAAUAUAAUGUUAAAAGAAAAUUUACAAUUUAAAAAUUAUUGUUACUUUUUAAAAAAAAGUCUACUAAUUUUAAUGUAUUAUUUAUUGCUAAAAAGUUAAUUGAUCUACUUCAAAUAUGUUUACAAGAAAAAAAAUCGGCAUUAUUUACUUAUAAUUUGCUUGGCAAGUGGGUGGAAUAUAUACUUUCUUGCAAAGGCUUAAUUAAAAUGACAAGACUAUUGUUUAAUCGCCUGUUAGGUUUGGUUUGAUGGGAUUGACUACGACUUUCUUCAGAAAUUUGUUGUGAAAGGAGCAUCAUCUUCUAUAUGGUUUGUAGCAUGAUGUGAGUCCCACAAAACAUACUUUGAUUUUGUCAAGGUAACUAAAUUCAACAUGAGAAAUCAUGACCAGUUAUACACUUUCCACUCCUACGGACCACGCUAAAUAUGAUAUUAUAUGGCUGCUUUUGCUUCUAGGACAUGCAAGUUAUAUGGAUAUUUGGUGCAAUCGUUAUGGACUCGGAACAUCCCCAAUAAGAACUUUUCAAAGUUGCAACUUUACAUGGUUAAUCUAAAUUUAUAAAUCAUGAAGUAGUUGAAAUAUUUAGAGUUUUAGAAUCGUUUUGGGAAAAAUGAAAAGAAGAAAAUGAUUUCCCUUUAAUAUUUGACAAGAAUUAGAGUUUCUUUUUUAUGUGAAAUAUAUCGGAAUAAAUUUGAACUCCAAUUAAAUUUGAAUGAAGAUGAAAGUUGCAAUUUUCAAAGUUUCUUUUAUAUAUAUAUAUAUAUAUUUGUUUGAAUUUGAUUUAUGUCAAAAUAAAGCUUAACAUUAUCGAGCAUUUAGACAAUUUAUUUUUUAUUAAUGUGUAAAUACUAUUAAAUGUUGAGUUGCAUGUUCUUAUUAAUGUUUGCAUACUAUUAAGCAUUAAUUAAUUCUAUUUCUUUUUACACAUUAAAAAUAUUUAUAAAAAUAAUUAUUAUGUUUCGUUUUAUUUUACAUAAUUAAGAUAAAAUAUUUAAAAAUUAACUAAGAAAUUAGUCAUUGAAUAAUAAUUAAGAUUUUGGAUAUUUUAAAAUCAAUUAAAAAUUGCUAAUUGAAUAAUAAGUAGGAUUUUUAAUAGUGUUUGAUUGCUAAGAAAAUAUUAAAAUGUUUUUAGGUUAAGUUUCAUUAAUAACUCUUUAAUUUAUAUAUGGUAUUCCUCAAAUUAAUGAAUUUGUAAUUAAAAAGAUGAGGUUCUUCACUUGGUAACAUUGAUAUUAAGAAUAAUGAUUAUACACUUAACUUGGAUAUAAAGUGGUUGAAUCAACUACCAUGAUCCUACUUGCAUAGUCUAAGGGCUAAAUAUAAAAGGUAUGCUAACAUUGCCAUAGGGUUAAAUAAGACAAGACCAAUUUGAGAGGGUUUUUGCCCGGUAAUAAUAUCAUAACCAAUCCAAUAUAAGCUUGAUUCUUAUAAUACUAGGAUAUCUUACCAAAGACAUAUAGUCCUAAGAGUUCUACAUUUUGCUAAAUUCAUAUGGUUUAUUUUAUUGUGAAUGCUCAAUUAUUAAUACAUGUUUAACUUCUUUAUAACAAUCAUGUAAUAUAAUCCAAUCACUCUCAUGCUUACCAGUAAUAAAUUGGUUAAGCUUAACUACAUGGAUUGAAAAAUAAAUCUAAACAUUUUCUCACAUAAGAGGAGUUAAAAUGGGUGGUAACUUAAAAUUUUGCUCCAAAUACCUCUAAUAAACUAUCCUCACUAGAAGAGAGAGAUGCUUAUCAUAGAUGACAUAAGGUGGAUCAAAAGGCUAGGUGUAUCAUACUCGGGUCUUUAGAUAACAUGUUGGAACAGCAAUAUGUGUCUCAUGCCAUGACUUAUGAUAUUCUCUUCAUUUUACAAUAGAUCUUUGAUGACAAGGGUAAGUCAACUAGAAAAGUUGCUUUAAAGACUAUCAUGAACAUUAGGAUGAUAAAAGGAACUCUCAUUAAAAAUCAUAUGGUAUAUAUGAUUAGGCUCUUUAAUGAGAUAAAGAUCCUUGUAGCUAAGAUUGAUAGAAAAACCAAGGUUAAUUUGAUCUUAGAGACCUUGUCAAAUUCCUUUGAAAAUUUUGAGUUAAACUAUUCUAUUUAUGAGUGAUUGUGAAACUUGUCAGAGCUUAUGAGGGAGCUUGAGAUGGAUGGCCGAGAGGAUUCUAAAAGAUAAAAGGUAAUUACUUUAAAAAUUGUUCAAAAUUUUGAGGUAUAAAAAGUUUUACUAUCUCAAAUUUUAAAAUUUUACAUCCUCACUCUUGUUUGUUAUUUUUUAUUUAAUUCAAAAUUUUAUUCUUGGUCCACUAAGUAAAAUAUAUUGAAAGAUCCAUUAAAAAUUACUUAUUGUAGCAUUAUUAUUUUGAUUUAGAUAUGAUUCCAUUUAUUUUUUUUAAAAUAUAAACCAUAAAAAGAAAUUGUACGAUAGUCGGCAGAUAGGAGUGACUUUCUUCCAUCUAAAGGAGCAUAAAAGUUCCAAGCAUUGACGGUGUACUCAAGAAGUAUUCCUUUGUAUUCAACAGUUAGUCGGGUCCUUUCUGCUAACGUUGUGUGGUGUGGUCUUUCUUGGAUGCUGCCGAUUCCUACUUUUCAAGUUCUAAAUACUAUAAAUAAUAUCAUUAUUCUCCCAAACAUUAUGAAUCCCAAAGCCUCCCAUAAAACUUCAGAAUGAGAAACAACCUUACCCAACUCCCUUUAUUUCUCCUCUGCUGUCUGUCUUUAUGGAUUUUCUUCAUAGAGAUGGCCAUGUCACAGAACACAACAAUACCAGUUAAAGUGGGAGUGGUUCUUGACAUGGAUACAUGGCUGGGUAAGAUGGGUUUGAGCUGCAUCACCAUGGCCCUCUCAGACUUCUAUGCCUCUCAUGGGCACUACAAGACUAGGCUGGUUCUGGAAAUCAGAGAUUCCAAAAGAGAUGUUGUGGGUGCAGCUGCAGCAGGUACUCUCGUUUCAUAAAACUUAGAAUACAUUUAGAAAACAAUUGCAUUAUAGAGACAUAUAGAAGCAAAAGUUUAAACUUGCCCUCUUAUUUUCAAACAAUUAGAUAUUUUUAUUGCCCUUUUAGAUGAGCAAUUGAUUAUUAACAGAACUUUUAUCAUUUUUAAUCACAACUUGCCACAGAAAUACGAGAUUAGAAAAAUUGAUAAAUGGUGUAAAUGUUAAGCGUUUAACUAAUAGAUCGAAUUGGAUGAAACAAAAUUAUAUUCCUUCUUCUGCCAUAUCACCAUUUCCAACCUCAUAUCAAAGUUCAAGUUCUUCCUAAUUAACAUGGUAAAAUUGUAGUGAAGACAUUAAAUAAGAAAAGUUUUUGAGGAAAAAGAGUCAUGAAGUUGAACCAAGAUUAGCAUGCCCAUCAAAGAUGGCAAAAAGUCUCGUUAAAUUGUAGCACGUGUUUUCAACUAAGCAACAUUUCUUGCCUCGGAAGAUGUUUCUUUGUUAACCACACGAUGCUUCAAAGAUGAAAAAAGUCUUCAUAAAUUUGAUUUCCUCCUUGUUUUAAAAGUCACUCUAAUAUUGUGGUCAUGUUCCAAAACCGAUGCCUAUGAUCUAUGUUAUUGAGAAAUAAUGUGAUGCAGAAGUAUAUAAAAAAGAUUGAUAAUUUGUUAUAAUAAGAAGAUUGAUAGGUUGUUAACAAAUUCCAGUAUCCAUCGGACCAAGGGGAUGUAUUUUCCAUUUUUGUACCUUGUUUGAUUGUUGAUAAUAUAGUAGAAAUUGAAUGAAACUUCCGAAUUAUUAUAUUUUAAUCAUUGUGAAAUUCAGCUCUAGAUUUAUUACAAAAUGAGGAAGUUCAAGCCAUCAUAGGACCAGCAUCCUCCAUGCAGGCCAACUUUGUGAUUGGCCUCGGAGACAAGGCUCAUGUGCCCAUCAUUUCAUUUUCUGCAACUAGUCCUUCUCUUUCUUCAAUCCGGAGUCCAUAUUUUGUCCGAGCCACACUGAAUGACUCAGCACAAGUACCAGCUAUAAGGGCAAUUGUCCAAGCCUUUGGGUGGAGACAAGUUGUGCUCAUUUACUUGGACAACGAGUACGGAAAUGGAGUUAUACCGUAUCUUACUGAUGCCUUGCAAGAGAUUGACACCCGUAUCUCCUACAGGAGCGUCAUUCAUCCAUUAGCCACAGAUGAUCAAAUCCUCGAAGAGCUUUACAAGUUGAUGACAAUGCCAACCAGAGUUUUCAUUGUACACAUGUUUACACCUCUAGGCCCACGACUUUUUGGCAGAGCGAACGAGAUUGGAAUGAUGGAAGAAGGUUUUGUAUGGAUUCUAACUGAUGGGUUAACUGAUAUCUUGAGUACUUUGGAUCCAUCUGUCAUUGAUUCAAUGCAAGGAGUGUUGGGGGUGAAGCCUCAUGUUCCAAGAUCGAAAGAGCUUGAAAGUUUUAAAAUCAGAUGGAAAAGGGAAAUCCAACAAGAAUAUCCGACCAAUGAAAGCUUUGAGCUGAACAUUUUUGGACUCUGGGCUUAUGAUGCCGCUUCUGGGUUAGCCAUGGCAGUUGAAAAACUUGGGGCAACAAACUUCAGCUUCCAAAAGUCUCAUAUUUCCAGAAAUUCAACCGAUCUUGAUACUGUAGGAGUCUCCCUAAUUGGUCCAAAACUCCUCCAGUCACUAUUAAAUACUAGAUUUAGAGGCCUCAGUGGGGAUUUUCAAAUUGUUAACAGACAACUACACUCAUCAGCUUUUCAGGUAGUCAAUGUGAUACGCAAGGGGGAAAGAGGGGUAGGAUUUUGGACACCAGAGAAUGGAACUGUAAGAAAGUUGGAUUCUACUUCCAAGCCCAAUCUAGGAACAAUCGUAUGGCCAGGAGAAUCUCCCUCCGUCCCUAAAGGUUGGGUCCUUCCAACCAAUGAGAAGAAAUUGAGAAUAGGAGUACCAGUCGGCCAAGGUUAUAGUGAAUUUGUAAAGGUGACGCGAGAUCCUAGCAGUAACACAACGGAGGUCACUGGAUUUUCCAUAGCAGUCUUCGAUGCAGCGAUGGUAGCAUUACCAUAUGUUGUUCCUUAUGAGUACAUUCCCUUCGAGGGGCCUGAUGGCAAACAAGCCGGUGAUUACAACGAUUUGAUAUAUCAAGUAUAUCUCCAGGUCAGUUGAACUCUUUACCCUUCCUAGCACAUAGAGACAACUCUUGGUUGGCUUCAAUUAUAAUGAAUUUUGUCAAACUAAAAAGCUAUUGCAGUUCCCCGUUGUUGGCUUUUGAGUACAUAGGAAACAACCAAACUUGCAGCAAAUUUUCCUGCAGUGCAUAACAGAAUGGCCCCAUUGUUUAUUGUUAACAGAAGUAUGAUGCUGUGGUGGGAGAUACUACUAUUCUAGCGAACAGGUCCUUGUAUGUAGACUUUACACUACCUUACACAGAUUCUGGGUUGUCAAUGGUCGUGCCCACUAUAGAUAAAAGAAAAAAAAAUGCAUGGGUUUUCUUGAAGCCACUUACUUGGGACCUUUGGGUGACAAGCUUUUGUUUCUUCGUAUUCACUGGCUUUGUGAUUUGGGUUCUUGAACAUCGAGUAAAUAAAGACUUCAGAGGGCCUCGUUCACAUCAAGUUGGCACUAUCUUCUGGUUUUCAUUCUCAACAUUGGUGUUUACUCAGAGUAAUUUCUCUUCCACCUCCUUGAAUUUUAUCUAGCAAUUUAUCUACUUAUGUAAUAUUCAAAUACAAAGCAUAGUGAGCACAUCUCAAACACAAUCGAAACUAACUUCUAGUAUAUAUGGCCUGCUUGCUUGUUUCCCAUGACUGUAACCUCUAUUAAUAUAUGGACAUUCCAUACAAUAUGCAAGUAAAUUUCAAAAUAAUUUUUAUGUUUCAGAAAUUAUAUAUAUUUGACUUUAUAUUGAUUUUCUGGAUUGGAUUUUCUUUUUCUUUCUUAAAUUAUGUUAACAGAGGAGAGAAUUGUCAGCAACUUGGCUCGGAUCGUGAUGAUCAUAUGGUUUUUUGUGGUGCUGAUUCUUACUCAAAGUUACACAGCCAGCUUGGCUUCAAUGUUAACAGUUCAACAACUCAACCCGACUAUCACUGAUAUAAAUGAGCUCAUAAAGAAGGGGGAGCCUGUAGGUUGCCAAAAUGACUCUUUCGUUUGUGAAUUCUUGAUCGAGUCGAUGAAAUUUGAUGAGUCCAAGCUUGUAAAAUAUGAGUCCCCAGAAGAACUGGAUGAAUUAUUUUCAAACAAGAGUUCAAAAGGUGGAAUUGCUGCUGCAUUUGAUGAAAUCCCUUACAUGAAGAUUUUCCUUGCAAAAUAUUGCUCCAAAUACACAGCAGUCGGACCAACAUACAAGUUUGAUGGGUUUGGAUUUGUAAGCGUUCUCUCUUAAAGUGUAUAGAUUUUCAUGCAGUGGUUUCUGAUUUUUGAUCAUUUUUCAGGUGUUUCCAAAGGGUUCACCCCUUGUAGCUGAUGUUUCAAGGGAAGUCUUAAACGUGACAGAGGGAGCUAAAAUGCUACAAUUCGAGAAGGCAUGGUUUGGGCAAACACCCAGUUGUCCAGAGCUCACCAGCUCAGUUUCUUCGAACAGCAUCGGCCUUAAUAGCUUUUGGGGCCUAUUCCUCAUUGCUGGAGUCGCUUCAUGCGUAGCUCUCACCACAUGCAUCACCAUGUUCCUUUAUGAAAAUAGAGAUAUCUUAAUAAACUUGAAUCCCUCAUCUUCCAUAUGGGGAAAAAUUAAAGCCAUGGCAACACGCUUUGAAGACAAAGAUCUCAGGUCCCAUACCUUUAGAAAUAGUGAUCUCAGUUCAAAUCGGCCGAUGCAUCCACAUAUAUUGUUUGAAUAUGAGCUUGCUAAUAUAAAUCAUGAGCAAACAAGAUGUCAUGCCCCGUGACCCGCUCCAAGGGCAUGACAAUCAUUUCACAUGUCAAGCCCGAAAGCUCAAAGUGUAAAUUAAACAUUAUCUAGAAUAAUUCUAGAAGCUUCUCUUAGCCUCACAUGUAAAGCACCAGCUCACCAACUCCACACCAAAUGCAGUUGUAACAGAGAAUUGGGUUGUACACUCUCAUAUAUAAAUAUUUGUAAAAAAAGAUAAGAGGUUUAUUCUAGGCAAUAUUUUUUUCAUUAUGUUCUUCUCUGCCCCUCUAUUUUCUCUCUCAAAAACUCCUCUGAUUCAAUCCUUUUUUUUUUUUUUUUAAUUCAAUCAUGGUAUCAGAGCUCCAUGAGACUUACGUCACCACUCCUACCAUGUCCACCACUACAACUGCAACCAUAACUACGAAUCCAGCAAUGGCGUCUUCCUUUUUUAUUAAUCUCAACUUCACUCUGUCGAUCAAGUUGGAAAGAGGUAAUUACCUUAUUUGGAAGUCACAAAUUCUUCCUAUUCUUAGAGGUCAUGGUCCUGAUGGUUUUGUUACAGGAAUGAAACCUUGCCCGAAUGAGUUUAUCAACGUUGCAGGUGAUUCAUUUGGCCUUAAUCAAAUGGUAAAUCAAAUGGCAAAGACAAGAUCAGUUGAUCCUUGGGUGGAUGAUUGCUUCAAUGUCAGAAGGUGUUGUUGGUCAGAUUGUAGGUUGUACCACUUCUUAGCAAGUCUGAGCAGCUCUGGAGCAUCUUUUUGCCUCACCUUUGAAGGCAAGAUUACUUCAGUUGUGAAUAGAAAUGCAGACAACCAAGAAAGGCUCUCUCUCAAUGAUUGAUUACAUUAGCAAAAUGAAGUCUAUUGUAGAUAAUCUAAUAGCAUCUAGAGCACCUCUUACUGAUGAAAAUCUUAUAAUGAAUUUGUAGACUGGUGUUAGAGUAGAAUAUGAUCCAGUAUUUGUCAUUAUUGCAACACGACCAGAACUCUUCACUCUAUCAGAAGUGUGUGCACUGUUGCAGAAUCAUGAAACCCGUAUUAAGCAACUGAAUUCUUGCACACAAAUUGUCUCCAAAAUGUCUCUGCUAAUUUUACAGUAGGUGGUUCUUCCAAGGAUGGUCGUGGUUGUAGAAAUACUCAUGGGAAUGACAGGGCACAUACUAGAGGUCAUAACAGUUUUCAUUGCAGUCAGUAUUUUGGUCUAGGGCGUGGUAGUUGUGGUAGAGGUAAUGGAUUGCGCCCAACUUGCCAAGUUUGUGGUCGACAAGGACACAUUGCUAUAAACUGUUACCAUAGAUUUGAUCGGGCUUUUCAAUCUCCCCCAAGUAAUUCAUUAACUGUUAUGGUUGCCCUUCCUAAUACAAUAGCGGAUCCUUCUUGGUACUUUGAUAGUGGUGCAUCAACCCAUGUGACCAAUAAUCCAGACAACUUGAGCUUCAAAUCUUACUAUAAUGGUCAUGAUAAGGUUACUGUGGGCAAUGGUCAAGGUUUGUGCAUUCAAAAUGUUGGUUAUUCUUCCCUACCUUUUUUUCUCAAAACCUUGCAUCUCAUAAAUAUUUUGCAGCCCAAAAAUUACUAAAAAUCUCUUGAGGAUUUCUAGGUUCACUAUAGAUAAUAAUGUUUAUGUUGAGUUUCACUAAAAUCAUUGCUUUGUGAAAGACAAGAGCUCAGGGAAUGUUUUGUUCCAAUGAUCAAUUAAAGAUGGCCUUUAUUGUCUGAUACCACCUCAGAAUCCUCUAUUCCAUUGUUUCCAGUUCUACCACAGUCACUCCAAGGGAUACUUCAUUUUUUUGCCCAUGUUUCCUCUGCUGAUAAUCACACUUUUAGUCCAGUUUUGUAGUCUCUUAAAUAUAAUAAACUUGAGGUUUGGCACCAAAGGUUGGGCAAAAUGAAAACUUAUCCCCAAGUUUGUACUCAAGUCUGUUUUGAAGUCUUGUAUCUUUUCUUUACACAAUGAAAACUUAUCUCCAAGUUUUUGUAAUUCUUGUUAGUUUAGCAAAAACCAUGCUCUUCUUUUUACUACAACCAUGGCACCUCUUCAAUUGGUUCACACUGAUUUGUGGGGGCCUUCUCCUGUCAAGUCCAGUGUUGGUUUUCUCUAUUAUAUUUAUUUUAUCGAUGACUAUACUUGGUUUACCUGAAUUUAUCCAUUGAAAGCUAAAUCUAAUGCUCUAAAUGUAUUUUUUUCUUUUCAAAGUGUUUUGUGGAAAAUCAAUUCGGCUUGUGUAUUAAAGCCUUACAAUCCAACUGGGGUAGCGAGUACAGACCUUUUCUUCCUAUUCUUCUUAAACAUGGAAUUCAUUUUCGCCAUCCUUGCCCACAUGUCACUACAAGAAAAAAGGUCAUUGUUGACAUAUAUUAUCUUGAUUUAAGGUGAUAUGUGUCAAUAUUGCCUAUUUAAAUGAACAACUAUGACAUAUACAACUUGUUUAAACCAAUAAUGACAUAUAUAAAAUUUGUUGAAUUCUUUCAUGACUUAUAUAAUAGAAUCUUGACAUAUAAUUUAUAAGUCAAUGUAUUCAAGGUACUUAAAUAAAAGUAAUAAUGAUAAUAAUUUGUUUGAUAUUUGUAUAUCUAAUUUACUUACUAAGUAUUAUAAAUUGAAGUGACAACAAUCAAUUUUGAUUAAGGAAGUCAAUGUUUAUUUAAUAAAUUUUUUCAGUAAUGUUAAGAUCAAUUUUCAUUUUUUUUAUCAAAUUGAUUAAAUGAUUUUUUAGUCUAUAUCAAUAGCACUAAAAUAAAUUUUUAUAAAUAAUUUUUUAUUCACUAAUUUUAGUGAAAUAAAAUUUGCUACAUUAUGGUUUUUUUAAUAAUUGGAUGUAAAUAAAAUCAAUACUAAUAAACUAUUUUUUUAUUCAUUGAUGUUAAUGAUUUUUUUUUUUUUUUUGAGUUUGCAUUAAUAUAAUCUUUUUUUUCAUGAACUAUUUUAACUAUUUUUCAUUAUUUUUAAAUUAGUAAUUAAAUUGUAUUUGAUUUAAAAUAAUUAAUAAAUUUGAGUAAGCUUGAAAAUUAAGAUAUUUAUAAUUUUGAUCUGUCAAUUGUUCGACAUAAUAUCAGGUUUCAAAAUUUUAUUUUUUAAGUUAACUCGUACAAAUUUAGACAUUAGGAAAGAAGAAAAUUAAUUAUGGUAAAUUGAAAUUAUAAAAGUUAUAAAUAUAUUCCAUAAAUUGAUUCUCAUAAAGUUGACUCAUAGAAAAAGAAUUUAAAUUUUGGUGUGAUAAGAUUAAUGUUGGUGUUUAUUUUCUAAUCUCAUUUCUACCAUUCAUUUCAAAGAACCCUAAGAGAUCACAUUUUUCUCUCCCACUUCUCUGCCACCGCCACUCUCCAUUUUCUUUUUUUUUUUCUUCUUUCCUCCCUCAUGUUUCUUUCCCCGUUCGCUCUCCAUACCCAUGCGCCUCAUCCAUCUCAACAAUAUCGCGACUAUCAAUCGUCACCGGCAGUGAUGCUACCGAUCGACGUUGUUUCUCUCUCUCUCCCUUAUUUUUUUGUUCCUCUUUUUCAUUCUUUCUUUCUCUCUCUCUCUCACCAUGCCAUCCCUCGUCGUCGGCUAUGCCAUGGUGUGUUAUGGUAUGCCAUGGUGAGUUCGUCGAACCAGAACUGAAGCAUGGAGGCUCACUCCCUCCUCAAGAAGCAAGGAUUCAACGUGUCAUCCUAUGGGACGGGGGUGCACGUCAAGCUCCCUAAACCUUCCCUCAGAGAACCAAACAUCUACGAGUUCGGAACCCUCUAUAAGCACAUGUUCAAUGAUCUCAGCUACAAAGAUCCUGACCUGUAUCUUCUUUCUUCCAUUUCUAGGUUUUUCCUAUUUGCUUCCGGAGAAAAAAAACAUUAGCGAGGGAAAGAGAAGGAAUUAUUUAUUUAUUUAACCAAAUGGGUCAUGUGGUGGUUCUUUAGAGGAGGUUGAAAGAUAUUUGGAUCAUGACUAUGAUAUUUUUUUUUUUUAAAAAUAUUUGCCUACAUUUUCUCACUAUCCAAACAAGGAAUUUUAUAGAUGUUUGAUGCAUUGCUCUAUGUGUAUUUUUGUUUGGUUAAUUUUUGCAUUUUUGUGAAAGACUACCUAAUGUGGACCAUGUUAAAGGCUAUGGACAAUGUAAAUUUGCCUUGUCCUCUAUUUGAUAGUCGAGAAGAUGAGGGAAAAAUUGUUUUAAAUGGUUUCUUUUGGUUUUCUUUUUUGGUCUCCACCAAAGGGGGAAAUUGAAAACUUGCAAUUAGACUAGAUAAUUGUGUUAAGCUUAAUUGAAAGUGAUGCAAAACCUAAAACAAAUCAUUCAGUUAGGUUAUGAAUCUAAAACUCAAAAUUUAGCAUGUUUUCUUGCUAACUGAACAAAGCAUUUGAGUAUUUGUUUUAUAUUGAAAUUUGUGUAAAGUUCCUGAGUAGAACCUUAAACCCUUUUGAUUGACAAAAUAUGGUUAUAUUGGGGUUUGUUGUUAAUGUUCAUAUUGGAGACUAGGGCAAACCAGAAACUAAAGGAAACUCUUAAUUGUUGUAUAGAAAUCAAUACUAUUUAUUAUUAUUAUUAUUAUUAUUUAAAUUCUUGCUGAUGAUUAUUUGAUUUGCCUAGAACCUUAAAACAAAAUGCAACCUUAAUGACAACACAACUACAAGCGUAAUGGCAUCCUACCAAUGCUUAAAAGGAAUUCAUUAGUCAAAACCACACCUCAACGCUAGCAAGAUAAUGCUACUGAUGGGCCAUUCGAUGUGGUAUUCACAUUUGAAAAAAAGGUUUUCGAUAUGGUUGUUGAAGGUUAAUGUUUGCAUUUUUGUUUUGUUUCUGACGCAUCAUACAUUAUAGAUAGGUUAUUGAGCAAUCUUAAAAAUAUUUGAUUGUAGUUAGAUAUCUAAUUUCUCAAUUUGAGCUUUUUGUUUUGUUAACGUCGUUUGUUUUUUCUAUCAUAGGUUUGAGAUAGAGGUAUUGGCAAUUUCAGGGUCUUUCUAGAGGGCGGUGUUUGAAGAUUAAUGCUAGAGAUAUGGUAUCUAUAAAUUGCAUAUAUGUUUGAUGUAUUCUUGCAAUUGAAAAUACCUUAUAAUUUGAAAUUUUCUAUUUUGAUACUUGUUACUUACUUUUCUAUUAACGUGUGUCUAUCAUACUAGGUAUUCAAGAAAUAUAACAAAAAAGAAGAAGAUGAUGAAGAAUUAGUGACCACCUGUUACGAAGAUAGUAUUGUACUUUUCAAUUUAAGUUUGUAUAUUAUCUUAAUUGAAUGUUUGUAGUUAGUUUUUUUUUUUUUUUUUUGUAUAUAGAAAAUAGAGAGUAAGUAGAAAAAGAUUUAUUCCAUUGUGUUUUUAAUAUUCAAAUGUAUCUAUAAUAAUUUUUUCCCUUGAGUAAUAGUUUAUUUACAUUGUUUUAGGACUUAGUUAUUAUUAUCAUAAGUAAAUAUGUAUCAAAUUUAAUUUGGAAACAAGUUUCAUAUGGCAACAAGUUUCUUUUCCAUUAAAACUAAGAAUUAUAGUAAAAUAAUAUUAAAUUUGUCAUAGGCAACCUUGACAGAUGGCCAAUGCCCAACAUUGACAUUGCAAUAGCUAGAAACCUUGACAUAUUAUACUUAUCCUUGACAUUUGUUGUAGUAACCUUAAUAGAAGAUCAAGUUAACAUUGACAUAAGAUCAAAAAAUCUUGACAUAUGUUGAAUCCAACCUUGACAAAAGUGAAAGAAACAUUGACAUAUGUCAUACUAACAAAGAUUCGAUCAUUGGUAGAAAUAGAAAAAACCUUGACAUAUGUAAAUGUCAAGGUAGUUUUGAACUUUUCUUGACACUGGCAUAGAUGACAUAUAUAAAUAGUAACAUACCUUGAUAGAUAUACCCUACCUUGAUGGUGAAAAACUGUCAACGAAAGGCUUUUUUCUUGUAGUGUGUUCACCAACAACAUGGUCAUGCUGAGCAUAAACAUCGACAUGUAGUUGAGUGUGGUCUCACUUUAUUAGCACAGACACAGUUACCUCUCUAUUUCUAGUGGGAAGCUAUUCAUAUUGCUACCUUUCUUAUCAACAAGUUGCCCACUCCUGUCCUCCAUAUCUCCAUAUAAAAAACUCUUUGGCACCCGUCUUGAUUAUGCUAUCCUCAAAACUUUUGAUUGCACUUGUUUUCCUAACAUUCAUGCUUAUAACACCCAUAAGUUUGCUUUUCACACUAAUUGUGUAUUCAUUGGGUAUAUUGAUGUUCAUAAUGGGUACAAAUGUCUUGAUUCUUUUGGUUGUGUUUAUAUUACUUGACAUGUUGUGUUUAAUGAAAUGGACACUACAAGAAAACAUGUUUUUCCCAAUGAAAAUUUAGGGACAUAUUAAAAUUCAUCUCUAAAACUAAUUUUUCCAGACGAAAUUCUAAAUAUUGUCACUAACACCAAUUUCUUAACAACUUUUCAUGAUGAAAUUGAAAUUUUCGUCACCAAAAUUUCUAUAGAAAUAAUAACCUAAUAACAUGUUAUUACAAUUUCCCUUGAUUAAAAUUAAGCUUAGAAAUUUCCUUGGUAGCUUCCAUGCACAUUUAAUUUUCAUAUUAACAUGUUGAAAUUGUAAUGUUGUUAAAUUAAUUAAUUACAAGUCAAAUUUAGGAAAUGUCUUAAAAUAAGGGAGAUUAUGUCAAAAGUUUUAUAGAAUUUUUAACUUAGCCAUUUGUUAUUAUAACUUUCUUUACUUAAAAUUAAGUUAAUUUGAGAUUAUUGAUACUUGUAAAGUAUUAUUAUGUAUAUAUAUGCUAGAUUUUUAUUUCAACUUUUAUGUUUAUUGUGUGAUGUCAAGUUUGGACUCUUCCUAGGUAUUAUCCUUGAAAUAAAUUUUAGUUUGGUUAUUGAUAAUUUUAAAUUUCUUUGUUAUUAAAUUGAUUAUAUAGUAUAUAAAAUUUUAGAAAAGGUUAAGAAAUAAAUAAGGUUUUCUACAUUCUUAAAUUAAAAACAUUGUAGGUAAAAUUUUGGAAAUGACUAAAAAAUAGAAGGGUUUAUACAAAAACUUAAAUAAUAUAUAACUUUUUUUUAUAACUUUCCUUGCAUAAGAUUAAAUUGGGAUUCUUUGCUUUUGAAGUGUUAUCUUUUAGUAUGUAUACUAGAUUCUCAUUUAAAUUUUAAUAUUAUUAACUAUGUGAUGAAAAGCUUAUAUAUAUAUAUAUCCUUCGGUACUUGAACUAAAAUUUAGUGUUGGUAUUGACCAAUUUGAAAUUUUAAUUUUAUCACAUUGAGUGUAUAACUAAUAAAAUUUUGGAAAUGACUAAGAAAUAAAAGGGACUAUGCUGAAAUUUUAUAGGAAUUUUAAUUUUCUAAUUUGCUAUAGUUAUGACUACUUUUCUUGCUUAAAAUUAAUUUUGGGAUUAUGACUCCUUCCAAAGUGUUACAAUGUUAGCAUAUAAAUAUUGUAUUCUUGUUUGAAACUUUAUACUAUUUUUGGUGUAAUGAAAAUUUUAGGCCUUAGAAAUUUCCUUGCACACUAAAAUUUAAUUAGUCAUUGACUAAUUUGAGAUUUCAAUGGUAAAUUGAUUAUGUAGUUGAUAAAAACUAUAAAAAAAAAUGUCUAAGAAAUAUGAGAGAUCAUACCAAAAUUUUGAUAGAAAUUUUAAUUUAUUAAGCUAUCAUAUUUGGUUCUUUUUUAUUUUUGUUUUGUUUUAUUUUUCAUUUUUUAUUUUUAUUUUUUGCAUUUAUAGGAGAAAAUGUUGGAGCUCCAAUGCCAACCAAUAGUAGAUGGAGCUAUGGCCAUGACUAAGGUAGAAAUUUGUGAGAAUGUUUUAGGGCAAUGAUUAGGAUAUGUUAAUGGCCUUGGUUUUGGCCCCAAACCAACUUCUGCUUAUCAUCUUCUCAAUGCGAGGUAGAGUUGGAGUAUAGACUUUCUGAGACUCAAGCACUUGUGGAAGCUCAACAACAACAGCUUGAUACCCAACAAGAGCAGAUUGACCACUUGAAGGCCUUAUUGCAGCAACGAGAUCAACAACAAUUUGGAGAAAUCUUGUGUCAUCUACGAUCGAGCCAAGGGUCCUUAUGAUGUCUCCUUUAGGUUACACAUUUGAUGGAUCCUCAUCCUUCUUUACUCAUGUUGACUAGUUUUGUAACUAAGAUUUUAUUAAACUAAUACUUUGUUUUAUUAUGUAGUUAUAACAUAUAUAUUUUGAUGUUAUGAUCACUAAGUAUGGCUUGUUUUAUAUUAUCAAUGAAAUUGUGUAGUAUAUAUUUUUAUUUUUGAAAGCAUGUUUUAAAAUGAAAAUUUUCAUUAUAUUAUUUUCAUCAGGUUCAGAUGGCAACAAAAAAUAUAUAAUUAUAAUAUGAAAAAUAAAAAUUGUAAAUAUCUUUCCUGAUGAAAGAAUUUAAUCCCUAAAGAUAUUUCUCAACGAAAUUUUUUUGUUACAACAAAUUUUCAUAUCAUCUACAUGAAAUUUAUAAUUCAUUAAUAAUAUGUUUUAGGGACAAAAUUAUUUUGUUAGUAAAAAGAUUUGGUAACAAAAUAAAUUUGUUAGCAAAGACUUAUGGGUAAAAUUUUGUCUUGUUCAUUGCUAAAAAAACGUAAUUUUGUCUUGUUCACUAAUAAAGAAACGUAAUUUUUCCAACAAAAUAUUUCGUUAGGAAAAACCUUUAAUAACAAAUUUUUAUUUUAUCUAGGAAAAUUUUUUGUUACGAAAUGAGACUUUUUUUGGGAGUAAUAAUGAGCAUAGGGAGACGAAAUUAUUUUGUUAGAAAAAAUAUUUAUCAAUGAAAAUAAUUUCAUCAUUAUUAAUUAUUGACGACUUUUGAGACAAAAUUUGUAUUUUUAGAGAUAAAAAAUAUUACUUUUACUGAUGAAAUAUUUUGCUGGGAAAAACCUUCAAUGACGAAAUUUUAUUUUAUCAAGAAAAACUUUGGGCGACGAAGUGGGGAAUUUCAUCAAGACACUUUUAGCAAUGGGUCUAGGGCGACGAACAUGACACAAAAUAGUUUUUGUUGGGAAAUGUUUUUACAAACAAAAUUAAAACUUUUAGUGACAAAAUAUUUUAUUGCUAAAAGCCUAUUUUCUUGUAGUGAGAGUUACUUUUUUUCCUCUAAUUCUUAGUUUUAGCAUUGUCAUAUCAAUGUGUCUACUAUUUUCCCUUCUUCUCUUUACCUGUACUUUCCCCACCCACUUCCCAUACUACUCUUCAGUCUCCUUCUCUAGGCUCUUCCUUGAUUGAUCGUGGUGCAGGCCAGGUUUCCCCAAUUUCCACUACUUCUUCACCUUGUCUUCCUACUUCCUAUGUAUCUUCUAACCUAGCUUUCCCCUCUCACACCCCACAUUCUCUUACAAAUUCUCUCUCCCUUCCUCCAUUCCUUGUGUCAUCAUUUUUUUCAUCUAAUUCCCAUCCUAUGCAAACUCAUUCCAAGUCAGGCAUAUUUAAACCCAAACUUUCCUAUCUCACUACUCCUUCAUGUUUUUUCCUUUUCACCUAAACCUUCUUAUUUUGCCAAGGUCUUAUCUCAUCCUCUAUGGAAGCAAGCAAUGUAGUCAGAAUUUUAUGCCUUAACUUAGAACCAAACUUGGUCUCUUGUUCCUUACGCUCCUCAAAAGAAAGUCAUUGGGAGUAAGUGGGUUUUUAAGUUGAAGCUUAAUCCAGAUGGUUCUAUCAAGUGCCACAAGGCAAGGCUUGUGGCAAAGGGGUUUCAUCAAACACCUAGGGUUGACUUCUCUACCACUUUUGGCCCUAUCAUCAAGCCUUCUACCAUUCGCAUUAUCUUAAGCCUUGUUAUUACUUGUGGUUGGGACAUUUAACAAUUAGAUGUCAAUAAUGUUUUCCUUCAUGGGUGUCUCUAUAAAUAUGUUUUUAUGCAAUCUGAAGGGUUUGUUGAUGUCCCCAAGCCCACCCAUGUUUGUCAACUUCAAAAAGCCUUAUAUGGCCUUAAACAAGCCCUAAUGCUUGGUGUGAACGAUUGUAGAAUUGUCUUCUUCUAUUUGGUUUUCGAAACUCCCAAGCUAGCACAUCUUUGUUCAUUCUUCACAAGGGCUCCUUAUUGAUUCUUCCUUUUGUUUAUGUUAAUAACAUUCUUAUCAUUAGCAAUCAUCCCUCUGUCAUCAACACCUUCAUUGAUCAUCUACGUCAACAGUUCUCUUUGAAAUGGUCUGGCUCCCUCCAUUAUUUUCUUAGUAUCCAAGCUCUUUAAACAUCUUCUGACCUUCAGUUAUGUCAAUCCUGAUACAUCCAUGAUCUGUAGCAAUGCACUAAAAUGUUUGGUGCCAAGCCUACUUCCACUCCAACCAGCCCCAAAUAGAAAUUGAGUUGUAAUAAUAGGGCUACUUUUGAUAAUCCUACUAUUUAUCAUAGUACAAUCGGUGCUCUCUAAUAUGUCACCAUCACCAAGCCUAAACUUUCCUAUAUUGUCAAUAAACUUAAACAAUAUCUCCAACAACCUACUUUGUUCCACAGGCAAGCUUUCAAGCGUGUAUUGCAUUAUCUGAAAGGCACUUCCACUUUUGGUCUUUUCUUUCACCCAGCUCCUUCUCUUGAUCUCAUUACCUAUUCAGAUGAUGAUUAGGGGAGUGAUACUGAUUAUCAACGUUCCAUUGGUGGCUACUCCAUAUUUUUUUGUGCUAAUUUGAUUUCAUGGGCUUCCAAAAACCAAAGAGUUGUGGCUUGUUCAAGUAUUGCUUCUGAAUAUAGAGCUUUAGCUCAAGUAAUAGUAAAAGUCACUUAGUUGCGAGCCUUGUUACUUUGGGCAUAUCACUACCAUAAAGUGCAGUUGUCUGGUGUGACAAUCUUGGAGCAACAACUCUAGUUGAGAAUCUCAUGUAUCAUUAUCAGACAAAACAUAUAGAGAUUGAUGUACACUUCAAUAGGAAAAUGUGGCUCAUAAAGAACUUGAGGUGAUAUUUGUACUCAUUAUUGAUUAGAUUGUUGAUGUGCUCACAAAACCAAUUUCACAAACUUGAUUUGAAAUACUAAGGUCAAAGCAUAUUGUAUGUGAUUGACAGUUGAGCUUACGGGGAAACGUUAAGAAUAAUUCUAGAAGCUUCUUUUAGCCUCACAUGUAAAGCACCAACUCACCAGUUCCAUGCCAAAUGCAAUUACAAUAGAAAAAAUUGGGUUGCACACUCUCAUAUACAAAUAUAUGUAAAAGAAAUAAAAGGUUUAUUCUGGGCAUUAUUUUUUUCAUUUUGUCCUUCUCUACACACUACUUUAUGUUUUCUCUCUCAAAAACUCUUCUUUAUUUCUAUCUUUUUUUUUUUUUUUAAUUCAAUCAAACAUUCAUCUUGUAAUUGGAAGUUACCAAUUACCAAAUUCCUAUUCAAAGUAGUGGAACAAAAUUGUAUGAUCUUUAAAUCUCAACUUUAAAGCUAACACAUCAAUUAAAGUGUUAUUAUCCAAACAACUUCAAACUUAAACAAUUCAAAAAGUCAUUAAAUUCUAACUUUUAAACAAUGCCCAAAAAAUAAGGUUUAAACCAAAAGUCUUAAUAAUGUCAAAAUCUCAUCCUAACCAUCAUUCUUCGCCUGAACUAAAAGUGUCCAAAAAAUUGUUAGCGAAAGGGAAUGAGCUCAAAGCCUAAUAAGGAAUGUUAAUAUAGUUUCAUGGAUAAAAUAUUUUCAAUUAUGAUUGUAAAUAGGAGAUAUAAUAUAUAAUCAUUUUCAUAAAAAAAAAAUUUAGUUCAAACAUGCUAAUACAUUCAAAACUUCUCAACCAAACAUUUUCAUAUUUAUUUCAAAACAAUUUCAUAUCAAUUCCAAAAUAAAUGCAUUCAAAAUAUUUUUACUUUGGUUAUAAUCAAAUAUCAAAUGGUGCCCAGUUAGGUAGGACUUUACAAAUGGGUGACUAGCCUCAAAUUUUUUCCUUUUAAUGGGUGGCUAGUAACCUCUAACCAAACCCAUAGAGGCUAAGGUCCAAAUCAAUUACAUUCUCCACCACAAAAUGUAAAGGUUAACUAUAAUAUCUCGUUGACAAUGGUUAAAAAGUCAAAUAUUCUAUCUUAUUAACUAGGACAAAAAGGUCAACUAUUACACCCAUUUGAUUAUGGUGAAACAAACUAGAGUCAAAUACUUUAUUUUAUUUAUUCAAACUUACAAAAACAUAUAAUUUUUUUUUAUUUACAAAAUUUGCAUUAAUUUCCCUUAUCUCAAAGAAGCACUCAAAGACCUUAAAGAAAUUAAUCUUAAAGAAUUUCGUCCUAAAGAACCUAUUUCACACCUAACAAAAAUAAAUAAAUAAACAAUUAUAUAUUAAUAUUGAUUAUUUAUCUAAAUUUAUAGGUUUGAGAAUCCUAAUAAUUUCUUAUGUUAUAUCACCUAUAUUAUUUUUAACUUCCUAAUCAAUAACAAUUUAAUAAGUGAGUUUCCAUAUUUUUUUUAAAAGUUGUGUUCUUUACAAAAGUUUGUUUCUAAAAAUCUUCCAUGUUUUCUUUUUUGCUUAAACUAAAUUUCCCCAAAACUUAUUCCUUUUAGUGAAACAAAUAUCUUUUCCUAUUAUUAUUGUUAUCAUAUUUUAUUGUCUUUCUAAACAUUUUAGAAUCAUAAACAUCUUAAGCAUUUUGGAUGUAAAACUCAACUAAUUCUAAAUUUCUUUCCAUUAUAUAUAUAUAUAUAAAACAUGGAAUUUUCCUUCUUUUUAUUUUUUGUCUUUGGCACACAGUACCAUUCUAACUUACCCUUUCUACAAUCACAAGCAAUGUCAUUUUUUUUCCUCCACAAAGUCAAUAUCAAAGCAUUUUUCUUUCUUUUUUUUCUUUUUUUUUUGUCACACUCUAUUGCAAGCAACCUUGUGAUUUUUUUUCCCACCAUGAAGGCAUGUACUACCACAAAACCUUUUUUUCUUUUUUCUUUUUUCUUAUUUUCAACUCUCAAAACCCUCAACCUCCAUACUCAUGGGUAUUAUUUAUUUAUUUAUUUAUUAUUUUUCACAUCUGAAACUAUAAUUUUUUUUCUAUUUAUUUAUUUAUUUAACUAGAACUAUUCAUUUGAAUAAUACAAAAUUUUCAAUCUCCAUUAAUAAAUCAAACUAUGUUAAUAAAUUUCCAAUCUUUCUAAAACUUAAUUUAACAAACCCUAAUUUAGAUUGAGAUCUUCUAAAGAAUAUCUAAAAUAUCCAAAACUAAUUAACAAAUAUAAAAUACUAAUCUAAAGGUUAAAAUCUUACCUAGAAAAUUAAUCUUCAAAUCCUAAACCCCAAAAUCUUCAACCCUACAUUGCCCUGCAUUCUCCAAUCUCUCUAAUCUCCAUGUAAAAGGGUUUUUUUUUUUUUUUAAUAAAGAGGACAAGAGAAAUAUAAUUUAUACCUAGGGCUUUUAAGCACCGAAUGACCUUUCUACCCCUAUUAAAUUAAUUUAAUUUAUUUAUUUAUUUUUAAAUUACGUUUUUUACCCUUAAAUUGGGUUUGGUGUCACACAAGACCACUUGUAAUUGAAUAAUUGAUUGAUCAAUUCAUUUUCCUAUGUACUUUAUGUUGAUGGCAUCAUUACCCACAACCAUGAAUUUCAAAAAAUUAAAAGAACAAAAUAUGUAGUUGUACUAUAGCCAUAUGCAUUUCAGUUAACACAAUAAUGUACAUUCAAUUUGUGUCUGUAUAAAUAGGGAGAAUUGUGCUUUCAGGUGAAAUGGGCCUAAAAAUUGACCCAAUAUCCUCAUAUUGCUCAUAAUUAAUGAUAAGGAUAAGAAAUGGUGAUAGACAAAAAUACUGAUUUGACUUAUCACAUGCUCAUGCUGGUGUUUGUGGGAUCCAUCAUUUAUAUGGAUGGUAAUGAGGUGGGUUUUUUUGGAUACCCGCCUUGCCCCGCCCCUAAUAGAAUGGGUUUCCAUUUUAAUUAAAUGGGUUUGGGAAAUUUUUUUUAAACUUGGGGCGGGUUUGAGUAUUGCCUUGUCCCAUCCCAUCCCGUCCCACCCCACCUCGCCCCAAUUAUAUAUAAAUUAAUUUUGUGUUAUUUGGUUAAAGAGGUCAAAAUAACCCCCAUAUUUGCAAAUAUACCCCGCCGGUUAAAAAGCAAAACAAAAUUAUUGAUUGAGACAAGAAUGCCCUUCUUCUUUUUUUCUCUCUAACACUUACAACUUCUCAUCUUUUACUUCAUUUACAGAACGACUCCUCAUAUUUUCCAAAAAAAUUCUCUCAUCAUUUUCUUCUACUUCAUUAUCUUCCUUUGGUGCACAAAACGGAAAGCUCAUCUCCUCUUCCGCUUCAUUUACAAAACGAGUCCUCGUCUUCAUUAUCUUAUUUUAUUUCAUUAUCUUCCUUUGAUGCAAAACGAAAAUCUCAUCUCUCCUUCAAAAACCCUAGAAAAUUUCUCGUAUAUCCUCUCAUCCUCUCAUCCUCUAUUUCAUUCUGAAUCCUUGGAAAAAUUUCUUAUUCUACUUUUUUCAAGUUAUCUCAUAUUGUAUCUUCAAGCACGAAGGAAACAAUGAGUUCAUUGAAGAGUGAUAAAAGAAAAAGAUUUUAAAAAAAAGUGGCAAAAAAAAAAAUGUCAAUUGCAAACAGAAAAAAAAAAGGUGAAGCAAAGGAAAGCGAAACUACUAAACAAAAAUCCCAAUUACCAAUAGAAGAGGCAAGUGAUUCUACUAAACCAGUGAGUGUAGUCUUCACAUUUGAUAAAUUAUUGAAAUUUUUAGAGAUGUUAUACAAUUAUAUUUGAGUAUGGUUAAGUUUAUUAGUUAAAUGUUUUUAAAAAUUUAGGAUUUAUUAAAUUGUCUUCAAAGUAUAAAAUUGUUAUAUUUAUAAUUCUUUUUUUAGUUAUCCAUUGUUACCAGUUAUGUAUUUGAGUGAAUAAAUUUAGGUUUAUUAGUUGAUGUUUGAAAAUAUUUGGGAACUAUUACAAUGUGUUGAAAAAUAAUAAAUUGCAUAUUAAUAUUGUUUUAGUUUUCUGUAUUAUUAUCAAUCAUGUGUUUAGAGUGAAUUAGAUAUAUUCAAUGUAAUAGCAUCUAAUUAGGGAUAAUUUUGCAGAGAAUUUAUAAAAUUUUAGGGAUUUUUGAAAAUUUUAGGGGUAUUAUACAAUGGUGUUUGAGUAGGUCUAUGUUCUUUACUUGAUACUUUUAAAAUUUUGGGAACUAUUGAAUUGAUUUCAAAAUAACAUAUGGUAUAUUUAUAAUUUUUGUAGUUAUAUAUUGUUGUCAAUUAUGUAUGUAGAGUGAAUAAAAAAUAUAUAAUGAUUUCAUGCAAUGACAUGUGAUUAAGGAUAAGUUUUUAAAGAAUUUAUGAAAUUUUAGGAUUUUUGAACUUUUUAGGGAUGUUAUGUAAUGACAUUUGAGUAGUGUUAAAUUUGUUAGUUAAUAAUGUUUUUAAAAUUUUGGGAACUACUGGAGUGUGUUAAUCAGUUAUUGUAUAAUAUUAUAAUUUUGUAUUAAAUCUUUACUAACUUAAUUUUGUUUAAUUUAUAGACUACUACUCCCUCGACAUGUUUUAAAGUUAAAAUACCUAUAAAAGAGCACUUCCCAUCAAAGGCUGCAUGUCUAUCACACCUGAGUAUAAUAGAAAAUAUUAAAAAGAAGCUCAAUAAGGAACAAUUGGAGAGGUUCAAGGAUUCUUGCUUUAGAUAUUUUUUGCUUAUGCCAAAACUUAAAUUUUCAGCUCAAAUUGUGCACCCCCUAUUAUUACGUCAAUGUCUUAUAAAGAAGAAUGAUGAAAUGUGGUUUUUAGUAAAUUCAAAGGGAUUAAGAUUUGGUGAAGAUGAGUUUGGAUUAAUCACUAGUUUAAGUUCUGGUCCCAUUCCUCGGCAUAAUGAAACGUCAAUGAGAAUAAGGGAUGUUUACUUUAAUAGUGAAAACAAAGUGCGUAAUGAUCAUUAAGAGAAAGUUUUUCUUUCUUUUGGUGAAGUGAAAACAAAAAAAAAUGCAAAAGAAAAAUAUUGAUAAUCUUAAAGAUGAAGACAUGGUGAAAUUAGCCUUAUUGUACUUUCUUGAGCAUGUUUUACUUGGGAAAGAAGGGAAAAUUUUAAUAGACAUGCAAUGGGUUGGUCUUGUUGAUUGUUUGGAAGUUUUUAAUAAGUAUCCAUGGGGGUGGGAUUUGUUAUGAAAGAACAAUUUAUAGGUUGCAACAAGUCUUGGAGAACAGGGUGUCAAAAUACCAAGGUAAAAAACAACAAAAGGGUAAUAUAGCACAUGAGGCAUAUAGUCUAGUUGGAUUUCCAUAUGACUUCCAAGUUUGGGUGUAUGAGACUAUUCUGAUUAUCGGAAUGAAAUAUGCUAAUCAUUUUGCUAAGAGUUGCCCACGAAUUUUAAAUUGGAGUGUUACUUCCACACCGAGGUUCAUUAAGCUCCAACAAAUCUUUUUGGACUCCAAUGUGAGUAAUUUUUUUACCAUAUAUUUUGAUAGUGUUGUCACUUACAUAUUUGUAUAUGUCUAUGUUUGUUAAUUAAAUUACUUAACUUGAAUUCAAUAGUUAUCUUUGUGUUCGCUGCUUAAACCUACUCUGGAGGAAUGUCAACAAGAUUAUUACAAGUAUUUGAAUAAGUUAGGGUUAGUGAAUGGUGUUCCUCCAAAAAUUUUAAGCCAACCAACAACCCCAGAACAUGAUACUAUGGGUGACCUAAAAGAUGAAGAUCACCAGGUUGAAGCUAAUGCAUAUGUUGUUGCUACUGCUACAAUGGAAAACAAGAAGAAAAAUGAUUAUUCUAUCCCACCUUCAAUUGAAGUAACUCCACUAUCACACAUUUAUCUAUAAAUGUCAUUUUUAAUGUUUCAAUUGUAAUACAAAGUUCAAACAAAAAUUCAAAUUGAAAACUUAACCUUGGUUAAGUUAAUUAUCAAUUAAACUUACCCAUGGUCAAGUGAAGGUUACUUUGAAAAACAUAACAUAACUAUCAUAAGUACACAUCAAUUUUUUAAAAUUAUGACUAUAAUUUUGGUGUACUAUGAUGUAUGAGGAAUUAAAGUUUCAUUUGUUUAUAACAUGUGCAGAAUCUAUGGAUAGAGUUCAUGAAGCAUAUAGAAAAGUCUGAAUCAAAUUUCAAUUAUUUGAAUAAAGAACUUAAGGAAGUGAACAGAAAGAUUGACAACUUAAGACAACUUUUAUUGGAUGUUAGUGAUAUAUUUAUUGAAUUUUAUAUUUUAUUCAAUGAAAUUAUGUAUUUUAUUUCUAUAUUUCUACUAUCUUAUUGUAUGGUGCAUAUCUUAUUUUAGGUGAAGGGGCAAAAUGAGUCAUGUGCUACAGAUAAUACAAAAUUUUCAAAAUUUGGUACAAAAGGAAAAGAUAUUGGCAUGGAUUUUAAUUCAUGGGAUGACAAGUUUGAGAGUGUGAUGCAAGAUAAGGAGUAUGAGAACCAUGGCCAUAUAGAUGUGAAGACAAAUACAAAAGAAAUAACAGAUAUUGUAGUUGCAGAAAAACACAUAAUAGGGAUGGAGAAAGAUGAUGAUGUGAUUUUUAAUCCAAUUAUUGAUAUUGCCAAAUUAUUUGAUACCCCUACCGUAUCAGGCAACUUUUCGGUUUAUGUAUUUCCAAAGCAACUGGCCUCCACUAUAUUUAAGCGAAUAUGUGAGUUGAAAAAAUCCUAUUUUUUGCAACCUCCUUUCAUAGACAAAGAGAAGGAAAAUUAGAAAGGAAGGGGAAACAACAUCUGACUUUAAUCCUUUGCAAUCUAUUUCUAAGGAAGCAAGAGAAGUCUUUCAUAAGUGGUUGAGUCUUCAACAAGGGUAAUUAUCUUUGCUUUAAACUUGUAAUAGUUUCUUUUUGGCAACUUCUUUGCUUGACCAUGGUUUUUUGAUAUAUUAUGAUAAUAAGGUUUAAGGUUGAUAUUGAUUACUUGCAUGCGGACAAAGAAUGGUUUGAGUCACUAGUUCAGCAUGGUUCAUGGCUCAAAGACAUGGUUUGUAAAUGUUCUUAUUGUGUUUGCUUUUACUUAUUAGUAUAUUGUUAUUAUGAUGAAAUAGUAUAACUAAUGUUUGUUUUUUCGUAUAUGUUGUCUAGCAUAUUGAUGUUGCUUUCUACUUUUUCCAUAAGCGGAUAAUAGAAAAGCCCCAUGCAUUUUCUUAAAAUUUUACCACUACAGAUACAAUGUUUUGGGUAUGUAUAGUUUCUUUUUACUAUUGACCCUCAUAAUACUAAUUAAAUUAUGGUAGUUUAACUAUUCUUUUUUACCUUUUCUUAUAUAGAAAAAUGUGAAAGCAAGGUGGGAGAAGCAUGCUAAAAAGUGGAAUCAAUUCCAAAUGCAAGCAGAUGAUAUUCUUGUUGACUAUAUUAAUGGGCUUCACCUAAUUCCUUCUAUGAAAUGGUUUGAGGUGGACUUUAUUUAUGUCUCUAUUAAUUUUCAAAGUAUGCAUUGGGGAUUGGGAGUAGUUCACCUUGUCAGAGGAGAAUAUUUGUGUAUGACUCAUUGAUAGGCAUUAAUAGUGAUAAUCGACUAAAAGGUGUCAUAAUACCUUUAGCUAAGGUGUUACCAGGUAUUUGAUUCGUGUCCAAUUGGUGUCUUAGUUGAUUCAUGUCUAGCCGGUGCUCCUUGUUUGAGGGAGUAAUCAACAAAAUUUAUAACCUAUUACACCAUAUACUAGGGUAGCAAAGAAAAAGCUACUAUAGUAUAGUGACUCUAGGAUCGUUCACUGGGAAGGGUUUCCAAAUUACAAAUGAUACCAAUUCAAAGUGAAUUGGUACUUUUUCAUUUCAAGGUUAGCUCACGAAAUAAAACAAAAACUUUGAUUGGUAAAGAUUUAGAUUUAAAAUGACUACAAAGCAAGUGAUGGAAAUUACUUAGGAAGAAAAACAUUCCUUGGAGAGUCAGGUUCACUGGGGUGGUUCCUCAUGCAAAAGACAUAGCUCAGGUCAAUUGGUUCAUUUUCUCGCGUGAGAGAAUCAACAUAUAGUCAAUUCUCUAACCGGUGUUGUACAGAUACAUCCUUUAAUUAGAUUUCAGCUUUAAUUCCCUCUCACUGAUGCAACUUGCUAUGGUUCAUGCCUCUCACUAAGCCUUAACCAUUCAAGGUGAUCUUUAACCUUAGACUUCCCUUCUCAAGCUCACAAGAGAUAACUAAUGGAUGUCUCCUUGGAGUCCAAAAGCUUACCAAGUGUUGGCAAUUCCAGAAAAUCCUACCUUCAAGUCACCUCCCAGAGGCUCGCAAGGGGUAAACUAGUGCAUCUCCAUGGUUGGAGAUCACUUGCCUUACCAAGUGUUGGCCCAGGUGACUCUAAGGUGUUUUAAGUUAACUAAAAACAUAGAAAUCACUAAAGGAUUUCACUUCCUCUUCAUUCAUGGCUGAAACCAUAAAGCUUUGCAUUCUUGCAAUUGGAACCUUCCCCGGCAACCUUAGCUCCAAGGAACUAAAGGUUUAGUUACUCAUUCUCUGGGAAAAAUUCCUCAGAGAGUGCAUAACUUCGUAAGAAAUAAAAAAAUACAAAGUGAGAAGGUAAGGCAAAACAAAGGACCUGAACUUUACUUGCUUUUCCAAAACUUUACAAAAGGUCUCCUCUCUCUGAGAACAGGCUCCCGAGAGGUAUUUAUAUGAACAUAAUAUAAAACUAAUUAUUACAUGGAUAUUUUCUCUUUUUACUAACUUAAAAGCUAAGGAAUCUUGUAAUUGGUGGCUUACAAGGAGUAUUUUGGGAUUUAGACAACAAAAAUCUGAUGGAAAAUAUCUCCCAAUGUCAGUAGCAAACAUCGGGAAGCACUACGGACCAUUUCGCAAGAGAAAAUGAUGUCUGCGAGAUUUCGCAGACACUCAAAAAGGGCUGCGAAAUCACUUUGCAACAAAAGGAUAUUCUCACAGGGCUGCGAAGUUGGCUUCCAUCUUGAGGUUCUCAGCUUCCAACUUGUCGCAUUUAUUGGGAAACUUCAGGAGGAAAUCCACCACACUGUACAAAAAGGCUGCGAAAUCACUUCGCAACAAAAGGGUGAUUUCGCAACACUUUGCAAAAUGCUUCCUUCAGCUUAGAGUGAUUGACUUGAAAUGGCUGUAACUUCUUCGUUUCAACUCCGAAUUGCACACCGUUUGAAGCAUUGGAUUGUUAACUUCCUGAGCUUUGAAAUGGUAUAUAUCAUGCAUCAAUUGGACUUCAGAAAGUGCUCCAAAAGUGGCUGCCACGACUGUCAUCAAGAAUAUGCUUCAUGGCAGAUUCUCUUUACUUUUUCUCCUUGCAUUCCGGAUCAACUCUUGGAAAAGGGCUUCAAAGCUUUAGUUCUUCAUGUUUCUGAGCUUCCAAUUGCUUUGCCCCAGAUUCCAAAGAACUCUCCUCAAUCUUGGAUUGCUUUGGUGAUCAAAUUACUAACAAAAACACCAAAACUUAACACAAUUUAAUUAGAAACAAUUGCAAGGGUCCUUAUCAUGCCAAUUGAGUUAAAAGGCCAAAACUACUACUCAAAAGUGUUUAAAAGGAUUAAUUACAAGCUAUCAAAUAGCACUUUUUGAGUAGUAAUCACUCCCCCCAACCGACAUAUUGCUAGUUGUGGACCCGCAUUUUACACGUGCGUCCCCACUCGAUCGGCAAGACUCGCUUUUUAUUGUGAAAAAUUAAUUUUAAAAAAAAAGUUGGAGUCGCCACUUAUUUUAUUUUUAUUUUUGAAGGGAAAAUAAAACAAGAAAUAAAACCCUAAAAAAAUGACUCCAUAAUUUUUGGAAAAGCGUGUCUUUGAAAACCCAAGUCUUGGUUCGGGGAUCAGGUUACUUAUUGGGAAGGUACCUCUAGGAGGUAGCACCCCUCUAAGCCCUAAAGAGGUCUCUACUGACUAAGUUAAGGGAAGCGUGGCAAUUAAAUGGUUGAUCUCGGAUACCUAAGUAGGCUAGGUGAUUCCAAAAAAAAAAAAAAAAAAAAAAAAAAAAACAUAACAUAUCAAACAAAAUCGAAUCACAAUUAAGGAGAGUUAAAAAUGCGUACCUGGACGGCUUCCCAAGCGCUAUCAUAAAACAUAAGAGAUUAGUUUGGAGAUACAUCACACAACAUUUGUUUUAUCAAAGAUAAUCAAACAAUCAUCAAAUGUAUAUCAAGGCAAUUAAAGAGGAUAGCAAGCAUGGGGCAUACAUAUUCAUAGGGUUUAGAAAGUGGGAUAUUAGGGAACGUACCUUGGAUAGCAUAUUUAACUCUUAAUGCACCUCCCACAAAACAUGAGAGGUUAGAUACCAACAAUAAAUNNNNNNNNNNNNNNNNNNNNNNNNNNNNNNNNNNNNNNNNNNNNNNNNNNNNNNNNNNNNNNNNNNNNNNNNNNNNNNNNNNNNNNNNNNNNNNNNNNNNNNNNNNNNNNNNNNNNNNNNNNNNNNNNNNNNNNNNNNNNNNNNNNNNNNNNNNNNNNNNNNNNNNNNNNNNNNNNNNNNNNNNNNNNNNNNNNNNNNNNNNNNNNNNNNNNNNNNNNNNNNNNNNNNNNNNNNNNNNNNNNNNNNNNNNNNNNNNNNNNNNNNNNNNNNNNNNNNNNNNNNNNNNNNNNNNNNNNNNNNNNNNNNNNNNNNNNNNNNNNNNNNNNNNNNNNNNNNNNNNNNNNNNNNNNNNNNNNNNNNNNNNNNNNNNNNNNNNNNNNNNNNNNNNNNNNNNNNNNNNNNNNNNNNNNNNNNNNNNNNNNNNNNNNNNNNNNNNNNNNNNNNNNNNNNNNNNNNNNNNNNNNNNNNNNNNNNNNNNNNNNNNNNNNNNNNNNNNNNNNNNNNNNNNNNNNNNNNNNNNNNNNNNNNNNNNNNNNNNNNNNNNNNNNNNNNNNNNNNNNNNNNNNNNNNNNNNNNNNNNNNNNNNNNNNNNNNNNNNNNNNNNNNNNNNNNNNNNNNNNNNNNNNNNNNNNNNNNNNNNNNNNNNNNNNNNNNNNNNNNNNNNNNNNNNNNNNNNNNNNNNNNNNNNNNNNNNNNNNNNNNNNNNNNNNNNNNNNNNNNNNNNNNNNNNNNNNNNNNNNNNNNNNNNNNNNNNNNNNNNNNNNNNNNNNNNNNNNNNNNNNNNNNNNNNNNNNNNNNNNNNNNNNNNNNNNNNNNNNNNNNNNNNNNNNNNNNNNNNNNNNNNNNNNNNNNNNNNNNNNNNNNNNNNNNNNNNNNNNNNNNNNNNNNNNNNNNNNNNNNNNNNNNNNNNNNNNNNNNNNNNNNNNNNNNNNNNNNNNNNNNNNNNNNNNNNNNNNNNNNNNNNNNNNNNNNNNNNNNNNNNNNNNNNNNNNNNNNNNNNNNNNNNNNNNNNNNNNNNNNNNNNNNNNNNNNNNNNNNNNNNNNNNNNNNNNNNNNNNNNNNNNNNNNNNNNNNNNNNNNNNNNNNNNNNNNNNNNNNNNNNNNNNNNNNNNNNNNNNNNNNNNNNNNNNNNNNNNNNNNNNNNNNNNNNNNNNNNNNNNNNNNNNNNNNNNNNNNNNNNNNNNNNNNNNNNNNNNNNNNNNNNNNNNNNNNNNNNNNNNNNNNNNNNNNNNNNNNNNNNNNNNNNNNNNNNNNNNNNNNNNNNNNNNNNNNNNNNNNNNNNNNNNNNNNNNNNNNNNNNNNNNNNNNNNNNNNNNNNNNNNNNNNNNNNNNNNNNNNNNNNNNNNNNNNNNNNNNNNNNNNNNNNNNNNNNNNNNNNNNNNNNNNNNNNNNNNNNNNNNNNNNNNNNNNNNNNNNNNNNNNNNNNNNNNNNNNNNNNNNNNNNNNNNNNNNNNNNNNNNNNNNNNNNNNNNNNNNNNNNNNNNNNNNNNNNNNNNNNNNNNNNNNNNNNNNNNNNNNNNNNNNNNNNNNNNNNNNNNNNNNNNNNNNNNNNNNNNNNNNNNNNNNNNNNNNNNNNNNNNNNNNNNNNNNNNNNNNNNNNNNNNNNNNNNNNNNNNNNNNNNNNNNNNNNNNNNNNNNNNNNNNNNNNNNNNNNNNNNNNNNNNNNNNNNNNNNNNNNNNNNNNNNNNNNNNNNNNNNNNNNNNNNNNNNNNNNNNNNNNNNNNNNNNNNNNNNNNNNNNNNNNNNNNNNNNNNNNNNNNNNNNNNNNNNNNNNNNNNNNNNNNNNNNNNNNNNNNNNNNNNNNNNNNNNNNNNNNNNNNNNNNNNNNNNNNNNNNNNNNNNNNNNNNNNNNNNNNNNNNNNNNNNNNNNNNNNNNNNNNNNNNNNNNNNNNNNNNNNNNNNNNNNNNNNNNNNNNNNNNNNNNNNNNNNNNNNNNNNNNNNNNAAAGUCAUGAAAUUGAAAAUUAAAACCAACUAAAAUUAUGCAAUUAAAAACAUUAUGUCUAUCAUAGGUAUACAAAAAAUAAUUAAGACAUUAGUCUACAAAAUUAAUCAUCAAUUUCAUGCAAUAUUCUAUAAAAUAAAUAAAUAAAAGCAAAUAACUAACCAAAUAAUUAUAAAUAAAUAAGUAAAUGAAUAAAUAAAAUAAAUAGAAAUAAGACAUCAAGUACAUGCCAACGUUAAAAAUGCAGAUCAUGCAAAUUAUACAAGUCACGUAGGAAUUACCUAAAAGGUAACAUAGGUGGGCUAGGAUGCCUACGUGGACUUAAAGUGAGUGUGUGUAAACUGUAAGGUGCCUCAGUACGAGUCAAGGUGAAUCUAGGUGGGCCUAGGGUGCCUAAAUGGGUCAACUGUGUCUAAAAAAAAAAGUUAUCCUAAAAAGAAUAACAAAAGCCUAAGUCUAAAUUAGGGUUGCCAAGGGUCACAAUAAAGGAUCAAAUAAUCCCUCAACCAAAAUCUCUGAGGUGACUCAGAAAAAGGUAAGUGGUAUGAGUAGCCAUGGGCCACCAAGGAACUGUCGUGGAGCACUGGAAUUGAAUUUAAAGACAUGUGCUAAAGAGACAAAAUUGAGGGUCUACAAAUAUGCCCCUCUUCGGUAUAGAUCACGAGUGUAGAGAAUGUGAGUAAAAAUACGAGUAAUGAGCAGAAUGAAGUGAACUAUACCGAAGAAUUAAAGAAGGACCAGAGAUUUUGUCCUAGCACAUGAAGAGGUAAGAUCUAAACACGGGGACGCAAUCACAAAAAGGGAAUAACUUCAGGUCGUGAGCUCAAAGCUUUGCACAGAAAGAAUGACUCUGGGUCAUAAGUGAAAAAUCGACACUGGGUCAAGAGCUCUAGGCUCUAAAUGGAACAGAAAUGACUCUAGGUCAUAAAUGAAAAACGACUCUGGGUCGAGAACUCUAGGCUCUAAAUGGAAAAUCGACUCUGGGUCGAGAGCUUUGGGCUCUAAAUGGAAAAGAAAUGACUUUAGGUCAAGAGCUUUGGGCUCGAAAUGGAAAAUCGACUCCGGGUCGAGAGCUCUGGGCUCUAAAUGGAAAAGAAAUGACUCUGGGUCAAGAGCUCUGGGCUCGAAAUGGAAAAUCGACUCUGGGUCGAGAGCUCUGGGCUCUAAAUGGAAAACCGACUCUGAGUCGAGAGCUCUGGGCUCUAAAUGGAAAAUCGACUCUGGGUCGAGAGCUCUAGGCUCUAAGAUAGGAAAUAAUGACUCUGGGUCGAAAUGGAAAGUGACUCAGGGUCGAGAGCUCCGGGCUCUAAAAUAGGAAAUAAUGACUCUGGGUCGAAAUGGAAAGUGACUCUGGGUCGAGAGCUCCGGGCUCUAAAAUAGGAAACAAUGACUCUGGGUCGAAAUGGAAAGUGACUCUGGGUCGAGAGCUCCGGGCUCUAAAAUAGGAAAUAAUGACUCUGGGUCGAAAUGGAAAGUGACUCUGGGUCAAGAGCUCCGGGCUCUAAAUAGAUAGCCGAUCAGGAUACUUUCCGACUCAAGAUGUCGGGUCGAGGCCACUCACUAGUGGCUAGAAUGAUGAAAACGAAACAUCUCAGGGAUGUGAAUAAUGCAAAUGACUCCGGGUCGUGAGCUCAGGGCUCGGGGUGCUAUAAAUGACUCUGGGUCAAGAUGGAAAAUGACUCUGGGUCGAGAGCUCUGGGCUCUAACUAGGAAAGAAUGACUCUGGGUCAAGAUGGAAAAUGACUCUGGGUCGAUGAAUAGCUCUGGGCUAUGAGCUCCGGGCUCUAUGACUGAUCGGCUAGAAGGAGAAUGCGAUACGCAAACUCCAGGUCAAACCACUCAUGGGCGACCAAGUGAUGAAAGCUCAGCUAAGAGCUGGAAAGACUCUGGGUCUAUAGGAAAUGAUAGCUCAGGGCUAGCGGGCUCAGGGCCUAAGAGAAAAAAGAUAGCUCAGGGCUAUAAGACUCAGGGUCUAGAAGGAAUGGAUAACUCAUGGCUACGAGGCUCAGGGCCUAAAAAAAGGAUAGCUCAGGGCUAGCGGGCUCAGGGCCUAAGGGAAAAAGGAUGCUCAAGGCUAUAAGACUCGGGGUCUAGAAGGAAUGAAUAACUCAAAGCUAUGAGGCUCAGGGCCUAGAAGGGAAUAAUAGAGAAGACCAACUCGAAAGUGGACACGAAAUAAAUUGGCUCAAAGCCACAUACUCAAGAUGUCAAGGGUCGGACUACUGAAACCAAGAAGGGAAAUAUGCCCCAGUAUCCAGGGUGCUCACACUGCCGAAACAACCAGUAAAUCAAUCAUCCGCUGAAAUCAAUAGGUCAGAAACUGAUGCAUCGCGACAAACCUCUGAAAAGUCUAAACUGAAGGAACCCUCUAUGUCUGAAAAGCUGCUCUGUCGAUGAAUCUCAAAAGGUAAAUCUCAAAGAGUGUAUAUCAUGGCUCAUCUAAAAGUAAACCUCAAAGUGUGUAAAAUACUGCUCAUCUGGAUAAUCCAAUCUACAAGGUAACAAUGACGAAAACAAAUCUGUCUCAUGAACAUCUGGCUAAAGGAUCCACCCACACUCCUCGGGUGAAACCUGAUGCGAUCCGUCUCUAUCUCAACAAAUCCAUGUAGGGAGGCCCUGAUACAGUCGAUCGUCGGAAGCUCUGGGCUAGUGCUCAAUCUAAAACCAAGCUGGCCACUGUCUCAAUCUCAAGGAUACUCAAAGAAAAUGGGGGAAAUAUGCCCCAGUAUAAGAUCUAACGUCAAAGUCAUAAGCUAAACAACCGACAGCAGUCAUCCAUCCUCAUAUCACUGCCCAAAUAAAUCUCGUAAUGGAGAGGGGAAUAUGCCCCAGUAUGGAUAUCGGAUGUCGAAGUCGUGAGGCAAACAAACUAACAAUGAUCAUCCAUCCUCGUAUCGCUGUCCAAACACAAUCUCAUCAAGGAGAGUGGAAUAUGCCUCAGUGUGGAUAAUCUAAUGUUGAAGUCGUGAGGUAAACAAACUAACAAUGAUCAUCCAUCCUCGUNNNNNNNNNNNNNNNNNNNNNNNNNNNNNNNNNNNNNNNNNNNNNNNNNNNNNNNNNNNNNNNNNNNNNNNNNNNNNNNNNNNNNNNNNNNNNNNNNNNNAUGAACUGUCUCCAAACCCAAAAAUCCAUCAAACAUCAAUAUGCAGCAAGAGAGAGACCAAAUUCUUCCAAAAGUAUCUUCCAUAAAAGAGAACAUAGUAACGACCAUACUUCAACCAAUCUACAAAAGUCUGUCCAAGUGAAGACUGUCAAAGAUAAUGUCUGAUCUCAUGGCCUCAGGGUGGUCUUAAGACACGGGACGUAACGUAGGCCAAGGUGAUACGGUGAAAGAAAUGAAGGGAAACUAGGCUCAAAUACCCAAUGAUCAAACCCGUACCCUCGUGCACAAGAUGUAAUGCAUAGAAAAAUCUCAUGAGUCAUGGACUUAGAAGUAACCAAAGGGAAUGUCGAUAACGAAAUGAGAGAAAGGAUGAAUGGUCAAGCCAUCAAUGAAAUAUGUGAAUGAUGUCAAGAAGGUAUCAAAUCAGUAAUGGGUAUCAAUAUGUAAGGAAUGAAUAAAAGGUGGAACAAAGAUCUGGAAAGAGGUAAUGGGAUACAAAAGAAAACAAUGGGAAAGUGGAAUGAGUGAUGAUCAACCCAUGUUAGUACAAUAAAGGAAAGUCAUAUCACCAAUGAUGGAAUGGUGGGUAUAAGACAAUGAUCCGAAGACCCUAGUAAAAGGUCACUCAUCUCUCAUACAUAAUACGUAUCAACCAUGGUCCAAGAAGCAUAGGAUACCAUAGAACUCUCACAUGAACCCUCAACACUCCAAAUGCAUAACAAGAGUGGCUUAAGGAGUGAAAACUCAUAUAAAAAUCUCACAAGAACCCACAAUGACAAAUAUACCCAGUAAACAGACCUCAAAAGGUGAUAUAAGUGCCCAAUGGAGCAAGAUACCAUACAUAAACAUGUCAUUGCGUUUUUUUUUUUUUUUCUUUUUCUUUUUCUUUUUUUUCUUCUCUUUUUUUUUUUUUUUUUUUUUUUUUUUUUUUUCUUUUUUUCUGUUUUUUUUUUUUUUUUUUUGGCGCAUGCUCUGAUCAUCAAUAAGUCAAACUCCAAUGGGAAAGAUACAAGAAAUGAAUAAACUCUCUCAAAUCACUGAUGAAUACAUGAACCCCAACCCAUGAGACAACCUCUCAAACUAAAAUCUCCGAAUCAAUGCCAAAUGAUGAGAUGAAUGGAGUGAUAUGACUGCCCUCUUUGCACUAAGAUGUGAAGAAUCAUCAGCCCAAGAAAGAGAAGAGAUAAAAUGAAGCAAAUAAUGAUAAAAGCAAGAAAGAGAAUGGAAAUGUGAUGAUAACAAAAUAGAACAAACGGGGUGAUAAGGAGAUGAUGACAAGAAUGAGAAGAUAGGCCUAUAAGUCUAAAGCUCAUGAGACUUUCAUAGCAAAGCAUGCAUAUACACCAAAGGGUCCCAACCCGGGUGUAGAAAUGGUAAUCAAGGCUAUAAGAAAGAAAUAAGGCUAUAACAUACCACGUGAGGCUCAAUGGGCUAGCAAUGGUUUAAUAUAUCAAUAAAGGUGAUAAGGUGUAAGGCUAACCGAAAUGAUGGCCACCCAUCCUGCGACCACGGUCUCAAACAUAAUACUUCUUCAGCUGAUCCACAUUGGUAGGCUCUGAAAAUUGGUUUCCAUCUAAGUCUGUCAACCAUGCAGCCCCUUCUGGAGUCAACUCUCGGAUGACAAGUGGUGUACUCCAAGUAAGUCCCUAGGGUCUCCUGGAAUAGACGAAUCUCCAUAAUCAUAACUGGGCUAACAUCGUCCUCAAACACAUCAUCAACAUAAGCGGAAUUCCCCAACAUAAAUAAAUCGAAUCUCUCCUGAACUCUCAACAAUGAAUAUCUCAAGCAUAUCAAGAGAGUGAACCAUCUCUGGCUAAUCUGUGCUAGUCAUCCAACUAUCAUCCAACACAUAUAUCUCAGGCUCAUCAUGAAGAAAACCAUGUCAAUCAAAGCUCCCAUCUGAGAAAAACUAACGUCCUCUAUAAGAACUCUCAUCUGAUAAACUUUGACUCAUAAUCCACUAAACUCAUCAUAUGUACGAAGUCACCCUCAACAAUGUCACUGGCUAACUGGGUGGUGGGGGUGGGUGGUAAUGAAUCAUACGACAUCUCAUCCUGAACUGGAUACUAUCUACCUCACUGUCCAUCAAUCAUCUGGCUCAAACCUGCUAAUGCAUCUUGAAUAGAGUCAUAGUGACUGUAAGUCGAUCAACUGUAUCAUGCUGAGGAUCCAUACCUGACUGCUUUGAAACCUUGACCAAUCUAUCUCCAACUCUAAUAUAAAGAGUCGAAUCCAAACUGAAGCGAAUAACAUUCCCAUAAGGUACAAAGGCACGAAAAGAUAAAUGACAUGAAGGAAACUCAGAAAAUGUGGAAACACACUAAUCACAAUGCAGAAAGGUGGCCCAACUGAGACUCAAACAUGUACCAAUCUCUGAGCACACCAAAAGGAGACCAUGAAGAGGAUAACUGAACCCAAUUGUGACCAAGGCAGCUCUGAAGGUCCACAGAUGCACCCACGUGUAGGAAUGAAAUCUUAAUUGGGUCUAGGCUAACCUACAAGGUUGAGGUGGCUCUAUAAGAUAAGAUGGGUGGGUUAAAGGAUCCCUAGCAGAAGCGAUCGUACCCUCCGAUGGUACGCAACCCUCUGCACGCCUCCAAGGAGACGAGGUGCUUCCAUGCAAGGUGGUCAUCACCUCCACACAUGCACUUCCUCGCGUUCCCAGGGGGUUUCUUAAUGGUGAAGGCUCUCCCAUCUCUCAACACUCAGGGAUAAUCUAAGGUGCACAAUGAAGGAUGUGGGUGCAUCCGAAAAACCUAAGAUCUAAAGUGAGAUAGUGAAUGAAGACAAGCAAUCAUACAAACAUGCAAGAGAAAGGGUUGUCAUGCAACAAGCAGCCAUGCGAAGCAGAUAAAUAUCAAACAAUCAAAGUCCUAUCUAGCAUAUGUGAGAGUGAAUCAUGUUGAAGUGAGCAAGCAAUUAAGUGAUCACAUCAAACAGUCAUGCGAAUCAAAUAAAUAUCAAACAAACAAAGUCCUAUCUAACAUAUGUGAAAGUGAAUCAUGCUGAAGUGAGCAAGCAAUCAAGUGAUCAUCCAAGGCAAUCAAACAUGUCAAGAUAGCAAAACAAUCAAGCAAGCAAAUCGAAUCACCUUGCCUAGAAAAAAUGGGGUACCCUCUAAUCGACCAAUUAAAUGCCACAUUUUCCUCAACUAGUGUUCAAGCUUGAUCCUCAAGAUCCCCAGCGGAGUCGCCAAUUUGUGGGCCCGCAUUUUUCACGUGCGUCCCCACUCGAUCGGCAAGACUCGCUUUUUAUUGUGAAAAAUUAAUUUUAAAAAAAAAGUUGGAGUCGCCACUUAUUUUAUUUUUAUUUUUGAAGGGAAAAUAAAACAAGAAAUAAAACCCUAAAAAAAUGACUCCAUAAUUUUUGGAAAAGCGUGUCUUUGAAAACCCAAGUCUUGGUUCGGGGAUCAGGUUACUUAUUGGGAAGGUACCUCUAGGAGGUAGCACCCCUCUAAGCCCUAAAGAGGUCUCUACUGACUAAGUUAAGGGAAGCGUGGCAAUUAAAUGGUUGAUCUCGGAUACCUAAGUAGGCUAGGUGAUUCCAAAAAAAAAAAAAAAAAAAAAAAAAAAAACAUAACAUAUCAAACAAAAUCGAAUCACAAUUAAGGAGAGUUAAAAAUGCGUACCUGGACGGCUUCCCAAGCGCUAUCAUAAAACAUAAGAGAUUAGUUUGGAGAUACAUCACACAACAUUUGUUUUAUCAAAGAUAAUCAAACAAUCAUCAAAUGUAUAUCAAGGCAAUUAAAGAGGAUAGCAAGCAUGGGCAUACAUAUUCAUAGGGUUUAGAAAGUGGAUAUUAGGGAACGUACCUGGAUAGCAUAUUUAACUCUUAAUGCACUCCCACAAAACAUGAGAGGUUAGAUAACAAACAAUAAAAUAAGAAGUCCUAGCAUGCUUGUUAUCUAAUUAGCAUAACAAAAAUUGUCAAAGUAUAUGAAAACAAUAAUUAUCACACUCAUCCUGAGUAUAAUUCCUAAAAAAAGAUAGACAUAAUUUCAACAAGUGACAAAAAUGGCAACAAAAAUAAUUUUUGAAAAGAUUUUCUUAUGUAGGGGUUUCACCAAUCCCCAAAUUAAUAUACACAAAUUUAGCCCAGAAUUAUCCCAUUAUUUGGGACCACAAGCUUUGAUUCGUGUUUUUGUUCGAAACUAAACUUUUUGUUAGAAACCGAGAAGGAUGCAAACCGAACUAAAUAUGGUUGCAUAUUAUUUUUUUAAAAUUAAAAUAAAAAUAAAAUAAAUAAAUAAAAAAGAUUUUGAUCCUGAGGACUCUAAAUGAGUUUUUGAAAUAGAUUUUUAAAAUGAUUUUUUUGAGGAAAGUAUUUUAUUUUAAAAGGAAUUAAUUUGGAAAAAAUAAAAUACCAAACAAAACAAAAAUGAAACCUCAAAGUAAAAUUUUUUAGUAAUUAACAAAAAUGAUAAUGGUGAUGGUAGAGGCCAAUCUUCAUGAUUUUCCAAUGGCCUCUAAAAGCCAAAUUUAAUAAAUAUUCACCAAAGCAACAAACCAAACGACUUUUAGAUCAAAUAAAACUAACGAAAUAUUAAUCGGGAAUUUAUAAGGAUCAAUCAAACACAUAAAUUGAGAUAAACAAUCAAGAACUAAUUUAAAAUCAACCAAACACAUAAACAUGUAAUUAUAAUAAUGUGAAUAUAGUAACAUAAGCACAUAGAAUUCUAAGACAUAUUAACUAAUCAACAACUAGACAUUAAUAACUUCCAAAACAAAAACAAAACUAAGUAACAAGGGAUUAAGCAAAAUGAUAACCAAAAUUUAAAAAAAGGACACAUCAACUAAGUAGAAAAGCUAAAUUUAACUACUUUUAAUACAUAAGUAUAAUAACAUGGGAUGAAACUAAUUAACUAAAAUUUUGAAAAAAAAACUAUAAACUAGGACAAGAUCAGUCAAAAAUCAAAAUUAACAAACUUUUUUUUAAAACAUGAGCAUCGAUUAAACUAAUUAACUAAAACUAAAAAAAAACACACGUACUAAAAUUAGGUCAAUCAAGAAUUAAAAUUAACAAACUUACAACAUGAGAAAAGUAACUUCUAAAUUAAAUAUCUAAAACUCUAAAAAAAACACAUAAAAUAAAAUUGGAUCAAUCGAGAAUUAAAACGAACAAGCUCAAAACGUGGAUAUAAUGACAUGAGAAAGUAAUAGACUCAUCAACUAAAAAUCUAAAACACAUAAACUAAAUAGGGUCAAUCAAAGACUAAAGUUAACAAUUUUAAACAUGGAAUUAAUCACAUGGGCUCAAUAGGAAUAAUAAACUAAAAUUCUAAAAACACAUAAGCUAGAUAAGAUCAAUCAAAACUAAAGUUAAAAAAUUAAAACAUGGAUUUAAUCAAGUGGUUCAAUAGGAAUAAUAAACUAUAAUUCUAAAAACAUAACAACCUAGAAAAAUCAAAACUUGGAAUCAAGACAAUGAAUCAAAAUCAAACUAACUACAUUCUAACCUUUUCAUCCGAUUAAAAAAUCAAAAUUAAUACAUAAAAAAUCUAACUUUCAAUCCAAUAAAAAAAUUAAAACUAAAAUCCUUAGAAAUUCUAACUUACCUUUUCCAGAAUGCCUCUAUGGUGGUGCGGCUGCUGCUCUCUUCCUUCACCGUCCUUCAGACCUCUCUUUGUUCCCAGAAAAAAUCCUGUCCCUUCUCUGCUCGUUUCUUUCUUAUAUGGCAGCCGCACAUUGUAUGGAAUAUUUUGUUUCUUUUUUUCAGUGCAUUUAGACAUAUGGAAAGUGAUUACGUGUGGUUCAUAUUGGAGACUUUUUCAAAGAUUCUGCCCUGUACCCUGUUUGGUAAGUGAUUAGAUGAGUGGACUUUUCUUUCUAAAAAAAAAAACCAAAAGGAAUCUCCCUUUGCAGCCCACCAUAUGCGUGUUGUGCACAAAGUGGCCAUCUUCUUUCCUAUUUUCAUGCUAUUUUCCACGUGAUGCAUGCUCAAGAUGCAGCCAUGCCUUCCAAAAAAAUUGAGUGGUGCGUGGAGGAGAUCCCCUCGGGAUGGUGCGGCCUGUGGGAAUCAAAAUCUGGAUGUCUUGUGGGCCCCUCAAUUGUGGCUGAUUUCCUUAAGAAUCAUGGUUGGUGUGGACUGAUCAUGGUUCCAUAUCUCCUAUAUAGGCUUCCUUCCUUGGAUGCGUGCUGUUGGAGAUCUUUCAUUGCGGGCUGUGCGUGGAAUCUUCCAUUGUGGGCUGUGCGUGGGAUCUUUCACUAACAUGGUAAAAAUCUGGGAGAUAAUCCUCACUGCAACUGUCCAACAUUUCUCCAGAAAAUUAAAAAAAGAAUGGAUCUUUGAAAAUCCAUUUUGGAAAACAUGCAAGAGGAAUUAAGGGCUGAGACAUGUUGGCUUUAAAAUAAUGUACAAAAGGGGUGGCCAUGCAAGCCAUGUGAGAGUGGGCUUGGGGUCCAAUCCGAAGUGCGCCAUCUUUAAGUGGCAAGGAUCCCAUCUAUCUUCUGAUUCCAAGGGCUCCAAAACGUGCACUCCACUGUCGGUCAAUCUCAGGGUGCAAUUGUGCGGAAGGAUGACCUUUAAUAAAACGAAAUGCACCGAGACUUGCAGAAACAGUGAAUCUCGAACGCGUUUGGAAUUGAGAGAGGGUUUUGGGUUCGAGGAAUACACCAUAUGACAGUAAUAUAUUGUUGGAAGUGUGAUUAUCCAUUCUUCUCCUCAUUCUCUGGACAUCACCUUUCCUUCCUGUGCAUCUUGCCACGGAAGUCUGUUCCGUCUUCCAGAUAUGCAACUAUGUGAUCUCCAAAACUACAGCCCAUGGAAGAUUGUAGCCGUGCCUAUGGAUCCUCUCCAAUGUGUGCGUUCAAAUCUCAUGCCAAAAUAAAAUACCAAUUAAAAUCAGUAAAAGUCAUGAAAUUGAAAAUUAAAACCAACUAAAAUUAUGCAAUUAAAAACAUUAUGUCUAUCAUAGGUAUACAAAAAAUAAUUAAGACAUUAGUCUACAAAAUUAAUCAUCAAUUUCAUGCAAUAUUCUAUAAAAUAAAUAAAUAAAAGCAAAUAACUAACCAAAUAAUUAUAAAUAAAUAAGUAAAUGAAUAAAUAAAAUAAAUAGAAAUAAGACAUCAAGUACAUGCCAACGUUAAAAAUGCAGAUCAUGCAAAUUAUACAAGUCACGUAGGAAUUACCUAAAAGGUAACAUAGGUGGGCUAGGAUGCCUACGUGGACUUAAAGUGAGUGUGUGUAAACUGUAAGGUGCCUCAGUACGAGUCAAGGUGAAUCUAGGUGGGCCUAGGGUGCCUAAAUGGGUCAACUGUGUCUAAAAAAAAAAGUUAUCCUAAAAAGAAUAACAAAAGCCUAAGUCUAAAUUAGGGUUGCCAAGGGUCACAAUAAAGGAUCAAAUAAUCCCUCAACCAAAAUCUCUGAGGUGACUCAGAAAAAGGUAAGUGGUAUGAGUAGCCAUGGGCCACCAAGGAACUGUCGUGGAGCACUGGAAUUGAAUUUAAAGACAUGUGCUAAAGAGACAAAAUUGAGGGUCUACACUAGUCUCUUAGCAAUAAAGGAGAGAAAAAUAAAAAUAAAAAGUACUAUAAUUUACAACAUCAUGGUGAUCAAAAAACAAUUUUCAAGUGGCAUGAUGAUCUAACUCUCACAUGGAACAUUAAAGAAAUACAAACCCAAAUUUCAACAAGAGUUAUAACAAACUAUGCUAAACACUGUCAAUCAAGGGAAUGCAUUAUGCAAACUAAAGUUUUAAAAUCAUUUCCACUUUCAAAGAACCAAACUUUAUUCUUCCUCAAAAAUCUAUGUGUAUUGGUUCCUUAGCUUCCGAAAAUAAUAUGCUAAACUAAUCUCUCCCCCUAACCUAUCUCUUUUCAACACUUAGCAAACUGACCAAAAUCAAUAAGAAAAGAACGCAUUUUUUUUUUUUUUUUUAAGGAGGCUUAAUGGGGUACUCUUUCUGAAUUGUCCAUGUAAUGGGGGUCCAUCGAUGACUCCCAACCAAUUAAGGUUUAGGGCAUCAAGCUUUAAGGAUCUUUCAACCACUAACUCCUCGGAUUUUUCCUCGGACUUUUGAGAAUGAAUUUCUAAUACCCAAGCACCUACCAUAUGCUAACUCUACCUAUUCACCCUUGUAACGAGCAUUGAGGUCGGUGACUCCCAACCAAUUAAGGCUUAGGGCACCAGGCUUUAAAGAUUUUCACCAUAUACCCCUCAGACCUUGCUUGGGUUUCAAGGCAAGCAAACAACUUUCUUUCUUUAUUUCAAAGGCUCGUUGGCCUUUCAUAAGGUGUCUCAACUUUAUCAAAUGAGGUCAAAUGUACCAAGUCCCAAAAUUAUCCUAAGUCAAGAGGGAAAUAGCUUUUCAUCUUAUAAUCGGAAUCUAUUGUGCACAGUGUGUGAAUAGCUUAAAGUGGAAGAACUAAAUUCAAUUUCAAUAGAAGCUUCAACAAUUGAACCACUUUAGUAAGCAUAAUCCAUACUCUAAGUCAAGUGAAAAGCAACAGUUCAAUUUCUCCUAUUUUAAUUUGAAAAUUUUUCCUCAAAAUCCAUGGAGAAUAGAAUAAAAAAAGUAAAAAGCAAAAACUACAACUGAUUUACCAAUAUAAUUGUAUUACCAAAAUGACUUAGCAUACUUCCUUUAACUUAGCAUACUUCCUUCCUCAUUUUAUCCCUCCCCAACCGAACUGAGCAUUGUCCUCAAUGUGAUAUGAGUGAUUGUAAUUAAAGGGAGGAAGUGGUACCUCCUGAGUGAUAUCAAUUUCGAAUACUGAUUGGAGAAACCACAUGUUUCAAAAAGAAUAAAAGAUGUGAGAAAAGGAAAUAAGAAUAAAUUAAUUCUAAAGGUUAACAAAAAAAAUAUUAAACUUGUAUUGCUUUGAAUCCAUUUGAGUACAAUGAAAAAGAAAGGCAAUAAAAGCAAUCCCAAAUAUGGUACCAAAAUAAUGGGAUUUCUUACAAACUAAAAAACGAAAUACAUAAAAAAAACAUAGGCAGUAUAUAUAUAUAUUGAUCUGAUGAGUGGGUGGUGCUGGGGCUAGGCAGAUGGGUCUGCCUCUUCAGUAGCUGCUCUAGAUAGGGCCUGAGACUCUGUGAGAUGAAAGUGUGGCACUGUUGUGGUAGAGGUGGAGGGCUCAGCAGCUGGUGGCAGAUCAAAAUGAUGCUGGAGCUACCUUAAGAUGGCAGUGUGCUGAGCCUGGGUGGCCAACAUCUGCUCUUGGCAUGCUCGAAUGGCUGCCAUCUCAUGAGCAAGGCUGCUCUGAGAUGCUGUGAGGGUCUCCAAUGAACGACAUAACUCUCAGUAUUCAGAAAUGGGAAUGGCCAUCCUUGGUUCAGCUGAAGUGGAUGGCUGAGAUGAAGCUGGAGUAACUGGUGGAGCUCUGGGAAUGGCAGGAGCAGCAAUAGUUAUACCCUCUAUAGGUAUAUGUCGUGGGGAUGCUCUCCUAGUAGCUGGCCGUGGGCGCUCUGGCUGGUCAACUCUAUAGGUUGUCAUAUUGUUCCAUUUGUCGAGAGUAAAUACCUCUCGGCAAAUGCGCUUGCGCUCCAACUAAGGCUUUGUAGGAUACCCCAGGUGCUCCAGAAUUUGGCACAACAGCCUUGGAAAGAGAAGAGGAAUGGCAUCAGCUCUCUGCAACUUCUUUUUAUGUACCUUCUCUUCGAAAUAGAGAAGGGUUUCCAUAAUUAGAUGGUGAAGGCCGAAGAAAUAUCCCUCAGACAUCUUGAACAGGGCUUCUAACAGGACUCCUCUCCUUUGAGUCCAAUGUUGCAGUGGGUAGAGGUUAUGAUGCAAAAAUGCAUCAAUAAUAAACAUGAUUGGAGGAAGCUCCCCCCUCAACAGAUGUGAUCGUGUAGAAGCUCCUCUGGAUAGGAUAUGCACCAUUUCCAGCUCAGUAGCACUGGUCCACUCUCUAAAAUCAUCAAAAUGGCUCGCCUCAUAGGGUAUUUGCAAGGCCUCAGCUAUAUGGCGAGCUCCCAAUAUGCCAUGCCUCCCAUCAAUGGUAAAAUGAAUUAGAGUUGGAUCCCUGACCUAUUUGGUAGUCAUGGAGUGAUAAAAAUCCAUGGCUACUCUGGGGUAGAAAAAGUCUCUUGGAGUCAGCAGGUGCUCCAUAUGGUAUAUUCGCAGCAGGUGGAAUGACUGUGCAAGCUCUGGCCGCAAUUUGAAUGUAGCUAUGUCAAAGCACAGCUCAGAGUGGAAUGGCCGAGCUCUACAGUCCAAAUUCCCCUCAAUUGGAGGCUGAGUCAACAUUGGCCGCCUGAUUAUUUCUUUCGGAGCUAUUUCAGCUGGAAUUUGGGGCUCGAGAAGUGGCGGUUUAGGCUCUGCUGGCGGCGUCGGAGAUGGCACAGGAGAUGGAACUGGCGAGGGUUCCGUCAAGUCAAUGGGCUCUGAGCUUUCAACCCUGGCUCUCUUUUGUAGUGGCCGACCCCCUGACCUGGUGAGAUAACGCCUCGCCAGAGGCUUUGGCGGCGCGGGCUUCAUCGGAGGAGAAACUGCUUUUGGCCGCGGAGGCUCAGAAAUGGGACCUGGAAUGGGCUCCUCUCACGGGACUUUCUUGCGGCUUGAAGAAGAGGAAGACUUGGCCUCUCUGGUUCGCGCCAUUUCGGGUUGCUGAAAUUUGGCCGGAAUUGAUGACCGGAGAGGAUGAACGGAGGUUUGUGCGGUGUCGGACUCGAGGAAGAAGAUGAAUAGUCUGCGAGAAUGGCACACUCUCUUUUUUAAACCUUUUCGUAACUCAAAUGACUGGUAUAUAUAAAAAUAACGGAAGAUUAAGGGUCAUUUUGAGUUUCGCAUAAAAAAGCCAAUUUCGCAACAAAAAGUCAUUUUCGCAGCCACUUCGCAAUCCGUUUCGCAGCUGCGAAUUGAGUGUCACUGUGCUACGAAGUGGCACACGUGUGCCAAAAUCGCUUUCACAAUUGCGAAAUACCCUACGGGAUGGAACUUUGGUUGUGAAAUCAGGGAUUUUCACGCUUUAUUGCUUCGCAGCUGCGAAUUGGGGGCUCCUGUGUUGCGAAGUGGCACUCGUGUGCCAAACUUGGCUUUGCAGCUUCGAAAAUUUUCGCAGAGGAGAAAAUGGAGCUGCGAAAUGAUUUCACAAAGGAUGGCCGCUUUCGCAGAGAAACGUCGAUUCCGCAGCGGCUUCUUUUAGGUUGCAAAAUGGCUUCGCAGCGAAGUGCUAAUUUCGCAGAGGUUGCGAAAUCUCGCAAACCCCUGUUUUUGCUUUGUUUGCACUCUGUUUUUGGUCUGAUUUCGCUCCGAUUUCUUCCUUUGAAUUUCUUUGCAUUUUCUUCCACCUGGGAUCAUUCAAAAAGAUUAAAACACACAUAAAAACAUGAUUUAAGAUCAAAAACUAAGAUCAAAAGUAUGGAAAAAACUUGGAAAAUUACAAAAUUUACACAAUUUUUUUUUUUUUUUUUUGGACUGUGGUAAAACCAUGUCCACCAAACCCUUCUUUGCUUAGGCUUUUUGUGGCUCAAGGAGGUUGAUUUCCUCCUUUUCUGGUUUGAAUGGCUCCAUGAACGGCUUGAGACGAUAUCCAUUGACUCUAAAGGUGUCUUUGCCAUUGGAAUUCAAUAAUUCCACCACUCCAUUGGCAUAUACUUGGUGAAUAAUAAACGGGCCUAUCCACCUUGACUUGAGCUUCCCAAGAAAGAUAUGGAGUCUUGUGUCAUACAGUAAAACUCUUUGCCCUUUCUGAAAUUCCUUGUUGGAGAUUAGUUGAUCAUGCCACUUCUUCAUCCUUUGUUUUGCAACUUUGGAAUUGAUAUAAGCAUCAUUUCUUAAUUCCUCCAUCUCAUUAAGGUCUAGAUAUCUCUUUUCUCCGGCUCUGAUCAAGUCCAUGUUUAGCUUCUUUAUUGUCCACCAAGCUUUGUAUUCAACUUCCACAGGGAGAUGGCAUGCUUUGCCAUAGACAAGACGAUAGGGAGACAUGCUAAGAAUAGUCUUAUAAGCUGUUCUAUAUGCCCACAAUGAAUCAUGAAGUCUAAUAGACCAAUAUUUUCUGCUGGAAUUCACCACUUUCAUCAAUAUGUUCUUUAUUUCCCUGUUAGCUAGCUCAACUUGCCCGGAAGUCUGAGGAUGAUAAGGUGUAGCUACCUUAUGCUUUACUCCAUACCUGGAUAACAGAGCUUCAAAAGGUUUGUUGCAAAAAUGAGCACCUCCAUCACUGAUUAUGGCUUUGGGCACCCCAAAUCUCGAGAAAAUGUUCUCUAUAAGAAACUUGAGAACCACCCUGUGAUCAUUUUGUUUACAGGGGAUUGCCUCAACCCAUUUAGAAACAUAAUCCACCCCCACCAAGAUAUAAGAAUUACCAAAAGACAUUGGGAAAGGUCCUAUGAAGUCAAUGCCCCAUACAUCAAAUAACUCAACUAUUAGAAUGGGGUUCAUAGGCAUUUGAUUUCUUUUUGUUAGCUUUCCAAGCCUUUGGCAUCUAUCACAACUCCUACACAUGAUGUGGGCAUCUUUGAAAAUAGAUGGCCAAGUAAACCCUGAUUGCAACACCUUCAUGGCUGUUUUCUGAGAGGCAAAGUGGCCUCCACAUGCAUUCUCAUGACAAUGGUUUAGAAUCCCUUGUUGCUCAUCUUCGGGGACACACUUCCUUAUGAUCUGAUCUGCACAAUACUUAAAAAGAAAGGGUUCUUCCCAAUAAUAAGCAUGAAUUUUUGCAAAGAAGUGCUUCCUGUUCUGUGCAUUCCACUCACUUGGAAUUUCACCAGUAACUAAAUAAUUAGCAAUAUGAGCAUACCAAGGAGUUUUCACUAGGAACAUGAGUGAUUCUUCAGGAAAAUCAUCAUUAAUAGGCAAGGGAUGGGAAUUAUGUGUUAUAACUAACCUUGAAAGGUGGUCAGCUACCACAUUUUCCACUCCUUUCUUCUCUUUGAUUUGGAGAUCGAAUUCUUGUAACAAAAGAAUCCAUCUAAUCAACCUUGCUUUUGCAUCUUGCUUUGUCAAUAAAUACUUCAAGGCUGAAUGGUCAGUGAAGACAAUGAUGAAAGACCCCACUAAAUAAGCACGAAAUUUGUCCAAAGCAAAUACCACAACUAACAAUUCUUUCUCUGUAGUUGUGUAGUUCCUUUGAGCUUCAUUCAAUGUUUUGCUUGCAUAGUAGAUCACAUAGGGCUUCCCAUCUUCUCUUUGGCCAAGCACAGCUCCUAUAGCAAAGUCACUGGCAUCACACAUCAGUUCAAAGGGUAAUUGCCAGUUAAGGGCUCUCACUAUUGGAGUUGUUGUUAAAAAUUUCUUCAGUUGAUCAAAGCUAUUUUGACAUCUUUCAUCCCAUAUAAACUUAGCAUCCUUAGCUAACAGCUCACAAAGAGGUUUUGAAAGACUUGAAAAACCUUUUAUAAACCUCCUAUAGAACCCUGUAUGGCCAAGGAACUGCCUUACUCCUUUCACAGUUGUUGGUGAUGGCAAUUUAACAAUAAGCUCCACCUUUGCUUUAUCAACUUCAAUGUCUUUUUCAGAGAUGAUAUGGCCAAGGACAAUUCCUUGAUGUACCAUAAAACGGUAUUUCUCCCAGUUGAGCACCAGGUCUUUUUCAAUGCAUUUGUGAAGAACCGCUUCCAAAUUGAUUAAGCAUUCCUCAAAUGUACCUCCAUAUACGGUGAUGUCAUCCAUGAAAACCUCCAUAAUUCGCUCCACCAUAUCACUGAAAAUACUCAACAUACAUCUUUGAAAUGUUGCAGGUGCAUUGCAUAAACCAAAAGGCAUUCUUCUAUAAGCAUAUGUUCCAAAUGGACAUGUAAAAGUGGUCUUUUCCUGAUCCGCCACAUCAAUUUCAAUAUGAAAAUACCCUGAAUACCCGUCCAAGAAGCAAUAGAACGGAUGUCCAGAGACUCUUUCCAACACUUGAUCGAUAAAUGGCAAUGGAAAAUGAUCUUUCCUGGUUACAGCAUUCAACUUUCUAUAAUCAAUACACACCCUCCAACCUGAAGUGAGGCGUGUAGUAAUCUCUUCCCCUUUUUCAUUCUGAACCACGGUAAUCCCUGACUUCUUUGGUACCACUUGAGUAGGACUCACCCAAGGGCUAUCAGAUAUAGGGUAAAUAAUACCUGCUUGAAGUAGUUUCAGCACCUCAGCUUGCACCACCUCUUGUAAAUGAGGAUUCAAUCUUCUUUGAAGUUAACGAAUUGGCUUUGCUUCCUCCUCCAUAUAUAUAUGAUGAGUACAAACUAAAGGACUAAUGCCUUUCAAGUCAGAUAUUUGCCAUCCUAUUGCCUUCUUACACCUCUUGAGAACUUCCAUUAAACAAUUCUCUUGAUGACUGGUCAGAGAUGAAGAUAUCAUAACAGGACAUUGAUUAUUUUCUUCAAGAUAUGUAUAUUUCAGCUCCACAGGUAGAGGCUUCAGAUUGAGUUUUGGAGUUUCUUUUUCAACAGCUGCCUCUUCUUCUUUAUUGAACACAGGUAGAAUCUCUUCUAUCUUUCUCCAACUUUGUAGAGUAGCAAGCACAGUAGGGGAUUCAAACAAACCUUCCUCAAAAUCCACAAGACUUUCAUUCAACUUGUCUUGAAUAUUUUGAUUACAGUGCUCCUCCACCAGAGUGUCAAUAAUGCACAACUCUUCUGGACCCUCUUCUUCUUCCGGAGUGGUUUGCUUUUUAGACAUAUAGAAAAUAUUGAGAUCAAGUGUCAUGUUGCCAAAAGUGAGUUGCAUCAGCCCAUUCCUGCAGUUGAUGAUAGCAUUUGAGGUAGCAAGGAAUGGCUUUCCAAGGAUGAUAGGAACUAAAUUAGCUUAUUUUACAGUAGGGUCUGUAUCAAGAACAAUAAAAUCUACCGGAUAGUAGAAAUUAUCAACUUGAACCAAGACAUCCUCAAUUACCCCCCUUGGAAUUUUCACUGAUCUAUCUGCUAGAGAUAGAGUGAUUGUUGUUGGCUUCAAUUCUCCAAGUCCCAAUUGCUUGUAGAUAGAGUAUGGAAGCAAAUUCACACUUUCUCCCAAGUCUAACAAAGCUUUCUCCACUACCUUUCCUCCAAUCAUGAUUGAAAUGGUAGGACGUCCUGGAUCUUUGUACUUCAAUGGAGAUUUACAUUGUAAGAUUGCACUUACUUGCUCAGUCAAGAAGACUUUCUUGUUUACAGUCAACCCUCUUUUAAUAGUACAUAAGUCCUUUAGGAACUUUGCAUAUGUUGGAACUUGUUUAAUCAUAUCCUGCAAUGGGAUAUUGACUUUCACUUGUCUCAAUACCUCAAGGAUUUCAGAUGCAUUUCUAAUCCCCUUUUUCCCAUGCAAUGCUUGAGGAAAAGGUGGAGAAGUUGAUUUCUUCAGCAUUUCUUCCUUCAGAAGUUCCUUCUUUGGAAUUGCAUUCAUUGUUGAAUCAGAGUCCUUCUUCUUUUCACUGAUCUCUUUCUCUUUAUCUUCCAUUUCAUCCCCUUUCUUUAUCUCUUCUUCUUCUUUCUCAACAUGUGGCUUGGGUGUUGGCUUCUCAAUUUUUUUUACCACUCCUUAGAGUGAUCAAGGCUUUGACAUCUUUCAUCUGUGAUGAUUCCCCCUCAAGGCUUUCCACUUCAUGGAUACCCUUGGGGUUUUGGUGGGGUUGAGAAGGAAUCUUCCCUUUUCUUGCAGUGUGUUCAAAUUUGUAAGCCUUGAAAUUGAAUAUUGGAUGUUAUCAAACUUUUGGGCUAUAUCGUUUUGCAUUCCAUCCAUCCUUUUAUUCAAAGUACUCUCCACUCUAUCAAUUCUUUGAUUGAUUUGAGCAUUAGUGGCUUCUUGGUUUCCAACAAAAUCUCCCACUACCUUGCUGAGAUUAGCCAUUGCUUGUUCAAGACUUGAAGAUUGUUGAGAUGGUGGAUCUGGCUGUUGGUACUGAGUUGCUCUGGCCUUCCAUGAGAAAUUUGGAUGAUUCCUCCAACUUGAGUUGUAAGUAUUUCCAUAAGGCGCAUUGUUAUUGGGCUUAAAUUGUCCAACAACAUUUGCUUGAUCUCUAAACAUUUCCCUUUCAGCUAAAAUUGCAGGGCAUUCCUCCACCAAAUGUUCAUAUGAUUGACAAUUGGGACACAACUUCACUUGCACUGGUGCUUCAGCAACAACUUGCACUUCAUGUAUUCUUUUCAACUCCAACUCCUCCAAUCUUCUUGUCACAGUUGCCAAUUUUGCUUUCAUAUCAUCAUCUUCUUUCAAGGUAUACAUCCCAGCCUUAGCAUUAAAAGCACUCAGUUGAGAUUUCAUCUUACCCACUUCUCCUUUGGUUGGUUCAUCCCAUCCCCUUGAAACAUCAGCUACAUAGCUCAAGAAAUCCAUAGCUUCCUCUGGAUUUUUGCUCAUGAAAUAUCCUCUACACAUUGUCUCGAGGAGUUGCUUCAUUGAGGAGGACAUCCCAUCAUAAAAAUAGCUCACCAAUAGCCAAGUAUCAAAGCCAUGGUGAGGGCAAGCAUUUAUAGCUUCCAUAUAUCUUUCCCAACACUCAUAGAAUUUCUCAUUCUCUUUAGCUGAGAAGUUUGAAAUUUGCCUUUUCAAGCCAUUUGUUCUAUGAGUGGGAAAAAAUUUCUUGAGGAAUUCAGCUUGUAAGUCAGUCCAAGAACGGAUACUCCUUGGCCUUAAAGAAUUAAGCCAAAUUUUGGCCUUAUCCUUUAAAGUAAAAGGAAAUAACUUAAGCCUCAUCAAAUCAAUUGAAGCUCCUCCCUCUUGGAAUGUAUUACAAACAUCUUCAAAUUCCUUGAUGUGUGCAUAGGGAUUCUCACUUUCCAUCUCAUGGAAAGUUGGUAGAAGUGGAACAAGAUACGGUCUGAUCACUAGCUGCUCUGUAGGGGGCACUAUACAUGAUGGUGCACUCAUACGAGGUGGAUGCAUGCGGUCCCUCAUUGAUCUGAAUUCAUUGAGAUUGUCUUGACGACCUUGGUGACUAUGCUGAUCUUCAGGUGUAGCUUCCAUGAUAUUCAAGCUCAAUUCGAAUUCUUUGUUAUGAGGUGUAUCACAUUUAACAAGCCUUCCUCCACUGUCUCGCAUCCACUUUAGCAUACACAACUAGUAUCUAUCUGCAACUUAAAUGAAAAUAAAGGACAACAAAAGGAAACAGGCCUACAACAACAAAAUUUAAAAGAUGAACUUGGAUUAUGAAUAAAUAAAGAAAGAAUGAGAAUUAGUAAAGUGAAAGAAACGUUACCAACUGGUGAUGAAAAUCACAAGUGCUCUAAAAUGGUAUCACUAUAAACUUGACACCUUCCCCGUCAACGACGCCAUUUGAUUCGUGCCCAAUUGGUGUCUCAGCUGAUUCAUGUCCAGCUGGUGCUCCUUGUUUGAGGGAGUAAUCAACAAAAUUUAUAACCUAUUACACCAUAUACUAGGGUAGCAAAGAAAAAUCUACUAUAGUAUAACGACUCUAGGAUCGUUCACUGGGAAGGGUUUCCAAAUUACAAAUGAUACCAAUUCAAAGUGAAUUGGUACUUUUUCAUUUCAAGGUUAGCUCACGAAAUAAAACAAAAACUUUGAUUGGUAAAGAUUUAGAUUUAAAAUGACUACAAAGCAAGUGAUGGAAAUUACUUAGGAAGAAAAACAUUCCUUGGAGAGUCAGGUUCACUGGGGUGGUUCCUCAUGCAAAAGACAUAGCUCAGGUCAGUUGGUUCAUUUCCUCGCGUGAGAGAAUCAACAUAUAGUCAAUUCUCUAACCGGUGUUGUACAGAUACAUCCUUUAAUUAGAUUUCAGCUUUAAUUCCCUCUCACUGAUGCAACUUGCUAUGGUUCAUGCCUCUCACUAAGCCUUAACCAUUCAAGGUGAUCUUUAACCUUGGACUUCCCUUCUCAAGCUCGCAAGAGAUAACUAAUGGAUGUCUCCUUGGAGUCCAAAAGCUUACCAAGUGUUGGCAAUUCCAGAAAAUCCUACCUUCAAGUCACCUCCCAGAGGCUCACAAGGGGUAAACUAGUGCAUCUCCAUGGUUUGAGAUCACUUGCCUUACCAAGUGUUGGCCCAGGUGACUCUAAGGUGUUUUAAGUUAACUAAAAACAUAGAAAUCACUAAAGGAUUUCACUUCCUCUUCAUUCAUGGCUGAAACCAUAAAGCUUUGCAUUCUUGCAAUUGGAACCUUCCCCGGCAACCUUAGCUCCAAGGAACUAAAGGUUUAGUUACUCAUUCUCUGGGGAAAAUUCCUCAAAGAGUGCAUAACUUCGUAAGAAAUAAAAAAAUACAAAGUGAGAAGGUAAGGCAAAACAAAGGACCUGAACUUUACUUGAUUUUCCAAAACUUUACAAAAGGUCUCCUCUCUCUGAGAACAGGCUCCCGAGAGGUAUUUAUAUGAACAUAAUAUAAAACUAAUUAUUACAUGGAUAUUUUCUCUUUUUACUAACUUAAAAGCUAAGGAAUCUUGUAAUUGGUGGCUUACAAGGAGUAUUUUGGGAUUUAGACAACAAAAAUCUGAUGGAAAAUAUCUCCCAAUGUCGGUAGCAAACAUCGGGAAGCACUACGGACCAUUUCGCAAGAGAAAAUGAUGUCUGCGAGAUUUCGCAGACACUCAAAAAGGGCUGCGAAAUCACUUCGCAACAAAAGGAUAUUCUCACAGGGCUGCGAAGUUGGCUUCCAUCUUGAGGUUCUCAGCUUCCAACUUGUCGCAUUUAUUAGACAACUUCAGGAGGAAAUCCACCACACUGUACAAAAAGGCUGCGAAAUCACUUCGCAACAAAAGGGUGAUUUCGCAACACUUUGCAAAAUGCUUCCUUCAGCUUAGAGUGAUUGACUUGAAAUGGCUGUAACUUCUUCGUUUCAACUUCGAAUUGCACACCGUUUGAAGCAUUGGAUUGUUGACUUCCUGAGCUUUGAAAUGGUAUAUAUCAUGCAUCAAUUGGACUUCAUGAAGUGCUCCAAAAGUGGCUGCCACGACUGUCAUCAAGAAUAUGCUUCAUGGCAGAUUCUCUUUACUUUUUCUCCUUGCAUUCCGGAUCAACUCUUGGAAAAGGGCUUCAAAGAUUUAGUUCUUCAUGUUUCUGAGCUUCCAAUUGCUUUGCCCCAGAUUCCAAAGAACUCUCCUCAAUCUUGGAUUGCUUUGGUGAUCAAAUUACUAACAAAAACACCAAAACUUAACACAAUUUAAUUAGAAACAAUUGCAAGGGUCCUUAUCAUGCCAAUUGAGUUAAAAGGCCAAAACUACUACUCAAAAGUGUUUGAAAAGAUUAAUUACAAGCUAUCAAAUAGCACUUUUUGAGUAGUAAUCAGUAUUUUGCAUGCUACAUCAUAUUAUGGGAAGAGCGGUGAUCCUAAGAGUAAAGAACAGUGGGACAUUGAACGGUUGCAUGAUGUUCCUCAACAAAAGUAUGAGUAAGUAAACAAAUAUCGAAACUUCAUCUUAUCAUUUCACCUUUAUGCCUUAUACAGUAAAUUUUUUUAGUCAUCUUAAUUUUGAUUACUUGUGUUUUAUGCAGUGGUGAUUGUGGGAUGUUCCUGAUUAAAUGUGCAGAAUACUUAAUGCAUGAUCGGUGCCCGCAUUGAUUGGUUUAGAUAUAAAAUGGCAACUGAAUUGUUCUACUUCAAAAAUUAACCCAUGUAGUGGGUUUCAUUUUGAUUAUGUAAUAGGUUUAUAUGUUGUUGAGUGGUGACUAUUAUUUUGGAUGAAUUUGACUUGAUGCUCAAAGUUACAAUUUUUGUAAUGUAACUAUAACUAUCAACUUAACUAUAGUUAAGUUAUUUGGUAAUGCAACUCAACAAUUGUUAAGUUUGGGUGAAUAUUCUGAGUGUGAAUUUAACCACAAUUAAGUUCUUUAUUAAUGCAACUCAACCAUUGUUAAGUUCAGGUGAAAAUUCUAACUGUGAAUUUAAUUGUGCUUAAGUUCUUUGUUAAUGCAACUUAACUAAUGUUAAGUUCAGGUGAAAUUUCUGACUGUGAACAUAACUGUGGUUAAGUUCUUUGUUAAUGCAACUCAACUACUGUUAAGUUCAGGUGAAAUUUAUGACUAUGAACUUAAUUGUGGUUAAGUUAUUUGCUAAUGGAACUUAACUACUGUUAAGUUUAGGUGAAAUUUAUGACUGUGAACUUAACUGUGGUUAAGUUUUUUAUUAAUGCAACUCAACUACUAUUAAGUUCAGGUGAAAAUUUUGACUAUGAACUUAUCCACAAUUAAGUUCUUUGUUAAUGCAACUCAACUACUGUUAAGUUCAAGUGAAAAAAUUAACAAAGAACUUAACCACAAUUAAGUUCUUUAUUAAUGCAACUCAACCAAUGUUAAGUUUAGGUGAAAUUUAUGACUGUGAAUGUGGUUAAGUUCUUUGUUAAUUCAACUCAACCAUUGUUAAGUUCAGGAGAAAAUUCUAACUAUGAACUUAACUGUGGUUAAGUUAUUUGUUAAUUCAACUCAACCAUAGUUAAGUUCUUUGCUAAUGAAAUGAUCAUCAACUUAACCAUAGUUAAACUUAACCAAGUAAUUUAUAUGAUAAAACUAAAACAUUAACUUAAAAUUUCAAUCCAUCAUUCAAAAAAAUUGCUUUAAGCAUAUAUAAAAAUAAUAAUCUCACAAAUUCCUUCAUGGCCCUAUACAAAAAAAAAAAAGUGUAGAUACAUAGCUAAAUCAUCCCCAAAAAACAAAUUUUUGGGUAACAUUAUUAAAGUGACUAAUGACUAGUUGUAAAGAGAAUUCUUAGAUGUUGAUAUUGCUUUCAACAAUAUUCACACAACUAUGUUCAUCUCUAGGAUGUAAUGGGAUUGGUCGUUUGCAUAUUUUUCUAUUAUGCCUAUAAUCACCACAUCUACCACAACAUCGUGAACACUUAACAUCUUCAAUUGAAUGAAUUCUCUCCUUUCUUAGUCUUCCUACUGGUCGCCGAAUUUUUGGUGGUAGCACAACUCUACAAUAGAUGUCUUCCGGAAUGACCCAAUCUUUGUUGUUUCCAUUAGGAUAUAUAGACUUUGAGUAUGAAGAUAUAAGCGAGUUCUUCAUAUAGUAUUGAGAGCAUAGAGUAUAGCAUGACAUGUUUCCAUAUCUACAUGCAGCAAUAGCAUGUGCACAUGGAAUAUGGUCAAGAUCAAACACCUUACAUGUGCAUAAACAGGUUUGCAAAUUAACUUGAUUACUUACCCCAACAUAUUUGACAUUAAACUCCCAAGAGUUUAUAGGCUCAACCUCAUAACUUGAUGACUUAUUAAACCUUAAGCAUAACUCCAUGUUAGCCCAUGUAGUAAUCUCAAUUUUCAUUGAUAAUGCUUGUUGUUAGCGAUUUGAAAACCAUCUCUGAAGUAAGUUCCUCAACUCUUCAACCAUUCGCACAACUAGAAGAUCUCUUGCAUCUUUUAGUACAACAUUCAUGCACUCAACGAUCCCUGUAGUCAUGAUAUUAUAUCUUUUUCCGUUACUGUGUGACCGAGCCCAUUGCUCUACUCCUACAUCCACUAAAUAUUUGGUUGCUCUUAGAGAAAUCAUCUCUAACUGACCAAAUAUAGUAUCAAAAUCUGACAUUCGAUAUGCAUGGGCAACAUCAUGAAACAACUUAUGUACAUUAACAUUCUUGAACUUUGUUUUCAAGUUUUGCCCUAAAUGAUAAGUGCAUACGCCAUGGCUUGCAUGAGGAAACAACUUUUGUACUAUUUUUUCAAUGCUACCAUGUCGAUCUGAAACCACCACUAAAUCAUCUACAUGCCUAAUCACAUCAUAUAAUUUUAUAAGAAAUCACUCCCAAGAAGAAUCAUUUUCUGAAUCACCAAUUUCGAAAGCCGAUGGGUAGAUUUGAUUGUUACCAUCUUUGCUCACUGCAACAAACAAAGUCCCUAAAUAUUUUUACUUCAAAAAUAUUCCAUCAACUGCAAUUACUGGCCUUAUUAAUGUACGAAACCCAGAAAUACAUGUACCAAAUGCCAUAAAUAGAUACUUGAAUUGAUUGUCAACAUCAGUAACAAUAUCAGUUAUUGUCCCAAGAUUUUUUUGCUCUAGCAUAUAACAAUAAGAUGGUAAAGCACCAUAAGACUCUUCAGGUGAUCCCCUAAUGGAGUUAAGGGCAAUUUCUCUUGCUCUCCAUGCCUAAUCAUAACUAAUUUGAACACCGUACUUGUUUCAAAUAUCUCCUAUAAUGUCUUUGGGACGGUAUUGACGACCAACUUGAUAAGUUUGUCUCAUGCUUUCACCAACAACCAACCAACUACUUGCAUGACAAUUAUAACGAGACAUCAUGUCCAACCUGCAAGUGUGCAUAGGAUGGCAUUUCAUUACUUGAAAGAAGUUAAAACUUCCCAACUUAGUUGCACAAAAUCGCCAUUUGCAUUCAUUAUCAACACAUUGAAGUACCAAUAACUUGGUAGUAGAUUUUAUCAUUUUAAACUCAAACUUCUCUUUCAAGGCAAUAAUGUACAAUUUUUUCUACAGUUCUUUCUUACUAGAAUAAAUUUGCUUCUCUUCAAUAUGAUCAUCAUUAGUGCCAUAAUCACUAGUACCUAUCCAACUCAUGUCUUGGCUAUUAUUACUUACCUCCUCAAUCAUGGUUGGAGCAUCAUUCAUGGGACCAUCUUUUAUAUUCAUGAUGCUAUGAAUUUUCAUUAUUUGAGCUGCUUUGUUGCUUGAAUCCCUAUUUUCAAUCACUUGGACAUUGCUGGUCAGGUUGGUAUCCAACAGUCAUCAUCAAUAGCAUACCCAUUCAUGUUCCAUUCAACAACAUUAGAUCUCUCAAGUGGCUCAUAGUUGAAUUUUGUUAUGCUUUCAUCACCAACGACAUUAAGAGAUUCUAUUGAUCCAUCAUUUACAUGUUCAUUUCCAUGCAUAAACAUUGACUCUGCAUUAUUUUCAGAUCUUCUAUCCAUAGUGAUGCAUAAUGGAGCUGGUAACUUGUUCGUGUAAUUUAAACGAAUGAAAAAUUUAACAUCUCCAUCAUCUCUUAGUUGAAUUGGUGAUGUUGGUAUGUUACCACUAAAUGCAUACUUCAUUGAAAUUGAACACUCAACUGGAUCUAGUUGAAGAAUGCGAUACACAACUCUCAUUAAUUCAUGAUAUGAUAUAUUCUUCUUCAUUGUAAUGUCUUUACCUUCACUUCCUUUAAAGUGGUAUGUGUUUCCAUCUUGUACCCAAUUCCCUUUAUACAAAAGCAUUAUUCCUACUUCAUCAAUGACUGCAAAAAUAAAUAUUUCACUACUACAAAAAUAAUUUAUGGUGUCACUAUUUAUGGUGUCACUUUUAAAAUAAUGACACCAUAGGGUUUAUAAUUAAUAAAGGUGAUACAUCAUGUAAAAAAGCUUCAAUUGAGGUAGUUAGAUGAUGUUAGUUUUAUAUUUAUAUUGUCAUUUUUUGGGAAGUGACAUCAUAUAAAAUAAAAAUUUUUAAGUAUUACAACUCAAAGAGCCUACUUGAGCCCACUUUUAGAAUUAAUAAUGAGGGACAAUAUAUUAAAAGCCCAUUGUUUCCACAUGCCACCCAUAAUCCAAAAAAUCUCACUAUAGAAACCCUAUAUAUAAAACCAUAAUCUUUUUCUACCUUUUCUCUCACCCAUAGUCAACAUGCUCACAACCGACAUUCUUCACUUUGUGGACUCCCAGAUAACCCAAAAUCUCUUAGAUCUAUCAUAUUUUUUUUCUUUUAUUAAUGUCAUUAUAUUUAUUGUUUCAACAUCUUUGUAUUAUGGUUUUUGUGAACUGGGUUUUCUUGAGUUGUAGGGAAGAAAAUUUUAGGUUUAAACUUCUAGCAUAGAAGAAGAAACCUAUAGAUUAAUUGAUUUUUUAAUCUGAACCAAACACAUGGUUGUCUUCUUAAAAACAAGAAAAAAUGAAUGAUUUUUAAUAGGUAUUUGUGUGAGAAUGACCAACUUUCGUAUCAGGAUGCCUUGUUCACGCUAUGCUUUGUUCAUCUAAAAACCCAACUCUCCAAAACCCUAUGCUCUGUUCGCGCUACCUCUGUCUCACUCUCCGGUUUCCCCUCUCCCACUCUCCUCUCUUGCUAUCGGAUUGAUCAAAGAUUCUGAAAAUAUCUCGAAUAAAUUCCGAAAGUAUUUCCAAAAUUUAUUUUAGGUGGAGAUUCAUUAAGAUUUCGUUCCAUUUGUAUAUAAUAUAAGUGAUACAUGGUGGCUCUAUUGAAUUUGUAGAUAUGGUAUAGGUCGUAGCAGGAGUUUUUCAUCUUGGUCGGUUCAAAAAGCUAGGGUUUGUUUCACCUUUUUCUCAGAGGGAGAAAGGACGGAGAUACAAGAAACAAUCGCCCCCAUUCAUCCCAAAGGUAGUCCUGACCCGUAAUAUUACUUUUCUUCUUCUUCUUCUUCAAUAUGAUUAUCGUUUCAGUAAUCCAGAUAUCUCCAUUAUAAUUCCUAUAUCUUGAUGAAACAAUUCCAAUUUGAUAAUCUGGGCAGAUAUCCAUUUAAAUUCCUAUAUCUUGGUGAAACAAUUUCAAUUUGAAAAUUAAAUAAUUGUUAGAAUUCAGUUUGUCCUGAUAUUUCAUCAUAUGGUUCAGCGAGUAGCUCGGUGUCACCGAAGUCAAUUUCAAACCUAGAAUAGAAAAUAAAAAAUACCCCAGCUCAGUUUUCUUUCCUUUUAGGACGAUCAAAUUGGUGUCUUAUUUAAGUCUUUUUAAUUCAAGAAGACCACCAAACAUACCUCAAACCGGUGAAGGAAUACAAGUUUAUUAAGUUGUAAUUGCUCACGCCUCAUCACUAGCGUUGAAGAUGUUUUUUAAUUUGUCCUCCCACAAGCGCAUGAUAAUCCAAUUCCUUAAAAGACAGAAAAAAAUUUAUAUAUAUCAGCUAACCCUCAUUUUCUAUGUGUGAAGGCAAAGGGCAUGUAAGAAAGGACCUCUUUGAUUGGCACCCCCUUCCCAGCCAUUCCACGUAUGAUAUAUAGAGGAAAAAAGGCAUAAUUUUGUACCAAGGAUGGUCUUAAUCUAGCAACCAUGUAUUUAUAUUUUUUUUUCAUAUUCAAGUAAUAUAUGGGCAACGGGUUGUCCACGGCCAAUUGAUUUGUCAGGUAGUAGUGUGUAGGUCCUGGGCCUAACAAGUAAGCCAGAUGUGGACUACUACAACCCCUGUGGCUUAUAAAGGCUAAACUGGGGUUAUGUGAUGGAUUAGAAUUAAGUUAAUGAUAAGAAAGAAGAUUAUAGAAAUGAUUAUGGUCAAGUUGGAAAUGGAUUAGAAUUAAGACUAAAACUUUUGUUGGUGUUAUAGAGGUGAUUUUUCAUGGAGCUGAUCAUUUUCCGAGUUUUAGUUUCUUGCCUAGUAUUUUAAUGUUUAUGGAGAUCGAACGAGUUUUGUGUAUUCUUUAUAUGAAAUAUUAUAAGGUUACUAAAAUGGAGACUUGUUUAUUCAAUUCCUAUGCCAUUAACUUCUACUAAUUUGAUUUUUUUUUUCAAUGCUUUCCUCAAUAUCUAAAUUUUAAUUAUUGAAGUUCCCUAUUAUUGCCCACCCUUUUGGGUUUCUUUAAUACACAAAUUUUCCUAUAAAAGAGAGAUUUUAUUUGAAGUAAAUUGUAAGCUAGAGAAUAUGGAUUUAAUGAUUGGGUUCAUUCAACUUGCUUCAACUGAACUCAACCUAAAUUGUUUGCCAAACCACCCAUCUCUUAACUCAUUCUAGGUAAGGAAUGUUGUUUCUUUGGUUAUAUAUGAAAAUUUGAGUUUAAAGGCUCUUUUUCUACUUCCUUUUUAGCAUAUUUAGAACCCCCAAAGUGUUUUAUAGUGAUAGUAGGGCUUUGUUUAAAUGCAAGUCAUUAACUUUUUUACAAUUGUUAAUUUAAGGGCAUUUAAAGUUGUAUAUAACACUAAAAUAGAAUGAAUUGUUUUCAUACUGUAUAAUUUUAUUUUUAUUUUUUUUUAUGAAUUUAAGUACUUUAUAUAUUAUAAUAAUAAUUUUUUUUUUUUUUUGCAUAAAAUUUCUUAAAGAUGAACUUUUGUUUUUGAGUCAUAAAUUCAAAAACUAGGUCUAAUCAGAAUCUUCAAUUUAAUCGCAAUUUUUGGAAUGGAAAUAUUUGAUAUGAUGCUUGAAAUAUAAUUUAAAAUAAAUAAUAUAGAAGGAAAAGAAAAUUAAUAUUAUUUGUAAAGUGGUUGGCAAAAGAGAAAAGGUCAUAAAGUAUAGAAAAAAAGUAUUAUCUGUAACCUGCCAUUAACAUAUUAUUGUGUGUGCAUAAGUUGAGUUUUUUUUUUUUUUUUUUGUGGUAAUUAAUGGGCAGUCCUUGCUUGGACUGGUUUUGCUUUGUGGUAUGAUUUUAGUGUUAACUAUAGGUCUUGCUAGAAUUUAAGGUUUUUUUGUGACCAUUUGAGCGAAUUAGUUUUUUAUAUUUAUGCAUUAAUAAUUAAGAUUUUUUAUAUUUAAAUUGAAAUAGUUUAAAAUCUUACUUAACUUUAUAAAAUUGAAGUUGUGUCUUCCUAAAUUAAAUUCCUAAAAAGUUGUUUUUACUUUCCUCAUUAUUGUUGAAUCAAAAUACUUUAUUUUGAAAGCUUUCUUCACUUCUUAAUAUUCUCAUUCGUAUUAAAUUUAAUAGUUUCUCACAUAUUUUCUAGUUUUUGGAAGCCUUUGUUUUAGGGGCUUGGCUUUAUCCAUUAUUGUGUGCCAAGUCACCUCCCAUGUUCUUUAUUAUUUAUUUAUUUAUUUAGGUGGAAGUGUUUUUUAGGGAAAGAAUCACUAAUUGGUGUGGCUAUCUACAAAAGAGAUCAUGUAGUGUGCUACAAUUUGUUAUGUAGGUCAUACAUUUUAGAAGUUUUUUUUCCCUUAUUAAUCUUAUCUCAAAUAUGAAUGAAAACUUCAAUCGAUUUAGACAAAAAUAAACAAUAAUGAAAUUAUUACAAUAAUGUAUCCAUUAACUUACUAUAUUUACUAUUUUGAAAAUGUUAUUUUUAUUAACAAAAAAGGUAAAUACUUUCAACUUUGAAGUUCACAGGGUAAGAAUAUAGUUUAUAGAUUAAUGUAUAAAAAUAGAGUAAUAAGUCUUCUGGGUAGGUUGCUAUAACUAUUAUUUAAUCUUGUUAUUUUACAUGUUAUUUUCACUAGAUCUUUUUAUUAGUUUGAUUUUAGAGUUUAUAGAUAACGUUAUCAUAAGCCCAAGUUUAGUACUAUUUUAUUUCAUCAUCUUCAUAGCUUUUAUUAAGAAGUAAAAUGUGGUUGUUAGGAUAGAGUCCUUAAAAGUAUUACAUGACAUAAAAAUAAAUGGAUUAUUCUGAUUAUCUUUUCAUUAUCCUAUAUUUAUGCAUUAAUAAUGUUAAGCAUUCAUGCUUGGCAUCUCUUACGUGGUACAUAACUUGGGAAAUAUGUUAGAGGUUGUAGUGAAUAUGUUUUCAUGCCCUACAACCCCGAGUAAGUGACGAAUAUUAUACUUUAAUUUGAGGUUUUAUGAUUGAUUUAUAUUUAUAAUUAUAUGCUAUUUUUGUUUUUAAUGUUUUAGCUUUCAUUGGAUCUUGGUAGUGAUUGAGCCAAGGAAAAUGAUAGUCCACUAUCUUGACCCUAUGCAUCACAAACCAUGUGAUGACUUAAAGGAUAUCGUAAACAUGUAAGAUCUUUCUAUUAUUUUUUAUAAAAAAAAAAAAUUACAUUCACCUCAAACACAUUUUUUUAUAUUAUUUCUAUAUAUUAAAACAGAUAACAUUUAAUGUUAUGCAUUUUAAUGUUAUUUUCUUAUUUGAUUUCAGUUUGGUGAUAAAUAAAAAAAAAGACAUAUUCUCAAGUAGAAUUCAAUGAAAUUAGAGGAGAAUGAGCUACUUUUGUGCUACAACUAAUCAUUAAUCAUGUUGAUGCAUCAUGAUCACCAUGCAUGGUGAGUCCCUUAGCUACUACAUGAAUUUUUCCAUAGGUAUUGUAUAGCAUUGCUUAUUCUUUGAACAAUGUUUCUAUUUGAAAAAAAAAAUAGUUCUUAGAUUUGUUCAUUUAUGAUAACAUCGAUCCAUAUUUAUUUUCUUCAAUAAAAUCUAUAAAACUCAUUAAACUAUGAAAUGCAAGUAUACAGCCUUGGGAUGGUGUGGAAUGGAGAAUAAAAAGAAAGAAGAAGGCAACAAGAUUUUGGGUUUUUAAGUGCAACUCUUAUGUCAUACAUUGUAGGACAUAAACAUUACUUUAAUUGGUACUAAGAAUUUUAGAUUUUUAGAUGCGACUUUUAUGUCAUUUUAUAGUUAGUCGGUUUUAUGCUUAUAAAAUGGAGGUAUACAUGAAUCUUGGGAUCUUUAACAUUUCUAAAUCAUGUUUUGGUAUGUAGUCACUCUUCUUUUUUAGUUUUAAUGGGUUUGAUAUGUUAGACGUACUAUCUUUUUGUGAACAUUUGAUAUACAAAUAUUAUUAGAUGCUCAAUGUAUUAUGAGUUAUUCUAUAAACAUUACAAAAAAAUGAGUUAAAUGUAAUAUGAUUGUUAUAUUUAUGGACAAAAUAAAUAUACACAGGUUAAUCUUACUUGUUAAUUCAUAAGCAUUACAAAAAUCUACAACUAAAAGCAAUCAUGUCUUCCACAAUAAUUUACAAUGAUAUGACACCAUAACUCAAAGGUGAUGCAUUUAAUGUGACACCCUAUCAUCACUACAAAUAUAUGGUGUCACUUCUGAAUGCCUCACCAUUUAUCUGCUUUGGUGUCACUUCCAAAUACGUCACCAAUUGGUACCCUCUAUGGUGUCAAUGGAGAAGGUGACGCUAUGUUGUAGUGACACCCUAUGUUUAUGGUGACUCGUUAUAAAUGUCACCAUAUAUCUUUUUCCUUGUAGUGUUUCAAACUAUCACGUUAAUAAUAAAAUAGUAAAACAUAGGAUAUAUUUUUAUUAAGUUUCAACUAUAGACUAUUGAUUACUACUCACUAAGUACUCUUUUAUAGCUUGAAACUAACUGUUUUACACACUUUUGAGUAGUAGUUAGUACCUUUUAAUUCAAUUGGCACAUUAAGGAACCUAGUAAGGGUUACUAAUCAAUUUUUAGCAAGUUUUGGUGUUUUUGGUAGCUAUUUGAUCAUUGAAACUAGCCAAGAAUGAGGGAGAAUUUUGUGAAAUCCAUGGCAAUGCAAGCUAAAGCUCAAAUACAUGAAGAAUCCAAACUUUGGAGCACUUCAUAGCCCUUUGCCAAGCCAAUCAAAGAUGCAAGGAAGAAAACCAGAGGAAGAAAUCCAACAACCAGCAUUUUCGCAAACAAGCCAAGAAUGAGGGAGAAUUUUGUGAAAUCCAUGGCAAUGCAAGCUAAAGCUCAAAUGCAUGAAGAAUCCAAACUUUGGAGCACUUCAUAGCACUUUUCCAAGACAAUCAGAGAUGCAAGGAAGAAAACCAGAGGAAGAAAUCCAACAACCAGCAUUUUCGCAUGGUAGUGCGAAAUUUCGCACACCAUGCGAAACCACUUGAGGCAGCCAAAGAAUUUUGCAUACCAUGUGAAAUUUCGCAUGGUGUGCAAAAUCUUCCUGUGCACCAACUCUGUUAGAUUUUUAUCUCCAAAUAUUUUGUGUAACUUCCUAUUUUCUCCUUGUAAUCAACUUAUAUAUUUUCAUAUAUAUAUAUAUAUAUAUAUUAUUUAGUGUGUGUAACAUCUUUUGAUAUAGACACACAAGGAUGUAAUCAAAAGGAGGUUGUAAAAUUCCCUAUAGUAAGAAAUAUACAAAGCUUUUGCUCUGCCUUUCCUUCUCAUUUUGUUUUCACUCUUCUUUCUAGCCAAAGAACCUCUGAGGAUGAUUUCUUAAGGGAUGAGUGGCUAGGCUUUACGUUUCUUGGAGUGAUGGAAGCUAGGUGAAGGACCUGAAUGCAAAGAUGAGAGUUGUCCUUGCUUUAAAUGAAAGUAGUUGUUAACCAUUAAUGUUUUUAUUUCAAGGUUUAGCUUUAAAUCCCUUAAAGCCACCUUGAAUGGCCAAUACUUGGUAAGCUUUUUGGAUUCUAUGGAUGCUUAUUGCUAGAUCCAUGGAUGUCUAUUAGUUAUCAUUUACGAGUCAUUGGAAGGUGGUUCAAGGUGAGGGUCUUUAGUGCUUAAAGCCAUUAAUGGGAAGUAACUAUCAUUUUCCAUGUACCCUUUGAAUCAAAUCUUAAUUGCUAAAUAUAAAACCGGUUCGGGAGAUAACCAUCCUUUAUGUUAUUAUCCCCAACGUGAGGAGAAGAUCUAGAAUCUCCCCCUUUGUCUAAGGAACCCGAUCCUAGUGACCUACUACCCUAGUGUGAGGUGAUUUAGGUUUUAUAAAUUUUGUUGAUAACACCCGUCUGAGCUAGAAUUAAAUGGUGUCGCUGCCAGGGAUGGUGCCAAAGUACAUUGACAUGAUUUUUGGUGAACACUUGUGAUCUUCAUCACAAGUUUGGUGAUUUUUAUUUUACUAAUUCUUUUUUUUUUUUUUGUCUAUAUUUUAGCUUAUCUUUUAUUUAGUUUUUAGCUAACCUUAACUUUUUCCUAGAAUUGUAUUUCUUUUAUUUUCUUUGUUUUUGUUUCAGUGAUCUCUAGUUGUGCAUGCCCUAUUGGAUAAAAGAUUGAGGGAAGACUUGUGAAAAUUGAAACUCCUCGAGAAACUGAGUUGGAAGUGUGCUUAAACAUCAUGGAUGUUCCACCUGAAGACCAGAAUAGCCAACAUGGUCAAGAGGAUAAUUUCAAUGAGAGACCACAUGCAUCCACCUUGUAUGAGCGCACCUUCAUGCAUAGUGCCUCCCAUUGAGUAGAUAGUAAUUCGACCUCACAUCGUGCCACUCCUACCUACUUUCCAUGGGAUGGAAAGUGAAAAUCCCUACUUGCAUAUUAAGGAAUUCAAGGAGGUUUGUAAUACAUUCCAAGAAGGAGGAGCUUCAAUUGACUUGAUGAGGCUUAAGCUAUUUCCUUUCACCUUGAAGGAUAAGGAAAAGAUAUAGCUCAAUUCUCUAAGUCCAAGGAGUAUCCGAACUUGGACUGAUUUGCAAGCCGACUUUCUCAAGAAGUUCUUCCCUACUCAUAGGACCAAUGGUUUGAAAAGGCAAAUUUUGAAUUUCUCGAAUAAAGAGAAUGAGAAAUUCUGAGUGUUGGGAAAGGUAAAUGGAAGCUAUUAAUGCUUGUCCUCACCAUGGCUUUGAGACAUGCCUCUUAGUGAGCUAUUUUUACGAUGGUAUGUCUUCUUCAAUGAAGCAACUCCUAGAAACUAUGUGUGGAGGAGACUUCAUGAGUAAGAAUCCGAAGGAAGCCAUGGACUUUUUGAGUUAUGUGGCUGAAGUUUCAAGAGGAUGGGAUGAACCAAAUGCUAGAGAGGUGGGAAGAAUGAAGUCUCAACCUAAUGCUAAGGGUGGGAUGUAUGUUUUGAAUGAAGACAUUGACAUGAAGGCAAAGAUUGCAGCUAUGGCAAAGAAAUUGGAAGAGCUAGAAAAGAAGAAGAUACAAGAAGUGCAAGCUAUUUCUGAGACGCCAUUGCAAGCUAUGCCUUGUUCCAUUUUUCAAUCUUAUGAGCACCUGAUGGAGGAGUGUCCUACAAUUCCAGCAGUGAGAGAGGUGUUUGGAGAUCAAGCAAAUGUUAUUGGUCAAUUCAAGCCCAAUAACAAUGCUUCAUAUGGCAACACCUACAAUUCGAAUUGGAGGAACCAUCCAAAUUUCUCUUUGAAACCAAAGCCACCUCAGUACACACAACCUGCUCAAGCACCUCAGCAAUCCUCGAAUGUUGAACAAGUUAUUAUGAACCUUAGCAAGGUUGUGGGAGACUUUUUGGGAGAUCAGAAGUCCAUUAAUGCUCAAUUAAAUCAGAGAAUUGACAGUGUGGAGAGUACAUUGAACAAAAUGAUGGAUAGGAUGCAAAAUGAUCUAUCUCAAAAGAUAGACAAUGUCCAAUACACAAUCUCAAGGCUUACCAACCUCAACAAAGUGCAAGAGAAAAGAAAGUUCCCUUCUCAACCUCAUCAAAAUCCAAAGGAUAUCCAUGAUGUGGAGGCUCAAGAGGGAGAAUCUUCAAAGGUGAGGGAAGUCAAAGUAGUUAUCACCUUGAGAAGUGGUAAAGAGGUUGAUCAGCCCACAUCCAAGUCAAAGCAUGAUGAAGAAAGUAUAGCAGAAAAAGAAAACAAUGAGGAAAAUAAAGGAAAAAGAAAAGGGAAAAGUACAAAGAAAGAUGACCAUGAGUCUAAUGUGGAUGAAAAACCCGAGAGGAUAGUGAUCAAUGAAGAUAUGAUGAAGAAACACAUGCAGAAACACAUGCCUCCACCUUUCCCCCAAGCUUUGCAUGGCAAAAAUGGAACCAAUAAUGCAUCAGAAAUUUUUGAAGUGUUGAGGCAAGUGAAGGUCAAUAUCCCUUUGCUAGACAUGAUAAAAAAAAGUGUCGAAAUAUGCAAAAUUCUUAAAGGACUUGUGCACUGUAAAGAGAGGGUUGAAUGUGAACAAGAAAGCCUUCUUGACUGAGCAAGUGUCAUCAUACAGUGCAAGUCUCUAGUGAAGUACAAAGAUCUGGGCUGCCCUACCAUCUAAGUGAGUAUUGGAGGGACUUGUGUGGAGAAAUCUUUGCUGGACUUGGGAGCAAGUGUGAAUUUGCUACCCUACUCUAUCUAUAAGCAGUUGGGACUUAGAGAGUUGAAGCCAACAUCCAUCACUCUAUCUCUGGCAAAUAGAUCAGUGAAGAUUCCAAGAGGGGUGAUCAAAGAUGUCUUAGUUCAAGUUGACAAAUUCUACUAUCCAGUGGAUUUUGUUGUUCUUGAUACGGAUCCAGUUGUCAAAGAAACUAAUUAUGUUCCUAUCAUACUUGGAAGACCAUUCCUGGCUACAUCAAAUGCAAUCAUCAAUUGUAGGAAUGAGGUCAUGCAAUUCACAUUUGGCAACAUGAUAUCGGAGCUCUGAACAUCUUCCAUUUGUACAAGAAGCAUAUCCAUCCGGAAGAAGAAGAAGGCCUAGAGGAGGUGUGCAUGAUUGACACUUUAGUGGAGGAGCAUUGUGAUCAAAUAAUGCAGGAGGAUUUGGUUGAGAGUUUUGGGGAUUUUGAUGAAGGGUUACCAGAACCCUCAGAUUUACUUGCUACCCUGCUUCCUUGGAGGAGAAGAGAAGAAAUUCUACCCUUAUUCAAUGAGGAGGAGAUGCAAAGAGCUACUAAGGAGGAGCCCCCAAAGCUUAUUCUUAAGCCACUACCCACAGAGUUGAAGUAUGCAUACUUGGAAGAAGACAAGUAGUGCCCUGUUGUUAUAUCUUCAGCUCUUACCAUUCAUCAAGAGGAUUGUCUACUUGAAGUCCUUAGAAAAUGUAAGAAGGAAAUAGGGUGACAAAUUUCUAAUUUGAAAAGGAUCAACCCUUUAGUUUGCACCCAUCAUAUUUACAUAGAGAAUGAAGCUAAGCCAGUUUGUCAACCUCGGAGAAGGUUGAACCCUCACAUGCAAGAGGUGGUGCGAGUUGAAGUUCUUAAGCUACUUCAGGCCGGUAUUAUUUACCCCAUAUCAGAUAGCCCAUGGGUGAGUCCUACUCAAGUUGUGCCAAAGAAGUCUGGGAUCACGGUAGUGCAAAAUGAUAAGGGAGAAGAUAUCUCUACACACCUCACUACAGGAUGAAGGAUUUGUAUCAAUUACAAGAGGUUGAAUGCGGUGACAAGGAAUGACCAUUUCCCGUUGCCCUUUAUUGAUCAGAUGCUUGAAAGGGUCUCUAGACACCCUUUUUAUUGUUUCUUGGAUGACUACUCUGGGUACUUUCAGAUAGAAAUUGAUGUUGAAGACCAGGAGAAGACCAUUUUCAUGUGCCCAUUUGGCACCUAUGCAUACAGGAGAAUGCCUUUUGGCUUAUGCAAUGCACCUGCAACUUUCCAAAGAUGCAUGUUAAGCAUUUUCAGUGAUAUGGUGGAGCGUAUUAUGGAAGUCUUUAUGGAUGAUAUCACCAUAUAUGGAAGUACAUUUGAUGAAUGCUUGGUCAACUUAGAAGUUGUUCUAAACUGAUGCAUUGAGAAAGACUUAGUGCUUAACUGGGAGAAAUGUCAUUUCAUGGUACAACUAGGGAUUUUCAUUGGGCACAUCAUCUCCAAGCAAGGCAUUGAAGUUGACAAAGCAAAGGUUGAACUCAUUGUUAAGUUGCCAUCCCCAACAAAUGUCAAAGGAGUAAGGCAAUUCCUUGGCCAUGCCGAGUUUUAUAGGAGAUUUAUCAAGGAUUUCUCUAAGCUUUCAAGGCCUCUUUGUGAACUAUUGGUCAAGGAUGCUAAAUUUAUAUAGGAUGAUAGAUGCCAAAGGAGUUUUGAAGAAUUGAAGCUAUUUCUAACAACCGCACCAAUAGUGAGGGCUCCCAACUGGCAACUGCCCUUUGAGGUAAUGUGUGAUGCCAUUGACUUUGCUAUAGGAGCUAUUCUUAGGCAAAGAGAAGAUGGAAAACCCUAUGUGAUCUACUACGCGAGUAAGACAUUGAAUAAGGCACAAAGAAACUACACAACUACCGAGAAAUAAUUGUUAGCUAUAGUUUUUGCCUUGGAUAAGUUUCGUGCUUACUUGGUGGGGUCUUUCAUUGUGGUUUUCACUUAUCACUCUACUUUGAAGUAUCUGUUGACUAAGCAAGAUGCUAAAGCAAGGCUAAUUAGAUGGAUUCUCUUGCUUCAAGAGUUCAAUCUCCAGAUCAAGACAAGAAAUGAGUGGAGAAUGUGGUAGCAGACCACCUUUCAAGGCUAGCUAUCGCACAUAAUUCCCAUGGUUUGCCCAUUAAUGAUGGUUUUCCAGAGGAGUCUCUCAUGUUGGUGGAAAUUGCUCCUUGGUAUGCUCACAUUGCGAACUACCUAGUCACAGGAGAAGUUCCAAGUGAGUGGAAAACACAAGAUAAGAAGCACUUCUUUGCAAAAAUUCAUGUCUACUAUUGGGAAGAGUCAUUUCUACUCAAGUAUUGUGCGGAUCAGAUAAUAAGGAAGUACAUUCCUGAAGAAGAGCAACAGGGGAUCCUUAGGCAUUGCCAUGAAAAUGCAUGUGGAGGCCACUUUGCUUCUCAGAAGACAGCCAUGAGGGUAUUGCAAUUAGGUUUAUGUUGGCCAUCACUUUUCAAAGAUGCCCACACCAUGUGCAAGAGUUGUGAUCGAUGCCAGAGACUUGGGAAGUUGACACGCAAGAACAUGAUGCCUUUGAACCCCAUUUUGAUAGUUGAUCUUUUUUAUGUUUGGCGCAUUAACUUCAUGGGACCUUUCCCUAUGUCUUUUGGCUACUCUUACAUCUUGGUGAGAGUAGAUUACGUGUAUAAGUGGGUUGAGGCAGUCCCAUGCAAGCACAAUGACCAUAGAGUGGUUCUCAAGUUUCUCAAGGAGAACAUCUUCUCAAGAUUUGGGGUGCCCAAAGCCAUAAUUAGUGAUGGUGGUACUCAUUUUUGCAACAAGCCUUUUGAAACUCUCCUAGCCAAGUAUGGGGUGAAGCAUAAGGUAGCUACACCUUACCACCCUCAAACUAGUGGGCAAGUUGAGCUAGCAAACCAGGAGAUUAAAAACAUAUUGAUGAAGGUGGUGAACACGAACAGAAAAGAUUGGCCAGUCAAGCUCCUUGAUUCACUGUGGGCAUAUAGAACAACUUACAAGACCAUUCUCGGGAUGUCUCCUUAUCGCCUAGUCUAUGGCAAAGCAUGUCAUCUCCUUGUAGAAUUGGAAUACAAAGCUUGGUGGGCAAUCAAGAAGCUCAACAUGGAUUUGAGUAGAGCUGGGUUGAAGAGGCUCUUAAACCUCAAUGAAAUGGAGGAAUUGGGAAAUAAUGCCUACCUCAAUUCAAAAUUUGCAAAGAGAAAUUGAAGAGGUGGCAUGAUUAUUUGAUUUCUCGCAAGGAUUUUAAAAAGGGACAAAUAGUCUUGCUCUAUGACUCUAAGCUCCACAUCUUUCUGGGCAAGCUGAAAUCAAGGUGGAUAGAUCCUUUUACCAUUCACCAAGUGCAUUCAAAUGGAGUAGUGGAACUACUCAACUCCAACAACACUGGGAGCUUCAAAGUGAAUGACCACCGUCUCAAGCCCUUUGUAGAGCCUUUUUCUCGCGAGAAGGAGGAAUUCAUCGUCUUUGAUCCACAUCAAGCUUGACAAUACCAGUUUUCUUGAUGGACUUAGUCUUUCUAAAGACUAUUGAGUUCAUAUUUUUUUGUUUUAUUUUUAUUUAAGAGUUUUCCUGUAUUAUUACUUGUUUUGAUUUUGAUUUCUCGUUUUAAUUUUAUUUUAGUUUGAUUUAACUUAGGUUUUUUAUGAUCAAUUGCAGGGGGACUUCAAAGCAGUUGUCUGUGUCCUUAAAGAGGAAAAAUCAAGAUAAUUCACACACCCUACGAAAUUUUCACAGGCCAUGCCAAAUUCAUGGUUCAUUUCACAUGGGGUGCGAAAUUUCGCACAUCUUGCGAACCCAUUUCGCACACCCAGCGAAAAUAAAAACACCCUGCGAAAUCAUUUCAAACACUCUACGAAAUUUUCGCAGACUAUGUGAAAAUUUUCGUAGACCCAACACUAUUUCGCACGUUGUGCGAAACCAUUUCUCACACCCAAAGCCAUUUUGCACGCUGUGCGAAAACGAAAGGUCACCAUGCUCUCCAUUUUUAAACCCAAAGCCCCAACUUCUCCAUUUCGCAAACACCAAACACCCUACGAAUCCCUUAUUUUUCUUUGCCACCUUGCAACCUUGUCCCUCUCCAUUCGACAUCUCGCCCCGCUCAUCUCAUUUCGAAGACUCGCCCCUUCUGAGCGCAGACCCGAGGCUCAUCUUCCAUUUUCGACAUGGCACGGACCAAAAGAGCCCUUCCCAUCCCUUCACCGAGACGCACUCCAAGGUAGAAAGCCUCCUCUACUCAGGUGCAUAGUGAUUCUCCAUCUUAGGCCAUAGAGGCCCCGUAGAUUCCACCUUUCGAGGAAGGAGCAGCCACUGGUACUUCCUCUCCUGCUCUUCAGCACAGAUACGAGACGAGGAGACCACCUACUACACCAGGGGCGACUACUUCGCACCCUAAGAGUUCAGUACAGUGCUCUCAUACCAAGAGGGCCAGGACUUCAAGCCCAGGCAAGUCAUCUAGAGCUUCAUAGCCUGAACCUCCUAUAGAUUCUGAGGUUCCUUCGGACCUGUCACCGGAGUUUAUUGUCAGACGUCCGAUGCUCACAGCACCGCCCAUUGAGGGCAACUCAGAUUGCAGAGCGAGACCUUUCCACUCGGAGCUAUAUUUUGAUCAGGAGGCCAUGCGACAGCAGCUUGAGCUCCGAGACUCUUACGGCCUACUACAGAGGUACCACCUUGAGCACCUCAUGACUCCUUGUGAGUUCUUUUAUCCCAUAGUAGCACUAAACUUUUACCAGUCCAUGACUACUUGUGGCGUCUUGAGUCCUACUGCGAUUCACUUCACCAUUGAUGGACGUCAUGGUAUCCUCGAGGCUAGACAUAUUGUAGAGGCUCUUCAGAUUCCUUUCGAGCCAGUGGAUCCAUCUGCUUCCUACCAGUGGUCCCCAAUAUCUCAGAGGGACAUGGUCAGCAUUUUAUCCAAGGGGACCUCUACAGAUUCGAUCCCUCUAGGAAGGAGCUUCCACCUAGGAUACUCCUCGUAGAUGUGGUGCUACGCUCUAACCUCUUUCCCUUACAGCAUUCAAUACAAAGGCGAUGACUAUUUUGGACGCUUUAUUCCAUAUAUCAAAGGGCUUCUACUUUGGCCCGCACCACUUGAUUAUGACCUACCUCGUCCACUUUGAGGAAAAGUCCAUAGGAAGAAGCUUCAGAGGAAGGACACCAUUCCAUUACUAUUCCCGAGGUUACUAUGCCAAAUCUUGGAGUAUAUGGGCUUUCCUACUGAGCCUCGGCUCGAGCGUCGUCGCCUUUGUCGAGAGCGAUUCACUCUCGACAAAUGGAAUCAGUUGGCGGGCUAUUCUGCACCUCCAAGAGCCCCUCCCAUGGUAUCACCUCCAAUGCCCCCACAACCAGAGCAGGGCAAGCUCCUGGCAGAGACUACACCUCCAAUGCCCACACCUGAGGCUACUUCUGCUGCUCCGCUUACGACUCCUACUAUUCCACCAAUCACGCCUACUACAUCCGAGCCUUCCAUCACCAUAUCGGCUUCGGAGUUUCGCGCCUUUGUGCAUACCUUUCAAACACUCACCACCACACUUGCUGCUCUCUUCCAGCAGAUGGCUGAGAUGUGUGCCCAUCAGGACCAGCAGACUGCUAUGCUCUACCAAAUUCAACAGCACCUAGGACUUCUGCCUCCGCCUCAGCCUGAUGUUCCCGCAUCAUCAGAGCCUUUAGCUCCAGUUGAGGAUACUAUUCCACCUGAGGACACUACCACAGUAUAGGUCCGGAUUCCGCCACCUCAGGAUGCCACCACAGCUACACCAGAGAAUGCAUCAUCUCCACCUGAGGCUCCCACUACUUUAUCAUCGAACAUCUCUUUAUCUUAUUGUAUUUACAUAUUAUAUUACUAGAGAUUUGUCCUUGUUUUGAUACUUUAUAUUCUGGGAUUGGAUGUAUUACCUGAUCAUAUCUCAUAUUGUACUUUCUCAGAUAAUAUAUAUACAUCAUAUUUUUUUUUUUAUAUUUAACAUUUUUCUAUUUCCUCUACUUAUCACAAUUUUGUUUUUUGACUCAUAUGGUUUCCCCUAUACGACUCAAACUCCAUUUCAUUCAAGAGGUACCAUUUCCUCUCUUUAUUUUCACUUGCUCUUGAAACAUUAAGGGCAAUGUUGAGCUCGGUUGGGAGGAAAGUUGAGGAAGGAAGUUUUGUUAAUAAUGCUAGGUUAAUUUGUUAAUUUAGUUACUUUUUGCUUAAUUUUAAAAGUUUUUUUUACUCUACUUUCCAUGGUUAUUAAGGAAAAAUUCUCAAAAGGAAAUGGGAGAAAUCGAAUUCUUACCUUUUUACUUGAAUCUUAGAGUUUGUAUUAUGCUUAUUGAAGUUGAUGAAUUAUUAAAACUCCUAUGGAAUUCAACCUUAUUUCUUCCACUUUAAUCUUAUCACAGACUGUGCACAUUAGGUUCCGAUUAUAAGACGAAAAACUAUCUCACCCCCUAAACUUAGGAAAAUUUCGACUUGGUACCUUUGACUUUGUUUUAAUAGUGUUGGGACACCUUAUAAAAGGCCAAUGAGCCUUUGAAAAAAAAAAAAAAAAAGAACAAAGUGUUUCACUUGCCUUGAAACCCGAGCAAGGUCCGAGGGGUAUACGGCGAAAGUCUUUAAAACCUAGUGCCCUAAGCCUUUAUUGGUUGGGAGUCACCGACCUCAAUGCUCGUUAAAAGGGUGAAUAGGUGGAGUUUAACAUAUUGUAGGUGCUUGGGUAUUGAAUUUCAAUCUCAAAAGUCUGGGGUAAAAUCUGAGAAGUUAGUGGUCGAAAGAUCCUUAAAGCUUGAUGCCCUAAACCUUUAUUGGUUGGGAGUCAUCGAUGGAUCCCUGUUACAUGGACAUUUUAAAAAACAAUACCUUUAGCAUUGCACUCCUACAAUGAAAAAAAAUUGUGGAAAUAAAAGAAGUGUGUUCUUAGCCUAUUGGAGGUUGGUUAGUUUGCUAAGGUUUGAGAAAGAACUAGGCUGGGGGGAGAGAAUAGUUCGACAUACUAUAAUCGAAAGCUAUUAAGCUUAACACUUAGAUUUUUGUGAAAAAAAUAAGGUUUGGAUCUUUGGGAGUGAAAAUUCUUUUGUUGCUUAAAUGUUCAUAAUGCCCACUUUUUAUAAAUUGUGAUUAAGCAAGGUAUUUGAUGACUCUUGUUGAAGGUUGGGUUUUGCCUCUUUGAUGUUCCAUGAGAGAGUAUAAUCUGCAUCAUGCCACUUGAAAUUUUUUUGGAGUGAUUAGCAUGAUUUUGUAAAUUAUUUUACUGUUCAUGUUUCUUUAUCUCUCCUUCAUUGCUAAGGGACUAGCAAUAUGUCGGUUAGGGGGAGUGAUUACUACUCACUAAGUACUCUUUUAUAGCUUGAAACUAACUAUUUUAAACACUUUUGAGUAGUAGCUAAUAACUUUUAACUCAAUUGGCACAUUAAGGAACCUAGCAAGGGUUACUAAUAAGUUUUUGGCAAGUUUUGGUGUUUUUGGUAGCUAUUUGAUCAUUGAAACAAGCCAAGAAUGAGGGAGAAUUUUGUGAAAUCCAUGGUAAUGUAAGCUAAAGUUCAAAUACAUGAAGAAUCCAAACUUUGGAGCACUUCAUAGCCCUUUGCCAAGCCAAUCAGAGAUGCAAAGAAGAAAACCAGAGGAAGAAAUCCAACAACCAGCAUUUUCGCAUUGCUGUGCGAAAUUUCGCACACCAUGUGAAACCGCUUGAAGCAGCCAAAGAAUUUCGCAUACCAUGUGAAAUUUCGCAUGGUGUGCGAAAUCUUCCUGUGCAUCGACUCCGUUAGAUUUUUAUCUCUAGAUAUUUUGUGUAAUUUCCUAUUUUCUCCUUGUAAUCAACUUAGAUAUUUUCAUAUAUAUAUAUUUUUUAUAUAUUUGGUGUGUGUAACAUCUUUUGAUAUAGACACACAAGAAUGUAAUCAAAAAGAGGUUGUAAAAUUCCCCAUAGUAAGAAAUAUACGGAGCUUUUGUUCUACCUUUCCUUCUCACUUUGUUUUCACUCUUCUUUCUAACCAAAGAACCUCUGAGGAUGAUUUCUCAGGGGAUGAGUGGCUAGGUUUUACGUUUCUUGGAGUGAUGGAAGCUAGGUAAAGGACCCGAAUGCAAAGAUGAGAGUUGUCCUUGCUUUAAAUGAAAGUAGUUGUUAACCAUUAAUGGUUUUUAUUUCAAGGUUUAGCUUUAAAUCCCUUAAAAUCACCUUGAAUGUCCAAUACUUGGUAAGCUUUUCGGAUUCUAUGGAUGCUUAUUGCUAGAUCCAUGGAUGUCUAUUAGUUAUCAUUUACGAGCCAUUGGAAUGUGGUUCAAGGUGAGGGUCUUUAGUGUUUGAAGCCAUUAAUGGGAAGCAACUAUCAUUUUCCAUGAACCCUUCGAAUCAAAUCUUAAUUGCUAAAUAUAAAACCGGUUCGGGAGAUAACCAUCCUUUAUGUUAUUGUCCCCAACGUGAGGAGAAGAUCCGAAAUCUCCUCUUUUGUCUAAGGAACCCGAUCCUAGUGACCUAAAGCUCUAAGAGACCUUUUCUCAGUAGUUAACUUCACUUAUUAUUUUUUCUUAACUUAAAAUCAAUCUUUGCAACCACAAUUCCAUUUUCUUUAAAAGCUAAUUUUCAUAAGGAAAAACACCAUUUUAUUUCUUUCACUAAAGUCAAUUGUACGAUGAAACCCCAUCCUUGUGGACGAUCCUAGAGCCACUAUACUAUGUUAGCUAUGCUACCCUAGUGUGAGGUGAUUUAGGUUUUAUAAAUUUUGUUGAUAACACCCGUCUGAGUCAGAAUCAAAUGGCAUGACUGCAAUGGGGACGAAUCAACUAUGCAAUGAAUCUUAAAACAUAUAUUUUUAUUUUUAUUAAAUAACUCACUACAUAACAAUAUGUCAACAAUUCAAUCUCAGUUUUUCAGUAUAGUUAUAUAAAAACGGAGUUUUGCUUUGAAUAGAAACACAUAAACUCAACUUAUGUUAAGUUAAACCUGACAAAUAGCAAAAAUUGUUAUUCAAUGCAACAAUGCAACACUUCCCAUAAAUCAAAUAUCCAAACGAACAAUAUAUAACUACAAUGGGUAUUAAUCAUACGAGCAAUACUAAAACCGUAAUAAUUCUCUAUGCAUGUGAUUUAUUGCUUACCAUCAUAGGACCUUGCCAUAUGGAUAAAUCUUUUCAACUUCUUUUGAACAAACUUUUCACUUUUUUAGAACUAACAAUGGAGUCUCUAUUUUUUACCUACAAUGUUGAAGUGAGAUUUUGAAUUUUCAAGAAACAAAAAGAAAUAAAAUGAUAAUAUAAAAAAUAAAUUGUUGGUUGCUUACAUUUUUUUCACAUUUUCGUGACCAAGAAUGAAGAAUAGAUGAAACAAAGGUAAGAAGUUAAACUUGUUCUCUGCAAGAACAUAAUCUGCUAUAAAACAAAGGGAAAGGGAAAGUUGUCUUAAAGAGAAAAAUAAGGGGUAUUUUUGUCUCAACCAGGUCAACUUUUUUGCUUUUUGACUGGUGGGUUAUAUUUGCAAAUAUGGGGGGGGGUUGGGUUAUUUUGACCCCUUUAACCAAAUAACCCAUUAAUUUUUAUUUUACUAUUUUAUAGAUAAUAAUAAAAUAUUUUUUAAUAAAAUAAGUUAUAAAAAAAUAUAAUAAUUUAAUUAUUUAUAAAAUAUAUUUAUUUUAAUGUAAUUAAAAAAAUAUAAAAGUAAUUUAAAAAAAAAAAAAAAGUUGAACAGGGCGGGGCGAGACGAGUAUGGGAAUUUCUCAUACCUACCCUGUCCUACCUCGCCCUGUUUAAUUUUUAAAAUGAGACAAGGAUGAGAAUUAUUUUAAAUAAAUGGAAUGAGAUUGAGAUGGGGGCAACCUGUCCCAAACCCGCCUCAUUGUCAUCCCUAAUCAUUUAUGAAACUCUCUUGUCAUUAUUGCACCACAUUUCACAUGCCUAGCACAAUUCUUCCUUAUUUUAAUCGUUGUUUGGAUUUUUCAUUGCUUUUUAAACUCUUUUAUAAAUAAUUGAAAAUUGGCAUUAUUUUCUAUUUUUAAAUUAUAAAUAAACAAAAAUUACAUUAAUGAUUCAAAAUCUAUUUUGAAAAAUACUUUCUAAAAAAUAUGUUAUUUAAAUGAAUAAAAACUAUCUUUUACAAUUUAGAAGUAAAUAAUUUAAUGAUUAAAAUACUAUUUAAAAUAAACAUAUUCAUUGUUUUCUUUUCUUUUAUACUAAAAAGCAUUUAAAGGUUUAAUUUUUUUUUAAUAUUCCCAAAAUAAAAAGUUUAAAUUUUCUUUUAAUUUCUUCUUUCCUUGUUUUAAUAACUUUCUGAACAAAACUUCUAACGAUAACAUAUAUGAAAUGUUACGAAUUUGUCUAGUAAGGAAUUUUUUUUAAUGAUUUGAAUUAAUUGAAAAUUUAUCAAAAUAAGAAAAAAAAAAAAGGAUAGAGAGUUUUUAAUUUAAAAAUUCAACUAAAAUGUUUUCGUAUAACCUAAUUUUAGAAGUGGUUUGUGUCAGUACAUAGUAUAGUAAAGAUUGAAUUUUUCUUUUAUAAAAGAGUUGAAUGAUAUAAUUGCUCAUUUUAGAUUAAAACAAGUAGUACAAAAUUAUCUACACUAUGUUUGAGUUUGGUUUGAAAACAUUUUUCUAGUUUUUAUUUUUUUAUUUUUAAAAAAAAUAAAUUUUAUUUUCUAUAUUUUCUCUUUUCGAAAAUACAUUUCAGUGAAAAAAUAAAAACUAAUUUUAAAAAUGAAAAUUGAAAACCUAGUUUUGUACUAUUUUUUUUUUUUGUAUAAAAAUAAAAAAAAUUCAUUUAUUGAUUAUCCUUUUUAGUUUUUUUCAUUAGUUAUUUUAAUAAUAAACUAAAAAAAUAUAGUGUGUUUACAAUUAAACAAAGGAAUUGGUCAAUUGUGUGUGUUUUUGUAUUACUAUCUUUUACAUAAAAAAAUAAUGAAAUAACUAAAUUAUAUAUAUUUAUUACUCUUUUUAAUUUUAUUUUCUAUAUUAGUUCUUUUUUUGUGUAAUAUAAAAUUUUAAUAUAUCCAUAAUUAACAAAGUAAUGGAUUAAUUGUACACAUUUGGACCCAUUAAAAUAAAUUACUUUAUAAUUUAAAUAAAUAAAAUAAGAUAAAUUUGGAGUUAUUUCUAUUUGCUAACAUAUCUUACAUUUAUAUUUUUUAUGGUUAAAUAAAUUUUUUAUUCUUUUUUUUUUUUACUUCCAAAAAUAAAAUGAAAUAAAUAAAUGAAUUUGGGCUUAUUUCUCUUUUCUAACAUAUCUUAUAUUUAUAUUUUUUAUGGUUAAAUAAAAUUUUUAUUUUUUUCUUUAUUUCCUAAAAUAAAAUGAAAUAAAUAAAUAAAUUUGGGCUUAUUUCUAUUUUCUAACAUAUCUUAUAUUUAUAUUUUUUUUAUGAAUAAAUAAAUUUUUUUAUUCUUUUGUUCUAUAUUUCUAAAAAUAAAAUGAAAUAAAAAAAAUUGGUGAGAUAAUAGUUUUUAAAUAAUUUCUGCCUUAUUUUUAAUUACAUUUUGCAUUGAAAAUAAAAUAAAAGUGUUUUAUUUGUUUUACUUAUGUAAAAUGUCAAACCAUUGAAAACAUAGUUCAUAAACCCAUAUGGACAUAGUUUAUGCAUGUAUAUGCAAUUUAUAUCAUUGUACAAGGGUGUUAUACUAAUUAUAUAAAGCAAAUACGCUAAUUGCACAAGGGAUGUACAAGGCUACCCUUUGUAAAGGAUUUCAAUUGAUUUUGAAUAACUUUUUUUUUUUUUUUUCUGAUCAUCCAGGGACUACACCCUCUCCAACCCAUGGACGAAAAUGUUGGGAUAUAUCGACGAUAUAUCAUGUAUCAGAGGCUGACAACACGAUUGUGGAGAAAAAUCGGAUGGGGGAAAAUUCGGCAAAAUAUCGUCAAUAUAUCACUAAUUUAUCGACGCAAGGCAAUAAAUCAUCGAUUUUUUCAAUAAAUCGGCUGUAACGGGAGAAAAUCACUGAUAAAUCGUAGAUUUUUUGGCGAUUUUUUUUCUCCUCUCUAGCGUGAUCAGACAACACAAAUCACGUCUGCGUUAAUCUAACAACCCAAAUCACGCCCGCCAUGUUUGCCUACAAUGGUCAUCCAUCCAAUGCCCCAGAUUCAAUCUGGGUUUGAUCCAACGGCUAGGAUGAGAUUCGAAUAGUAAAAUCAUGAUCCAACGGUUAGAUUUCGCCCAGAUUUUGAUCCAACGACCAAACUUGUUUUUCAAUGGUAAAAUCAUCUUCCAACGGCUAUUUUGGCCCAAAUUUUUCCUAUAAAUAUCCCAUUUUGCAUCCAUUUCAUCCACCUCUGAUUUCAUUCUUCCUUUGCUCCCUCAUUACUCCAAAUUUUUCUAAGGUUACUCAAUUGUUCAAUUAUUUUAAGGUAUGCUUGUUUUAAAUUGUAAUUAAUUUUGUUUUCAAUUGUAAUUAAUUCAUGUAUUUUCAAUUAAUUGGUAUAUUUGCAAUAUGGAUAAUUUAAUGUUAUUUUUACAUUCAAUUGUAAUUAAUUUGUAUAUUUUUAUUGGAUUAAAUUAGGUUAAUUUGAUUAUUUAAUUAUAAAUGGAUAUGUUUAUUUUAGAUGAUUAUUUAAUUUUAUUUUCACAUUCAAUCUAGUUAGAAUUAGAUUCAACUAGUUAACUUAGCUUAAUUAUUUAAUUAAUCUAAUUAACAUGAACUAGUAUAUUUGAAAUAUCAAAUAUGUUCAUUUUUUAUGAUUAUUGUGAUUUAUUUUCACAUUCAAUUAUAGUUAAUUUCUAUAUUUAGUAAAUUUUUUCAUAGAAUUAAAUUUAGAUUCAAAAAAUUAACUUAUCUUAACUAUUUAAUUAAUUUAAUUAACAUGAGCUAGUAUAUUUGGACUAUCAAAUAUGUUCAUUUUUUAUGAUUACUGUAUUUAUUUUCACAUUCAAUUAUAGUUAGGUUUUAUAUUUAGUAAAUUUUUCAUAGAAUUAGAUUUAGAUUCAAAAAAUUAACUUAGGUUAAUUAUUUAAUUAAUUUAAUUAACAUGAACUAGUAUAUUUGGAAUAUCAAAUAUAUUCAUUUUUUAUGAUUAUUGUAUUUAUUUUCACAUUCAAUUAUAGUUAGUUUCUAUAUUUAGUAAAAUUUUCAUAUAAUUACAUUUAAAUUCAAAAAAUUAACUUAGCUUAAUUAUUUCAUUAAUUUAAUUAACAUGAACUAGUAUAUUUGAAAUAUCAAAUAUAUUCAUUUUUUAUGAUUAUUGUGAUUUAUUUUCACAUUCAAUUAUAGUUAAUUCCUAUAUUUAGUAAAGUUUUCAUAGAAUUAGAUUUAGAUUCAAAAAAUUAACUUAGCUAAUGAUUAUGUAAUUUUAUUUUCACAUUCAAUUAUAAUUAAUUAGUAUAUUUUGUAGAUUUCUCAUGGAUUUAAAUUUAGUAAACUAACUUAGCUAAAUUAUUUAAUUAAUUUAGCUAUUAGCAUAAAUUAGUAUAUUUUGAAUAUGCUCAUUUUACAUGAUUAUUUAAUUUUCUUUUCACAUUCCAUUGCAACAUGUUAAAUUUAAAUGUUUACUUAAUUUUUGUUUACAUUGAAAUCACUUUCAAGUAUAUUUUUUUUGCAAUAGAUUUAGCAUGGCUAGUGGAGGUGGUUCUCCCAUGCCAAGGCGAGAUCCAGCUUAGAAGUAUUGUUCACUAGUUGAAGGGAACAUAAAUGAGACAAUUUGUAAUUUAUGUGGGUUGUUGAUGACAAGUGGAGGCAUCAUGCAAUUUAAGUUCCAUUUAACGUAUAAUGACCCACAUAACAACACCAAAAAGUGUCCGAGAGUGCCUCCCAAAGUGAAAGAAGAGAUAAGAUUGAUGGUGCAUGACAAAAAUAAAGCAAAAGUAAAGAAAACUGCAGAUAUUCAAGAGAUUCAUGCUCAAUUACGUGGCACAAUGUGGACUAGUGAUACACAUUUGAUAGACGAAGAUGAUGAUGAUGAAGAUGUUGAAGAUGGAUUUGUGUAUAUCUAUUUGACAAAUAUGCACCCAAAUAAGCGGGAUGCAUAUCAAUUUGUAGUGUGUACCUCGAAAGCGACAUAAUGGGAAUGUCAAUAAUAUGAGAAUAUUGUAGGAAGCAAAUGUAAAAUGGGGAAGUCUUCACAGUCUACUGGUACACCAACGACGAUGCAAAAAUCACAAAGUAUGCGACAUUCGAACCAAUCACCCCCUAUUGCCCUUUCGCUCUACAAGUCUUCUACAGACAAAAAAAAUAUUAAAUAUAUAUUGAAGGGUGGUUCAAUUCAAGAAACGAUGGGAUGCUUAAUUAGCAAAUUCUUCAUUUAUGAGAGUGUCACACCCCAAAAAGCAAAGUAUCAUCACUUCAAGAAUAUCAUAAUUGGUGCACAACAAGUAGGGAAUUACUAAUUUUUGAAUUGUUAUAUUGUUUUAGACUUUUAGUAAGUAUAAUGUUUUGUGACAUGUUUUAAAUAUUUGUUACAUAUGAAUUGCAGGAAUGGGAAUCGAACUUUCAUCUCCAUACGAAAUAAAGAACAAGAACUUGGGAAUGGAGUAGAAAGAAAUGGAAGCUUAUGUGAACCAACAAAGAGAAAAAUGGAAGACAUAUGGGUGCACAAUAAUGUCAGAUGGAUAGACAGGGCCCAUACAAUUAAGUAUUAUUAAUUUCAUAGUUUAUUCAAAAUGGACCACGGUGUUCCUUAAGUCAAUCGAUGCAUCGAACAAUAUCAAAGACCACAAGUAUAUAUAUGAGCUAUUGAGGACUAUUAUAAAAAAAGUCGGUCAAGAAAUGGUGAUCCAAAUUGUCACAGAUAACGGGUUGGCGUUCGUGAAAGCAGGGAAACUAUUGAUGAAGAAGUUUAACUUAUAUUGGAAUUUGUGUGCGGCGCACUGCAUCGACUUACUCUUUAAAGACAUUGGUAAAAACCCUAGUAUUACAGAUAUGAUAAACAAUGCUCGCAAGAUAACCAACUUCAUUUACAACCAUGGUUGGUUACUUGCACAGAUGAGAAAGUAUUGUGGUGGAGACAUUGUUCAACUAGGAGUUACAAGGUUUGCUACUAAUUAUAUUGCUAUUGAUAGUCUUCUUAAAAAAAAAAAAAUUGUUUAUGAGUGAUGAAUGGGCACAACACAAGCUCAGUUGGACAAAAACUAGAUGAGAUUUGGAACAAUUAUUGUUUGACCAUGCGUAUUGGGACAAAGUGGCAAAAAUAGUUUCAUUAUAUGAGCCAUUAUACGUGGUGCUUCAACUUAUGAAUUCUGAAGUUGUUCCCACAAUGUCAUUUGUGUACGAGCUUAUGCUCGUGAUGAAAAAGAACCUUAUUCAUCAAGGAGCUAGAGAUUGGAUCUUCAAAAUAAUAAAAGAUCGUUGGAAGAAAACAUUAAAACAUCCACUUCAUGCAACAAGUACUUAAGUACUAUCUAUCUUUAUAAGUUUUUACUAUGUAUUUAAUUUUCUCUAACAAAAUACUAAAUCUACUUAAUUUUAUUGUAUCAUACUUCUUAAAUCCAAGAUUUCAAUAUAGGUGUGGAGUUGGUAGUAAUCCAAAACUACUGCAAGUGGUCCAUAAUGUUUUUGUAAAAUUAGACCCAACUACUGAAUCGCUUGGUCAAAUGAGGUAAAUAAAAAAUUGUUAUUUUUGUCAAUAAAACAAUAAUUUUAUUCAUCAAUUUAUUUGAACAUUUACUAAAAAAAUAUGAUAUUAACAAAUUAAAUGUUGAAUGCAUAGCUUGUAUUUUUUCAAGAUGCAAAAAGAGGAUUGGGUGAUCAAGCGGCGAUUGCACCAAGGUCAACCAUGGUGUCCGGUGAGUAUUUAUUAGAAAAAAUUGAUUAUCAUUAUUUUCAAUUCACCAUAAGUAUUUAUAUAAUUAUCAAAUUGGUUGCAACUAAAUGGUGGUUCAUGUAUGGGAAUCAAACUCCUACAUUGAGAAAGUUAACCAUCAAAGUUCUCUCACAAAUUGCGUCAUCUUUUGCCUGUGAGAAAUAUUGAAGCACAUUUGCUCUCAUCCACACAAAGCAACGAAAUCGUUUGGCUUACCCUCAACUGGAGUAAUUAGUUUUUUGUUACUAUAAUAUGAGGCUAAAGUUACGCAAUAUGGAGACAAAAAAUGAUUGAGUUGCUGAAAAAGAUUACCUUAAUCUUCUUGACAUUUCAACCGAGAUGGGUGAAGAAGAAGAUAAUCAGUUGUUCCAAUGGGUUAGGCCUAUACACUUGGAUGAUGAAGUUGGAAAUCUUGAUCCACAAAUUGCUGCUCAUGGUCAAGAAUUUGGAGUUAAUGUUGAACGUGUGUUGUCCGAUCAAGUUUACUCUAAAAUUUUUAGCAAAGAUACUGAUGAUUCAUUUUAGGCUGCAUUGAAUUCCCACCAAGAGGUUGACUCCACAAGUGUUGGCCAUAGUAGUAGACCUAGUGCUGUAGGUACUUCUGCUUCUGGUUACGAUGGUUCAAGAGGUGGUUCUGAUGAUGGAGGUGAUAAUGCGAGAUGAGAUAUUUGGGAACGUCAACAAAGUCAAUACCCAAUCAGCCAAUUUACAUGUGAAAAUGAUUUUACAUACUGGACACAAAAUGAAGACCAUGACUCUAGAAGAGCUGGUUUAGGCAUAAGAGCUAUUGGGAAGCCCUAUAGAGGAAGAGAACGAACAAUGGAACCAUAUAACGAGGAGUCACUUUCAGGGAGUUAUGAAUCUAUGAGUAUUGGGACUCAAUUUAAUGACUUCUCAAAUGAGGCUAACGUUUACCUUCCUCAUGUGAUGAGUUAUGGUCAACCUUCAAGUUCAACCGAUGAAGAGUAUGGUAUGUCACAUUGCUCCCCUUCCACACAAAUUUCAUACCAAGUUCCAUAUCAAAUGGAAUGAGGAUUUAACAUUAACACAUGGGUGAACCUUGAGUAUCCUAUCCAUGUAGAGGCAUUGGGCAAGACUCAAGAGAUAUAUGCAUGACAUGUUAGAAUUUUUAACCAAUAUUAUCGAGGCUCAUUGAGUUGGUACCAAUAUUGUCUCCAACAGCAAGAUGAGUUUCCUUCAUCUACCAAUUCCAUUGAACCACAUCGAUCCUCAUUUUGGUACUAAAGGGACAUUGCAAUGUAAUGUGUAAAAAUUAUUGAUAUUUAACUAAAUGAAGUAUUUUAUGUGACUUCAUAAUGAGUGUACAAUUACAAACUUAACAUUUCUUAUAGAUCGACAUAAUAUAAUUACAUCUAAUAUCGCAAAUUAUAUCAUACAUAUAUCAAAUUCUUCAAUAAAAUAACUUUAUAAUGUCUAUUAUACUUCUAAUUAUAUUGUUAUAAGGUUUUUCUUGCAUUUCCAUGAGUUUUUAGCAAUUUUAGGCAUACCAAUUUUUUUUCCAAAAUAUCCGUCGAUAUAUCUAUAAAAUCGAAGUACCGAUAUAUCCAUGAUUACCAAUAUUUUUAUCCUUACUCCUACCACGCAUUCUUCCAUCAUGUACUCAUCUCAUGUAUUUUAUUUAACUCACAUAUGGCAACUCGAAUACUUACCCCAAUAAUGAUGUUUGGGGAAAAUUUUUGUUUUUACGUCUUAUAAUCUUUUCUAAACCAAACCAUUAGAAACAUAGUUCACACAUCCUAUGUGGGCACAUAAUGUAUGUAUGUGGAUUGAAUUUGCACCAUUAUACAAGGAUGUUAUACUAACUAUACAAGACAAAUGUACUAACUAUACAAAGAGUACACAAGGCUACCCUUUGUGAAGAAUUUCAAUCAAUUUUGAUUAACUUUUUUUUUAAUCAUUCAAUGAUUGUGCACUCUCAUUCCUCCAUCACACACUUAUCUCAUGCAUUUUAUUUGACUCACAUAUAACAAUUCAAAUACUUAUCCCAAUAAUGAUGUUUGGGGAAAAUUUUUUGUUUUUACGUCUUCCAUCAUUUUUUAAAUCAAACCAUUGGAAACACGAUUCACAAAUCUUAUGUGGACACAUAAUUUAUGCAUGUGUAUAGAAUUGACAUCAUUGUACAAGGGUGUUAUACUAAUUGUACAAGACAAAUGUACUAAUUAUACAAAUGGUGUACAAGGCUACCAUUUGUGGAAGAUUUCAUUCGAUUUUGAGCAACUUUUUUUUUUCUUGUCAUUUAAGGAUUGCACACUCUCAUGACACAUAGUCAUCUCUUGCACUUUAUUUAAUUCACACAUGACAAUUCGAAUACUUACCCCACUAAUAAUGUUUGAAGAGAAAAAAAAAAUGUCUUCCACCAUUUUAUAAACCAAACCAAUGGAAACAUGGUUAACCUACCUAUUGGCACACAUCAAGUAAGGGGUAUAUGGAAUUUGCACUAUUGUACAAGGUAUUUACACUAAGUGUACAACGUAAAUAUACUAACUGUACAAGGGGUGUACAAGGCUAUCAUUUGUAAAGGAUUUCAACUGAUUUUAAAAAACUCACUUGCUUAUUUCCCUCGGCCAAGGAUGGAGGAUAUUCUUCACACACAUUGGUUAAUCAUACAUUCAUCUCAUGCACUUUAUUUAACACGUAUAUUGUCAUUUGAAUACCUACCCCACUAAUGAUGAUCGUGAAACAAAAUUGUACAACAAUUUUUCCCUUAUUUAAAAUUAAACCAAUGCAAACAUGAUUAACUAAUCUAGGGGUAGAUAUUCACAAGGCAAUGCAUGGAAUCUAAGUCAUUAUACAAGGGUACAUGCAAGGAGGAAAAUGUCGUUCGACACAAUAUUUCAUGGAGAAAUAUCGGUCCGACGAUAUCUCGCAAUAUAUCAGUGAUUUUCCUCGAUAUAUCGCAUGGUCAACAUGGGUCAACGAAGUCAAACGCACUACAGUGAAGUCAAAUGUGUUACAGUGCCCCUCCCCUUUUGCUUGAAAUUGCUUCUGAGGGGAUUUGAACCCUAAACCUUUUGGUUUGGGGUUCACUCCACUUGCCAUCUGGGCUAACUUGCCCUUGUAAUAUAAAGUGCACCAAACAUAUAUAUACUUAAACUCAUUAUAUAAAGAAAAUAUUAAAAGAAUAUUUUAAAGAGCAAAUUAAUUAUAAUUAUUUUAUAAUUAAAUGCAAAAUUUUCUUUUAAUUAAUUACCAAAAAUAUAAAAAUUAUAUAAUUUUCUUCAUAAUGUUUUGAAUAUCAUUAAUAAUUAAUUAAAAAUUAAAAAAUUAUAUAUAUAUAUAUAUAUAUAUAUAUAUAUAUAUAUAUAUCAUAAUUUAUUUUAUAUUGUUUAAUACAAUUGAAUUAAAUGGAUCAUAUUUUAAUAUUAAUAUAUAUUUUAAAAUUAGACAUAUUAUAAUCAAAUAUCAUAAUAUUAUAUAUAAUUUAAUAAUAAAUGUACACUUAUAAAAUUCAUAUUUUUAUCGAUGCAUACAAUAGUAUUAUCAAAUAUGAUAAAUCAUGUUAUACACAUAUCAAAAUUUUCAAUAAAAUAACUUUAAAAUGUCUAUUAUACUUCUAAUUAUAUUAUUUUGAGGUUUUCCUUACAUUUUCAUGAGUUUUUAACAAUUUUAAGUUUACCGAUAUUUUUUUCCAAAAUAUCCGUAAAAUCAAAGUACCGAUAUAUCCGUGAUUACCGAUAUUUUUAUCCUUGGGUACAUGUUACACUAACUAUACAAAACAAAUUUACUAAUUGUACAAGAGGUAUACAAGACUAUUUUUUGUUAAGGAUUUCAAAUGAUUUUAAAAAACUCUCCUGUUUUUUUCUUGUCACCCAAGGAGUACUAUACAAUCUCUCCACUCAAAUUCCCUCACCUAAGAAUUGUUUUGACUCUUAUUUUUAAAUUUCAUUAUCAAAAUUUUGUAAUUAUAUAUUUUGUUUUUAUAGUUUUAGCAAUAUUCUUUCUUUCCACUCCUUUUUUGUGAAAUUUUAUCCAAAUGAAUCUAUAUUUAAAAUUAUAAUCAUAUUUAUCAUUUGUUUUUACUUAGAUUAUCUUAAAUUCUUUUAAUAUAUUUAUACUCAUUUAUUUAAAAAAUGAAAAACUAAUUUUCUUUAAACAUGUUCUAUUACCUUUCAAAUAAAAAAUUAAAUAAGUUGGAAAGUCAAUAAAAGAAAAAUUAAAUACCACUUUCAAUAAUUUUUAAAUAAGAUUUUAUAUAACACAUUUUAUUUGAAAUUUCAUUUCCAAAGUUUCAUUAAAAAAAUUUGUGUUGACAAUUUUCUUGCUAUUAGUUAAAAUACUUUGCAAUAGUUUAUUUAGAUAAGAAAAAAUAUUAAUAUAAUAUUAAAACUUUAUAUUUUAGUUAUUUUCAAUAAAUUUAUCUUUUAAAAUUUUUUAAAAUUAAACAAAUUUAAAUUUUAAAAACUAAAGGGAAAUAUUAAAAAAAAAAAAUUAAGAGUGAAGUGAUAGUCAAUUAAAGAGGAAUAGAAGAGGAAAACGUGUAUCCACUUGCAAUGCUUAAUUGGAAUUGGAAGAAGAGUUUGAAUUUAGAAAGGGGCAAUUGUAGAGGAAAAUAUAAAAUCAUAAACUAAUAGCAAUUAAUACAAUUGUCAAUGAUAUAAUAAUUGAAUGAAAAUGGGAAUAUAAUUAUGAAAGAUUGUUAUAAAAUAUAAAUGUAGAUUGGAAAAAAAAAACUAUAAAAAGAAAACAAAAAACAAAACAAAAAGGCAUAAAUGGAUAAUGGGGAAUAGAAAAGGAAAAAGAAAAUACAAAGAAAUAGAAAUUCACACUCACUAUGUGUAGGGAUUAAUGAAGGAUAAUAUUUUUCAACUUAAUUUUUAUACUUUAUUUGGAUCUUAAGUUUAAAUGUGGGUGAUAAGAGGAUGUUGGACCAAUUUUCAGAUCCAUUUAACUUAAAGCCUAAUUCUCCAUAGCUUUUGAAAAUUUAAUUAAAAUAUUUUAAAAAAUGAUUGAUUCAAUUUCUUUUAUAUUUAAAUAGUUGAAUGUACAAGGUUUUCUACAUUUUUGUUAUGAAAGUCAUUUUAUUAUAUAAAAUUAAUCGCCAAAUUUAGAUUUGUCUUACAUAAUUAUAAUGUAGAAAAUGCUACUUAUCUUUACUUAUUUCAUAAUUUAUUUUUCCCCAUAUUGUUAUGGAAUAAAUUAGUGAAUGCCAAUAAUUCUUUUUUGUAUUAAUAAUGUAAGUUAAUUAAGUUACAAAAUAUUAUAAGAACAUACUUGCCUAAACAAAUAUCAUAAUUAAAAGUUUUUUUUUUUUUUUUUUUUUUGCAAUACUAUGAGCUUUGGGCCCAAAAAUUAUAAAUAACAGUUCACUAGCUAGAAAGAUAUAUAUCCUGCUUAAAAGUGAUGUGGCAUUAUAAAUACAAAUUUUGUGGCUAAUUUUUUUUUUUUUAAAUAUACAUUUACUACAAAUGUAUGUGAUUGUUAAAUGUCAUCCAUUUGCUAUGAACAAUAAUUUUUCACUGAAAAAUUGUUUUGCUAUGAAAUAAACUGUCAUUGCAAAAAGCCACUUCUUACCAUAAAAAUAUCUUCAUAGCUAAAAGCGUAACGGAAAAUGGAGAAAUUUGUUGCAGUGAAUUUUCCAAAAGCUUGCCGGAUCAGUUUAAUCCAAGAUCGUAUUGAAAAGGAUGAUCGAAGUGAACUGAAUUAGUCAACGGUUCAUGGCAGGACUAGGACAGGGCGGUCCGGUUUUCAAACCACCCGCAGAUAUGACGCAUAAUAUUGUUUUAGAAUCUAAAUUAGUCAACGGUUCCUACAUUUUUUACAGGACAUAGAUGUAAAAUUCACGAAUUUAAUGCUGCCUGACACAACAGGUCAACUUCCUGUGUCUUAUCUGCAUCCAAAAAAAUCAACAUUUUUAAAGAGUGUCCUUACACUAGCUACGUGGUGGACAUUGCUUCCCCACACGCAAGAUCUUCGCCAAUGAGGGGAAUGCAAGGACCGAAUUCAUUUUCAUGGUUAUUCUUUAGUGCCGAUAAACCACUAAUUCUGAAGGAUGUAAUUUUUUGUGAGAAUAAAUACUUUAUAUUUUAAAAAUUAUCAUUUUCAACUCAAGGGUUGCCACGUAUCAUCAUAAACCUAUUAAAUUCCACACGCCCGAGAUCACCAUGUGAAUGCAAUACUGCCAACUGCCACCCAACACAUGGUUGUCAUGGCUGCACUAUUGAAUAUUUCAACUAUAUGCUACAGGCGAUGAAUAGCGACAUGGAGUUCAACAAGAAAACCCGUGUCUCGUGACUUUACUAAUACUGGGUCAAAAGCAAACGCAGGAAGUAAGCUAAAAUGUGUGUUUUCGUGGAAGAAUAUUUAGAAGGAUACAUUCUUAUCAUGAUUUCAUCAUUAUAAGUUAGGUUUUCUUAUAUAAUUAAUAUUUUAAGAGAUUCAAUCUUUUGAUCGCCUCAACUCGCCCAAGAAGUGUCGGCUGGGUUUUGUUUUCACUACUAUGCAUCUGGGUCUUGUUACAGUGCCUUCGGUUCUAGGCUUCUAAUUCUUACUUUUUCAAAUUCUAGACCCAAUAAAUGAACUGUAUUCUGCAUUAUUGUGAAUCACCAAGCUUCCCAAAAGUAGCUCAAAGAUGAGAAACGACCCUGCCCAACUGGGGUUCUUCCUCUUUUUUCUCUCCCUAUGGAGACUCUUUAUAGAAAUGGCCAUGGCACAGAACACAGCAAUCCCAGUUAAUGCGGGAGUGGUCCUUGACUUUGAUACAUCACUUGGAAAGAUGGGUCUGAGCUGCAUCCCCCUGGCCCUCUCAGAUUUCUAUGCCUCUCAUGGUAACUACAAGGCUAGGCUCGUUCUGAAGACUAGAGACUCCAGAGAUGUUGGUACAACUGCAGCAGGUACUCUUAUCUCUGUUCUUCUUGCUCUCUCACAGUAGUAAUUAAGUGUUAUUUAAGUGUUAUCUGACCUAAUCUAUUAGAGUUUCUUCAUAUAAAUAUACCUUAUUUUGUUAAAACAAACACACAUUAAAUUGUUACUACCAUUAUUCUUAUGUGUAUUAAUAAUACUCUUGAGAAUGUAACUUUAUUUGAAGUUGAAUCAUAGUGUUGACCACAUCCCUCAAAACGUUGAAGAGUUCACUAAGGGCUAUGAGGUGUUAUGUCCUGGAUGUGAACGAUGUAGGUGUUGAUCAUUACAAGACCUCGGGGAGAAACAUCCACUCUAGGUAAAUCUAUGUACUUAGUUCUUUUAGAAUUAAUAGAUUUGCUCUAUGAUCACUUAAAUCCAUGAAUUUUAUACUUAUAGAGUUUCUAGUAUAUUUUAUAUGUGGUUUUCCAUGUACAUCACAUGCCCCUUGUGUGAUUGAAUUUUAUUUUGAUAUUUGAUUAUCACAUAUUCAUUACAAAAAAAUUAUAAAUGAGAAAAAAAAAAAUCAAAAUUUGGGGUUUAAAACUUAUGACUUCUUAUUUACCUCUCUCUAAGUAGUUUCAAGAAUCAAGAUAUAUAAGAAGUAUCAAAUUAUAUUAAUUCAAUUUACUAAUCCUAAUGUGAAGAAGUUUCAAUUUAUAGAUUUUGUUUUAAACCUAUAUUUCUACUUAUCCAUCUAUAUAUGCACACUCAAAUGAAAAAAUAGCAUGGGACUUUGAGGAAACAAACAAACUUCGUCUUUGGGGUGGUUAAUUGCUUACUAGUUUUGGACACAGGUUCAUCUCUAUCCAUCUUAAAAACUUCUGUUUGAAAGAAGAAUCAUCUCCACUUGAUUUGAAAGAAGAUAAAGGAAAAAGGCAAAUGCUGAAUUUUCAUUCUCUCAAGUUGUAUUUUCUGGUGGGCCUUCAACAUGAGAAUAACAAGGAAAUCAAAAGCUUUAAUUUCUUGUGACCCCUUUAAAUCUAUAGCUUCAAGAUGGAUGAAAUGAUAAAAAUAUUUUUAUAAAUUUCCUCCAAGUAGAGAAAAUGAAAACAAAGGGUUUAUUCUCCGUCCCUUCCCUUUCUUUCUCCUUUUUGUUCAAGUAUAAUGACUAAAGCAAAGCAGUGAUUUGAAUUUUUUUUUUUUUUUUAUCAGUUAAUGCUCUUACAUCUAAUGACACAUGAGACCCUUUAAAUUCCAAGACCAAGACAUUACUUGCAUUUUAUUACUGUUUUUUUUUUUUUUGGGAAUAAUUCAAAUUCAACUCUCUCCUACCAUGACUUUGCCCUAAUGGUCAUAAAUUUUGAGAGCCAAGCAUAUACCUCAUGACCUAGAAUUUUUUACUAUAUUGUUGUUGUACCUAUCACUAGAAUUUAGAGAGAGAGAGAGAACUACUCUAAUGCUUAUUAAUUAGGAUUUAGGCCCAUUGAAAUUGGAGCAUGUGUAAUGCAGGUAGAAAAAGACAAAAUUCCAAGCUGAUGUGAUGUGAAUUUCACUUAUAAUUUGUUCAAUCUUAUCUUCAAGAUAGAAAAUUGUAAGAAAAUAUUUGUCAUUCAUUUUGUACAAACAUAACCAAAAUGCAUGUGAAGCACUACUAUCAAAUGCUAGUAAAUUUGAAAUAACUUGUAGUUUGACUGUUGAAGAUGUGAACUUCUACAUGUUCCAUACUAUUGCCAACCAACACAUGAUUUCAUGGUGAAGUUGAGGAUUGGAAUUCCACUAUAUAGAAUACAGGAAAAAUACUAUUGGAUGGUAAAGCUUGAAUUAAUCUUAUGACCCUACAUAGAAGAUGUUCGAGAGAAAAGAUGUUCGAGAUUCUCCGGUGAGUUUGCAAUGAUUGAGCUUGUAGCUGUUAAAAGAAAAUUAAUUAGUUUUCAUUAGUGAGAGAAAAGAAAAAGUGUACGAUUGCAAUUGAGAGGAAAUUUCAUUAGUGAGUGAAGUAAAAAAAAAAAGUUUAUCCGAAAAGAAAAUGAAUUAUUGAUGUAAUUUUUGUGUGAAGUUGAUAGACUUCUAACCCAAAUGGCCCUAUUUUAUUAAAUGAAUUGCAGGAUGUACCUUGUUGAGCAUACAAUAAAUAGGUCGUCUUCCUCUUAAAUUAUAAUAUCAUAUCAUAUUUUAUUAUUAUAUUCGAAAAAUAUCUGAUAAACAAGAGGUUUUGUACCCUCGUUUGAUUGCUGACAGUAGAGUAUAAAUUUAUUCAUUCAUUUAAAUGUUUGUUUAUCGUUUGAACCUGCAUGCUCCUGAACUCAGCUGUAGACCUCUUACAAAAUGAAGAAGUGGAAGCCAUAAUAGGGCCCGGAUCAUCGAUGCAGGCCAACUUCAUGAUUGGUCUUGGAAGCAAAGCUCGGGUGCCCAUCAUUUCAUUUCUGCAACAAGUCCCUCUCUUUCUUCGCUUCAGAGCCAAUAUUUUAUCCGAGCUACCCUAAAUGACUCAACUCAAGUGCCGGCAAUAAGGGCAAUAGUCCAGGCCUUUGGAUGGAGAGAAGUUGUGCUUAUUUACGUGGACAACGAGUAUGGCAAUGAAGUCGUACCGUCUCUGACUAGUGCCUUGCAGGAGGUGGACACCCAUGUGACCUACCGGAGCGCCAUUCAUCCAUCGGCAACUGACGAUCAAAUCGUUAAAGAACUUUACAAGUUGAUGACGAUGUCAACUAGGGUUUUCUUUGUGCAUAUGCUUACGCCUCUUGGCUCCCAGCUUUUUACCAAAGAGCUUGUAAAGUUUUAAAAUCGGAUGGAAAAAGAAAAUCCAAGAAGAAUAUCCAACCAAUGAAAUCUCUGAGCUGAAUAUUUUUGGACUAUGGGCCUACGAUGCUGCUUCUGCACUAGCCAUGGCAGUUGAAAAACUUGGCGCGGGAAACUUCAGCUUCCAAAAGACCACCAUUUCCAGAGAUUCAACUGGUCUUGAGAGUAUUAGAGUUUCCCCAGUUGGCCCAAAUAUUCUCCAUUCACUAUUAGGUACUCGAUUCAGAGGCCUUACCGGAGAUUUUAAAAUUAUAGAUGGGCAACUACACACAUCAGCUUUCCAGAUAGUUAAUGUGAUCGGUGAAGGGGAAAGAGGGGUUGGAUUUUGGACAACAGAGAAUGGAAUUGUAAGACGAUCGAAUACUACUUCUAUGGCCAAUCUAAGAGCCAUUAUGUGGCCAGGAGAAUCUACUUCUGUUCCUAAAGGUUGGGUGUUUCCUACCAAUGGAAAGAAGUUGAAGAUAGGGGUUCCAGAGAAAAAGGGUUUUUGUGAAUUUGUAAAGGUGACGCGAGAUCCUAUCACUAAUAAAACAAAGGCCACUGGUUACUGCAUAGCUAUCUUCGAUGCCGUAAUGGCAACAUUACCAUAUGCUGUUCCUUAUGAGUACGUUCCCUUCAAGAUGCCUGAUAGAAAGGCUGCUAGUAACAAAGAUGAAUUGUUUCAAGGACAUGUUCUGGUCAGUCAUACUCUUUAGAUUCCCUAAUACAUAACAAUUUUCAUUCAACUGUAGCCAUCAACUGUCAAAUAGAGGGAAAACUGCCAUCCUUUUGCAAUGAAAUAUCUCACCGCCAAUUUUACCUUUACUUUUAUCAUGAACAGAAGUAUGACGCUCUGGUGGGAGAUUUUACUAUUCUAGCGAGCAGGUCCUUGUAUCUAGACUUUACAUUGCCUUACACCGAUUCUGGCGUAUCAAUGAUCGUGCCGAUCAUCGAUAACAGAAGUAAAAGAGCAUGGGUCUUUUUGAAGCCAUUAACUUGGGACCUUUGGGUGACAAGCGCUUGUUUCUUUGUCUUCAUUGGCUUUGUGAUUUGGACUCUUGAACAUCGAACAAAUGAAGAUUUCAGAGGGCCUCGUUCACAUCAAGUUGGCACAAUGUUCUGGUUCUCCUUCUCAACAUUGGUGUUUGCUCAGAGUAAUUACUCUUCCACCUCCUUCAAUUUUAUCUAGCAAUUUAUCUACUCUUGUAAUAUUCAAAUACAAAGCAUAUUCAGUACAUCUCAAACAAAUCGAAACUAACUUCUAGUAUAGCCUGCUUGCUUGUUUCCAUACAAUAUGCAAGUAAAUUUUAGGAUAAUUGUUAUGUUUCAGAAACUAUAUAUUUGCCUUUAUAUUGCUUUUCUGGAUUGGAUUUUCUUUUUCAUUCUUAAAUUACGUUAACAGAGGAGAGAAUUGUCAGUGACUUGGCUCGGAUCGCGGUGAUCAUAUGGUUAUUUGUGGUGCUGAUUCUUACUCAAAGUUACACAGCCAGCUUGACUUCAAUGUUAACAGUUCAACAGUUCAACAGCUUAACCCAACUAUCACUGAUAUAAAUGAGCUCAUAAAGAAGGGGGAGCGUGUAGGUUACCAAUAUGGCUCUUUCGUUUAUGAAUUCUUGAUCAAGUCGAUGAAAUUUGAUGAGUCCAAGCUUGUAAAGUAUGAGUCACCAGAAGAACUGGAUGAAUUAUUUUCAAAAGGUGGAAUUGCUGCUGCAUUUGAUGAAAUCCCUUACAUGAAGGUUUUCCUUGCAAAAUAUUGCUCCAAAUACACUGCAGUUGGACCAACAUACAAGUUUGAUGGGUUUGGAUUUGUAAGUGUUCUCUCUUAAAGUGUACAAAUUUUCAUGCAGCGGUUUCUGAUUUUUUAUCAUUUCAGGUCUUUCCAAAGGGUUCACCCCUUGUAGCGGAUGUUUCAAGGAAAGUUUUAAGCGUGACCGAGGGAGCUAAAUUGUUAGAAUUUGAGAAGGCAUGGUUUGGGCAAACAACCAGUUGUCCAGAGCUCACCAGCUCAGUUUCUUCAAACAGUAUCGGCCUUAAUAGCUUUUGGGGCCUAUUCCUCAUUGCUGGAGUCGCUUCAUUUGUAGCUCUCGUCGCAUGCAUCACCACAUUCCUUUAUGAAAAUAGAGACGCCAUAAUAAACUUGAAUCCCCCAUCUUCCAUAUGGAGAAAAAUUAAAGCCAUGGCUACACGCUUUGAUGACAAAGAUCUCAGGUCCCAUACCUUUAGAAAAAGUGAUCAACUUCCAGACAAGGGGCAUCAAAGCCAUGGAUGCAGUUACAGCCUCGCCAGCUACACCAACUUCCCUCCAAGUCCAUCAAGCCUUCUGAUCCCAACACACAGCGAUUUUGCCUUCUUUGGAGAACAAGGAACACCUUCUUCUGGACAUGGUGAUCCAGUCAGUCCAAAUCGGCCGAUGUCUCCUCACAUAUUGUUUGAAUAUGAGCUUGCUAAUUUAAAUCACGAGCAAACAAGACCGCCUGUAAUUGAAUAACUGAUCGAUUACUUCGUUUUUCUUUCCUGUGUAUUUUAUGCCGGUGGCACCAUUACCCACAACCAUGAAUUUCAAAAGAAAAAAAAUGUAGUUGUACCCCAUAGGCAUUUUAGUUAACACGGUGAUGUACAUUUAAUUUGCGGCUAAAAUUAAAAAUAAUAAAUAAAUAAAUAAUUAUUUACUACAAAUUUAUGUGAUUGUUAAAUGCCAUCUAUUUGCUAUGAACAAUAAUUCAUCACUGAGAAAUUGAUUUGUUAUGAAAUAAAAUGUUAUUGCAAAAAGCCAUUUCUUACCAUAAAAAUACCUUCUUUAGCGUUACGGAAAAUUGAGAAAUUUGUUGUAAAGAAUUUUCCGAAAAUUGAGAAAUAAUCGAAGUGGGACUGAAUGUCCAGGACUAGGACAGGGAGGUCCAGUUUUCAAACCAUCGCAGAUAUGACGCAAAACAUUAUUUUAAAAUCUAUAUUAGUCAACGGUUCCUACAAUUUUGACAGGACACGGAAGACCCAUUACUCAAGCCAUUACUUGCGCAUGCUUUUCUUUUUUUUUCUUUUUUUUUUGGCUUUUUAAAUGAAAAUCAAACUCAACCUUCCCACAUUGAUUAUUGCCUUAGAUUCCGUCAAAAUCACGAAUUUAUUGCUGCCCAACGCAACAGGUCAACUUCCUGCAUCCAAAAAAAAUCAAUAUUUUUAAAGAUUGUCCUUACACUAGCUACGUGGUUGACAUUGCUACGGAGGGAAUGUAAGGAUAGAUAUUCAUUUUCAUGGUUAUUCUUUUGUGCAGAUAAUCCAUUAAUUCUAAAUGAUGUAAUCUCUGGUGAAAAUAAAUAUUUUUUAUUUUAAAAAUUAUAAUUUUCAACUGAGUGGUAGUCACGUAUCAUCAUUAAACCUAUUAAACUCCAUUUCCACGCACCCGAGUGCAGAAGAUGAUAAGUUGACCAUGUGCCACCUAACACACAGCUGGGGAUUAUUGGAAUUCUGCUACAGGCGAUGAGUAGCUCCGUGGAGUUCAUCGUGAAAACCUCUCUCUUAUGAAUUUUAUGAGUCAAAUGCUAACGCAAGAAGGAAGCUAAAAUGUGUGUUUCCAUGGAAGAAUAUUUAUAAGGAUAUAUUCUGAUCAUGAUUUUAUCAUUAUAAGUUACACUUUCUAAUUUAAUUAAUAUUGUAAGAGAUUCUAUCUUUGACCGCCUCAACUCGCCCAAGAAGUGUUGGUUGGGUUUUGUAUUCACAACUAUCCAUCUGGGUCCUCUUGUUACAGUGCCUUCUCUUCUAGGCUUCUAAUUCUUACUUUUUCAAAUUCUAGACCCUAUAAAUGAGCUGUAUUCUGCAUUAUUGUGAAUCACCAAGCUUCCCAAAAGUAGUUCAAAGAUGAGAAACGACCUUGCCCAACAGGGGUUCGCCCUCUUCUUUCUCUCCCUAUGGGUUCUCUUCAUAGAAAUGGGCAUGGCGCAGAACACAACAAUCCCAGUUAACGUGGGAGUGGUCCUUGACUUUGAUACAUCGUUUGGAAAGAUGGGUCUGAGCUGCAUCCCCAUGGCCCUCUCAGAUUUCUAUGCCUCUCAUGGUAACUACAAGACUAGGCUCGUUCUGAAGACUAGAGACUCCAGAAGAGAUGUUGUUGGUGCAGCUGCAGCAGGUACUCCAUCCCUGUCUCUCUCGCUCUCUCACUUUCUCCUUCAUCAAUGUUUAUGAUUAAUCAUCUCGUUUGGAGCAUUGUUGAUGGAAUGAGAUUAGAAUUGCAUUAGUAUUACUGAGAAAAAUGAAAGCAAGUGAUCUUUAUCAGUCACCCCCAUUUGGUUUUCAGGAAAAAUCCCCUUACUCUUUGAGAAUUAGAAAGCAUAAUUCGAAGUAGUUCAUCAUUUGGGAAGUAAUUUUUUGAGAUACCUGCUCUGAUAAAGUGAGAAAAUUAUGAAAUUGACAUUGAAUCUUCAGCCCGUAAUUUUUUUGACAUUGAACAUUUUCUAUCUCAGCUUAGAGACCCAAAUGAAAGUUUUGAAAUAUAAAAUAUACUAGUAUACCCAAUUAAUUCUCAGCACAGCUCUUCACCAGAUGAAGAAGAUGGUUGGUCGUUUAACAAACCACAUUGUCAACUGCCGAUGGCAAAAGGUCUCCAUAAAUUGUGCCAUGGUCUUUUAACAAGGCAACUUUUCGUGACCAUAUGGCUGAUGAAGAGGUCAGCUGACAGUUCAAUGGCGGCUAAAAGUCUGUCGAAAAUUGCGGAUGGGAUUUAAAAAAAAUCAGGCAAGAAUUGGGUUUUGAGCCCAACUAGCCCAAAAAUUGACCAAAUAUCCAUAUAUCAUUCACAUUUAAACCCAAUACUCAAUUAAAGCGUAAAAAUUAAGUUAAGGAUAUUAUUCUUCAUUAAUCAGUAAAAUACCCUUAACUCGUACAUAUAGUUAGUGUAAUUUUUUUUUUUUCCCUUUUCUAUUCCCAAUUAAGUAUUACUUAUUUUUAAUUUUUUUUUUUCCUUUUAAAGAUAUUGAAUCUUUUUACUCUUAUUAUAAGUAAGGAUAAAAAAAUUUCAUAUAAAAUUUAAUGGAUAAUCAAUUAAUGAAAUUUAAUUCUUUUUAUUAUUUUCAUAUAAAAAAUAGUACUAAACAAAGUUUUCAAUUUUUCUUUUUAAAAAUAGUUUUCAUUUUUUAAUUAAAUGUUUUUUCUAAAAGAAAAUAUAAAAAAUAUAAAUCAUAUUACCAUUUUUUUAGAAAGUAUUUUUUAAAAUAGUUUUUGAACGUAAUUUUUCUUUAUUUAUAAUUUAAAAUAAAAAAUAAUGCUGAUUUUUAAUUAUUAAUAAAAAAAGUCCUAAAAAAUAAUGAAAAAUUCAAAUGGUUGAAAUAAAAUUAUUAUGAUUAUAUGAAUAAUGGUACAAUAAAUAUUGAAAAAGCUUAUGUGAAAGGUCAAUGGGUAUUUUGGUCUUUUAAUAUCUUAUAUCAUUUUUAUCAAUUAUGUAAGUUAUAUGGACCAAACCUUAAUUUUUGGGUCCAGCUGAUCCAAAACACAGUUGUCUCAAAAAUCACCCCCAUACUGUGGCUGCAGUAGGUCGUAGAGAAUAUAUAUUUGACUUUGCACUGAUAUAUAUAAAUAUUACCGUGUCUUCACGAGUUAAGGCAAAGUAGGAAGUUACCAAAGGUCAAACACGUUGCCUCUGAUCCAUGAUGAUAAGAUGUCAGUUUUUUCAUCUGAUGAACAUGAUCUGUUGUUUGAUCUACUGGAAAAGAUCCCUUUGUUAAUGUCUCAUAACAGAGUAGGAAGAUUAUUGGUAAUCUGUUGGUGAAAUUUUAUAUCUAUUUUGUUAUGUUUGCAUGUCUGAUUGCUGAGAAGGAUGUUAGAAAUUAAGAAUAUAUUAGAGUUUGCUUCUGUGUUUUUUAUUAUUUUGAACAUUUUGUGGUACUCAGCUCUAGAUCUAAUACAAAAUGAGGAAGUGCAAGCCAUCAUAGGGCCAGGGUCAUCCAUGCAGGCCAACUUCCUGAUUGUCCUGGGACAAAAAGCCCAGGUUCCCAUUAUUUCAUUUUCUGCAUCAAGCCCUUCUCUUUCUUCCCUCAGGAGUCAAUACUUUAUCCGAGCCACUCUAAAUGACUCAGCUCAAGUACCAGCAAUAAUAGCAAUUUUCCAAGCCUUUGAGUGGAGAGAAGCUGUGCUUAUUUACGUAGACAAUGAGUAUGGGGAUGGAAUUAUACCUUAUAUGACCGAUGCCUUGCAAGGGAUUGAUGUCCGUGUCACCUACCGUAGUGUAAUUUCUCCAUCAGCCACUGAUGAUCAAAUUGGUGAAGAGCUUUACAAGCUGAUGACAAUGCAAACUAGAGUUUUCAUUGUACACAUGGUUACGCCUCUCGGCUCUCGCUUUUUUACCAAAGCAGAUGAGAUUGGAAUGAUGGAAGAAGGCUAUGUUUGGAUACUAACUGAUGGGCUAACUGACCUCUUGAGUACUUUGGAUCCCUUAGUCAUUGACUCAAUGCAGGGGGUGCUGGGCAUAAAGCCUCAUGUUCCAAGAACAAAAGAGCUCGAAAAUUUCAGAGUCCGAUGGAAAAGGAAGUUCCAGCAAGAUCAUCCAAAAGAUGAGACCUCUGAGCUGAACAUUUUUGGAUUAUGGGCGUAUGACGCUGCUUCUGCACUAGCCAUGGCAGUUGAGAAAGUUGGGGCAACAAAUUUAAGCUUCCAAAAGACUAAUAUUUCCAGCAAUUCAACGGAUCUUGACACCAUUGGAGUCUCACAAAUUGGUCCAAAGCUUCUCCAGUCACUGUUAAGUACGAAAUUUAAAGGCCUCAGUGGAGAUUUUCAAAUUUUUGAUGGUCAACUACACCCCACAGCCUUUCAGAUAGUUAAUGUGAUUGGUAAAGGGGAAAGAGGGAUAGGAUUUUGGACUCCGAAAAAUGGAAUUAUAAGAAGACUGAAAUUCACAAACGCAAAUUCAAACACAUAUUCCACUUCUAAGGACAAUCUAGGAGCAAUUGUAUGGCCUGGAGAACCUACUUAUUUCCCUAAAGGUUGGGUGCUUCCAGUAAACGAGAAGAAGUUGAAAAUAGGGGUUCCAGUGAAGGAUGGUUUUAGUGAAUUUGUAAAAGUGACAUGGGAUCCUAACACUAAUGCAACAAAGGUCACUGGGUACUGCAUAGAUGUCUUUGAUGCGGUGAUGGGUUCACUACCAUAUGCUGUUCCUUACGAGUACAUUCCCUUUGGAACCCCAGACGGCAAGCCUGCCGGCAACUACAACGAUUUGAUAUAUCAAGUGUUUCUAAAGGUCAGUCAUACUCUUUACCCUUCCUAGUAUCUUCAUUUUGUUUUUAUUGGAUACACAAAAGAGCACCACCAUUAUCAACCUAUUCAAUGAAAUAUACAAGAAGAUUUCUAAUUUCCUCUGUUUUUAUUACCAACAGAAGUAUGAUGCCGUGGUGGGAGAUACUACAAUUGUAGCGAACAGGUCCAACUAUGUAGAUUUUACACUACCUUACACUGAAUCUGGCGUAUCAAUGAUCGUGCCCAUCAAAGACAACAAAAGCAAAAGCGCAUGGAUUUUCUUGAAGCCAUUGACUUGGGACCUCUGGGUGACUAGUGCGUGUUUCUUUGUUUUCAUCGGCUUUGUAAUUUGGGUUCUUGAACAUCGAAUAAAUGAAGAUUUCAGGGGCCCUCCUUCACAUCAAGUAGGCACCAUCUUCUGGUUCUCCUUCUCAACUAUGGUGUUUGCACAGAGUAAGUUCUCUUCCCUCAAAUUAACUUCAUUUGCUGAAAUGAUGUUGAUUUUCUGGUUCUUUUUUUUUUAUAGAGGAGAGAAUUGUGAGCAACUUGGCUCGGUUUGUGAUGAUCAUAUGGUUCUUUGUGGUGCUCAUCCUCACUCAAAGUUACACCGCCAGCUUGACCUCAAUGUUAACCGUCCAACAGCUCCAGCCAACCGUUACAGACAUAAAAGAGCUAAGAGCGAAAGAUGAGUAUGUAGGUUACCAACAAGGCUCUUUCGUUCUCGGAUUCUUGAAAAGGAUGAACUUUGACGAAUCCAAGUUUAGGAUCUAUAAUUCUCCAGAAGAAUUAGCUGAACUAAUCUCGAAAGGGAGUGCAAAUGGAGGUAUUGCUGCUGCCUUUGACGAGAUACCUUACAUGAAGCUGUUCAUUGCACAGCAUUGCUCGAAAUAUACCAUGGUUCAACCAACAUACAAAUUUGAUGGGUUCGGAUUUGUAAGUGAACUCUCCUCUCACAAACAAACACUCAUUCCCAAUAUAUAUGUAUCAUGUGUGAGUUUUUCUUUUUUCUUUUUCUUUUUUUCUUGAAUUUCAGGCCUUCCCAAGAGGUUCUCCUCUCGUACAGGAUGUUUCAAGGGCAGUCUUAAAGGUGACUGAGGGAGAUGAAAUGGUAAAGAUUGAAAAAGAGUGGUUUGGGAAAAAAACUAGUUGUUCAGAUGAUAAUGGAAGCUCACUUUCUUCUAACAAUAUCAGCCUUGAUAGCUUUUGGGGCCUUUUCCUCAUUGCUGGAGCCACUUCAUCUUUAGCUCUGAUCAUAGGUAUUGCCAUGUUCCUGCAUAAACAUAGAGUUGUGGUAAUGGGCGAAGAUUCAGUAUCAGAAAAGAUUAAAACCUUGGCUACACGUUUUGAUCAAAAAGACCUCAGCUCUCAUACUUUCAGAAUACCUGACCAGCCAUACAGCGGUAGCACUGAGCCUAUGGCUGCAGUUGGAGCCUCUCCAUCAGUGAUUAACUGCUUGCCAAGGCCAUCAACCCUUUCCAACCAAACCAUUAAUGAGAUUUCCCUCUCCGGAGAACAAGGGACCUUUUCUUCAGAGCACGGUGGUGGUGGGAGCUCAACCACACCUAGUAGGCAAUCAUCGCCAGUGAUAGUACCUGCUGUUGAGCUUGUUAAUUUAAAUCAAGAGAGAACAAAUAUACCUCCAACAUCACAUUAGAAAAACUGACCAUACAUAUUUUGUGUCAUACUUCAUUGUAGUAACAUUAUCAUUAUAGUUCAUAGCAUGAUAGGAUUGUAAAUCUUGCUGAUUGUUGACAGGCUGAAUUUAACUCCUGUACUUCACAUUUUCUAAUUGUCAAAUUGGUUGUUAUCUGCUUGUGUAAAUAGUUUGUUAUCAAGGAGGAAACAUCACAUAACUUAAUAUACUUACUUUUGGAAGUUCAUUUAGUUAGACUGUCAAUAGUGUUAAACAGAUCACUAUUUUUUUAUUUUUUAUUUUGCUUAUAAUUUCCUUUUCAACGAAGAUGAAAAUCUGUACAUAGAAUAGUUCUUUUGGGCAUCAACGAAUUUCAAAAACAGUUAUUUAUUGAAAUAUAUGUUUGGUAAAGUUUAGACUCAAAACAGUUUUUUUAUUUUAAAAACAAGUCAUUUUUUUCAUAAUAAAUUUAAUAUUUUUUAGACUUUUUUUAUAGAACAUUCUAAGAAACUGAAGUCCAAAUUAUUAAAAAAUAUAUUGAGUAAUAAGUUAGUAAAAUAAAAAUAAUAAUAAUGAAAAUAUAAAUUAAAACUUACAAAUAAGAUUAAUCGAAACUAGAGUUUGCCUUUGCUCAAGUACUUACAAUUAGUGACAAUCAUCCCCUAAGAUGCAACAACCACUUUCUUAUGAUAGUAAUACUUCAAAUUAUAAGAAAUGAUAAACAAUAAUUCGUACUUUCUAUAAACGCUUAGAUGCUUUCAAAAUAUUCACUUAUAACUCAUACUUAACUUGGAAUGAAUUACCACACUUAGGAAUGACUUGGAAUGGAACACCACACUUGGAAAUGACUUGAAAAAGAAUGAAAAUGUGAUGUUGUUGGAAUAAAUGAAAUGUUAUGGGGGGUCCCUUUUUGUAGGUGCAGAUAUGUCCCCUAGAAGAGAUGUUUCCGCUUAAGGGUCUCACCUAUCUAAUCACCUAUCUAAAAAAUACGUCUUAUAUCUUUUUAGACGAUGUGUGUCUUAAAUGGAAAAAGUUUUUGGAAAAAAAAUUAAAAAUUAAAAAAACCACUUUAUGUAAUUGGGCUUUUCUAGUUACAUCCAAAAGCGUGUGAGCUAGGUGAGGCCCAAGUCCACUCCCAUCUAGUUAAACCCAAGCAUGUAUGAGCCUAGGUUCAAGCCUAUAUUUUGUUUAAAGAUUUCAAAAUGGUUAUAAAGUCCUCUCCCAACUAGUAAUCUUUAAAUGUAGAGUUACUUUCUUCCAUCACAUUUUCCAUUGACACAUAGGUCACUUUUGAGUGCAAUUUUUCAUAUACUCAUAAAUGGUUUUCGACAUAUAAACAUAUUGCAUUCAUCUAAUCACAAUGAUGAAUGCAUUCCAUCAUGGCCCCACCUUAAAAUAUUUAUCAAGCGCACUCAAAGAUCAACUCAAAGUAGUCUUUAUAUCAGAGUUUAAAAACCCAUUUUCCCAACAAUUCUCCUCAUGAAUGGAAAUUGACUUGUUAUAUGCAAAUGAUAGGUAGACAUUUGAGACAAUACUAUUUGGAAAGAAGUUACAUUAGGAUAGAUAACUUGUGGCUUUGAACCUUCCUUAGUGAAAUAAUAGCGAAUUUACUAGCUAGUUAAUGAUGGCGAUGUCUUAAAUUGUUCAAAUUUUUAUACAAAUCAAGUCAAUAGUAUUCACAGAACUCCUUCAUGGAAUUCAUUUAUAUUAAUGAUUGUGUUCAUUUGGACCUAAACAACUCCUAGUUUUUCAUGAUACUCUAGAAAAUUUAAGCCUUAAAAAUUCUCGUAGAAACAAUCUUAUUUCACACUCACAUAGGUGAUUCCUAUUAAAAGUAUCCUAGCAUACUUCAUUUGGUUUUUCAAGCUAUAAGAUUCAUUAAAAGCAAAGCUUAACCUAGUUCACAUUGUAGAUAGCACUAUUUCAUGAUAGGAAUAGAUAAGAGAGAUUAUCUCUUUAGUGCUUGUCUUAGUCAUUCAUGACUUAGUUGUCCCUUUGAACUUAGAUCUUGGGAUUUCUAGUUAACUAGUUUAAGACCAUUAUAAUGACUCUUGGUCAUAGGCUUUAAUCACAUUCCCUUCGAUGAGCAUUUAUUUUGAUCUCUUGACAAAACCUUAGUAAGUUGAUCCAAAAGGUUGUCCUUUAAUUUGAUAUAAUAAAUGAAAAUUACUCCAUUUGAAAGUAAUUGUCCUACUAUAUCAUAUCUUCAAUGUAUAUGAUGAAACUUACCAUCAUAUAUGAUAUUUGUGUCAUUCUAAUAAUUGAUUGAUUAUCAUAAUGAAUUUUAUAAUAGGGACAAGUUUUGGCUAACAUGGUAUAUUCUCCUACUUCAUCAAAUUCCAUUCUGGUCUAGCAAUACAUGUUUGCUUUGAGGACUUUCAUGAUACAUAUCCUCCUCCUAUUGUGAAUACAUAUCCAUUGGUCGAUUUGGUGUCUUUUUUAUUAAAUAUCCACUUUGCAUCACUAAAUCCUUCAAGUACAAUCAAAUAUCUUAAUGUAAUGAAAUCCAUAAUUUAGAGUGUAUCUUAGGUAAUAAGAACCAUAAUUAUUUCCUUCCAUUGAUCUUUUCCUAGAUUGUUUGUAUAUCUAUUGAACUUAUUGAAUGCAUACAUAUGUUUUGUUUAGUCAUGUAUAGUUCAUGAGAUACAUUAGACUACCUAUUAUGCUGUAAAUAUUCUUAUUAAAAUAUAGUUUGACUAGUUUUUUUAGCUAAUUGUAGAUUUAUGUCUAUUGGUGUCUUUAGUGGACUAUAUUCAUAUUUAUUUUUAAGUAUUUUCUCAAUAUAAUACAAUUGAGAUGGUACUAGUCCACUAGAUAUCUUAAAGAUUUUAAUUUUUACUUCCAAAAAUUAGUAUAUUAUCCAUGUACAGACAUACUAUUACAUAACCAUUGGGUGUUCUCUCAGCAUAGACACAUUUAUCAUAUUCAUUAAUCUUGAAGUCGUGUGACAUUGAAACGUUGUCAAACUUCUCAUGUUAUUGUUUUGGUACUUAUUUUAAUCCAUUUAAAGAUUUAAAAAGCUUGCACACUUUUUUCUCUUAUAUAGGAGCAACAAACCUUUCAAGUUGUUUCAUUUAUAUCUCUUCUUAUAAUUCACUAUUUAAAAAUGUUGUCUUGACAUCCAUUCGAUGAAUUUGAAGAUUAUGUAAUGCAGUGAUCAUUGUUAAUAUUCUAAUGAAAGUUAUUUUUAUGAUUGGUGAAUAUGUAUCCACAAAUUCAAGACCUUCUCUUUAUUUAAAAUCUUUACCUAUCAAUCUAGCCUUGUAUUUUUUUAAUUGAUAUCAGCCUUUAAUGUUCUCUAAAAGAUCCAUUUACAACUUAAAGGCUUACUUCCUAGUGGAAGAUUCAACAACUCUUGUGUAUGACUUAGUAUGAUGGAUUCAAUUUCACUAUUGAUAGGUUCUUUCUAGAACAAAGCUUCUUGAGUUGAUAUUGCUUCUUUGAAUGUCUAGAUUCAUUCUCUAAAAUAUAAGUCAGAUCAAAAGACUUAAAUACUCUUAUCCUUUUAUUACCUCUAGGUUCUUCAACAUUUUGAUGACUACUAGUAGUAUGAUAUGUUCUUUUCUAAGAACUUUUUUCUAGAAUACUUUCAAAGCAAAGGUGUUCUAAAAAAAUAAGGCAUUUAUUCAUUCAAUGAUUACAUUUUCAUGAAUAUCAAGAAUGUCUAAUUUAUAUAAAAGGAACCAAUAUGCAUUACUAUUAUUGGCAUAACCAAUAAAAAUACACUCCAUUGUUUUAGGCCCUAUCUUAAUUUUUAUGGUUAUGAAUAGCUACUUUAGUUAAAGACCCACAAACUUUCAAAUAUUUAUAGGAAGGUUUUCAUAUUUUCCAUAGUUCAUAUGUAGUUACAUCGUUUUUCUUGUGUGGAAUUUUGUUAAGAAUGUAGUUUGUUGAAAAAAAUUAUUACCCCUACAAAUUCUAGGGUAAACCAUGACUUAUCACCAUAGCAUUCAUCUCCUUUAAUGUUUGAUUCUUGUGUUUAACAACACCACUUGAUUGGGGUGAAUAAGAUGCACUAAUUUGAUGAAUAAAUCCAUGUUUAGAUUAGAACUCACGAAAAGUUGCUUCAUAUUUUCCGCCUCUAUCCCUUCUUAUUAUCUUUAUUUUAUUUCUAAAUUAGCAUUUAUGAUUGGGAUUAAUGUGAAAGUUCCACAAUAAAUUUAAAUUUUUUAACUUGCCCAAAGAAUUAAAAUUCACAUAUUCUAAUUUAUCAUGCCAUAAAUUAGAAGACUCAAGCAAAUAACCAAAAGAGUUAAGUGGUGUUUGUUUUUUGGCUGAAUAGAAAAAGCUAAAAUAUUUGUCUUUUUCUAUUCAGUUAAAAGUAACUCAUUGACAUCAACCAACAUAAUUAAACUAAACUUACUAAUAACAAGUUUACUUUAAUUAUGUUGGUUAAUAUCAACAAGGAACUUUUUCCAUUCAGCCAAAAAACAAACACCACCUUAGCUUAAUUAUUAUUACUAAAAUCUUGCAAUAUAGUCAUUACAUUCAUCUUUAAAAGCCCAUUUAUGGGACACCCUUUGCCCAUAUAUAACCUAUUCUUGUUGAAUAGAAACUUAUUAUAUUUAAAAACCAUCUUGAACUCAUUUUUACUUAAUAAUGAGCUAGACACUAAAUUCUUGCAGAUAUUCAACAAAUGCAGCACAUAUUUGAGAGUGAAUUAUUUCCCAAAAUCAUUUUUACUAACCUUUCUUAUGCCUCCGACUUUAGAAGUUGAAUUACCCAUGUAUAGCUCACUUUUAUUUAUUUGCUCAUAAGAAGAAACAUCUUUGUAUUUGAGCAUACAAAUCGAAUAGCUCCUGCAUCUAUCCAUCACUCUUUAGGGUUAUGUUAGGAUAGAGCUCUUAAAAGCAUGACAUGAUGUAACAAUAAAGGAUUUAAUUCUUCAAUUUUUUUUAAUCUAUUUUAUUCAUGCAUUAUAGUAUCAGAGCAUUUAAGCCUAUCAUCUUUCACAUUGUACAUGACUUGAGUGCAUUAGGAGUCACACGAAAGGUCCAAGUCAUGGGUUCAUUACAAGUAGAUAAGUUAUUCAUAACUGGUUUAUAGACUAGCAACCUAUUUGAAAUUGUAGUGUACUACCUUUUAAUUGAUGGAAUGACUUAUCUUUAUCAUCGAGAUAAGGUUCCCAUAGUGAGGACACGAGUGUGUAUGGUGAGUCAUGACCUAUAGCGAGUGAUGACAUUAGCUAUUGGGUAUUCAUAACUUCACCAAGCUACUAUGUUGUAUGGGUUCUUACCUUAAAAGGAUACAAAGCUAGUGUUGAAUUCUUUAGUCUUCAAUGACUUUAACCUACAUAUGAGACCCUAAGUUCCCUAUGAAUUGGAUCACUAUUGAUAAAAGUUAGUAGCAAUAGGUAUACUCAAAAUAGGAACCAUAAUACCUCAUGGGUUUGAGAUAGUUACUUCAUACACUCUUGUUAUUUAAUCUUCUAAAAGGAGAAACCCUAGCCUCUAUCCCCAUCAGAUAGGAUUCCACCUCCUCACGUAACAAGAUCCAAGAAAAAAAGUCAUCACAUAGAAGAUCUAUUAGUCUUCAAGAUCCAUGUCAACUUUUCAUUGAUUGGAAUCAAUUUGUGAACAUCUAGAUCUCAAGCAUAACAUUUAUUCUCUAGGUAUAUUUUUUUAAUAUGUAUCAUGUUUUCACUACGUAGAUCUAGAGCCCCUAGGAUAAUUUUGCAUUCACCCUACAAAUCUAAGGAUAAGAAUGUAGUAAUCUAGGUUUUCCUAUAUGUUAUCCACCAUAUUAACUUCAAAUACCAUAGCAUAAAAAAGAACAAAUUUGUCACAAGAGUUCCUUGUUUCUCUUCUUUAGUCAUGUGUACUAGAUUUUUAUUAUCAUGUCCUUUGAAACAACAAUCUUUCACUUGAUGGCCUUAUUUAUUACACACAUCACUUCUGAUUAAAAAUUUUAAGACUUACCUUUCCUUCAAGUACGACAUUUACCAAAGUAUUUCCUUUUUUUUUUUCUAACACUAGGUUUCUUCUCCACCAAGUUUGCCUUGGAAUCUAUAGAAAACCUUCCCAAUUUCUUGUUAAAAGCUCAAUGUUCUUCUUCAAUCCUCAAUUUCAUAAUCAAGUCCUCAAAUCUCAUCUCCUUAUGCUCAUGCUUCAAGUAAUUUUUGAAAUCUUUCCAAAAGGGUGAUAAUUUUUUAGUUAUAACUACAACUUGGAAAGACUCACUUAUCACCAUCUUUUUUGCAUGUAUCUCAUGCAAGAUAAUUCAUAAUUCUUAGACAUAACUAUCUUGGAGUUUAUCAUUUUGAAUUCCAAAAAUCUAUCGACUAGAUAUUUCUUCAAGUGCACAUCCGUGAUUACUACUCAAAAAGUGUUAUUUGAUAGCUUAUACUUAACUCUUUUAAAUACUUUUGAGUAGUAGUUAUCACCUUUUAACCCAAUUAACAUAUUAAGGACCCUUGUAAUCAAUUCUAAUGAAAUUGUGUUAAGUUUUGGUGUUUUGAUAGCUUUUUUAUCACCAAACCAAUCCGAGAUUGAGGAGAGUUCUUUAGGAAUCCAUGGAAAAAGAGUCUGGACACACCAUUGGAGAGCGGCGGAACGUGGGCUGUAGCAAGGCUUGCUAGCUUUAGUCAAUGUUUUCCAUUCGGACAAACAUAUUCGGAUAGGAUAUGCUAUCAUCCGGAUGAAGUUGAGCUGGAUGGGUCCCUACACCUUACAUACGCAAACGGUCCCCCUUGCGCAGCAUAGCUCGGUCCACCCGGGGAAGAAUUCCGUGCGCCGACAUUUUACAUCCGGAUAUCUCACAGCUGGAUGGGAGAGGAGGACGCUUCAACUUCUCCGGAUAUACAUAUCCGGACCUUCUAAUAACGCUCACCCGGAGAGUUUUUCUCUCAGUAUACAAUGUCGCGGUGUUAUCCUGAAGCUUCCUGAUAUUUUCGACCGACAUCUUGAGAUAUUUCCGACCGACAUCUUGAGAUAUUUUCGACCGACAUUUUGGGAUAUUUUGCUUUAGAUAUUUGAUGUCUAAAUCCCUAAACUCUCCUUAUAAUCCACCUAUCAUAGGACUCCUUAGUCUUUAAGUAAGAACAAGGGGUGAAUAACCUCUUAUAUAUAGUUUGUAAUUUCCUUUACACAGAACAUCGAUCAUAUAUCAUCGAUCAUAUAUCAUAUAUAUCAUAUAUAUGAAACCGACAAACAGAGCACUUGCUCUGUUUUUCCUAUUUUUGUUUUCUCGUUAGUUUUCUUUCUAGCCAAUCAAAUUUUGAGGAUUUUUCCUCAGAGGAUGAGAGGCUAGGCUCUUUGUCUCUUGGAGUAAAGAAAGCUGGGUAAGUUUCCUCAUGCAUAAAUUGGAAGUUUUGUUGUUUUAGUUUUUAAUGAAGAGAAAGUGUGAUCCUUUAAUGAUUUCUAUGUUUUUAGUUAACUUAAAACACCUUCAAGUCACUUGAGCCAACACUUGGUAAGGCACGUGAUCUCCAUCCAUGGAGAUGCACUUGUUUAUCUCUUGCGAGCUUUUGGGAAGUGACUUGGAGGUAGGAUUUUCUAGAAUUGCCAACACUUGGUAAGCUUUUGGACUCCAAGGAGACAUCCAUUAGUUAUCUCUUGCGAGCUUGAGAAGGGAAGUCUAAAGUUAAAGAUCACCUUGAAUAGCAAAUGCUAGGUGAGAGGCACGAGCCAUUGCAAGUUGUAUCAGUGAGAGGGAAUUAGAGCUGAAAUCCAUUUAAAGGUUACAUUUGUACAACACCGGUUAGAGAAUUGAUUAUAUGUUAAUUCUCUAAUGCGAGGAAAUGAACCAAAUGACCAGAGCUCUCUUUUUGCAUAAGGAACCUCCCCUAUGAACCCAAACCUCCAAGGAAUGUUUUUCUUCAUAAGUAAUUUCCAUUACUUUCUUUUUGGUUAGUUUAAGACCAAACCCUUUUCACUCAAACAUCUUUAUGUUUUUUUUUAAAGCUAACCUUGAAAUGAAAAAGCACCAACUCAGCUUUGAAUUGGUAUCAGUUGUGAGUUGAAAACCCUUCCUAGUGAACGAUCCUAGAGCCACUAUGCUAUAGUAGCUUUGUCUUUGCUACCCUAGUUCAUGGUGUAAUAGGUUAUAAAUUUUGUUGAUUACUACCUCAAUCAAGGAGCGCCAGCUGGACAUGAAUCAGUUGAGACACCAAUUGGGAACGAAUCAAUCCUCUAUCCUAUACUUUUUCUCUAAGGACUUUCACAAUUCCUUAGUAGUAUAUAUUGUAUAUAUUGGACUAUACAUACUUUAUAGUGUGUUGUCCAAACCAAGGAUGAAAAUUUUUGUUUUUUUCAUCGAAAUUUCGGCGAUAUUUCGUGUUUCAGCCGAUGGCGAAACGAAAUAGGAGGGCGAAAUGUCGACGGCAGAAAUAUCCAAAAAUUUCGCCAAAAAUCGGAUAAAUUUCUUUGAAAUUUUGGUAAAAAAAGAAAUUUCGGCGAUUUUUUCAAAAAAUCGCCUCUAGUUGGAAAAUUUCUGAGAAAUAUCAUUUUGUUUCGGUUUAUUUUGGCAAUUUUUCUCCGAUUUUGUGAAAAAAAAAAAAUUGUACCUGUAACACUAGCAUCGAUGCUGAACGGAGGCGAUAAUGGCGGAACCAUCGGUGGUGAGGUCAAGUUACACAACCACGGAUCAAACGGUGGUGUUAGGGCUUGAAGAGUGGUUGAUUUCUUGGCAGAGAGAGAGAGAGUUGAGGUGCUGGGUUCGACGAGCAGGGUGAUGGGUCUAGCGAGCAGCGGCGAUGGGUCCGACGAGCAGCAGUGAUGAUGUUGGAGGCUUGGAGCCACUUUGGCGAGGUCGAGACAGAAGUGGCAUCACAUGUAAUUUUGUGAGGGACGCCUUGCACCUACUGCUCAUCCAACGGCUCCUAGUUUCCCCGCAUUGAUCUGACGGUUCAGAUUUGGUCUGACCUCCAACGGUCAAUUUUUUGUACAUCUGAUGGUCCAAAUUGAAGCUGGAUGUGAUCCAACGGUUAGAAUUGAACCCUAACGUCUAUGUGAUGAUCCAAUGGUUAGAUUUUGCCCAGAUUUCGAUCCAACGGCCAAUUUUGUUUUCCAACGGUAAAAUAAGAUUCCAACAGCUUUUUGGCCCAAUUUUUUUUUCUAUAAAUAGCUUAUUUUUCACCAAUUUCAUCCACAUUUCAUAUUUGAUCUCUCAUUGCUCCCAAGGUUACUCAUUUUGUUUUUAAGGUAUGUUUGUUUUAAAUUUUUAUUAUUUUGUAUUGAAGUGUUAUUAAUUAGUAUAUUAUUUAAAUCUUCAAUUUUAUUUAUUUUCUUUUCAAUUGUCAUGAAUUAGUACAUAAAUGUUUUUUUCUUUUCAUUUGUAAUUAUUGAAUUAAUUAGUACAUUUUUAAAAUCUUGAAUGAAUUAGUAGAUUUUCAUAUAAUUAAUUUAGUUUAGUUAAUUUAUUAACUUAAUUAACAAUAUUAGUAGCUUCCCAAUUUUUUCAAUUUUUUUAUAUUUUCAUUCGUAAUUAAUUAGUACAUUUGAAUUAAUUAGUACAUUUUUUAAAUCUUGAAUGAAUUAAUAGAUUUUCAUAGAAUUAAUUUAGUUUAGUUAAUUUAUUAACUUAAUUAACAAUAUUAGGAGCUUCCCAAUUUUUUCAAUUUUUUUUAUAUUUUCAUUCGUAAUUAAUUAGUACAUUUGAAUUAUUUAGUACAUUUUUUAAAUCUUGAAUGAAUUAGUAGAUUUUCAUAGAUUUUCCUAUGUACUUUAUGUUGAUGGCAUCAUUACCGACAACCAUGAAUUUCAAAAAAUUAAAAGAAAAAAAUAUGUAGUUGUACUAUAGCCAUAUGCAUUUCAGUUAACAUAAUAAUGUACAUUCAAUUUGUGUGUGUAUAAAUAGGGAAAAUUGUGAUUUCUGGUGAGAUGGACCUAAAAAUUGACCCAAUAUCCUCAUAUUGCUCAUAAUUAAUGAUAAGGAUAAGAAAUGGUGAUAGACAAAAAUACUCAAUUGACUUAUCACAUGCUCAUGCUAGUGUUUGUAGGAUCCAUCAUUUAUAGGGAUGGCAAUGAGGUGGGUUUUUUUGGAUACCCACCCUGCCCCGCCCCUAAUAGAAUGGGUUUCAAUUUUAAUUAAACAAGUUUGGGAAUUUUUUUAAAACUUAGGGCGGGUUUGGGUAUUGCCUUGUCCCAUCUCGUCCCAUCCCACCCCACCUUGCCCCAAUUACAUAUAAAUUAAUUUUGGGUUAUUUGGUUAAAGAGGUCAAAAUAACCCCCAUAUUUGCAAAUAUAAUCCACCGGUUAAAAAGCAAAACAAAAUUGUUGAUUUAGACAAAAAUGGCCUUCUUCUUUUUUUUUUCUCCAACACUUACAACUUCUCAUCUUUUGCUUCAUUUACAGAACAACUCCUCAUAUUUUCCAAAAAAAAUUCUCUCAUCAUCUUCUUCUACUUCAUUAUCUUCUUUUGAUGCACAACACGGAAAGCUCAUCUCCUCUUCCGCUUCAUUUAUAGAAUGAGUCCUCAUCUUUCAUCAUCUUCUUAUAUUUCAUUAUCUUCCUUUGAUGCACAAAACAAAAAACUCAUAUUUCCUUAAAAAUUCCUAGAAAAUUUCUCGUCUAUCCUCUCAUCCUCUAUUUCAUUCCGAAUCCUUGGAAAAAAAUUGUUAUUCUACUUUUUUCAAGUUAUCUCAUAUUGUAUCUUCAAGCAAGAAGGAAACAAUGAGUUCAUUGAAGAGUGAUAAGAGAAAAAGAUUUAAAAAAAAGUGGCGAAAAAGCAAAAAUGCCAAUUGCAAAUAGAAGAAAAAAGUAAAGCAAAGGAAAGCGAAGCUACUAAGCAAAAAUCUCAAUUACCAAUAGAAUAGGCAAGUGAUUUUGCUAAACCGGUGAAUGUAGUCUUCACAUAUGAUAAAUUAUUGAAAUUUUUAGAGAUGUUAUACAAUUAUAUUUGAGUAUGGUUAAUUUUAUUAGUUAAAUGUUUUUAAAAAUUUAGGAUUUAUUGAAUUGUAUUCAAAGUAUAAAAUUGUUAUAUUUAUUUAUUUAGUUGUCCAUUGUUAUUAGUUAUGUAUUUGAGUGAAUAAAUUUAGGUUUUUUAGCUGAUGUUUUAAAAUAUCUGGGAACUAUUAUAGUGUGUUGAAAAAUAAUAAAUUGCAUAUUAAUAUUGUUUUAGUUUUCUGUAUUAUUAUCAAUCAUGUCUUUAGAGUGAAUUAGAUAUAUUCAAUGUAAUAGCAUCUAAUUAGGGAUAAGUUUGCAAAGAAUUUAUAAAAUUUUAGGGAUUUUUGGAAAUUUUAGGGGUAUUAUACAAUGGUGUUUGAGUAGGUCUAUGUUCUUUACUUGAUACUUUUAAAAUUUUGGGAACUAUUGAAUUGAUUUCAAAAUAACAUAUGGUAUAUUUAUAAUUUUUGUAGUUAUAUAUUGUUGUCAAUUAUGUAUGUAGAGUGAAUAAAAAAUAUAUAAUGAAUUCAUGCAAUGAAAUGUGAUUAAGGAUAAGUUUUUAAAGAAUUUAUGAAAUUUUAGGAUUUUUGAACUUUUUAGGGAUGUUAUGUAAUGACAUUUGAGUAGUGUUAAAUUUGUUAGUUAAUAAUGUUUUUAAAAUUUUGGGAACUAUUGGAGUGUGUUAAUCAGUAUUGUAUAAUAUUUAUAAUUUUGUAUUAAAUCUUUACUAGCUUAAUUUUAUUUAAUUUAUAGACUACUACUCCUUCGACAUGUUUUAAAGUUAAAAUACCUGUAAAAGAGCACUUCCCAUCAAAGGCUUCAUGUCUAUCACACUUGAGUGUAAUAGAAAAUAUUAAAAAGAAGCUCAAUAAGGAACAAUUGGAGAGGUUCAAGGAUUCUUGCUUUGGACAUUUUUUGCUUAUGCCAGAACUUAAAUUUUCAGCUCAAAUUGUGCACCACAUGUUAUUAUGUCAAUGUCUUAUAAAGAAUGAUGAUGAAAUGUGGUUUUUAGUAAAUUCAAAGGGAUUAAGAUUUGGUGAAGAUGAGUUUGGAUUAAUCACUGGUUUAAGUUUUGGUCCCAUUCCUCAGCAUAAUGAAACAUCAAUGAGAAUAAGGGAUGUUUACUUUAAUAGUGAAAACAAAGUGUGUAAUGAUCAUUUGGAGAAAGUUUUUCUUUCUUUUGGUGAAGUGAAAAAAAAAAGCAAAAGAAAAAUGUUGAUAAUCUUAAAGAUGAAGACAUGGUGAAAUUAGCCUUAUUGUACUUUCUUGAGCAUGUUCUACUUGGGAAAGAAGGGAAAAAUUUAAUAGACAUGCAAUGGGUUGGUCUUGUUGAUUGUUUGGAAGUUUUUAAUAAGUAUCUAUGGGGUAGGAUUUGUUAUGAAAGAACAAUUUAUGGGCUGCAACAAGCCUUGGAGAACCGGGUGUCAAAAUACCAAGGUAAAAAGCAACAAAAGGGUAAUAUAGCAUAUGAGGCAUAUAGUUUAGUUGGAUUUCCAUAUGUCUUCCAAGUUUGGGUGUAUGAGACUAUUUUGAUUAUCAAAAUGAAAUAUGCUAAUCAUGUUGCUAAGAUUUGCCCACAGAUUUUAAAUUGGAGUGCUACUUCCACAUUGAGGUUCACUAAGCUCCAACAAAUCUUUUUGGACUCCAAUGUGAGUAAUUUUUUUACCAUAUAUUUUAAUAGUGUUGUCACUUACAUAUUUGUAUAUGUUUAUGUUUGUUAAUUAAAUUACUUAACUUGAAUUCAAUUGUUAUCUUUGUGUUCGUUGCUUAAACCUACUUUGGAGGAAUGUCAACAAAAUUAUUACAAGUAUUUGAAUAAGUUAGGGUCAGUGAAGGGUGUUUCUCCAAAAAUUUUAAGCCAACCAACAACCCCGGAACAUGAUACUAUGGGUGACCUAGAAGAUGAAGAUCACCCGGUUGAAGUUAAUGCGUAUGCUGCUGCUGGUGCUACAAUGGAAAACAAGAAGAAAAAAGAUUAUUCUAUCCUACUUUCAAUUGAGGUAACUCUACUAUCAUACAUUCAUCUAUAAAUGUCAUUUUUAAUGUUUCAAUUGUAAUAUAAAGUUCAAAAAAAAAUUCAAAUUGAAAACUUAACCUCGGUUAAGUUAAUCAUCAAUGAAACUUACCCAUAGUCAAGUGAAGGUUACUUUGACAAACAUAACAUAACUAUCAUAAGUACACAUCAAUUUUUUUUAAAUUAUGACUAUAAUUUUGGUGUACAAUGAUGUAUGAUGAAUUAAAGUUUCAUUUUUUUUAUAACAUGUGUAGAAUCUAUGGAUAGAGUUCAUGAAGCAUAUAGAAAAGUCUAAAUCAAAUUUCAAUUAUUUGAAGAAAGAACUGAAGGAAGUGAACAGAAAGAUUGACAACUUAAGACAAAUUUUAUUGGAUGUUAGUGAUAUAUUUAUUGAAUUUUAUAUUUUAUUCAAUCAAAUUAUGUAUUUUAUUUCUAUAUUUCUACUAUCUUAUUGUAUGGUGCAUAUCUUAUUUUAGGUGAAGGGGCAAAAUGAGUCAUGUGUUAUAGAUAAUACAAAAUUUCAAAAUCUGGUACAAAAGGAAAAGAUAUUGGGAUGGAUUUUAAUUCACUGGAUGACAAGUUUGAGAGUGUGAUGGAAGAUAACGAGGAUAAGAACCAUGGUCAUAUAGAUGUGAAGACCAAUACAAAAGAAAUAACGGAUAUUGUAGCUACAGAAAAACACAUAAUAGGGAUGGAGAAAGAUGAUGAUGUGAUUUUUAAUCCAAUUGUUGAUAUUCCCAUAUUAUUUGAUACCCCUACCGUACUAGGCAACUUUUUGAUUUAUGUAUUUCCAAAGCAACUAUCCCCCACUGUAUUUAAGCGAAGAUGUGAGUUGAAAAAAUCCUAUUUUUUGCAACCUCCUUUCACAGACCCUACAUAGAGAAGGAAAAUUAGAAAGGAAGGGGAAACAACAUUUGACUUUAAUCAUUUGCAAUCUAUUUAUGAGAAAGCAAGAGAAGCCUUUCAUAAGUGGUUGAGUCUUCAACAAGGGUAAUUAUCUUUACUUUAAACUUGUAAUAGUUUCUUUUUGGCAACUUCUUUGCUUAACCAUGGUUUUUUGAUAUAUUAUUACAAUAAGGUUUAAGGUUGAUAUUGGUUACUUGCAUGCGGACAAAGAAUGGUUUGAGUCACUAGUUCAGCAUGGUUCAUGGCUCAAAGACAUGGUUUGUAAAUGUUCUUAUUGUGUUUGGUUUUACUUAUUAGUAUAUUGUUAUUAUAAUGAAAUAGUAUAACUAAUGUUUUUUUUUUGUAUAUGUUGUCUAGCAUAUUGAUGUUGCUUUCUACUUUUUCCAUAAGUGGAUAAUAGAAAAGCCCCCUGCAUUUUCUCAAAAUUUUACCACCACAGAUACAAUGGUUUGGGUAUGUAUAAUUUCGUUUUACUAUUGACCCUCAUAAUACUAGUUAAAUUAUUGUAGUUUAACUAUUCUUGUUUACCUUUUCUUAUAUAGAAAAAUAUGAAAGCAAGGUGGGAGAAACAUGCUAAAAAGUGGAAUAAAUUCCAAAUGCAAGCAGAUGAUAUUCUUGUUGACUAUGUUAAUGGGCUUCACCCAAUUCCUUCCAUGAAAUGGUCUGAAGUGGACAUUGUUUAUGUCUCUAUUAAUAUUUGAAGUAUGCAUUGGGUACUGGGAGUAGUUCACCUUGCUCAGAGGAGAAUAUUUGUGUAUGACUCAUUGAUAGGCAUUAAUAGUGAUAAUUGACUAAAAGGUGCCAAAAUACCUUUAGCUAAAUUGUUACCGCAUGUUUUGUAUGUUACAUCAUAUUAUGGGAAGAGCGGUGAUCCUAAAAGUGAAGAACAGUGGGACAUUGAACGGUUGCAUGAUGUUCCUCAACAAGAGUAUGAGUAAGUUAACAAAUAUUCAAACUUCAUCUUAUCAUUUCACCUUUAUACCUUAUACAGUAAAUUUUUUUUAGUCAUCUUAAUUUUGAUUACUUGUGUUUCAUGUAGUGGUGAUUGUGGGAUGUUCCUGAUUAAAUAUGCAGAAUACUUAAUGCAUGAUCAUCCAUUAAGUUCACUGACCGGUUCCCGCAUUGAUUGGUUUAGAGAGAAAAUGGCAACUGAAUUGUCCUACUUCAAAAUUUUACCCAUGUAGUGGGUUUCAUUUUGAUUAUGUAAUAGGUUUAUAUGUUGUUGAGUGUUGACUAUUAUUUUAGAUGAAUUUGACUUGAUGCUCAAAGUUACAAUUUUUGUAAUGUAACUAUAACUUUCAACUUAACUAUAGUUAAGUUAUUUGGUAAUGCAAAUCAACAAUUGUUAAGUUCAGGUGAAUAUUCUGAGUGUGAAUUUAACCACAAUUAAGUUCUUUAUUAAUGCAACUCAACCAUUGUUAAGUUCAGGUGAAAAUUCUAAUUGUGAACUUAACUAUGGUUAAGUUCUUUAUUAAUGCAACUCAACUACUGUUAAGUUUAGGUGAAAUUUUUGAUUUUGAACUUAACUGUGGUUAAGUUAUUUGUUAAUGCAACUCAACUAUUGUUAAGUUUAGGUGAAAUUUAUGACUGUGAACUUAAUUGUGGUUAAGUUCUUUGCUAAUGGAACUCAACUACUGUUAAGUUCAAGUGAAAUUUAUGACUGUGAACUUAACUGUGGUUAAGUUCUUUGUUAAUGCAAUUGAACUACUGUUAAGUUCAGGUGAAAAUUCUGACUGUGAACUUAUCCAUAGUUAAGUUCUUUGUUAAUGCAACUCAACUACUAUUAAGUUCAGGUGAAAAAAUUAACAAAGAACUUAACCAUAAUUAAGUUCUUUAUUAAUGCAACUCAACCAUUGUUAAGUUCAGGUGAAAUUUAUGACUGUUAAUGUGGUUAAGUUCUUUGUUAAUUCAACUCAAUCAUAGUUAAGUUCUUUGUUAAUGAAAUGAUCAUCAACUUAACCAUAGUUAAACUUAACCAGGUAAUUUAUAUGAUAAAACUAAAACAUUAACUUAAAAUUUCAAUCCAUCAUUCAAAAAAAUUGCUCUAAGCAUAUAUAAAAAAAUAGGCUCAAAAAUUCUUCAUGGCCUUAUACAAAAAAAAGUGUAGAUACAUAGCUAAAUCAUCCCCAAAAAACAAAUUUUGUGGUAACAUUAUUAAAGCGAUUGAUGAACUAGUUGUAAGGAGAAUUCUUAGAUGUUGAUAUUGUUUUCAACAAUAUUGACACAACUAUAUUCAUCUCUAGGAUGUAAUGGGAUUGGUCGUUUGCAUAUUUUUCUAUUAUGCCUAUAAUCACCACAUCUACCAUAGCAUCGUGUGCCUUAACCUCUCCACUUGAAUGAAUUCUCUCCUUUCUUGGUUUUCUUGCUGGCCACCGAAUUUUUGGUGGUAGCACAACUCUACAACAGAUGUCUUCCGGAAUGACCCAAUCUUUGUUAUUUCCAGUAGGAUAUAUAGACUUUGAGUAUGAAGAUAUAAGUGAGUUCUUCAUAUAGUAUUGAGAGCAAAGAAUAUAGCAUGACAUGUUUCCAUAUCUACAUGCAGCAAUAACAUGUGCACAUGGAAUAUGGUCAAAAUCAAACAUCCUACAUGUGCAUGAACGGGUUUACAAAUUAACUUGAUUACUUACCCGAGCAUAUUUGACAUUAAACUCCCAAGAGUUGAUAGGCUCAACCUCAUAACCUGAUGACUUAUUAAACCUUAAGCACAACUCCAUGCCAGCCCAUGUAGUAAGCUCAGUUUUCAUUGACAAUGUUUGUUGUUGGCAAUUUGAAAACCAUCUCUGAAGUAAGUUUCUCAACUCUUCAACCAUUCGCACAAUUGGAAGAUCUCUUGCAGUUGAACAACUUGGGACAACAAACUUCAGCUUCCAAAAUUCUAAUAUUUUUAGAAAUUCAACCGGUCUUGGGACUACACAAGUCUCCAAAACUGGUCCAUAUCUUCUCCAAUCACUUCUAAGUACUAAAUUCAGAGGCCUCAGUGGAGAUUUUCAAAUUGUUGAUGGGUAACUACGUUCAUCAGCCUUUCAAAUAGUCAAUGUGAUCGGUAAAGGGGAAAGAGGAGUAGCACUUUGGACAACGGAGAAUGGGAUUGUAAGAAAUUCAAAUCCUACUUAUAAGGCUGAUCUAAGAACCAUCAUAUGGCCGGGAGAAUCUCCUUCGAUUCCUAAAGGUUGGGUGCUUCCCACAAACGGCAUGAAGUCCUUGAGAAUAGGAGUACCAGUGAAGGAGGGGUUUAGUGAAUUUGUAAAGGUGACACCAGAUCCUAUCACUAACAUUACAAAGGUCACUGGAUACUGCAUAGCUAUCUUCGAUGCUGUGAUGGCAGCAUUUCCAUAUUCUGUUCCUUACGAGUACAUUUCGUUCGAGACCUCUGAUGGCAAGCCUGAUGGCAAUUACAAUGAUUUGAUAUAUCAAGUAUAUCUUCAGGUUAGUUCAUGAACUCCUUAGCUUUCCAAGCAGAUAGACCUAACUCUAGCUUAACUCCAGUUAUAAAACCAACUGCAAUCCUCUCAUGUUAUUCUUUGUGUGCAUAGAAGACGAGCAAACCAGAAAUUCCAACCAAAUGCAUUUAUAGAUUGGUCCAAAAUUCUAUUGUGAACAGAAGUAUGAUGCUGUUGUGGGAGAUACUACUACCGUAGCGAACAGGUCCUUAUAUGUAGACUUUACGCUGCCUUAUACAGAAUCUGGGGUGUCAAUGAUUGUGCGCAUUAUAGAUAAAAGAAGUAAAAAUGCAUGGGUUUUCUUGAAGCCGCUGACUUGGGACCUUUGGGUGACAAGCGCUUGUUUCUUUGUCUUCAUUGGUUUUGUGAUUUGGGUUCUGGAACAUCGUAUAAAUGAAGAUUUCAGAGGGCCUUGUUCAAAUCAAGUUGGCACGAUCCUCUGGUUUUCAUUCUCGACCAUGGUGUUUGCCUAGAGUAAUUGCUCUUCCACCUCCUCGAAUAUACAUGGCAAUGAAAAAAUUACAUGAUAGUAAUUGAAAACACCGCAUAUUUCCAUGCUGUCAGAACCUUAAUAUGAUAACACUCGAAACACAACUGAAACCAACUAUUAAUAUAUGGACAUUCCAUACAAUAUGCAAGUAAAGUUCAGGAUAUAUUUUUAUGUUUCAAAAUUUAUAUUUGACUUGAUAUUGAUGUUCUGAAGCUGAUCUUCCUUUCCAUUCUUAAAUUAUGUUUAUAGAGGACAGAGUUGUGAGUAACUUGGCUCAGUUCAUGGUGAUCAUAUGGUUUUUCGUGGUCCUGAUUCUUACUCAAAGUUAUACUGCCAGCUUGACUUCAAUGUUAACAGUUCAAUAGCUGAAGCCGACUAUCACAGACAUAAAUGAGCUCAUAAAGAACGGGGAGCGUAUGGGUUACCAGAAGGGCUCUUUUGUUCAUGAAUUCUUGAAGUGGAUGAAAUUUGAUGAAACCAAGCUUGUAAUCUAUGAGUCUCCAGAAGAGCUAGAUGAAUUAUUUUCAAACAGGAGUUCAGAUGGUGGAAUUGCUGCUGCUUUUGAGGAAAUCCCUUACAUGAAGCUUUUCCUUGCAAAAUAUUGCUCUAAAUACACUGCAGUUCAACCAACUUACAAGUUCGGGUUUGGAUUUGUGAGUCUCUCUCACGUACUUGUGCAUAAGUUUUCAAACUUUGCUAAUUGGUUUCUUAUUUUGUAAAUUUUCAGGUCUUUCCAAAGCGAUCACCUCUCAUACCUGAUGUUUCAAUGCAAGUCUUAAACGUGACUGAGGGAGCUAAAAUGGUUCAAUUUGAGAAAGCAUGGUUUGGGCAGACACCCAGUUGUCCAGAGCUCACCAGCUCAGUUUCUUCAAACAGCAUCGGCCUUAAUAGCUUUUGGGGCCUAUUCCUCACUGUUGGAGUCGCUUCAUCUAUAGCUCUCAUCAUAUGCAUCACCACUUUCCUCUAUGAAAAUAGAGAUACUUUAGUACACUUGGAUCCCCCAGCUUCAGUAUGGAGAAAAAUUAAAGCCAUGGCAACACGCUUUGAUCACAAAGACCUCAGCUCGCAUACUUUCAGGAAAAGUGAAAUGGUACAUAGAAGUGGCAUCAAUGGUAUGGAUGCAGUUACAGCCUCGCCAGCUAGCUACCAACUGCCCCCCAAGUCCGUCAAGCCUUUCCAUCCAAACAGAGAGUAAUUUUGCUUUCUUCAGAGACCAAGAAACGCCUUCUUCUGAAUAUGGCGAUCCAUUCAGUCCAAAUAGGCAGACAUCUCCACAGUAGUAUUUGAUAUUAAUUAAUCUUACUAAUACAAAUCAAGUGCAAAUGAUUCCGCCUCAAGUAGCAGCUGCGAAUGACUGAUUCAUUUUCCUUUUGUAAUUUAAGCCAGUGGAACCAUUAUCCACAAAUGUGGAAUAUUUCAUGAAAAAGUAGCACUGUAGCUAUAGCAAAUUUGGUUAAAAUAUUUGAGGGUAUAUCUCAAUGAUGAACUACACCGAGAGGAGGAGAGGGGCUGAAUAGGUGUUUUUAAAUAAAUUCGAAAAGUUCUCCCAACAUAUAUAUAUAUAUAUAUAUAUAUAUAUAUAUAUAUAUAUAUAUAUAUAUUAUAUUUUCCUUUAAAUCUUUACAAUUUAUAUUGCUUUCUUCCAACAUCGAUUCAACAUUAAAGAAUAAAAUACGCAAGCAAACAACCUCCUAUAAGGCCACUAAACUAAUUUACUCCGACUUCACAGUGGAUAGAGCAAUGCAGGAUUACUUCUUAGUCCACCAAGUAAUAGUGACACCAUUGAGUCAAAAACAUAUCUCGUAGUGGAUUUGCACUCAUCUCUAUCACUAACCCAAUCUGUAUUAUAAUAUCCUCUUAAUCUCAAGUCUCCACCUCGAUAGCAAAGGACAAAAUCUCUACAUCCUUGGAGGUGGCAAAAAAUCCUCUUAAUUGCUCGCCAAUGAAUGGGGUAUGGGUUACUUUGGUAACGAUUGACCAAUUGAACUACGAAGCAUAUGUAGGGUCAAGUACACAACAUAACAUAUAUCAUACUUCCAAUUGCACUCACAUAAGGAACUCUUACCAUAUGUUUCCUUUCUUCAUCAUUCUUAGGGCAUUGAUCAAGGCUUAGGUUGUAACCCUUCUCAAUAGGGGUGUUAAUAGGUUUGCAAUUUUGCAUUCAAAACUACUCUAGAAUAUUCUUAAUAUGAGUGAUCCCUUAGGAUCUUAAGUCCGAGCACAAAAUUUGCUUCCCCAUGUCCUUCAUAUCAAACGUGGAGGACAACCAUCCUUUGGUAGCAACAAUUAUGUCCAUGUCACUUCUAGUUAAUAGAAUGUCAUUGACAUACAAAGAUAAAAUGAGGAAGUCUUUCCCUGAUCAUUUAACAUAUACACAAUGGUUCUCUAAAUAAUAUUUCAAAACCAUUAGACGUAAUUGUCUCAUGAAAUCUAAAGUACUACUAUCUAGAUGACUAUUUUAGGCCAUAAAUGGAAUGCUUGAGAUGACAUACUUUGCACUCUUGUCCCUCAACCUCAAAAUGAAUAAGUUGAUCCAUAUAGAUCUCCUCAUUUAGUUUUCCAUUGAGAAAUAUAGUCUUCACAUCUAUUUGGAAGAUCUCUAAGUUCAAAUGUUCAACUAUAGCUGGAAUAAGGCGAAUAGAUGCAAAUCUCACCACUAAGGAGAAUGUCUCUUCAUAAUAUAUAUCCUUUCUUUGGGUAUAUCCUUUCACCAUUAAAUGAGCCUUAGAUUUGUUGAUUGAACCAUUUGUCUUGUGUUUAAUUUCAAACCCAUUUAUUUCCAAUGGUCUUAUGCUCGGGUGUAAGAUCAACUAACUCCCAAAGAUAAUUCAUUGCCAUGGAAUUCAUUUCUUUCCUCAUAGUAGCCAUCCAUUAUACUGAUUUAGAUAAAGUCAAAGCUUCUUCCUAAGAAGCAGAUUUAUCAAGAUCUAACUAUGUAGACAUGUAGGUUUCCCUUUUAAUCUCAAAAUGGUGUUGGGGAAUUUGACCACAUUUGCUUCUUUGUAACUCAAGACCUUGUGAAGAUCGUCUAGUGACACAUUCCCACUAGGAAAUAAACACUCCCACUAUCUUUGGUGAUUUCAAGAUGGGCUUGUAAUUCCCUACCCUCACUCAAAUAUUGUGUUGCUUCCUCUUGCAACUCAUAGAGUUCAAGACUCUUCUUUACUUCAAUAGUAGGAAAAUCAUUUUCUAUAAAAUCAACAUUGUGUGACUCUGUUUCAGUCAACAUUGUGUGACUCUUUUUCAGUCAACAUUAUGUGACUCUAUUUCAGUCAAUCCUCUAACCCUUUAAGUAGUCAAAAUAUCUUAUAAAGACAUUCUUAUUUGCUCUAGGGUCAAACUUCUUACAUCUAUGAGAAGUGUUAUGAACAUAACCUAUACAACCCCAAGGUCAUAAAUUCUCCAAAUUUGGUUUUGCAUCAUUCCAUAGCACAUAUGGAGUUGGAGGGACUGAUUUAGAAGACACUCAGUUAAGGAUUAAGGUAGUAAUCAAAAGAGCAUCCCCCUAAAAAGAUAUUGGGAGGUUAGCUUGCACCAACUGUGGACCCGCAUUUCUCACGUGCGGUGAGACUCACUUUUAUUUGGUGAAAAAUUAGUUUUAAAAAAGUUGAAGUUGCGACUUAUUUUAUUUUUAUUUUAAAGGGAAAAUAAAACAAGAAAGAAAACACUAAAAAGUGACUCCACAAUUUUUGGAAAAAGCAUGUCUUUGAAAAACCCGAGUCUAAGUCUGGGGAUCAGGUUACUUAUUGGAAAGGUAGCUCUAGCAGGUAGCACCCCUCUAAGCCUUAUGAAGGUCUGUACUGACUAAGUUAAGGGAAUUGGGGCAAUUAAUUGGUUAAUUAUAGAUACCUAAGUAGGCUAAGUGAUUUAAAAAAUAAGCAUGUAUAACAAGAAAGUUUGAUCAUAAGAGAGAGUCAUAGUGCAUACCUAAACGACUUUUCAAGCGCUAUCAUGAAACAUAAAAGUUAGUAUAGAAACAUAUCACACAACCUGUGUUUUAUCCAAGCAAAUCAAGUAUAUACCUAAGCACACAAGAAUCACAUCAAGUAUGGAUAUAGUUAUCAGUAGCAUAUGUGUCCAUAGAAUUCUCAAGGGUAGGUGUGGAGGAGCAUACCUGGAUAGCAAGCUAGUACUCCUCUAUGGGAAACAAAGUUAGCCCAAUAACAAAUUCAAAGUAAUCUCAUAUAUGCCACAAAGAGGAGGCAUAAUCAAUCAAAUAUCAAACGAGCUAUAUUGAUCAAGAAACUAUCAUGGAUGUCGGGCCCCCACCAAAGCCCUAAUUAAUUUUGUAUGAAUUGAUUCUAUGAAUUCCAUUGUUUGGAAUCAUGAAGUUUAUUCAUGCUUGUUAAAAAUUGAGAAAAUCAAGAAAAUUAGUAAAAAAAAGUAGUGAAAAUGUGUGCCAGGAGGAAAAUGGUAGCAAAUAAUAUGUUAAAAUCUGGAUUUUAUGCCUGGAAACUCCUAAGGAAUUUUAAAGAAAACUAGAGUUAUUUUGACGGAAAAUGGUUUUGAAAUCCAGCUUUAAGAUGUAUAAGAUCACAAAAAGAAGAAAAAGAAACAUUAGGAGUAUGAUAUGUGGCAAGGUGGUUAAGUUAGAGUGAGAUCUGAGAGUGUGAUUGGGACUGCAUUGAUGGUGGUUUCAUGAGGAGUCUUCUAUAGAUUACCGAUAGGUCUGGUUUUUCAUAACCAUAACUCGAAUCAUCAACAGAAGAUUGCAGUGAAGCAGCAAAGUCCAGUUUCAGAUCUGAUUCCUUUGCUGCCACUUAUUCUGGAGUUUCAAGUCUUUGCUCAGAAGUUCAUCUCAUUAAUCCAUUUUCUCACUGUUCACUUCUGGAUUUUUUUUCUGUAGCUUUGAUUCUGUGUCUUCUUACUCAUCUCGAGCUUCAUCUCUUACCCCUUCGAUAUCUUAAUCAGUCAUUUGUAGCCUGCAUGAGGGAGUUCGCUGAUGGCCCACUUCCAUUAUUCGAAGAUGUAGCUUUUCGAAUAAAUGCACGGACUGUUGCAAUGUCUCCAAGCUGUAUGUGUGUGGUACCCCUUUUGAAUUUUAGCAAGUGCCUUAAAGCUUAUUUUCUUCUAAAGCGGGUUCCAAGGCUAAGUGGUCCAGAGGUUGGAUCAGUUCUCCCCGUAAGGAUGCAAGAGCAUGUCUUGAAGUUGUAUUUUUUACAGUUCGUACAGGUAAGAACAUGUGCAAACUAGGCAGCACCAUUUCUUUCUCUGAAGCCAAUAAGCCAUGAUCAGGCCUCUUUAAACUGAACUCGGCUCUGAUGGAUAUACUGCUGGCUUAGGACUCUCUAAUUUCUUUCCAGCUGACUGCAAUGGGACCUCUGAGACUAAAGGUUUGCUUAAAGAUUCUUUUGGACAAGAUUUUGAAGAAGCAUCAAAGCAACUUUCUUGUUCUAUACGAUUCGAAGUAUGAAUUUGAGUGGAUUGAGGAUUUGAUGGGUUCAAUCUUGCUUCAUCUGCAUGCAAAUAUCCCACACUGAUAUCAUCAGCUUGUACCUCCAACACUUGUUCCAAAGGAACUCCAGGCUCUGGGAAGUAAUGGGAAGGUGAAGACACCAAACGUUCAGAGUUCUCUCCAAGAUGAAUCUGAUGAGGAGCAACUUGUGAAUCCAAAUCCUGAUUGAUUUGUUUUGAAGAUGUAAGAUGCAAGCUAUCUUGGUAUUGUUAAUUUGGAACAUCAUUGAGCAAUUUAGAAUUGGAAUGGACAUAAGCUCCUAUAAUGCCAUGAUUGGAGUCUAAGUCAAUCGAAGCAGAUGCCAGUUGAUUCACUUCUUUUGGUGCAUCUGAUUCUAUGUCAUACUCAGGAGGGAUUGCCUUAUUAAUCUCCAUUUCUCUCGGAAGUGUUUCUUUCAAAUUCAGGAUAUUCCUAUAUGGUAUCAAAUCCAGAGACGGACAAAUAACAUUGUUGACAUCAUCAACUUCAUCAUCACAUGCAACGGCGGAAACCAAAUGUGUCACAGGAACUGAUUCAGUUACUAAAUCAUCCAAGCUUAGGUGAUCCUUAGGAUCGGGAUAAUUUGAUAACCAGAUGGAAAAUCAUCUUCACUAUAGCACCACUAGCAGCAACAGCAGUCCCAGCUACAGGUUCUGCUUGAACUGUUUCAGGUAUUGAAGAUCUUUUGGAACUAGACAAUUUUGAUUAUUGGACGAAAUAUCAUCUUCACUAUUAGCACCACUUGCAGCAACAACACCCUUACUAUUUAGUUUCCACUACUGGAUGACUUGCGAACCCAUGUAGAAGAGUCUUCCUUUAAUGUGUACAACCAAACAUUCUGAGAAAUAGUUUCCUUUAGCAUAGGCCUCAGCUGCACUCUUGUAGCAUCUUGCCAGAGAAAAACAUUCCCCGGCUUUAUCCAGCUUAGGUUCCCCACAUUUUUCCAUAUAAAUUCUACCUGCUCUUUCAUACCUCCUUUUUCCCAAGCUUAUUAUACACCUUUUGAACUUCCUGCUACUCCAUCACCAUCGUUUCUACUGCCGCUUCUCUUACUGAAGCGUUGAUCGAUAUCAAGUCUUUAAAAACAGAAAUACGGAAUUCUGGCAAACCACUGUUGGGUGAAGAAGCUGACUGCUCUUUGGCAAUUUAUUGGCAUGUCUUAAAACUCCUUAUUUAUGGAAUUCCAUCAUUUGAAAACAAAGUUGUCAACUGCCAAACUAAACGGAUAGAACAGCUUUGCAUGGUGACUUUCCAUCCUCUCCAUACCAUUAUAAUUCUUACCUGGAGAGAGUCCUCCUUUUGUAUCUGAUCAGAAAGGACAUGGAAUUUGAAGUGUUCUUUGCGCAAGAUAUUGGUCCUCUUCCAGUUGAAUCGAUAAUUCUGUAUGCAGCCUCUAUGCUUAAGGUUUUACGCCGCCAUUUUCCGAUGAAGUAAAUUGCUGCAGGCUUGUUUUGUUUUGUGCAAAUUCAACUUAUUGAGUAUCAAAGUGGAGUUAGCUUUGGACAUCGACUGCAAGCUAACUGGAUUCAAAUUCCUGUGUAUUCAUCAUUGAUUCAGCUGGUGUUACAGUAUUGUAGGAGUUUGCAGACCCUGAAGGAUCAGCAGCGUUCAUCCAUAUCUAUUACCCUGAAUAAGGGGUUACUGAUGUUGAUCAAACUGUUGUUUUAAAGGUUCGGAUGAACCACGUACUAUGCAGUGUGUCGGACAAAUAACCAUUCAGAAGUGCUGAGUCGAUUCACCAGUUGCAUAUUGUUCCCAAUAAGCCCACCAUUUAAAGCCCCAUUUGAAAAACCAUAAGUUUUCUGUUGCAAAUCGGACCUAAUUCCACUACCCCUUUGACUGCCAGUAGCUUCAGAGCCUUCAUGCUGAUGUGUACAUAUACCAUUCCUGAUGCCAUGAACAAAUUCCCCAACCUAUUUUCAAGAUGAGCAUCAUGAGCAAAGCCAGACUGUGAACACACGAUUUCAUUCAUAUGCUGAUAUAUAAAUAUUACAAUUUUAGGCACACUACUGUUGAGUCAAUACCAAACCCAACUAACACAUCUAGCUUUUUCAAAAACAAAUUCCACAAAAUACGGAUCUUCACACCUUUACAACUAAUCCUACUAUUAACAAAAGAUACAAAAGAUUUCUUAAAGUAUCUAUAAAAUUCUCAAAUUCUAACACUCCUCCUUGAGAAUUUUCUUAGAGACUCCAAGCCUUGAUCUUAGCUCUUCGAACUUGGCUUUGGAAAGUGCCUUAGUUAAUAUGUCAGCAAUCUGAUUUUCUGAGCAACAAUGCACCAGAUUGACUUCACCAUUCUUCUCAGCUUCUCUAAUAGCAUGAAACUUCACAUUUAUGUGUUUGGUUCUUCCAUGCUGCACAGGGUUUUUUGCAAUAGCAAUGGCUGACUUGUUGUCAACCCAAAUUACAGUAGCAUCUGCUUGGCUUUGCCCCAAAUCAGUCAGCAAUUUCCUUAGCCAAAUGGCUUGGUUUGCAGCUGCUGCUGCAGAAAUAUACUCAACUUCUGCUGAGGAUUGAGCCACGACCUCUUGUUUUUUUGAAUUCCAUAAAAAAACUCCACUACCAAAUGAGAAAGAAUAACCAGAAGUGCUUUUGGAAUCAUCUAAACUUCCUGCCCAGUCACUGUUUGCAUAUCCUUGGAGUUCUUUACUUUCUUUCUUAACAAACCACAAACCAUAGCCAAAAGUACCUCUAAUGUACCUUAGAACUCUCUUAGCUACCCCAAAGUGAAUUUUACUAGGUGAGUGCAUAAACCUUGAGAGUAGGCUUGCUGAGAACAUUAAAUCUGGCCUUGUAGCAGAUAAGUAGAGCAGACUACCUAUUAGGCUUCUAUAAACAGAGGCAUCUGCUUUGAUGUUAACUUCAUUAUUUGUUAAUUUCUCAUUCACAACCAAAGGAGUUGCUACAGAUUUGGAUCUUUCCAUAUGAAACUUCUUCAAAACCUUUAGAGCAUACUUAUGUUGUGAGAUGAAGAUUCCAACUUCACAUUGGUGAAUUUCGAUGCCCAAAAAAUAUUUCAUCUCACCCAAAUUGGACAUUUCAAACUCACUUUCCAUCUACACCAUGAAUUACUUCAAGAUUUUUGAAUUACAACCUAUAACUAGCAGGUCAUCUACAUACAAAGAGACAAUAAGCUGAACUUCUUCUUGAACCUUCAACACAUAUAGAGUGGCUUCACUUUCACUUCUUUUAAAUCCUUACUGCAGCAGAUAGGCAUCAAUUCUACUAUACCAAUCUCUUGAUGCUUGUUUCAAGCCAUAGAGAGCUUUGUGGAGCUUGUAAACUUUGUCUUCACAACCUGGAACUUGAAAUCCUUCUGGUUGCUCAACAUAAAUAUCUUCUUCAAGCACACCAUUUAGAAAGGCAUACUUCACAUCAAGAUGAUGAAUUUUCCAGCCCAUCUUUGCAGCUAAAGCCACCAGAAGCCUUAUAGUAUCAUGCCUAGCCACUGGAGCAAAAGUAUUUGAAAAAUCAACACCAUACUCUUGAGAAUAGCCCUUUACAACCAAUCUGGCCUUAAGUUUGUUUAUAGAACCAUCUGAGUUAUAUUUGAUUAUGAAAACCCACUUAACUCCAAUUAUCUUUUGAUUUUUAGGUCUAUCAAGCAACUCCCAAGUUCCAUUUUUCUUUAUCAUUUUUAGCUCCUCCUCCAUUGCAACUCUCCACCCAUUUUCUUUAGCAGCUUCAUCAUAACAUGUAGCCUCCUGUAAUGCUACAUCACAUCUCUCAUAUAUUUCAUCAAGUAACCUUGUUCCUCUUACUAGAACAUCAUCUAAGUUAUCAGCACCAACUUCAUCUUCAAUUUCUUUUGGAAUUUGGGGAAUGGUUACCCCAAUUUGAUCAACAUCUUCUACUUCUAUCUCAUUUUUCUCCAAGUUCCAUACUGCUGCUUCAUCAACUUUGAUGUCCCUGCUAACCAUUAUUUUUUUUGUUUUCAAAUUGAAAACUCUAUAGCCCUUGGAGGUUGAGCUAUAUCCCAGGAAGAUUCCCAUUUCAGCUUUGUAGUCCAACUUGUCUCUUUUCACAUCUGGCACAUGAGUGUAACACAAACUCCCAAAUACUUUCAAGUGCUCCACAGCUGGUUUAACUCCAUACCAAGCCUCAAAUGAAGUUUUAUUCUUCACAGCUUUGGUUGGAAGUCUUUUCAACAAAUACACAACUAUGUUAACAGCUUCUACCCAGAAACACUUGGGCAUUUUCUUUUCAAAUAGCAGACACCUUGUCAUCUCCAUAAUGGUUCUAUUCUUCCUCUCACUCACUCCAUUUUGUUGAGGGGAGUAAGUGACAGUCAACUGAUGUACAAUUCCAACUUCAACACAAAACUUGUUUGAUGUAUAUUCAAUCCCAUUAUCUGAUCUUAUUACCUUAAUGCUGCAAUUUUCUUGAUUUUCUACCAAGGCCUUGAAAUUUUGAAACACACCAGCCACUUCUGAUUUUUGCUUCAUAAAGAAAACCCAAUACAUCCUUGUUUUAUCAUCUAUGAAUAGGAUGAAAUACCUGUUUCCAUUCAAUGAGGGUGUCUUCAUUGGUCCACACACAUCAGUAUGGAUCAAUUGUAACCUUUCUGAAGCUCUCCUGACCUUGUUUACAAGAAACGACAAUCUACUUUGCUUCCCAAAUUGACAGACUUGACACACAUUUUUUUCAUCACAAAUGACAGGUAGGCCUUGUGUUAAGCCCUUCUGAUGCAAGUGUUUAAGUGCAGCAUAAUGAAAAUGGCCAAAUCUCUUGUGCCACAACACAGACUCAUCGAGAACAGUGGUAUAAGCAUGCAAAUUAGUCUCUUUCCACUUAAUUGGAAAGCUUUUGUCUCUCAUUUUUACAGUCAUCAACUUACAACCAACAUUAUCAACAACGGUGCAGGACAUUUUUUGAAAAUGCAAAGAAUAAUUCUUCUCUAGCAUUUGACCCACACUUAAUAAGCUUUGACUAAUUUCAGGCACAAACAACACAUCUGAGAUAUAUUUAAUACCUGUUGGAGUCUCAAUAGCAACAACUCCCUUGCCCUUGACAUCAACCAAAUCUCCAUCUCCAAUCUUUACUUUCAACUUAUAUGACUGAUCCAACUCCUUGAAAUUACUCAACUUAGGAGUCAUGUGGUUUGUACAACCACUGCCAAUAAGCCAAGUUUCUAUACAGCUACUCAUUGCAUGACUGGUAACAAUAAACAAUUGCUCCUGUUGCUGCUGAUUUUCACCCAUUUGUGCUUGUUGUCCUUGCUCCCCUUGCUGAUCAUUUUUAUUCUUGCAUACCUUCUCUACAUGACCAAAUUGCUUGCAUGAUCUGCAUUGUACACUAGGCCUAUACCAACAAAAAUUCUCUGAAUGACUUUGUUUCUUGUAGUGAGGAUAUGGAGGAUAUCUCUUCUUGCCACUACUUUUCCUUCCUUGGCCCUCAUUCUUCUCUUUAUCUUUCUUCUUGAUUCGUUCCCAAUUGGUGUCUCAGCUGAUUCAUGUCCUCUCAAUGGUCCCUGACAAUGGUGCCAUUUGAUUUGUGUCCAGCUGGUGUCCCUUGAUUGUGGUCCUCAGAAGAGAGUAAUCAACAAAAUUUAUAACCUAUUACACCAUGUACUAGGAUAGCCUUAGCUAGCAUAGCACAGUGGCUCUAGGGUCGUUCACUGGGAUGGGUUUUCACUCCACAAUUGAUAUUAAUCCAAAGAUGAAUUGGUGCCUUUUCAUUUCAAGGUUAGCUUUAAAAGAAAACAUAACAAUGUUUGAAUGAAAAAGGUUUGGUUUUAAACUAACCAAAAAUAGUAACUGAUUUUACUUACAAAGAAAAGUGUUUCUUGGAGUUUAGAUUAUCAGGCUCAGGUUCCUUAUACAAAAAGGAGAGUUCCGGUCACUUGUUUCUUUUCCUCGCAUUAGAGAAUUAACAUAUGACUAAUUCUCUAACCAGUGCGGUACAGAUGCUUCCCAUUAAUGGGUUCAAACACUAAAUCCCUCUCACUGAUGCACCUUGCAAUAUCUCAUGCUUCUCACCUAGCAUUUGCCAUUCAAGGUGAUCUUUAACCUUGGAUUACCUGUCAAAAGCUCGCAAGAGAUAACUAAUGGAUGUCUCCUUGGAGUCCAAAAGCUUACCAAGUGUUGGCUAUUUUAGAAAAUCCUACCUCUAAACCACCUCCCAAAGGCUUGCAAGAGAUAAACAAGUGCAUCUCAAUGGAUGGAAAUCACUUGCCUUAUCAAGUGUUGGCCUAGGUGAGUUAAAGGAGUUUUAAGUUAACUAAAAAGAUAAAAACCAUUAACAGGUCACACUUUCUCUUCAUUAAAAACUAAAACAACAAAACUUCCAAUUUAUGCAUGAGGAAACUUACCCGACUUUCUUCACUCCAAGAGACGAAAAGCCUAGCCACUCAUCCUCUGAGGAAAAAUCCUCAGAGUUUGAUUUGCUAGAAAUAAAAAUAAUGAGAAAACAAAAAUAUAUAUAUGAAAAACAGAGCAAGUGCUCUGUAAUAUAUUUUUCUUCCUUAUACAAAAGGUUCUCUCCAAGAACAAACUCUCGAGAGCUCUCCCUGAUUGUAAAGAAAAUUACAACUAUAUAUAAGAGGUUAUUCACCCCUUUGUUCUUGCUUAAAGACUAAGGAAUCCUAUGAUAGGUGGGUUACAAGGAGACUUUGGGAAUUUAGACAACAAAUAUCUAAAGCAAAAUAUCUCAAGAUGUCGGUCGGAAAUAUUAAGAAGCUUCAGGAAAACACUGCGGCACUGUAUACUGAGAGAAAAACUCUUCGGGUAAGCGCUAUCAGAGGAUCCAGAUAUGUCUGACCGGAGAAGUUGAAACGUCCUCCUCUCCCAUCCGGAUGUGAGAUAUCCGGAUGUGAAAUGUCGGUGGACGGAAUUCCGAUGUGAAAUAUCCCGCGCCGUCAGGCUAUCCGGAUAAACUCCAUCCAGAUUCCCCCGGGUGGAAUGAGCUAUGUCUCAAGGGGGACCAUCUACGUGUGCAAGGUGUAGGGACCCCUCUCCCGGAUGACACGGAGCGCGCAAGGCUAUCCGGAUCCCCUCAGGGAGAAGCACAUGACACUCGUGAACAUCACACUCGAACGAUAGCAUAUCCUAUCAGGAUAUGUUGUCCGGGUCAUUGACUUCCGCUGCCAUCCUGUCCGGAAAUAUUUUCCAUGGAUUCCAAAGAACUCUCCUCAAUCACGGAUUGCUUUGGUGAUAAAAAAGCUAUCAAAACACCAAAACUUAACACAAUUUGAUUAGAAUUGAUUGCAAGGGUCAUUAAUAUGUUAAUUGGGUUAAAAGGUGAUAAAUUCUACUCAAAAGUGUUUAUAAGAGUUAAUUACAAGCUAUGAUAUAGCACUUUUUGAGUAGUAAUCACUUCUCACCAGAUUGCUUUUUCUCUCUACCUUGAGAAGCUUUUCUUUUUUGCAGUGCAAGAAAAGCUUCUUCAUUGCUUUCUUCCUGUCUCAUUGAUCUCUUCUGUUCUUGAGCUUGAAAAGCAUGAACAAGCUCAGCCAAGGAAAUUUUGGUUAAAUCCUUUGAGUCUUCAAGUGAAGAGAUCUUGGACUCAAAUCUUUCAGGCAAGCUCACUAGAACUUUCUCUACAACCCUUUGGUCUGUUAGAUCCUCACCAAGAAGCCGGAUUUUGUUAACAACUUCCAUGAGCUUGUCUACAUAUUCUUUGAUGAACUUAUUAUCUUUCAUCCUCAAAACUUCAAAUUGCCUCUUCAGAUUCAAAAUCUGCAUUUGCCUAGUUCUGUCACUCCCCAAAUACAUCUCCUUAAGCUUGUCCCACGCGUCUUUUGGUGUUUCACAAGCCAUAAUCCUUGUGAAAAUUGGUUCUGAGACAGCAGCAUGGAUGUAAGAUAAGGCUCUUGGAGCUUUAGCUUCUUCUUCUUCAUGAGCCCUGAUUUGAUUGAGGGUUGGAUUGUUUCCCAAAGGCUGUAUUUGCCUUUCAGUUUCAACCCACUGCCACAAACCAAGACCUCUCAAGUAAGCUUUCAUCUUAACAGCCCAAACUUGAUAGUUUUCACCAUUGAAAACUAGGGUUGAAAGAGCAGACGUAUUGCUGGAAGCCAUGAGGGUUUUUAGAGAAAGCCUUGUUGGUGGUUUUUUUUUCACUCACAAGUUCUAUUAAGAUCUUUUUGGUGCUCUGAUACCAUGUGAACACACGAUUUCAUUCAUAUGCUGAUAUAUAAAUAUUACAAUUUAACACAUCUAGCUUUUUCAAAAACAAAUUCCACAAAAUACGGAUCUUCACACCUUUACAACUAAUCCUACUGUUAACAAAAGAUACAAAAGAUUUCUUAAAGUAUCUAUAAAAUUCUCAAAUUCUAACACAGACCGACAACAACAACCAGGUUUCUAGAAUUGGAGCUCAUAAAAAAAUGAAAUUGCAAUUCAUUUUUCCAGCAUUCCUCUUCUCUGAUCCGCCUCAAAGAUUUCAACUGUAUGAUGGUGAGAUGCAUUUAAUUCCCAGCUGAAGAAAAAGAACGAAAUCUGCUUAUGAUUCUAUUUAUUUAUCAAGACUAAACUGAUGAUUUCUUUGACGUACGAGUUGGAUGUUCGUAAUCCGAAUGGGUGAAUCUUCUAGCAACACUUCAAUACUAAAAAGAAGUCGGUGUGUUCUGCUCUCUUCCCACUGCAGAGAUUUCAUUUAGCAUUCCACUGAGAGUGAAUGGUUGAGAACACUAUGCUUGAAGUGCUUGGAUUAAGGACAUUUCAGCACCUUGAAUCAAGGUAGGUGGCUGCACUAGUGGCGAAUUUUCCAAAGAUAGCUUUUGUGAAAGUGGAUUCCCAUGAAGUAUGUCAUAUCCCAGGCAGCAAUGAAGAUGAUGAUCCCACUAGAAAAAAAAUUUCAACUAGGUCCAGCCAAGAGGAAACUGGAAAUAGGGGGGAACGUGUCAUUUGAAGAGCCAUCAAGACUACCAUCCGCUUGUGGAGAACUGCGCAUAUGCUGAAUCAGAUGGUGAAGAAAAAAUUAUCAUAGAAGACAUCCUUUCCCUCCAUUUCAUGCAUGAACUAAUUAAUUCCUCCAAAUAAAUGCUCAGGCCAUGACUUUGCAAAACAGCAAAGUGCCCUGACGAACAUCGCAAGAGAAAUCCAACAUGCUUUCGAGAUCACCAAGCUGGAUCAAAUAUUGCUGAAAGAGAGUGCCAAUUACAACAGCAACUGAUUUGACUUUAGGUGGAUAUGCUGACCAAUCUUAGCAACGAAGAAAAAAGUGCAUCCCAGGCUGUUUCUCAGCAAGUUUUCCUGGACAAUCUUGGCUGCAACCGAUCCUCUUUUUUUUUUUUUCUGUGUGUUUCCCCCCUGAUCCCUCAAAAACCUUUGUUCAUCUUUUUUUUUUUCCUUUUUCUCUCCUCUUUCGUACCCCAUCUUUUCUGAGAAUUUGCUGGCAAUAACUGGACCUGCUCAGUGCACAUCCUGCAAAGAGCACUAGAGGUUGCUGCUUUUGGCCACUUAAAUUUUUCCUAUAAUUCAGAUGAUGUUACUUAAGUGCCAAGAGAUGAAGAAAAUAGACCCUGAACAGCUAGAAAAUUCAAUAUCCCUUUUUGCAUCCAAAACUUUGCUUCAGGAUCCAACUUCAAAUAUUUCAAAAUACUAGAGAGGGAAUCUACGACCCAACUUCUAAGACAAUCAGAAUUUCUUGAUGGUCCAAUAGAUUCCUUAUCCUCUGCUGAAUUUAGCUUUGAAUUGUCAUUUGUUGUCUAACUCUGAUCAGAAGGUUUCUCCGAAGCAUGACCUUCAUCCACUAACAUGCUAAUUAAGUUCUGAAUAAACAGCAUGCAUCCAGAUUCUUUUUUGAACUCUGCCAUCAAAUCUUUAACAGUUUUUGUCCAUGUAAUGCAAUCAAAUCUCCCACUUCUGUGCUUCUAUAGAGCCAUGAUGACAUAUACUUUUCUAACAUCAUCCUAUCUAACCCAAUCUGAUAGUUCUUUAAGAAAAUACUGGCCAACUUUAUGCAGCCAAAUGUCUUUGGUAGAAAGUAUGUUCGUUAAACACUGGACAAGUUUGUAAGAAAGAACCAUUGGGAUGAAAGAUGCAGGCAAUCUUGAUAAGAGAAGAAGCAGAACAUCAGAUGCCAAGUGUUUGCAGUCAUGAUAUGCUGAUCUUGAAUCAGAUACAGAGCUUGCGCUGCUGUCUCUCAAUCUCUGUACCAAAGGACUAGAGUAUGCGUGAGGCAAUUCUUUCUGACACAUAAAACAGUCCUCCAACCUUGCGGUUGUCUCUGGAAGAAUUACUUAUUGAUGAGCCCAUCCAUCAUAUAAGACUACAUGGUCCUGUGCUGACACUUGAUGCCAGUCAUAGCCUAGAUAAGGUCUCUGCUGAAAAUUACCAAAAGUCUCAGUAUCCAUCUUCAUUCGCAUAGAGAACCUAUUCUGUCCAUUCCUAGUCCCGCGGGUAUGAGAAUUACAAGAAAUCAUGUCAAAGAACUUCUUAUUAUAAGUAGAUUUAGCAUCUGAUUGGGUACUAGUCCAUAACCCUCUGUGUCACCCAAGCCUUGACCAAGUGCAUUGUCUUCGAUCCUUUUCUUUUCAUCCCUUUGCUUUGCCUUUCCUAGAUAACCCCAAACUUCAUCCCUUUUAAACCUUUCAUUCAUCGCCAUAAAAUUGAAUUCUUCAGUGAACUACACAGUAGACUUCUGAGGCUGUUGAGCAGAGGCUGGCAAUGGCAAUAAUGGUGCUUGAAAUGCUGGAGUAGACAUUGUGCUCAAAGUAUUAGGAGAUGUUGAUGUUGAAGCAACCUUAUCCAUCUGAUCAGGGUAUACUUUCUGUGAGAAAGAAAGUAUGGAUGACAUGGGCUGUGAUAAUUGAUCAUGAGUUAAUAAAGUUGAUGGUAGAGUUAGAAGGAGGCCAGAGGUGGAACCCCCAAUUGCGGAUGCAGAAUGAUGCAGGGGAUGGAUAGGAGGCACCGAUACCAGAUCAGAAACUAUUUUACCAGUAAUUGGAGCUUCAGUUCCAGACUCCUCCAUGAAUAAACAGAAAAUUCAGGAAUUUUCUAUAUUCUAUGAACCAGAACUGACAUAUGAAAAAUACAAAAUCGGAUCAACCAUUCAUCACUAAUUUCUACAGCAUUUGAUUUCAUUGAUGGCCAUCAUUUCUUUGUUUUCGAAAGCCAUCUUCAUUGCAUCAGUCUCAAAACCAGUUCUCAAACCGGAUCCAUGUAUCAGUGGAUACUCAUCCGUAAAACUGACUGCAUAACUAAAACCGGCAAACCUCUAUCAAACAAUUGGGAACAAAUUGGGGACCUUCAUCGUAUAUAAAACUCCAAAUGCUUCCUCAAAAUUGGUAAUGGAGAAAUAUGGGCAGAAUCAGGUGGAGAAUCGGAGGGAUUGCAUCUCAAAGUUUUCACACAACUUUAAUUUCCAGUCUUCAGGGACUUACAAGAGACAGUAUACUAAAUAACCAGAAAAUGGCAUAAAAAAUUUGGACAGUUAGAUAUGGGAAUUCCAUCCAAACUCAUCGUCCGAAUGUAAGCAAUUCUGCUGGGAUCAUCCCUAGCAAAACCAUGUCACAAGGAAUUGUCUCAUUUGCACAGAUCUUCACCACUUCGCCAGCUUGUAUCUUUUUUCAUUUUUUUUUUUCUGAAAGUGACCAGCAUAAAGCACUAUAGCCUCACGAUUGUUCUCCACUUCAUUAUUCUAAAUUAGUCUAAGAUGCCUGCCAAUCUACAGAAAAUCACGAUGGUAUUCAACUUCCCAUUCCUUCUCUCAGCGAUCUCAAUUUCCUUCGAAGUCCGGUAUGUGCCUUUCAGCUAUUACAUGAACACCAGUAUACUGAGUAGGCUUCAAAACUGCUCUCUGGCCAACAGCAUUCAAAGUCAUUCAUAUCUUGACUAUCUGAUUCAUAGUCCACAUGAAGAGAACAACAAGUGACCAAAUGAUACCAGUUUGUCAUUAAAUUCAUCGUCAGCCUUAUUUAUCAAUAAUCUGGUCAGUCUUGGUAUCAUCAAUCUCAACAUGUGCGCCACCAGCCUCUCUUACACUUUUAAUGGAACUCCCUCCCCUGCCAAUAACACGCCCAAUCUUGUCAAAUGGGCACAAAACUCUUAUAAUUAACUCCUGAUCGUGAUGCUCCAUAACCAGAAACUACAGGUAGGUUGGAUGAAUAAAAUGGCCCUAUACUGUCCAUGUCUGAAUAACCCCGAAGUUCUGGUACAUGUGUAGCAGCUAAGACAAGAGGAACAGAUCUAGCAGACACAAUAGAGUCUGCACUAAGAUAGAAUCCACCAGAAAUCCAGAAAACGUCCUUUACCAGUUCUCUUUCUUUUCUUUGUUCUGUCAUUCUUCAGCUCUCGAACUCCUCCAUAUGGCCAGAAUGCGCUCAUAUAUACAUUCUCAUACUUCCAAUUCACCAUUUAAAUAAUUCAACGACCAAAAAGCUCAAUAAUCCAAGAGGAUUACAUCAGCAACAUCACCCUUACAUGAAACCCAGAUCGCACAGCGGAACACACUGACCCAGGAGAAUACCCAGUAGAUAUGCAAACUGUCCUGCAGUAAGGAAGGGGUGCCAGAGAAACAGGAAAAUAUGCAAAUAGAAAGAAAGAAACGAAAAAACAGAGAAAAGAUAGGCAUAGUGUAAAUCAUCAAACAAAGCCACAUUCCAUAACUUCGUCAAUGGGCUUAAAAAUAGGCUUCAAUAGCUGAGAGCAAUGGCUUGAUUUUAAAAUCAUCCAAUUCAAGAACGAGCCACUCAUCAAUUGAAGGGAGCAGUUAUAAAAUCAAAACAAAAUAUGUAAAGAAAAAGAACUCUGAUUCAUCAUAACAACCAAGUGACCAUAAACAUCCACAUCAAGUAACAAAAAUAAAUCUUUAGAGACAGCCAAGGAAUGAGGUGAAAUCGAAAUUAAAUGACAAUAUAGUAAAUAUUUGGAAGCAUACCUGCACGAUCUCCCCUCCAAUUGCUUGGCUUCGGGCUACUGCCCCUUUCUUAGAGUAGGAAAUCUUCUCUAAGACUGGAAUCUGUCCACCUAUCUCCUGUUCUUCCUCUCUCCCCACCGUUCUCAAUGUGUGCUGCCAAUUCCCUUUUUUCUCCAUGCAUGCUAUCCGUACUCCUUUUCAAAAACCUCCCCCCUUUUCUUCCCUCCAAUCUUUUCUUUUAUUCUAUCUCCAUUUUUCCAAAAGGAAACUUUCCUUUCUCCUGACUCAUGCCCAAUUGGUGUCUCAGCUGAUUUGUGUUCAGCUAGUGCUCCUUGAUUGAGGAAGUGAUCAACAAAAUUUAUACCUAUAACACCAUAUACUAGGGUAGCAAAUAAAAAGCUACUAUAGUAUAGUGGCUCUAGGGUCGUUCACUGGGAAUGACUAAUCAAGCAAUCAAGGAUACCAAUUCCAAGUGAAUUGGUCUUGUUUCAUUUCACGGUUAGUUUAAGAAAUAAAACACAAACUUUGAUUGGUAAAGGUUGAGACUUAAACUAACUAACUUAACAGAAGUUUGGAAUAAUUUAGGAAGAAAAGCAUUCCUUGGAGAUUUAGGUUCACUGGGGUGGUUCCUCAUGCAAAAGACAUAGCUCCGGUCAGAUGGUUCAUUUCCUCGCGUUAGAGAUUCAACUUAUAGUCAAUUCUCUAACCGGUGAUGUACAGAGACUCCUUCAAUUAGAUUUCACUUUAAUUCUCUCACUGAUGCAACUUGCAAUGGUUCAUGCCUCUCACAAGCACCUACCAUUCAAGGUGAUCUUUAACCUUGGACUUCCCUUCACAAACUCGCAAGAGAUAACUAAUGGAUGUCUCCUAGGAGUCCAAAAGCUUACCAAGUGUUGGUAAUUCUAGAAAAUCCUACCUUGAAGUCACCUACCAGAGGCUCGCAAGGGGUAAACUAGUGCAUUUCCAUGGUUGGAAAUCACUUGCCUUACCAAGUGUUGGCCCAGGUGACUCCAAGGUGUUUUAAGUUAACUAAAAACAUUGAAAUCACUAAAGGAUUUCACUUCCUCUUCAUUACUAGCUAAAACCACAGAGCUUUGCAUUCUUGCACUUGGAACCUUCCCCGGUAACCUUAGCUCCAAGGAAUUGGAGGUUUAGUUACUCAUUCUCUAGGGAAAACUCCUAAGAGAAUUCAUAACUUAGAAAUAAAAUGAAAAUACAAAGUGAGAAGGUAAGGCAGUAGAAAGAAAAGACCUUUACUUGCUUCCCAAAUGGUUACAGAAGGAACUCCUCUCUGAGAACAGGCUCCCGAGAGGUAUAUAUAUCAAACCAAUAUAAAACUAAUUGUUACACUGAUAUUUGGUCUUUUUACUAACUUAAAAACUAAGGAAUCAUGUAAUUGGUGGUUUACAAGGAGUAUUUUGGGAUUUAGACAACAAAAAUCUAAUGGAAAAUAUCUCCCAAUGUCGGUAGCAAGCUUCGGGAGGCUUCAGGAGCCAUUUCGCAGGAGAAAAGUGGUGUCUGCGAAAUUUCGUAGACACCCAAGAGGGCUGCGAAAUUAUUUCGCAAGACCGAGCUAUCUUCAUAGGGCUGCGAAGUUGGCUUCCACCUUGAGGUUUCCAGCUCCCUUCUCGCGGCAUGGUUCGUGCAUCGUCAGAAGGAGAAACACCUUACUAUACAAAAGUGCUGCGAAAUUCUCGCAACAAAAGGCUGAUUCCGCAACACUUUAGAGUGACUGGCUUGUAAUGGCUGCAACUUCUUCGUUUCAACUCCAAAUUGCACACCAUUUGAAGCAUUGGAUUGUUGACUUCCUGAGCUUUGAAAUGAUAUAUAGCUUGCAUCAUUUGGACUUCAGAAAGUGCUCCAAAAGUGGCUGCUACGACUGUCAUCAAGAAUAUGCUCCAUGACUGAUCCUCUUUGCUUUUUCUCCUUGCAAUCCGGAUUCACUCUUGGCAAUUGAAUUCUAAGCUUUGCCCAUGAUUCCUCAUAGCUCUCCUCAUUCUUAACUUGCUUUGGUGAUCAAAAUACUAACAAAAACACCAAAACUUACACAAAGUGAUCAAAAUUGCUUUAAAGGAUCCUUAACAUGCCAAUUGAGUUAAAAGGCCUAAACUACUACUCAAAAGUGUUAAAAAGGAUUAAUUAAAGGCUAUCAAAUAGCACUUUUUGAGUAGUAAUCAUCUCCUACCAAAAAAAAUAUGCCAUUUUCAUUUCUCCAAAAUUCUGGUGAUCUUCCUUCCAAGUAGAUGGCAACUUGUUUCCUCAUGCCUAAAAAGCCAAGAAAUAUGAUUUAGAAAACUUAUAAUAAAAUAAAAUAAAAUUAAAAUAAAAUCAAAAUAAUAAAGAAAGUCAUACAAGCCACAUAAGUCAUGUAGGUCAUGCAAUAAUGUAAGUCAUAUAAGAAGUGAGUCUAAAAGUUCCUAAGUGGGCCUAAGUGUCCUAGAUGGGCCUAAAGUGGUGCCUAAUGGGCCAAGUGUGCCUAAGUGUCUAAGUGGGCCUAAGGUGGUGUCUAAGUCUAAAUUAAGGCUACCAAGGGUACAAUGAGGGGUCAGAUAAAUCCUUCAACUAAAGUCUUCGAGGUGGCUCAAAAAAAGGUAAGUAGUAUGAGUAGCAAUGGGCCAUCAAAGAACUAUUGUGGAGCACUGGAAGUGAACUUAAAGACAUGUGCUAAAGGGACAAAAUUGAGGGUCUACACCAACAUUGACUUAACCAUAUCUAGUAAAGAAUGAUUUCUUCUUUCCGUUAUACUAUUUUGUUGUGAAGUGUUAAGAAUUGUUAACAAUCUACAUAUCCCUUUCUCUUCACAUAGUUUCUGAAACUGAUAUGACACGUAUUACUGACCUUUGUCAGUUUGAAGAAUAUUUAAAUUAUGAUUCUCAACCUCUACCAAAAAACACUUGAAACAAUUCAAUGCUUCAAAGUGAUGAAGCAUUAAUGAAUGUGAGAAAAUAAGAGGAGUCAUGGCGUACCUUUACAUUCAUAGGUCCAUAGAUAUCUUAAUAGACUAACUCUAAAGGGUAAGAGGCCCUAGGUGCCUUUCCAAAAGGCUUCUUAUAGGCUAUUCUUGCUUGACAAGACUCACACAUAGGUAAACUAACAUUGGCAAGAGACCCUAGAAGACAUUCUCUAGCUAGUCUAGUCAUUCUUUUUUUACUUAUGUGUUCUAAUAUAGAAUGUCAAUUCAAAGAAUCAACUGUAUUACCAUAAGCUACAUAAGAAGAUGAAGAAUCCAAAUUCAACAUGAAUAUACCAUUAGAUAAAAAAAUCUUGUCCAUAUAGGGCCUUAUUUAAAUAGAAUUCAACUUUUAUCCUAAUAAAAUGAAAUUUAAAACCUAAUUCAAGUAGUGUUAUUACUAAAAGUAGAUUAUAAUGGACACUAAGUGUAUGUAACACAUCAUGAAGAAGUAAUGUAUGCCUCGUUUGAGUUGGUAUGUUCCAACCCCUAAAACAUUUACCCUUGAUUCGUUACCUAGAGUAACAUAGUGUCUUCCAAUAGGUAUCCUUUCUUAAUCUUUGAAUCCCACUUGAUCCCUUGUAGUGUUAUUAUUUAAAUAGAAUUCAACUUUUAUCUUAAUAAAAUGAAAUUUAAAACCUAAUUCAAGUAGUGUUAUUACUGAAAGUAUAUUAUAAUGGACACUAAGUGUAUAUAACACAUCAUGAAGAAGUAAUGUAUGCCUCGUUUGAGUUGGUAUGUUCCAACCCCUUAAACAUCUACCCUUGAUUCGUUACCUAGAGUAACACAGUGUCUUCCAAUAGGUAUCCUUUUGUAAUCUUUGAAUCCCAAUUGAUCCCCUGUUAUAUGAUUUAUUGUUUUUGAGUCUAUCAUUCACCCAAGAAGAGAAUGAAAAAUUAAUACAUGUGUACACGCAUAUGAAAAGAGACUAUUAAGAUUUGGGUAUACCUUCUUUGGCUCAAUGCACUCAUGAGCAAAGUAGCCUAACUUGCUAUAGUUGUAGCAUUUCAUUUUGGCCAUAUCCUUGUCUGCAUCUCACUUACUUCUCUAGUUUUUUUUUUUUUUUUUUUCCUUUUGUUGGCCCUAGAUUUCCUAUUGUACCACCAUGUUUUCCUUAUCCCUUAUGUUUAAACUUAUUAGCCUAUUGUUGCCCCACAUGAGUGGCAAUUGUGGUGUGUUGCACCCCUAAACGCUCCAUUUUCAAUUCAAUGUGGUGAGAAAUAUCAGUAAAAGUUUUAAUAUUCUCUUUGUCUGUGAGCACAAGUUUCCCUUAUGAUUCAAGCAAAGGGCAUAUAACAACUGUGACUUGCUACUUGUUAGUCAGGUUAUUACUGACUGCAUUUAAGUCACAAAUUAUAGCUAAAAUUUCCCUCAAAUGUUCAACCAUGGUGUGUUUAGGGUCCAUAAUAUAUUGCUCAGAUUUCAAAGUGAGCACUCACAACCUAGUCAUAAAAUGUUAAAUAAUAACCAAUCUUCAACUUAUUCUACAUGUCUUAGGUAAUGGGGCAAUUCUCAAACUCCCAUUUUAAGUCAUUAUGCAUGCUACGAAACACAGUGAAACAUGCACAAAGGUCUCUUUUAACCUAAUAAUAAUAAGCUUCCAUAUCAUAGUAGCAGUGGGCUAGAUUCCUUUCUUCAAGUUGGACCAUGAUAUUAGUUAAGGUCUCUAAGACCUCUUGUUCAUUUAACAGGUAUUGGAUUUUUCUAUGCCACAUAUCAUAAUUAUUAUCAUCUAAUUUUUUUCCUUUUGUCAAAUUAACAAUGUUUUUAGUAACCUUUUCACUAUAUUUAUUAUAUAGGACACAUUAGCAUACAUUUCUCAAUUUCAACUUAGUCUAUGAUAUUCUUGUUAACAUAAUGAGAUCGAAAAUUUUGUAAUGCUCAUUACUCUCAUUAAAUGUGCACUAGAUCAUUAUAACUAAUUUAAAUUUUUUUUUUUAAAAGAUACCAAUAUUCCUUAAAAAACACUAUUAGCCUAAUGGUUUUUCUAAUCUCAUUUUAAUAAUAACAAAUCAUAGUUAGUUUGCUAAUGAGUUAAAAUUAAGAUAAGUUUUAGGUAAUAAUUAUAAAAAAAAAAAAUCAAAUAGAAAAUCAAUAUAAUCAUCAAGGGAUCAAUGAAGAGCAAGACUGAGUGUGCAUGAAGGUCAUUCAAGCUUAGAAAUCCUAUGUAAGAUGUUCACUUGGGUGCAUUUAGGGGUUUAGAUUUAUCCAUGCAUUGUUUUCAUACUGGGUUUUAAGCUUUAAAAGUAAAAUUUUUAUAAACUUGAGUUUUAAUUCAAAACCAUAGGCAAAAACCUCUCAACUAGUUUUUAUAAAAGUGUUUAAAGUUGUUGUCUAAGUGUUAGAAAGAAUUGAAAUUGAAAAAGAUAGGUUUUCGAGAAAAAAAAAUGGUCAAUCAAUCAAGAGCUAUCUCAACGACUCAAUUGAUUAGGAAACCGAUUGACCAAUUACCCUUUUAUGGUCAAGGCUUAGUCAACAAGCACAACAAAUCUUCUCUCUCUUCUAGAAGGGUUUCUUUGUUGAUCAAGAAAAACAUUUUCCCAACCGAGGUCUAGUCAAGCCCCUAAUGGUCACCUGCCAAACAUUUAAUACCCAACGACUAGUUAAUCGAUCAAUCGGAGCUCGAUCGGGAAAGGCUUGUUGGAGCACUUUUUGGUGUCCAAGGUUGAAAACUUAUAAAUUGAGAGCUCUCAUUCUUUUAUUGCAUAGAGAACACUUGCAUUAAACUUCUUGCCUACUAGUUUCUCACAUUCAAUGCUUUCUUUCUUUCUUUCUUGAUGCAUUAAAUCUCUCACUUGCAAACCCAUCUAGUGCACCCUUGUUGUUCAUCCUAAUUGCCUUUUAUUUCCUCAUUAAUUGUGCUAGGAUUGAGUGAUCUUAAACUCUCAUUUAUUGAAGUAAGGUUGAGUGUUAAGCUUCAAGUUUGAGGAUAAGACUUGAAUGAUUGCUUAUAGUACCCAUUGGAGCCAAGGAAUCCAAUUGUAAAAACUUGGGAGCUAAGUUGAAGCUUCAAAUUAGUGGAAUCCUCAUUUAGGAGGAACUUGAGGAGAGUGACAUAGGCGAAAUUGACCGAGCCACUAUAAAAUCAGUGUUUGCAACCUCUCUAUGUCUUUAUCUCUUUAUUUAUUUUUAUUUUUUUUUGUUAUUGCUUGAGAAUAAUUGUCCAAAAAGUUUUUAAAACCCAAUUCUCCCCCCUCUUGGGUGUUUUUAUUAAGUUAAUUAGCCUAUAUAUAAGUUCAAUUUAAAUAGUAUUGGACAAAAAAAAAAAUUCACAUAAACAAUUCAUAUGCAAAUAAACAUUGUAUACAUUAAAAAAAAAAAAGUAAUCCAUAAAUUCAAUAACCUUAUUACCAAAAUUCUUUUAAUGAAUAGUGUAGCACCUUGAGUUGAAGUGCACUUUGUAGUAGCAUGUUUAGGCCUAUAUUUUUGGAUUAAACUUGUGCUUUUGGGCAAUCCAUUUUUUUGUGUUUGCAUGUUUGAGCCCACAAAUUUGGAUUGGACAUGCACUCUUGGAUAACCCAUUUUUGUAUUUGCAUGCUUAAGCCUACACUUUUGGAUUGAACAUGUGCUUCUAGGCAGUCUAUUUUUGUGUUUGCCUACUUAGGCCUAUACUUUUAGAUUGAACCUACGCUUUUGAAUAACCUUUUUAUUAUUAUUAUAAAAAAAAUAAAAACUCUUCAAUUAAUGGACACAAAUAUUUAUUUAUUUCAAAUAAAUAAAUACAAAUAGAGACAAAAACAAGCUUGAUCUAGCUAUGAUACCAAUAUAAGAUAAAAAAUUAAAACUAUAAUCCAAAAAACAUACUUAUGGAAGAUCUUUGUAGCUUGAAUUAUACUCUCUAAUAUUGAUAAUUGCUUUAGUGAGGUUGUUGUGAUUGUGAUUAGAUCGGUCCAACGAAAAACUAGCUAUUCUGCCUAUGCAGUUAACUAUGCUUCACAUCUUUUCUCUAUCCUCUACUAACAUUAGUUAUGCCCAGUCCAAACAACCUUGGAUAUGUAGGUUUGGAUGUCACAACUCUUUUAUAGGAGUCCAGGAUAUAUACCUCCAGUCAGUCUCCUUGCAUUAACAAACAAAGAAAAAGAAAAUACCCAUAUUCCUUUUCUCAUACUCUCUCUCUCUCUUUCUCUUUAAGUAUAAUUAAUUAAUCUAACAUACGAUAUACGAUCAAUGCCCUACCAAGACCAAGCCAAGUGAAUAUUAUUUCCAGUUUCUUUUCUCUGAAUGGAACUCAAAUUCAACACUUGGAUCUCAGACCAUGAUAUUUUAGGGAGAAUUCCUAUUAAGGGUGGGCUGGGAAAACAUAUGACCGAGAAGGGUGGGUAUAUUUAAUAAUUCUUAUGAAGGGUAGGGUGGAAUUAUGAUAAUUCUUUCAAAGGCUUUAUUUUGUUUAAAUGCCAAGACUACCCUUAACAAGUGAAAAGCCAGCAAACAAAAAAAAAUCUUCUUUUAACCCGGCUGUAGCUUAUCGAUGUUGAAGAAGAAAAGGGAAAGAGGAAAAAAUUCCAGCACUUCAGGUUAUGAUCUGAACUGUCUCCACAAAGCUUGUAUUUUUGUGUGAAUCUAGCAAGAAAUCCAUUAAAGGUAAGAUUUUAAAAAAAAAAAUGCACAAAAAAAAAUCUUCUUUUAACCCAACUGUAGCUUAUCGGUAUUGAAGAAGAAAAGGGAAAGAGGAAAAAACUCCAGCACUCCAGGUUAUGAUCUGAACCGUCUCCACAAAGUUUGUAUUUUUGUGUGAAUCUAGCAAGAAAUCCAUUAAAGGUAAGAUUUAAAGAAAAAAAAUGCCAAAAAAACAAAAAUACAUUAGUUUAUGCAAAUAAAUAAAUAAUUUAAAAUUUGGAUUGAAGGAAAGAACUAUUAAUAAUUUUAACAAUGUAGAUCUGAAAUAUUGAAGGAGGUUUUGAGAAAGAAAUUACAUUUUUUUUGUGUAAAAUGUUAUUAAAUUUUUUUUUGAAUUUUUUUAUAUUAUUUUGGUCAUAUUGAAGAUGUGUUUUUAUUUUUAAUUUAUUUUCCGAGUGGGUUGUUUGAUAUGAUUAUUAUUGAUUUCCAUUGAAAAGGUUUGCACUUUAAUUUUGUUGUUGAGACUUGUUUGGUAUGGCAGAAUAAAAAAUUUUCUCAGUUGUUUCAAGCUUAUUUGGGUAUUUAUUAACAUAUUUGGAUUUUCAUUGAAAAUUAAAAAUUAUAAUCAAUUGAAACAUAUUUUAUAUAAUAAAGAACAAUAUUUGUUGUAUAUUAGACAUGUAUAUUAGACAAUUGUCCAGUUUCAUAAGAAAUUUGAAAUUUUCAAAAUUUUACCUUAUUGUAAUGUAUCGUAAUGUUAUUGUAUUUAUAUUAUAAUCGUAGUAUAUUUUUAUUGUACAUUUAUAUUUUUAUAUAAAAAAUUAAUUUUAUAGAUUUUUUUUUUUAUAUAUCAUUGGAUUACCAUGAAUAACUUUAUGUAUUAAAAUUAUAAUAGUGUAUUUUUAUUGUCUUUUUAUAAUUUUGGUUUGCAAGGAUGCUUUAUGAUAGGAAUAUAACAUGAUAGCCUAGAAAUACUAGUUCAGUAAAAAAAAAUGAAUUCAAUAAUUUAUCAUUUUGGUAUAUUGUAAUGUAUUGUAAUGUUAAUAUUUUUUUAUUGUAACUAUAUUGCAUUUGUAUUGUACUUAUACUUUAUGAUUGUCAAGAAAGAAGAUGUACUUUUCAAUAGGUAAAUGGACUUGAAAAAUCAGGGUAAAUUGGUCUAAUAAAAAUAUAAGACCUUCAUAAGAAUUAUCAAAUCUACCCACCCUUUUCAGUAAUUUUUUUCCCCAGCCUACCCUUAGGGGUAAUUCUCCCAUUUUAUCGAAAGUUCAUGAGUUUCAUAGACCGUAUGCUUCAUCAUCUGGACUAUCCAAUACAAUAUUACAUGAAUUCAAAGAUAAUGAACCCUCAAUUCCAUGCUUAUAUAUAGACGUCAACUUGUGUUAUGUAGAAAUAUUAAUAUUCCAAGUUGAUAUGUUUACACUAGGCUUUUGAGUUUUGAGUUUUGAGUUUUGAGUUUUGACUGGCUCUGCCUGAAAUGCAGGAAAUGCAGGGAAAUAUUUGCUUUCAUGAUUGUACAUUUGGUACAAAAAUAACCUCGACCUCUGCCAAAUAUUGCCAUCAAGAGCUGGAAAUGUUGAAAUUUCCUACCAGCUAAUAUGUGGUUCUCAUGCCAGAAGCUGGAGAUAGAGAUUCAUAGCGAUUCAACCCUAUAUUAUACAACAGCUAAGCACCUCCACUAGUUAUGAAGAUUGAAGAAAAAGUCAAUUUUUGACGCGACAAGGAAGCUAUGACAUGAGUUUCCAUGAAGGAUACCUAUGAUUUUUCGUUGUAAGCUACUCUUUGUCUCUUAAUUAUCAAGGAAACAAUAGCUAAUACUUUAUCAUAUCAUACUGUAUUCUUUUGAAGUCAAUGGUACAAGGAAAAAAAAAUGCAAAACUUAGAGUCUCAGCGUCAACAAUAAAGUUUCAACUCUCUUUUAAGUGCUGACUUUUCACUGCAAUUAAAUAAAAUGAAAGAGAAAAGAAAAUUGAUAAACUAAAAGUAUAAACUAUAGUGUUAUAUAUAUAUUUGUGAAUAAUCAGACACACUUAAAAUAUAAUGUUAAAAGAAAAUUUACAAUUUAAAAAUUAUUGUUACUUUUUAAAAAAAAAGUCUACUAAUUUUAAUGUAUUAUUUCUUGCUAAAAAGUUAAUUGAUCUACUUCAAAUAUGUUUAUAAGAAAAAAAAAAUCGGCAUUAUUUACUUAUAAUUUGCUUGGCAAGUGGGUGGAAUAUAUACUUUCUUGCAAAGGCUUAAUUAAAAUGACAAGACUAUUGUUUAAUCGCCUGUUAGGUUUGGUUUGAUGGGAUUGACUGCGACUUUCUUCAGAAAUUUGUUGUGAAAGGAGCAUCAUCUUCUAUAUGGUUUGUAGCAUGAGAAAUCAUGACCAGUUAUACACUUUCCACUCCUAUGGACCACGCUAAAUAUGACAUGCAAGUUAUAUGGAUAUUUGGUGCAAUCGUUAUGGACUCGGAACAUCCCCAAUAAGAACUUUUCAAAGUUGCAACUUUACAUGGUUAAUCUAAAUUUAUAAAUCAUGAAGUAGUUGAAAUAUUUAGAGUUUUAGAAUCGUUUUGGGAAAAAUGAAAAGAAGAAAAUGAUUAUCCUUUAAUAUUUGACAAGAAUUAGAGUUUCUUUUUUAUGUGAAAUAUAUCGGAAUAAAUCUAAACUCCAAUUAAAUUUGAAUGAAGAUGAAAGUUGCAAUUUUUAAAGUUUCUUUUAUAUAUAUAUAUAUAUAUAUAUAUAUAUAUAUAUAUAUGUUUGAAUUUGAUUUAUGUCAAAAUAAAGUUUAACAUUAUCGAGUGUUUAGACAAUUUAUUUUUUAUUAAUGUGUAAAUACUAUUAAAUGUUGAGUUGCAUGUUUUUAUUAAUGUUUGCAUACUAUUAAGUAUUAAUUAAUUCUAUUUCUUUUUACACAUUAAAAAUAUUUAUAAAAAUAAUUAUUAUGUUUCGUUUUAUUUUACAUAAUUAAGAUAAAAUAUUUAAAAAUUAACUAAGAAAUUAGUCAUUGAAUAAUAAUUAAGAUUUUGGAUAUUUUAAAAUCAAUUAAAAAUUGCUAAUUGAAUAAUAAUUAGGAUUUUUAAUUGUGUUUGAUAGCUAAGAAAAUAUUAAAAUGUUUUUAGGUGAAGUUUCAUUAAUAACUCUUUAAUUUAUAUAUGGUAUUCCUCAAAUUAAUGAAUUUGUAAUUAAAAAGAUGAGGUUCUUCACUUGGUAACAUUGAUAUUAAGAAUAAUGAUUAUACCUUGGAUAUAAAGUGGUUGAAUCAACUACCAUGAUCCUACUUGCAUAGUCUAAGGGCUAAAUAUAAAAGGUAUGCUAACCUUGCCAUAGGGUUAAAUAAGACAAGACCAAUUUGAGAGGGUUUUUGCCCGGUAAUAAUAUCAUAACCAAUCCAAUAUAAGCUUAAUUCUUAUAAUACUAGGAUAUCUUACCAAAGACAUGUAGUCCUAAGAGUUCUACAUUUUGCUAAAUUCAUAUGGUUUACUUUAUUGUGAAUGCUCAAUUAUUAAUACAUGUUUAACUUCUUUAUAACAAUCAUGUAAUAUAAUCCAAUCACUCUCAUGCUUACCAGUAAUAAAUUGGUUAAGCUUAACUACAUGGAUUGAAAAAUAAAUCUAAACAUAGUUCUCACAUAAGAGGAGUUAAAAUGGGUGGUAACUUAAAAUUUUACUCCAAAUGCCUCCAAUAAACUAUCCUUACUAGAAGAGAGAGAUGCUUAUCAUAGAUGACAUAAGGUAGAUCAAAAGGCUAAGUGUAUCAUACUCGGGUCUUUAGAUAACAUGUUGGAAUAGCAAUAUGUGUCUCAUGCCAUGACUUAUGAUAUUCUCUUCAUUUUACAAGAGAUCUUUGAUGACAAGGGUAAGUCAACUAGAAUAGUUGCUUUAAACACUAUCAUGCAUCAACAUUAGGAUGAUAAAAGGAACUCUCAUUAAAAAUCAUAUGGUAUAUAUGAUUAGGCUCUUUAAUGAGAUAAAGAUCCUUGUAGCUAAGAUUGAUAGAAAAACCAAGGUUAAUUUGAUCUUAGAGACCUUGUCAAAUUCCUUUGAAAAUUUUGAGUUCAACUAUUCUAUUUAUGAGUGAUUGUGAAACUUGUCAGAGCUUAUGAGGGAGCUUGAGAUGGAUGGCCGAGAGGAUUCUAAAAGAUAAAAAGUAAUUACUUUAAAACUUGUUCAAAAUUUUGAGGUAUAAAAAAUUUUACUUUCUCAAAUUUUAAAAUUUAUGAAAGUAAGUUUUAAAGGCAUAAAUUAAAUUUAUAUAAAAUGUAAGAAGUUUUUGUUUGAAAUAAUUGGUUAAAAGGGAUGAAAUACUCCUUUUGUGAAUUCAUCAAUUAUUAUGUUUUUGUUUGAAAAGUAACGCAUUUUUAAUAUAAAUGUCAUUUACUAUUUCAAGUAUUUACAAUAUAUUUUAAAAGUAAUUGUCACUUUUACAAAAAAAUAAUGACAUUUUUGUCAAAAUGAGGUCAAAAAGGAUAAAAGGUUAAAUUUUCAAAAUUGAAUUUUCAAUGAACUUUUUAAUCAAAUAACCUUUUUUGUUUUUAAAAAUAAAAAUAGAAAAUAUAUCCAAAUAAACAAUGAAUUUUUUUACCUUUGCUCCACCAACUGAAUUAUGUUCUCGCCUUUGUUAUAUCAUAACGUUGCCAUUUGACCUACACUCAAAAUUGGUUCUCGCAUGUGCUUAUCUUUAAGAGCAUCCUUACUCUUGUUUGUUAUUUUUUAUUUAAUUCAAAAUUUUAUUCUUGGUCCACUAAGUAAAAUAUAUUGAAAGAUCCAUUAAAAAUGUGACUUACUCUAUACUUAUUGUAGCAUUAUUAUUUUGAUUUAGAUAUGAUUCCAUUUAUUUUUUUAAAAAUAUAAACCAUAAAAAGAAAUUGUACGAUAGUCGGCAGAUAGGAGUGACUUUCUUCCAUCUAAAGGAGCAUAAAAGUUCCAAGCAUUGACGGUGUACUCAAGAAGUAUUCCUUUGUAUUGACCAGUUAGUCGGGUCCUUUCUGCUAACGUUGUGUGGUGUGGUCUUUCUUGGAUGCUGCCGAUUCCUACUUUUCAAGUUCUAAAUACUAUAAAUAAUAUCAUUAUUCUCCCAAACAUUAUGAAUCCCAAAGCCUCCCAUAAAACUUCAGAAUGAGAAACAACCUUACCCAACUCCCUUUAUUUCUCCUCUGCUGUCUGUCUUUAUGGAUUUUCUUCAUAGAGAUGGCCAUGUCACAGAACACAACAAUACCAGUUAAAGUGGGAGUGGUUCUUGACAUGGAUACAUGGCUGGGUAAGAUGGGUUUGAGCUGCAUCACCAUGGCCCUCUCAGACUUCUAUGCCUCUCAUGGGCACUACAAGACUAGGCUGGUUCUGGAAAUCAGAGAUUCCAAAAGAGAUGUUAUGGGUGCAGCUGCAGCAGGUACUCUCGUUUCAUAAAACUUAGAAUACAUUUAGAAAACAAUUGCAUUAUAGAGACAUAUAGAAGCAAAAGUUUAAACUUGCCCUCUUAUUUUCAAACAAUUAGAUAUUUUUAUUGCCCUUUUAGAUGAGCAAUUGAUUAUUAACAGAACUUUUAUCAUUUUUAAUCACAACUUGCCACAGAAAUACGAGAUUAGAAAAAUUGAUAAAUGGUGUAAAUGUUAAGCGUUUAACUAAUAGAUCGAAUUGGAUGAAAGAAAAUUAUAUUCCUUCUUCUGCCAUAUCACCAUUUCCAACCUCAUAUCAAAGUUCAAGUUCUUCCUAAUUAACAUGGUAAAAUUGUAGUGAAGACAUUAAAUAAGAAAAGUUUUUGAGGAAAAAGAGUCAUGAAGUUGAACCAAGAUUAGCAUGCCCAUCAAAGAUGGCAAAAAGUCUCGUUAAAUUGUAGCACGUGUUUUCAACUAAGCAACAUUUCUUGCCUCGGAAGAUGUUUCUUUGUUAACCACACGAUGCUUCAAAGAUGAAAAAAGUCUUCAUAAAUUUGAUUUCCUCCUUGUUUUAAAAGUCACUCUAAUAUUGUGGUCAUGUUCCAAAACCGAUGCCUAUGAUCUAUGUUAUUGAGAAAUAAUGUGAUGCAGAAGUAUAUAAAAAAGAUUGAUAAUUUGAUAUAAUAAGAAGAUUGAUAGUUUGUUUACAAAUUCCAGUAUCCAUCGGACCAAGGGGAUGUAUUUUCCAUUUUUGUACCUUGUUUGAUUGUUGAUAAUAUAGUAGAAAUUGAAUGAAACUUCAGAAUUAUUAUAUUUUAAUUAUUGUGAAAUUCAGCUCUAGAUUUAUUACAAAAUGAGGAAGUUCAAGCCAUCAUAGGACCAGCAUCCUCCAUGCAGGCCAACUUUGUGAUUGGUCUCGGAGACAAGGCUCAUGUGCCCAUCAUUUCAUUUUCUGCAACUAGUCCUUCUCUUUCUUCACUCCGGAGUCGAUAUUUUGUCCGAGCCACACUGAAUGACUCAGCACAAGUACCAGCUAUAAGGGCAAUUGUCCAAGCCUUUGGGUGGAGACAAGUUGUGCUCAUUUACUUUGACAACGAGUACGGAAAUGGAGUUAUACCGUAUCUUACUGAUGCCUUGCAAGAGAUUCACACCCGUAUCUCCUACAGGAGCGUCAUUCAUCCAUUAGCCACAGAUGAUCAAAUCCUCGAAGAGCUUCACAAGUUGAUGACAAUGCCAACCAGAGUUUUCAUCGUACACAUGUUUACACCUAUAGGCCCACGACUUUUUGCCAGAGCGAACGAGAUUGGAAUGAUGGAAGAAGGUUAUGUAUGGAUUCUAACUGAUGGGUUAACUGAUAUCUUGAGUACUUUGGAUCCAUCUGUCAUUGAUUCAAUGCAAGGAGUGUUGGGGGUGAAGCCUCAUGUUCCAAGAUCGAAAGAGCUUGAAAGUUUUAAAAUCAGAUGGAAAAGGGAAAUCCAACAAGAAUAUCCGACCAAUGAAAGCUUUGAGCUGAACAUUUUUGGACUCUGGGCUUAUGAUGCCGCUUCUGGGUUAGCCAUGGCAGUUGAAAAACUUGGGGCAACAAACUUCAGCUUCCAAAAGUCUCAUAUUUCCAGAAAUUCAACCGAUCUUGAUACUGUAGGAGUCUCCCUAAUUGGUCCAAAACUCCUCCAGUCACUAUUAAAUACUAGAUUUAGAGGCCUCAGUGGGGAUUUUCAAAUUGUUAACAGACAACUACACUCAUCAGCUUUUCAGGUAGUCAAUGUGAUAGGCAAGGGGGAAAGAGGGGUAGGAUUUUGGACACCAGAGAAUGGAACUGUAAGAAAGUUGGAUUCUACUUCCAAGCCCAAUCUAGGAACAAUCGUAUGGCCAGGAGAAUCUCCCUCCGUCCCUAAAGGUUGGGUCCUUCCAACCAAUGAGAAGAAAUUGAGAAUAGGAGUACCAGUCGGCCAAGGUUAUAGUGAAUUUGUAAAGGUGACGCGAGAUCCUAGCAGUAACACAACGGAGGUCACUGGAUUUUCCAUAGCAGUCUUCGAUGCAGCGAUGGCAGCAUUACCAUAUGUUGUUCCUUAUGAGUACAUUCCCUUCGAGGGGCCUGAUGGCAAUCAAGCCGGUGAUUACAACGAUUUGAUAUAUCAAGUAUAUCUCCAGGUCAGUUGAACUCUUUACCUUUCCUAGCACAUAGAGACAACUCUUGGUUGGCUUCAAUUAUAAUGAAUUUUGUCAAACUAAAAAGCUAUUGCAGUUCCCCGUUGUUGGCUUUUGAGUACAUAGGAAACAACCAAACUUGCAGCAAAUUUUCCUGCAGUGCAUAACAGAAUGGCCCCAUUGUUUAUUGUUAACAGAAGUAUGAUGCUGUGGUGGGAGAUACUACUAUUCUAGCGAACAGGUCCUUGUAUGUAGACUUUACACUACCUUACACAGAUUCUGGGUUGUCAAUGGUCGUGCCCACUAUAGAUAAAAGAAAAAAAAAUGCAUGGGUUUUCUUGAAGCCACUUACUUGGGACCUUUGGGUGACAAGCUUUUGUUUCUUCGUAUUCACUGGCUUUGUGAUUUGGGUUCUUGAACAUCGAGUAAAUAAAGACUUCAGAGGGCCUCGUUCACAUCAAGUUGGCACUAUCUUCUGGUUUUCAUUCUCAACAUUGGUGUUUACUCAGAGUAAUUUCUCUUCCACCUCCUUGAAUUUUAUCUAGCAAUUUAUGUACUUAUGUAAUAUUCAAAUACAAAGCAUAGUGAGUGCAUCUCAAACACAAUCGAAACUAACUUCUAGUAUAUAUGGCCUGCUUGCUUGUUUCCCAUGACUGUAACCUCUAUUAAUAUAUGGACAUUCCAUACAAUAUGCAAGUAAAUUUCAAGAUAAUUUCUAUGUUUCAAGAAUUAUAUAUAUUUGACUUUAUAUUGAUUUUCUGGAUUGGAUUUUCUUUUUCUUUCUUAAAUUAUGUUAACAGAGGAGAGAAUUGUCAGCAACUUGGCUCGGAUCGUGAUGAUCAUAUGGUUUUUUGUGGUGCUGAUUCUUACUCAAAGUUACACAGCCAGCUUGGCUUCAAUGUUAACAGUUCAACAACUCAACCCGACUAUCACCGAUAUAAAUGAGCUCAUAAAGAAGGGGGAGCCUGUAGGUUGCCAAAAUGACUCUUUCGUUUGUGAAUUCUUGAUCGAGUCGAUGAAAUUUGAUGAGUCCAAGCUUGUAAAGUACGAGUCCCCAGAAGAACUGGAUGAAUUAUUUUCAAACAAGAGUUCAAAAGGUGGAAUUGCUGCUGCAUUUGAUGAAAUCCCUUACAUGAAGAUUUUCCUUGCAAAAUAUUGCUCCAAAUACACAGCAGUCGGACCAACAUACAAGUUUGAUGGGUUUGGAUUUGUAAGCGUUCUUUCUUAAAGUGUACAGAUUUUCAUUUAGUGGUUUCUGAUUUUUGAUCAUUUUUCAGGUGUUUCCAAAGGGUUCACCCCUUGUAACUGAUGUUUCAAGGGAAGUCUUAAACGUGACAGAGGGAGCUAAAAUGCUACAAUUCGAGAAGGCAUGGUUUGGGCAAACACCCAGUUGUCCAGAGCUCACCAGCUCAGUUUCUUCAAACAGCAUCGGCCUUAAUAGCUUCUGGGGCCUAUUCCUCAUUGCUGGAGUCGCUUCAUUCGUAGCUCUCAUCACAUGCAUCACCAUGUUCCUUUAUGAAAAUAGAGAUACCUUAAUAAACUUGAAUCCCCCAUCUUCCAUAUGGGGAAAAAUUAAAGCCAUGGCAACACGCUUUGAAGACAAAGAUCUCAGGUCCCAUACCUUUAGAAAUAGUGAUCAACUUCCAGACAAGCAACAUCAAGGCCAUGGAUGUAGUUAUAGCCUCGCCAGCUACACCAACUGCCCUCCAAGUCCAUCAAGCCUUUUGAUCCCAACACACAACAAUUUUACUUUCUUCGGUGAACAAGGAACGCCUUCUUCUGGACAUGUUGAUCCGGUCAGUUCAAAUCAGCCGAUGCAUCCACAUAUAUUGUUUGAAUAUGAGCUUGCUAAUAUAAAUCAUGAGCAAACAAGAUGUCAUGCCCCGUGACCCGCUCCAAGGGCAUGACGAUCAUUUCACAUGUCAAGCCCGAAAGCUCAAAGUGUAAAUUGAACAUUAUCGAGAAUAAUUCUAGAAGCUUCUCUUAGCCUCACAUGUAAAGCACCAGCUCACCAACUCCACACCAAAUGCAGUUGUAACAGAGAAUUGGGUUGUACACUCUCAUAUAUAAAUAUAUGUAAAAAAAGAUAAGAGGUUUAUUCUAGGCAAUAUUUUUUUCAUUAUGUUCUUCUCUGCCCCUCUAUUUUCUCUCUCAAAAACUCCUGUGAUUCAAUCCUUUUUUUUUUUUAAUUCAAUCAUGGUAUCAGAGCUCCAUGAGACUUACGUCACCCCUCCUACCAUGUCCACCACUACAACUCCAACCAUAACUACGAAUCCAGCAAUGGCGUCUUCCUUUUUUAUUAAUCUCAACUUCACUCUGUCGAUCAAGUUGGAAAGAGGUAAUUACCUUAUUUGGAAGUCACAAAUUCUUCCUAUUCUUAGAGGUCAUGGUCCUGAUGGUUUUGUUACAGGAAUGAAACCUUGCCCGAAUGAGUUUAUCAACGUUGCAGGUGAUUCAUUUGGCCUUAAUCAAAUGGUAAAUCCAAAGUAUUUUUAUAGGCAAAGACAAGAUCAGUUGAUCCUUGGGUGGAUGAUUGCUUCAAUGUCAGAAGGUGUUGUUGGUCAGAUUGUAGGCUGUACCACUUCUUAGCAAGUCUGAGCAGCUCUGGAGCAUCUUUUUGCCUCACCUUUGAAGGCAAGAUUACUUCAGUUGUGAAUAGAAAUGCAGACAACCAAGAAAGGCUCUCUCUCAAUGAUUGAUUACAUUAGCAAAAUCAAGUCUAUUGUAGAUAAUCUAAUAGCAUCUAGAGCACCUCUUACUGAUGAAAAUAUUAUAAUGAAUUUGUAGACUGAUGUUAGAGUAGAAUAUGAUCCAGUAUUUGUCAUUAUUACAACACGACCGGAACUCUUCACUCUAUCAGAAGUCUGUGCACUGUUGCAGAAUCAUGAAACCAGUAUUAAGCAACUGAAUUCUUGCACACAAAUUGUCUCCAAAAUGUCUGCUAAUUUUACAGUAGGUGGUUCUUCCAAGGAUGGUCGUGGUUGUAGAAAUACUCAUGGGAAUGACAGGGCACAUACUAGAGGUCAUAACAGUUUUCAUUGCAGUCAGUAUUUUGGUCUAGGGCUUGGUGGUUAUGGUAGAGGUAAUGGAUUGCUCCCAACUUGCCAAGUUUGUGGUCGACAAGGACACAUUGCUAUAAACUGUUACCAUAGAUUUGAUCGGGCUUUUCAAUCUCCCCCAAGUAAUUCCUUAACUUUUAUGGUUGCCCUUCCUAAUACAAUAGCAGAUCCUUCUUGGUACUUUGAUAGUGGUGCAUCAACCCAUGUGACCAAUAAUCCAGACAACUUGAGCUUCAAAUCUUACUAUAAUGGUCAUGAUAAGGUUACUGUGGGCAAUGAUCAAGGUUUGUGCAUUCAAAAUGUUGGUUAUUCUUCCCUACCUUUUUUUCUCAAAACCUUGCAUCUCAUAAAUAUUUUGCAGCCCAAAAAUUACUAAAAAUCUCUUGAGGAUUUCUAGGUUCACUAUAGAUAAUAAUGUUUAUGUUGAGUUUCACUAAAAUCAUUGCUUUGUGAAAGACAAGAGCUCAGGGAAUGUUUUGUUCCAAUGAUCAAUUAAAGAUGGCCUUUAUUGUCUGAUACCACCUCAGAAUCCUCUAUUCCAUUGUUUCCAGUUCUACCACAGUCACUCCAAGGGAUACUUCAUUUUUUUGCCCAUGUUUCCUCUGCUGAUAAUCACACUUUUAGUCCAGUUUUAUAGUCUCUUAAAUAUAAUAAACUUGAGGUUUGGCACCAAAGGUUGGGCAAAAUGAAAACUUAUCCCCAAGUUUGUACUCAAGCCUGUUUUGAAGUCUUGUAUCUUUUCUUUACACAAUGAAAACUUAUCUCCAAGUUUUUGUAAUUCUUGUUAGUUUAGCAAAAACCAUGCUCUUCUUUUUUUCCUAGCUCUAACUACAACCAUGGCACCUCUUCAAUUGGUUCACACUGAUUUGUGGGGGCCUUCUCCUGUCAAGUCCAGUGUUGGUUUUCUCUAUUAUAUUUAUUUUAUCGAUGACUAUACUUGGUUUACCUGGAUUUAUCCAUUGAAAGCUAAAUCUAAUGCUCUAAAUGUAUUUUUUCUUUUCAAAGUGUUUUGUGGAAAUUCAAUUCGGCUUGUGUAUUAAAGCCUUACAAUCCAACUGGGGUAGGGAGUACAGACCUUUUCUUCCUAUUCUUAUUAAACAUGGAAUUCAUUUUCGCCAUCCUUGCCCACAUGUGCACCAACAACAUGGUCAUGUUGAGCAUAAACAUCGACGUGUAGUUGAGUGUGGUCUCACUUUAUUAGCACAGACACAGUUACCUCUCUAUUUCUAGUGGGAAGCUAUUCAUAUUGCUACCUUUCUUAUCAACAAGUUGCCCACUCCUGUCCUCCAUAUCUCCAUAUAAAAAACUCUUUGGCACCCUUCUUGAUUAUGCUAUCCUCAAAACUUUUUAUUGCACUUGUUUUCCUAACAUUCAUGCUUAUAACACCCUUAAGUUUGCUUUUCACACUAAGUGUGUAUUCAUUGGGUAUAUUGAUGUUCAUAAGGGGUACAAAUGUCUUGAUUCUUUUGGUUGUGUUUAUAUUACCCGCCAUGUUGUGUUUAAUGAAAUGGACACUACAAGAAAACAUGUUUUUCCCAAUGAAAAUUUAGGGACAAAUUAAAAAUUUAUCUUUAAAACUAAUUUUUCCAGACGAAAUUCUAGAUAUUGUCACUAACACCAAUUUCUUGACAACUUUUCAUGAUGAAAUUGAAAUUUUUGUCACCAAAAUUUGUGGUGGGAAAAUUUGAGAUGGAGAUCCAUCCUCAUGCAUACUCCAAUUCCUAUUUUAGGCAUUGUGAUUUUAUUUCAUGUUUUAACUCUUAAUUUUCAUUUUGAUUUAAUAUAUAAUUAUCUUUUCUUUACCACAUUAUAAUUAUUUUAAUUUAUGAAAAUGAUAUGCGGAAUCCCUAAAGUAUAUAUGUAUAUUAUUUGAGAGUUUUAAUUUUAAUUUUGAUUUUAACUUUAAUCUUAGUUUAGAUCUUAAUUAUAGUAUUAGUUUAAAUAAAAAUUUUAAUCUUAGUUUAAAUUUCCAUUUUAAUGUUAAUUUUUGUAAUUUUAAUUCUAGUUUUAAUUUUUAACUUGAACUUUAGUUUUAACUUUGCCUUUAAUUUUAAUCUUAGUUUUGACCGGAUUUUCAAUCCUCAUCUUAGGCUUAAUUUUAAUUUUAAUAUUAAUUUUCAUUAUAAUUAUAAUCGUUUUUUUUUUAAAAUCAUUUUGACAUUAAUAUUAGUUUUGACUUUAAUUUUGAUUCUAAUUUCAAUUUUAAUUUUAUUUUUAAUCUUGACUCUAAUUUGGUUUUGAUCUUGAUUUUGAUUUUAAUAUUUGAGAUGAAAAGAAAAAUUGAAUUGUACCAUUAAACAUACAAAUUGGAGAAUGGAAGUUUUAAUAAAAACAAACAAAGUACAACUUUAGUUUAAUGUUGAGUUUAAUUUUUACGUUCAUUUUAGUAAUUUUAAUAUGGUUUUAAUCUUUAACUUUAACUUUAGUCUUAAUUUUGACUUUAAUUAAAGUUUACCUUAGCUUCAACCCUAAUCUUGGUCUUAACUUUAAUUUUAAUCUUAGUUUUUAUUAUAAUUAUAUUUUUCAUUUUCAAUUUUAACAUUGAUCCUAAUUUUGACUUUAAUUUUGAUUUUAAUUCUAAUUUUUGUCUUAUCACUUUGAUCUUAAUUUCAAUUUUAAUUUUAAUAUUUAACUUUAAAGUUAGUUUUAAUUUUGACCUUAAUUAAAGUUUGUAAGUUUGAACCAUUGGUUUGACCAUAGUUGAGCCACGAUCUAACCAACAAAUUAUGUCUUAACUUUUUUUACUCAAUGAUCAGUCCAACUCUAGAAAUAUUGGAGAUUAUCAUUUCCAAUGAAUUUAUGUUUUUUUAUUUCAUUAGGCUAUAAUUGAAUAAAAGUGAUGUUUAAGGACCUCAUAAUAAUAUUAUAUAUAUAGUAUGAUUAUUUUGAUUUCAAUUUAAUUUAAUUUUGAUUCUAAAUUUUUAUUUUAUUUUUACUUCUAAUUUCAAUCUUAAUUUUAAUUUUGAUUUUGAGUUAAUCUUAAUUUCAAUUUCAAUUUUAAUUUUUGUUCUAGUUCUAGUUUGUUAUUUUAGGUUUUAGUUUUAUUUUGUAACUCUGAUUUUAGUUCCAAUUUUAAUUUUGAAUUUUAAAUUUUAAUAGUAAUCUUAGUUUUAAUUUUAAUUUAAUCAUAAUUUUUCUUUUUAAUCUUAACUUCAAUUUUUAUCUUAACAUUUAUUUUUAAUAUAAAUUUUUGCUUCUCUAAUUUUACCCUCUACAUUAUCUUAUUCUAAUAAUAAUAGUAGAAAAUUGAAAUGAUGGGAGAAAACUCGAGGUGCAUCUAAUGCAUCGAAUAGUUGUUUAGUUAUCUUGCUGUGUUGAAUGGAGCUAAAAUGAUGAAAUGGGAGGCUUGAAUGACAUGCAAGGGGGAGGGGGGUUGUUUUCCUUUUCCCUUUUGAAAGAAUACACCAUUUCAUCUCUGAUUCACUUAACAACAACUACUACUCUCACACUUACCCUAUACCCAUGAAAACUCACUUCAUUCACCCACCUCUUAUCCAGACAUAGGGGGACAUUGUUGGGAUUUUAUUUCUCCUACAUCUUCGGUAAUAAACCGAAGACGUGAUUGGAAUGUGGUCCACAUCAUUCCAUCAAUUUAGGAACGAGGAUUCAUGCUCCAAACCACGUUCGCAUCACUACCGCAUGUUCUGUGCACGUUCCAGGUAGGCUCAAUGAUGGAGAGAGUCUUUUAAAACGAGGCAGAACACUAACGGGAGGGUACCCUAAGCCUGCAAUCUCUUUUCAGUUUUCAAAAACACCAUCUAAGUGGAGAUUGUGAAGGUUUAGAAGCACCUGAAACCCAAAAUUAGCAAAACCCUUUUUAACCUGUAGAAUGGCAAUGGCGGGAGGUAUGUUUUCCGAUCAAUUUAUAAUUCCGUUUAUGAUCUAAUUGCUAUUUAAUGUUUUUUUAUAGCAUGUUUAGAAAUAAAGAUUCAGUUGGUAUCAAAGCCUUGUAUACCUUUGCCUUGUUCAUUUUACAAUUUACAUUUUUCAAUCCAGUGAGUUUUGGUAUUUUGGAGGUUUUGGUUUUAGAAGUUUUUGAUGAAAAAUAUUGUUAGAAAUCAUUAGGAGAUGAGAUUUCUAACAUUUUGGUGUUUUAAAUCAUCAAUUUGGUGUUUGGAAUGCCUAGAAACCGUCGGGUUUCAUUUCGGGUUGCAGAUGGGUCAAACAGACCCGACUGAAGGUAGGGGACGACUACAAGGGGUUAUCGUUUUGACUGUCAAUAAGACUUAAAUAAGUAAACAAGUGAUCAGAAAAUGGGCAGUAACCCAGAUGGUCACAACCUUGUUUACCUUCAUUGAUUGCACAGGUUCGAGUCCUCCUAGCAGUAACCUAUAAACUUAUUUUUAUUUAGUGAAUGUAAUAAUAAUAAUAAAAAAAUCAUAAAAUUUAAUGUUUUUUAAAAUAUGUUAAUUUAUGGAUAUUUUAUGUGAUAGAUUAUUUAUUUUUGCUAGUUGAAUGCAUAUUUUUAUUUUAAUGGUUUAUUGUGCAUACAACAUUAAAUUAAAUAAUUUGCACAUUAAAUUUAUUCUUAAAGGCUUUUAUGGUUUUAAUUUUAGAUAUUAAUGUGCUUAUAAUUUAUACAAUUUCAGAAAUUUUGCACAUUGAUAUUGAGUUUUGUGUAAAAAAAAAAAAAAUUGCUUAUGGUUUCAUGCAAUUUAUAUAAGUUUUCUUGUGAAUUAAUUUAAUGUCAAGUGAUCCAUAUAAUUUUAAUUAAUUAAGAAGUAGCCACAGCAUCUUUAAUUAUGCAAAAUUAUAUAUUAAUUGUUUUGGGAUCACAUAUUGGAAAAUGACAUUAUGGGUAAUUAAUUAUAUUUGAUAUAAUAAAAUUUUAUCCCACAAGAAUUUUUUAUUAUAUUUGUGUUAUUAAUUAGGGUAGAAUAUCAGAUUAUAUUUCUUAAUUACCCACAGGAAUUAGGAAAUAAAACACAAUUUGAUAGUUUUAUCAUAAGGUUUUACAUGGAUCUAAUUGAAUUAGAACUUUAGCCCACAUGCAAGUUUUAUGUCACUAGAUUCAUAAUUUUUUAACAUGAGUUACAUUGGUAAAACAUGAUAUUUGUUUAUUAGUCUCAAAUUUGAAUUAUAAGCAUGUAUGUUUAAUUUUUGUGCAGUCAUGCAACUUGCGAAUUUCUCUAAUAUAAAAUGUGACAUUCCCAAAUUGAAAAGUGAUAACUAUAAGGUUUGGAAUGAGAGAAUUCUCCUUCAUUUAGGGUGCAUGGACAUUGAUUAUGCUAUCAGGAAAGACAAACCAACCAUUAUUGACACUAGCACUACAGCAGAAAAGGCUCUUUAUGAACAAUGGGAGCGAUCAAAUCGCCUUAGUCUGAUGUUCAUAAAGACCAAAAUCUCUUAUGGUAUUCGUGGUUCUGUGGAUCAACAUGACAAUGUCAAGGCAUUACUGAAGGCUAUUGAUGAACAAUUUGUGACUUCAGAUAAGGCACUUGCUAGCACCCUGAUAAUGAAGUUUUCAUCUUUAAGGCUCACUAAUGUGAAUGGUGUGCGAGAGCACAUAAUGCAAAUGAGGGAUAUUGCGGCACAAUUGAAAACACUUGAGGUUGAAAUUUCUGACUCCUUCCUUGUGCACUUCAUUUUAAACACUCUUCCACAACAAUAUGGACCCUUCAAAAUCUCCUACAACACACACAGAGAUAAGUGGUCAAUUAAUGAGCUUCUGACCAUGUGUGUUCAAGAGGAGGGAAGGUUGAAAAUGGAAUUGGGUGAGAAUGCAUUAAUGACAAUGGAAGGAAAGGAUCAAAAUCAGGCCAAAAAGAAAGGGAAAGGUAAAAUACCGCCCCAAGGUGGAAUCAAGAAGUUCAAUAAGUGCUUCUUCUACAAGAAAAAGGGGCACAUGAAAAAGGGUUGCACCAAAUUCCAGAAAUGGCUUGAGAAGAAAGGUAAACCAAUCUCAUUUUUUUGUUAUGAAUCUAAUAUGGUUGAUGUUAUUUAUAACACAUGGUGGAUUUAUUCUGGUUCUACAAUCCAUGUUUCGAAUACCUUGCAGGGUAUGCAAAACCUAAGGAAGCCAAUGCCAAGUGAGCAAUGCAUUUAUUCAGGAAACAAGAUGCGUUCACAUGUGGAGGCUGUUGGAACAUGCAAUUUAGUUUUAAGUAGUGGUUUUAUUUUAAAUUUAGAAAAGACAUUUUAUGUUCCAAGUUUCUCUAGGAAUUUGAUUUCAGUUUCAAGAAUUGUACCUUUGGGUUAUUCCUUUAGUUUUUAUGAGACAUCUUUCAGUUUGUUUUAUAAAUCUAAUCUUGUUGGAAAUGGUACAUUGUCUAAUGGUCUUUUCUCUAUCGAUUUGCAAAAUGAUACCACUAAUAAUACUAUGCAUGUUCACAUUGGUACAAAACGAUGUGUUAUGAAUGAAGAUUCCUUUAUGCUGUGGCAUCGGAGAUUGGGACAUAUCUCCAUACAGAGAAUUAAGAGAUUAGUAAAUGAUGGAGUACUUAACACUUUAGAUUUUACUGAUUUUCACACUUGUAUGGACUGCAUUAAGGGAAAGCAGACCAACAAGUCUAAGAAGGGUGCCAAGAGGAGCAUAGACAUAUUAGAGAUCAUACAUUCAGAUAUUUGUUGUCCAGACAUGGACGCGCAUGGUCCGAAAUACUUCAUCUCCUUCAUAGACGAUUACUCACGAUACAUGUAUAUCUACUUGCUUCAUAACAAGAAUGAAACAUUGGGUGCCUUUAAAGUUUUUAAGGCUGAAGUAGAAAAACAAUGCGGAAAGCAAAUAAAGAUUGUGAGAACAGAUAGAGGUGGAGAACAUUAUGGUAGAUACACCGAGGAUGGACAAGCACCUGGUCCCUUUGCGAAGUUUCUUCAAGAGCAUGGGAUAGUUGCUCAAUACACAAUGCCUAGGUUCCCCAGACCAGAACGGUGUGGCUGAAAGAAGAAACCGAACAUUAAUGGACAUGGUUAGGAGUAUGCGUAGCAACUCCAAGCUUCCUGAAUCCUUGUGGACUGAAGCUCUUAAAACGGUAGUGUAUAUAUUGAACUGAGUUCCAACAAAGGUUGUCCCCAAGACGCCAUUUGAAUUUUGCAAAGGUUGGAAACCAAGUUUGUGACAUAUACACGUUUGGGGAUGCCCAUCUGAAGUAAGAGUUCACAACCCACAAGAGAAGAAACUAGACCCAAGGACCAUUAGUGCGUAUUUCAUUGGAUAUGCCGAAAGGUCUAAAGGGUAUAGAUUUUACUGUCCAUCUCACAGUACUAGAAUUGUGGAGUUAAGAAAUGCUAAGUUUCUUGAUAAUGACUUGAUUAGUGGGAGUGAUCGAUUUCAGGACAUUGUUUCUAAAAAAGAUCAUAUAGAUGCUCAACCAUCCACUUCAAGUGAUAGCUUGAUUGUCAUUCAGAAUGCCCCUCAAGUUCAAAUGGGUGAUAGACAACCAAUCAUUGAAGCUCCACAAAUUGCUAAUGACAAUCCAGUAGAUCAAGUUGUUCAAGAUUCGCCAGAAAUUGUUGAACAACCUGUUGAGCAACGUGAUCCUCAGGAAAAUGUUGAUUCAAUAUUAAGAAGAUCUACAAGAGUGAGAAAACUAGCAAUACCUAGUGAUUAUGUUGUGUAUCUGCAAAAAUUGGACUAUGACAUUAGAGUCGAAAAUGAUCCUAAAACAUUUUUACAAGCCAUAAGUUGCAAAGAGUCUAAUUUAUGGUAUGAUGCUAUGAAAGAUGAGAUGAAUUCUAUGGCAUCUAAUGAAGUCUGGAAUCUUGUUGAGUUGCCUGAUGGUUCAAAAGCCAUUGAAUGUAAAUGGGUCUUCAAGACAAAGAAAGAUUCAUUGGGCAACAUUGAAAGAUAUAAAGCGAGACUCGUUGCUAAAGGAUUAACUCAAAAUAAAGGAAUUGACUACAAGGAGACUUUUUCUCCUGUAUCUAAGAAAGAUUCUCUUCGUGUCAUUAUGACAUUAGUUGCACAUUUUGACUUAGAGUUGCAACAAAUGGAUGUGAAAACGGCAUUUCUCAAUGAAAAUCUAGAGGAAAAGAUUUACAUGAAACAACUAGAAGGAUUUUCCUCUAGUGGUGGUGAGCAUUUGGUAUGCAAGCUUAAGAAAUCCAUAUAUGGAUUGAAACAAGCAUCCCAUUAGUGGUAUUUGAAGUUUCAUGAUGUUAUCUCUUCAUUUGGUUUCGUGGAGAACAUUAUGGAUCAAUAUAUAUAUCAAAAAGUCAGUGGGAGUAAGAUAUGUUUCCUUGUUCUGUAUGUGGAUGACAUUUUACUUGCAACCAAUAAUAAGGGUUUGCUACAUGGGGUGAAACAGUUUCUAUCUAAAAACUAUGAUAUGAAGGAUAUGGGUGAUGCAACUUAUGUUAUUGGCAUUAAGAUACAGAGAGACAGAUUUUGAGGCCUUUUAGGUUUGUCUCAAGAGACCUAUAUCAACAAGGUUUUAGAAAGAUUUCGGAUGAAAGAUUGUUCACCAAGUAUAGCUCCCAUUGUGAAGGGCGAUAGGUUCAAUUUGGACCAGUGCCCGAAGAAUGAUCUUGAGCGGGAACAAAUGAAGAACAUUCCUUAUGCUUCUGAUGUUGGAAGCUUGAUGUAUGUUCAGGUCUGCACAAGACCUGACAUUGCAUUUACUGUUGGGAUGUUAGGGAGAUAUCAGAGUAAUCCAGGUAUGGACCAUUGGAAAGCUACAAAAAAGGUGAUGAGAUACCUUCAAGGGACCAAAGACUACAUGCUUAUGUAUAGACGGACUGAUAAUUUGGAAGUGAUUGGCUACUUUGAUUCGGACUACGCUGGUUGCAUUGAUUCGCGAAAAUCAACUUCAGGAUAUGUCUUUAUGCUAGCCGGUGGAGCUGUUUCUUGGAGAAGUGCAAAGCAAACUUUGAUUGCAACUUCCACUAUGGAGGCUGAGUUCGUGUCUUGUUUUGAGGCUUCCUAGCAUGGUGUAUGGUUAAAGAGCUUCAUUUCUGGGCUUAGAGCUGUGGAUUCAAUUUCUUGGCCAUUAAAGAUAUAUUGUGACAAUUCAGCUGUAGUUUUUAUGGCUACGAACAAUAAAAGUAGCAGUCAAAACAAGCACAUCGACAUCAAGUAUUUAGCCCUAAGAGAACGUGUUAAAGAGAAAACAGUGGUUAUUGAACACGUUAGCACUGAAUUGAUGAUUGUUGAUCCUUUGACUAAAGGCAUGCCACCGUUGAAACUUAGGGAUCAUGUAGAUAGAUUGGGACUUGGUUCCUUUGUGUGAUUUUCGUUGUAAGAACGAAUGUUAUUUUCAAUGAAACUCUAUUUGUGAUGUUUUCUCAUAUUUGAUUUUCUUUGUGUACACUUUUAUUCAUUUAUUGAGAAAUAUCAUUAAUAUUUGGACAUAGAAUAAACAUAAGGUUUAUUCAUUAAGCCAGAUGGACUAGUGUUUAAGAAACAUGAUGCAUUGUGAUACAUGGAAGAUAAUACUCAAUAUUAGAGGACCUAUCGCCAUGAAUCAUGUAUUUUGUUUCUUGCUAUGAUGAAUGAUGGAAUAUAUGGACCAAGUGGGAGAAUGUUGGGAUUUUAUUUCUCCUACAUCUUUGGUAAUAAACCGAAGACGUGAUUGGAAUGUGGUCCGCAUCAUUCUAUCAAUUUAGGAACGAGGAUUCAUGCUCCAAACCAUGUUCGCAUCACUACCCCAUGUUCUGUGCACGUUCCAGGUAGACUCAGUGAUGGAGAGAGUCUUUUAAAACGAGGCAGAACACUAACGGGAGGGUACCCUAAGCCUGCAAUCUCUUUUCAGUUUUCAAAAACACCAUCUAAGUGGAGAUUGCGAAGGUUUAGAAGCACCUGAAACCCGAAAUUAGCAAAACCCAUUUUAACCUAUAGAAUGGUAAUGGUGGGAGGUAUGUUUUCCGAUCAGUUUAUAAUUUCGUUUAUGAUCUAAUUUCUAUUUAAUGUUUUUUUAUAGCAUGUUUAGAAAUAAAGAUUACAAACAUAGCCCCCCACAACUCACUCCACCACUACCAUCAACAACCUCAACCCACAACUCCCUUUCUCAAGGUCUUCAUCAACGUAUCGGGUAACCAUUCUGCAACUUUGCAUCCCUGUUGCAGAAACAAAAACCACUUUGAAACCCAUUGUGUACGAUGGGUUUGAUUUUUUAAUAUAAUGCAUUGCACUUUGCUUUCAUGUACAUGUAUGGAAGUUGAUUUUUUUUAAUGUCAUAUAUUAUGCCUUCAUGAUAUUAUAGAUCAUGGUUUCAUGUGGGUUUUAACCUUUUAUUUCCAUAUAUUAUGGGUUAGUGUGGGCUUGAUUUUUGUAAUGGUAUAAUAUGGGUUUUGGUUUUAUAACACCAUGUAAUGCAAUUUCAUUGGUUUGACGUUAUUUUUUUGUUAGAUAAAUAAAAUGUAUAGUGGAGGUUGGGUUAUGGAGUUUGAUUCUGUAAUACUUAACAGGUGAGAUUUUGUAAUAAUGAAUAAGAGAAGUGGCUUUCAAGUGAUAGUGAAAGCGAAAAUGGUUAAAAACUCUUGUAAGCUAUCUUUUAUUUAUUUUAUUAUAUGUCAAAAACUAAAAUUUAAUCUAGUUACAUAUCUUUAAUUUUUUUUUUUUUCAUUUAAUAACACUUGUUAUUCAUUUCUUACUUUUUUUUUUUUUAUGUUGCUCAUUGAUUACAGAUGGCUCCUAAACAAAAAAAGCCAACUCCUCAUCUGACUCCUUCACCCAUAAUGGCACCCACAACACCUCUUUCCAUUAACGCUCCAAUGCCCACAUUUGAUGAGGGCACUAGCAACUUUAAGAAAUUUCCCACACUUAUAACUUCAAGCUAUUAUAAUUUUGUAAGGUGUUUUAUCAACUUCCUUUAAUUUUUAUGUGAUUAUGGUUGCUUUAUUGAUUACUACCCAAAAAGUGCUAUUUUGCGCUUUUAAUUUAUUAUGUUUUAAGCACUUUUGUGUAGUAGUUCUCCAUUUUUAUUCCAAUUGGCAUGUUAAGGACCUAGCAAUGACUUCUAAUCAUAUUUGUGGCUAGUUUUAGUGUUUUGACAGCUUUUUGGAUCAUUAAGACAAGCCAAGUAAAGGAGAGAAGCAAAGAGGAAAACAAAGUGAAGAAAACAGAGGAUAGCAGCUGCAGUCUUCCUUCGCACUUUUGGAGAACUUACAGAAGUCCAUUUUCUACAUGCUAUAUACCAUUUUAAAGCUCAGGAAGUCAAGAAUCCAACGCUUCAAACCGUGUACUAUUUGAAGCUGAAAUGAGGAAGAUAUGGCCUUUGGAAGACAACUGCAUCAAGCAAGUGCGAAUUUCGCACAGCAGCCCAAGCAAGUGCGAAUUUCGCACCACCAGCCAUGCAAGUGCGAAUUUCUCACCAGCCCAUGUGUCUUUGGUGUGAAAUCUCCUCUGUUCUGCCGACUCCACAUGAGAUCUUUUCUUUUGUAUUUUUUUAUGAAAAUUCCUUUCUUAUCCCUAUAAUUAGCCAAUCACAGGCUUUGCUUUUGUAAAGGCUAUAAGAGGGGUGGAAAUCAUCUCUCGAAACACACUAACAUAUUGUAUAUUUUACACUUAGUGAAAUUUUCCUCUGGGGAAAAAACAGAGUUCUCUUUGCUUUCCUUUUCUCUUUUCUAUUUUCUUUUUCUUGGAAGCCAAACAACCUCUAAGGAUGUUUUCCCAGAGGAUGAGAGGCUAAACCUUUGGUUUCUUGGAGUGAAAGAAGCUAGGUGAAAAUUCCAGAUGCUAAAAUGGAAAACUCUCGUGCAUUAAAUAUAGAUAGUUGGAGUUCAUAAAUGGCUUUUAAAUCUAAAGUUUUGCUUUAAAUCCCUUAGAAUCACUUUGAAUGGGCCAAUACAUGAUAAGCUUUAGGUCUCUGUGGAUACUUAUUGCUAGAUCCACAUCAGACCAUUAGUUAUCAUGUACGAGCCAUUGGAAAGUGGCUCAAGGUGAAGACCCAUAGUGUCUAAAGCCAUUAAUGGAACUUGACUACCAUUUCUAUGGACUUUUUAUGGAUUAAAUCUUCAUUGUUAAACCUAUACCGAUUCGGGAAACAACAAUCCUUUAUGUUGUUGUCCCCAAUACGAGAAGAAAAAUCCGGAAUUUCCCACUUUGCAUUCUGAACUUGAUUGUAGCAACCUUUAGCUCCGAGAGACUUUCUUUUUUCCAUUUUUACCUAGUUUAUGUUAGUUUAGUUCCAAACACCACUUUCAAAACAAAUUUUAUUUUCUUUUAAACUUUAAGUUUUUGACAAAGGAAAUCAUCAGAUUCAAUUUCUAAUCUUGAGUCUAUCACUGGUAGAAUGAAAACCCAUCCCAAAGUUUGACCCUAGAACUGCUAUACUAUAGUAGCUUUGCUAUGCUAGUAUGAGGUCAUAGGAUUUAUAAAUAUUUUUUAUUAAAAUACCCGACUGGGCACGAAUCAAAAUGGCACCAUUGUCGGGGAUGGUGCCACGAUACAGUGAUACAACUUUUUAGAGGCUACUUGUGAUUUCCAUCACAAGUUUGGUGAAUUCCUUUUUCACUAACUUCAUUUUCUUUCUUUUAAUUGUAGAAUUCCUUUUGUUAAGUUUAUUUUCAUUUUCUUUCUAACCUUAACUUUCUUCUAGCUUUCUUUUGUUUUUGUUGUCUUUGUUUUGUUUUCAGGUAAGUAGUAACUUGUGCAUGCCCUAUUGGAUUCGGGACCAAGAGGGAAGAUUAGUAAGGAUUGAGAAUCCUCAAGACACGGAGUUGGAUAUUUGUGUAAACAUCAUGGACCCUCCACAAGAGGAUCAGAAUUCUCAACACGGUCAAGGGGGUAAUCCAAAUGCAUAUCUAUCCAUGAGGGAUAGGAUGCACCCACCAAGGAUGAGUGCACCCUCAUGCAUCGUACCUCCUCUUGAGCAGCUGAUUAUAAGGCCCCAUAUUGUGCCCCUCCUACCAAAUUUCCAUGGAAUGGAGAGUGAGAACCCAUAUGCCCACAUCAAGGAGUUUGAGGAGGUGUGCAAUACUUUUAGAGAGAAAGGAGCUUCAAUAAACUUGAUGAGACUCAAGUUAUUCCCUUUUACUUUGAAGGACAAGUAAAAAAUAUGGCUUAACUCCUUAAGGCUGAGGAGCAUAAGGAAUUGGGUUGAUCUUCAGGCCGAAUUUUUGAAGAAAUUUUUCCCCACCCAUAGGACCAAUGGGUUGAAGAGACAAAUCUCAAACUUUUCUGCAAAAGAAAAUGAGAAGUUCUAUGAAUGUUGGGAAAGGUAUAUGGAGGCCAUCAAUGCUUGUCCUCAUCAUGGCUUUGAUACAUGGCUCUUGGUGAGCUAUUUUUAUGAUGGGAUGUCUUCCUCCAUGAAGCAAAUUCUUGAAACCAUGUGUGGGGGAGAUUUUAUGAGUAAGAAUCCGGAAGAAGCCAUGGACUUUUUAAGUUAUGUAUCUGAGGUAUCAAGAGGAUGGGAUGAGCCCAACUCAAGAGAAAUGGGAAGGAUGAAAGCUCCUGUAAAUCCAAAGGGUGGAAUAUACAUGUUAAGUGAAGACAUGGACAUGAAAGCUAAGGUGGCAACAAUGGCAAGGAGGUUGGAAGAACUUGAGUUGAAAAAAAUGCAUGAAGUCCAAGCCAUUUUCGAGACACAAGCCCAUGUCAUGCCAUGCACCAUUUUCCAAUCAUGUGAUCAUGUGGUAGAUGAGUGCCCAACCAUCCCAGCUGUGAGGGAGAUGUUAGGUGAUCAAGCCAAUGUUGUGGGGCAAUUUAGGCCCAACAACAAUGCACCUUAUGGAAACACCUAUAAUUCAAGUUGGAGAAACCAUCCAAAUUUUUCUUGAAAACCAAGGCCACCUCCAUACCAACCACAAGCCCAAACCCAAGCACCUCAACAAACCUCUUCAGUGGAGCAAGCCAUUGUGAACCUAAGUAAAGUCAUGGGUGACUUUGUAGGUGAACAAAAGGCAAUCAACUCCCAAUUGCACCAAAAGAUUGAAAAUGUUGAGAGUUCUCAAAUUAAGAGAAUGGAUGGAAUGCAAAAUGAUCUAUCUCAGAAGAUAGAUAAUAUUCAAUACUCCAUCUCUAGGCUUACCAACCUCAACACAGUAAAUGAGAAAGGAAAGUUUCCCUCUCAACCAAGCCCAAAUCCCAAGGGUGUUCAUGAAGUUGAAACCCAAGAUGGGGAGUCUUCAAAGUUAAGGGAGGUCAAAGCUGUGAUCACCUUGAGGAGUGGGAAGGAGGUUGAUCAACCCUUGCCUAAGGUGAGGCAAGAUGAAGAACUCAUGUCAAAGAGAACCUUGGUUAAAGAGAGCAAUAACCAAGAAGAGAAGAGUGGGAAAAAAAAUGCAUCCAAAUCAAGCAUUGAAGAAGAGCCAAGGAUAGUGAUUAAAGAGGAUAUGAUGAAGAAACAUAUGCCUCCCCCUUUUCCUCAAGCUUUACAUGGAAAGAAGGGAAUUAAGAAUUCAUCAGAAAUUCUUUAAGUUUUGAGACAAGUGAAGGUGAAUAUACCCUUACUUGAUAUGAUCAAGCAAGUCCCCACAUAUGCAAAAUUUUUAAAGGACUUGUGCACAGUCAAGAGAGGGUUACAUGUGACAAAGAAGGCAUUCCUCACUGAGCAAGUAAGUGUCAUCAUUCAGAGUAAGUCUCCAAUUAAGUACAAAGAUCCGGGAUGUCCCACCAUUUCAGUCAACAUUGGAGGGACACAUGUGGAGAAGGCUUUACUAGACUUGGGGGCAAGUGUGAAUUUGCUCCCAUACUCUAUGUUCAAGCAACUAGGACUUGGAGGAUUGAAGCCCACAGCCAUAACUCUCUCCUUAGCUGAUAGGUCAGUCAAAAUCCCAAGGGGGGUGAUAGAGGAUGUUCUAGUUCAAGUGGACAAAUUCUACUAUCCCGUGGAUUUUGUUAUGCUUGAUACUGAUCCCACUGUUAAAGAAGCAAAUUAUGUGCCAAUCAUCCUUGGGAGACCUUUCCUAGCUACCUCCAAUGCCAUCAUCAAUUGUAGGAAUGGGGUGAUGCAGCUCACAUUUGGAAACAUGACCUUGGAAUUAAACAUAUUCCACCUAUGCAAGAGGCAUCUUCACCCAGAAGAGAAGGAAGGAUUGGAGGAGGUGUGCUUGAUCAACACUUUGGUUGAAGAGCAUUGUGACAAGAAUUUAGAAGAGAGCUUGAACGAAAGCUUUGGAGUGCUUGAAGAAGGGUUACCUAAACCCUCUGAUGUGUUAGCCAUCUGUAGACCCUCAAUUUUGUCCCUCGACACUGGCAUUUAUCCUUCGGGUGUCACAUCCACCCAUCGUUCGCAUAUGGCACCACUAGAGCCUCUUUUGGGCUUAGUCGGUGUCCGAGCCUCGUGUGGGUUUGUCUAUGGUCCAUUGUGGUGCAUAUGUGGUUCAUUUUGGAGGGUCACCAUGGCCAUUUUCCUAGUCGUUCACAUCAUGCUAUAGGAAGGAAGUGGGGUCAUCCCGAUGUUUUAGCUUAGUUGGAGUUUAUAGGGGCAUGUUGAGGUUCGGAGCACUCGGGCUUGUUUUGAUCGUAUCUCCCUCAUCCAAACUCAGAAUUAAGAACCGUUUCUUUUUAUGGAUUCCUUAUUCUUCCAAGAACAUUCUGUAAAAUUUUCAAAAUUUUUUGCAACCGGUCGGCUGGUUGGCAGCCGGUUCAGCCGGUUCAUCGAGUCAGUUGGUGUAGAACACUGAUUUUUGGUAAUUUUUUUGAUCAUAUCUCCCUCUUCCGAACUUGGAAUCAUGCACCGUUUUUUUAAUGGAUUCCUUACUCUACUAGGAACAUUCUGUCAAAUUUUCAGAAUUUUUUUCCAUCGGUUCGACCAGUUGGCAUCCGGUUCAGCCGGUUCAGCCAGUUCAUUGAGUCAGCUGAGGUAAAACACUAAUUCUAGUAAUUUUGAGGCCCAAAUCCUACAUGGCUCAGGCCCGUAAGCUCCAGAUUGGUUUUAAACAAUGUUGUGGGUCCAUUUUGGGCCUUGGUUUGGGUUCCUUGUAGCCCACCACGAAUCCAUAUGGAUUCUUGGUGGUGAAACAAGUUGAAAACUGAAGGAGUGAGCUGGCCUCAUAAGUUUAAGAGAAGUAAUGAGGGGUGUGGUUCCCAUGCUGAUGAAGGGGAUUUCGGUGCUGAAGGGGGAGGAAUCCAGGAGGCUUAAAUGCUAAGAGGGGUAUGAGUAUAAAAGGUGAGAGGAUAGGAGAGCAAAGGAGGGAGGGGACACUUUGGAGAGGGGAAAUUUUGCUGGUGAGAAAAACAAAAGGUUAGUAGCAUCUUCUGAGUUAAGAGCGUGGGGGAAAGCUUCAGCACUGUGGUUUUUUGAAGAGGAGAGUGACAGCGUCUCAGUUUUGGAAGUCAUCAUCUGCAAACACGGAUCAUAUUUGGUGGAGAUUCUGAGGUAAGCAUGCUGAAUUUUCUUUACUUACAGUUUAUCUUUCUCGUCUUCAUAUGCUUUUUCUCCUUCCUCAUCAUCUUUUCUUCCCUUUGAUAUGAAGAUUGUAUUGCUUGGGUGUGGAUAAUAAAGGCCACACAUGAUUUUUUUUGAUUGGUUAUUAAUCAUUUAGGGACUUUCUGAUCGAAUUUGAGAUUUUUUAUCAACCGGCUGAACCAGUUGGGAACCGGUUCAACCGGUUCAGCACCAUAGCUGGCAGCCUCUGUCAGCCAUGAGGAACACCUGCCUUUCUUUGUCUGGUUCUCACUCAUCUGGGCUCAAAAUUGAGAACCAUUUCUUUUGUUUGCUUUCUUAAUCACUUAGGAACUUUUUGAUCGAAUUUGGGAUUUUUUACCAACCGGCUGAACCGGUUCAACCGGUUCAGCACCAUAGCUGGCAGCCUCUAUCAGCCAUGAGGAACACCUGCCUUUCUUUGUCUGGUUCUCACUCAUCCAGGCUCGGAAUUGAGAACCGUUUCUUUUGUUUGCUUCCUUAAUCACUUAGGAACUUUCAGACUAAAUUUGGGAUUUUUUAUCAACCGGUUGAACUAGUUGGGAACCGGUUCAACUGGUUCAGCACCAUAGUUGGCAGCCUCUGUCAGCCAUGAGGAACACCUGCCUUUCUUUGUCUGAUUCUCACUCAUCCGGGCUCGGGAUUGAGUGUCGUUUAUUUUGUUUGAAUCCUCACUCAUUUAGGAGUUUUCUAGAAAAAUUUGGGAAUUUUUCUCAAUAGGUUGUACCAGUUGAGAACUAGUUCAACCUGUUCUGCUGGAGGACUUUAGGUAGCCCUCGAUUUUGGCAUUUUUCGAGCCCUUAUCCAUGGGGGCUCAAACCCAUUUGCUAUAGGGCACUUGUGAGCCAUCUUGAAGGUUUAAGUCAGUGUUUGAUUUCAGUUUGUAUGGGCAAUUUUGAAGUUAUGGGUGGUAUGGUCUAGAUGAGUCUAGUUCGAUUUGUAUGACAUUUGGGGAGUCCCUUACCUCAUUUCAACCAGCUAUCUUCCUUUUUGGCACAAGCUUUGAUGCUUGAUUUUGAAUACAUGUCACGUGACUGACUCACCCUCUGCUGUAGUGCUUGGCUAGGGACCACAAGUACGCAUCGUUGGCUUUGGUUGUUGAAUUCAUAUGCAUGCAUGGUGCUUAAUCUUGAAUGUUUUUUAUGUGUUUAUCUGUGUUUGGCUGACCUUUUAUGCAACGCUUGGCUAGGGACCACAGGUACGCACCCAUUGUUUUGUUUGGUUGAAUUCAUAUGCAUGCCAAAUACCAAUUAGGAUUGUGUGAUUCAUGACAUCUAUUUAGCCUAGGGUUUCAUUUGACCUUUGACCCAUAUGCUCCCACAUACCCAAUUCAUUAGUAGAGACCAAGUUUCAGGCCUAGAGGGGUGCUACCUCGCAUGAGGUACCUUCCCAACGGGUAACCUGAUCCCCGGACCCAGAAUCUAGUUUUCGUAGACCGCUUUUUCCAUACUGGGGUCAUUAGGGGUUUUUGUUCUUACUUAAUUUUCCCCAUUUUAAAAACAAAAAUAAAAAGUAAGUGGCGACUCCAAACAACACCGUUCCUCAUCGGGGGCGGGUUUUUCAAAACUGGAAAACACCAACUUUUCCAUUUUCCUUCUUUUCUUUUAAAAGCGAGUCGCGUCAGUCCGAUGGAUCGGGUGACGGUCCACACCAUCAUGUCUCCUUGGAGGAGACGGGAAGAGAUCUUACCAUUGUUCAAUAAGGAGGACUCACAAGGGGCAGCUACGAAGAACACUCCAAAACUGGUUUUGAAGCCACUUCCUAUUGAUUUGAAGUAUGCAUAUUUGGAGGAAGAUGAGAAGUGUCCAGUGGUGGUUUCUUCAACUCUCACAAGUGAUCAAGAGGACAGUCUUUUGGGAGUCCUCAGAAAAUGCAAAAAAAUCGUUGGAUGCCAAAUUUCUGAUUUGAAAGAGAUUAACCCUUUGGUAUGCACCCACCAUAUCUACAUGGAGGAAGAUGCAAAACCGGUGAGGCAGCCCCAGAGGAGGUUGAAUCCUCACAUACAAGAGGUGGUAAGGGGUGAAGUUUUGAAGCUACUUCAAGCAGGGAUCAUAUAUCCCAUUUCAGAUAGCUUGUGGGUGAGCCCCACCCAAGUAGUCCCAAAGAAAUCUGGAAUUACUGUGAUCCAGAAUGAGAAAGGGGAGGAAGUAUCUACACGUCUUACCUCAGGAUGGAGGGUGUGUAUAGACUACAGGAGGUUGAAUUCAGUGACUAGGAAGGACCAUUUCCCAUUGCCUUUCAUGGACCAAGUCCUUGAGAGAGUCUUAGGGCAUCCUUUCUACUAUUUUUUGGAUGGUUACUUGGGGUACUUCCAAAUAGAGAUUGAUUUGGAAGAUCAAGAAAAGACAACCUUCACUUGCCCCUUUGGUACUUUUGCCUAUAGGAGGAUGCCCUUUGGUCUAUGUAAUGUACCUGCAACUUUCCAAAGAUGUAUGCUAAGCAUCUUCAGUGAUAUGGUGGAGUGCAUCAUGGAAGUCUUCAUGGAUGACAUCACUGUAUAUGGAGGUUCUUAUGAGUGUUUGUUGCAUUUAGAAGCUGUUCUCCAAAGAUGUAUUGAGAAAGACCUAAUGCUAAAUUGGGAGAAGUGCCAUUUUAUGGUACAACAAGGAAUUGUCUUAGGACAUAUAAUCUCCAAGAAUGGCAUUGAGGUAGAUAAGGCCAAGGUGGAGCUAAUUCUUAAGUUGCCACCUCCCACAAAUGUUAAAGGAAUUAGGCAAUUCCUAGGACAUGCCGGGUUCUAUAGGAGGUUCAUUAAGGAUUUCUAAAAAAUCUCAAAACCUCUUUAUGAACUCUUGGUAAAGGAUGCCAAGUUUGUGUGGGAUGAGAAAUGUCAGAAGAGUUUUGAGGAACUGAAGCAAUUCCUCACAACUGCACCAAUAGUGAGAGCCCCAAAUUGGAAAUUACCUUUUGAGGUAAUGUGUGAUGCAAGUGAUCUUGCUAUGGGGGCUGUUUUGGGGCAAAGAGAAGAUGGAAAGCCCUAUGUGAUUUAUUAUGCAAGCAAAACUUUGAAUGAGGCUCAAAGGAACUACACAACUACUGAGAAGGAGUUGUUGGCAGUAGUUUUUGCCUUGGAUAAGUUUCGUGCCUAUUUGGUAGGGUCCUUUAUAGUGGUGUUCACUGACCAUUCCGCUUUGAAGUACUUGCUAACCAAGCAAGAUGCCAAGGCAAGAUUGAUAAGAUGGAUCCUUUUGCUUCAAGAAUUCAAUCUCCAAAUCCAGGAUGAAAAGGGAGUAGAAAAUGUGGUAGCUGACCACUUGUCAAGACUUGUGAUAGCACAUGACUCACAUGGUCUACCUAUCAAUGAUGAAUUCCCUGAGGAGUCUCUCAUGUCAAUAGAGGUAGCUCCAUGGUAUUCUCACAUUGCAAAUUACUUGGUUACUAGAGAAGUUCCAAGUGAGUGGAGUGCCCAAGACAAGAAGCAUUUCUUUGCUAAGAUCCAUGCCUAUUAUUGGGAGAAGUCUUUUCUCUUCAAAUAUUAUGCGGAUCAAAUCAUAAGGAAAUGUGUUCCUGAACAAGAGCAAUCAAGAAUUCUAUCCCAUUGUCAUGAUAGUGCAUGUGGAGGUCAUUUUGCUUCCCAGAAAACAACCAUGAGAGUGGUCCAAUCAGGUUUUUGGUGGCCCUCUCUUUUUAAGGACGCCCAUGCUAUGUGCAAGGGAUGUGAUCGGUGUCAAAGGCUAGGGAAGCUAACACGCCAGAAUAUGAUGCCCUUGAACCCCAUCUUGAUAGUGGAUGUCUUUGAUGUUUGGGGGAUAGACUUCAUGGGACCAUUUCCAAUGUCAUUUGGACACUCCUACAUUUUGGUGGGAGUGGAUUAUGUCUCUAAGUGGGUAGAAGCAAUCCCAUGUAGGAGCAAUGAUCAUAAGGUGGUUCUCAAAUUUCUCAAGGAGAACAUCUUUUCAAGAUUUGGAGUGCCUAAGGCCAUUAUCAGUGAUGGAGGAACCCACUUUUGCAACAAGCCUUUUGAGACUCUUCUAGCAAAUAUGGGGUCAAGCACAAGGUAGCUACACCUUAUCACCCUUAAAAAAGUGGCCAAGUUGAGUUAGACAACCGGGAGAUCAAGAAUAUAUUGAUGAAGGUGGUGAAUGUGAAUAGGAAGGAUUGGUCUAUUAAGCUCUUGGAUUCAUUAUGGGCUUAUAGGACCGCUUAUAAGACCAUUCUUGGAAUGUCUCCUUAUCGCCUUGUUUAUGGCAAAGCGUGCCAUCUCCCAGUGGAGGUUGAAUAUAAAGCAUGGUGGGCAAUCAAGAAGCUCAACAUGGACUUGACAAGAGCCGGGUUAAAGAGAUGUUUGGAUUUGAAUGAAUUGGAGGAAAUGAGGAAUGAUGCUUACCUCAAUUCAAAGAUUGCAAAAGAGAGGUUGAAGAAAUGGCAUGAUCAGAUGGUAAAUCAGAAGAAUUUUACCAAGGGACAAAGAGUCUUGCUUUAUGACUCUAAACUUCAUCUUUUUCCGGGAAAAUUGAAAUCAAGGUGGACGGGUCCUUUCAUAAUUCAUGACGUGAAAUCAAAUGGAGUAGUGGAACUACUCAACACCAAUAGCAUUCGAACUUUCAAAGUGAAUGGGCAUUGUCUCAAGCCUUAUAUGGAAUCAUUUUCCCGAGACAAGGAGGAAUUCAUCCUCCUUGAUCCACCUCUCACAUGAAAACACUCAGUUCAUGGUUGAACUUAGUCUCUUCAAAGACUAAAAAGUUCAUCCUCUUUUUGUUCCCUUUUGCGUUAAUUUUAGUUUAAUCUAGUGUUUUUUCUUGUGUAUAUGCAUGUUUUGAUUUUUAUUUUUGCCUCUAAUUUCAUUCUAACGUGGUUUGAUUUGGUUUUUGUGUUAACAUGCAGGUAGGAAAGCUUGAAGAAUGAAAACAAAGGAAAACAAGGGAAAACAGGGGAGAAAAGCCAAGACACAACAAAAUUCGCACCACCCAAUUCUCUGGUGCGAAUUUCACACCACCCUACCCCUUUGUGCGAAAUCACUUUUGUGAGCAUUUUCCAAAAGCAUGCUCUCGGUCCCUACCCAAAAUCUCAGUGCGAAAAUGCACAGGAAUGCGAACCUUGUGCGAAAUUGCCUUUAUGACCAUUUUCCAAAAAAAAGCAUGCUCUCUAUCUUGGAGAACCACAGGAAUGCGAAAAUUUCGCACUUCACUAUUCACCUUGUGCGAAAUUCGCACUUGUUCUUUAAAAGCCAAUUUCUCUUUUUAAAUUCUAAGCUUGUUCUUCUUCAAUCCUCUCAACACCUCUUUUCCGAUCACUUCUUUCCAUCCACAAGGUCCUCUCCUUCAUAUCCUUGCGCUUUUCUUUUCUUUUUCUUUCUUUUUUCUUUCUUUUUUUUUUUUUUUUUUUUUUGAUUUUUUUUUUAUUACGAUUUUUUUUUUUUUUUUUUUUUUUUUGCGCAUGCUCUGAUCAUCAAUAAAUCAAACUCCAAUGGAAAAAUAUAAGGAAUGAACAAACUCUCUCUGACCACUGAUGGAUACAUGAACCCCAACCCCUGAGAUAACCUCUCAAACUAAAAUCUCCGAAUCAAUGUCAAAUGAUGGAAUGAAUAGAGUGAUAUGACAGCCCUCCUUGCACUAAGACGUGAAGAAUCAUCAACCCAAGGAAGAGAAUAGAUAAGAUGAAGCAAAUAAUGAUAGGGACAAGAAAGAGAAUGAAUAUGUAGUGAUAAUAAAAUAGAACAAAUAGGGUGAUAAGAGGAUGGUAACAAAAUGAGAAGAUAGACCUAUAAGUCUAAAGCUCAUGAGACUUUCCUAGCAAAGCAUACAUAUACAUCAAAGGGCCCCAACCCGGGUAUAGAAAUGGUAAUCAAAGCUAUAAGAAAGAAAUAAGGCUAUAACAUACCAUGCGAAGCUCAAUGGGCUAGCAAUGGUCUAAUAUAUAGAGGUGAUAAAGUAUGAGGCUAACCGAAAUGGUGGCCACCCAUCCUGCGACCACGGUCUCAAACAUAAUACUUCUUCAGCUGAUCCACAUUGGUAGGCUCUGAAAAUUGGUUUCCAUCUAAGUCUGUCAACCAUGCAGCCCCUUCUGGAGUCAACUCUCGGAUGACAAGUGGUGUACUCCAAGUAAGUCCCUAGGGUCUCCUGGAAUAGAUGAAUCUCCAUAAUCAUAACUGGGCUAACAUCGUCCUCAAACACAUCAUCAACAUAAGUGGAAUUCCCCAACAUAAAUAAAUCGAAUCUCUCCUGAACUUUCAACAAUGAAUAUCUCAAGCAUAUCAAGAGAGUGAACCAUCUCUGGCUAAUCUGUGCUAGUCAUCCAACUAUCAUCCAACACAUAUAUCUCAGGCUCAUCAUGAAGAAAACCAUGUCAAUCAAAGCUCCCAUCUGAGAAAAACUAACGUCCUCUAUAAGAACUCUCAUCUGAUAAACUUUGACUCAUAAUCCGCUAAACUCAUCAUAUGUACGAAAGUCACCCUCAACAAUGUCACUGGCUAACUGGGUGGUGGGGGUGGGUGGUAAUGAAUCAUACGACAUCUCACCCUGAACUGGAUACUAUCUAUCUCACUGUCCAUCAAUCAUCUGGCUCAAACCUGCUAAUGCAUCUUGAAUAGAGUCAUAGUGACUGUAAGUCGAUCAACUGUAUCAUGCUAAGGAUCCAUACCUGACUGCUUUGAAACCUUGACCAAUCUAUCUCCAACUCGGAUAUAAGAAGUUAAAUCUAAACUGAAACGAAUAACCCUCCUAUAAGGUACAAAGACGCGGAAAGAGAAAUGACAUGAAGGAAGCUUAGAAGAGGUGGAAACACACUAAUCACAAUGCAGAAAGGUGGCCCAACUGAGACUCAAACAUGUACCAAUCUCUGAGCACACCAAAAGGAGAUCAUGAAGAGGAUAACUGAACCCAAUUGUGACCAAGGCAACUUUGAAAGUCCACAAAUGCACCCACGUGUAGGAGUGAAAUCUUAAUUGGAUCUAGGCUAACCUACAAGGUUAAGGUGGCUCUAUAAGAUAAGAUGGGUGGGUUAAAGGAUCCCUAGCAGAAGCGAUCGUACCCUCCGGCGGUACGCAACCCUCUGCACGCCUCCAAGGAGACGGGGUGCUUCCAUGCAAGGUGGUCAUCACCUCCACACAUGCACUUCCUCGCGUUCCCAGGGGGUUUCUUAAUGGUGAAGGCUCUCCCAUCUCUCAACACUCAAGGAUAAUCUAAAGUGCACAAUGAAGGAUGUGGGUGCAUCCGAAAAACCUAAGGUCUAAAGUGAGAUAGUGAAUGAAGACAAGCAAUCAUACGAACAUGCAAGAGCAAGGGUUGUCAUGCAACAAGCAGUCAUGUGAAGCAGAUAAAUAUCAAACAAUCAAAGUCCUAUCUAGCAUAUGUGAGAGUGAAUCAUGCUAAAGUGAGCAAACAGCCACCAUGGCAGCCCAUCUCAAAAGCUUCAUUCCAUAGUCGCGACCAUCACUAUUCACAACAGCCCAUGCCUUCCAUUUUCAGCUUUUUCUCCUCCUUUCACCAUCAAAAACCCUUCAUUUCUUCACUCAACACUCCAAAUCCAUCCCUAAACCCAACCCAACCUUGAUUUUUCACAAUCAAAACCUCAAGCAUAGGUUUCAAAGCCUCGGUUUCUUCAUAAGAAACCCAUUGCCACCGGCUAUGGGAGCUUCAAAAUUCUCCAUUCUCUUCUUGUAAAGCUCCCAUUUCCAAGCUUAGCCACCAUGAAAAACUCCUUUCCUACCUCAGCCAGCAUUUCCCACCCUCAAAAACCAAAACUUUUGGCCAUUUGAAAGAAUCCAAUUUCGCAUUUGCACGGGUGAAUAGUGCAUUGUGCGAAAUUCGCACUACCUAUCCCCUUGUGCGAAAUUCGCACAACACCUUCCUCUUGUGCGAAUUUUGCACCACCCUUCCCUUAUGCGAAUUUUUCAAGCUUCUUCAUCCCUACCUUUCCCAAUCCCAAGCCUCUAAGCCUCAUUUCUUUGUUCCCUCAUGGCUAAGACCCGAGGAGGCUCUACCUCAACUCCCUAGAGUAGUCAUAGAGCUACCCCUGUGCGGGCCCCGCUAGAUGCACCCCCACAUUUACCUAAUUCUACCCCCCAGCGUAGAUACCAUACGAGGAAAGCAGCUGCCACGCCUGUGGCCCCUACUCAGAUUCCAGCUAGGAGUCCUCCUACAAAGAAGGCCAAGACUUCAGAGCUAGGAGAGUCCUCCAGAGCACCUCGAGAUUCACAGUCUCAGCCUCCUCCCAUCAGGCGUCCUAUCCUCGCCAGCUCGCCCAUUGAGGGCAACUCCAAUUGCCGAUCGAGAGCAUUCCAUGUCGAGGCAUAUUUUGAUCACUCUGUUUUGCGACAGCAGCCUGAGUUGGGGGAUUCAUACCACCUACUUGAGAGGUACCAUCUUGUACCCUUUAUGACUCCACUACAAUUCUUUUAUCCUCGAGUAGCUUUAGACUUUUACCAGUCUAUGACUACUCGUGGCGUCCCGGUACCCGCCUCGAUCAUUUUUACCAUUGAUGGACGCCAGGGUAUUUUGGGGGCUAGACAGAUUGUCAAGGCUUUCCAUAUCCCUUAUGCACCAGCAUAUCCAACUGCAUUUAGACCCUGGCCCCACUUUCUGAGUGGGACAUGGUUCGUAUACUAUCUCGAGGGACAUCUUCAGACAGGAUCAUUAUGAGGAAGGAGUUUCCCCCUGGGAUGCUUCUAGUUAAUGUGGUGCUUCGCGCCAAUCUUUUUCCUCUUCAGCAUAAAGUGCAGAGGCGAGGGGCCAUUCUAGAGGCAUUAUUCCGUAUCUCUGAGGGCUACUACUUUGGCCUCCAUCAUUUGAUUAUGGCCGCCCUCCUCCAUUUUGAGGAGAAGGUGCAUAAGAGGCGUCUUACGAGGGCAGACACCAUUCUUUUACUUUUCCCUCGGCUUCUAUGCCAUGUUCUGGCACAUAUGGGCUUCCCUACAGACCCUCAUUCUGAGACCCACCGCCAUUGUCGAGAGAGCUUAUCUCUUGACCAAUGGAAUCAGGUAUUUCUCCAUCAGCAUUCCCCAGAACUUCCCGAGCCAAGGGAAAUUCCUCCACAGCCCUUACCAUCUAUAUAUGCUCCGUCCACUUUAGCUCCCUCGGAGCCCGUACCAGAGGCAGCAUCGUCUGAUGCCCCACCUACUGUUCCUCCUACCUUAGAGCCGCCCAUUACUAUCCCUGGUGCAGAGUAUCGUGACUUGCUCGCUUCUUUCCAGACUCUGACCACUACUCAGACGGCCAUUAUGGAGCGGAUGGACCACUUCCAGCUUCAGCAGGACCAACAGACUCUCAUUCUCCGUGAGAUUCAGCAGCACCUCAGUCUUUUGCCACCAACUCCACCUGUUGCUCCUGUGCUCUCAGAGCCUUCUGCUCCAGUUGAUGAUGCUACACCUGUAGCGGUACCUUCCACAGUUGCAGCUGAGGACCCCUCCUAUCCACCAGAGGAGCCUACUACUUGAUCAUACGAUCACUCCUCUCCCUUUUUUAUUUGUAUCUAUAUUCUACGUUUUUGGAUGUGUUAUAUAUUUUGGACUACUUUUAUACUAGGAUUGAAUGUAUUCCUUGUUUAUCUUGUAUAUUGUACUAUCUCAGUUUAUAUAGACAUCUUCCUUUUUAUGUAUUUUAGCUAUUCCUUUUUAUUUCCUCUAAUCAUCACUCUUAUGAUUUUUCUUUUCUUAUGCAACAUGUGGUUUCUCCUGUUCAUUCAAAUUCCCUUACUAUCAGGAGGUAUCACUUCCUCCCUUUUAUUAUCACUUGCUUUCGGAACAUUGGGGACAAUGUUCAUCCUAGUUGGGGGGAGAGUUGAGGAAGUAAUUUUUUGGAUUUUUGGUUAAGUUAUUUUGCUAACAAAUUUUUACAAACUCUCUUUGUUUCUCAAAGAUAAAUUCUCAAAAGUAAAUGGGAGAAAUUAAAUUCUUAUCUUAUUGUCAUAGUCUCAGAGUUUGUAUUAUGCUUAUUAAAGUUGAUAAAUUGUUGAAGCUCCUUUUGAUUUCAAUCUUAAGUCUUCCACUCUAAUCUUUUCACACACUAAACACAUUAGAUUCCAGUUAUAAGCCCCUAAACUUAGGAAAUUUUUUACUUGGUGCCUUUGACCUCAUUCUAUUAGUGUUGUGACACCUUAUAAAAGGCCAAUGUGUCUUAUGAAAAAUUUUGCUUCACUUGCUUUGAAACCCGAGCAAGGUCCGAGGGGUAUAUGGUGAAAAUCUUUGAAGCCUGGUGCCCUAAGCCUUUAUUGGUUGGGAGUCACCGACCUCACUGCUCGUUACAUGGGUGGAUGGGUGGAGUUUAUUAAAAAAAAAAAAGGAGGUGCGUUCUUAGCCUUUUAUAUGGGGGUUAGUGUUGCUAAAGUUAGAGAAAAACCUUAGUUGGGGGGAGAAUAUAGUUUGACAUACUAUAACUGGAAACUAAGCACCUUCACACUUAGAUUUUUGUGGAAAAUUAAGAGUUGGUCCUUUGGGAGUAGAAAUUAUUUUGAUACUCAAAUUUGCAUAAUGCCCACUCUUUGUAUGUUGUGAUAGGUAAGUUAUUUGAUGACUCUUGUUGAUGAUUGAGUUUUAUAUCCUUGACUUACCAUGUGAGAGUUUGAUCCAAUCAUGCGACUUGAUUAUUUUUAGGAGUGAUCAGCAUGAUUUUGUAAAUUAUUAUAUCAUCUAUUUUUCUUUCUUUCUUUUUCUCUCCUUCAUUGCUCAGGGACUAGCAAUGUGUCAGUUGGGGGGAGUGAUUACUACCCAAAAAGUGCUAUUUUGCGCUUUUAAUUCAUUAUGUUUUAAGCACUUUUGUUUAGUAGUUCUCCAUUUUCAUUCCAAUUGGCAUGUUAAGGACCUACCAAUGACUUCUAAUCAUAUUUGUGGCUAGUUUUAGUGUUUUGACAGCUUUUUGGAUCAUUAAGACAAUCCAAGUAAAGGAGAGAAGCAAAGAGGAAAACAAAGUGAAGAAAAUAGAGAACAGCAGCUGCAGUCUUCCUUCGCAUUUUUGGAGCACUUCCCGAAGUCCAUUUUCUACAUGCUAUAUACCAUUUCAAAGCUCAGGAAGUCAAGAAUCCAACGCUUCAAACCGUGUAUGAUUUGAAGCUGAAAUGAGGAAGAUAUGGCCUUCGGUAGACAACUGCAUCAAGCAAGUGCGAAUUUCGUACAGCAGCCCAAGCAAGUGCAAAUUUCGCACCACCAGCCAUGCAAGUGCGAAUUUCGCACCAGCCCAUGCGUCUUUGGUGCGAAAUCUCCUCUGUUCUGCCAACUCCACAUGAAAUCUUUUCUUUUGAGGACAAUGCUCAGUUAGGUUGGGGGGUAUGAGGAAGGAAGUAUUCUAAAUCUUUUUGGUAUUGCAAUUAUAUUGGUUAAUUAGUUGUAGUUUUUACUUUUUACUCUUGUUACUCUAUUCUCCAUGAAUUUUGAGGAAAAUUUUCAAAUUAAACCAAGAGAAAUUGAACUGUUGCUUUUUCACUUGACUUAGAGUAUGGAUUAUGCUUACUAAAGUGGUUCAAUUGUUGAAACUUCUACUGAAAUUAAAUUGAGUUCUUCCACUUUAAGCUAUUCACACACUGUGCACAUUAGUUUCCGAUUAUAAGAUGAAAAGCUAUUUCCCUCUUGACUUAGGAUAAUUUUGGGACUUGGUAUAUUUGACCUCAUUUGAUAAAAAUUGAAACACCCUGCAAAAGGCCAAUGAGCCUUUGAAAUAAAGAAAGUUGUUUGCUUGCCUUGAAACCCGAGCAAGGUCUGAGGGGUAUAUGGUGAAAACCUUUAAAGCCUGGUGCCCUAAGCCUUAAUUGGUUGGGAGUCACCGACCUCAAUGCUCGUUAUAAGGGUGAAUAGGUAGAGUUAGCAUAUGGUAGAUGCUUGGGUAUUAGAAUCUCAUUCUUAAAAGUCCGGGGAAAAAUCCGAGGAGUUAGUGGUUGAAAGAUCCUUAAAACUUGGUGCCCUAAACCUUAAUUGGUUGGGAGUCAUCGAUGGACCCCCAUUACAUGGACAAGUCAGAAAGAGUACCCCAUAAAGCUACCUUGAAAAAAAAAAAAAAAAAAAAGGUGUUUUCUUUUCUUAUUGAUUUUGGUCAGUUUGCUAAAGUGUUGAAAAGAGAUAGGUUGGGGGGAGAGACUAGUUUAGCAUAUUAUUCUCGGAAGCUAAGGAACCAAUACACAUAGAUUUUUGUGGAAGAUUAAAGUUUGGUUCUUAGAAAGGAGAAAUGAUUUUAAAACUUCAGUUUGCAUAAUGCACUCCCUUGAUUGACAGUGUUUAACAUAGGUGUUAUGACUCUUGUUGAGAUUUGGGUUUGUAUUUCUUUAAUGAUUCAUGUGAGAAUUAGAUCAUCAUGCCACUUGAGAAUUAUUUUCCUUUAGCAUGAUGUUUUAAAUUUUAGAUUAGUUUGUUAUUUAUUUUCUUUUUUCUCUCCUUUAUUGCUAAGGGACUAGCAAUAUGUCGGUUGGGGGGAGUGAUUAUUACUCAAAAAGUGCUAUUUGAUAGCCUAUAAUUAAUCCUUUUAAACACUUUUGAGUAGUAGUUUGGGCCUUUUAACUCAAUUGGCAUGUUAAGGAUCCUUUAAAGCAAUUUUGAUCACUUUGUGUAAGUUUUGGUGUUUUUGUUAGUAUUUUGAUCACCAAAGCAAGUCAAGAAUGAGGAGAGCUAUGAGGAAUCUUGGGCAAAGCUUAGAAUUCAUUUGCCAAGAGUGAAUCCGGAUUGCAAGGAGAAAAAGCAAAGAGAAUCUGCCAUAAAGCCUAUUCUUGAUGACAGUCGUAGCAGCCACUUUUGGAGCACUUUUUGAAGUCCAAAUGAUGCAUUCUAUAUACCAUUUCAAAGCUCAGGAAGUCAACAAUCCAAUGCUUCAAAUGGUGUGCAAUUCGAGUUGAAACGAAAAAGUUGUAUCCAUUACAAGCCAGUCACUCCGAGCUGAAGGAAGCAUUUUGCAAAGUGUUGCGAAAUCACCCUUUUGUUGCGAAGUGAUUUCGCGGCACUUUUGUACAGUAAAGUGUUUCUCCUUCUGACGAUACACGAACCAUGCCGCGAGAAGGGAGCUGGGAACCUCAAGGUGGAAGCCAACUUCGCAACCCUGUGAAGAUAGCUCGGUGUUGCGAAAUAAUUUCGCAGCCCUCUUGGGUGUCUGCGAAAUUUCGCAGACACCAUUUUACUCCUGCGAAAUGGUUCCUGAAGCCUUCCGAAGCUUGCUACCGACAUUGGGAGAUAUUUUCCAUUAGAUUUUUGUUGUCUAAAUCCCAAAAUACUCCUUGUAAACCACCAAUUACAUGAUUCCUUAGUUUUUAAGUUAGUAAAAAGACUAAAUAUCUUUGUAACAAUUAGUUUUAUAUUGGUUUGAUAUAUAUACCUCUCGGGAGCCUGUUCUCAGAGAGGAGUUCCUUCUGUAAAAGUUUGGUAAGCAAGUAAAGGUCUUUUCUUUCUACUGCCUUACCUUCUCACUUUGUAUUUUCAUUUUAUUUCUAAGUUAUGAAUUCUCUGAGGAAUUUUCCCUAGAGAAUGAGUAACUAAACUUCUAAUUCCUUGGAGCUAAUGUUGCCAGGGAAGGUUCCAAGUGCAAGAAUGCAAAGCUCUGUGGUUUUAGCUAGUAAUGAAGAGGAAGUGAAAUCCUUUGGUGAUUUCUAUGUUUUUAGUUAACUUAAAACACCUUAGAGUCACCUGGGCCAACACUUGGUAAGGCAAGUGAUUUCCAACCAUGGAAAUGCACUAGUUUACCCCUUGCGAGCCUUUGGGAUGUGACUUUAGGGUAGGAUUUUCUAGAAUAGCCAACACUUGAUAAGCUUUUGGACUCCUAGGAGACAUCCAUUAGUUAUCUCUUGCGAGCUUUUGACGGGUAAUCCAAGGUUAAAGAUCACCUUGAAUGGCUAAGGCUUAGUGAGAGGCUUAAACCAUUGCAAGUUGCAUCAGUGAGAGAAUUAAAGUGAAAUCUAAUUGAAGGAGCAUCUGUACAACACCGGUUAGAGAAUUAACUAUAUGUUAAUUCUCUAAUGCGAGGAAAAGAAGCAAGUGACCGAAACUCUCCUUUUUGUGUGAGGAAUCUGAGCCUAGUAAUCUGAAACUCCAAGAAACACUUUUCUUCAUAAGUAAUUCCCAUUACUUUCUUUUUAGUUAGUUUAAAACCGAAUCUUUUUUUUCAUUCAAACAUCUUUAUGUUUUCUUUUAAAGCUAACCUUGAAAUGAAAAGGCACCAAUUCAACUUUGAAUUAAUAUCAUUUGUGAAGUGAAAACCCAUCCCAGUGAACGAUCCUAGAGCCACUAUGCUAUAGUAGCUUUGUCUUUGCUACCCUAGUAUAUGGUGUAAUAGGUUAUAAAAUUUUGUUGAUUACUCCCUCAAUCAAGGAGCACCAGUUCGACACGAAUCAGCUGAGACACCAAUUAGGCACGAAUCAAAUGGCGCCGUUGCCGGGGAUCGAACCCCGAAUCAGAUGGUGCCAUUGCCACUGCCACUGCUAGGGACGAAUCAUGAGACAUUGUGGAAAUGUCACCAUGACAACCUGUUUACUAUGUGAUGAGAAGUUUAGAACUUUCCUUAGCAUUUUCCAUACCCUAAAAGUUUAAUUUGGUUAUUGGUGUUUGAAAUUUCAAUCUUCUUAAAUUAAUUAAUAUCAAGUCAAUUUUGAAAAAUGUCUCAAAAAUAAGGGAUACCAUGCUAAAAUUUCUAUAGAAAUAUUAACCUAAUAACAUGUUAUUACAAUUUCCCUUGAUUAAAAUUAAGCUUAGAAAUUUCCUUGGUAGCUUCCAUGCACUAAAAUUUAAUUUUCAUAUUAACAUGUUGAAAUUCUAAUGUUCUUAAAUUAAUUAAUUACAAGUCAAAACUAGGAAAUGUCUUAAAAUAAGGGAGAUUAUGUCAAAAGUCUUAUAGAAUUUUUAACUUAGCCAUUUGUUAUUAUAACUUUCUUUACUUAAAAUUAAGUUAAUUUGAGAUUAUUGAUACUUGUAAAGUAUUAUUAUGUAUAUAUAUGCUCGAUUUUUGUUUCAACUUUUAUGUUUAUUGUGUGAUGUCAAGUUUGGACUCUUCCUAGGUAUUAUCCUUGAAAUAAAUUUUAGUUUGGUUAUUGAUAAUUUUAAAUUUCUUUGUUAUUAAAUUGAUUAUAUAGUAUAUAAAAUUUUAGAAAAGGUUAAGAAAUAAAUAAGGUUUUCUACAUUCUUAAAUCAAAAACAUUGUAGGUAAAAUUUGGGAAAUGACUAAAAAAAUAUAAGGGUUUAUACAAAAACUUAAAUAAUAUAACUUUUUUUUAUAACUUUCCUUGCAUAAGAUUAAAUUGGGAUUCUUUGCUUUUGAAGCGUUAUCUUUUAGUAUGUAUACUAGAUUCUCAUUUAAAUUUUAAUAUUAUCCUUCGGUACUUAAACUAACAUUUAGUGUUGGUAUUGACCAAUCUGAAAUUUUAAUUUUAUCACAUUGAGUGUAUAACUAAUAAAAUUUUGGAAAUGACUAAGAAAUAAAAGGGACUAUGCUGAAAUUUUAUAGGAAUUUUCAUUUUCUAAUUUGCUAUAGUUAUGACUACUUUUCUUGCUUAAAAUUAAUUUUGGGUUUAUGACUCCUUCCAAAGUGUUACAAUGUUAGCAUAUAAAUAUUGUAUUCUUGUUUGAAACUUUAUUCUAUUUAUGGUGUAAUGAAAAUUUUAGGCCCUUAGAAAUUUCCUUGCACACUAAACUUUAAUUAGUCAUUGACUAAUUUGAGAUUUCAAUGGCAAAUUGAUUAUGUAGUUGAUAAAAACUAAAAAAAAAAUGUCUAAAAAAUAUGAGAGAUCAUACCAAAAUUUUGAUAGAAAUUUUAAUUUAUUAAACUAUCUUAUUUGGUUCUUUUUUAUUUUUGUUUUGUUUCAUUUUUCAUUUUUUAUCUUUAUUUUUUGCAUUUAUAGGAGAAAAUGUUGGAGCUCCAACGCCAACCAAUAGUAGAUGGAGCUAUGGCCAUGACUAAGGUAGAAAUUUGUGAGAAUGUUUUAGGGCAAUGAUCAAGAUAUGUUAACAGCCUUGGUUUUGGCCCUAAACCAACUUCUGCUUUCAAAUCUAGACAAUUAUCUUCUCAAUGCGAGGUAGAGUUAGAGUAUAGACUUUCUAAGACUCAAGCGCUUGUGGAAGCUCAACAACAACAGCUUGAUACCCAACAAGAGCAAAUUGACCACUUGAAGGCCUUAUUGCAGCAACGAGAUCAAUAACAUCAACAACAAUUUGAAGAAAUCUUGUGUCAUCUAAGAUCAAGCCAAGGGUCCUUAUGAUGUCUCCUUUAUGUUACACAUUUGAUGGAUCCUCAUCCUUCUUUACUCAUGUUGACUAGUUUUGUAACUAAGAUUUUAUUAAACUAAUACUUUGUUUUAUUAUGUAGUUAUAACAUAUAUAUUUUGAUGUUAUGAUCACUAAGUAUGGUUUGUUUUAUAUUAUCAAUGAAAUUAUGUAGUAUAUAUUUUUAUUUUUGAAAGCAUGUUUUAAAAUGAAAAUUUUCAUUAUAUUAUUUUCAUCAAGUUUAGAUGGCAACAAAAAAAUAUAUAAUUAUAAUAUGAAAAAUAAAAAUUGUAAAUAUCUUUCCUGAUGAAAGAAUUUAAUCCCUAAAGAUAUUUCUCGAUGAAAUUUUUUUGUUACAAUAGAUUUUCAUAUCAGCUAUAACAAAUUUAUAAUUCAUCAACAAUAUGUUUUAGGGACAAAAUUAUUUUGUUAGUAAAAAGAUUUGUUAACAAAAUAAAUUUGUUAGCAAAGACUUUUGGGUAAAAUUUUGUCUUGUUCAUUGCUAAAAAAAACGUAAUUUUGUCUUGUUCAUUGAUAAAGAAACGUAAUUUUUCCAACAAAAUAUUUCAUUAGGAAAAAUCUUCAAUAACAAAUUUUUAUUUUAUCUAGGAAAAAUUUUUGUUACGAAAUGAGACUUUUGUUGGGAGUAAUAAUGAGCAUAGGGAGACGAAAUUAUUUUGUUAGAAAAAAUAUUUAUCAACAAAAAUAAUUUCGUCAUUAUUAAUUAUUGACAACUUUUGAGACAAAUUUUGUAUUUUUAGAGAUAAAAAAUAUUACUUUUACUGAUGAAAUAUUUUGUUGGGAAAAACCUUCAAUGACGAAAUUUUAUUUUAUCAAGAAAAACUUUGGGCGAUGAAGUGGGGAAUUUCGUUAGGAUACUUUGAGCGAUGGGUCUAGGGUGACGAAGAUGACACAAAAUAGUUUUUGUUGGGAAACGUUUUUAUAAACAAAAUUAAAACUUUUAGUGACAAAAUAUUUUAUAACUAAAAGCCUAUUUUCUUGUAGUGAGAGUUACCUUUUUCCUCUAAUUCUUAGUUUUAGCAUUGUCAUAUCAAUGUGUCUACUAUUUUCCCUUCUUCUCUUUACUUGUACUUUCCCCACCCACUUCCCAUACUACUCUUGAGUCUCUUUCUCCAGGCUCUUCCUUGAUUGAUCGUGGUGCAAGCCAGGUUUCCCCAAUUUCCACUACAUAUUCACCUUGUCUUCCUACUUCCUAUGUAUCUUCUAGCCUAGCUUUCCCCUCUCACACCCCAUUUUUUCUUACAAAUUCUCUCUCGCUUCCUCCAUCCCUUGUGUCAUCAAGUUUUCAUCUAAUUCCCAUCCUAUGCAAACUCGUUCCAAGUCAAGCAUAUUUAAACCCAAACUUUCCUAUCUCACUACCCCUUCAUGUUUUUUCCUUUUCACCUAAACCUUCUUAUUUUUCCAAGGUCUUAUCUAAUCCUCUAUGGAAGCAAGCUAUCUAGUUAGAAUUUGAUGCCUUAACUUAGAACCAAACUUGGUCUCUUGUUCCUUAACCUCCUCAAAAGAAAGUCAUUGGGAGUAAGUGGGUUUUUAAGUUGAAGCUUAAUCCAGAUGGUUCUAUCAAGUGCCACAAGGCAAGGCUUAUGGCAAAGGGGUUUCAUCAAACACCUAGGGUUGACUUCUCUACCACUUUUGGCUCUAUCAUCAAGCCUUCUACCAUUCGCAUUAUCUUAAGCCUUGUUAUUACUUGUGGUUGGGACAUUUAACAAUUGGAUGUCAACAAUGUUUUCCUUCAUGAGUGUCUCUAUAAGUAUGUUUUUAUGCAAUCUGAAGGGUUUGUUGAUGUCACCAAGCCCACCCAUGUUUGUCAACUUCAGAAAGCCUUAUAUGGCCUUAAACAGGCCCUAAUGCUUGGUAUGAAUGAUUGUGGAAUUGUCUUCUUCUAUUUGGUUUUCGAAACUCCCAAGCUAGCACAUCUUUGUUCAUUCUUCACAAGGACUCUUUUUUGUUUAUGUUAAUAACAUUCUUGUCAUUAGCAAUCAUCCCUCUGUCAUCAACACCUUCAUUGAUCAUCUAUGUCAACAGUUCUCUUUGAAAUGGUUUGGCUCCCUCCAUUAUUUUCUUAGUAUCCAAGCUCUUUAAACAUCUUCUGACCUUCAGUUAUGUCAAUCCUGAUACAUCCAUGAUCUGUAGCAAUGCACUAAAAUGUUUGGUGCCAAGCUUACUUCCACUCCAGCCAGCCCCAAAUAGAAAUUGAGUUAUACUAAUAGGGCUACUUUUGAUAAUCCUACUAUUUAUCAUAGUACAAUCGGUGCUCUCCAAUAUGUCACCAUCACCAAGCCUAAACUUUCCUAUAUUGUCAAUAAACUUAAUCAAUAUCUCCAACAACUUACUUUGUUCCACUGGCAAGCUUUCAAACGUGUAUUGCAUUAUCUGAAAGGCACUUCCACUUUUGGUUUCUUCUUUCACCCAACUCCUUCUCUUGAUCUCAUUACCUAUUAAAUGCUGAUUAGGGGAGUGAUACUAAUGAUCAACGUUUCAUUGGUGGCUACUCCAUAUUUUUUUUGUGCUAAUUUGAUUUCAUGGGCUUCCAAAAACCAAAGUGUUGUAGCUUGUUCAAGCAUUGCUUCUGAAUAUAGAGCUUUAGCUCAAAUAAUAGUAAAAGUCACUUAGUUGCGAGCCUUGUUACAUGAGUUGGGCAUAUCACUGCCACAAAGUGUAGUUGUCUGGUGUGACAAUCUUGGAGCAACAACUCUAGUUGAGAAUCUCAUGCAUCAUUAUCGGACAAAACAUAUAGAGAUUAAUGUCCACUUCAAUAGGAAAAUGUGGCUCAUAAAGAACUUGAGGUGAUAUUUGUACUCAUUAUUAAUUAGAUUGUUGAUGUGCUCACAAAACCAAUUUCACAAACUUGAUUUAAAAUACUAAGGUCAAAGCAUAUUGUGUGUGAUUGACAGUUGAGCUUAUGGGGAAAUGUUAAGAAUAAUUCUAGAAGCUUCUCUUAGCCUCACAUGUAAAGCACCAGCUCACCAGUUCCAUGCCAAAUGCAAUUACAACAGAAAAAAUUGGGUUGCACACUCUCAUAUACAAAUAUAUGUAAAAGAAAUAAAAGGUUUAUUCUGGGCAUUAUUUUUUUCAUUUUGUCCUUCUCUACACACUACUUUCUGUUUUCUCUCUCAAAAACUCUUCUUUUUUUUAUCUUUUUUUUUUUUUAAUUCAAUCAAACAUUCAUCUUGUAAUUGGAAGUUACCAAUUGCCAAAUUCCUAUUCAAAGUAGUGGAACAAAAUUGUAUGAUCUUUAAAUCUCAAAUUUAAAGCUAACACACCAACUGAAGUGUUAUUAUCCAAACAACUUCAAACUUAAACAAUUCAAAAAGUCAUUAAAUUCUAACAUUUAAACAAUGCCCAAAAAAUAAGGUUUAAACCAAAAGUCUUAAUAAUGUCAAAAUAUCAUCCUAACCAUCAUUCUUCGCCUUAAUUGAAAGUGUCGAAAAAAUUGUUAGCGAAAGAGAAUGAGCUCAAAGCCUAAUAAGGAAUGUUAAUACAGUUUCAUGGAUAAAAUAUUUUCAAUUAUGAUUGUUAAUAGGAGAUAUAAUAUAUAAUCAUUUUUGUAAAAAAAAUUUAGUUCAAACAUGCUAAUACAUUCAAAACUUCUCAACCAAACAUUUUCAUAUUUAUGUCAAAACAAUUUCAUAUCAAUUCCAAAAUAAAUGCAUUCAAAAUAUUUUUACUUUGGUUAUAAUCAGAUAUCAAAUGAUGCACAGUUAGGUAGGACUUUACAAAUUGGUGACUAGCCUCACAUUUGUUCCUUUUAAUGGGUGGCUAGUAACCUCUAACCAAACCCAUAGAGGCUAAGGUCCAAAUCAAUUAUAUUAUCCACCACAAAAUGUAAAGGUUAACUAUAAUAUCUCGUUGACAAUGGUCAAAAAGUCAACUUUUCUAUCUUAUUAACUAGGACAAAAAGGUCAACUAUUACACCCAUUUGACUAUGGUGAAAUAAACUAGAGCCAAAUACUUUAUUUUAUUUAUUCAAACUUACAAAAACAUAUGUUUUUUUUUUCAAAAUUUGCAUUAAUUUCCCUUAUCUCAAAGAAGCACUCAAAGACCUUAAAGAAUUUCAUCCUAAAGAACCUAUUUCACACCUAACAAAAAUAAAUAAAUAAAUAAAUAACUAUAUAUUACUAUUGAUUAUUUAUCUAAAUUUAUAGGUUUGAGAAUCCUAAUAAUUUCUUAUGUUAUAUCACCUAUAUUAUUUUUAACUUCCUAAUCAAUAAAAAUUUAAUAAGUGAGUUUCCAAAGUUUUUUAAAAGUUGUGUUCUUUCCAAAAGUUUGUUUCUAAAAAUCUUCCAUGUUUACUUAUUUGCUUAAACUAAAUUUCCCCAAAACUUAUUCCUUCUAGUGAAACAAAUAUCUUUUCCUAUUAUUAUUGCUAUCGUAUUUUAUUGUCUUUCUAAACAUUUUAGAAUCACAAACAUCUUAAGCAUUUUGGAUGUAAAACACAACUAAUUCUAAAUUUCUUUCCAUUAUAUAUAUAUAUAUAUAUAUAUAUAUAUAUAUAUAUAUAUAUACAAAACAUGGAAUUUGCCUUCUUUUUUAUUUUUUGUCUUUGGCACAUAGUACCAUUCUAACUUACCCUUUCUACAAUCACAAGCAAUGUCAUUUUUUUCCCUCCACAAAGUCAAUAUCAAAGCAUUUUUCUUUUUCUUUUUUUCUUUUUUUUUUGUCACACUCUAUUGCAAGCAAACUUGUGAUUUUUUUUUCCCACUAUGGAGGCAUGUACUACCACAAAACCUUUUUUUUCUUUUUUCUUUUUUCUUUUUUCUUAUUUUCAACUCUCAAAACCCUCAACCUCCAUACUCAUGGGUAUUAUUUAUUUAUUUAUUUAUUAUUUUUCACAUCUGAAAUUAUAAUUUUUUCUAUUUAUUUAUUUAUUUAACUAGAACUAUUCAUUUGAAUAAUACAAAAUUUUCAAUCUCCAUUAAUAAAUCGAACUAUGUUAAUAAAUUCUCAAUCUUUCUAAAAAUUAAUUUAACAAACCCUAAUUUAGAUUGAGAUCUUCUAAAGAAUAUCUAAAAUAUCCAAAACUAAUUAACAAAUAUAAAAUACUAAUCUAAGGGUUAAAAUCUUACCUAGAAAAUUAAUCUUCAAAUCCUAAACCCCAAAAUCUUCAACCCUACAUUGCCCUACAUUCUCCAAUCUCUCUGAUCUCCAUGUAAAAGGGUUUUUUUUUAAUAAAGAGAACAAGAAAAACAUAAUUUAUAUCUAGGGCUUUUAAGCACAAAAUGACCUUUCUACCCUUAUUAAAUUAAUUUUAUUUAUUUAUUUAUUUUUAAAUUACGUUUUUUACCCUUAAAUUGGGUUUGGCGCCACACAAGACCACUUUUAAUUGAAUAAUUGAUUGAUCAAUUCAUUUUCCUAUGUACUUUAUGUUGAUGGCAUCAUUACCCCCGACCAUGAACUUCAAAAAAUUAAAAGAACAAAAUAUGUAGUUGUACUAUAGCCAUAUGCAUUUUAGUUACCACAAUAAUGUACAUUCAAUUUGUGUUUAUAUAAAUAGGGAGAAUUGUGCAUUCAGGUGAGAUGGACUUGAAAAUUGACCCAAUAUCCUCAUAUUGCUCAUAAUUAAUGAUAAGGAUAAGAAAUGGUGAUAGACAAAAAUACUCAUUUGACUUAUCACAUGCUCAUGCUAGUGUUUGUAGGAUCCAUCAUUUAUAAGGAUGGUAAUGAGGUGGGUUUUUUUGGAUACCCGCCCCACCCCGCCCCUAAUAGAAUGGGUUUCAAUUUUAAUUAAACGGGUUUGGGACAGGUUUGGGAAUUUUUUUAAAACUUGGGGCGGGUUUGGAUAUUGCCUUGUCACAUCCCGUCCCGUCCCACCCCACCUCACCUCAAUUAUAUAUAAAUUAAUUUUGGGUUAUUUGGUUAAAGAGGUCAAAAUAACCCUCAUAUUUGCAAAUAUAUCCCAUCGGUUAAAAAGCAAAACAAAAUUGUUGAUUGAGACAAAAAUGCCCUUCUUCUUUUUUCUCUCCAACACUUACAAUUUCUCAUCUUUUACUUCAUUUACAGAAUGACUUUUCAUAUUUUCCAAAAAAAUUCUCUCAUCAUCAUCUUCUACUUCAUUAUCUUCCUUUGGUGCACAAAACGGAAAGCUCAUUUCCUCUUCCGCUUCAUUUACAAAACGAGUCCUCAUCUUUCAUCAUCUUCUUCUAUUUCAUUAUCUUCAUUUGAUGCACAAAAUGAAAAUCUCAUCUUUCCUUCAAAAACCCUAGAAAAUUUCUCGUUUAUCCUCUCAUCCUCUAUUUCAUUCUAAAUCCUUGGAAAAAUUGUUAUUCUACUUUUUUCAAGUUAUCUCAUAUUGUAUCUUCAAGCACGAAGGAAACAACGAGUUCAUUGAAGAGUGAUAAGAGAAAAAGAUUAAAAAAAAGUGGCGAAAAAGCAAAAAUGUCAAUUGCAAACAGAAGAAAAAAGUGAAGCAAAGGAAAGCGAAGCUACUAAACAAAAAUCCCAAUUACCAACAGAAGAGGCAAGGGAUUCUACUAAACCGGUGAGUGUAGUCUUCACAUUUGAUAAAUUAUUGAAAUUUUUGGAGAUGUUAUACAAUUAUAUUUGAGUAUGGUUAAGUUUAUUAGUUAAAUGUUUUUAGAAAUUUAGGAUUUAUUGAAUUGUAUUCAAAGUAUAAAAUUGUUAUAUUUAUAAAAAAAAAAUGUAGUUAUCCAUUGUUACCAAUUAUGUAUUUGAGUGAAUAAAUUUAGGUUUGUUAGAUGAUGUUUGAAAAUAUUUGGGAACUAUUACAGUGUGUUGAAAAAUAAUAAAUUGCAUAUUAAUAUUGUUUUAGUUUUCUGUAUUAUUAUCAAUCAUGUGUUUAGAGUGAAUUAGAUAUAUUCAAUGUAAUACCAUCUAAUUAGGGAUAAGUUUGCAGAGAAUUCAUGAAAUUUUAGGGAUUUUUAGAAAUUUUAGGGGUAUUAUACAAUGGUAUUUGAGUAGGUCUAUGUUCUUUACUUGAUACUUUUGAAAUUUUGGGAACUAUUGAAUUGAUUUCAAAAUAACAUAUGGUAUAUUUAUAAUUUUUGUAGUUAUAUAUUGUUGUCAAUUAUGUAUGUAGAGUGAAUAAAAAAUAUAUAAUGAUUUCAUGCAAUAACAUGUGAUUAAGGAUAAGUUUUUAAAGAAUUUAUGAAAUUUUAGGAUUUUUGAACUUUUUAGGGAUGUUAUGUAAUGACAUUUGAGUAGUGUUAAAUUUGUUAGUUAAUAAUGUUUUUAAAAUUUUGGGAACUACUAGAGUGUGUUAAUCAGUUAUUGUAUAAUAGUUAUAAUUUUGUAUUAAAUCUUUACUAACUUAAUUUUAUUUAAUUUGUAGACUACUACUUCCCCGACAUGUUUUAAAGUUAAAAUACCUAUAAAAGAGCACUUCCCAUCAAAUGAUGCAUGUCUAUCACACCUGAGUGUAAUAGAAAAUAUUAAAAAGAAGCUCAAUAAGGAAGAAUUGGAGAGGUUCAAGUAUUCUUGCUUUGGACAUUUUUUGCUUAUGCCAAAACUUAAAUUUUCAGCUCAAAUUGUGCACCACAUGUUAUUACGUCAAUGUCUUAUAAAGAAGGAUGAUGAAAUGUGGUUUUUAGUAAAUUCAAAGGGAUUAAGAUUUGGUGAAAAUGAGUUUAGAUUAAUCAUUGGUUUAAGUUUUGGUCCCAUUCCUCAGCAUAAUGAAACAUCAAUGAGAAUAAGGGAUGUUUACUUUAAUAGUGAAAACAAAGUGUGUAAUGAUCAUUUGGAGAAAGUUUUUCUUUCUUUUGGUGAAGUGAAAACAAAAAAAUAAAACGCAAAAGAAAAAUGUUGAUAAUCUUAAAGAUGAAGACAUGGUGAAAUUAGCCUUAUUGUACUUUCUUGAUCAUGUUCUACUUGGGAAAGAAGGGAAAAAUUUAAUAGAUAUGCAAUGGGUUGGUCUUGUUGAUUGUUUGGAAGUUUUUAAUAAGUAUCCAUGGGGUGGGAUUUUUUAUGAAAGAACAAUUUAUGGGCUACAACGAGCCUUGGAGAACAGGGUGUCAAAAUACCAAGGUAAAAAGCAACAAAAGGGUAAUAUAGCACAUGAGGCAUAUAGUCUAGUUGGAUUUCCGUGUCUUCCAAGUUUGGGUGUAUGAGACUAUUUCGAUUAUCGGAAUGAAAUAUACUAAUCAUUUAGCUAAGAGUUGCCCACAGAUUUUAAAUUGGAGUGCUACUUCCACACCGAGGUUCACUGAGCUCCAACAAAUCUUUUUUGACUCCAAUGUGAGUAAUUUUUUUACCAUAUAUUUUGAUAGUGUUGUCACUUACAUAUUUGUAUAUGUCUAUGUUUGUUAAUUAAAUUACUUAACUUGACUUCAAUAGUUAUCUUUGUGUUCGCUGCUUAAACCUACUCUGGAGGAAUGUCAACAAGAUUAUUACAAGUAUUUGAAUAAGUUAGGAUCAGUAAAUGGUGUUCUUCCAAAAAAAUUUACGCCAACCAACAACCCCAGAACAUGAUACUAUGGGUGACCUAAAAGAUAAAGAUCACCCAGUUGAAGCUAAUGCAUAUGCUGCUACUGCUGUUACAAUGGAAAACAAGAAGAAAAAUUAUUAUUCUAUCCCACCUUCAAUUGAGGUAACUUCACUAUCAUACAUUCAUCUAUAAAUGUCAUUUUUAAUGUUUCAAUUGUAAUACAAAGUUCAAACAAAAAUUCAAAUGGAAAACUUAACCUCGGUUAAGUUAAUUAUCAAUGAAACUUACCCAUAGUCAAAUGAAGGUUACUUUGAUAAACAAAACAUAACUAUCAUAAGUACACAUCAAUUUUUUUAAAUUAUGACUAUAAUUUUUGUAUACUAUGAUGUAUGAGGAAUUAAAGUUUCAUUUGUUUAUAACAUGUGUAGAAUCUAUGGAUAGAGUUUAUGAAGCAUAUAGAAAAGUCUGAAUCAAAUUUCAAUUAUUUGAAUAAAGAACUAAAGGAAUUGAAUAGAAGAUUGACAACUUAAGACAACUUUUAUUGGAUGUUAGUGAUAUAUUUAUUGAAUUUUAUAUUUUAUUCAAUCAAAUUAUGUAUUUUAUUUAUAUAUUACUACUAUCUUAUUGUAUGGUACAUAUCUUAUUUUAGGUGAAGAGGGAAAAUGAGUCAUGUGCUACAGAUAAUACAAAAUUUUCAAAAUUUGGUACAAAAGGAAAAGAUAUUGGUAUGGAUUUUAAUUCAUGGGAUGACAAGUUUGAGAGUGUGAUAGAAGAUAAGGAGGAUGAGAACCAUGACCAUAUAGAUGUGAAGACUAAUACAAAAGAAAUAACAGAUAUUGUAGCUGCAGAAAAACACAUAAUAGGGAUGGAGAAAGAUGAUGAUAUGAUUUUUAAUCUAAUUGUUGAUAUUGCCAAAUUAUUUGAUACCCCUACCGUAUCAGGCAACUUUUUAGUUUUUGUAUUUCCAAAGCAACCUUAGAAAAAUUUGGAGUAAUGAGGGAGCAAAUGAAGAAUGAAAUCAGAGGUGGAUGAAAUGGAUGCAAAAUGGGAUAUUUAUAGGAAAAUUUUGGGCCAAAAUAGCCAUUGGAAGAUGAUUUUACCAUUGAAAAACAAUUUUGGCUGUUGGAUCAAAAUCUGGGCGAAAUCUGACGGUUGGAUCGUGAUUUUAGUUAGAAUUAGAUUCAACUAGUUAACUUAGCUUAAUUAUUUAAGUAAUUUAAUUAACAUGAACUAGUAUAUUUGAAAUAUCAAAUAUAUUCAUUUUUUAUUAUUAUUGUGAUUUAUUUUCACAUUCAAUUAUAGUUAAUUUCUAUAUUUAGUAAAUUUUUUCAUAGAAUUAGAUUUAGAUUCAAAAAAUUAACUUAUCUUAACUAUUUAAUUAAUUUAAUUAACAUAAGCUAGUAAAUUUGGAAUAUCAAAUAUGUUCAUUUUUUAUGAUUACUAUAUUUAUUUUCACAUUCAAUUAUAGUUAGUUUUUAUAUUUAGUAAAUUUUUCAUAAAAUUAAAUUUAGAUUCAAAAAAUUAACUUAGCUUAAUUAUUUAAUUAACCUGAACUAGUAUAUUUGGAAUAUCAAAUAAGUUCAUUUUUUAUGAUUAUUGUAUUUAUUUUCACAUUCAAUUAUAGUUGGUUUCUAUAUUUAGUAAAUUUUUCAUAUAAUUACAUUUAAAUUCAAAACAUUAACUUAGCUUAAUUAUUUAAUUAAUUUAAUUAAUCUGAACUAGUAUAUUUGGAAUAUCAAAUAUGUUCAUUUUUUAUGAUUAUUGUGAUUUAUUUUCACAUUCAAUUAUAGUUAAUUUCUAUAUUUAGUAAAUUUUUUUAUAGAAUUAGAUUUAGAUUCAAAAAAUUAACCUAGCUAAUGAUUAUGUUUUCACAUUCAAUUAUAAUUAAUUAGUAUAUUUUGUAGAUUUCUCAUAGAUUUAGAUUUAGUAAACUAACUUAGCUAAAUUAUUUAAUUAAUUUAGCUAUUAGCAUAAAUUAGUAUAUUUUGAAUAUGCUCAUUUUACAUGAUUAUUUAAUUUUCUUUUCACAUUCCAUUGCAACAUGUUAAAUUUAAAUGUUUACUUAAUUUUUGUUUACAUUGAAAUCACUUUCAAGUAUAUGUUUUUUGAAAUAGAUUUAGCAUGGCUAGUGGAGGUGGUUCUCCCAUGCCAGGGCGAGAUCUAGCUUGGAAGUAUUAUUCACUAGUUGAGGGGAACAUAAAUAGGACAAUUUGUAAUUUAUGUGGGUUGUUGUUGAAAAGUGGAGGCAUCAUGCGAUUUAAGUUCCAUUUAACGUAUAACGACCCGCAUAACAACACCAAAAAGUGUCCAAGAGUGCCUCCCGAAGUGAAAGAAGAGAUAAGAUUGAUGGUGCACGACAAAAAUAAAGCAAAAGUAAAGAAAACUGCAGAUAUUCAAGAGAUUUGUGCUCAAUUACGUGGCACAAUGUGGGCUAGUGAUACACAUUUGAUAGACGAAGAUGUUGAAGAUGAAGUUGUAUAUAUGUAUUUGACAAAUAUGCACCCAAAUAAGCGGGAUGCAUAUCAAUCUGUAGUGUGUGCCUCGAAAGUGACAUAAUGGGAAUGUCAACAAUAUGAGAAUAUUAUAGGAAGCAAACGUAAAACGAGGGAGUCUUCACGGUCUACUGGUACACCAGACAAUGCAAAAAUCAGAAAGUAUGCGACAUUCGAACCAAUCACCCCCUGUUGCCCUUUCGUUCUACAAGUCUUCUACAGACAAAAAAAUAUUAAAGAUAUAUUGAAGGGUGGUUCAAUUCAAGAAACAAUGGGUUGUUUAAUUAGCAAAUUCUUCAUUUAUAAGAGCGUCGCAUCCCAAAAAGCAAAGUAUCAUCACUUCAAGAAUAUCAUUAUUGGUGCACAACAAGUAGGAAAUUACUAAUUUUUGAAUUGUUAUAUUGUUUUAGACUUUUAGUAAGUAUAGUAUUUUGUGACAUGUUUUAAAUAUUUGUUAUAUAUGAAUUGCAGGAAUGGGAAUCGAACCUUCAUCUCCAUACGAAAUAAAGAACAAGAACUUGGGAAUGGAGUAGAAAGAAAUGGAAGCUUAUGUGAACCAACAAAGAGAAAAAUGGAAGACAUAUGGGUGCACAAUAAUGUCAGAUGGAUGCAUAGGGCCCACAAAAUUAAGUAUUAUUAAUUUCAUAGUUUAUUCAAAAUGGACCACGGUGUUCCUUAAGUCAAUCGAUGCAUCGAACAAUAUCAAAGACCACAAGUAUAUAUACAAUCUAUUGAGGACUAUUAUCAAAGAAGGCGGUCAAGAAAUGGUGAUCCAAAUUGUCACAGAUAACGGGUCAGCGUUCGUGACAGCAGCUAAACUAUUGAUGAAGAAGUUUAACUUAUAUUGGAAUUUGUGUGCGGCGCACUACAUCGACUUAAUCUUUAAAGACAUUGGUAAAAAACCUAGUGUUACAGAUAUGAUAAACAAUGCUCGCAAGAUAACCAACUUCAUUUACAACCAUGGUUGGUUACUUGCACAAAUGAGAAAGUAUUGUGGUGGAGACAUUGUUCAACUAGGAAUUACAAGGUUUGCUACCAAUUAUAUUGCUAUUGACGGUCUUCUAAAAAAAAUGGCUGAUUUGAAAAAAAAAAUUAUUUAUGAGUGAUGAAUGGGCACAACACAAGCUCGGUUGGACAAAAACUAGACGAGAUUUGGAGCAAUUAUUGUUUGACAAUGCAUAUUGGGACAAAGUGGCAAAAAUAGUUUCAUUAUAUGAGCCGUUAUAUGUGGUGCUUCAACUUAUGAAUUCUGAAGUUGUUUCCACAAUGUCAUUUGUGUACGAGUUUAUGCUCGUGAUGAAAAAGAACCUUAUUCAUCAAGGAGCUAGAGAUUGGAUCUUCAAAAUAAUAAAAGAUCGUUAGAAGAAAACAUUAAAACAUCCACUUCAUGCAACAGGUACUUAAGUACUAUCUAUCUUUAUAAUUUUUUUUACUAUGUAUUUAAUUUUCUCUAACAAAAUACUAAAUCUACUUAAUUUUAUUGUAUCAUACUUCUUAAAUCCAAGAUUUCAAUAUAGGCAUGGAGUUGGUAGUAAUUCAGAACUACUUCAAGUGGUCCAUAAUGUUUUUGCAAAAUUAGACCCAACUACUGAAUCGUUUGGUCAAUUUGGAAGUAAGGUAAAUAAAAAAUAUUAUUUUUGUCAAUAAAACAAUAAUUUUAUUCAUCAAUUUAUUUGAACAUUUACUAACAAAUAUGAUAUUAACAAAUUAAAUGUUGAAUGCAUAGCUUGUAUUUUUUCAAGAUGCAAAAAGAGAAUUCGAUGAUCAAGCGGCGAUUGUACCAAGGUCAACCAUGGUGCCCGGUGAGUAUUUAUAGGAAAAAAUUGAUUAUCAUUAUUUUCAAUUCACCACAUAAGUAUUUAUAUAAUUAUCAAAUUGGUUGCAAAUAACUGGUGGUUCAUAUAUGGGAAUCAAACUCCUACAUUGAGAAAGUUAACCAUCAAAGUUCUCUCACAAACCGCGUCAUCUUUUGCCUGUGAGAGAAAUUGGAGCACAUUCACUCUCAUCCACACAAAGCAACAAAAUCGUUUGGCUUACCCUCAACUGGAGUAAUUAGUUUUUUGUUACUAUAAUAUGAGGCUAAAGUUACACAAUAUGGAGACAAAAAAUGAUCGAGUUGUUGAAAUAGAUUACCUUAAUCUUCUUGACAUUUCAACCGAGGUGGGUGAAGAAGAAGAUAAUCAGUUGUUCCAAUGGGUUAGGCCUAUACACUUGGAUGAUGAAGUUGGAAAUCCUGAUCCACGAAUUGCCGCUCAUGCUUGAGAAUUUGGAGUUAAUAUUGAACGUGUGUUAUCCGAUCAAGUUCACUUUAAAAGUUUUAGCAAAGAUACUGAUGAUUCAUUUUAGGCUACAUUGAAUUCCCACCAAGAGGUUGACUCCACAAGUGUUGGCCAUAGUAGUAGACCUAGUGCUAUAGGUACUUCUGCUUCUGGUUACGAUGGUUCAAGAGGUGGAAUUGAUGAUGGAGGUGAUAAUGCGAGAGGAGAUAUUUGGGAACGUCAACAAAGUCAAUAUCCAAUCAGCCAAUUUACAUGUGAAAAUGAUUUCACACACUAGACCCAGGAUGAAGACCAUGGCUCUAGAAGAGUUGGUUCAAGCAUAAGAGCUAUUGGGAAGCCCUAUAAAGGAAGAGAACGAACAGUGAAACCAUAUAGCGAGGAGUUACUUUCAGGUAGUUAUGAAUCUAUGAGUAUAGGGACUCAAUUUAAUGACUUCUCAAAUGAGGCUAACGUCUACCCUUCUCAUGUGAUGAGUUAUGGUCAAUCUUCAAGUUCAAUCGAUGAAGAGUAUGGUAUGUCACGUUGCUCCCCUUCCGCACAAAUUUCAUACCAAGUUCUAUAUCAAAUGGAAAGAGGAUUUGAAAUUAAAACAUGGGGAACCUUGAGUAUCCUAUCCAUGUAGAGGCAGUGGGCAAGACUCAAGAGAUAUAUGCAUGACAUGUUAGAAUUUUUAACUAAUAUUAUCGAGGCUCAUUGAGUUGGUACCAAUAUUGUCUCCAACAGCAAGAUGGGUUUCCUUCAUCUACCAAUUCCAUUGAACCACAUUGAUCCUCAUUUUGGUACGUACUAAAGGGACAUUGCAAUGUAAUGUGUAAAAAUUAUUGAUAUUUAAUUAAAUGAAGUAUUUUAUGUGACUUCAUAAUGAGUGUACAAUUACAAACUUAACGUUUCUUAUAGAUCGACAUAAUAUAAUUACAUCUAAUAUCGCAAAUUAUAUCACACAUAUAUCAAAUUCUUAAAUAAAACAACUUUAUAAUGUCUAUUAUACUUUUAAUUAUAUUGUUAUGAGAUUUUUCUUACAUUUUCAUGAGUUUUUAGCAAUUUUAGGCCUACCAAAUUUUUUUUUUUCCAAUAUAUCUGUAAAAUCGAAGUACCGAUAUAUCCGUGAUUACCAAUAUUUUUAUCCUUACUCCUACCACGCUCUCAUCUCAUGUAUUUUAUUUAACUCACAUUUGACAACUCGAAUACUUACCCCAAUAAUGAUGUUUGGGGAAAAAAAAUUUCAUCUUAUAAUCUUUUUUAAACCAAACCAUUGGAAACAUAGUUCACACAUCAUAUGUGGGCACAUAAUGUAUGCAUGUAGAUUGAAUUUGCACCAUUAUAUAAGGAUGUUAUAUUAACUAUACAAGGCCAAUGUACUAAUUGUACAAAUGGUACACAAGGCUACCCUUUGUGAAGAAUUUCAAUCAAUUUUGAUUAACUUUGUUUUUAAUCAUUCAAUGAUUGUACACUCUAAUUCCUCCAUCACACACUUUUCUCAUGCACUUUAUUUGACUCGCAUAUAGCAAUUCAAAUACUUACCCCAAUAAUGAUGUUUGGGAAAAAAAAUUGUUUUUACGUCUUCCAUCAUUUUCUAAAUCAAACCAUUGAAAACAUGAUUAACAAAUCUUAUGUGGACACAUAAUUUAUGCAUGUGUAUAGAAUUGACAUCACUGUACAAGAGUGUUAUACUAAUUGUACAAGACAAAUGUACUAACUAUACAAAGGGUGUACAAGGCUACCCUUUGUGGAAGAUUUCAUUCGAUUUUGAGCAACUUUUUUUCUGGUCAUCUAAGGACUACACACUCUCAUAACACAUAUUCCUCUAUCAUACAGUCAUCUCUUGCCCUUUAUUUAAUUCACACAUGACAAUUUGAAUACUUACCCCACUAAUAAUGUUUGAAAAGAAAAAAAAAAUUGUUUUCCACUGUUUUAUAAACCAAACCAAACCAAACCAAUGUAAACAUGGUUAACCUACCUAUUGGCACACAUCGAGUAGGGGGUGUAUGGAAUUUGCGCUACUAUACAUGGUAUUUACACUAAGUGUACAACGUAAAUAUACUAACUAUACAAGGGGUGUACAAGGCUAUCAUUUGUAAAGGAUUUCAACUUAUUUUAAAAAGCUCACUUGCUUAUUUCCCUCAGCCAAGGAUGGAGGAUAUUCUUCACAGACAUUGGUUAAUCAUACAUUCAUCUCAUGCACUUUAUUUAACACGUAUAUGGUCAUUUGAAUACCUACCCCACUAAUGAUGAUAGUGAAACAAAAUUGUACAACAAUUUUUCCCUUAUUUAAAACUAAACCAAUGCAAACAUGGUUAACUAAUCUAGAGGCAGAUAUUCACAAGGCAGUGCAUGGAAUCUGAGUCAUUAUACAAGGAUAAAUAUUACACUAAUUGUACAAAAUAAAUUUACUAAUUGUACAAGAGGUAUACAAUACUGUUUUUUGUUAAAUAUUUCAAAUGAUUUUAAAAAACUCUCUUGUUUUUUUCUUGUCACCCAAGGACUAUACAAUUUCUCCACUCAAAUUCCCUCGCCUAAGAAUUGUUUUGACUCUUAUUUUUAAAUUUCAUUAUCAAAAUUUUGUAAUUAUAUAUUUUGUUUUUGUAGUUUUAGCAAUAUUCUUUCUUUCCACUCUUUUUUUGUGAAAUUUUAUCCAAAUGAAUCUAUAUUUAAAAUUAUAAUCAUAUUUAUCAUUUGUUUUUACUAAGAUUAUCUUAAAUUCUUUUAAUAUAUUAAUUUAUACUCAUUUAUUUAAAAAAUGAAAAACUAAUUUUAAACAUGUUCUAUUACCUUUCAAAUAAAAAAUUAAAUAAGUUGGAAAGUCAAUAAAAGAAAAAUUAAAUACCACUUUCAAUCAUUUUUAAAUAAGAUUUUAUAUGACACAUUUUAUUUGAAAUUUAAUUUCUAAAGUUUCAUUAAAAAAAUUUGUGUUGACAAUUUUCUUGCUAUUAGUUAAAAUACUUUUCAAUAGUUUAUUUAGAUAAGAAAAAUUAUAAUAUAAUAUUAAAACUUCACAUUUUAGUUAUUUUCAAUAAAUUUAUCUUUAAAAAAUUUUUAAAAUAAAAAAAUUAAAAUUUUAAAAACUAAGGGAAAUAUUAAAAAAAAAAUUAAGAGUGAAGUGAUAGUCAAUUAAAGAGGAAUAGAAGAGGAAAAUGUGUAUCCACUUACAAUGCUUAAUUGGAAUUGGAAGAAGGGUUUGAAUUUAGAAAGGGGCAAUUGUAGAGGAAAAUAUAAAAUCAUAAACUAAUAGCAAUUAAUACAAUUGUUAAUGAUAUAAUAAUUGAAUGAAAAUGGGAAUAUAAUUAUGAAAGAUUGUUAUAAAAUAUAAAUGUAGAUUGGAAAAAAAAAACUAUAAAAAGAAAACAAAAAACUAAACAAAAAAGCAUAAAUGGAUAAUAGGGAAUAGAAAAGGAAAAAAGAAAACACAAAGAAAUAGAAAUUCACACUCAUGUGUAGAGAUUAAUGAAGGAUAAUAUUAUACUUUAUUUGGAUCUUAAGUUUAAAUGUGGGUGAUAAGAGGAUGUUGGACCGAUUUUCAGAUCCAUUUAACUUAAAAGUCUAAUUCUCCAUAGCUUUUGAAAAUUUAAUUAAAAUAUUUUUAAAAAUGAUUGAUUCAAUUUUUUUUAUAUUUAAAUAGUUGAAUGUACAAGGUUUUCUAUAUGAAAGUCAUUUUAUUAUAUAAAAUUAAUCACCAAAUUUAGAUUUGUCUUACAUAAUUAUAAUGUAGAAAAUGCUACUUAUCUUUACUUGUUUCAUAAUUUAUUUUUCCCCAUAUUAUUAUGGAAUAAAUUAGUGAAUGCCAGUAAUUCUUUUUUGUAUUAAUAAUGUAAGUUAAUUAAGUUACAAAAUAUUAUAGGAAAGUACUUGCCUAAACAAAUAUCAUAAUUAAAAGUUAGUUUUUUUUUUUUUUUGCAAUAAUAUAAGCUUUGGGCCCAAAAAUUAUAAAUAACAGUUCACUAGCUAGAAAGAUAUAUCCUGCUUAAAAGUGAUGUGGCAUUAUAAAUACAAAUUUUGUGGCUAAUUUUUUCUUUUUUAAAUAUACAUUUACUACAAAUGUAUGUGAUUGUUAAAUGUCAUCCAUUUGCUAUGAACAAUAAUUUUUCACUGAAAAAUUGUUUUGCUAUGAAAUAAACUGUCAUUGCAAAAAGCCACUUCCUACCAUAAAAAUAUCUUCAUAGCUAAAAGCGUAAUGGCAAAUGGAGAAAUUUGUUGCAGUGAAUUUUCCAAAAGCUUGCCGGAUCAGUUUAAUCCAAGAUCGUAUUGAAAAGGAUGAUCGAAGUGGAACUAAGAAGUACCUUCUGGUUCAUGGCAGGACUAGGACAGGGCGGUCCGGUUUUCAAACCAUCCGCAGAUAUGACGCAUAAUAUUGUUUUGGAAUCUAUAUUAGUCAACGGUUCCUACAUUUUUUACAGGACAUAGAUGUAAAAUUCACGAAUUUGAUGCUGCCUGACACAACAGGUCAACUUCCUGUGUCUUAUCUGCAUCCAAAAAAGUCAACAUUUUUAAAGAGUGUCCUUACACUAGCUACGUGGUGGACAUUGCUUCCCCACACGCAAGAUCUUCGCCAAUGGAGGGAAUGCAAGGACUGAAGGAUGUAAUUUUUUGUGAGAAUAAAUACUUUUUAUUUUAAAAAUUAUCAUUUUCAAUUCAAGGGUUGCCACGUAUCAUCAUAAACCUAUUAAAUUCCACACGCCCGAGAUCACCAUGUGAAUACAAUACUGCCAACUGCCACCUAACACAUGGUUGUCAUGGCUGCACUAUUGAAUAUCUCAACUAUAUGCUACAGGCGAUGAAUAGCGACAUGGAGUUCAACAAGAAAACCCGUGUCUCGUGACUUUACUAAUACUGGGUCAAAUGCAAACGCAGGAAGUAAGCUAAAAUGUGUGUUUUCGUGGAAGAAUAUUUAGAAGGAUACAUUCUUAUCAUGAUUUCAUCAUUAUAAGUUAGGUUUUCUUAUGUAAUUAAUAUUUUAAGAGAUUCAAUCUUUUGAUCGCCUCAACUCGCCCAAGAAGUGUUGGCUGGGUUUUGUAUUCACUACUAUGCAUCUGGGUCUUGUUACAGUGCCUUCGGUUCUAGGCUUCUAAUUCUUACUUUUUCAAAUUCUAGACCCAAUAAAUGAACUGUAUUCUGCAUUAUUGUGAAUCACCAAGCUUCCCAAAAGUAGCUCAAAGAUGAGAAACGACCCUGCCCAACUGGGGUUCUUCCUCUUUUUUCUCUCCCUAUGGAGACUCUUUAUAGAAAUGACCAUGGCACAGAACACAGCAAUCCCAGUUAACGCGGGAGUGGUCCUUGACUUUGAUACAUCGCUUGGAAAGAUGGGUCUGAGCUGCAUCCCUCUGGCCCUCUCAGAUUUCUAUGCCUCUCAUGGUAACUACAAGACUAGGCUCGUUCUGAAGACUAGAGACUCCAGAAGAGAUGUUGUUGGUACAACUGCAUCAGGUACUCUUAUCUCUGUUCUUCUCGCUCUCUCACAGUAGUAAUUAAGUGUUAUGUAAGUGUUAUCUGACCUAAUCUAUUAGAGUUUCUUCAUAUAAAUAUACCUUAUUAUGUUAAAACAAACACACAUUAAAUUGUUACUGCCAUUAUAUUCUUAUGUGUAUUAAUAAUACUCUUGAGAAUGUAACUCUUAUUUGAAGUCGAAUCAUAGUGUUGACCACAUCCCUCAAAAUGUUGAAGAGUUCACUAAGGGCUAUGAGGUGCUAUGUCCUGGAUGUGAACGAUGUAGGUGUUGAUCAUUACAAGACCUCUGGGAGAAACAUCCACUCUAGGUAAAUCUAUGUACUUAGUUCUUUUAGAAUUAAUAGAUUUGCUCAUGAUCACUUAAAUCCAUGAAUUUUAUACUUAUAGAGUUUCUAGUAUAAAUGAGAAAAAAAAAAUCAAAAUUUGGGGUUUAAAACUUAUGACUUCUUCUUUAGCUCUGUCUAAGUAGUUUCAAGAAUCAAGAUAUAUAAGUUUCAAAUUAUAUUAAUUCAAUUUACUAAUCCAAAUGUGAAAAAGUUUCAAUUUAUAGAUUUUGUUUUAAACCUAUAUUUCUACUUAUCCAUCUAUAUAUGCCCACUCAAAUGAAAAAAUAGCAUGGGACUUCGAGGAAACAAACAAACUUCCUCUUUGGGGUGGUUAAUUGCUCACUGGUUUUGGACACAGGUUCAUCUCUAUCCAUCUUAAAAACUUCUGUUUGAAAGAAGAAUCAUCUCCACUUGAUUUGAAAGAAGAUAAAGGAAUAAGGCAAAUGCUGAAUUUUCAUUCUCUCAAGUUGUAUUUUCUGGUGGGCCUUCAACAUGAGAAUAACAAGGAAAUCACAAGCUUUAAUUUCUUGUGACCCCUUUAAAUCUAUAGCUUCAAGAUGGAUGAAAUGAUAAAAAAAAUUUGAUAAAUUUCCUCCAAGUAGAGAAAAUGAAAACAAAGGGUUUAUUCUCCGUCUCUUCCCUUUCUUUCUCCUUUUUGUUCUAGUAUGAUGACUAAAGCAAAGCAUUGAUUUGAAAUUAUUAUUUUUUUUUUUAUCAGUUAAUGCUCUUACAUCUAAUGACACAUGAGACCCUUUAAAUUCCAAGACCAAGACAUUACUUGCAUUUUAUUAUUGUUUUUUUUUGGGGGGAGGGGGGGAGGAAUAAUUCAAAUUCAACUCUCUCCUACCAUGACUUUACCCUAAUGGUCAUAAAUUUUGAGAACCAUGCAUAUACCUCAUGACCUAGAAUUUUUUUACUAUAUUGUUGUUGUACCUAUCACUAGAAUUUAGAAAGAGAGAGAGAGAGAGAGAGAACUACUCUUAUUUGAUGCUUAUUAAUUAGGAUUUAGGCCCACUGAAAUUGGAGCAUGAGUAAUGCAGGUAGAAAAAGACAAAAUUCCAAGCUGAUGUGAAUUUCACAUAUAAUUUGUUCAAUCUUAUCUUCAAGAUAGAAAAUUGCAAGAAAAUAUUAGUCAUUCAUUUGGUACAAACAUAACCAAAAUGCAUGUGAAGCACUACUAUCAAAUACUGGUAAAUUUGAAAUAACUUGUAGUUGACUGUCGAAGAUGUGAACUUCUACAUGUUCCAUACUAUUGCCAACCAACACAUGAUUUCAUGGUGAAGUUGAGGAUUGGAACUCCACUAUAUAGAAUACAGGAAAAAUACUAUUGGAUGGUAAAGCUUGAAUUAAUCUUAUGACCCUACAUAGAAGAUGUUCGGGAUUCUCCAAUGAGUUUGCAAUGAUUGAGCUUGUAGCUAUUAAAACAAAAUAAAUUAGUUUUCAUUAGUGAGUGAAAAGAAAAAAUGUACGAUUGUAAUUGAGAGGAAAUUUCAUUAGUGAGUGAAAAAUAAAAUAAAAAAAAAUGUGCAACUAAUAUAUAGAAGAGUGAGAGCUUUCAUUAUUAUAAUCUUUUUAUCUUCGUUUAGUUAGUAAAUUUUAAAAUGUUGGUGUAUUCGAUGAAUGUAAAGAUUAUAUUAGUAGCCAAAGUACAUUAAAUUAUUUUUUUUCUUAUUUCAGUUCGUAUGUGUGGAGGUGUAAAAACUGAAGGUAGAGUUAAUUUUUGUGUGUAGGAAAAAGCUAUCAUAUGUGUUGCCACAAAGCUUUAUACAAAGAAUUUUGGUUUAAUAUAUUAUCAAAAUUAUCUCUCGCAAUCUAAAAAUGUCAAUUGAUGUUGAUAGACCCCCCUACCAAACCUUUACUGGUAGUGACAAAACUCAACAUUUAAUUUCUUAUUUCACAGAAAGUCUUGGAUGAUAUAAAUUUUACAAAUCUAAAUCAUUUGAUAAGGGUAUAAAUAUAUGAGAUUAAUAUAUAAAUAUAUGUGUGUGUGAGUAUAUGCAUCAAUGUGAUAUGAUCUAAUUAAUUAUGUCUCUUAACAAUCUGCUUUUGAAUUCAAUAGGAUUAAGUUCUUAGGAAUUUACAAAUAAUGUCAAAUCCACGUACAACUUGGGUUGUUAUGGGUUAUAAAAUAAAAAGAGUAAAUGAAAUAAUUAUUUUAAAACCAUAAAAUAUAAAUUAUAUAACAAAGUAAGAAGUUAAAAACUACAUAUCUCUCAAGCCACACACGUUCAAUGGCAAGAGGGAUGCCAAGAAGUUAGAUAACUUCUUGUGGCACAUGGAGCGCUACUUUGAGGCUAUCGCAUUGAUGGAUGAAGCCACUAAGGUACGCACCGCAACCCUCUACCUCACUGAUAAUGCUACUCUAUGGUGGCGUCAAAAGUUUGCCGACAUAUAAAAAGGGACGUGCACCAUAAACACAUGAGAUGCCUUUAAGUGAAAAAUCAAAAGGCAAUUCUACCCUGAAGAUGUGGCUUACCUAGCAAGGAAGAAUAUAAAGCGUCUCAAGCACACGGGCUUGAUUCAUGAGUAUGCCAAAGAGUUCUCUACGUUUAUGCUUGAGAUACCUAACAUGUCCGAGGAGGAGCUAUUAUUCAACUUCAUGGACAACUUGCAAAGUUGGGUCGAGCAAGAGUUGAGCAAACAUGGUGUCCAAGACCUAGCCACGGCCAUGGCGAUAGCAGAGUCCUUGGUGGAUUAUAGAAGGGGAGACUUCUCCAAGCCCAAGCCAUAAUCCAAGGGUAAUUAUGCUAAAGGUGGGGGAGACAAGGGAUCAAAGAGGUACACCCCUAAGGAAUGAUCAAGUAAGACCUCUAGUGGCAAGGAUAGUAAGGGCAAAGACAAACCAAAGGAGUUCACACCCAGGACCAAUUACUUCCUGUGUGAUAGGCCACACUUGGUGCGGGACUGCCCCAAGAGGAAAGCCCUAAAUGCUAUGAUCGAGGAAAAGAAGAAGGAGAGUGAUGCUAAGGUGGGAUCGUUGCAACUCCUAAACUCCUUUAAGGCCAAGCCAAUGCCCUAAGACGCCCCAAAGCAAAGGGCUAAUGUAUGUAGAGGCCCUUGUGAAUGGGAAGGCCACCAAGGCCCUGGUGGACACUAGUGCCACUCAUAACUUUGUCUCAGAGGAUGAGGCAAAGAUGCUAGAGCUCCAAGCAUCCAAGGAAAGAGGUUGUAUCAAGGCAAUCAAUUCAGCUGUAAAGCCAUCACACGGAGUAGCUCACGGGGUGACUAUGCACAUCGACUCAUGGAAAGGAAGGGUCGACUUCACAGUGGCACCUAUGGACGAAUUCAAGAUGGUACUAGGGAUGGACUUCCUACAAAAGGUCAAGGUUGUGCCAAUACCUUUCGUACUCUCAAUGGCUAUCCUAGAGGAGGAAAAGCCAUGCAUGGUCCCUACGGCCACUAAAGGUACGCCCAAGACCCCUAUGUUAUCAACUAUGCAAGUUAAGAAGGGGUUAAAGAGGAAAGAGGUGACCUACCUCGCCACCCUGAAAGAAGAAAGGGAUAAUGGGUCGGGAGAACCCAUGCCUAAGGAAAUUGAGGGAGUCCUUGAUGAGUUCAAGGACGUGAUGCCACCUGAGUUGCCCAAAAAACUUCCUCUUAGGAGAGAGGAAUACCACAAGAUUGAGCUAGAGUCGAGAACAAAGUCCCCUGCUAUGGGGCCAUACCGGAUGGCACCGCCUGAGCUGGAGGAGCUAAGGAAACAACUUAAGGAGUUGUUGGAUACAUGGUUCAUCCAACCAUCCAAGGCUCCCUAUGGCGCGCUGGUUUUGCUUCAAAAUAAGCAGGAUGGGUCCCUACGAAUGUGCAUAGACUACCAGGCACUCAACAAAGUGAUAGUAAAGGACAAGUACCCUAUUCCGCUCAUCGCUGACUUGUUCGAUCAACUUGGAAGGGUGAGAUACUUCACAAAGCUAGACUUGAGGUCAGGCUACUACCAAGUAAGGAUUGCGAAAGGGGAUGAGCCCGAAAACCACAUGUGUGACCAGGUACGACUCAUACGAAUUCUUAAUGAUGCCCUUCGGUCUCACCAAUGCCCCAGCAACGUUCUGCAUACUCAUGAAUAAGAUCUUCCACCCAUAUCUAGACAAGUUCAUGGUGGUAUACUUGGAUGACAUAGUCAUCUAUAGUGACACCCUAAAGGAGCACGUAAAGCAUUUAAGGAAGGUCUUUAAAAUUCUAAGGCAGAACGAGCUAUAUGUAAAGAAGGAAAAAUGCUCAUUUUCUAGGAAAUAGGUGAGCUUCCUAGGACAUCGCAUCAAGGAUGGAAAACGGAUGAUGGAUGAUAACAAGGUGAAAGCCAUCCAAGAAUGAGAUCCAUCAACCAAGGUACCUCAGAUCAGAUCUUUCCUUGGUCUAGCUAAUUACUACAGACAGUUCAUCAAGGGUUAUUCGGCAAGGGUAGCUCCACUCACUGACCUUCUUAAGAAGAAUAAGGCAUGGGAAUGGAAUGAAAGGUGCCAACAAGCAGUUGAGGAUCUGAAGAAGACUGUGACUGAGGAACCGGUGUUGGCCCUACCCGACUACACCAAGGUUUUUGAGGUACACACGAAUACCUCAGACUUCGUUAUAGGGGGUGUCAUUAUGCAAGAUAGGCAUCCAAUCACCUACAAGAGCCGCAAGCUAAAUGACAUGGAGAGGCGCACGGUGUAGGAAAAGGAAAUGACUGCCAUCGUCCAUUGCUUGCGCACCUGGAGGCACUAUCUUCUAGGGUCUCACUUUCUAAUGAAGACCAACAAUGUUGCCACUAGCUACUUCCAACCACAAAAUAAGUUAAGUCCUAAGCAAGCUAGGUGGCAAGACUUCCUGGCCGAGUUCGACUAUAUGCUGGAGUAUAAGCCAGGAAAUGCUAAUCACGUGGCCAACACCCUCAGCCGUAAGGCAAAGCUAGCAUCCAUGACAAGCCAACCCCAAGGAGAUAUAUUGGAUCUUCUAAGGGAGGGACUGCAACACGAUCCAGUGGCUAAGAGCCUUAUCACCCGACUCAUGAAAGGAAAACUAAGCGGUUUUGGGUGGAAGACAACCUACUCUUCACCAAGGGGAGACGACUCUACAUGCCUAAGUGGGAGAACAUAAGGCGGAAUCUGAUAAAGGAGUGUCAUGACACCAAGUGGGUUGGGCACCCAGGGCAACGAUGCACUAGGGUACUACUCGAGUCGGCUUACUACUGGCCUCAAAUAAGGGAUGAAGUUGAGGCCUAUGUGAGGACUUGUCUUGUAUGCCAACAAGACAAGGUGGAGCAACGACAACCUAGAGGCCUGUUGGAACCACUACCAAUAGCGGAGCAGCAGUGGGACAGUGUCACCAUGGACUUCAUCAUCGGGAUACCCAAAUCGGAGGACAAUGGCUCUAUUAUAGUGGUAGUGGACAAGUUCUCUAAGUAUGCGACCUUCAUAGCAACCCCGACUGAUUGCACUGCAGAAGAGACAACAAAGCUAUUCUUAAAGCAUGUGGUCAAGUAUUGAGGGUUGCCUAAGUACAUCAUCAGUGAUCAUGAUCCACGUUUCACUGGAAAGUUUUGGACGGAGCUCUUUAAGCUUAUGGGUUCGGAGUUCCACUUCUCCACAAGCUUUCACCCACAGACAGAUGGGCAAACUGAGAGGGAGAACGCCCUGCUGGAGCUAUACUUGAGGCACUUUGUGAGUGCCAACCAGAAGGAUUGGACUAAGUUGCUAGAUAUAGCCCAGUUCUCAUACAACUUGCAAAAGAGUGAAGCAACCAACAAGAGCCCGUUCGAGCUAGCCACAGGGAAGCAACCCUUAACUCCUCACACGCUAACUAUAGGCUAUACAGGGAGAAGUCCAACGGCUUUCAAGUUCGCAAAGGGAUGACACAAGCAAGCUGACAUAGCACGCUCAAACUUGGACAAGGCAAUUAAGAAAAUGAAGAAGUGGGCUGACAAGAAGCGACGUCACACGAAGUACAAAGUCGGAGAGAUGGUGCUUGUCAAGCUCAUUCCUCAACAAUUCAAAUCCCUAAGAUCGGUGCAUAAGGGCCUUGUGAGGAGGUAUGAAGGACCCUUCCCCAUACUUGGGAAGGUCGGCAAGGUGUCCUACAAAGUUGAGUUACUGUCAAGGUUAAAGAUUCAUCAUGUCUUCCACAUAAGUUACUCGAAACCAUAUCACGAAGACAAGGAUGAUCCAAGCCGAGGGUUUUCUAAGAGGGCACCUACAACGGUCGUGACCUCCUAUGACAAGGAGGUAGAAUACAUCAUCACAAAUCGAGUCAUCAAGAGACGAGGUGUGCCUCCUACUACGGAGUACUUAGUGAAAUGGAAGGGACUACCAGAGAACGAGGCUAGCUGGGAGCCAAUAGAUGCAUUAUGGCAGUUCCAGGAGCCGAUUGAUCAGUUCCGGGCAGAAGGCGCAACGAGGACAUUGGCGGCUUAAGUGGGGGAAAGUGUCACAAGAUGUUUCAAAUGAGCCUCCCCAUGGGUUUAUAUAGAGCCCAAGAAGCUUCUGGAGAUUCCUACACUUAGCCACUAGUGGGAAGAGUGUGGAAGGUUCUAGAAAUACCUAGAGAAGUCCACACCUCUCUACACUAUGGUAAAAGACAUGGGAGGAGUCCAGGGCUUUCUAGAGAAUUCUAAAAGCCUCUUGUACAUAGACUUGUACAUAGAAUGGUGUAGGAUGUUCUAGAAUAUUCUUGAAUUGUAAAGAACCGUCCAAGGUUCUAGAGAGUUCCAUUGGUGCCUAUAAAUAGGUGGGGGCCUCAUUUGGCUAAGGCACCAAACAAGUGAGCUUCCAAACAUUGUAAAGUUUCCUUCAAAAGCAAUAAAGCUUCCAUUCUUUAAGAGUUGCUUACUACAUCUUCUAAAACUUCCGACUUGUGAGCAUCUUAGCCUAACAAGCUAAGCAUUGGGGAGUAAGGCUGACUUAGCAAGAUCAAGCAUCUUGACUUGUCUAAGUGCCACACGAGCUUAGGAAAAGACUAAGUCUGUGACACCGUGCUCUCAUCUCCACUCAUCAUCCUCCAUAGUUGGUCGUGUAGUUGUUGUUCCCCUGCAUAUUCUCUCACCCAUUCCCGUUUUUUCUCCCCUAAUUUGGUAUCUUCUCCACUCAACCUCGACAGUUGGGUCGGGUUUCUGUUUUAUCCCUCUUUUGCUGAGUUUCCCGAUAUUUUCCUCUCUUCUCCAUACUCGGCUCUUCUUCGGGUACUUGUGUUUUCCUCUCAUCUCCAUCGAUUGUCAUUUUCAGGUGCUUUCAGUUGUCUUCAUGUAUUGUUGGAUGUUUUCGUGUUGUUGGGUGUUUUCGGGUGAGAUAUUGUAGUAGUUUCGGGUGGCAACUUUUCGAGUUCUAUCUUUUCUUCGUAUCCCCUCUAUUUAUGUCCAUAUUUAAUUUUCAUAUUUGGGGUUUUUUUGAGUUUUGAAGUAAAGAGUGCAAUACUCCCGCUCCCUCCUCUCCUCUCCAUAACCCUUGUAUUUUCUUCAUAUUUUAUAUUUUGUUUAAGAGGUAUAAGGGGUGGUUUCGGGUUCUAAAUUUUGUGGUUUGAAGACCCGAAUUGAAGACAUAGCUAGAAGAAGAAGAAGAAGAAGACGUGUAGUAAUAAGAGAAAGAAAACUAAAAAGGACACAAUUUUUUGUUAAUCAAAAGGCGGUUGUAUCAUAAUUAUUUGCCAAGUUAUAUAUUAAGGAAAAAAAAUGUGAGUAUUGAUAAUGUGUUUUACAAUAUUGUAUCCAUUAUAUUUCAUGUUUUUUGUUAGAUUUAUGGGUUGAUCAUAUUAAUGAAAAAUAAUGUGGUUAGAUCCAUAAUUGGAGAUUGAAAAUAAUUUAUAUGCUAAUUUUGUGACCAUUUAAAAUGUACUAAAAUUUGGGGAGGAUUUUGUAGUGGUGGUGAAAGUAUGUUUGAUUUAUUAUAUCUGAAAUCAUAUUAUAAAAAUUGACUUAAAUGAUUUAAUUUAAUUUUUAGGAGCGAAUGCAUUGUUGUUGAAGUUGUUAGAAAUCCAAAGAGGCCUAUCGAAGCUUAGAUACAUUACUAGUAAGGAAAAAUAGAAAUAUGUAAAAGAAUAUGUUUUUUAAUGUAUUUUUUGUGGUUGUUAUAGUUGAAUUUGUUUGAAAUUGUUUUGUAGUAAUGAUCAAUUGGUCAUGAUCAAAGAGAAGGAUAAAGGAGUUAAGAUAAAUGAUGAUGUAAGGAGUAAUAUUGUUGUGUCUAAUUUAAUUACAUUUUAAAAUUAGAAUUUAAAGUAUGUGACCAAUUAAUGUAGUUGAGGAAAAAAUUGGGCAAGAAGUGGAAUGCACUUUCAAAAGUAGAAAAAGAAGAUUUCAUGGCAAAGUCCAAAGAAAGUUCUUCCAAAGGUAAUUUUUUUUGUAAUGAAUAUUUAAUUUCAUUACUUAUGUAUUUGUUGGAAAUUAUAUUAAUGUAAACAUGUUUGAUGUUUGUGUAUCUUUUCAGUUAUAUCUUCAGACUCGAUGCUCACUCGAGCGAGUGAUUAGAGUUAUUGAAGAAUUAGAACCAAAGCAAAGAGCAGCCAUAGAAGAAAUAGGAUUUGGUAGCCUCUUGCAACUUUGAUGUAGGAAAAUUGAUCAUGGUUUAUGUCUUUGGUUGAUAAAUAGUUUCAACCCGAACAGUUAUAUGUUAGAGUUGUAUAAUACUUUCAUCAAAUUAUCCUCCAUUGAUGUUGAAUUUAUUAUGGGAUUGAGGGUAAGAGGGUUGAAGAUUGGCAUGAACAAAGAUGUUAACCAUAAGAAUGAUUUAUGUAAAAAAUAUUGUGAUAAAAAGGGGCGAUUGCCAUUAGUGAUGUUAGAAAAUCAAAUUAGGGAGGAUAAAGAAGGUGGAAACGAUUUCAAAGUUCAUUUUGUAUUAUUUGUGUUGGGUGCAUUAUUGUGCCCAACAAUGAAGCUUUUUGUGAAACAUUCUUUCUUACAUCUUGUGGAAGACAUCAAUUCAAUAAAGAAGAUGAAUUGGGUUGAAUUUGUGUUGUCUUAUCUUGUGCACGGGAUUGAAGAGUUUAAGAUGAAACAACGAAGUGGGGUUUGCGGUUGCUUAUUGUUUUUAAUGGUAAUGUCCUUGUAAUUAAUUUACAUCAUAGUGAAUUUCAAAUUUCUUAUAAUAAAAUGUGUUAACUAACUAUAUAUCUAUGUUAAAUAUAAUCGUAGUUAUUCUACCACGAGCAUAUAUUGUUCGAAGAGAAAUUUCUACCAUUAUAUACUCAACCUUGUCCUCGGAUUACUACUUGGGGAGAUGAUGAAGUACUUGACAUGAAACAAAAAUUGAAAAACCUCGGUGAAUAUGCAAAUGACAAUGUAAGUUAUAGUUUCAAAAGUCGUUUAAUAUUGGUUUAAGUUUUUAGUGAUUUUUAAUCUUAUAUGUGUUAUAUUUUGAUGAAUAUAUUGUAGGUCAAAAUAUGGGUGAUACAAAAUGAGAUAAGGGAUUGCAUUGAUGGAAAUGCGAUGACAAUGGAGAGGGAGAAUGAGGAGGAUGAGAAAUUCGAAAUCAAUCCAAAGAAAGAUGUUAUUAAACGAGUAGGUUUUACAAUAUUCAUCGUGAGUAUCAAUAUUAGUAGUGAACCCUUAUAUUAUGAUGUUAUUAAUGAAGUUCCUAUAUAUCACUAGGUUGACAGUGGGAGCUUAAUGGAGAUGGAUAAAACCUUUCAACAAUUAAAGACACAUCUAAUUGAUUUGUGUCAUGGUGCAAGUAGUAGUAGUUGUGAAAAAGUUUUGACUGAAUUUGAGGAGAAAUAUACUACAUUGAAAGGUCUCUUCAUUGGGUCAAGCGGAAAACCUUUGAGAAUGCACGAGGAGGGAACGAAGAAUGACAUUUUCUCAUGCGAGAGAAGUUUGGAAGAUAAGGACAAUAAGAAAGGAAAUGAACAUUAUGUUCACACUUUGUCAAUUGAGAAGUUAUGUACUGAGGACUUUAAUAGAAAGAAUGAAGAUGCAUGUGCUACAUCAAUUAAAGUACAUAUCAUUCCGGACGAAAAUGUAGAUAUUUUACCACUUCCAAUCAAAAGGAGUAGAAGAGAUUAUGGAAAGGUAUGUAUCAUAUAAAAGAAAAAAUUAUUUUCCUUACAACUACUUAACCAUUACAUAGUAAAUAGAUGUAUAUUAAUGGUAUUUUCCAUAUUAGGAACCAUUACGAGCACUAUGUGGUUAUCCCAAUCAUGUCAUGAAAACACGUACAUCAAGGGAGAGGAAACCAAGUAAAUUCAAGGUCUCCCCAUUUGUACACAAUUUAAGGAAAAUGGGAAAACGUCAAGCAUCAGAGGUAUAAUACAAAUAGUUUAAUAUCAUGAUCUUAUUUUUUAUACUCAACAUAUAUAGCUAAUAAUUAUGUCUUGUUUUCAAUUUAGUCAAUCCCCAUGUCCAUUUGUGAAGACGUGGUGGAUGCUCAAUCAUUCAAUGUACUUCAAUCUCUUGUUGCUGAUUAUGUUUUCAAUAAAACAUUGUCAAAAAGGUUUGUAGUGUCUAGAACAUUCAUAGAUGUGUUGUUACAAUUUUAGCCUUCAUAUGCUUCCAAUUUAGUCAAGAAUGUUUUAACAUAUUAUUAUUUUAGUGAGCUUCUUGUUGACUUUGAUCAUGAACAUGGAGUUCGUGGAGAUUUUGAGUGCUUAUGUCCUAGAGAAAAUUUGAUGGAUGUUGUAAGUACCUACUUCAUUUAUACUAAACGCGUGCUAAAUUAAUUAAAUAAAUUUAUUGAAGUUAUUGUUUAACAACAAGUAAUAAAUCUAGAAGCCUCAAAGCUAAAUUAUUUUGAAAGGCAAUUCAUAAGCAUACGAAGUAUAAGAUGCUAUCUUCCCAUGACAUUUUCAAUAAGCUCAUAUUUCUCUUGUUGUUUACUUACGUAUUAAGUACAAUAUACUAAUGUUCGUAUUAUGUUUAAUUACUAGCAAAUGAUUUUGUGCGGGAGUCUUUAUCAUUUUUUUUAUAGAAAAACAUCCAUCGUGAGUAAGUACAUUAGCAAAUUGGAUGAUUGCAAGAAGUUUAGUAAUUAUUUGUAAUGUUUAAUUGCAUAUAUGAAAUUUGGAGUAGAUAUUGUUUUCACCUAUAAUAUAGUAGAUAUUUUGUGCCCCAACUCAUAUAUAUUGUUUUUCUAACUUUACAGCUAUUUAUUCUAAUGCAUGAUGAUUGCACCGGUCAUUGGUAUCUAUACGUCAUUGACUUAAAAAACUCUCAUAUCCAAAUUUUGGAUUCAUUGCAAUCGAAGAGUCGAGACGAGUUCCGGUUUAAGAGUGUCAAAACAGUGGUAUGCUUUCAGCUUUUUAUUUUCCUUUUAACUUGUUUUUUUUUUCUCUUCCAUAUUUAUUAACACUAAAGGGGUGUCCAAAUGAAUCUCAGAAAAAUCAAAUUCUGAAAAUAAUUAAAAAUUAGAAAGUGUACGAAGAAUGUGAGGAAUCCUCACAUUCUUCGUACCCUCCCUAUUCUCCAUUUCUUUGAAAAUUUUAAAGAAUUUUGGGACUUUAUAUGACUAGGACAUUGUUUAAAUAAGUUCAUUACACUUAAGGGUGUUUAAAUAAUGCCAAAAAAAAUAAAAAAAUAAAACUCCAAAAAUACUUAAAAAUUAGAAAGGGUAUGAAGAAUUUGAAGAUUCCCAAUUCUUUUCCUCUUUUAAAUUUAAAAAAUUUUGGAAAAAUGAGUUCAUUACACUUAAGAGGUGUUUAAAUGAUGCAAAAAAAAAAACUCCAAAAAUACUUAAAAAUUAGAAAGGAUACGAAGAAUUUGAAGAUUCUCAAUUCUCUUCCUCUUUAAAAUUUAAAAAAUUUUGAAAAAAUCAAAAUGAUUAAAAAAUCAACGAGAGAUUUAAAAUUCCAUAUUUUUACUAAUUAUUAUAAUUUUUUUUAUUUUCAAUAUUUCAACCAAUAUUUUAUAUAAUUAAAUUUAAAUUAUAAAAAUUAUUUUAUUAAUACAAUUGUCAAGUACAUAACUAACUUAGUGUUUGAACAAUGUAUACUUAUUUAAAUUUAUUUUAAUUUUUUUAUUUUUUAUAAAUAUCUAAUUAGACUUACAAUUCAUUGAAAUUAUUCAGUUUUUUUACUUCAUAAACCAAUUAUAUUGCUUUUUCGCAUUUUCAAUAUUCACCCAAUUUUUUUCACAAAUAAUUUUAAUUGAAAAUAAAAUAAAUUAAUUGACUUUGAAUUUAUAAAUUAUGUCAUUGAAUUUUUUUUUACAAUAUUUAGUUUAUUUUAAAUUUAAUUUUUUUUCCUUCACCUCUUUGGUUCAUCAAUUUACAUUAAAAAAUAAAAUAAAUUCUAAUUUCUUUUCUUUUAAAAAUUUAUAUUUUCACAAAUUAUUCAAUAUUUUUCAAUUUUUAUAAAAUAAAUCUUCAGAUUAUAUAAUUGGAUGUUGUAAAGAGUUAAAAAAAUUUGUGUUGCAUUAGAUUAUUUUUUUCUUGGCAGAGGUGACCGGUUUGUAACCUAUAUAGCAAGUUUUUUUUUUCUUUUUUAUUCAACAACCCUCACAUGGGGCAAGUUGCAAUUGGUGCAAAAUUGGGGGUAUGGUACCGAAAAGCAUAUUUCGGUACCCUAGCAUAACCCUUCCUUGCAUCCUGCAGGGUCCUCCUUCUCAGCUUGACUGCAGAGUCGUCCCACUUCCAGCUGGCCUCUGGUUUCAAAAUUCAAAUUCUAAGUCCUAUAAAUAAUCUCUUAAUUUCUCUCCAUUAUUAUGACUACCAUAGCUUCCAACAAGUUCAAAGAUGAGAAGGAACCUUACCCAACUCCUUAUCUCUCUCAUGUUCUUUCUCUUUCCCCCGAUUUUUUUCAUAGAAAAGGGCAUGGCACAGAACACAACAAUCCCAGUUAAAGUGGGAGUGGUUCUGGACUUGGAUACAUGGAUUGGGAAGAUGGGGUUGAGCUGCAUCUCGAUGGCCCUCUCAGACUUCUAUGCCUCUCAUGGCCACUACAAAACCAGGGUGGUUACAAAAAUCAGAGACUCCAAAAGAGAUGUUGGUGCAGCUGCAGCAGGUACUAUCCCUUAAAUCUUCUCCUUCAAGUGUUAAACUCAUCAGCUUACAAAACCAGGGUUUCGAUGAAGUUCGCUGACCUUAUCCUCUCUGAGAACUAAUAAACCUAAUUGGGAGCAGUUUAACUAGCAUACUAAAAGAUAUUUGCUUUGAAUAUUCUCUUAGAAAAGCAACAAGAAUUCUCUAAAAUAUUGCGUUUAUUUUUAUGUUAUCUUAUUAUUUAUAUUUAAUAUUUUUAUAAUUAAAUCAAAAAAAUUAUUAAUUUACAAUCCAAUAAUCGAACCAAUGGUUCAACCAAAUAUUAUAAAUAUAUAAUUUAUAUAUUAUUAAAAUUAAAAAUAAUUAUAAAAUUUUAAUAUCUAUUUAUAUAUAUAUAAAUUAAAAAUAAUAAUAUUUAUUUUUUACCUUUGAUAUUAUCAAAUUUAAAUUAUAAAAAAAUAUAAAUAUAUUAAUAUUUUAAAUUUAUUAAAUGAGUGGUUAUUAGUAUUAUCCUAUCCAUGAUAAGAUGGUCCAUGACUCAUAUCCCGGCCCCAAUUCUAAGAAUUUUGGAUUUUUCAACGACUCCAUCCACAUUCAGCAAAUCAAUAUCUUUCAUCCGUGUCAAUCAUAAUUGUCCAAAACGGAGCCAGGCCUUAACAUUGAGCUGGACUUCCACCCCUCAACUGUGGAUUGAGCUUUGGCCAACCCAAAACCGAUGGCCUGGUUCACCGACCCAAUGGUCCAACUGUCGGUCUGUCUGCUUCAAAGUCAGCUCAGCGUAUACUCCACUCCAAAGGCUGGACCAAGCUCCGAAUACGAUUUAAUAUUAUCUGGUCCGGUUUUUAAAACAUCAUCUAUAUCAACUUAGAGUGAUCCAAAAAAAUUGAAAAUUUAGAAUGUGCAACAUAUAUUACACUUGUGAUUUAAGAAAAUAUCUGGACGACUACAAAAGAGUCUCCAUUAAUUGUGCCGUGUUUAUUUACUGUUUUAUUUUUUUAACUUGGUAACUAUCUUGGGGGAGUGACCAAGAGGUUUUCUUAUUCACCACGUAAUAUUUAAGGGCUAGCAAACAAUGUUAAAAAACUAUAAGGGUGCCGAUUUUGACAUUAUUUAUGAACAUAACUCUUAAACAAUAAGAAAUAUUAAUUAGUGGGAUUAUGUUAGUGGUGAUUGUUUGUUUUCAUGUGCUGAUUUAUAGAUUUUAACUUUUUUAAUAAGGUUUUUAUUAAUAAAUUAUAAUAAUUAACUAUAUUAUAAUUUUGGUAAAUUAUUUUAGAAAAUAAGCUAACCUAUAAUUGAGAUAAAUUUAAAAUUUUAAAUAAUUUAAAUAAAUCUUAAUUGGGAUUAAAUGAAUUAUUGAUGUAAUUUUUGUGUGAAGUUGAUAGACUUCUAACCCAAAUGGCCCUAUUUUAUUAAAUGAAUGGCAGGAUGUACCUUGUUGAGCAUACAAUAAAUGGGUGGUCUUCCUCUUAAAUUAUAAUAUCAUAUCAUAAUUCAUUUUCAUAUUCUAAAAAUAUCUGAUAAACAAGGUUUUGUACCCUCGUUUGAUUGCUGACGGUAGAGUAGAAAUUUAUUCAUUCAUUUAAAUGCUUGUUUAUCGUUUGAACCUGCAUGCUCCUGAACUCAGUUGUAGACCUCUUACAAAAUGAAGAAGUGGAAGCCAUAAUAGGGCCCGGAUCAUCGAUGCAGGCCAACUUCAUGAUUGGUCUUGGAAGCAAAGCUCGGGUGCCCAUCAUUUCAUUUUCUGCAACAAGUCCUUCUCUUUCUUCGCUCCAGAGUCAAUAUUUUGUCCGAGCCACCCUAAAUGACUCAGCUCAAGUACCAGCAAUAAGGACAAUAGUCCAGGCCUUUGGAUGGAGAGAAGUUGUGCUUAUUUACGUGGACAACGAGUAUGGCAAUGAAGUCGUACCGUCUCUGACUAGUGCCUUGCAGGAGGUGGACACCCAUGUGACCUACCGGAGCGCCAUUCAUCCAUCGGCAACUGACGAUCAAAUCGUUAAAGAACUUUACAAGUUGAUGACGAUGUCAACUAGGGUUUUCAUUGUGCAUAUGCUUACGCCUCUUGGCUCCCAGCUUUUUACCAAAGCAAAUGAGGCUGGAAUGAUGGAAGAAGGCUAUGUUUGGAUACUAACUGAUGGGAUAACUGACUUCUUGAGUACUUUGGACGCUUCAGCCAUUGAUUCGAUGCAAGGGGUGUUGGGCGUCAAGCCCCAUGUUCCAAGAACCAAAGAGCUUGAAAGUUUUAAAAUCAGAUGGAAAAAGAAAAUCCAAGAAGAAUAUCCAACCAAUGAAAUCUCUGAGCUGAAUAUUUUUGGACUAUGGGCCUACGAUGCUGCUUCUGCACUAGCCAUGGCAGUUGAAAAACUUGGCGCGGGAAACUUCAGCUUCCAAAAGACCACCAUUUCCAGAGAUUCAACCAGUCUUGAGAGUAUUAGAGUUUCCCCAAUUGGCCCAAAUAUUCUCCAUUCACUAUUAGGUACUCGAUUCAGAGGCCUUACCGGAGAUUUUCAAAUUAUAGAUGGGCAACUACACACAUCAGCUUUCCAGAUAGUUAAUGUGAUCGGUGAAGGGGAAAGAGGGGUUGGAUUUUGGACAACAGAGAAUGGAAUUGUAAGACGAUCGAAUACUACUUCUAAGGCCAAUCUAAGAGCCAUUAUGUGGCCAGGAGAAUCUACUUCUGUUCCUAAAGGUUGGGUGUUUCCUACCAAUGGAAAGAAGUUGAAGAUAGGGGUUCCAGAGAAAAAGGGUUUUUGUGAAUUUGUAAAGGUGACGCGAGAUCCUAUCACUAAUAAAACAAAGGCCACUGGUUACUCCAUAGCUAUCUUCGAUGCCGUAAUGGCAACAUUACCAUAUGCUGUUCCUUAUGAGUACGUUCCCUUAAAGAUACGUGAUAGAAAGGCUGCUGGUAACAAAGAUGAAUUGUUUCAAGGACAUGUUCAGGUCAGUCAUACUCUUUAGAUUCCCUAAUACAUAACAAUUUUCAUUCAACUGUAGCCAUCAACUGUCAAAUAGAGGGAAAACUGUCAUCCUUUUGCAAUGAAAUAUCUCACGUACCGCCAAUUUUACCUUUACUUUUAUCAUGUACAGAAGUGUGACGCUCUGGUGGGAGAUAUUACUAUUCUAGCGAGCAGGUCCUUGUAUGUAGACUUUACACUGCCUUACACCGAGUCUGGCGUAUCAAUGAUCGUGCCGAUCAUCGAUAACAGAAGUAAAAGUGUUGGGUUUCCCUUCUUUGUGGGACUCUUAAAUUUACUAAAUAUGGUUUUUCUAUUUUUGGCCAACACCUUGGUUAGCACAUGACUCUUGGUAUAUUCAAGAUUGGUUUGAAGUCUUCAAGGAAAGAAAAAAAAAAACUACAAGCCUUUUGUCUUUUCCUUUGGUUCAUUAUCUUGGUCGGCAAGAAGACUUUUGGGAUACCUUUUUGGUUCAAACAAACAAAAAGAAAAUUCAGCCUUCUUCUUCUCCAUUUUUUGGUGCUACACAAUCAGCAAGUUUGUUCUUCAAGUGGGUAACGUUCCUUCACUUGAUAUUUGGGGUUUCUUGCGGUUUGUUCUUGGAGAUUUGGUUUACUUUUGUGAGGUAUUUUCCUCUUGUAAUUUACACCUUGGUGUGUUUGUAAGGCUUAUGCCUUUUGACCACUUUGUAAACUCUUUUGGUGAUAGUGGAAGAAACUGACCUACCGGUUGUCGUGNNNNNNNNNNNNNNNNNNNNNNNNNNNNNNNNNNNNNNNNNNNNNNNNNNNNNNNNNNNNNNNNNNNNNNNNNNNNNNNNNNNNNNNNNNNNNNNNNNNNCACAGUUAGUAACUCCACACCUGAUGGAGUGGUAACAAUGAGUCAAGUUACUAGCAGCCUGUUGAAUGAAGAGACAAGAAGAAAAUCAUCAGGUUCUUCUCACUCCGAGGCACUUGUGAUAGAAAAUCGAGGGAGAGGCAGGAGUAAGAGUAAGGCUUCGCACAACCGUGAUAAAUCUAGAGGUCGUUCAAGCUCGAUUUCAAAGAAAGAUGUUGAGUGCUAUUAUUGUCACAAGAAAGGGCAUAUGAAGCGGGAGUGCAGAAAACUCAAGUUCAAGGAGCAGAACAAAGAGAAAAAUUCAGAGAAAAAGCAAAAUGAUACAGCUGUAGUUACCGAUGGUGAACUCAUGAUUAUUCGUGAUGAUGUUAGCGUUAAUUUGAUUGGCCAAGAGACGGAUUGGGUAAUUGAUUCUGGAGCUUCAUUUCAUGUUACUUCGCGGGCUGAUUUCUUUACUUCUUACUCGCAAGGUGAUUUUGGGAAUGUCCGUAUGGGAAAUGAAGAUGUGUCAAAAAUUGUUGGCAUGGGUGACAUUUGCUUGGAAACAAAUACUGGAUGCAAAUUGUUGCUUAGAGAUGUGAGGCAUGUACCGGAUAUUCGGCUCAAUUUAAUCUCUACUGGAAAGUUAGAUGAUGAGGGCUACAACAACAAUUUCAGUGAUGGAAAAUGGAAGCUCUCUAAAGGUUCUCUAGUGGUAGCAAAAGGAAAGAAGACUUGUUCUCUUUACACCGUGCAAGCAAAAAUCUGCAAGUGUGUUGUGAAUACCUUAGAGAAUGACUCAUCCACCGAUUUAUGGCAUAGAAGGCUUGGACAUAUGAGUGAGAAAGGAUUGCAAGUUUUAUCUAAGAAAGAGCUUCUAGCGGGGAUAAAAGGUACGCCUUUGAAAACAUGUGUUCAUUGUUUCCAUGGUAAACAAAAUAGAAUAUCAUUCCGUAGAAACAUUGCAUCUAGAAAAUCUCAUGUUCUAGAUUUGAUACAUUUUGAUGUAUGUGGUCCUUUGAAAGUUAGGACACUUGGUGGUGCUCUAUACUUUGUCACUUUUAUUGAUGAUCACUCUAGAAAAGUUUAGGCUUAUACACUGAAAACUAAAGAUCAAGUUCUAGAUGUGUUUAAGCAUUUUCAAGCCAAGGUUGAAAGAGAAACUGGUAGACAGUUGAAAUGUGUCCGCUCGGAUAAUGGUGGUGAAUAUAUUGGACCAUUUGAUCAGUAUUGCACUAAUCAUGGCAUCAGGCACGAAAAGACAGUAAAAAAGACACCUCAACAGAACGGGGUUGCAGAGAGAAUGAAUCGCACCAUUCUUGAGAGAGUCAGAUGUUUGCUCUCACAUUCUAAAUUGCCAAGAUCUUUUUGGGGUGAGGCAAUGAGGACAGCAGUUGAUCUUAUCAAUUUGUCUCCUUCAGUUCCGUUGAAUGGUGAUGUGCCAGAGAAAGUUUGGACAGGGAAGGAAGUCUCCUAUGAUCACUUGAGGGUAUUCGGCUGCAGAGCUUUUGUUCAUAUUCCAAAAGAUGAGAGGUCCAAGCUUGAUCCAAAAGCAAAGCAGUGCAUAUUUAUUGGCUAUGGGCAUGAAGAAUUUGGCUACAGGUUGUAUGAUCCAGUUGAUAAGAAAGUUGUCAGAAGCCGAGAUGUUGUUUUCUUGGAAGAUCAGACUAUUGAAGACAUUGACAAGCUUGAGUCAGCUGAGUCUAGUACUAAUGAUCUUGUUGAUUUAGAUCCUCUUAAUCCACCUGUUGUUCAUGAUAUUGAUGAGGAAGUGCAGACACCUCAUGAUGAUGCAGCGGAAGAUGAUGUUGAGCCAGAGAUUGAGGGGGAACAGUCACCCCAAGAGCCACUACCACAGACACCGUUGAGGAGAUCUACCAGAGAAAAACAGCCAUCCAGAAAAUAUUCUUCAAAUGAGUAUGUGAUGAUAUCAGAUCAGGGGGAGCCAGAGACUUAUCAAGAAGUCUUGAAGCAUGAGAACAAAACUGAAUGGCUCAAGGCAAUGAAAGAGGAAAUGAAGUCUUUGCAUGAGAAUCACACCUAUGAUUUGGUGAAGCCGCCUAAAGGGAAGAAAAUUUUGAAAAAUAAAUGGGUCUUCAGACGAAAGAAUGAUGGGAACAGUUCUCAACCGAGAUUCAAGGCACGACUUGUUGUGAAAGGUUUUGAUCAGAGGAAGGGAGUUGAUUUUGAUGAGAUCUUCUCACCAGUUGUGAAGAUGUCCUCCAUUCGAACUGUACUUGGUAUAGCUGCGAGUAUGAAUUUAGAAGUUGAGCAGCUUGAUGUGAAGACCGCAUUUUUGCAUGGUGACUUAGAAGAGGAAAUUUAUAUGGAGCAACCUGAGGGCUUCAUAGAUAAGGGUAAUGAUCAGUUAGUUUGCAAAUUGAAGAAGAGUUUGUAUGGAUUGAAGCAAGCACCGAGGCAGUGGUACAGAAAAUUCGAUUCUUUCAUGACUGAGCAUGGGUAUUCAAGAACCACUUCAGACCAUUGUGUGUUUGUGAAGAAAUAUACAGAUGGUAAUUUUAUUAUUCUCUUGCUUUACGUUGAUGAUAUGCUUAUUGUGGGCCAAGACAUGAGCAAGAUUAGCAAGUUGAAGUCAGAGUUGAGCAAGUCCUUUGCCAUGAAGGAUUUGGGUCCAGCAAAGCAAAUUCUUGGGAUAAGAAUUGUUCGCAACAGAUCACAUGGGCUGAUUUGGUUAUCUCAAGAGAAUUAUGUUAAAAAGGUUCUUGAGAGGUUCAAUAUGGACAAAGCAAAGCCUGUUAAUUGUCCACUUGCAGGCCACUUCAAACUUAGCUCAAGUCAAUGUCCUACAAGUGAUGAAGAGAAAAAUGAGAUGCAGAAAAUUCCCUAUGCUUCAGCAAUUGGUUCUUUGAUGUAUGCCAUGGUUUGUACUCGACCGGAUAUUGCUCACGCAGUUGGGGUUGUUAGUCGAUUUAUAUCUAAUCCGGGGAAAGAACACUGGGCAGCAGUGAAAUGGAUUCUGAGGUAUCUUCAGGGCACUUCAAAGAUGAGUUUGUGUUUUGGUAAAGGCGAGCCUAUUCUUGAUGGGUUCACAGAUUCUGAUAUGGCUGGUGAUGUUGAUAGUCGAAAAUCUACUUCUGGUUAUUUGAUUACUUUUGCAGGGGGAGCAGUGACAUGGCAAUCAAGAUUACAGAAAUGUGUUGCUCUCUCCACCACAGAAGCUGAGUUCAUCGCCAUUACAGAAGCCUGCAAAGAAUUAUUGUGGUUGAAGAAAUUCUUACAAGAGUUGGGUUUGAAACAAGAAAGGUAUGUCCUUCAUUGUGAUAGUCAAAGUGCAAUCCACUUGAGUAAGAAUUCUUCAUUUCAUUCGAGGUCGAAACACAUUGAUGUUAGAUAUCAUUGGAUUCGUGAUGUCUUGAAUGAUAAGUUGUUGCAACUUGAAAAAGUUCACACUGAUGAUAACACUUCGGAUAUGUUGACUAAGGCAUUGACUAAGGACAAGCAUGAGAAGUGUCGACUAUUGGCGGGAAUGGUCGAAUCCUCCACAUAAGUCGGGAGGGGGAGAAUUGUUGGGUUUCCCUUCUUUGUGGGACUCUUAAAUUUACUAAAUAUGGUUUUUCUAUUUUUGGCCAACACCUUGGUUAGCACAUGACUCUUGGUAUAUUCAAGAUUGGUUUGAAGUCUUCAAGGAAAGAAAAAAAAAACUACAAGCCUUUUGUCUUUUCCUUUGGUUCAUUAUCUUGGUCGGCAAGAAGACUUUUGGGAUACCUUUUUGGUUCAAACAAACAAAAAGAAAAUUCAGCCUUCUUCUUCUCCAUUUUUUGGUGCUACACAAUCAGCAAGUUUGUUCUUCAAGUGGGUAACGUUCCUUCACUUGAUAUUUGGGGUUUCUUGCGGUUUGUUCUUGGAGAUUUGGUUUACUUUUGUGAGGUAUUUUCCUCUUGUAAUUUACACCUUGGUGUGUUUGUAAGGCUUAUGCCUUUUGACCACUUUGUAAACUCUUUUGGUGAUAGUGGAAGAAACUGACCUACCGGUUGUCGUGGACGUACCUCAAGUUAUUUGAGGGAACCACGUAAAUCUUGUGUGCUCAUUUAUUUUCUGUUAUUCUAUUUAUAUUGCUUCCAUUGAUUUACACUUGUGGGAAAGCCUAGUUUUUUUUCAACAAAAAGAGCAUGGGUCUUUUUGAAGCCAUUAACUUGGGACCUUUGGGUGACAAGCGCUUGUUUCUUUGUCUUCAUUGGCUUGGUGAUUUGGACUCUUGAACAUCGAAUAAAUGAAGAUUUCAGAGGGCCUCGUUCACAUCAAGUUGGCACAAUCUUCUGGUUCUCCUUCUCAACAUUGGUGUUUGCUCAGAGUAAUUACUCUUCCACCUCCUUCAAUUUUAUCUAGCAAUUUAUCUACUCUUGUAAUAUUCAAAUACAAAGCAUAUUCAGUACAUCUCAAACAAAUCGAAACUAACUUCUAGGAUAGCCUACUUACUUGUUUCCCAUGAUUAACCUCUAUUAUAUGGACAUUCCAUACAAUAUGCAAGUAAAUUUUAGGAUAAUUGUUAUGUUUCAGAAACUAUAUAUUUGCCUUUAUAUUGCUUUUCUGGAUUGGAUUUUCUUUUUCAUUCUUAAAUUACGUUAACAGAGGAGAGAAUUGUCAGCAACUUGGCUCGGAUCGUGGUGAUCAUAUUGUUUUUUGUGGUGCUGAUUCUUACUCAAACUUACACAGCCAGCUUGACUUCAAUGUUAACAGUUCAACAGCUCAACCCAACUAUCACUGAUAUAAAUGAGCUCAUAAAGAAGGGGGAGCGUGUAGGUUACCAAUAUGGCUCUUUCGUUUAUGAAUUCUUGAUCAAGUCGAUGAAAUUUGAUGAGUCCAAUCUUGUAAAGUAUGAGUCACCAGAAGAACUGGAUGAAUUAUUUUCAAAAGGUGGAAUUACUGCUGCAUUUGAUGAAAUCCCUUACAUGAAGAUUUUCCUUGCAAAAUAUUGCUCCAAAUACACUGCAGUUGGACCAACAUACAAGUUUGAUGGGUUUGGAUUUGUAAGUGUUCUCUCUUAAAGUGUACAAAUUUUCAUGCAGUGGUUUCUGAUUUUUGAUCAUUUCAGGUCUUUCGAAAGGGUUCACCCCUUGUAGCGGAUGUUUCAAGGAAAGUUUUAAGCGUGACCGAGGGAGCUAAAUUGUUAGAAUUUGAGAAGGCAUGGUUUGGGCAAACAACCAGUUGUCCAGAGCUCACCAGCUCAGUUUCUUCAAACAGUAUCGGCCUUAAUAGCUUUUGGGGCCUAUUCCUUAUUGCUGGAGUCGCUUCAUUUGUAGCUCUCGUUGCAUGCAUCACCACAUUCCUUUAUGAAAAUAGAAACGCCUUAAUAAACUUGAAUCCCCCAUCUUCCUUAUGGAGAAAAAUUAAAGCCAUGGCUACACGCUUUGAUGACAAAGAUCCCAGGUCUCAUACCUUUAGAAAAAGUGAUCAACUUCCAGACAAGGGGCAUCAAAGCCAUGGAUGCAGUUACAGCCUCGCCAGCUACACCAACUUCCCUCCAAGUCCAUCAAGCCUUCUGAUCCCAACACACAGCGAUUUUGCCUUCUUUGGAGAACAAGGAACACCUUCUUCUGGACAUGGUGAUCCAGUCUGUCCAAAUCGGCCGAUGUCUCCUCACAUAUUGUUUGAAUAUGAGCUUGCUAAUUUAAAUCACGAGCAAACAAGACCGCCUGUAAUUGAAUAACUGAUCGAUUACUUCGUUUUUCUUUCCUGUGUAUUUUAUGCCGGUGGCACCAUUACCCACAACCAUGAAUUUCAAAAGAAAAAAAAUGUAGUUGUACCCCAUAGGCAUUUUAGUUAACACGGUGAUGUACAUUCAAUUUGCGGCUAAAAUUAAAAAUAAUAAAUAAAUAAAUAAUUAUUUACUACAAAUUUAUGUGAUUGUUAAAUGCCAUCUAUUUGCUAUGAACAAUAAUUCAUCACUAAUAAAUUGAUUUGUUAUGAAAUAAAAUGUUAUUGCAAAAAGUAAUUUCUUACCAUAAAAAUACUUCUUAGCUAAAAGCGUUACGGAAAAUUGAGAAAUUUGUUGUAAUGAAUUUUCCGAAAGCUUGCCGGAUUGAAAAGGAGAAUCCAAGUGGGACUGAACGUACCUUCCGGUUCAAGGCAGGACUAGGACAGGGAGGUCUAGUUUUCAAACCAUCGUAGAUAUGACGCAAAACAUUGAUUUAAAAUUUAGGGAGAAUUACCAUUAAGGGUAGGCUAGGGGAAAAAAUGAUCAGGAAGGGUGGGUAUAUUUGAUAAUUAUUGUGAAGGGUAGGAUGAAAUUAUGAUAAUUCCUCCAAAGGUCUUAUUUUGUUUAAAUGCCAAGAUUACCCUUAAUAAGUGAAAAGCAAUAGCAAAGUGAAAAGUAACAACAAAGUAAAAAGAGUUUUCUUUAACCUACCUUCAGCUUGUCGGUGGUGUUGUAAAAGAAAAAAGGGAAAGAGGAAAAAGGUUUAACACUUCAGGUCAUGAUCUAAAAUCGUUUACACAAAGUUUGUUUUUUUUUUUUGUGUGAAUCUAGCAAGAAAUCCAUUAAAGGUGAGUUUUUUUUUAAAUGCCAAAAAAAAAAAAUCAGUUUAUGGAAAAAAUAAAUAAUUAAAAAUCAGAUUGAAAGAAUGAAAAGUUAAUAAUUUUAACAUUGUAGAUGUAAGAUAUUAGAUCUGAAAUAUUGAAUGAGGUUUUGAGAAAGAAAUUACAUUUUUUGUAUAAAAUGUUAUUUAAAUUUAUUAUUUUGAAUUUUUUUAUAUUAUUUUGGUCAUAUUGAAGAUGUGUUUUUAUUUUUAAUUUAUUUUUCGGGUUGUUUGAUAUGAUUAUUAUUGAUUUCCAUUGAAAAGGUUUGCACUUUAGUUUUAUUGUUGAGACUUAUUUGAUAUGGCAGAAGAAAAAAAUUUCUUAGUUGUUUCUUGGUUGUUUGGAACCAUUUUAUUUGGGUAUUUAUGAACAUAUUUGAAUUUUCAUUGAAAACUCAAAAUUGUAAUCAAUUGACACAUAUUUUGUAUAAUAAAGAACAAUAUAUGUUGUAUAUUAGACAUAUAUGCCAAAAAAACCCACAACUGCCCAAUUUCAUAAGAAAUUUGAAAUUUUAAAAAUUUUAUCUUAUCGUAAUGUAUCGUAAUGUUAUUAUAUUUAUAUUGUAAUUGUAGUGUAUUUUUAUUGUAUAUUUAUAUUUUUAUAUAAAAAAAAAACCCAUAAUUGCCUAGUUUCAUAAAAAAUUUCAAAUUUUCAAAAUUUUACCUUAUCAUAAUGUAUCGUAAUGUUAUUGUAUUUAUAUUAUAAUUGUAGUGUAUUUUUAUUGUACAUUUAUAUUUUUAUAUAAAAAAUUAAUUUUAUAGAUUUUUUUUUUUUAUACGUUUGGAUUACCAUCAACAACUUCAUGUAUUGAAAUUACAAUAAUGUAUUUUUAUUGUCUUUUUAUAAUUUUGGCUUGCAACGAUAUUUUAUGAUAGGAAUACAACAUGAUAGCCUAGAAACGUUAGUUCAGUAAAAAACGAAUUCAAUAUUUUGUUAUUUUGAUACAUUGUAAUAUGUCGUAAUGUUAAUAUUUUUUCAUUGUAACUAUAUUGUAUUUGUAUUGUACUUAUACUUUAUAAUUGUCCGAAAAGAAGAUGUACUUCUCAAUUGGUAAAUAGACAUGAGAAAUUCAAAAUAAAUUGGUCUAAUAAAAAUACGAGGCCUUCAUAAGAAUUAUCAAAUGUACCAACCCUUUUCAAUAAUUUUUUUUUCCAACCUGGGUAAUUCUCCCUAAAAUCUAUAUCAGUCAAAGGUUCCUACAAUUUUGACAGGACACGGAAGAUCCAUUACUCAAGCCAUUACUUGAGCAUGCUUUUUUUUUUUUUAAUCAUUGCCUUAGAUUCCGUCAAAAUCACGAAUUCAUUGCUGCCUAUCGCAGCAGGUCAACUUCCUGUAUCUUAUCUGCAUUAAAAAAAAAUGAAUAUUUUGAAAGAUUGUCCUUAUACUAGCUACGUGGUUGACAUUGCUUCCCCACACACAAGAUCUUCGCCGACGGAGGGAAUGUGAGGACAGAUAUUCAUUUUCAUGGUUAUUCUUUUGUGCAGAUAAUCCAUUAAUUCUAAAUGAUGUAAUUUCUGGUGAAAAUAAAUAUUUUUUAUUUUAAAAAUUAUCAUUUUCAACUGAAUGGUAGUCACAUAUCAUCAUUAAACCUAUUAAACUCCAUUUCCACGCACCCGAGUGCAGAAGAUGAUAAGUUGACCAUGUGGAUACAGUUGUGCCAAGUGCCACCUAACACACAGCUGGGGAUUAUUGGAAUUCUGCUACAGGCGAUGAGUAGCUCCGUGGAGUUCAUCGUGAAAACCUCUCUCUUAUGAAUUUUAUGAGUCAAAUGCUAACGCAAGAAGGAAGCUAAAAUGUGUGUUUCCAUGGAAGAAUAUUUAUAAGGAUAUAUUCUGAUCAUGAUUUCAUCAUUAUAAGUUACGCUUUCUAAUUUAAUUAAUAUUGUAAGAGAUUCUAUCUUUGACCGCCUCAACUCGCCCAAGAAGUGUUGGUUGGGGUCCUCUUGUUACAGUGCCUUCUCUUCUAGGCUUCUAAUUCUUACUUUUUCAAAUUCUAGACCCUAUAAAUGAGCUGUAUUCUGCAUUAUUGUGAAUCACCAAGCUUCCCAAAAGUAGUUCAAAGAUGAGAAACGACCUUGCCCAACAGGGGUUCUCCCUCUUCUUUCUCUCCCUAUGGGUUCUCUUCAUAGAAAUGGGCAUGGCGCAGAACACAACAAUCCCAGUUAACGUGGGAGUGGUCCUUGACUUUGAUACAUCGUUUGGAAAGAUGGGUCUGAGCUGCAUCCCCAUGGCCCUCUCAGAUUUCUAUGCCUCUCAUGGUAACUACAAGACUAGGCUCGUUCUGAAGACUAGAGACUCCAGAAGAGAUGUUGUUGGUGCAGCUGCAGCAGGUACUCCAUCCCUGUCUCUCUCGCUCUCUCACUUUCUCCUUCAUCAAUGUUUAUGAUUAAUCAUCUCGUUUGGAGCAUUGUUGAUGGAAUGAGAUUAGAAUUGCAUUAGUAUUACUGAGAAAAAUGAAAGCAAGUGAUCUUUAUCAGUCACCCCCAUUUGGUUUUCAGGAAAAAUCCCCUUACUCUUUGAGAAUUAGAAAGCAUAAUUCGAAGUAGUUCAUCAUUUGGGAAGUAAUUUUUUGAGAUACCUGCUCUGAUAAAGUGAGAAAAUUAUGAUAUUGACAUUGAAUCUUCAGCCCGUAAUUUUUUUGACAUUGAACAUUUUCUAUCUCAGCUUAGAGACCCAAAUGAAAGUUUUGAAAUAUAAAAUAUACUAGUAUGCCCAAUUAAUUCUCAGCACAGCUCUUCACCAGAUGAAGAAGAUAGUUGGUCGUUUAACAAACCACAUUGUCAACUGCCGAUGGCAAAAGGUCUCCAUAAAUUGUGCCAUGGUCUUUUAACGAGGCAACUUUUCUUGACCAUAUGGCUGAUGAAGAGGUCAGCUGACAGUUCAAUGGCGGCUAAAAGUCUCUCGAAAAUUGCGGAUGGGAUUUAAAAAAAAUCAGGCAAGAAUUGGGUUUUGGGCCCAACUAGCCCAAAAAUUGACCAAAGAUCCAUAUAUCAUUCACAUUUAAACCCAAUACUCAAUUAAAGCCUAAAAAUUAAGUUAAUGAUAUUAUUCUUCAUUAAUCAGUAAAAUACACUUAACUCGUACAUAUAGUUAGUGUAAAUUUUUUUUUUUUCCUUUUUCUAUUCCCAAUUAAGUAUUACUCAUUUUUAUUUUUUUUUUUCCUUUUAAAGAUAUUGAAUCUUUUUACUCUUAUUAUAAGUAAGGAUAAAAAAAUUUCAUAUAAAAUUUAAUGGAUAAUCAAUUAAUGAAAUUUAAUUCUUUUUAUUAUUUUCAUAUAAAAAAUAGUACUAAACAAAGUUUUCAAUUUUUCUUUUUAAAAAUAGUUUUCAUUUUUUAAUUAAAUGUUUUUUUCUAAAAGAAAAUAUAAAAAAUAUAAAUCAUAUUACCAUUUUUUUAGAAAGUAUUUUUUAAAAUAGUUUUUGAACGUAAUUUUUCUUUAUUUAUAAUUUAAAAUAAAAAAUAAUGUUGAUUUUUAAUUAUUAAUAAAAAAAAGUCCUAAAAAAUAAUGAAAAAUUCAAAUGGUUGAAAUAAAAUUAUUAUGGUUGUAUGAAUAAUGGUACAAUAAAUAUUGAAAAAGCUUAUGUGAAAGGUCAAUGGGUAUUUUGGUCUUUUAAUAUCUUAUAUCAUUUUUAUCAAUUAUAUAAAUUAUAUGGAUCAAACCUUAAUUUUUGGGUCUACCUGAUCCAAAACACAGUUGUCUCAAAAAUCACCCCCAUACUGUGGCUGCAGUAGGUCGUAAAGAAUAUAUAUUUGACUUUGCACUGAUAUAUAUAAAUAUUACCGUGUCUUCAUGAGUUAAGGCAAAGUAGGAAGUUACCAAAGGUCAAACACGUUGCCUCUGAUCCAUGAUGAUAAGAUGUCAGUUUUUUCAUCUGAUGAACAUGAUCUGUUGUUUGAUCUACUGGAAAAGAUCCCUUUGUUAAUGUCUCAUAACAGAGUAGGAAGAUUAUUGGUAAUCUGUUGGUGAAAUUUUAUAUCUAUUUUGUUAUGUUUGCAUGUCUGAUUGCUGAGAAGGAUGUUAGAAAUUAAGAAUAUAUUAGAGUUUGCUUCUGUGUUUUUUAUUAUUUUGAACAUUUUGNNNNNNNNNNNNNNNNNNNNNNNNNNNNNNNNNNNNNNNNNNNNNNNNNNNNNNNNNNNNNNNNNNNNNNNNNNNNNNNNNNNNNNNNNNNNNNNNNNNNNNNNNNNNNNNNNNNNNNNNNNNNNNNNNNNNNNNNNNNNNNNNNNNNNNNNNNNNNNNNNNNNNNNNNNNNNNNNNNNNNNNNNNNNNNNNNNNNNNNNNNNNNNNNNNNNNNNNNNNNNNNNNNNNNNNNGAUUUCUAAUUUCCUCUGUUUUUAUUACCAACAGAAGUAUGAUGCCGUGGUGGGAGAUACUACAAUUGUAGCGAACAGGUCCAACUAUGUAGAUUUUACACUACCUUACACUGAAUCCGGCGUAUCAAUGAUCGUGCCCAUCAAAGACAACAAAAGCAAAAGAGCAUGGAUUUUCUUGAAGCCAUUGACUUGGGGCCUCUGGGUGACUAGUGCGUGUUUCUUUGUUUUCAUCGGCUUUGUAAUUUGGGUUCUUGAACAUCGAAUAAAUGAAGAUUUCAGGGGCCCUCCUUCACAUCAAGCAGGCACCAUCUUCUGGUUCUCCUUCUCAACUAUGGUGUUUGCACAGAGUAAGUUCUCUUCCCUCAAAUUAACUUCAUUUGCUGAAAUGAUGUUGAUUUUCUGGUUCUAUUUUUAUAGAGGAGAGAAUUGUGAGCAACUUGGCUCGGUUUGUGAUGAUCAUAUGGUUCUUUGUGGUGCUCAUCCUCACUCAAAGUUACACCGCCAGCUUGACCUCAAUGUUAACCGUCCAACAGCUCCAGCCAACCGUUACAGACAUAAAAGAGCUAAGAGCGAAAGGGGAGUAUGUAGGUUACCAACAAGGCUCUUUCGUUCUCGGAUUCUUGAAAAGGAUGAACUUUGACGAAUCCAAGUUUAGGAUCUAUAAUUCUUCAGAAAAAUUAGCUGAACUACUCUCGAAAGGGAGUGCAAAUGGAGGUAUUGCUGCUGCCUUUGACGAGAUACCUUACAUGAAGCUCUUCAUUGCACAGCAUUG